AAAAGAUAAGACAAAAAUAUAUAAUGAAAUGGAAUCAUGGUCAUUAAAUCUGAAUUCAAAUCAUAUUGAAAAUUGCAAUUCAAAUUAUCUGAAUGAUAUCUAACUCAGUCUGCGAAAUCUCUACUACAUGCAAAAACUCAACUGUCUAAAAACUGGAACAAGGCCCCUAGUAGACCAAAGCAUAAUAAUGAUAAAUGAAUGAAGUAAACUAGGCCUUCUAAAAUAUAGAAGGCUUACCACGGAACACUGCACUUCUGUCUAUAGAAAGAUCUACUGCUUAUUGGGACCCCUAGAUUGAGCCUCAAAACCUGGAAGAGAGGGGGGUCAAUACAGAUGUACUGGUACGCAGAGCGAUCCAAGAAGAGGUCCAAAAUAAAGCUUGUAUAUAAACAAAAUAGUUGAGAUCUAGUCAUAAACAUCAUGAGAGAUAUGAUUUCAAAACACAUGGGCAUUUUUGAAAAUAUAAAGCCUUUCUGUCAAUGCAAUCUAUUCUUUGUAUUACUUCUGAGUUAGGUGACACUCCCCUACAAGUCUGAUAUUCCAUGGACUAUAUGGAAUUCACCAUUAACUUGGUGGGGAAGUUCCCUACCAAAGUUUACCGCAAGGGUUGGAGUCUCUGAAUUUACUACGCCACAGGACCGUCGCCAACGUACAAUAAUAUACCCGUAUCGACAAAACACGGAUUUGGGCAAUGAGUUGUUUGAACUCAUGCCUUAUUUGGAGAACCACCUAAUCUCUCUUUAUGCCUAAUUUUAUCCUGUUAUGAAACAUUCAUCAUUCUAGUUUCAAAUUCUAAAAAUCUGAUUUUAAACAUGUAUUCUAUUCUGUUAUGAAUUAACAUAGCAUUAUCUGAGUUGGUGUCGUCACACCAAAACUUACAAGUCCUAUUUCUGAGCCAUAAUGUAUCAUGCAUAUUUCUUUCUUUAAAACAUAAUUCAAACCACCCAAGCAUGUAAAUAGUAUAGGAAAUUUCAUGUUCUGAAAGUACAAGUCAAAACUAUGCCAAGAUUCUCAUUCUUUUAAUAACCAUAUGGUGGUCAUGUAUUUUUGGCAAACAUGCAAUUCUUUCAUUAAAUAUGUAUUCACCAUUUAUCAACUUGCACAACCCUCUCUUUUUUUUUUAUCCAAAAUCAUAUUCAAGUCAUAGUAAUAAUCAAGAUAUUUCACAUCAUGCUUUUCAAAAUGCAUUUCAAACACAAUUCAUAUCAUAUGAAAGAUGGGAAAAAUCAUACCAAGAGAGGAAUUCUUUAUGAUUCAUGCUAUCAAUUGAAUAUUCAUCCUUAAAAAAAUGCAUACAUAUAUAUAGAGUUUCAAAUCAAUUUAGGGGAAGGCCUAAAGACCAAAAUAAUACUGAUCAAGGCUUCUAAAACAUGCUAGUAAUCGUAAAUUUUCUUAAAAAUCAUGAUUUCUAAAUCAUUAGAAUGAAUUAAAGAUGGUUUCUUUUCCUAUGAAAUUUUAGGAAAUCCCCAUAUACCACAAUUUAGGAAUUCAAUGGGUGUUUUUUGAAGUCUACAGUUUGGGGAUUCCGAAUCCUCAAUCAAUUUCUGAAACCUAUGGUUGAAUCUUGAGUUAUUUAAAUUUUGGGUUGAAACCCUAAUGAGUGUUCUUAGGGAUUUAUGAUGAAAGUGAAAGUACUUGGGUAUUUGGGGAUAUUAAUCCCGUGUUAAGGCUGAAAAGAUAUGGGGAAAAUGACUAAUUUACCCACUAGGAUGCGGAAAUUUUAAAGCUGAAAACUGGGUAUCGACGCUGCAGGCAAUGCGGCUCGUCAGGGCAUCGAGGCGAUACUUGACGCGUCGCGCCACCAUUGUAUCGAGUCUCAGUACUUUUUCUGCACAAAAAUAUACCAACAAGAUGAGCAACGCAGGAACCUAGAUCGGUGUAACGCCCUGAUUAUCUGAACAGGAAUGCUACACGAUGCUCAUGACCCUAAAGGACCACAAGCUAACCCAUGACUGAUAUCUGUACCUGUAUACUGCAUAAUAUGACAUGAAAAUACGGAAACAUGCACUGAAAGGCCAUAAGGUUCAAUAUUGAAUAUAACCUAAUAAUAAGAAUGUCUGAAUAAAGUGGUAUUAAAAUACCAAAACAAAACUGAAAUACUAAAGUCUGAAACAUGAUAGUCUAUAUCUAGUCUGCAUCUAGCCUGAAAGCCUCUACUGACUGAAUAAUCUGAAUAAGGAAUUGAUGGGACAUGUCCCCAACUAACUUCAACUAAUAGAUAAUCAAUGAAGUAAUGAAGAAAUAAUCAUGUCCUAGAAGGAUGAGGACUUUCUUCUGACUUUGACUGCUGAAACUGGAAUCUACUGCUGAUCUGGAACUCGUGUCUCUGAACCUAUGGUGUAAUAUAAGAGAAAGAAAAAUAGCGCAAAUGCAUCACUACAAAGGAAUGUACUGAGUAUACAUGUGAGGUAGGCUAUAUGCAAGGGCUCACAGGCAUGACUAAUGCUAACUGACUGUCUAACAUAGACAUAAGAAUGCAUACAUAAACACGUAAUCGUAACUGACAACAUGAUAAAAUGAUUUUUGAGUCUGUAUACUGAUAACAUGACAUACUAAGAACUAAUAUGACUGAUAACAUGAAAGACUGUAUAUGAAUAAAACUGAUAACAUGGGUGUCUGUAUUUGACAGUCCUAAAUCUGAUGGAACUACCUGAGUUCCGUACUGUAUCUGAGUUGACUGAGUCUGACAAUCCUGAUUGUGUAACAUAAAACUAUGGGAAGUAGUUAUCUAACCGACAUGCCCCAAAUAUGCCAUAAUAGUUGAGCUGGGGUCCAAUCUAUGCCCUAAUUAUAAGGGUGUCAAUACCGCGCCACUGGUAAGGACAACAUGUGUGUGACCUUCAUAUAACAGGUGACUCUAAUGAGAACGGUGGGAACCCUCAUAAAAUAGGUUAAUCCACCUCAUCUACCCUCAUAUAGCAGGCUAUGAUGUCUCAACCUAUGCUGGAUACAUAUUUCUAGAACACAAGGAUUGCUUCUAAGAAUCACACCCUCAUAUAACAGGUGAGUUACCAUCCUUGGGUUCACUCGAUGCUAAUUUCUACUCCCAUCUGAAUAGAUACUAAACAUGAUUUAACUAAAAUAAACAUGAACUGAGUGACUGAAUUCCAUUGACUGAUGGGAUAUUACUGAUAUCUGACAACUGACUGAGUCAUGAGAUCAUGGAGAUUGUUCUUGAGUCGUAAGACUAUCUGAAGUCUAAGAGUUCAUAGCUUGACUGUGAGUAUAGUGAAAACAUGACAUGGCUCUCGGCACACAACUAAUGUUUCGAGUACAAGUAUCCUCAGGACUCGAUAGAAGGAAACUGACACCACAUAACACUUCGUGAUCAUAGAAACAAAGUUCACAAUUCAUAAUGCCAUAAGUAGGGGAUUUCAUAAUACACAUGGUUAUCAUAUUCUGGUUCAUGGUGAGGAUGCAUAUAAUCUAAUUCAUAAUUUCAUAUCCUAAUAUCAUGUCAUCCUGUCAACAUAUGCAUUACACGACAAUAGCAUGGAAUUCUUUUGAAUAUAAGAGAAUAUCAUACAUUUGACAUUUAAAUCAAAUUCUAGCUAGUGUGUAUGGAUUCUAUUCCUUUAAGCAUUUUGUCAAACACCUUGUACGCACAAACUAGGGCAUAGGUGUGGCUAUCAAUUAAUGAAUCAAGAUACCUCAAUUCAAUCCAAUUUCCCAAGUUUCAAUUCACAUAAUAUCAUGGUAUUAUGAACAUCACAUAAAGAUUCUAACUAGGGAGUUGUAUAGCAACAAUCACACAAACAUAAUCAAACCAUAACAAAAGAGCAUAGUUUCAUAAUUUAAAAGAGGGAUUUUGAGUCUUAUGGAUGAAAAGGAUCCAUAAAUCAACACACGCAUACCUUAUUUCGUGAAUCUAAGGAAGGUUGACGGAGAGACUUGGAUGAUUUUGAAUCUUCUAUGAAAACCCUUGUUUGUGUUCUUGAGAGAAAUUGUAAGAAGAGGCUAUAUUUUGGUGUAAAUUGACCAUAAUCCUAUGUUAUGAGUAUAUAUAGUGUGGGAAAAAGGUCUAUUUUACCCCUAGAACGCUGAGCUGGGAGCUAGAAAUUUUCAAUAGCGUGCGAUCACAUGCUCUAGUCCUCCAUACUAGAGCAUGGGUUGCAUGCUAUAUCGCAUGCUAGGACUAUGCAUCACAUGAUAAUCGCAUGAUGCUACUAUUUUGAAAUCCAAAAAUGCUCUAAGUGGAUUUUAAAAAUUCCAAAACUCACCCGGAAUGUACUAUUACCUGGCCCCAUCAUAACACAACUUGAAAAUUGCAAAACGGAGGUCGAAAAGGUCAUCAAAUAAAUCCCCGAAGUUUGGAGGUCUAAACUAAGACUAAGUGUUGAUUACUUAGCAAAAUUUUCUAAGUAUUGGAGCUUGUAGAGAUCAAGGAGAUGAAUGUUAGGCUUAGGAUUUUAUGGGGUCUUACAAUCGCAUUGGUCUACUAUUUUGGAACACCAAAAGAGGUUUAAACGCAUUCCAAAAAAUCCAAAACUCGUCCGGGAACACCUAUGGACCUCUCAGAUCAUGAACUUGCUAACAUAAUGACUAUUAAAGGAUCUGGUAGGUCAAAAAUAAAAUAUUCAAAGAUUGGAUGUCAAAAAAAUGAGACUAAGUCUCUUUGAUACUUAGAACAAUUUUCUGGUCUUUAACUCUAUGAUCAUACUAUAAGAGAUAAUGCAUGUACGACUCUUUUGGGGUGUUACAUUAUCCCCCCUUUGGAUCAUUCAUCCCUGAAUGAUCACACGGAACACAUACAAGAACGAUUACAAGCAUACUAAGGACAUGGAAAGGAUAAAACAAAGAUUGUACCUUUUGCUUCUUCAUCUGCCGAAUUGAAAAGGUUUGGGUAUCUUUCUCGCAUGUCAUCUUCUGAUUCUCAAGUAGCUUCUUCAACUUUCUGCUUUUUCCACUACACUUUAACCGAGGCUAUCUCUUUGCUUCUUAACCUUUGAACUUGGAAAUCUAAGAUUGCAAUUGGCUCUUCUUCAUAGGAUAAAGAGUCUGUCAUUUUGAUCUCCUCUACAGGAAAUACUAAAGAAUGGUCUCCCAUACACUUCUUCAACAUGGAUAUGUGAAAGACCGGAUGAACGGAACCCAAACUUGCAGGAAACUCUAACUCACACGCAACCCCACUUAUCUUUUUCAAAAUCUGAUAUGGCCCUAUAUAGUGAGGACUCAGUUUACCUUUUUUCCCAAAUAGCAUGACUCCCUUCAUAGAGGAGACUUUUAAGAACACCCAACCUCCAACCUCAAACUCUAAUCCCUUCUCCUAACAUCGGCGUAGGACUUCUAACAACUCUGAGCUAUCUUGAGUCAUUCUCUAAUGAUUUUCAUAUCCUCCAUCAACUGAUGAACAAGAUCAGGCCCAAAAAACCGUAUCUCACCUACUUCAUACAACCGUAUUGGCAACCUACAUCUCCUCCCAUACAAUGCUUGCCAAACUCUCAAAAUUAUUUUCACAGGAAUUAGACCACACAAACUUCACCUUCUUCUAUGUCAACCUAGUAAGUGGAUCAACUAUGGAGGAAAAACUUUCUACGAACCUUCUGUAAUACCUUGCCAAACCCAAGAAGCUCCGAAUACCGGUUGGAGUCGUGGGUAUAGGCCAUUUUCUUACUGCCUCAACCUUUUAAGGAUCAACCUUAAUUCCCUCACUAGACACAAUAUGUCCCAAGAAAGCAAUUGCAUUAAGCCAGAAUUUACACUUGGAAAAUUUUGUAUAUAACUGAUGAUCUUUGAGAAUCUGAAGGAUGAUUCGGAGGUGAUUGGCAUGGUCCUCCUCACUCUUAGAGUAAAUUAAAAUAUCAUCAGUGAAGACUAUCACAAACAGGUCUAGAAACUGAUGGAAUACCCUAUUCAUCAAAUCCAUGAAAGCUGCAGGGGCGUUAGUCCACCCAAAGGACAUGACUAGGAAUUCAUAAUGACCGUAUCGGGUUUGGAAAAUUGUUUUGGCAAUAUCUGACUCUCUAACCUUCAACUGAUGGUAUCUUAAAUGAAGGUUUAUCUUUGAGAAACACCUAGCACCCUAAAGAUGGUCGAAAAGAUCAUCAAUCCUAAGUAGAGGAUAUUUAUUUUUAAUAGUGACCUGAUUUAGCUGGUGGUAAUCUAUGCACAUACGUAGGGAACUAUCUUUCUUUCGUACGAAGAGUAUAGGUGCACCCCAAGGAGAAACACUAAGAUGGAUAAAACCUUUGUCUAGAAGGUCUGCUAGCUGUUCUUUCAAUUCUUUUAGUUCUAUAGGGGCCAUCCUAUGUGGCGGAAUAGAAAUGGGAUAGGUAUCUAGCAGUAAAUCAAUACCAAAUUCUAUCUCUCUAUUAGGUGGUAUGCGUGGGAGAUCAUCUGGAAAAAGUUUUGGAAAUUCAUUUACCACAAGGACUAACUGAAGAGAAGGACUCUCAAUGUUAGAAUCCUUUACUCGAAUUAUAUGAUAUAGAAAACCUCUGGAAAUGAGCUUACGGGCUUUAAGAUAAGAUAUAAAGUGCCCUUUAGGUGCGAAAGAAUAUCCCUCCCACUCUAAUACUGGUUCAUUUGAGAAGGAAAAAGCGACUCUUCGGGUCCUAUAAUUUAAUAUAGAAUAACACAAACGUAUCUAAUCCAUCCCUAAGAUGACAUCAAAGUCAACCAUUUCAAGAUUUAUAAGGUCUACCACCAUAUCCUGACUAUAAAUAAACACAACAUAAUUUCUAUAUACCCUCUGAGCCACAAUAGAAUCUCCCACAGGAGUGGAAACAGAGAAAGGUUCAACAAUUAUAUCAGGAUCAAACCCAAAUCCAACAACCACAUAUGGGGUCACAUAGGAUAAGGUAGACUGGGAACAAGCAACACGUACACAUCAUGAGAAAAGAUUUAUAACGUACCCGUGACUAUGUAUGGGGAAGCUUCUGUAUCCUGACGGUUGGUCAAAGCAUAUUACUAGUUGCGACUGCUCCCUAUAGCUAAGUGGCGCCCUUCUGAGGUGGCGGUGGUGCGGAAGAAUUUGCCUGUGACUUGGCUCCCCUAACAUUAUCUCUCGCUGUCGGACAAUCCCUCUAGAUAUGGACUGGUUGGCCACACAAAUAACAUACCAUGGUGCUAAGCUGGCAUCUUCUUGGAUGAUUCCUCCCACAUAUCCCAUAGUAAGGGUAUGACCAAAAGGUUUGAGCUAUACUUCCCUGAGAUUUCACACCUUGCAUUCUCGACCCUUGACUAGACUGAAAAUUCUGGGGAAGCUGGUCAGCUGGGGUCCUAGACACUGGAGCACUAGCUAUGGACUGUGCAUUACCAUAAUUCUUUCUCUUCUGCCAUCUUUUACUCUAAUUUCCACUCUACUGCUGCUGACUGUGGCUCUGGUCUGCUGUCUUGACUCUCUAUGCCUGCCUAUCCUUCUCCCUAGACUCAGCAAUUCUCUUCUUCUUCUCCUCUACCAUCUAUAUAUGGACUGAUACUCUAGAGAAGUUCAUAUCCCUAUUUAGUAUUGCCCCCUUAUAUUCAAGCACUAAGUCUUCUGAAAGGCCAGAUGCAAAUUUUCUCAUUCGGGUCCUCAUUUUACCAGUCAUCUUGGGAGCAUAAUGAGCUAAUUGGUUGAACUUUAGAGUAUACUCCUUGAUACUCAGUUUUCCUUGCUUUAUAUUCAUAAACUUUUCAUCUUUGGCCUCCCUUAACUCUAGAGAAAAGAAUCGAUCAAGGAAGGCUUCCACGAAUUCACCCCAUACUAUGGGCUCAACACUCUCACCCUUAGAAUCCUCCCACUCAUUAUACCACUAAUUUGCAACUUCUUUAAGCUGACAGGAUGCUAACUCCACCCCUUCUACCUCAUCUAAAUGCAUCACCUUGAAGAUCUUCUCCAUCUCAUCCACAAACUCCUAUGGAUUCUCCUUUACCUUGGUGCCAAAAAACUUAGGCGGGUUCAUUCUCAUGAACUGACCCACCCUAGUAGCCUCAGAUGUAACAAAUGCAGACCCAACAUCUUCCGUUCAUUGAGUUUGUGUGGCCACAAACUAUGAAAGCAUAUGAAUAGACUGUAUGAAUUUUGCAUUAUAUACCUCUUUUUAGCAAGGCUGGGUGCGGUUAGUCCCUAUUCGGGGAGGUCAAGGUGCCUUGGGUAGGAUGGUCUGAGUAGGUGGAACUCCCAGAGUAACAUCAAAUUCCGGAGUCUGAGCUCUAUUUUGGGUACCCAUCCCAUGAGUGGGAUGAAUGGGCAUUUUGAUUGUUAGAGCGACGAGGAGGCAUGGCUGUUUUUCUAAGAUGCAAAAGAUCAUAUGAUUAGGUGAUAGAUUUGACUCUAAGGCAUGAGCUAAAUCACAAAGAGAAGAAACAUUCCUACAUUCCUAGUAGCCUUCUGCUUAUAAGUGUGACGUGUUUCACACCCAUAAACAAGACUCUACCCGGUGAGAUUUCGCAGACACCUUGGGACCAUGAACAAUACUCUAAUACCAAGUUUGUCACGACCCGAACCGGGGCCCUAGCCAUGACGAGCAUCCCGAACUAUGAAGGCUUGUACACCCUUCUAUCUUGUAAUCACAUACACUGUUCAUAUAUAAAAGAUAAGGCAAAAAUACAUAAUGAAACAGAAUUAUGGUCAUUAAAUCUGAAUUCAAAUCAUAUUGAAAAUUGCAAUUCAAAGCACCUGAAUGAUAUCUAACUUAGUCUGUGAAAUCUCUACUACAUGCAAAAACUCAACGGGUUAAAAACUGGGACAAGGCCCUUAGUAGACCAAAGCAUAAUAAUGAUAAAUGAAUGAAGUAAACUAGGCCUUCUGAAAUAUAGAAGGCUCACCACAGAACACUACACUUCUUUCUGGAGAAAGAUCUACUGCUUAUCAGGACCCCUAGAUUGAGCCUCAGAACCUGGAAGGCAGGGGGGGGGGGGUCAAUACAGAUGUACCGGUAUGCGAAGAGAUCCAAAAUAAAGAUUGUAUAUAAACAAAAUAGUUGAGAGCUAGUCAUAAACAUCAUGAGAGAUAUAAUUUCAAAACACAUGGGAAUUUUUGAAAACAUAAAGCCUUUCUGUCAAUGCAAUCUAUUCUUUGUAUUACUUCUGAGUUAGGUGACACUCCCCUACAAGUAAAAUGAACGCUAGUAGGCAAUAAGUCGUAAGCAAAAUCAUGUUACAUUUAUCGGGAAAAGAAUCUCUAACUUCGUAAUCGACUCUAAUAUCAUCAUUGUUUUCAUCAUAACAUUCUUGUUCAAUGCAAAAUACAGAAGUUUUAUGGUAGAAACAUUUGUAAAGGUAUCUCAAUAUAAAUUUGACAUGUCUACUUCUUCGGUUAUGGCCAUUACUAAUUAGACAACGUCACAAUAUUAUAGAAAAUUACAUAUCAAUAUAGAAUCUUAACAAAAUAAAAAAUAGGCACAAUACCGCAUGAACAGUACGAUCAGAACAUUUUUAUACAUUAACCAAAAUCUUGACAACAUACCUCUUUUUUUCGUGUCCGAUAGUUGAAACUUUGAGAAAUAAGACACUGCAAUGAUAGAUUCCUUCGUGAAGCAUUUACAAUAUGCAUGAUUUUGAUGUAGAAGAAAGUUUUCUUAGAACCUUGGUUAUUUCAAGGUAGCCAUAGAUAUUGUUGAAUUUUGAAACAAAUAACUUAAAAGGUGAUCAACUUAAGAGGAAAAAAAUCGUAGAAGUUGUAACUGAUAUUUUUUUUACGUAAAAUUGUUUUACAUCAGAAGAAGUUGUAUAAGUUUCAAAUUUUAAAAAUAGAUGGAAGUUGGUAGUAUAUUAGGACUAAAACUCAUCUGGAUAAUUAUUAAAAUUUGAAUUUAAAAAAAAACUGAAAAUUGUAAAUUCUGUCAAAAAUUUGAAUUUAUUUUAAAAUGUUAAAAGCAAAUUUAAAAUAAUAGUAACUAAUAACUACCCUAACUAAUAUUUUGUCCUAAACUACCAAGUGACUUAUUUUUGGGCUGUCACUUGGCUUAAUGUAGAGGCUGUCUUCUCUUUUAGUAAUAUAUAUAUUUUUUUGUAUUCACAUGCCAAAUGGCAUUAUUUAAUUUGUUGUAUUGAAACAUCACCACAAUUACACUACACAGAGUUUACAUUUAUAGCUGAUUGUUAAAAUGUGUUUAAAUGGUUUAAAUUCAAGUAGUAGAAGUGUUCAAUGAGUACAAGACCAGCAGUAAAGGUAUUCAAUAGGUACAAGUCUGAGUUGAGGGGUCUAAGUGAAUUUUUGGGAUAACUUAAAGUGGCCGUCGAUGACUUAAGUCAUGACUAUUAUUUUGUUAAUGUUGUCUUGAUGUAGUAGUACCAAGAACGUAUUUAAUCGCAAAACGCAAAUAACAAAUUUUUCUUUUAAAACUUUUGUUAACUUAAAUCGACUACACACGGUGUCCACUUUUAUGCCUUUUGGAAAUUCACCGAGAAAAAUAUAAUUGCAACAUAACAAAAGAAUCCUCCAUUUUAAACCAACUAUCAUAGUGAAAAUCUUGGUUUCACAUUAAAUAUAUAAUACAUUAAGAAAUAAUAAGUAAACCAUCCAAACAGUGUAAGACAUCUUUAUCUACUUAUUGCAUUGUGGCAGACAUCUUUAAUGCCCCACAUAUCUUGGAAAAUUUAUCUUUUUCAUCUAAAAUGAAUGGCUUCUACACUUGGAUAACAAACUGACAGCGACAAUCUUUUUGUUUUAUUGAAACGAUAUUUUAGCUGUAUUAAUAUUUAUAUGAUGGAAUAAAUGAAGAAAAGUUGUUUUUUCCUUUUUCCUUAGAAAAAAGAUUUGAAAGAAAAAAUUUCUAGAUGACCUCAGACAUCUAUAUCUUGUACUUUGGGUGUGUACAAGUAGACACUUAAACUAUCAUAAAGUUAAACAGUUAAACACAUGCACCCUAAGUGGCAAAUCAUGCGAGAUGCACACGUCAUUGUGUGAGAUAAUAUCAGCCAAAAUAUAUAUGAUCAAAAUAGAGCCCUCUUUUUUGUGGUUUAACUCAUGUAUACCAUUUGCAUUCUCAUUUUCAACAAUGUGAGAGACACAACACAAGAAUGUCAAGAAAAGUUGAAUUCUUGAUGUGCCCACACAAGCAAAACACACAUUUGUGUCCACACUUUAGUAUGUGCCGGAAUGGAGGUAGAAGGUUGUCUGUGGAUUCAACUGAACUCUGUAGCUUUAGUCCAAAUUCAAUAUUUUUAUUUAAAAAAUUUACUAAAUAUGUACAAAUUUAAAUUCAGAACCAGGUUAUCAACACCUAACACAUGUCGCUAUUUUUGAAUUUUAACCCAUAAAAUUCAAGUUCAGACUCCCCGCUUCUCAAGAUUCAUUGUUAAGUUUUUAUUGACAGCUUUACUUGCUUUAGAUGAAUUUGUGUAAAACAUGUUAACACACAAUCACGGUUUGCAAGACUUAGUUGAUUUGGUUUGUUUGAAAUGGUCAAGUCCUUGAGCCCUACAUAAGCUGGAAAAUAAAUUAAGUUGGGGAACAAUAUUCAAAAAAGUAUUUAAAAGAAAAAUAUCCAAAAAAAGAUAUUCUUACAAAUUAUCACUAUAUAAAGUCUCAAUACCACAGGUUACCAGCCAUACCAUUUUCCAACUAAUUAUUUAUGCAAUUAUGGAGAAAAUAUUCACCUCAUUUCUCUUGUUGCUUCACUAUGUUACGGUUAAUUCAGCCAUGACCCAAACCAACAUUACCACUGAUCAAUUGGCUCUUCUCGCUUUGAAAUCCCAAAUCAUUUCAGACCCCUCUCUCUUCUUGGAUUAACUUUGGUCUCCCACUACAUCCGUUUUCCAUUGGGUUGGAGUCACUUGUAGCUCUCAUCACCAAUGAGUGAAUUCCUUGAAUCUUUCUAACAUGGCUCUUACGGGCAGGAUUCCCGGGAAUUCGGAAACCUCUCAUUUCUUAUUUCUCUAGACUUGGGAAGCAACAAUUUCCAUGGAAAUUUGCCUCAAGAAAUGACAUGCUUGCGCCGGCUUAAGUUUCUUGAUUUAAGUUUCACCAAUUUCUGAGGGGAGGUUUCUUCUUGCUCUGGGUUUUUACACCGACUUCAAGUUCUAAAUCUUAGGAAUAAUAGUUUCACUAGUUCCAUCCCUUCUUCAUUUUCUAAUAUAUCCACACUUGAUACUUUGAAUCUGAAUUUCAAUUCCAUAGAGGGCCAGAUACCAAAAGUGAUUGGAAACCUUAGAGAAUUAAAGUUGAGGGGUAACAAUCUCAUAGGCUCUAUUCCUCUGUCGCUCUCAAAUGCCUCAAGGUUGGAGGCUUUAGAUAUAUCUUAUAAUUCACUGCAAGGAAACAUCCCAGAAGGGAUCGGCAAUCUUCACAACAUGAACUGGUUGGUCAUACAAUAUAAUCAACUUACGGGUUCUAUACCAUUCAUGAUUUUCAAUAUUUCUAGCAUCGAAGUCAUUGCCUUUACAUGGAAUAGCUUAUCAGGAAAUCUCCCCAAUGGUUUAUGCAAUGGUCUCCCAAUACUCGAAGGGCUUUAUCUGUCUGAUAAAAACCUUCAUGGUAAUAUGCCUGCAAGCUUAUCAAAUUGUUCACAACUUCAAAUUUUGUCUUUAUCAGAAAAUGAGUUUGAUGAACCAAUACAUAGUGAAAUUGGAAGAUUGAGUAACUUGCAGGUCUUGUCUCUCGGAACUAACCAUUUUACUGGUACGUUUCACCUUAUGAAUACUAGCACUAUUGUAUCUUAUUACUUAAGAAUUUUAUUUUAUUACAAAUUAAUUUCAGGGAUAAUUCCACAAGAAAUUGGAAAUCUUGUUAAUUUGGUAGAGUUAACCAUGGAGGAUAAUCAAAUUACUGGCUCUGUCCCGAUCUCCAUGUUCAAUAUCUCAUUGCUGCAAAUUUUGUUGGCAUGGCAGAACAAUCUUAGAGGAUUCUUACCGCGGGAGACUGGGAACUUAAGAAAGAUGCAACAUCUACAGUUUAGUGGAAAUACGCUUAUAGGUAGAUUUAUAUUCGAAUGGUGUCUCAUGUUAAUUAUUAUAGAUCCAUUAGAACGAUUAAAAUCCUAUGAAUUUAUGCAUGUAAUGAGUAAUAAAAUGUAACAAUUAUAAAUAAAUCUUCAAGUAUGUGACAAGAAACACAACAUAAGGAACGUAUUUUAAUGUUUAAAAUUAAUCUAUUUUAAGAAAUAACCAGUAAAUUUGAACUCUUGUUGGUAGUUACCUAACUUCUAAUAAAGUAUUAGAAACCUGCACAAUCAGAAAUUCAUAAAAUUAAAUUAAGGAAUUUAAUGGAGGAAAAAAUAUAUAAUGUGUACAUCCUUCUUAAGACUUUGAUUAAUAACAAUAGGAAAAAGAAGUAUAUAGCUAUUACAUAAUUUUCUGAGUUCUUGUUGACACCUUCUCCCAUAACCAAUUAAAAUUCAAGAGUCUUCUUAUCGAGUCAAACGAAAGCAUGAAUCACAUAGAUAAUCACAUAGUUCAUCAGACUUGUAUUUAUUUUUUCGUCAUGUGUUGACAGGUGAAAUACCCAAAGAGAUAAGAAAUCUCGUUGAGUUGGAGCAACUUGAUCUUACGGAUAAUAGUUUUAUUGGUCGACUUGAUAUGGAGAUCUUCAACAUAUUAGGGCUGAGAAUAAUUGAUCUUUCAUCCAAUAAUCUAUCAGGAAGCCUCCCACCAAACUUAGAUUCUAUCUUACCCAACAUUGAAAAGCUUUAUCUAAACAGCUUAACCAAUUUUGUUGGGACUAUUCCUCAUUCAAUCUCCAAUUGUUCAAAACUUACUAUUCUUGACCUUUCCUACAACAAACUCACUGGCUUGAUUCCCAAUUCUCUUCGAUAUUUGAUUCAUCUACACUUUCUAAAUUUAGGGGGAAACAAUUUAACCAGUGACUCAUCAUUAAGCAUCCUAACUUCCUUAACCAAUUACAGAAAUUUAACAACUGUUUCUAUAUCUUUAAACCCUCUAAACAACAUGCUUCUAGUCUCUAUAGGAACUUUUCCACAUCUCUUAUAAGAUUUUACCCCAACAGUUGCAAUAUCAAAGGGCGAACUCCAAAUCAUUUUUGGAACUUUAGCAGCUUAUUAGACCUUGAUCUUUCUGCAAACAGAUUGGUUGGAUCGAUUCCCACAACAAUUGGCAACUUGAGAAACCUUCAGCUCUUCGACUUUAUUAACAACAAAUUAACAGGAUCUAUUGGAGAUAUUACAUCCCUUAGGGAGAUACUUCUGGGUUCCAAUAAAUUAAGUUCCAAUAUACCACCAAGGUUAGGGAACCUUCAAGAUCUAGUUGUUCUUGACUUAUCAUCAAACAACAUGGUAGGUUCUUUACCUCCAGAAAUUAGAAAUCUAAAGGAUGUAACAAAGAUGGAUCUGUCGAUGAAUCAAUUCUCAAAUGAAAUUCCUAGAGAAAUUGGAGGCUUGCAAAAUUUGGCAUACCUUUCUUUGAGACACAAUAGGUUGCAAGGAUCUAUACCUGACUCAAUGAGCAACAUGGUAGGUUUGGAAUUCCUAGACCUUUCUUAUAACAAUAUAUAUGGAACAAUUCCCAAGUCUUUGGAGAAACUUCAAAACUUAAAAUAUUUCAAUAUUUCUGUCAACAAAUUGUUCGGUGAUAUUGUUAGCAUGAUGUAAAUAUUGUAUAUUAAUGUAAUCAUAUAUUGUUGUAUAUUAGUGUAAUUACAUAGAUUUGAUUUAGUAGUUAAAGAGAAUAAUAGUGACUUUAGUAAGAGUAGAUUUGGUGGGAUAGAAUAGCGGAUUUAGAGGGAUGGAUCCUUAGGGAUAGGAAGACGGAUCUUUAGGGUUGUAAUCAUUGAAUAUUUUCUAUUUAAUGACAAGACUCUCAAUAUUGAGAGGUGUUCAGCAGAAAAUUGACAUGGUAUCAAAGCCUUCUCUUGGAUGUCUUGUUUCAUAAAGUUCAUUUAUGGUUUCUUUCAAAAUUUAUUUUGAAAAUUUUGGUUUUCGUUGAUUGUUCCUCGACAAUUAACACCUAGGACUUUGAUCUUGGUCAUUUUGGUUGUUCUUUUUGAGUUAGUAUUUCUAGUUUUCAUAAUUAUGAGUUCAUAUCAGUUUGAAUCAUUCAGUGUUCGUUUCACUAGAACGAAUUUUUCAUCAUGGGAGUUUUAGUUUUAGUUAUUUGUCACCGGAAAAGAAUUAUGGGACCAUAUUGAUGGAGCCGAUCCUGCUCCUACUAAUCCUACAAAGUUAGGUGAAUGGUAGAUUAAAGAUGCUUGGGUGAUGACAUGGCUUUUAGGGUCAAUUGACCCUCUUAUUGUUUCUAAUCUCAGGACUUACAAGACAGCUAAGGCCAUGUGGGAUUAUUUACAAAAAGUUUACAACCAAGAUAAUAGUGCCCGGCGCUUUUACUUGGAGUAUGAAAUUGCUAAUUACUCUCAAGGAGGUCUUUCUAUUUAGGAUUAUUAUUCUAGAUUUCAGAACUUAUGAGCUGAAUUUACAGGUAUUGUUUAUGCCAAAAUACCUUCCGAAUCUCUCUGUAAUCAUGAGCAAAGCAAGCGAGAUUAAUUUUUGAUGAAGUUACGCUCUGAGUUUGAGAGUGUUCUCUCUAACUUGAUGAGUCGUGACCCGUCUCCCUCCCUAGAUGUUUGUUUUAGGGAAUUGCUUUGUGAAGAGCAGCGUUAUGUCACACAAAAUGCUUUCAAAAGAGGAAAUGAUGUCGCUGUUGCAUUUGCUGCUCAAGGUAAAGGUAUGAGUAGGGAUAUGAAUAGAACUCAAUGCUAAAAUUGCAAGGAAUAUGACCAUAUUGCUAUAAAUUGUGGCAAGAAGUUUUGUAAUUAUUGUAAAAAACAAGGACACAUUAUCACAGAGUGUCCCACAUGCCCUCAGAAUCGUAAGGUAAAUAAUUUUCAUGCAGCAAUAAAUGGUUCCACUCUUUAGAACUCAUCUUCAGGACCUUUAGGACAAGUUCUUACUCCUGAAAUGGUACAAUAAAUGAUCGUAUCAGCCUUUUCAGCAUUGGGAUUACAAGGUAUUGAUGUUAAAUUUAAUUUUUGGAUUGUUGAUGCUGGUGCUUCCAAUCAUAUGACCAACUCAACUAGUAUGCUAAAAAUGUUGGUAAGUAUCAAGGUUCAUCACAAAUACAGGUUGCUAAUGGUAGUAAUUUACCCAUUACCAAGGUUGGGGAUAUUGUUCCAACUUUAAAGAAUGUUUUUGUUUCACCGAAGCUCUCAACUAGUCUUAUUUCAGUUGGACAAUUGGUUGAUGACAAUUGUGAUGUAAAUUUUUCUCGUAAUGGUUGUCUUGUGCCGGAUUAGGUAUCGAGGAUGAUAAUCGCGAAGGUGCCUAAAGUUGGAAGAUUAUUUCCUAUACAAUUUUCCAUUCCUCCCGUUAUAUCUUUUGCUUGUACUUCUACAGCUAAUAAUUCUAAGCUUUGGUAUAAGCAUCUAGGACAUCCAAAUUAUGUUGUGUUGUCUCAUUUAUCAAAUUCUGGUUUAUUAGGAAGUAAAAAUCAAUUUUUCCCUGCUUCAUUUGAUUGUUCUACUUGUAAAUUAGGCAAAAGUAAAAUUAUUCCUUUUCCUAAUUUGGUAGUCGUGCUACAAAGUUUUUUGAUGUUGUUCAUAGUGAUGUUUGGGGUAUUUCACCAAUUAUUUCUCAUGCUCAGUUCAAGUACUUUGUGACAUUCAUAGAUGAUUAUAGUCGAUUUACGUGGGUGUAUUUUCUUCAUACCAAAUCUGAAGUAUUUUCCAUGUUCAAGAUAUUUUUGGCUUACAUUGAGACUCAAUUUUCUACUUGUAUCAAAUUAUUAAGAUCUGAUUCUCGUGGAGAAUUUAUGUCAAAUGAGUUCAAAAAUUUUUUGCUUGACAAAGGAAUUGUCUCACAACGCUUUUGUCCAUAUACACCACAAAAAAAUGGGGUUGCUGAGCAUAAAAAUCGUCAUCUUUUAGAUAUCACUCGUACUUUAUUGAUUUUGUCCUCUGUCCCAUCUAAAUAUUGGAUUGAAGCUUUGUCUACUGCUUUCUAUUUAAUUUACAGACUGCCAUCUAAAGUGUUAAAUCUUGAGUCUCCAUAUUUUCAUCUUUAUCAUAAAAAUCCAAGCUAUGAUAAUUUUCAUACAUUUGGUUGUAUUUGUUUUAUGUAUCUUCCUCCUUCUCAGUGUAAUAAACUUUCUGUUCGGUAUACUAAAUGUGUUUUUAUGGAUUAUAUUACUUCACAGAAAGGUUUUCUCUAUUAUGAUCCAUGUUCUAAUAAAUUUCAUGUUUCUAUAAAUGUUGUUUUCUUUGAGAGUCCGAUUUUUUCCUACUCAUGUUGUCAUAUCCUACUUCUCUUCUUCCUACUUUUGAAGAUUUGUCAUCUUCUUCUAAGAGAUUCAAACCCAGAUUUGUGUACGAAUGUUGGCGGCCAACUUUACCCCCUCCUGAUAUUGAUUCGCCACCUGAAACUGCACCAUAACUAGAAUUUGAGAAUUCUUCAAGGUCUUCUCCUCUUGAGCCCACUUGACGAUCUACGAGAGUAUCUCGUACUCCUAAUUGGUAUGGCUUUUCAUCUACUUUAUCUACCAUUUUUGUUCCAACUUGUUACUCAUAAGCUUCUAAGCAUGAAUGUUGGCAGAAAGCAAUAGAGGAAGAACUUUUGGCUCUCAUAGAAAAUGACACAUGGGAUAUUAUUUCAUGUCCUUCAAACGUCUAUCCAAUUAGAUAUAAAUGGGUUUAUUCUAUUAAAUUUUAUUCUGAUGGAACUCUUGAUCGGUACAAAGCUCGAUUGGCUAUUCUUGAUAGCAAGCAGGAGUAUGGUGUGAACUAUGAAGAGACUUUUGCACCGGUAGCAAAAAUGACGAUGGUGAGAACUAUUGUUGCCAUUGCUGCUUCACAAAAUUGGACUCUUUAUCAAAUGGAUGUCAAAAAUACUUUUUUCAUGGUGAUCUCAAAGAGGAUAUUUAUAUGAAACUUCCACCAGGUUUGUUCUUAUUGCCUACAUCAGAUAUAUGCAAGUUGAAACGGUCUUUGUAUGGAUUAAAACAAGCUCCCAGAGCUUGGUUUAACAAAUUUCGGUUUACUUUUCUACAAUUCUCUUUUAAGCAGAGCAACUAUGACUCAUCUUUGUUUCUUUGGAAAGUAUCCACAGGUUGUGUUCUUCUUUUGGUAUAUGUCUAUGACAUUAUUAUUACAGGAACUGAUUCUUCACUAAUCACUAGCCUGCAACAACAACUUAAGGAUUCUUUCCAUAUAAAAGAUCUUGGUACUCUUACAUAUUUCUUGGGUUUGUAAGUUCAUCGUGAUUCAUCCGGUGUGUUUCUAAAUCAACACAAAUAUACCCAAAAUUUGAUUUAUUUGGCAGGUCUUCAGGAUUCCUCCUCUGUGGAUACUCUAUUAUAAUUGAAUAUGAAGUAUCGUUGGGAGGAAGGCGAUCUUAUCUAACUAUUUUUCAACAAUUAGUUGGGAGCUUAAAUUACCUUACUAUUACCAAUCCUGAUAUCUCUUUUGCAGUUCAACAAGUUAGUCAGUUCAUGCAAGCUUCUCGUCAUCUUCAUUUGGUGGCUUUCCGUCACAUCAUUUGAUACCUCAGAGGAACAUCUAAUCGUGGAUUAUUCUUCCCUAGUGGUUUGCCUAUUCGUCUUAAUCCUUUUAGUGAUUCUGAUUGGGCGGGAUGUUCUGAUACUCAUCGUUCGGUUACUGGUUGGUGCAUGUUUCUUGGAGAGUCUUUGAUAUCUUAGAAGUUUAAGAAGCAAGACCGCGUGUCAAAAUCUUCAACAGAGGCUGAAUAUCGAGCAAUGUCUACUGCUUGCUCUGAGAUUGUGUGGCUUCGUGGACUACUUGCUGAGAUUGAAUUUCCUCAAUCUAAUCCUACUCCUCUCCGUGCUGACAAUACAAGUGCUAUUCAGAUUGCUACUAAUCCGGUUUAUCAUGAGAGGACCAAACACAUCGAAGUAGACUGUCAUUAUAUAUGAGAAAUUGUAGAUAAAGGUGUCAUUACUCUUCCGCACGUGUCUAGUGAUCUUGAAAUAGCUGAUGCAUUUACAAAAUUAAUGGCACAACAACGACAUCAGUUUCUCAUUGGCAAAUUGAUGCUUCUUGAUCUACCAGCAUCAAUUUGAGGGGGAUGUUAGCAUGAUGUAAAUAUUGUAUAUUAAUGUAAUCAUAUAUUGUUUUAUAUUAGUGUAAUUACAUAGAUUUGAUUUAGUAGUUAAAGAGAAUAAUAGUGAGUUUAGUAAGAGCAGAUUUGGUGGGAUAGAAUAGCGGAUUUAGAGGGAUAGAAAAACUGAUCUUUAGGGAUAGGAAGACGGAUCUUUAGGGAUGUAAUCAUUGAAUAUUUUCUAUUUAAUGACAAGACUCUCAAUAUUGAGAGGCAUUUAGCAGAAAAUUGACAGAAAUACCCUCAGGAGGUCCUUUCAAGAACCUCUCGAGUCAGUUUUUCAUCUACAAUGAAGCAUUGUGUGGUUCUUCAAGAUUUAGUGUCCUGCCAUGCCCCACUUCAUCAAAGCAUAAAUCAAAUAGGAAAAAAUUGCCAGUUCUUCUUCUUUUGCUCGCAAUUGUAGUUGUAUUUGUUCCUAUGACCUUUGUGCUCCUGUGGAUAAGGUAUGGAAGAGGUAAAAGUGUUCCUCAGCAAGCUGACUUAUUGUCUACCAUAGCAAGAGAAAGGAUGUCAUACUAUGAACUUCUCUGAGCAACUAAUGCGCUUAGAGAGAGUAAUCUGAUUGGUUCUGGAAGUUUUGGCUCUGUUUACAAAAGCAUUCUCAGAAGUGGAACUGCCACUGCAGUUAAUGUUUUCAACCAGCAAUUGGAUGCGGCAUUCGGGAGUUUUGAUACGGAAUGUGAACUGUUGUGUAGCCUUCUCCAUAGGAAUCCGUAAAUGUCAUUACUAGUUGCUCGUAAAUAAUUAAUGUCAUUCAACACUGGGUUGUAUUGCUCUAGGUACAUCUCUUUGUUUUGCUAAUUAUUUGAACAUUAAUUAUUCCUUUCUUUUUUUCCCAUUUAUAAAGCAUAUUUCUCUUUGAAUGAAUUAUUUGACUGUAGAGUAUGGACUGGAUGGAUUAGGGUCAACAAAAUGCGAUGUCUAUAGCUACGGGAUCAUGUUGCUGGAAGCGUUUACUAGGAGAAAGCUUAAUGAGUUUGAGGGAGAUCUUAGCUUGAAGCAAUGGGUGAGUUAUUCACUUCCAGAGGAAGUCAUGGACGUCGUAGAUUCCAACUUGCUAACAUCAACUGGCAAUCGCUUACAGAAGGAGCUAGAUCUUGUGGCAUAAAUCAUGAAAGUUGCAUUAGAUUGUUGUGCUGAAUAUCCGGUAAGGACAAACAUGAAAGGUGUUGUAGGGAUGCUGCAGAAGAUCAAGAUUCUACUUCUUGCAUGCUAAGCAUGUUCUUGGAAUCUCUCGUCUCUUCAAGUCUCUUGUUUGUUGCAAGUGUCUGCUAAAUUAGUGGAAUAAUGUAAACAUUUCUUUCUUUGCUUUGUUUUAGCAUUUGAUUUCCUCUUAAUAUUAAUGUUGCAAAAUGGUGGAACUUGUAAAUAUAAAUUGAAUAACUAAAACCAAAUUAAUCCUCUUGAAAAUCUCAAGCAGAAUAAUUUCUUCAAAAUUGUUAGAGAAAUUAACAUGAAUACAACUAACAAUUAUUACAGUAAAUGUUUUACAUGGGGAACACUGAUGACAUAUAACAUCAAGAAACAAACAAAAAGAUCAAUGACAAAUAAUGUUUUCAUAAAGCUUACAUGAUAAGAAAAAAAGGGUAGCUCGGUGCACGAAGUAUCUUGAAUUCACCCAAGGAUUGUAAUGCAGGCAACUUGCAUGACACAAACAUCAGUGACCGAUUCCACAACUUGAAUAUGUGACCUAUAGGACCCACAAUGAUAAAUGAAGAAGAAAGAUAUUUAAGUUCCUACUCUCCUUUCAAUACAGUACAAAAUCAACCUCCAUUCUUCAAGGUUUUCCAAAUCAACCAAUCAACCUCCUUUCAAUACAUUCUGUUGCUCAUUCCCUUGCCAUGUCCAAACUAUAUCUUUUAAUGAAGGCUUUAAGCCUUGAUCACAAAACUUCCUGUAUUCUGCAGUGUCUCCUGAUUUUUUUUCACUUCUACAACAUGGAAAGCAGGCGUAACUCAAAUAUCUGCAUCAAUUGCUAGUUGCCCUUUUCUCUCUUCCUUGCUUCCAUUCAUUUUUACCGUCCCAUAUUUGUUCUUCACAUGUUGAAGACAUAAUGAAGUAAAUAAAGUUUGUUCAUAGACACACACAGAAUACAUGUAGGGCCUCACACAUGUGUAUACUUGUUCAGCUUUAUAUAAGUUAAAUCGCUACUUGUGCAUACCCGAAUUUGGAGGCAUAAAUAGAUGCGAGAUAAGACCAAGUUAAAAGGAACGUUUAUGUAUUAUGCCUCUAAAAUAUUAAGCUAUUAGCUAAGAUGGUCACAAAGGUGAAGCCACAUAUGGUAAAGGUGCACAGAUUAAACUUAAAGAUGAGAUAAACCUGCAAGUGAAGCAGAAAUUAUACAGUGUGAAAUUAACGGUUUGACUAUCUUAGUGAAAUUAACGGUUUGACUAUCUUAGUGAAAUUUUCGACUUCAGUAUUGUACAAUUUCAACAUAAUACGAGGCAACAUAAAAAUUAAUUUUACAUGCUCGGAUAAUAAAAAAAGAAUUAUACUUUUGGUAAGUCUGGAGUCACACUACAAGUAUGAUCAUUAUGUGUGCACUGUUACAUUAGUACACUAUGUGCACAAGAGUUGGCUACUAGUGCAUGUGAGUUUGUUAGUUUGUUAGGUGGUUGAUGAGUUGUGUGAUGAGCUGGAAGGUUAAGUGAGUAGUGUAGUGAGAAGAUUCUAGAAGAGAAGGUUCUAGAAGAUAUAUCUCUAUAUGUAGGCGCAUGUUCUAAAGUGAUUUUGACGGUUAAUAAAAUUUCUUCCGUCAUUUUCCAUAUUUGCACUUAUUUCUGCCAUUUGAUCUUCUCCAUAGUUGCCCCAAAUCAUUUAUGACUUGCUGGGACUGACGAUUUGGUUACCGGGCAGUUCAUUUGGCUUUUAGAGACAAUUCUCUAUUUUGAAGUCUUUGAUGGUUUCAAAUGGCCACCGGACGACAACUUUAGUGAAACACUCUCGAAUGCAAAUUCCGUCUGUACCAACUGAUUCUAAAUAUCAAUUUUAGGAUAGGUAGACCUUUGGUUCGGAUUCCAAUGCACCCGAGCUCAUUUCGACCUAUUGGUAGGAAAGUUAGAAAAUUGAAAAUAUGGGUGUAGGACCCAUAUUUGGCUGAAACGAACUCAAAUGCAAAAUACGACUUCGCCAGCAGAUCCAAAAUAUCGAUUUUAGGAUGAUAACAUAUUUGGUGUGAUUUACAGCUUUUAAAUCUCAUUUUGAUCCUCAGAUUGAAAAAUUGUGAUUUUGGAUUUUGGGGGUCAAGCUUGUGGAAAUGACGUUUUUUUGAAAAUCUGAUAUCGCCGUUGAACCUAGAGCAUUGAAUUUAGUGUGUUUACAUAGUUCGUUUGCGUCUAUCAGACUCCGAACAAAUUUCGGGCACCUCGUCAAAGUCCGUUCGGAAGGGAAAAAAGCUGUGCAAAUUUUUUGCACUAUUUAAAGCAUUUUUGAGCUCAUUUUACUCAUUUUUUAUCUUUACUCUUGAGAUUUAAACUCUGAAAUAGUGUGAUAGCUGAAAAGUGAAACUAGCGGAAGCUCGGGAAAUUGUAUUAAUAUCUAUUUGUUGAUUCUAUUACGAAUUUAAGGUAAAAAUUUACCUUUUCUUGAUUAAUUUCUCAAAACCCCAAAAAUCUUAGGGGUUGAUUUUAAACCCUAAUUUCACUCCGUUUCACUUGAAUAGUAUUUUUAUCUUAGAAUUACUAGUUUUUCAUCAAUUUAACCUUCAAAACAAUUUCGAUUCUUGAUUUUAAUUCGAAUUUCAAAGAUUUUAAUCUGUAAAGCUCAAAAAUAAUUUUUCUUUGAUUUGAACCUCGUUUUUGACUCGAUUUAACUUGGGUUUUUGACUCUAGUUUCUUAAAAAUAUGAGGAACACGUUUUUGAAGAAAAGUUUCCCUUUUUCCCCUUUUUUGGGUACCCGUUCUGGGGGGUCCAUUUUGAUCCUGAACCAAAAGUAGUCAAUAUGGAUAUCGUUAGACUCAUAUUGAUGAGUAGAUUUCUAUUUUGAUAGUAUGAUGACAUUUUGGGAUUGUGAAGUAAAGAUGGCGCUUAGAGAACGAUUUGAGGUCUUGCGGUUCGUCCUUGAGGUAGGCUUCUUUCUACUCAUCUCCAUAGAUGAUGUGUGAUAUAUAUUGUGUGUGAAUAUGAAUAUUAGGUUUGAAUAUUCAUAGAAUGAAUUGGUAUUAAAUAUUGAUGUUUUGGGAAUUAGCUGAGGGUUUCGGAUUUGUAAGGUGGAAUGCUUAUGAAAUUUAAGAAUCUUAUUGCCUUCUCCCAAGAUUGGACUAACUUUUAGCAUGAAUAUUAUAUGAUUCUAGGUUUGGGAUGUGGUUAAAGUGUUAAAAUCAUGGUUAGCUGUCAUGAUCCGAACCGGGGCUCUAGCCGUGAUGAGCAUCCCGAUUAUGAAGGCCCGGACACUCUUCUCUAUCUGGUAAUCGUGCACAAUAUUCAUAAAUUAUAAUAGAAUAUAAGGAAUUGUAAAUCACUAUGGAAACAUGUUCAUACGCUGAAUUCAAUUUAACUAUAAGAAUGAAAUCCAAUAUAAGCUAAACAACAUCUGAACCAUUCUGCAAAAUCUCUACUACAUCUGAAAAUAAAAACUGUCUGAAACUGGGACAAGGCCCCCAGUGGACCUAAACAAAAAUAAAUAAAAUAAUCUGAAAGACAUAGCCCUUCUUCAAUAAAGAAGGCUCACCAACUGCACAGAUUAGUGCUGUCUGAAAACUCCACCACUUAACAGGACUCCUGAACUGAGCUUUUGACCUUGGGAGGUAGGGGUCAGUACAAAUGUACUGGUACGCAGAGCAAAUCAAAAAUAAUAAUUUAUAUUCAACAUAUAUGAGAGCAAUUUAAAACAAUUCAUAAAUAAUUAUCAUAUGGUAAGAAAUCUCAGGGGCAUUUUUGAAAGACUUUGUAAAAUCAUCUGAACUCUGUGACAAUCUUUGUUUUACUUCUGAGUUAGGUGGUAUACCCAACAACUCUGAAAUUCCACGGGCUAUAUGGAAUCUAGCUAUAUGGAAUCUAUCAUUGACUCGGCGGGAAAGCCCCCAACCCUAGUGUGCCGCAAGGGUUAGAGUCUCUGACUCUGCUACACCACACAACAGUUGCCAGUGUAAAAAUAAUAUACCCGGAUCGGCAAAUCACAAUUUUAGGCUAAGAGUUACUUGAACUCAAGCCUUCUUUGGGUGACCACCUAACUCUCUUUAAGCCCAGUUUUAACUCUUUAAAACAUGCAUCCUCUGAAAAUAUAUUCUAAAAACAUACUAUGUUAUGCAUACAUACUUAUGAUAUUGUCAUACCAUUGGCUUGCAAGUCACAUCUCUGAGCCAUUAUUAGCAUAUUGCAAUCUCUGUUUUCAAAACAUAAAUUUGGGACUACCAUAUUAAUAAAUCAUUUCAAAGAACUCUUUCUCAAAAACUCAUGUAAACACAUGUAUGCAACUCUCUUUGUCAAACUUUCAGUGAUGCAAGGUGGCCAUGUCAAACUCUUAAUCUCGUGCAAAUAUUUUUCUUUUAACAAAAUAUAUUUACAUCAAGAAACUCCCUCUCUUAAAUCUCUAAAUCAUGCUCACAAUACUAUGGUAUUUGAGUAAACUAUUUUCAAGCCAUAAAUCAUGCAUUUCAAAUACUUCACAUUAAGAUCAUAAACUUAAAGUCAUCAUAAGAGAGGGAUUUCAUAAGUUGUUCUCUCAAACAAUCUUCAAUCUAAAUUUUCAUACAUAUACAUAUACAUGUAAAUCAAUUUAAGGGGAUAAGGACUAAAGGCCAAAACAAUAAUAUCAUUAAACAUGCAUAAAGCAUAAUAAAAUCAUAUAUUUCAAAAACCCCUUUCUAAAUUCAUGCUUGAUAAUCUUUAAAUCAUAGUUGAGUGUUUUCAGCAAGCCCAUGUAGUUUUAGGAUAAACCCCACGUACCUAAAAUUAGAAGCUUUUGAAUGAACUCUUGUGUUAGGGAUGCUAUACAUACGAUUGACGAGUGCUUCUUGUAGCCAUCGCAAUGGGGAUUCCAAUUCUUGAAGAAUUAAGGAAAAGCUAUGGUUAAGUCUUGAGAUAUGUUGAUUUUUGGGUUGAAACCCUUAGGAGUAUUCUUUGUGAUUUUGAGAGAAUAUAAUGUUAUUUUGGUGUUUGGGGGAUUUAAUCCCGUGUUAUGGCUGAAUAGGGGGUGGAAAAUACCACUUUUUCCCCUUAAAAGUGCAAAAACAGAACCUGAAAAUUGGGUGCGUGCGAUAGAGCAUACGUCGUACGCUAAUCGCGCGAUGAUACUAUCUCAAUCACAAAAAUUACCAUAACUUUUUGCUCGGGUAUCAGAUUUUUACGAAAUUGGUAUCGUUGGAAAAUAAUUCGAAGAUCUUUCAUUUGAUAUAUAGUAGGCUCUAUAAUUCGUUAUAUACAUAUAUACAAAGAGUUAUGGUCGAUUGAAGUUGACCCAAGUUUCGACGCUCACUCAAACAUGAACGAUAGGAAAGCUUUCAACUUGUCCUUGAGUUAGAGGACCUCUAUGAUCUCAAUUCAUGCUCAAAUAGAUUCCCACACUACAUAAUUUAUUAACAUGCUUUAUGGAUUUUGGAUCAUCUACACAUAGAAAUGAUAGUUUUCAUUCUAGUCCGAAAUGCGGGGUGUUACAUUAUCUCCCCCUUGGGAUCAUUUAUCCCCGAAUGAUGGGUAGGAACAUUGAAGCUUAAUGGUAUGGAAUAACACGGACAUGAUGUGUCUUCUAAGAAAGGAUAUAAUUGAUCUGAAACAUUUAAACUUCUAUCAUGUGUAGACACCUAAUUUUGUCCCUCCCAACUCCAAUUUUAUCCAAUUUUAGCUCACCUUACCACGCACCCUUACCCAUGUGAUUACACCCCACAAAAAUACAAAAAUACAAAAAUAGCAACCCUUAACAAAAUCCCUAACAAAUUUUACCUUGUUUUAAUCUUCCUAACAACCUAAAUACCCCUACCCCACCUCAUUAUCCAUGUCACCCCACCCAAUUUCCCACACAUUUUAUUUUCUAUUCUUUGUCCAUAAGAAAAGACAAGAGAAAAGGAGAAAAGAAAGGGGGCCCAUUGGGAGAUUUCUUUUGGUUUUCUUUCUUUCCAUCUGAUAUAUACAAUACACACAUGGGGAGAAUGGAUGGGGGCCCAUGGAUUUUCCAUUUUUUUAAAUAUACAUAGAAGAGAUAGGGAUUUGGUUUUCAAGUCAAAAAAAACACCUAACCAUCCUCACAUGUGGGCCCACAUAAUAUACCAUCACUUACCCUCACAAAAGGAUAGAGAUUGGGGGAUUAUUUUUGGGAGAGGGAUUAUUCACAACGCACAAAAUAUAGAGAAAAAGGACAAAUAUCCCAUUUUUUUAGUUUCAUCUCCAUAGCCGCACCCAUCUCUAUAUACUCAAAAAAUUUCCUCGACGCACACACUCUCAUAUACUACACCUUACUGAUUCACACUCUCAUGCAUAGAACACCCGACCAGAAAACACAAUUAGGUAGUUGAGAGAAAGAGCAAAAAUGGACUGAAUAUAGGAGGGAAUCGAUCAAAAAGUGAAUGGGUGAGAGAGAUCAGAGAGAGAUAGUGAGAAUUGAGAGAGAGGAAGGAAGAUCGGUGCUAAUUGACUAUUUUCGGCGAGAAAAUCCUCGGAAACCCAUCGUAUGAGCUAUCGGAAAAUGCUCCAAUUUAUGUUUUGCUGCUGUUCUAGCAAAACCUCUGGGAAAUAACAUCACUAGCUCCACUCAUCUCCAAAUCCAACCCAAAAUUGCGUUGCUGUUCAUAUUCCGUGUGAAUUUGCAUAUCGCUAUUUUGGGUCACUUGUUUCUUUGUGGGUUUGUAGUUUUGGGUUGUAUAUUGACGUCUGUUUGUGGGUUACCAUUUUGGUCAAAUUUUCAGUUUAGAUACCGAGUUGGGUUUUGUCCGUUGAGGUCGAUUUGAGACUCCAGUUGCAGUUUUAGUCGGAAAGAGCAAUUUAAUUGAAAGAAACAUUAAGGUUCAUUUAUCCUCUCAUUCUUUACUAAUUUUUAAAUUAUUGAUGCUUCGUGAAGUGAAUUCAUAAUGUGGGCAUCUUGCUUUAUCUGAUUUGGUUGUGUCUGAACCGUGAAUGAUGGUGGAUAUUGGUUGAUUGGUCACUUUAUUUGGAUAAUUGAAUGACAUCAACUUAAAUUGAGAAUUUGGGUUGGGAAUUUAAAUAUUGAUUUGGUGAAUGUUGAUUAUUUUUGUUAAUUGUUGAACACUCUAGUAUUAUAUGUUAAGCCGUUAAACAAGUAGGCAAACGAUAAGUUGGGGUAGGCAAAACAUAGGAAUUGUGAUUGUUAAAUGUUUGAGUGUGGGUGUGAAUGAUUCUUUCUACUUUUCGCGCAUUGAAAAAUAUACUCAUUUAGCCGGGGAAUACCCCGAAGUCAUUUGUAUUUGUUCACCGGGGAAUGAUCCGAUGUACUGUGUUGGCGAAAGACGUUCGUAAUGAAGGCCCGAUGCAUCGGGUAAAGAAUUAGAGUUUAGUCUAGGAUUAAUUUAGAAUGGGAUUUAUAUUUCCAUAUUUUUCUAUUGUUUGGACUGUAUAACUUGGACUGAACACUAAAUUUUGGAUUGUUUUGUUUUGGUCUACUUGAUUGAUUGUUGUGCAUGCUCUGUGUGGUUUAUACAUUCAUAGUGUUAAAUUAGCUGAUAUGCUCCACCAAGAGACCGUGGUCGAACCACGGGAUCAAGGGGUGCCUAACACCUUCCCCUCGGUCAACAGAAUUCCUUAGAUGGAAUCUCUAUUCGCAAACCAGUCUUAAAGAGUCAAAUUGUUUUGAAAAGGAUUUUUCAAAGGUGACUUGGCACACCCGAUUAUGCCAAGUGGCAAAUCUGAGUUUUGAAUGUAAAAAUACUCUUUUUCAAAAGAAUUAUCCUCAUUUUGUCACUUUAAUAAUAAAAACCCUUUCGACCGUUAAAAUGAAUCUUUUUGGUUAAAAAAAGGGGUGUGAUAGCUCUAGCGACUUUGCUGGGGAAUUUUUCAGAAUUUGAGCUUAUUUUUUGGAGUUAUAUCGGCUUUGUUUGACAUUAUGGUGUAUAAACAUUGUUUCUGUUAUCGUUGUGUUAUUGUUUUAUCACUGUUGUGUGCUUACGUACUCUUUGUUUACAGUUUUUACUUAUGUGUUACUGCUUUAUAUCUGACAUUAUUUGAAUAACCCGAGUCAAUUCUUUCUGCAACAAGUCCUGGAGUGCACGUCCUCUAGUUGAAGCUUGCAGUGAAGUGCAAAGGAACACCAUAUCACACACCAAGAACUAGCCAUACACUAUACUUCAUAGGCACCUUUUGUCUUCCACUCAUUAAGGACUUUUGGCAUAUUUCACUUAUGUUUGUAAUAAGUUUAUAAAUAGACUAGUUUUUGGUCUUUAGUUCUUUAGUUGUUUACUGAUAUUUAAAGUUGUAACACUGGAACCACACUCUCUCUAGUGUGAGGAGUGUACCACCUUAGUUUAAGGCUUGAAAAAGCCACCAAAUCCGAAAUAAGGGUGAUGCUAGGGUGAAAUCGCUAGUAUUGCUAUUGUUAGAAACCUAGGUGCUGGAGUGGUUCAUGCUCUCUUGUGUCAUUGUAAGAGUGUUGGUGUUACCUAUUACAAGUAUUAAGGGUCUUAGUGUAUGGCAUACACUUAGGUUCAUAGUUCUUGUGAGAGUUGAUGUCUCACUUCCUAUCCUUACACUUCUUGUAAUCGUGUUUGUGUUCUUGUUCUAGUAAAGCCGUGUAUUAUUGUUAUCUUUUUGUUGUUGUCUUAUCAUCUCGUGUUCAUCUUGUUGUUGGCUAUUUUUGGUGUAAAAUACACCUUGUAUCAUCUCGUUCUUAUGGUAUUAUUGUUGGCCGAAACUUGGUCUCCUUUUGGUCCUCGGUUUGUCUUGUGUUUUAUGUAUUGUUUUCGUGUUGUGAGUUAAUUCCGUUAUCAUUUUCAAAAUGGUUUGACUCUGUAAAACUGGUUUGCGAAUAGAGAUUCCGGUUAAGAGAAUUUGUUGACCGAGGGGAAGAUGUUAGACACCCCUCGAUCCCGUGGUUCGACCAUGAUCGCUUGGUGGAGCGUAUCGGCUAAAUUGACAUCACAAAUGUAUAAACCCACACAAAACAUGUACAAACAAUCAAUCAAACACACGAAAGAAACAAAUCCAAAAUACAAUGUUCAGUCAAAUUAUACAGUUUGAAACAAAAAAUUGCAAAAAAUAAAUCCUAUUCUAACAUACACUAAUCCUAACUAUGCUUCUGUGCUUUACCCGAUGCCUCAGACCUUCAUCACGAAUGUCUUUUGCCAACAUAAUAUGUUGGGUCAUUCCUCGAUAAAUAAAUACAAUGUGUCUCGGAGCAUUCCCCGGCCAAAUGAAUACAUUUGAAUUACAUACGGUAAACUAGAAAGAAACAUUCAACACAUUUAUCAUUUCACGCAUUCACCCAAACAUCAUUCCUAAGUUUGUCUACCCAAACCUAUAUUUGUCUAUCUGAUUCAAUGCAUUAUAAUUCUCUCGAAUUCACAAACUUAAUUCCGAAUUAAGCAAAACAACAACAAACUAACAUUAAGCUAAUUUCACCCUUAUUAUCAAUCACGCAAUUCCACCCCCCAACUUCUUUUUUAUUAAUCACCAUUAAAACAUGAUCAAAUUCAUCCCUCAAACCACCGAAGUCGAAUCGCUAAGCAUCAUGAUCGUAACAUCAACAACAUCAAACAAUCAUAAUCACCCAUCAAACAAUCAUGGCCAUUUCAACUAAUUGAAAUAAAGAAGAGAGAACAAAUUGAAGAAAUGAACCUUAAUACCGCUUUUGAUGAAUAUUAUUCGACAAAAUAAAGAUAACCCGCCUCCGAUAAUUUUGACUUAAGCCUCAAUGAAAAAUCUGUCCAACAUGGGACUGAGCAUCGCAAGCAAACAGGGAGACCCGACCCGAUUCUGAUGAACCCACCCAACCUAAAGCUAUAGAUCGUGAGAAUAAGAGAAAUCCGAUCAGAAUUCUGAUGGGUUCGGACAAAAUUAAAGAUAGAUCAAGGUUCUCCGGACUAUUUUAUGUCAUUGUGACUCCGAUCAACUUCAACGAUGAUCGAAGAUGAUAAAGAAGUACCAGAUGUAAUAUAUUCCGAUGGAUUCGACCAGAUUUGCGACGAAUUUGAUGCAUUUUUGGUGAGUCUGUCACGGGAACAGGAAUCCACCAGCAAAAUCUGCAUUCUCUCUCUCUCUUCUAACUCUUUUCGGUGUGUGUGUGCGAUUUAUUGUGUGGAUAUGGUUUUCUAAUUGAAGAGGGUCCAUUUUUCGAUCACUGUGUGUGUGAAGAUGUACGCGUAAUAAUUGGAGGUGAAGACCCCUAAGUGAGUGUAUUUAGUGCAUUGGAGCUAUUCGUGUAUGCGUGGAAUUGAGUAGAAAAGUUUUUGUGCUCUAAUGGUGUGUGUAUGGUUCUGUGAGGUGUAUGGCAGUGACCAUAUCUGAGAGUGUAUGCAAAUGGUGUGUAAUAUAGUGUUCUUGAUGGAAAAUGUAAGUUCUUCCAAAUAUUCCCUAUGCCCCCCCCCCCCCGUGUAUUGUGCUGGUUUAUUCCCUUAGUGAAUGGAAAUUGGGAGUAUAUGGAGAGGGGUGUUGAUGUAUGUGUUUUGUGAUGUGGGAUAUGUGAGUGGGGUAGGAUUAGGGGUAUGGGGUGGUGAUGAGUUGUCCAAAAUUAGUAGGAGGAGUGGUUAGGAUGAUUAAAACAAGAAAAUUUGUUAGGGAUUUUGUUAAGGUUUGUUAUUUUUGUAUUUUUGUGGGGGUAUAAUCACAUGGGUGAGGGUGUAGGAUAAUGUGAGGAAAAAAAUGGAUAAUUUGGUAUUUGGGAGGAACAAAAUUAGGUGUCUACAUCAUGCCCCUUUUUUGAUAUAAACACAAAGUAUUUUCAGACAAAAAAAGUAGACAACGAGACCAAAGUUUGACCCAACCCUUAUUCAAAGAAAGAAUUAGAAAAAAGAAGGAGGGUCCAGAACAAAAAGUAAAUUUCUAUUUUCCAGGAGGGUCUUGAACAUAAAGUAAAUUUUCAUUUUCCAGGAUGGUCCUAGACAUGAAGUAAAUUAUCAUUUUUCAAGAGGGUCCUAAAGUGAAGUUCCAUAUAACAUACAAUACUUUUAAUUUUUGCCCCAAUUUCAUUAAAAACUUUUGCGGGUGUCAAACCCAAUCACAACCACUUGCAACAGUGCAUAAUGCAAAGAUGAAUCAAGAUCUUGAUCAACAAAUGCCCCUUUUGAGGGUAAAUUUGAAUGUGUGAGACUAACGAGUCCCCUUCUUAAGAAUGAAAGUGAAGGGUCUUUACUAAAGUGCAUCUUUCAAAAUUAACGACUCAAAUUAGGAAGUGGACAUCCUAGACACGAGACAUGAAAGACCCAAAUUAGAGAAUUUGUCUCUAAGGGGUACAAGAUGAUGAGUUUUACCACAAUUGGGAUUACCAAACCUGUACAACAACACUGCAUUUGCAUUAGCGGAAAUGAGGAAUUGCACCUCUAGGUAUUUAUGCUUUGAAGCCUUUGAUUAGAAGGUCACAAUUAUUCCUGUUUCAUACAAAGAGAACUUGUGAAUUUAAAACAGGAUGUUUGUCUUGCAGCUUUGACAUUUGAGGAGAUUUCUCUUGCACUUGUCCCAUUGAGAUCUUGCUUCUAAUCAUUAGCAUUUGUCAUUGCCUUGUUGCACCGUUAGUCCAAACUCAGAAUAUUAAGAAUAACUCUAAAAUAAACACAGUAUCUCUGCUUUGCUAUGUUUCUCAGACAAUCUCAUUUAGACCUUAGUAUUUCCACGAAUUCCACAAAUUUGUGUGUUGACAACAACCUUCUGUGUUCUGACUUGUAAGCUUGUUUCAUUCAUGUGUUGGACCCCUUGUCUUGCUUUGUGCAAUUGAAGAAGAUGGUGGCCAAUAAUAAAAUCUUUUCUCACUUGUUUUAACAUGGACUUGACUCAAAGACAAGAGAAAAAAUAACAAUGUGUUUUCUUUUGGAUAACUAACUCAAGAAAAAUAAAAUAAAAACACAGAGAAAGAAAAGACAAUGGACGUCCCCAUUUGAAAGAAACAAAAAAUUUAUCUAAAAAUGACAGUCAACUAUAAUGAUUAUACCAUGAAUUUGGUUAAUCUGUGUGAUCUUUCUACCCAUAGUUUCUACCAGCUAUUGUUGAGUUAACGGUCUUGAAACUGAGUUGCUUCCUUAGGUCAACUGCAUUCAAAACCUUAUUCGGCUAGUGACACCGUGAAGGAUUUAUGCCAACAAGCCUCUCUCAUUUUUUUCUUGGCUCACCAUUAUCUUACAGUGUGUGUGAGGGUUUUCACCAAUAAGACUCUCUCAUUUUUAUCUCUCUCAACUUACCAUCGACUUACGGUGCCCAGAAGGAUUUUCACAAAUAAGACUCUCAUUUUUAUUUCUCUCCAGAUUUCUUAUGCAGAAGAAGACAAGUAGUUCUCAAAAUACCUAUCAUAUGCAUUGCAUGCUUAGCCUUAUCAUUCUCAAAGAAUGAUCUGAAGGUCUUUCUUUGGUUGUAACUUGGAUUUUGGAUAAGGUUGGAAAAAAGGGAUGGCAUGAGGCUCAAACGACACUUGAAGUGGGGUAGGACUUACAACUUUUAGAAUCGACUCAAACUAUAAAGAUUAACUCAUGCCUCAGUUUCUUUUGACUGGGCAAUUCUAAAUUGUUCAUUUGAUUGGAUCGAGCCCCUGGUAGGGCAGCCUACGUAUCUCACUCCGAGAGAGGAGAAUCAGGUUACGUGUAGUCCUAGCAACUUGUUCUUUUGCUUGAUUCUGGUUUAUUCUCUUUUUUUCUUUUCUCUUUAUUGAAUUUUUUUGAAACUUUUUCUGACUCUAUUUUCUUGACACUCGUCUUUUCUUUCUUUUGGAUACAUUUUUUCUCUUUUUUUUAAAAAAAAAAACUUUUCUGACUCUACUGUUUUGCUCAACACCUUUUCUUUUGAGCUUUGUUGACUCUAUCUUGAAAUCUAAAGAGGGGUACGAAAGAAAAUAAAAGGCUCAAAUGGGGUAAAAAAAGGAUGCUACAAUGUUUGGCUAACAGAAUAAAAUGUCUUCGUCAUAUCAAUCCUAAAAAAUGCAAGUACAUAACAUGCAAUAAGAAAGUGGGAGAUGAAGAUCAUGUAUGAUAUUUUUACAGCACUAACUUAACUGAGCGUGUGUAUCACUAUUUCUUCUGCGCAUGUCCAGCAUACAACUCCACUUUGCUGUACAAUCUUAAUGCGGAAGGACUCAUGUCUUCAUGGAGAUAAUUUUCAUUUUGUUUCUCUUGAUAUAGGAUUACGCAGCCACCAUUUGACCUAAUUGAGACAUGUCUUUCAAUUGAUGACCAAGUUAUUCUUGUGAUUCUCAAAAUAAUUGCCUUAAUUUUCCAAGAAGGCUUCAACUAGUCACCAAAUGUCUCAGCACUCUACCUAUUUCUCAGAUGCUUUUUCUAACUUUAACCCUCUGAUUUAAUGUUCAUGCUUAAACCAGAUUUUAAGAUUUGGCUGAAAAUUCUGCUAGCAUGUCAUAUCACUAGAAUCAACAUAAAAUGUACUGUGUAAACAUAACAAACAAACAACACAAAUUUAAAACACAAAGAAAAAGGGACACUUCAUUUAGUUGAAAUAAAAGAGAAAAGGGUUUGAACAUAAACGAUAAAGGGACAAAACAAGAUAGAUCCCGAACUACAACCCUACAAUAAUUCAGAAAAUAGAAAACAAAACAAAACAAACUACCAGACAUCUUCCUAGUAGGGAGAGGUGUAACUCCUCAAUUGCUCAAACUGACAACUUAGCCACUGGUUAGUAUAUCAGCAUGACUAGAGCUUCUCUUACUAUCAACAUUCCACACCAUAAUUGAUCCAUCUUGAAUCAUCUUUUCAAUAUUUUUUUUCAAAUCUCGACAAUCUUCAAUACUAUGACCCUGAGCAUCAGAAUGAUAUGCACGUCGUGCAUUAGGAUCAAAAUUUCUUGAAUGGAGAUCAAGAGUGUACCCAAAGAGAGAGUGAUCAUGUCCCAUUAUACCAAUCUCUGAAAUAAGCUAGCAUACUAAUCUCCAAUUGGUGCGAAGCUAUCCCCCAAUUCCCGCCUGAUUUCAUUGUUUGUCUUGAAUCUAAAAUCAAGCCUAAAGGGGCUUUGGUAGGUUUGUGGAGUCGGAGGAUAACUCUAAGGAGAUGGUGCACGCCAUUGUGAGUAAGAAGGGAGUUGAACAUAUGGAUGUGCGCAGUAUACUAGAUAUGAAGGUAGGGAAAUUGAGUAAAAUGGAUUUUUGGAGGGAUUACAGAGAGCUUGGGUAUGAACUUGGACUUGAGACUGACGGUGACGAUUCGUCUUCUUGGAUGUGCCCGUUCUCCAACUACUAUUGCAGCUGUAUCUUUCUCAUUCAUUUUCCCUCCAGUUUCUCUUACUUGAUUAAAAUAUUUUCCCAAAUACUUCACAAAUUCCUCAUGUUCAUCUUUCUCCUCAAGUGUUGAAAUCUCAAGGAUUGGAGGAAGGUUAACACUUGAAGACAUGAUACAAGAAAAACAACGAAAGGCACAAAACACACUCUAAAUCAGUCCACUAAUCUUAAGGAUUCGAGGACCAAGAUGGAGACCACACUCGGAUUCGCUACCAACAACAAGAAUACAAGAUACAAGGGUGUAUUUCAACACCAAAACAGCUAUAAAGCAUGAUGAACAAUAUCAACAACAAUAACACAAGUUUCGGAUUCAAUAAAUGACCCAAAACAGUCCACUACACAAGAUAACAACAACAAAAGUAAAUGAUAGAUAGUGAGACCAAGAUUAUUACAAGAUUAAGAACUAAAGAGUGAAUUAAAAUCAAAAACCCUAAUGAAUUUAAUAAUCAUAACCACACUCUUACGGUGACCGCCAAGGGAAUCAACUCACCUAAAGAUCCACCGUUUCCAAGCAAAGAUCAAUACUAGCUUUUCCAAGCCCUAACGAAGAACUAUACUAAGGUGUUGCACUCUCCAAAGAGAGAAUAAAUCUCUCAAAUGUUCAUUAUUCAUUAACUAAUGAGAGAACACCUAAAAAAAUCCUACUUAUAGUAUAUUACAAAAGAAGGAAAAAAAGACUACACUACCCUUAAUGACCAAGGGUGGCCUUGGUGUAUUGGAAAACAAUAUGAAUUGUCCAAAAUUCCCUUAAGGCUAAGUGACCAAAAUGUCCUUAAUAAAGGUCACCAAAACCAUGAACCAACAAAAGUGGUCCAAAUCCGAGAGUCCUUAAGUCUUCAAGGCUCCAACCAAUCUUCCACACUCGAAUUUGAUCAACGGUAGGAUCAAAUCGUCCCCUCCAAGUAUGAUCUUGUGCCCUCCAUGCGGCCAAAGCUUGAUUCUUCACAUAGUGACUUUGAAUGAUGUCAUCAAAAGCUAAGGUGGCCAUUAUUCUUAUAUCAUCCUCCCCUUCUUGAAAAGGAUUCGACCUCGAAUACAAACCUUGCAAAACCGAAGAGAGGGCAAAUAAAUACAAACUCCUCAUGGAAUAAUGGUUAGGGUUAGCAUAACAAAUCAUCUCAACAUGCCAAGGUUGAACAUAUUUGCAAUAUAACCAAGGAUCCUUUGAAUUAAAUAUUAAAAGCUCAGUAAAAGGUGCACAACAGAUUUGGUUACAGGAAUCACCAAGAGAUAAAGAAACUACAUAGGUCCUAAUGGCAUCAAAUAAUCCACAAGGUAGAACUUUCUUCAUCUUAUGAGCUAUAAGACACCAUUGCUUCUUUAUCUCGUCAAAAGACCACACCAAGGCGGUUUCAAUUUGUUCUAAAGCCCAUAAAAUCCAUAUAGCGUUAUCACGCACAUGCAUGGACAGACCAACAAACUUCCUAUCUCGACAUAAAAUAAAUCCAAAACUAGCAUGGAUGUCAUCAUAGGCAAAGAGGUAGUAUAGAAAAGAUUCACGUGCAAAGGCAUUCACGAGUGAAGAAUAAGCAUUUAAACACAUACACAUUCUUUCCUUCAAAUAACUAGACAACUUGGCAUCCACAAGUUGGAAUUCAUGCAAUUUAGGCACAAGUGUGUCAAACAAGGAUGCACUAGGUGUCAAUGACACCUUUGCCCUCGGGUUUUCAAGAAGGACUACACAUUUCUUACCCUUAAGGGUACUCUCACCUUUCAAAAAGAGAUUUUCAUCUUUAGGAGGAAUGUUGUCACACCAUAGUGGGUUAACAUAUCGGCUAUAGCCUUCAAGGCAAGCUAUACCACCAUGCUCACCACUAGGUUCAUUAGGAGUGUUUAAAUCAUCUUCAAAUAAGACAUUAUCCCUAAAGAGAGAAUGAUCUAUUUCCCGGUCAGAUUCGGAACAAACACGUUCAUCACUCUCUAAAAGAUCAAUAUCAUGUUUCAAAGAGAUUUCAAGCAUAAGAUUGUCCCAAGAAUUGCUCUCGGGUUCACUUCCAUUUUGGUGACCAAUAUUUUCAAGUACUUCACUCACUUGAGUUCUUUUAAUCACAUCAUACACAUACUCAAGUGGUGGACAAUUUUCACUAGAGUGUUGAUCAACACCGAUUACACAAGAUGAUGUACUUUCAUUCAACAUAUAGGUUUCAACAGUAGGUGGACAUAAAUUAACCUUACAAGAAAAUUCAAUUUUGUCAUCAAUAGGAUCAACUAGUGUAUCCAUACUCACAACAUGUACAUCAUCAACCAGAGACAAAGAAUCAUUUAACUCACAAGUAAGUAAGCUAUUACUCACACUCAAUGGGAUACUAGCCACACAAAUAUCAUUCUCAUGCACCAAAGUGUAAGAGUUAGCUAUUUUACCUUAAAUUUCUUGAGUAGAUUCUUCUUUGCCAUUGUGUGAAGGUCCUCUAUAAGCUUGGGCAGCAACUUCCUUUCAGCAUUGUUCGCCUCCGCUUGAAAUGUUGGUGCCUACACAAAUGUCCUUAGAAAUAGAUGGACAACCAAUUUUAGCAUGGUUUGGUGAUAAUCCCCUCACUUCGCUCCACACAACCUCUCUUUUUUCCACUCUCGGAUUACCACCUUGCACUUCCUUACUCCUCUCAAUCUUUUAUCUCUCAUAAUAAUUUAGAUUGGAGUAGGUAGGUACUUCUGUUUAUGGCUUGGGCAGCAAGUAAGUCAUGAGACGAUUCUCCCAUUGGUUUCUUACAACAUUAGGCCAAUUUUCCACAUUAGGAACUUUAUGUCGUGCAAACCAAUUGACACCUAAGUAUACAUGACCGUAGGGCAAGGAAAGAACAUCGCACAGCAACUUUUCAUGGUAUUCAUAUUGGGAGAAGACAACUUUUACCCUCUCGGCAACCUUGAAGUCGUCCAAUGAGUAUGGAACAAGUAAAGGCUCUCGAAACAACCACAAGUAGUUGACCAUGGAAGGAAGGAUGUAGUUUUUAUAGUACCUAUCAUUCAACACAAUAAGGUAGCCCGGUAUCCCACAAAUGGUCACCUUUCCAGAGUGUAUACUCCUUCUCGGAUCAACAUUAUAAUGCACACAAGUACCCCUCGAUUUUGGAGAUGCACACCCUCUUCUUCUCGUUAGAUAACCUCCACUUGAACUAGUAUAACCAUUCACACUAUAUUGACCUUGAUAAGAAGAAAUACAAGGUGAAGAAUAUGAAUCUUCUCACUCCUUGAUUGCACUCUCAUCAUAGCUCUCAUAAGCUUUGUGAAUGAAAGGGUUACACCUAACACCAAAUCUAGGUUCGGAGUGAGAAGUGUAAGACUCCUCACAUGCCCCAACAUCAUCAUAAGAACAUUCACAAGGUCCUACAUCAUCUCCAAACUCAACAUAAGCACUAGACACUUCAUUCACCUCAUUUUCUCCCUCAAAACCGUAACUCCCAAAUCUGUCCAAGUUUUGUUCAUGGCUAUUUUCAUAGCUUCCGCAAUCUCUCUCAACUUCGUAGCCAUAAAACCCCUCACUAUAAUCAUAGUCUCCCAUGUUGUAGUCAUAAUAAUCCCAGCUAUCGAAGACAUGUUCCCCUUCUAUCACCUUUGUACCUACACAAUGAACAAACAAGAUUAGUAGUAAAAGCUUCUCACUAACACUCGUAUACACUCACCUUUGUGAUUCUCACAAUUGGAGUGGCGAAUAUUGAAAGUUGCUUAUAAUUCGGUAGUCAAUAGGAUGUCAAUUCUACUUGGCGGCCGAAAUAGAUUCUUGUUUGAUCGACUCAAGACACAAAAAUAAAAUUUACCUACGAACUUGAAACAAAGAAGUUACUACUAGUUAAAAACAAGAAAAAGCACACAAAUAACGAAGACAUGAAACAAACGGACUCUACAACUAACUUACAAUCUAGUAGGAGAUUACUAGUUUAUUAAUUAGUGUUCAAACCAACAAACAGAACUAGGAAACAAUAAAAUGAAACUAAGAAAUCUGAAAUUUGAGCUUAAAAAUUGUCGGUGACCAGUAAAAAAUGUGAUGUGGCAGCCACGUAUUGGUUGCGGCUGUUAUCAAAUUUUAUUUUCUAAUUCAAGUCUUGGUCCAAUUGUAAUUUGAAAUUGGUGGGAAUUGGUUAAGGAGAGAAAACAAGUCUUGAAAUCCUAUUUCAAAUUCAAAAAGCAAGACUUGACUUUUCUCCUCAAGACAUGGUCCUUAAAUCAUGGAAGGUUGUUGAAAAAGUGGUUGUUAAAGUCCUUGAGUGGUUGGAAUUGGUUGUAAAAGUCUUGAGAGGUCUUAAAUUUUGGAAACAUGUCUUUCAAGACUAACAAAAUACACACUCUCUUUCUUCAACUUUCAAGAUCAAACAUCCACUUUUUCAUGAACUAUAGAUGAAGAUGUGAAGAACACUAAUAACACAUUUUUUUGAAUCUUGAAGUUCUAAGGUUCAAGUUGGACCCCAAACAUCAACAAUAUCUUUCCAAGCUUAAAAAUACAACACAAUAACCACCAUACACAUUCAAACCUUGAACCAAAAACAAACCACACAUCCAAUCUUUGAAUCCGUAACAACAAUACCAACAACAAUCACACGGCCAAAGUUUAGGUUCACAACAACAACAACAACAAUUAAAGCUCAAAACUAGAUCUAGAUUUCUUUAGUGUUAAGAGGUGAAGAAGCUAACACUAGAAACAACAAAACAAAUAAAAUGACUCCUAUAUCUAGACUCAAAACAAGAAAAAUCUAGGUCAAGACACAACAAGAACAUAAUUUCGGCCAAGACAAAAGAAUGGACAGAUUUGCUUCUUUUUGAAAUUUUCAGAUUUCAACUUUUUUUUUUUUUGAAUUUUUUAACAAGAAAGCCCAAGAUUGAUCUUACACGAACAAGAUCUAGCCAUGCUCUGAUAUCAAGUGAUACGAGAAAGAAAACGGAAGACACAAAACACACUCCAAAUCAGUCCACUAAUCUUAAGGAUUCGAGGACCAAGAUGGAAACCACACUCAGAUUCGCUACCAACAAUAAGAAUACAAGAUACAAGGGUGUAUUUCAACACCAAAACAGCUAUAAAAUGUGAUGAACAAUAUCAACAACAAUAACACAAGUUUCGGAUUCAAUAAAUGACCCAAAACAGUCCACUACACAAGAUAACAACAACAAAAGUAAAGGAUAGAUAGUGAGACCAAGAUUAUUACAAGAUUAAGAACUAAAGAGUGUAUGAAAAUCAAAAAACCCUAAUGAAUGUAAUAAUCAAAACCACACUCUUACGGUGACCGCCAAGGGAAUCAACUCACCUCAAGAUCCACCGUUUCCAAGCAAAGAUCAAUACUAGCUUUUUCAAGCCCUAACUAAGAACUAUACUAAGGUGUUGCACUCUCCAAAGAGAGAAUAAGUCUCUCAAAUGUUCAUCAUUCAUUAACUAAUGAGAGAAGACCAAAAAAAAAUCCUAAUUCUAGUAUAUUACAAAAGAAUGCAAAAAAGACUACACUACCCUUAAUGACCAAGGGUGGCCUUGGUGUGUUGGAAAACAAUAUGAAUUGUCCAAAAUGCCCUUAAGGCUAAGUGACCAAAAAGCCCUUAAUAAAGGGCGCCAAAACCGUGAACCAACAAAGGUGGUCCAAACCCAAGAGUCCUUAAGUCUUCAAGGCUCCAAGCAAUCUUCCACACUCGGGUUUGAUCAAUGGUAGGCUCAAAACGUCCCCUCCAAGUAUGAUCCCAUGGUGAUCAAAGCUUGAUUCUUCACAUAGUUACUGUGAAUGAUGUCGUCGAAAGCUAAGGCGGCCAUUAUUCUUGUAUCAAGACAUGCCCCAGUUUUUAUAUGAAACAUUUUCUUUACCCCUAAUCCUAGGGAACUUUUCAUAGUAUCUUCUGUACCCUUCAUUUUCCCAAUUAUUUUCUCUAGCUCUUCAGGCACGCUAGGCUUCUUGUUAAGAAAUUUUGGUGGCCCAAUUAACUUAAAUGUAGGCUUAAGAGUAUAACAAUGAUCACCAAGAGUAUCGAGCAUGGAUCCACCAACAGCAUAGGCAAGUACAACUAUUUGGCAGCUAGCCAAUGUGGUUGUCUCAGCAGAGGAUUGAGCAACAAAAUCACAGACGACAUGUGGUGUUGUGAAUAUAGUUGGCUUAUGCUGAGUUUCUAGAGAAAGAGUGGUGAAAGUAUGGGAAUGCUUUUGGCUUUGAUUGAAUUCUGAGUCAUGUUGCAGUGCAUCAACAAUAGUAGAAAACUAACUUUGCAAUUUUGGUGGAAGACUCAAGGUAUUUGUAGGAUCAAUAGUGGAGCAUGGAGGAGGAGGCAGCCCACUAGCCCAAGAUCGAUACAUUUCCAUCAUUUGUUGUCUUAGUCUCAAAUUUUCUUCCUUUAAACUCUCAAUUUCUUGACUCUUUGUUUGAUCCAUGAGGUCACUCUCUAUAUUUUUGUUGGAUACAGUUAAACCUUCCUUAGAUUUGGUGUGAUAUAGAGGACCAGCUACAAUAUUACAAUGCCACAAACCAACCACCUUAAACUAACUGAACAAGAGACAAUAAACGUGUUAGCGUGCAACACUUUUUCAAAACUCUUUUUUUGCUUUUCUUUUGAAAAGAUCACUGAACCCAAGAAGGGCGCCUACGUAUCUCACUCCCGAGAGAGGACAAUCAAGUGUGCGUAGUUCGUGAAGUUUAGCCAAAAUGACCAAUUAAACUCUUUUUCUUUCUUUUUCUUUUUCUUUAAACUUUAAAAAGAAAAUAAAAUAACAAAUUGUCAAAAGAAUUGAUGAAAAUCUUUGUGCAUUUUACAGGUUUAAACUCUCUAUACAAAAUGAAACAUAUGAUUACCAAAGAAAAAUCUUUUAGGGUUUUUGAUGUUGAAUUUCAUAGGAAAAUGAAACUGAAACUAUUAGAACAAAAAACUUUUUUGUAGUUUUCUUUUAAAGAUAUAUAUAAACACCUGCUCUAAUAAAGAGUGAAGAAAAUCUUUUGGGAUGUUUUUUAAAUAAGAUCCCCGAACCAACAAUAGGCUGCCUAUGUAUCUCUCCCGAGAGAGGAGAAUCAGGGGUGCAUAGUUCGUCCAGAUUGGACGAUUAAAGAUAUUGAUGAACCAUCACUUGAGGGACACGACAAAGGCAAACGAUGAAAAACGUCAAUAAAAUCCUUUUUAAGUUUUGAAUUUGACACUCAACAUAAAAAUGACACCAACUAUACGAGAAAAAUCUUUUUGCUAUUUUCAUUAUAUGAAAUGUACAAAACUUCUACCAUUUUUUUUUGAAUUUUUCUUUUAUAAAAACUCUUAUGAAUGAAAAUGUUUUUGAAAUUUUUGAAUUAUGAAUACUUACUAAAGGAACAAAAGGGAAAUGUUUUUGAUGUUUUUUUUUAUUUUGAGAAGAUGAGUGCAAAUGGUAAUUGUUUUUUUUGAAUUUUUGGGUUGUGAAGAACAAAAGCCAUAAAGAACGCUAAAAAUAAACUACGAAACUCUUUUUUGAUUCAUUCUCCUCGUUUUUUUUUGAAUUUUCAUUACCUACACACUUUACUUCUAAUACAUGCUUUCCCCCAAAUCCAUCCGUCAAAUGACCACGUUACCCUCAAAUAUGCAACAUUUAGCACAUAGGGAUACUUUAGAGGUGAGCCUCCUACAAAGGACCAAGUGGGUCCUGCUAGGUCUCAAUAUGAUGCACAUAAGCACGCCCUAAAGUCUAACCUACGUUGGAUUUCACUAACAAGGCUGUUCGGGGGAGCGUAUAGUCGAUAGGGGCUGCGAGAGCUUUCCACCCACCCUAUAAAACCGAUGGUUCCCCAUCCUAAAAGAAGGGUGAAUCAACUAGAGGUCGUUUAUAAUACGUGUACUACAAACUUGUUGCAGAAAGACUGACUCGGGUUAUGCACAUGAUGCCGAUAUAAAGUGGUAACACAUAAGAUAAAAACUGUAAAUAAAGAGCAUGUAAGCACUCAACAAUGAGAAACAAUAACACAAAACAACACAAACAAUGUUUGUACACCCAUAAUGUCAAACAAAGUCGAUACAACUCCAAAAAUUAGCUUGAAUUAUGAAAAGUCCCCUGCGGAGUCGCCAAAGCUAUCACACCCCUUUUUAACUAAAAAGAUUCAGAUUUUAAGUUCGAAAAAUAUUUUUAUUAUUAAGGUGACAAAAGAUUUAAAAAUUUUUUUGAAAAGAAAUUAUUUUCAUUUUUUAUUCAGAGUCGCCACUUGGCACAAUCCGGUGUGCCAAGUCACCUUUGGAAAGUCCUUUUCAAAAUAGUUUGACUCUUUAAAAUUGGUUUACGAAUAGAGAUUCUGAUUAAGGGAUUCUGUUGACCUCGAUCUUGUGGUUCUACCGCGAUCUCUUGGUGGAGCGUAUCGGCUAAAUUGACUUCACAAAUAUAUAAACCCACACAAAACAUGUACAAACAAUCAAUCAAACUCACGAAACAAACAAAUCCAAAAUACAAUGUUCAGUCCAAUUAUAUGAAAUAAAAAAUUACGAAAAAUAAAUCCUAUUCUAACCUACACUAAUCCUAACUAUGCUCCCAUGCUUUACCCGAUACCUCGGGUCUUCAUCAUGAAUGUCUUUCACCAAUAUAAUUCGUCAGGGAAUGUUCAAUAAAUACAAUGUGUCUCGGAACAUUCCCCGGCUAAAUGAAUACAUUUGAAUUAAAUACGGUAAACUAGAAAGAAACAUUCAACACAUUUAUCAUUUCACGCAUUCACUCAAACAUCAUUCCUAAGUUUGUCUACCCGAACCUACAUUUGCCUAUCUGAUUCAAUGCAUCAUAACACUAUCGAAUUCACAAACUUAAUUCCGAAUUAACCAUAACAAUAACAAACUAACAUUAAUCUAACUUCACCCUUUUUAUCAAUCACGCAAUUCCACCCCCCAACUUCUUUUUAUCAAUCACCAUUAAAACAUGAUCAAAUUCAUCCCUGAAACCAGAGUACUCCCUCAAACCACCGAAGUCGAAUCACUAAACGUCAUGAUCGUAACAUCAACAACAUCAAACAAUCAUAAUCACCUAACAUACAAUCAUGGACAUUUCAACUAAUUGAAAUAAAGAAGAAAGAACGGGUUAAAGAAAUGGACCUUAAUAUCGCCUUUGAUGUAUAUUAUUCGACGAAAUAAAGAAAACCCACCUUCGAUAACUUUGACUUAAGCCUCAAUGACGAAUUUGUCCAACUUGGAACUGUGUAUCGCAAGAACACAGGGAGACCCGACCCGAUUCUGAUGAACCCACCCAACCUCGAGCUAGAGAUCGUGAGAAUAUGAGAAUCCGAGCUGGAUUUUGAUGGGUUCGGACAAAAUUGAAGACAGAUCAAGGUUCGCCAGACUUCUUUAUGUCAUCGUGACUCCGAUUGACUUCAGCGAUGACAGAAGACAAUAAAGAAAUACCAGAUGUGAUAUAUUCCGAUGGAUUCGACCAGAUUUGCGACAACUUUGUUGCGUUUCCGGCGAGUCUGUCACCAGAACAGUAACCCACCCGUGAAAUCUGUGUUCUUUCCCUCGAUCUAAGCCUUUUUGGUGUGUGCAUGCGAUUUAGUGUGUGGAUAUGGUUUUCCGAUGGAAGAGGGUCCAUUUUCCGAUCACUGUGUGUGUGAAUAUGUGUGCGUAUUAAUUGGUGGUGAAGACCCCUAUGUGUGCGUAUUUAGUGCAUUGGAGCUAUGCAUCUGUGCGUGAAAUUGAGUGGAAAAAAUUUUGUUCUCUAAUGGUGUGUGUAUGGUUCUGUGAGAUGUAUGGCAGUGACCAUAAAUGAGUGUGUGCAAAUGGUGUGUAAUAUAUUUUUCUUGAUGGAAAAUGGAAGUUCUGCCAAAUAUUCCCUGUGGCCCCCCUCCCCCAGUGUAUUGUGCUGGUGUAUUCCCAUAGGGUCAUUUGGUUUGAAAACAAGUUAUACGGGGAUUAGUUAUGUUGGGAAAAGUUAUGAUAGGAUAAGUUAUAUUGGGAUUAGUUAUGCUGCGAUUAUUUUUUAUUGAGUGUUUUGUUUGUUGUAUUUAAGGUAAUAUGCAUGGUAUAAUUUCUAGGAAUAAAUUGAUUGAUUGCCAAAAUACCCUCCUUCUUAUUUAACUUUAAAUAUAUAUAUAUAUAUAUAUAUAUAUAUAUUUAAAGUUAACGGAAAACUAUUCAAAAUUUAUUUAUUAUAAAUAUAUUAUACGUUAAUUAAACAUAAUUUAUGGGUAUAUGAGAAUAUAUUACGUUAUAUAUUAUGUUAUAUAUAAUUAAAUUAUAUAUAAUUAAACAUAAUGUAUUAUAAUUAAACAUAUUAACAUAAUAUAUAUAUAUAUAAUUAAACAUAAGAAUUUACAUUACGCUAUAGUGGGUAGAUUUUCUUACGUUUGGCCUAAGAUAAUAGAACUACAAGAGCAAAUUCCAGUACAAUGUGGUUUUAAAGAAAAUUGCAAAAUUGAUUUCCUACGUAAAAAGCAUGUUCAAAUGAGACUAGAGCUUCUGGAGGAUUUCAUAAACAUUUUUUCUAAGAGUUCUUAUUACAUCAAUUAACGUAUAUAUAUUCAUAAUAUUAUACGUUAUAUAUUACGUAAUAUAUAUAUGAGUGUGUGACAAAUGAAAAUAAUAGAGUUUGAAGGUAUUUUUGUCCUUUCAUACAUUUAUCCCAAGGAUAAAUUAAACCGGGAUUGUUAUCCCACCAAUUGAGUGGAUAACUUAUCCCGGGACUAUUUAUUAGUCCCGAAAUAAGCUAUCCCGAAUAUUGUCAACCAAACAUGCAAUAGAAAUUUUAUUCCGGGAUUAUUUGCUUCAACUCCUCCAACCAAACGACCACUUAGUGAAUGGAAAUUGGGAGUAUAUGGAGAGGGGGUGUUGCUAUAUGUGUUUUGUGAUGUGGGACCCGUGAGUGGGGUAGGAGUAGGGGGUAUGGGGUAUGGCGUGGUGAUGAGUUGUCCAAAAUUUAUAGGAGGAGUGGUUAGGAUGAUUAAAAUAAGAUAAAAUUUGUUAGGGAUUUUGUUAAGGGUUGUUAUUUUUGUUUUUUUUUGUGGGGUAUAAUCAAAUGGGUGAGGGUGUAGAAUAGCGUGAGGCAAAAAAUGGAUAAAUUGGGCUUUGGGAGAGAUAAAAUUAGGUGUCUACAACGACUAUAGUGUCAACAAAGUGUGACAUCUAUAGUUAUGGGGUCAUGUUGCUAGAAAUGUUUACUAGGAGAAAGCCUAUUGAGUUUGAGGGAGAUCUUAGCUCGAAAUAAUGGGUGAGUUAUUUACUUCCAAAUGUUGUAAUGGAGGCCGUAGAUGCCAACUUGUUAACAUCAAAUGAUAAUCGCUUAAAGAAGGAGCUAGAUGUUGUGGCAUCAAUCAUGAAAGUUGUAAUGAAUCUCCAACAAGAAGGACAAACAUGAAAGAUGUUGUAGGAAUGUUAUAGAAGAUCAAGAUUCAACCUCUAGCAUGUUGAGCAUGUUGUGGAAUCUGUUGUUCCAAAUAAUUUGUUUGUUGCAAAUAUUUGAUAAGUUUUGGAUUCCUGUAAUAGAAACUUAAGCUUGUAAACUUGAGCAAAUAGACACACACGUCCUAUGUGGCAUAAUACACGUAGGACGCCAUGUAGGAUGCAAACUGGCCACAUAGGACGCCACAUAUGACACAUUUUCUAUUUGUUCGACUUUAUACAAGUUUAAGUGUCUACUUGUGCAUACCCAAAAUUGAAGGGCAUAAAUGUAAGUCGGAGCCAAGUUAAAGGUCUCAUUUCUGUAUUAUGCCAUGAUUUUUUUUUAAUGAAUUAACAUGUUGGAGUGGGACAUAUCCCAAUUUCUGCUUCCUCUCCUCUUAUGUUUGUCCCUCAGUGUCCAAAUUACCAAUAAAAUGUCUUCGACACACGAUUUACUGGGAGACUUCUCAUCUGGACAUUAUGUCGUGCAGCCUUUUGACAGAACUUCACACAAGUGAGGUCCGGAGAGGGUAGAGUGUACACAGACCUUAUCCCUACCUUUGGAGGUUGAGAUGCUGUUCUUGAUAGAUCCUCGGCUCAAGGAAAAAUAAAAGAAAUUCAACGCAGGUCGGGGGAAAUUUUUUUUUUUAACAGGAGCGAAAAAAAAUUGCUGAAAUAAAAAGACCAUUUUAAAGAGAACUUUAAAAUGCACCGAACAAAACAUAUAUAGUGAAAAAAUCAGGUUACUGAAAAAAAAAAUCUAGCAGAAGUGAACUGUCAUUGGUCGUACGACUUAGUUCUUUCUUUCUAAUCAAUUAUUUUCUUAUUCUGACAUUUUGAGAUGGAGGUCCAUUGUUCUCGAUCUUGUUACUUUUUGUAGUAGCUAUUUCUUCUUGUAUACAUGGUUUCACAGACAAUACAGAGUCUUAGAUCAUUAUUCUCACGAGCAGGAUGCUAGCUUAGUCCCUUUGCACGUCUCCAUUAACUAGGAAGCAUCUGCCCCCUGAUAUCAUUAUGAUACCAUAUCCAGUGUCUUGAGACGGUCUUCCAGAAACAAGGUCUGGUGAAAAUAUCAGCAGCAUAUCUGACACAUUCCAAAAGCUCUCUAUACCAGCAGCACAAACUCAAAAUAUCAGCUAAGUGAAAAGCAGAUGAGCAACAUAAAAAAUGCNNNNNNNNNNNNNNNNNNNNNNNNNNNNNNNNNNNNNNNNNNNNNNNNNNNNNNNNNNNNNNNNNNNNNNNNNNNNNNNNNNNNNNNNNNNNNNNNNNNNNNNNNNNNNNNNNNNNNNNNNNNNNNNNNNNNNNNNNNNNNNNNNNNNNNNNNNNNNNNNNNNNNNNNNNNNNNNNNNNNNNNNNNNNNNNNNNNNNNNNNNNNNNNNNNNNNNNNNNNNNNNNNNNNNNNNNNNNNNNNNNNNNNNNNNNNNNNNNNNNNNNNNNNNNNNNNNNNNNNNNNNNNNNNNNNNNNNNNNNNNNNNNNNNNNNNNNNNNNNNNNNNNNNNNNNNNNNNNNNNNNNNNNNNNNNNNNNNNNNNNNNNNNNNNNNNNNNNNNNNNNNNNNNNNNNNNNNNNNNNNNNNNNNNNNNNNNNNNNNNNNNNNNNNNNNNNNNNNNNNNNNNNNNNNNNNNNNNNNNNNNNNNNNNNNNNNNNNNNNNNNNNNNNNNNNNNNNNNNNNNNNNNNNNNNNNNNNNNNNNNNNNNNNNNNNNNNNNNNNNNNNNNNNNNNNNNNNNNNNNNNNNNNNNNNNNNNNNNNNNNNNNNNNNNNNNNNNNNNNNNNNNNNNNNNNNNNNNNNNNNNNNNNNNNNNNNNNNNNNNNNNNNNNNNNNNNNNNNNNNNNNNNNNNNNNNNNNNNNNNNNNNNNNNNNNNNNNNNNNNNNNNNNNNNNNNNNNNNNNNNNNNNNNNNNNNNNNNNNNNNNNNNNNNNNNNNNNNNNNNNNNNNNNNNNNNNNNNNNNNNNNNNNNNNNNNNNNNNNNNNNNNNNNNNNNNNNNNNNNNNNNNNNNNNNNNNNNNNNNNNNNNNNNNNNNNNNNNNNNNNNNNNNNNNNNNNNNNNNNNNNNNNNNNNNNNNNNNNNNNNNNNNNNNNNNNNNNNNNNNNNNNNNNNNNNNNNNNNNNNNNNNNNNNNNNNNNNNNNNNNNNNNNNNNNNNNNNNNNNNNNNNNNNNNNNNNNNNNNNNNNNNNNNNNNNNNNNNNNNNNNNNNNNNNNNNNNNNNNNNNNNNNNNNNNNNNNNNNNNNNNNNNNNNNNNNNNNNNNNNNNNNNNNNNNNNNNNNNNNNNNNNNNNNNNNNNNNNNNNNNNNNNNNNNNNNNNNNNNNNNNNNNNNNNNNNNNNUUUAGAGAAAUUAAAAUAUAUAAAUAAACAUAAUUUAUAUAUUUUACAACCACUUUGAACGGUAAACUGUUCAAAAUUUAUUUAUUUAUGAAUAUAUUAUACGUUAAUUAAACAUAAUUUAUGUGUGUAUGAGAAUAUAUUACGUUAUAUAUUAUGUUAUAUAUAAUUAAAUUAUAUAUAAUUAAACAUAAUGUAUUAUAAUUAAACAUAUUAACAUAAUAUAUAUAUAUAUAAUUAAACAUAAGAAUUUACAUUACGCUAUAGUGGGUAGAUUUUCUUACGUUUGGCCUAAGAUAAUAGAACUACAAGAGCAAAUUCCAGUACAAUGUGGUUUUAAAGAAAAUUGCAAAAUUGAUUUCCUACGUAAAAAGCAUGUUCAAAUGAGACUAGAGCUUCUGGAGGAUUUCAUAAACAUUUUUUCUAAGAGUUCUUAUUACAUCAAUUAACGUAUAUAUAUUCAUAAUAUUAUACGUUAUAUAUUACGUAAUAUAUAUAUGAGUGUGUGACAAAUGAAAAUAAUAGAGUUUGAAGGUAUUUUUGUCCUUUCAUACAUUUAUCCCAAGGAUAAAUUAAACCGGGAUUGUUAUCCCACCAAUUGAGUGGAUAACUUAUCCCGGGACUAUUUAUUAGUCCCGAAAUAAGCUAUCCCGAAUAUUGUCAACCAAACAUGCAAUAGAAAUUUUAUUCCGGGAUUAUUUGCUUCAACUCCUCCAACCAAACGACCACUUAGUGAAUGGAAAUUGGGAGUAUAUGGAGAGGGGGUGUUGCUAUAUGUGUUUUGUGAUGUGGGACCCGUGAGUGGGGUAGGAGUAGGGGGUAUGGGGUAUGGCGUGGUGAUGAGUUGUCCAAAAUUUAUAGGAGGAGUGGUUAGGAUGAUUAAAAUAAGAUAAAAUUUGUUAGGGAUUUUGUUAAGGGUUGUUAUUUUUGUUUUUUUUUGUGGGGUAUAAUCAAAUGGGUGAGGGUGUAGAAUAGCGUGAGGCAAAAAAUGGAUAAAUUGGGCUUUGGGAGAGAUAAAAUUAGGUGUCUACAACGACUAUAGUGUCAACAAAGUGUGACAUCUAUAGUUAUGGGGUCAUGUUGCUAGAAAUGUUUACUAGGAGAAAGCCUAUUGAGUUUGAGGGAGAUCUUAGCUCGAAAUAAUGGGUGAGUUAUUUACUUCCAAAUGUUGUAAUGGAGGCCGUAGAUGCCAACUUGUUAACAUCAAAUGAUAAUCGCUUAAAGAAGGAGCUAGAUGUUGUGGCAUCAAUCAUGAAAGUUGUAAUGAAUCUCCAACAAGAAGGACAAACAUGAAAGAUGUUGUAGGAAUGUUAUAGAAGAUCAAGAUUCAACCUCUAGCAUGUUGAGCAUGUUGUGGAAUCUGUUGUUCCAAAUAAUUUGUUUGUUGCAAAUAUUUGAUAAGUUUUGGAUUCCUGUAAUAGAAACUUAAGCUUGUAAACUUGAGCAAAUAGACACACACGUCCUAUGUGACAUAAUCCACGUAGGACGACAAGUAGGAUUGGCCACAUAGGACGCCACAUAUGACACAUUUUCUAUUUGUUCGACUUUAUACAAGUUUAAGUGUCUACUUGUGCAUACCCAAAAUUGAAGGGCAUAAAUGUAAGUCGGAGCCAAGUUAAAGGUCUCAUUUCUGUAUUAUGCCAUGAUUUUUUUUUAAUGAAUUAACAUGUUGGAGUGGGACAUAUCCCAAUUUCUGCUUCCUCUCCUCUUAUGUUUGUCCCUCAGUGUCCAAAUUACCAAUAAAAUGUCUUCGACACACGAUUUACUGGGAGACUUCUCAUCUGGACAUUAUGUCGUGCAGCCUUUUGACAGAACUUCACACAAGUGAGGUCCGGAGAGGGUAGAGUGUACACAGACCUUAUCCCUACCUUUGGAGGUUGAGAUGCUGUUCUUGAUAGAUCCUCGGCUCAAGGAAAAAUAAAAGAAAUUCAACGCAGGUCGGGGGAAAUUUUUUUUUUUAACAGGAGCGAAAAAAAAUUGCUGAAAUAAAAAGACCAUUUUAAAGAGAACUUUAAAAUGCACCGAACAAAACAUAUAUAGUGAAAAAAUCAGGUUACUGAAAAAAAAAAUCUAGCAGAAGUGAACUGUCAUUGGUCGUACGACUUAGUUCUUUCUUUCUAAUCAAUUAUUUUCUUAUUCUGACAUUUUGAGAUGGAGGUCCAUUGUUCUCGAUCUUGUUACUUUUUGUAGUAGCUAUUUCUUCUUGUAUACAUGGUUUCACAGACAAUACAGAGUCUUAGAUCAUUAUUCUCACGAGCAGGAUGCUAGCUUAGUCCCUUUGCACGUCUCCAUUAACUAGGAAGCAUCUGCCCCCUGAUAUCAUUAUGAUACCAUAUCCAGUGUCUUGAGACGGUCUUCCAGAAACAAGGUCUGGUGAAAAUAUCAGCAGCAUAUCUGACACAUUCCAAAAGCUCUCUAUACCAGCAGCACAAACUCAAAAUAUCAGCUAAGUGAAAAGCAGAUGAGCAACAUAAAAAAUGCCUAAAUAUGAUAGCUCAAGAGACUUAAAAAAAAAAAAAAAGAUUAAGCAGAAUAUCUGACACUUAGACACCAGCCAAUUUAAAUAUGGAUUAGACAAUUAAUCGGUGAUAAAAUCAACAGUUGAGUUUAUCUUCAUAGUGAUAAUGAGUACAUAAAUGUGUCUUCACAAAACAACAAUAAGAUAGCUAGUGUAAUCCCACAAGUGGAGUUUUUAGAAUAUCUAAAAGUAUUAAUUCCCACAAGCCUGCUUUGUGGAGCGCAAUUUUGGCGACCACAAGUGCGGCCAUUUCAGCACCAUAUCUGUUGCUGUUGCAGCUGCUGCGAGUAGACAAGAUCGCAGCGUAAAUGUCAUAAUAGAAGAAGGAUCGUCUGUCCUUGUCGUUAUGAUCCUGCCACAGAAACCACAAAAGUAAGCUUGUAGGCACAAGCAUGAAAUGCUAUUAGCCCCUUUACAUCGAUGAUUUCAAGAACUGUAGCUUGAUGAUGCGCUUUGUUUUCUUCCCAUUUCAACUUUGUCUAGUACCGAAACAUAAUGUUAUCUUUUAGUAGUUGAGUCAAGGAAAGACAUAUUCCAAUCCAAGGGAUGAUUUCACUAUCUUUUGAAAAAUCUCAGUCUUAGUCCAGCAAUCUUAGAUCAUUAUUAUUCUCACGAGCAGGAUACUAGCUUACGUGUCCCUUUGCAUGUAUCUAUUACUCUUUAGGAAGAAUCUGCCGCCUGAUAUCAUCAUGAUACCAUGUUCUGUGUCUUGAGCACGUCUUCUGGAAGCAACCUCUCUACCUCCACGAACUAGGGGUAAGGUUUGGGUACACCCUUUCCCAAAAUCCACUUAUAGGACUACAUUAGGUAUGUUGUUGUAUCAUAUCAAUGUCUUAAUGUUAAUAGCAAUCAUUAACUUCACCUGGAGAAAAAAAAAGUAAAGAAGAUCUUUUCAUCUUCAAAUUAUGAAAUUUCCUUAUUUUGGCAGUCUUUCUUGGAGCCCAUAUCUUUAUUUUCUGACCAGUAUUGGACUAUGAGGGAAACUAUUGGUAACUUUAAGCAAGAAAGAGACAUUUUAAACAUAAGAAUCUUUCUUAUAAAUUCAUUGUAAUAUUAAAAUAUGAGUUCAAAUUAUUUAUAGCGUAUAUUCAUAUAUUAAUUCAAUCGAUUCUUAUGGUGUUAUUGAGGUGCAUCCUUUGGCAUUUGGUUAUAAAAGUUAGGAUAAAAUGGCACCAAUGGUUUCUUAUUUUGAUGGUAGAUUCAAAAUACCCUGAAGAGUUUUCCAUGUUCACAGGCUUUCUUAGACUAUCUUCAGCUGAAAAAUCAAGCCUCGAAACCCUUAAAACAAUUAGAAUUCAAUGGAGAUGUGUUCCGGUAUUUAGGAAUACGUUUUUAGCUCGUAAGAAGAAUUCUAGCUCCGCCUGCAUGGCAUAGAAGAAGAUAAAAGAAAGAGAAUGCAUUUUCUUUUUUUGUUCAUCUAGAAAAAAAAUGCCCCGACUAUUUUUGGUUGAUGAAGAAAAAUGCAACUUCUUGUAACAUUAACUCAUUCAGUCAACUCUAAGUAUUUUGUGGCAACAAGAAAGUUUUCUGAGCUGAAAUUCCUUUGAUUUACAAAUUACACAUGAAAAUAUAAAACAAGUAAACUUUUAAGCUAAAUUUACUUCCAUCCCCCUUUAAUUUUUACCACAAUAUAUUAGAAUAGCUGAGCCCAACAAGGUUGUGCUUGAGGUAUAAAAAAUUGUUGAUUGAUUUCUAAAGAACUUAAGCAAUCUGUCCAAUCCUAUCAGAAUUAUUUUUACACCCUGUUAAUGAUCUUUUAUACUUUAUAAUUAAAAAGAUAUUAAUAACACAUAGCUCUCUUUUUUAUAGUUUGAACUCAUAGACUAUUAUCGCAUUCUCAUUUUAAAUAAUGUGAGAUACACACCACAAGAAUGUAAAGAAAAGUUGAAUUCUUGAUGUGCCCACACAUGCAAAACACACAUUUGUGUCCACACUUUGGUAUGUGCCGGAACGGAGGUAGAAGGUUGUCCACAGGUUCGUCUGAACUUAGUAGCUUUAGUCCAAAUUCAAUAUUUUUAUUUAAGAAAAUCACUAAGCAUGUACAAAUUUAAAGUCAGAACUAGGUUAUAAAUACCUUACACAUGCCGCUAUUUUAGAAUUUUAACCCAUAAAAUUCAAGUUCUGAUUCCCCGCUUCUCACAAGGUUCAGUGUUAUAGUUUUAUUGACAACUUUACUUGCUUUCCGAUGAAUUUGUGCAAAACAUGUUAACUCCAAUCAUGGUUUGCAAAACAUGGUUGAUUUGGUUGUUUCAGUAGGUCAAGUCCUUGGAAAAUAAAUCAUGUUCGGGAAAAAUAUUAUUGAGAUGAUAGAAUAAAUGAAAGUUUAUCCCCUCCCCCCCCCCCCCCCCCCCAAAAAAAAAAAAAAAAAAAAGAUAUUCUUAAUUUAAAGUCUCAAACCCCAGCUUAUUAGCCAUACCAUUUCUCUACUAAUUUAUGCAAUCAUGGAGAAACCAUUUACCUCUUUUCUCUUAACACUCUUGUUGCUUCACUAUAUUAUGGCUGGUUCAGACAUGACCCAAACCAACACUAACACUGAUCAAUUAGAACUUCUUUCUUUAAAAUCUCAAAUCAUUUCCGACCCCUUUCACUUCUUGGAUGAAAGUUGGUCUCCCGCUAUGUCCGUUUAUCAUUGGGUUGGAGUCACGUGGCUUUCGUCAUCAGCGAGUAAAGUCCUUGAAUCUUUCCGACAUGGCUCUUCAGGAAGGAUUCCCCAGGAAUUUGGAAGCCUCACAUUUCUUGUUUCUCGUGAUCGACUUGGAAAGCAACAAUUUCCAGGGUAAUUUGCCUCAAGAAAUGGCAUGCUUGCGCUGACUUAAGUUUCUUAGGUUAAGUUUCAACAGCUUCAGCGGGGAGGUUCCUUCUUGGUUUGGAUUUUUACACCGACUUCAAGUUCUAAGUCUUAGGAAUAAUAGUUUCACCGGAUCCCUUCCCUCUUCCUUUGCUAACAUUUCAAAUCUUGAAAUUUUGAAUUUGGCAUUCAAUUCCUUAGCAGGUCAUAGCCCUGUCUCUCUCCCGAAUGCCUCAAGGUUGGAGAAGUUAGAAUUAUAUUAUAAUUCACUUCAAGGAAACAUUUCAGAAGAGAUCGGAAAUCUUCACAACAUGAACUGAUUGUCCAUACAACAUAAUCAACUUACGAGUUCUAUAUCAUUCACAAUUAUCAAUAUUUCUAGGAUCGAAAUCAUUGCAUUUAAAGGCAAUAGCUUAUCAGGAAAUCUCCCCAAUGCUUUAUGCAAUGGUCUCCCAAUACUCAAAAGGCUUCAUCUAUCUGAAAACAAUCUUCGCGGUCAUAUGCCUACAAGUUUGUCGAAUUGUUCACAACUUCAACUGUUGUCUUUAUCAGUUAAUGAGUUUGAUGGACCAAUUCAUAGUGAAAUUGGAAGAUUGAGUAGCUUGCAGAUAUUAGAGCUCGGAUAUAACCAUUUCACUGAUAUGUUUUUAUCUUAUGAAUGCUUGUAUCUAAUUGCUUCGGAAUUUUAUUUUAUUACACAGUAAGUGCAGGGAUAAUUUCAGUUAUUGAAUAAUUGAGGUAGCUAAGAUUGGUGAUAUUAGGCAUGGAGAGAAGCCAGAUUAAUGGCUCUGUUCAAAUAUAUUUAUCUUCUAUACAUAUUUUUUUCUUUUUUCUUUUAAUACUUUCGUAUCAUCAACAGUAUAAAUGCUAAAAUCGUAGUGGAUUCUACCACGGGAGAUUGAAAACUUAAACAAGACACAGUUCUCAUAUCUUUGCAAAAAUAGAUUUACUAGAUUGAAUCAAUUAUUUAAACUCACUAGGAAUCCACAAUAUGUGUUUCCAGGUGAAAUACACAAAGAGAUGAGCAAUCUCAUUGAGUUGGAGGAACUUUAUCUUCAGAGUAAUAAUUUCAGUGGUCCACUUCCAACGGAGAUCUUCAACAUAUCUGUGCUGAGAGUGAUUUCUCUUACAAACAAUAAUCUAUCAGGAAGCCUCCCACCACUCAUGUGUUCUAUCUUACCCAAAAUUGAAGAACUUUAUCUGGUAUUUACCAAUCUUGUUGGGACUAUUCCUCAUUCCAUCUUCAAUUGUUCAAAACUUACUCGUCUAGAGCUUUCUCACAACCAACUCACUGGCUUGAUUCCCAAUUCUAUUGGAUAUUUGACUCAUCUACAAUAUCUAAAUUUAGCAGUAAACAAUUUAACCAGUGACUCAUCCUUAAGCUUCUUGACUUCCUUAAUCAAUAAUAGAAAUUUAACAACUCUUUCUCUAACUUCGAACCCUCUAAACGGCAUGCUUCUAGCUUCCAUGGGAAACCUUUCCACCUCUCUUAGAAAUUUUUACGCCAACGUUUGCAAAAUCAAAAGGAAGUUGGGAACUUAAGCAGAUUAUUAGACCUUGAUUUUUCUAGAAACUACUUGGUUGGAUCGAUUCCCACAUCAAUUGGAAACUUGAGAAACCUGCAGGCCUUGUUCUUGACUCAUUGCAUUGCUUGGAUGUGAUUGACUUGACUCAACAUCAACUUUCAGGUUCUCUUCCUAAUUAUUUAGGAAAGGUUACUUCCCUUAGAGAGAUACAUAUGGGUUCAAAUAUAUUGAGUUCCAAUAUACUACCAAGCUUAGGGAACCUUAAUGAUUUAGUGGUUCUUGACUUAUCGUCAAACAACAUGGUUGGUUCUUUACCUCCAGAAAUUGGAAAUCUAAUGGCUGCAACACUAAUAGAUCUGUCAAUGAAUCAAUUCUCAAAUGGAAUUCCAAGAGAAAUUGGAGGAUUGAAAAAUUUGGCACACUUUUCACUGAGACACAACAAGUUGCAUGGAUCUAUACCUGACUCAAUGAGCAACAUGGUAGGUUUGGAAUUCCUAGACCUUUCUUAUAAUAAUAUAUCAGGAACUAUUCCCAUGUCUCUGGAGAAACUUCAAUACCUAAGUAUUUCGAUGUUUCUGUCAACAAAUUGCAUGGUGAAAUACCCUCAAGGGGUCCUUUCAAGAACCUCUCGAGUCAGUUUUUCAUCUACAAGGAAGCAUUGUGUGGUUCUUAAAGAUUUAGUGUCCCGCCAUGCUCCACUUCAUCAAAGCACAAAUCAAUAGGAAAAGAUUGCUAGUUCUAUUUCUUUUGCUAGGACUUGCAAUUUUGUUUGUUCCUAUCGUAUUUGUGUUUUUAUGGAUAAAGUAUAGAAGAGAUAAAAGAACUCCUCAACAAGUAGAUUCAUCGUCUACCAUAACACGUGAAAGAAUUUCAUACUAUGAACUGCUCCAAGCAACAGAUGACCUUAGUGAGAGUAAUCUGAUUGGUUCUGGAAGUUUUGGCUCUGUUUACCAAGGCAUUCUCAGAUGUGGAACUGCCAUUGCAGUUAAAGUGUUCAAUUUGCAACUGGAUGCGGCAUUCAAGAGUUUUGAUACAGAAUGUGAAGUUUUGUGUAGCUUUCUCCAUAGGAAUCUCGUAAAAGUCAUUACUAGUUGUUCCAAUCUUGAUUUCAAGGCUUUAGAUUAUAUGCCUAAUGGGAGUCUUUACAAGUACUUGUAUUCGCACAACUACUUCCUCGACAUCAAGCAGAGACUAAGCAUAAUAAUUGAUGUGGCAUGUGCUUUGGAAUAUCUUCACCAUGGGUGCUCGUUGCCUGUGAUUCACUGUGACAUGAAGCCUAGUAACGUCUUGCUGGAUGAAGAUAUGGUCGCCCAACUAAGAGACUUUGGCAUUUCAAAACUGCUUGGUGAAGAUUAGGGUAAUUUAUACACUAAAACCUUAGCAACAUUAGGUUAUAUUGUGCCAGGUAUGUCUCUUAGUUUUGCUGAUUACUCCUUUCUUUUUUUCCCACAUAGAAAGUAUAUUACAUCUUUAAAUGAAUUGUUUGACUGUAGAGUAUGGACUGGAUGGACUAGUAUCAACAAAGUGUGACGUCUAUAGUUAUGGGGUCAUGUUGCUGGAAACGUUUACUAGGAGAAAGCCUAAUGAGUUUGAGGAAGAUCUUAGCUUGAAGCAAUGGGUGAGUUAUUCACUCCCAGAAGCUAUAAUGGACAUUGUAGACGUCAACUUGGUAACACCAAUGGAUAAUCGCUUACAGAAGGAGCUAGAUGUUGUGGCUUCAAUCAUGAAAGUUGUAUUAGAUUGUAGUGCUGAAUCUCCGGCUAGAAGGACAAACAUGAAAGAUGUUGUAGGGAUUGAUACAAAAGUGAGUGUGUAUCAAGAGAGUCAAGCCAACAAAAGAACACAAGAAUAACAAGAUGAACAACAACAAUGCUAGUGACAAGAUGAUAGAGAUUAUAAUAAUAACAACAAGAGCAACAAAGUGGCAUCAACUAUAGUGAAUUGAAAAUAGCCCCACACGGCUUCACUAUGUUACCACACAAACAACAAGAUUACAAAAUUAAAGAUAAUGACUUGACAUACAAUAUUCAAGAAUCUAAGAACCCUAACAACAUGAAAGGACCCUAAGAUUAAAGAAUAUUAUCACCAAGCUCUUACUUGGACCAAGAGGAACUCAAUGACCUCAAGAUCCUAGUUUCUAGCCAAGAUUCAACCCAAGUGUCACUCCAAUUGGGAAUUUUGGUUUUGAGCUUCUCCAAUGGGAGAAAAGAUCAAAUUAUUACAAGUCUUCUGUUCUCAAAAUAUAAUGAAUGAACCACCACAAGACUAGCCCUAACAAAUGACUUAUAUAGUCAAUUACAAAGGAGGGGCAAAAGACCAAAAUACCCUUGGCAUUAAGUGGGUGGCUUUGGGGUGUUUUGUUGGGCCUCUUCACAUUUUAAUAAGUAUAGGCCCUUGGAUGGGCUGACAAGGGCCUCACACAAGGCCAAGGAUGUGAACAAGGCUUGGAGUCGUUGCAACUCACGCGCUUGGCUUCGUGUGAAAGGUCUCGAGCUAGGAAUUCUCGUAUCAUCCUCUCCAUCUUAAAGGGAAUUUUUCCUCAAAUUUGAAUCAUUUUCAUCCUUCACCAUGUCCACCCGAGAGAGGUCACACACGUUGAGAGUGUUGUGCACUUGAUAUUCCGGGGGUAGAUCAAUCUUGUAGGCAUUGUCAUUGAUCCUUUCUAAUACUUGGAACGGGCCAUCACCCCGCGGCAUCCACUUAGCAUUCCUUUUAGACGGGAAUCUAUCCUUCAUUAGAUGUACCCACACCCAAUCUCCCGGUUCAAGAAUGAGCUUUCUUCUUCCUUUGUUGGUUCGCCUUGCAACUUCUUGGUUUUUCUUCUCCAACCGUAACCUCACCUUCUCAUGUAGCUUCUUCAUGGCCUUGGCCCAUUUCCUUCCAUCCAAGAUUAUCAUAAGAUCACUUGGCAAAGGUGUUAAAUCCAAAGGGGCAAGGGGGUUGAUGUCGUAUACACACUCAAAGGGUGUCAUCCCCGUGCUUGAGUGUAUGACAUGAUUAUAAGAAAACUCAAUCAAUGGUAAGUGCUACUCCCAAGAAGUCAUUUUUCCCUUAACCAUGGACCGUAGCAUAGACCCUAAGGUCCUAUUUACUACUUCCGUUUGGCCAUCAGUUUGUGGGUGGUAUGAAGUCAAAAACAACAAUUUAGUACCGAGCCUACCCCACAUGGACUUCCAAAAGUGUCUUAGGAAUUUAGAAUCCCUAUCACUCACUAUGGUCCUCGGAACACCAUGAAGUUUUACAAUAUUAUCAACAAACAAAGAGGCUACACUAGGCGCAUCAUCACAUUUAGAACAAGGAAUAAAGUGAGCCAUCUUGGAAAACCGAUCCACCACAACAAAAAUACUAUCCCGCUCCCUUUUAGUUCUCGGCAAUCCCAACAUGAAGUCCAUUGAUAUGUCAAGCCAAGGACACAAAGGGGUGGACAACGGGGUGUACAAUCUGUGGGGUUGGAGCCGUGACUUGGCUCCUUUGCACUCAACACAUUGGCCACAAAUUUGGGCCACAUCUUUGUGCAUUCUAGGCCAAUAAAAUUUUUCUUCCAAAAUUUCGAGGGUUUUCUCAACCCCAAAAUGGCCCAUUAGACCGCCAUUGUGUGCUUUCCUCACAAACAAUUCUCUCCACAAACUUGAGGGAACAAACAAUCGUUUACCCUUAAAUAAGUAUCCAUCAAGUUUAGUAUAAGGAUGGGAACCCCUAUCCAUAACCCACCUAUCCCUAUCCAAAUUUUCACUUUCCCUAUAGAUAGGAGCGAAGUGAGGGUCCUCGGGAUAUAAAGACUUGAGGCUUUCAAACCCCAUCAACUUAGAUGACAAAGUAGACACAAGCACAUGCUUUUAGGACAAAGCAUCGGCAGCCACAUUGUCUUUACCCUUCUUGUAAUGAAUAACAUAAGGGAAAGUUUCAAGAAAUUCAAUCCAUUUGGCAUUCCGUCGGUUAAGCUUGUCUUAUGCCCGUAGAUGCUUCAAGGAUUCAUGAUCCGUUCGGAUCAUGAAUUCUUUAGGCCACAAAUAAUGUUUCCAAGUGGCCAAGGCUCUAAUCAAGGCAUACAAAUCUAAAUCAUACGUAGAGUAGUUUUGAGUUGCUCCUUUGAGCUUUUCGCUAAAGUAGGCAAUAGACUUCAAUUCUUGUAUUAAAACCGAACCUAUGCCGACUGUGCUAGCGUCACAUUCGACCUCAAAAGUCUUGUCAAAAUUCAAAAAUUGUAGCAAAGGGGUCGAGAUGAGCAUACUUUUUAAGUACUCGAAGGCCUUAGAUUGUUCAUUUCCCCACUUGAAAGGUCGAUCCUUUUUAAUCACUUCGGUCAAGAGGGAGGCAAUGGUGCUAAAUCCUUUGACAAAACGUCUAUAAAAACUAGCCAACCCGUGGAAGCUUCUCACUUAACCUAUGGUUUUGGGGUUUGGCCAAUUUUUUAUGGCGUCAAUCUUAGAUUCAUCCACUUUGACACCUCUUGAGCUGACCACAAACCCAAGAAAUAUAACCUCAUGGACACUAAAAGAACACUUUUCUAGAUUGGCAUAUAACUUCUCAUUUUGAAAGACAUCAAACACACAUUGUAAAUGCUUUACAUGCCCAUAUAAGGACUUACUAUACACCAACACAUCAUCAAAGUAAACAACAAUAAAACUUCCAAUAAAUGGCUUCAUCACAUGAUUCAUUAGCCUCAUGAAAGUACUUGGAGCAUUUUUUAGGCCGAAUGGCAUAACCAUCCAUUCAUAGAGACCGAAUUUGGUCUUGAAAGCGGUUUUCCAUUCAUCACCCGGUUGCAUACGAAUUUGGUGAUAUCCACUCCUUAAAUCAAUUUUAAAAAAGAAACACGAACUAUUCAAUUCAUGAAGCAUAUCAUCUAGCCUAGGAAUAGGGUGAUGAUAUUUUACUGUUAUCUUGUUGAUCGCUCGGCAAUCAACACACAUAUACCAAGUCCCGUAUUUCUUGGGCACUAGUAGCACCGGCACCGCACAUGGGCUCAUACUAUCCUUGAUAUACCCUUUGUUUAGGAGUUCUUCAACUUGGCGUUGCAAUUCCUUGGUAUCCGUCGGGUUGCUCCUAUAAGCUGCUUUGUUGGGCAAUUGUGAACCCGACACAAAAUUUAUUUGAUGCUCAAUUCCCCGAAGUGGGGGAAAUUCUUGUGGUAAUUCCUUUGGGAAGACAUUUUCAUAAUCCUGUACAACAUGAGAAAUAGGAGGAGAAAUGGAAACAUUAGUGGGGUUAGUAUUAAAACAAUGAGCCAAGAGGAACAUCAGAGUGUCCUCAUCAUGAUCCACAAAAAGUUCUUUCCUCCUAGCCAUCAUCAUCAUACUCCCUUGCCCCUUAUAAAUUAGGAGCUCCUCGGUUUCUCCUACUCUCUCACUCUCAGAUUCCCCUUUUUUUCCUUCACUCUUGGCCUUCUUUCCCUUUUCCCUCAAUUCUCACAUCUUUUUGUGUAAUUCAUUCACUCGAGAAGGCAAUAAUGGAUGAAGAGUGACCUUUCGGCCAUCCUUCUCAAGUGUAUAUCGAUUGGACCUUCCAUCAUGUUUAGUCAACCUAUCGUAUUGCCAAGGCCUUCUUAACAACAAGUGACAAGCUUGCAUUGGUAUCACAUCACAAAGCAACUCGUCAUAGUAGUUGGCUACCUUAAAAUGUAUCAAACAUUGCCUUGUGACCUUUAACUCGCCGCAUUCAUUCAACCAUUGAAACUUGUAAGGACUAGUGUGAGGUGUAGUCGGCAAUUUCAAAAAGUUCACUAUUGCAACAUUAACCACAUUCACACAACUUCUGCUAUCUAUCACCAUAGUGCACACACUUCCCUUCAUAAGACAUUUAGUAUGGAAUAGAUUCUCCCAUUGUCUAGGAUCAUCUAUCGCCUUACUAAUCAUGGCAAGCCUCACAACAAAGUUUGGAACCACACACUCCCCUUCUUGCAAAUAUGCAUCCUCACAAUCAUCAUCAUCAUCAUGUGGCUUAUUUUUGGGUUCCUCUCCAUCUUGAGUAUUGGCCUUAUUCUCUUUAUUUUCAAGACCCACCUCCUCACCAAGGUAAUACAAUCUCCCUUCCCUUAGGAUCACAUUGCAUUGUUUUGGACAUUUAUCGACUUUAUGUCCCCAACCUUGGCACUUAAAACAUUGGAACCCCUUAGGAUUAGGAUACUUGUGAGCCUCUUUCCUUGGUGGAUAUUUUUGCAUUGCCUUGGCCUCGGGUUUCCUUGUAGUGGUGGGUUGGUCUUUGUUUUUGUGCCAACCCGUGGUAGAGGAAGCAACCUCCUUACCCCCGGCCAACACGAGGGUGCUUGACCCUUGGCUUUGUAACUUGUUCUUUCCUUAAGUUCUCUUUCAAUUUCAACGGCUGCUUGAAAGAUGCCUUCAACGGUAUCAAAUUUAUGUAGAGUCAAGGCAGUAGCAAUCUCCUUAUUCAACCCACACUUGAACCGAAUAAUGUCAUGGCCGAUUUGUUCUCUCCGAUGGUCAAGCUUCAACAUGAGUUGUUGAAACUCAUCAUAAUAUGCCAUAACACUUUGAUUCCCUUGUCACAAGUUGUACAACCUCGCAAGCAACUCAUGAUGAUAACUUUUGGGAAGGUACCGUUGCCUCAUUAGAUACCUUAACCGAAACCAUAGUGGUGGUUUCCCAUCUAUCAACUCAUUGCCAAAUCGCUUGAUGUGUUCCCACCAAGUGUUAGCAUAGCCUUCAAAGUGGGCUAUGGCAUAAUAAAUCUUCUUCUCCUCUAAAAUAUCAUUCACUUGGAAUACCUUGUCACACGCCAUUUACCAAGCGAGAUACACCUCGGGGUCACUUUCACCCUUAAAGAUAGGUAGAGUCAAUUUGAUGGUAUUGAUGCCCACGUCUCUCUCUAGGUAUUAGUUUCCCCUUUCUCCAUACCCUCGGUAUCUCUUUGGAUCCACACGACCCCCUCUCAUAUCCUUCUCCCUCAUGUAGGCAUCAUCAAAGGCUCCAUACCCUUCAUAAUCCGCUCUACCAUAUUCCUCAAGGUGGACGGGACGGUUUUGGACAUUUAGAACUUGAUUCAGAGGAAUUGGAUUUUGUGGAGGUGGUGGUCUUUGGUUUAGUGGAGCUUGGAAAGGGGGGUUCAAGUUUUGUGGAGGUAUUUGACGUCCGAUUACCUCUUUCGGAACUUGAGGAAUUUGGGAAUGGGUUGGUCUAUUGGAGUCUCGAUUUAGAAUGUUAUGAGUGGUUUGGCUUGUGGCAUUUAGGGGAGCUAGUGAAGAAAUUGGAAAUUGUGGCCAUGUUUUGGGAGUAACAGUGGCGGAGGAAUUUCUAUCAUGUCCACUUGAUGAAACAUUUCGAGGCGUAGAAGGACGAGAGUUCCUUUGACUCUCCACUUGUUCUAUCCUCCCACUAAUAGUCGUCACUUCUCCCCUUAUGGCUCCCACUUCUGUACUCAAUCUUUCAAGAGCUCGAGUCAUAGCCUCAAGAGUGACCCUCAUAUUCUCCAUUACAUUAUAAUCCACGGUUUGAGACGUGGUUCCCUCCAUUGUCAAGGUAUCACCUACACAAACAACAAACAAGUUAGUUAAAAUCCCUCUUCUCACUCACACUUUUUUGGUUCACUCACACUCGAGCUCCACAAGUGUUGUAGAUUGGAUAGUUGAAUCCUUAAGGUAUAAGUAUGCUCUUAUCCGGAGUGGAUUUUUGUUGGAAAAUCAAUGAAUUCUCGUCGGACUAGAGCCAAGAGUUACAACGUAUUCAAAUGACAAAAGCACACAAACAAACGUUGACACUAACACAAAGAUUCAAAGGACUGAUUAACGAGCUAGUAGGAAUUUACCAGGUUGUCAAUUAGUGUUCGAACCAACAAAUGAAACUAAGAAACAAUAAAAUGAAACUAAGAAAUAUAAAAUUUGAACUCAAAAUAUUGUGUGAACAGUAAUUUAGUGAUGUGGUAGUCCACUAUUGGCCUCGGUUUUGUCAGAAUUUUACUCUCCAAUUUCAAGUCUUGACCAAUCUACAAUUUGGAAAUGGUGGAAUUGGUUAAUGGAGGGAAAUUUGGUCUUUAAGCUUCCUUUUCAAGUUCAAAACAAUACUUUACCUUCUUGGUACUUUCUCCUUGAAACAAGGUCAUCAAAUCAAGGAAAGUAGGUGAAAAGUGAUUGUCAAGUCUUUUGAGUGAUGUGAUCAAGUCUUUCAUCAACAAAUACUACAACUUGGUGUUUCACCUUUUGUGGAUCUAAUGUUCACUUUUUGUUUUAACAAAGAUGAAAAGGCUGAAGAACAAAAAGAACACAACAAGAACACCAAGAACAACCAACAACAACCAUGGCCAAAAUAAUCCACCACAACAACAAUGUUCAACAAUGGACAGCCAAGUUCAAGUUCACAAUAACAACAUCAAUUUUUAGAGCUCAAAUUUAGAUCGACUCAAAAUAUUAGUGAACAAGAGAACUAACACUAGAAAAAACACUCAAUACAAUUAAAAAUGUUGCCAAGACACAACAAGAAUACAAUUUUUGGCCAAGAACACAACAACAAACAGAUUUGACUGUUUCUGGAAUUUUUCAGUUUUCAGUUUUUUUUUUUUUGUAGUUUUCAAGUCCCAAGCCCAAGAUUGAUCUUGUUCAAAAACAAUUGAAGAUGGAUUUGAUACCAAAUGAUACAAAAGUGAGUGUGUAUCAAGAGAGUCAAGCCAACACAAGAACACAAGAAUAACAAGAUGGUCAACAACAAUGCUAGUGAAUCGAAAUAGGCCACACGCGGAUUCACUAGACUUCAAGGUUUACAAAAAUGACAAGAUGAUAGAGAUUACAAUAACAACAACAAGAGCAACAAAGUGGCAUCAACUAUAGUGAAUCGAAAAUAGCCCCACAAGGCUUCACUAUGUUGCCACACAAACAACAAGAUUACAAAAUUAAAGAUAGUAACUUGACAUACAAUAUUCAAGAAUCUAAGAACCCUAACAACAUGUAAGGACCUUAAUAUUAAAGAAUAUUAUCACCAAGCUCUUAUUUGGGCCAAGAGGAACUCAAUUACCUCAAGAUCCUAGUUUCUAGCCAAGAUUCAACCCAAGUGUCACUCCAAUUGGUAAUUUCGGUUUUAAACUUCUCCAAUGGAAGAGAAAAGUUCAAAAUAUUACAAGUUUUGAGUUCUCAAAAUAUCAUAAAUGAACUACCACAAGACUAGCCCUAACAAAUGACUUAUAUAGUCAAUUACAAAGGAGGGAUAAAAGACCAAAAUACCCUUGGCAUUAAGUGGGUGGGUUUGGGGUGUUUUGUUGGGCCUCUUCACAUUUGAAUAAGUAUAGGCCCUUGGAUGGGUUCACAAGGGCCUUACACAAGGCCAAGGAUGUGAACAAGGCUUGGAUUCGUUGUAACUCACGCGCUUGGAUUCAUGUGAAAGUUCUCGAGAUAGGAAUUCUCGUUUCAGAGAUGCUGCAGAAGAUGAAGAUUCAACUUCUUGCAUGUUACGUUGAACAUGUUUUUGAAAUCUGUCAUUCCAAAUCACUUGUUUGUUUUAAUUUUUUCUAAAUUGUUGUAUUCAUGUAAGGACUGCUGUUUUGUUUAACACUUUAUAUUAUUGUUGCAAAAUGGUGGAACUUAUAAAUUAAAUAACUAAAACCAAAUUGAUCCUCUUGAAAAUCUUGAAAUGGAAUGAAUUUGUUUCAAAUUGUUAGAGGAAUUGACUGUAUGACUACAGAUAGGCAAGUAAAAUAAAUGUUUUACAUUAGAAACACUAAAAGGGCAUCUAAAAUCAUGAAAACAUACAUAAUGGGAAAUGAUAAAAAAUGCUAUAUCAUAAAGCUAUACGAUUAAAAAAAGGGAGCUCAGUGCACGAAGUAUCUUGCAUUAACUCAGGUUAGGUAGAAGGAUUGCCCCCGGGGAUUGUAACACAGUCAGUCUACCUGACACAAAUAACAAUGACUAGUUUACGACACAAACUCAUGACCAAUAGGUCAUGCUGCUCCAAAAGCUUACAUGAUGAUAAGUGAAUAAAAAAGAAAAUUUGCAUUAUCAUUUUACUUUCUUUUUUUCAAUACAGUACCUAUAUGAAACUCUAAUGAUGCAGAAAAUCAGGCUCCAUUCUUCAAGAUUUUCCAAAUCAACCACUUAAGACUAGAAAAAAUUAAUUAGACCCCUCAAUGUUAAGUUUAAUUUCUUGAUUUUCCACCGCUUGGUGCUCAUAGCCAUUCCAUAUCCAAACUAAUAUCCUUUAGUGAAGGCUUAAGCCAUGAUUACAAAACUUCAUGUAUUUUUCACGCAGUGUCCGAGUCCUUUUCGCGGCCAGACCAAGCCCAUAAAUUUAACAAUGGAUAGUUAGUUAAUUAGCUGCAGGUCCUGCUCCUAUUAAUCUUCCACCUUCUGUUCGAGUAACAUCACACAAUCGGUUUUUGGUACAGUUUAUGGUGUGAGAGACAAGUCUAAAAAAGCAUUCUUUGCUCUUCGAGGCCUUUUGCGCACUUUAUGGGAAGAUCACCUACUACUAUUUCAGUUUCUGGAGGUAAACUCCUCGAAAAAAUGAUGCUGAUGAACAAACUCGAAAUGAAGUUGAUGUUGUUGAAGAUCAGUCUCUUGCAGAAAGUGACUCAGAGGAGAAAAUGUAGAGUUAUUUUGUCAAUUGUGUUUCUAUUAUGUAACACCCCACACUUUCGGGCUAAAGUUUGAACCAUCAUUUGUACGCAUAUAUACCCGACCUAAUGAUUCUUUGUUAAUGUAUGUGUUAUGCUAAAUCCUACAGUGUGUGAAUACCUUUUAAUAUGAAUUGAGGUUACAAAAAAAACCCCAAACUCAAAGACGAGUUGGAAACUUUUCUAUCGAUUAAGUUUUGGUGAACGCCUAAACUUGGGUCAAUUUCCAUUGACCAUAACUUCUAGUAUAUAUCGAAUUAGGGGUCCUACUAUAUGUCAAAUUAAAGGUCUUCGAGUCUUAUUUCCAAUGCAAUAAGUUUUUUGUUAAUCAGAUACUAGAGUAGAAAGUUAUUCUCAUUUUACUUCCAAGUGUCUAUCUACCAAAAAAGUGAUGACGAGGCUGACGACCUAUCAACUAGGUGAUGGCCCAUCAGCCCUGGUCGUCAGCCUACAGCCUACAGAACAAAAAGGUAAAAUCCAUCCCCAAAGUGAAGACCUAGGUGAUGGCCUAUCACCUGAUCGACGGCCCGUCAAUCUUGGUUGUCAACUGAUGAAGUUUUGCAACUUUUUUUUGUUUCCUUAGGGGUAUUUUGGUAUUUUCCUCACCCCAAACUUUUCCCACGCGAUUUAAAUCAUCCAAAACACGUUAUAAUCCUUUUUUUUAAUCAGUUUUUUAACAUCUUAAAUCCUCUCCUCUCUCAAGAAUAAAAUAGAAACUAGGUUUCCAGCAAAAUCAAGAAUCAAAUUCUUAAGUCCAAGAUUUUCAAAGAACAAAUCAUGAUUCGAGUCCUACUCUUCAAACCUUUUAAUAUAAGGUAUGCGGGGUUUUCCUUAAACUACUUGGGCAUAAGGAAAUGGUUUCAAUAACUUUUAACAUUAUGAAAUCAUGAAUUCUUGAAGGUGUUUUGGAAAUUAUAUUGAAAUUUUGCAUUUAGGAAUUCUUUAAUGAUAUCAUUGUUUUGGUCUUGAGGCCUUUCCCCCAAAUUGGUUUGUAAUCUUAUAUAUGUAUGAAUGUGUUUAAAGUUGACAUUUGAAUUAAGAUCAUGACUAUUUAUGCUACCUCUCAUGUUUCAACACAUUUUGGUUUUAGAAUGUUAUUUAGAAGCAUGAUAUCAAAGUUCUUGACUAUUGUUGAAUGAUUUAAGACUGAUCUUUAAAUUGAUGAGAGGGGUUUUUACAUAUUCAUAAAUGUUGAAUAUAUAUAUAUAUAAUGAAAGAAUUUCAUGGUUUACCAAAACUAUAUGACCAACACCUGUUUGUUAAAAUGUUGAAAAGAGUGAUCUUUGCAUAACUUGAUAAACGUUUUGAAGUCUGAAUCUUUUUGAAUUGUUGAUGUAUGGUGGUCCAAACUUUAUGUUUUGAAAGAAGAUACUAUGAUAUGAUAUUUUAUGGAUCGAAAAUAUGACUUGCAAGUCUUGGUAUGACGAUACCAAUUCCAAUAAUGCCAUAGCAAAUUUAGAAUAGUCCAAGGAUGUAGAUUUUGCUUAGAUUUUUAGAAUUUAAUUUUAGAAAGAUGCAUGUUUAGAACAGACUAAAAAUGGGCUUAAGAGAUGUUAGGUGGUUACCCGAAAAAGGAAUGAGCCAUAAAGCUCAUUGGCUGAAAUCAUUUUUUGCCGAUAUGGAUUAUUAUGUUACCCAAAAGGAAAAUUGUAUGCUGGCGAUAGACCUGUGGUGUAGUAGAUAAUCAGAAACUCCAACUCUAGCGGCGAAUUUGGGUUGGGGCUUGGCUUCCGAGUUAAGGGCGGACUCCAUAUAGCCCGUGGGGUCGUAGAAUUGUAGGGUGUACCACCUAACUCAGAAGUAAUACAAAGAAUAAAACUGCAGUGACAAGAAUGCUUUAUGAUUAUCAAAGAAUACCUAUGUAUUUUAAACUAUAUCAUGCAUGAUGUUUCAUGAAUUUCUCACACCUAUUUUAUAUAUGUAUAAAGUCAUUAUCUUGGAAUGCUCUGUAUACCUAUAUAAAUGUAACUAUAUUUCAGGGUCUGAGGCCCAAUCUAGAGGUCCUGCUAAGCCGUAGAGUUUUUUAGACAGAAAAGAAGUGGGACGUUUGUGAGUCUUCUCUAUUUUGGAAGGCCUAUUUCUUUCAAACACUUGUUAUUUAAUUUGUUUUAGGUCCACUGGGGGCUUGUCCCAGUUUUAGACAGUUUGUUAAUUUUCAUAUGUAUUAGAGAUUUUGCAAACAAAAAUAGAUGUUGUCUAGAUGUGGAUAGAUCUUCUUUCAUAUUGAUAUACAUAACUCAAAACAUGAAUAUGAUUCCAUAAUUAUUUAUAUUUCGACAUCCUUUCUUUAUUGUAUGAGUAUUGUAUAUGAUUACUAGAUGUAGAAUGGCACCCGAGCCUCCAUGGUUCCGGAUGCUCGUUACGACUAGAGCCCCAACUCGAGUCGUGACAAACUUGAUAUCAGAGCACAAUUCAUGGUACCAGGGUAUCUGCAAAAUCGUGUCUAGUAGAGUCUUGAUUAUGGGUAUAUUGUGCACCACACUUAUAAUCAGGAGGCUACCCAACAUUUAGGAGCUGUUUCUUAUUCUUUCAUAUUCUAGUUCGUGCUAUAGCAUCAUCCAUAAGAAAUUUAUCCAAAAUUCCUUCCAUGUUUUAAUUUCAUGGGUCAUACCUCAUUGUUGAGGCGGUACAAGCCUAAGAGUCUAGCUCCCCCAUUGAGGUGGUUCUCUCUGAUUGAGUAAUCCAUAAAAGUUAUGAGAUAGCACAAAGACUUGAAAGGAGUCCAUUAGUUCUUCAAGGUGUAUUGAUUCGAGUGUAUACCUUUAUCUUGAUGAAAUUAUGCUUUCCAGCCUGAGGUAUAAAGGGUAUUUAGCCCCCUUUCAAAAAAUUUUGUUGCAGAUGUCAUGCAUAAGGAUAAUGGUGUAUAGUAGAAUGUUUGAACUUUAUUUUCGCUCGAGUAGUAGUAUAUGUGAAUGUGUCAUGAUCUGCUGGUAGUUAGAUGGUCCAGAUGUUGGUGACAUAAAGUCAUAAGGUUAGAAAUCAGAGUGAGGGUGACUUUUAUGUAAAUAAGUAGUUGUUGUCUAACCAUUGAAUGAGGGAUAGUUUUUCAUUUAAUAGUGGAAGAGUAAUAUGGUAGCAAUAUUUAUAGAUUGUAUGGUAGUCUGUGCAAAAAGUGGCAGGAUAUGAUCUUAAUUAAUUUAAAUUAGGUAAGGGGCCUAGAGUGUAUGGUUAUGAUGGUUUUAGAAAUCAAAUAUAGGUUGUGAAUGAAAAUGAUAGACUACUCAAUAAGUUAUCGAUAGAGACUCAUUGGUGUUUAUGAAAUUUGGUGAUAGUGAGAAUGUAUACAUUGGUAAGUAAGUAUGAUGUGAGAAAUGAGAAUACAUUGAUAAGAUUGAAAUGUGUUAUAUUAUAAGGUUAAGAUCGACUAUCCCUAUUGUGUGACUUUAUCCCUUUGAUUGUCUUUUCUUUAGUAGUUGUAAACUAGUACUAUGUGCGAAUAUAGGUGGUGGAACUUGAGGUGUAGUAGUAAUGUCAAGGGGGGAUGUGAUUGUAGGUAGUAGAUAGGGAAAAUGAAGUAUUUUGGGUUUAUUUUCCAAUUUGAUGGAUUAGUAUAGUAUGUGGCAUGCUUCGUUGGUGGUACAUAAUUGAUGUUAGAUAGUAGGCUUGAACUUUAGAAGUAAAGUGUGGCGCUAAGAAUAGUAGCUUAAGACUAAUGAUGUGUAUUUUGAGGAAACGAACUUGUAGUUUUGAUGGGAGGUGUGCAAUAGCUUAGGUUGGAAACUGGUGGAAAAAGGAGUGGACAAUUAUGAUAUAUUUAUAUGCAUGGGAUGAGUGUUAGAACGACGAAUUGUGGUUAAGUCAUUAAGUGGAUAAAAACGUGAGUAUUAAGGUAUAAGUUGAACCCCAGGUGGAAGGUUGUUAGAUAAAGUUUUAUGUGUAUAAGUAUUUGGUGUACCUAGUUUGUGUUCUUGAAAUUCGUCGUAUGGAGACAUCUGGGGAAGAGUAAAGAGUUGUUGUAUGGUGUUCGUUAUAGAGGAAUUGAGAAAAUAUAGGUAAGAAAUAUGUGCCUUUUGUAUAGUUUCGCGAAUUUUUUUAAGUUGUAAGUUGUGCGAUUAGAGGUGUAAAGCUAGCAUUCUAAGGAAUUGAAAAUGGAGUGUUAAGUGUUUAGAAGCGUGCAUAUCUAUGCUUAUGAGGAUGGUAGUCAUAAGUUAAUAACCUUGGGGGUUGGAGGAAAUUACGAUUUAGUCUUCCUGGAAGGGCGAGGUUCUAGAAAGAAACUAGUAUCUUUAUAUUUUAUUAAGGUGGAGUUUGUGUUCAUGUGUAUAUUGAUACCCCUUUGUGAUAAGGAGUGUGGAUGCGUACACUCAUGAGAAUGGGAGUUUUACAGUGAUGUCUAUCGAGGUUAGUGAAAGUUAAGAGUAGCAUUUUUUUCGGAAAGCAAGGCCUUCAGAGUAUAGUUCAUUAGGGAGAGUUUAGAGUUUAAGUUUAUGGUGAUGUCUCAUUUGCAUUGAGAGUUGUGGCUAUAAAUUUUUAUGUGAGGUUAUAUAUGCAAUUCUAAGGAUGUGAAUUUUGUCUAAGGGGGAGAUGAUGGAUUAAAGUAGUUUCAAAAUUUUCUUGUGGUGUCAAGUUUCAAGUAAGAAUCAUGAUAAAUCAAUUCCUAUUAAAGCAAGCUCCGCCUACUUAAAAUUGAAUAAACAUCUACCAAUGUCUUAUGUAUCUAAGUCUUGCCUAUGUCUACGGUUUGAGCUCUCUAUGUAACUUAUGUCAUGUACGACCUCUAAAUUAGAAGCAAUAAUAUCCCUCAAUGAUCCAUUAUUCAAUGUAUUCAAGAUCUAUGUUAUGUUGCUCAUGAUCCAUAAAAUUCCAUGUCUCGCAUGAUGCGUGAUUCGAAGAGACUAUGCUUUCCAUACAUUACCGAUUGAUUUUAUGUUGGGAUUAGUCAAAUUGAUAAAUGUAACACCACACAUUUUGGGCUUUAAUGAAAACCGUCAUUUCUACGCGUAGAUGAUCCAAAAGCCAUAAAUCCUAUGUAAAUUUGGCAUGUUAAUAAAUUAUGUAGUGUAGGAACCUAUUUGAGCCUGAAUUGAGAUCAUAGAGGUCCCCAAACUCAAGGAUGAGUUGAAAGCUUUCCUAUCGUUCGAGUUUGAGUAAGCGUCGAAACUUGGGUCAACUUCAAUCGACCAUAACUCUUUGUAUAUAACGAAUUAUAGGGCCUACUAUAUAUCAAAUGAAAUCUCUUCGAAUUAGCUUUCCAACGAUACUAAUUUUGCAAAAAUCCGAUACCCAAGCAAAAAGUUAUGGCCAUUUUCGUGACUGAGAUAGUAGCAUCAUGCGAUUAGCGUGCGACACACACUCUGUCGCACAUACCCAAUUUUCAGGUUUUGUUUUCGUGUUUUUAAGGGCUAAAGUGAUAUUUUUCACCCCCUAUUCAGCCAUAACACGGGAUUAAAUCCCCCAAACACCAAAAUAACAUUAUUUUCUCUCAAAAUCACCAAGAAUUAGGGUUUCAACUCAAAAAUCAACAUAUCUCAAGAUUUAACCGUAGCUUUUCCUUAAUUCCUCAAGAAUUGAAAUCCCCAUAGCAAGGGCUACAAGAAUCACCUAUCAAUCGUACGUAUAGCAUCCCUAAUUUGAGAGUUCAUUCAAAAGCUUCUAAUUUAAGGUAUGCGGGGUUUUCCUAAAAUCUCAUGGGCAUAGAAAUCUUCUUUUAAUUAUGCAAAGGGUUUAGAAAUCGUGAUUUUAAGAAAAGGGUUUUGGAUUUAUGAAUACAUUCAUGUUCUAGAAGCCUUAAUGAUAUUGUUUUGGUCUUUAGGCCUUCCCCCAAAGUGAUUUGAAAUCUUAUACGUAUGUAUGUUUGUGUUAUAAGUUGAUAGUUGAAUUGAAAGCAUGACUCACAUGAAAUCCCUCUCUUGAUAUGAUUUUUCCCAUUUUUCAUAUGAUAUGGAUUGUUUUGAAAAGCAUGAUAUGAAACAUCUUAAUUUAUACUAUGACUUGAAUAUGAUUUUGGAAUCAAAAGAGAGGGUUGUGCAUGCUGAUAAUUAUUGAAUAUACAUAUAAUGAAAGAGUGCAUACUUUUUUCAAAAGCACAUGACCACCAUAUGUUUGAAGAAUUCUUGCAUAGUUUUGACUUAUGUUUUGAAACAUGAAAUAUCUUAUACUAUUUGCGUGUUUGGGUGGUCUGAAUUGAGUUUUUUGAUGAAAGAAUCAUGCAUGAUGCAUUGUGGCUCAGAAAUAGGACUUGCAAGUCUUGGUGUGCCGACACCAACUCAAAUAAUGUCAUGGUAAUUCAGAAUAGAAUAGAAUGCAUGUUUGAAAUAAGAUAUUUAGAUUUUGAAACUAGAAUGAUGCAUGUUUCGGAACAGGCUAAAAUUGGGCAUAAAAAGAGUGUAGGUGGUUCCCCAAAUAAGGCACGAGUUCAAACAACUCAUUGCCCGAAAUCGUGUUUUACCGAUACGGGUAUAUUAUUGUAUGCUGGCGAUGGCUCUGUGACGUAGUAGAUUAAGAGACUCCAACCCUUACGGAAAACUUGGGUUGGGGGCUUCCCCGACAAGUCAAUGGUGGAUUCCAUAUAAACCGUGAAAUAUCAAACUUGUAGGGGAGUGCCACCUAACUCAGAAGUAAUACAAAGAUCAGAAAACUGCAUUGACAGAAAGGUUUAUGAUGAUAAAAAAUGUCCAUGUGUUUUGAAAAUAUAUCUUUCAUGAUGUUUAUGACUAGCUCUGAACUAUUUUAUUUAUAUAUACAAGCUUUAUUUUAGAUUUUUUUGCGUACCAGUACAACUGUAUUGACCCCCUACCUUCCAGGGUCUAAAGCUUAGUCUAGAAGUCCUUCUAAGCCGUAAUAGUGAUAUGUGCAAUUGGUGAUCCUUCUUUAUUUUAGAAGGUCUAUUUCUUUCAGAUUAUGUUAUUUAUUUUGGCUUAGGUACACUGGGGCCUUGUUCCAGUUUCAGACAGUUGUUAUUUUCAGAUGUAGUAGAGAUUUCAUAGACUUGUUUAGACAUUAUCUAGUUGUCAUUAGGCUUUACUUUCUAUAUUAUAAAUUAAGUUAAGAUUCAUGACCAUGAUUCAUUUCAUUAUGUAUUUUCCACAUUUCUUAUUUGUAUAUGAAUGGUGUAUAUAAUUACAAGUUAGAAGGGCUCUCGGGUCUUUAUGGUUUGGGAUGUUUAUUACGGCCAGGAUCUCGGCUUGGGUCGUGACAAACUUGGUAUCAGAGCACGGUUCACGGUCCCAGGUUGUCUGUGAAAUCCCAUCAGGUAGAGUCUUAUUUGUGGGUGUAUAGCGCACCACACUUAUAUGAAGGAGGCUACUAGGCAUUUAGGAAUGUCUGUCUUUCUUCAUAUUCUAGUUCGUGCUAUGGAGUCAGAAUAUUUCUCUUACAUACUCUAAUUCGUGAUUUGGUGUCGCCCAUAUGGAAGUAAAGUCAUCCCAAUUCUUUCCUUACUUUGAUGUGCUUAGAUAUGUCUUAUUAUUGGGGUAGUGAAGUGUAGAGUAUGGUCCUUUCUGAUUGAGUAAUAUAAGGUUUUAAAAUUAUGCAAUGGCUUGAGAAGAGUCUGUUAGUGCUUCAGAGCGUAUUGAUUCUAGUGUGAACUUUCAUUCUGAUGAGAUCGUGCUUUUCAGCCUGCAGUAUUAAGUGUAUUCGGUCUUUUUUAAAAAAUUAUGUUGCAGAAGUCAUGCCUAAAAAGGGGAAUAAUGUGUAGAAGAAUGUUGGAACAGUAUUUCCACCCAAAUGGUAGUAUGAGUUAAAGUGUUGUUGUUAUGACCUAUUGGUAGUGAUAUUGGACUAAUGAGUUGGCGAUAUAAAGUCACAAGGUUAUAAGUCAGAGUGAGGGUGACUAACACCUUAGUUUUAUGAACCAAAAUGCUACAGGAUGCUCAUGACCCUGAAGGACCACAAGCUAACCCAUGACAGAUAUUUGUACCUUAAUACUGCAUAAAAGACUGUAAAAUGCGGAAAUAUGAAUUGAAAGUCUAUAAGGUUCAAUACUAAUACAUAACUGAAAAUAUGGUAUACAAUACCAAAACAAAUCUGAAACAACUGUCUGACAUGCUAUAGUCUGAAAGCCUCUAAACUAUCUGAAUAAGGAGUUGAUGGGACAUGUCCCCAAGUAACUCCAACUAAUGAAAUAAACUGAAAACUUAAAUAGUAAUGUAAUCAACAUGUCCUCGAAAGAUGAGGACUCACUGCUAACUUUGUUUGCUUAAACCUAUAAUGCUACUAACACUCUAGAUCUCGUGCUUCUAAACCUAUGGUAUAAGACACUAUAGUGCAAAUAUGUCAGUACUUUGAAUGUACUGGUAUGUAAGUAAGGUAGGCUAAAUACAAUAGGGUUCAUAUGCAUGAAUAAUACUAACUGACUGACUAACAUGAAUGUGAGAAUACAUGCAUACCUACGUAACUGUAACUAAUAUCGUGAUAGGACUGAAUACCGAGUUCUGACUACUGAGUUCACUAAUAUUGACAUCUAAGUCACUGAAGAGUGAGAAAGACUUAUACUGUAUUACUAAAUACUGAGGGACUGAUACUAUAUUACUGAUACAUGAAUAACUGUGUCUAACAGUUCUGAUUAUGAAGAACUGGUCUGGUUGACCGUGUUUGACAAUCCUGAAGCUAAAUACUGAUAACAUGAGUUCUGAUAACUGACAUAACUAAUAACAUGAGUGAAUGUAUCUAACAGUCCUGAAUCUGAUGGAACUAGCUAAGUUCCAUACUAUAUCUUAGUAACUAAAUCUGAGAUCAGUCCUAUCUAGCGGGUGAUCUCUGAGUCUGAUUAUGCUACUACUAAUUGACCAUAGUUGAGAUUAGUCCUAUCUAAUGGUUGAUCCCAAAGUCUAUUUAUAAUUAUAAGGAUCGACUGUAUCUGAUAGUCCUGAAUCUGUACUACUGAGCUGAAUUGACUAUAUCUGACAGUCCUAAUUUUGUAAUUGAAACUAUGAGAUGUAUUCAUCUAACCGACAUACCCCUUUCUAGCUAGUCUAGGGUCCAACCUAUAACCCCAGUUGGAAGGGUGUUAGUAUCGCGCCACUAGUAAAGACAACUAAUGUGGAGUCAAUCCUAAUCUAGUGGGUGACCCCUGGGAUCAAUCCUAUACAUUUAAAUGUGUUAACGGGUGAUCCCUAAGCAUGUCAGUCCUAUCUAACGGGUGACAUCUCAUACCUAUGCUGGCUACGUAGUUUUGGAACUUAGGGAUUGCUUCUAGGGAUCUCAGUCCUAUCUAGUGGGUGAAUCUUCAUCCUUAGGCUCACUCGGUGCGGAAUCCUACUCCCAUUUGAAAGAUAGUGAACUAAUUAAUUGAGCUAAACUAAUUAAAUGAGUUGAACUGAUUAGCUAAACUGAACUAAUUAGCUAAACUAAACUGAUUAACUGAACUGAACUGAUUAGCUGAACUGAACUGAUUAGUUGAACUGAGGUGAGUUUAAUAAGUUUCAUGACUAACAGAAUACUUGUGAUAUCUGAUAGAUGACUGAGUUCAUGAGAUUUCUAAGAUUAAUGGGAAUGCUGAGGUUACUGAAAUUAUUGAGUAUUGAGAUCUCUGAGAUUACUAAACUACUGAGAUUAAUGAGAUUUCAGAGUUUUACUGAGUCACAUGACUGAAUGAGUUCUAUGGAUCAUGGCUUGGCUGAGAAUAUCGUGAAAACAUGACUUUGCUCUAGGCAUACAACUAUAGUUUUUGGGUACAAAUGUAACACCCUAUUUUUUUUAGAAUCGGAAUACCACACAGUGUUCAUGACCCCAAAGGACCACAAGCUAACCCUUUGCUGAUAUCUGUACCUGACCACUGCAUAAUAUAUUAUAAUAAAUAUGGAAAGCUGGCGAAAACUUUCCAUAAGGUUCAAAAUGUCUAAAAUACUCAAAACUUAAAGUUAAAUACUAAUGCAUCUAUCUGAAAAAGCCUCUAACUGUCUGGACGGUGGAGUUGAUGGGAUAUGUCCCCAACUAACUCUAUCUACUGAUAAUAAACUGAAUCUAAUGAAGAACUAAAAUAAGAAGCAUCCUCAGAUGGUGAGGACUCACUGCUACAUGAACUAUUGCUGACUGAGUCUGGACUGCUAAGGGUGCUCUAGGGCUCGUGAUUUUGAACCUAUGGCGUCAAAUAAAAUACCAUAGCACAAAUGCAUCAGUAUGAGAAUGUACUGAGUAUGUCGAUGAGGUAAGGCUAAAUACAAGGGCUUAUGCAUAAACAAUAACUAAUUGAAUUAUAUGCAAGAGCUGGAUUAGAAUACAUAGAAAAUCUAUAACUACUUAACAUACUGUGCAUACUGUGAAUGAGAAUACUGAGACUGAAUCGGAUAACUGAUACUGAAUAUACCACCAAUCUGAGGUUUCUGAACAUAUUGAGAUUAUACAUAUCAGAAGCUACUGAAACUGAUAUCCAUACUUAUUAAUACUGAUAAACUGGAUGACUGAGCCUAAUGAUAAUUUGUAUCGACUGGCUAAAUCUGAGAUCAAACCUAUCUAGCGUGAUGAUCUCUAAAUCUUCUAAUAAAGAUUAAGAUUGACUAAGCUUGAGAUCAGGCCUAACUAACGGGUGAUCACUGGAACUGAUACUGAGAAUACUCGACUGAAUUUGAGACUGAGAUCAAGCUAAUUUAAUAGGUGAACUCUGUAGGUACUGAUACUGAAUAGCUUUAUGUUAGACCAAGCCUAUCUAGCGGGUGGUCUAUAAAUCUAUGGAACUAUCUGAGUUCCUUACUUGGGUUGAUGACUGUAUCUGACAGUCCUAAUUUUUGAGUUUUACUCUGAAGACUGAUAUUGAAACUGUAACUGUGGGAGUUCUCACUUAACCGACAUGCCCCAAAUCUGAUCUGGUGGGGUCCAACUUGUAACCACAGCUGGAAAGGUGUCAAUACCGUGCAACGAGUAAAGACACCUGCUAUAGUCAAGCCUUUCUAAUGGGUAACCCUAAACAUGAAGUCAAGCCUAAGGCAGUAUGAUAGUCAAGCCUUAAUAUAACGGGUGACUCCUGGUCCUGUGCUGGCUACACAAUUUUAGAGUAUAGGAAUUACUGCUAAUGACUCUACCUCUCUAACGGAGAAAGCCAUCAUCCCUGCAUUCGCUCAGUGCUUGUUACUACUACCAACUGAAGGACUCUAAACUAAUACUUUACUGAACAUAGACUGAGAUGAAUCAGUUACUGAUCAUAUUUCUUGACUAAUCAAACUGAGUUUACUUGGUUUCAUUAUUUGGUGGAAUACUUAUGAAUUCUACUUUCUUCUUGAAAGUGACUGAUGUCUAAGGCUGGAUUGAACUUGUAACACCCCGACGUCUUCUUAGCUAAAUUCCAUCGAUGGAAAGUCUAAGAAUUAGGUUUUAGAAAAAUCUAAAUUAAUUUUCAUGUGGAAUUUCCUAGAUUUCAACCUUUUAUUACGUAGAUGACUGAAUUAGUUUUCCAACAAUAUAAGAUUCGUCCAAAAUGGACCCUCGGUGAGGAAGUUAUGAAUACUUUAAAGUUCUAGUCGUAAAUAUCGUCAUUUUUGUGUCUAGCGCAUUGCGGAGAGGGUCAAAUUUACAAUUGUAAAAUUCCAGUGGGGCUCCGCGAUGGUGGUGCAUCGCGGAGGAACUCAAUUUCCCACUCGUCAAAUUCCAGUAGACCACCGCGAUUGUGGCGCGUCGCAGUGGCACCCAAAAUCGAGUUUUUAAGUUCAAAUUUUCAAUUCUGUUUAGGAGUCAUUAAGGGUAAUUUUGACUUUUCCCUACCUUUAAAACCUUCCAAACAAAGGAUUUAGGAUAUGUUUGAGCAACUUAACCCUACGUUCCUCAAAAUCAUCAAGAAUUCUCUCUAGAGCUUCAAACAGGAACUUCAAGAAACUCAAGAUUCAACCGUGGGUUUUCAAAACUGAUUCAAGAUUCAAAAUCUCCAGAUCAUAGGCUUCAAGAAACACCCAUUUUUUUUUCCUAUUUUAAGGUACGCGAGGUAUUCUAAAAAUCUCAUGGGUAUAGAAAUCAUGAUUUUAAGAAAGGGGUUUUCAGAUUUAUGAAUGCAUUCAUAUUUUAGAAAUUUUGACAAUAUUGUUUUGGUCUUUUGACCUUCCCCAAAUUGAUUUGAAAUUAUAUAUAUAUAUAUAUAUAUAUAUAUAUAUAUAUAUAUAUAUAUGUAUAUAUUCCCUCUCUUGGUAUGAUUUUCCCAAUUUUCUUAUGAUAUAGAUUAUUUUGAAUGUAUCUUGAAAAGCAUGAUAUCAAAUAUCUUGAUUAAUUCUACAAAUUGAUUUAUGAUUUUGAAUUCAAAAGAGAGGGUUGCGCAUAUUGAUAAAUGUUGAAAAUAUUCAUAUAAUGAAAGAGUGCAUGAUUUUGCCAAAAGCACAUGACCAUCAUAUGUUUGAACAAUCUCAGCAUAGUUUUGACUUGUGUUCUCGGAACAUGAAUUCUUUUAUAUUAUUUGUAUGUUUGGGUUGUCGGAACUGUGUUUUAAUGAAAGAAUUAUGCAUGAUGCAUUAUGGCUUGAAAUCAGACUUUUUAAAUGUUGAAACUAGAAACAUGUAUGACUUAGAAUAGGAUAAAAUUGGGCAUAAAGAGAGUUUAGGUGGUUUCCCAAAGAAGGCGUGAGUAUUAAACAACUCAUUACCCAAAACCUUGAUUUGCCUAUUUGUGUUUAUUUAUUAUGCUGGCCUAGAGCCCUGUGGCGUAUCAGAUUCGGGAACUCUAACCCUUGUGGCAUACUUAGGUUGGAGGCUUCCUCACCGAGUCAAUGGCGGAUUUCAUACCACCUGUGGAAUAUCAGAAUUGUAGGGGAAUGCCACCUAACUCAGAAGUAAUAUACAGAUCAGAACUUGCUUUGACAGGCAGGUUACAUGUUUUGCAGAAAUAAGCCCAUAUGUUUCAAAAGCCACUUGAUGUAUAAUAUUUUGACAAAGUUGUUUCCCAAACUAUUUUAUUUACAUAUAACCUUCAAUUUGGAUUUCUUUGCGUACCAAUACAUCUGUAUUGACCCUCCCUCCUCCCUCCAGGUUCUGAGGCUCAGUCUAGCGAUCUAGGAAGGUAGUAGAUUCAUCAGACAGAGUUGCAGUGAUUAGUUGGUGAGCCUUCUCUAUUCCAGAAGGCUCGUCUUUCAGAUAUUGUCGCUUAUUAUCGUUUUGGUCUACUGGGGUCCUUGUCCUAGUUUUCAGAAAGUUGUCAGAUUUUUUUGUAGUAGAGAUUUUGCAGACUGAGUCAGAUGUUAUUAGACGUAGUUAAUUUUCAAUUUUCAUACUUAUGCUAAAUUCAGAAUUAACCAUGAUUCUGUAGCAGAUUAUGUUUCUGCAUCUUCUUUAUUUAUAUGAAUGUGUGCAUGCUUACCAGAUAAAGAGGGACGUUUUGGGUACUCAGGGUUUGGGAUGUUCAUUAUGGCCAGGCCCUAGUUUGGGUCGUGACAAACUUGGUAUCACAGCACGGUUCAUGGUCCUAGGUUGUCUGCAAAAUAUCGUUGGGUAGAGUCUUGUUUAUGAGUGUGUAGCAUGCCGCACUUAUAAGCAGGAGGCUACUAGGCAUUUAGGAAUGUUUCUCUUCUUUGUGAUUUAGUUCGUGCUUCAGAGUCUUAUCUAUCCCUUAGUCAAUGAUCUCUUGUUUUUUAAAAAAACUAGUUAUGCCUCCCCAUCUCACCAACGUUAAUGAUCAAGAAGACAAAGUCCAUCCCACUCAUGGGAUGACGACACAUAAUAGAGCUCACACUCCAGAACCAAUCCCUACUCUGGGAGUCCCUCUAGUCCUAAGCAGUCCACUUAGGGCUCCUUGGACUAAUGUUAACUGUCACCCGACUACUCAGAGGGAUAUUUUAAAUGCAGAAUUCAGACAAUCUAAUCAUAUGCUGACAUAGUUGGUUGCUAAUCAGGCCCAACAAUCAGAAGAUGUUGGGUUUGCACCUGUUACAUUUGAAGCUACUAGGGUGGGUUAGUUUAUGAGAAUGAACCCACAUAAGUUUACUGGCACUAAGGUAGAAGAGGAUCCAUAAGAGUUCAUAGAUGAAAUGGAGAAGAUUUUCAGAGUGAUACAUAUGGACCAGGUGGAAGGUGUUGAGCUAACGGCAUACCAACUAAAGGAUGUAGCGAACCAAUGGUAUAAUGAGUAGUAAGAGGUGUAGGGUGAUAGUGCUGAUCCCACAAUGUGGGAUAAGUUGGUGGAAGCUUUUCUUGAUCGGUUCUUUUCUCAAGAUUUGAGGGAAACCAAAGUGGAGGAGUUCAUAAACCUUAAGCAGGGUAAGAUGAGUAUUCAGGAGUAUACUUUAAAUUUUAAUCAGCUGGCCCGUUAUGCUCCUAAGAUGACAAGCAGUAUGAGGGCCCGAAUGAGGAAGUUUGCUUCUGGACUUUCAGAUGAUCUAUUUCUUGAAUGUUAAGGGGCGAUGCUAAACAGGGAAUUGGACUUUGCUAGGCUGAUAGUCCACAUGCAGUAGGUUGAGGAGAAUAAGAAAAAGAUAGCCAAGUACAGAGAGAAGGAAAGGCAGAUGAAGAGAGCCAGAUCAGCGGAUCAGAAACGCAGUUAGCAGCAGGGUGGUAAUUGGGGUAAUAAAUGGAAAAAUAAGAAAUUUUACGCCAAGGCUCAGUCUAUAGCUAGAGGCCCAAUGCCCAGUCCUCUAAUUGAUAGUCGAUCUCAGAGUUUUCAGGCCGUCCAGGUACCCAGAGCUCAGGAUACUCAAUCGCAAGAUAGUGUGGCUCAGCAGUACCAUUCUUAUCCGCGAUGUAAGACUUGUGGUAGGCAUCAUUAGGGAAGGUGUCAGUUAGGCUCGUCGGUGUAUUAUUCAUAAGGUCAGAUGGGCCACUUCCAGAGAGAAUGUCCCUCUACUAGGAGGAAUGUUGGUGGAGCUAAGUCUCAAGCAAACUCUUCUACACCACCACCACCUCAAAAGGGUACCAAUUUAGCUGCCGGGAGCGGUCACAACUGGCUGUAUGCUCUAACUAAUUGCCAGGAGGCGGAAGCCUCGCCAGACAUAGUCAGUGGUACGUUACAAAUCUUUUCCCAUGAGUCAUAUGUAUUGCUUGAUACCGGGUCUACCUUAUCUUAUGUGACCCUAUAUGUGGCUGUUGGUUUUAGGUUUGAACCUGAUAUGAUGCUGAACCUUUCUCUGUUUCCACUCCGGUGGGAGAUUUGAUUUUGGCUAUAAGGGUAUACAAAAAUUGUGUUGUGUCUAUUCUUAGUAGGGAUACUAUAGCAGACCUCAUAGAACUUUAUAUGGUUGCUUUUGAUGCAAUCCUAGGGAUGGACUGGUUCUAUUGGUGUUAUGCCAUACUAGACUGUAGGACCCAAAAGGUUACCUUUUCUUCUCCGAAUGAGCCAGCAAUAGAGUGGGAGGGGCAUUUCUUAGCACCUAGAGGGCACUUCAUAUCUUAUCUCAUAGCCUGUAAACUUAUUUCUAAGGGUUGCUUGUACCAUCUUAUUUGGGUUAAAAAUUCUAACUCCGAAAGUCUCCCCCUUUAUUCUAUCCCAGUAGUAAAUAAAUUUCCAGAAGUUUUUCCAGAUAAUCUCCCAAGAAUUCCACCUGAUAGGGAGAUAGAAUUUGGCAUUGAUGUGUUGCCAGAUACCCAUCCUAUUGCUAUUUUGCCAUAUAGAAUGGCUCCUAUAGAGUUAAAAGAGUUGAAAGAGCAGCUAGUAGAUCUCCUAGAUAAGGGUUUUAUCAAACCUAGUGUUUCUCCUUGGGGUGCACCUGUACUCUUCGUGCGAAAUAAAGAUGGUUCCCUGCGUAUGUGCAUAGAUUACCGCUAGUUGAAUAAGGUCAUAGUGAAAAAUAAAUAUGCUCUUCCUAGAAUCGAUGACCUUUUUUAUCAGCUUCAGGGUGCUAAGUGUUUUUCAAAAAUAGAUCUUCAUUCGGUAUAUCAUCAUUUGAAAGUUAAGGAGUUAGACAUUCCUAAAAUAACCUUCCGAACUAGAUAUGGUCAUUAUGAAUUCUUAGUCAUGUCCUUCGGGUUGACCAACGCCCCUGCAAUUUUCAUGGACCUAAUGAAUAGGGUCUUCCGUCAGUGCCUAGACCUGUUUGUCAUAGUUCUUAUUGAUGACAUCUUGGUUUACUCUAAAAGUGAGGAUGACCAUGCCAGUCACCUCUGCACUAUUCUUCAGACCCUCAAAGAUCAUAAGUUGUAUGCGAAAUUCUCCAAGUGUGAAUUCUGGUUGAAUGUUAUUGCUUUCUUGGGGUACAUUGUGUCUAGUGAAAGGAUUAAGGUUGAUCCCCAAAAGAUGAGGCAAGAAAGAAAUGGCCUAGACCUACGACUCCAACCAACAAUCGGAGUUUCUUGGGUUUGGCAGGGUAUUACUGGAGGUUUGUAGAGAGUUCUUCUUCUAUAGCUGCUCCACUUACUAAGUUGACUCAGAAAAAGGUGAAGUUUUUAUGGUCCAACUCUUGUGAGAUAGUUUUGAGAAGUUGAAAGACAAGUUGACUACGUCUCCUGUUUUGACUCUUUCGGAAGGUACAAAGGGUUUUGUUGUGUACUGUGAUACGUCCCGUGUGGGACUUGGGUAUAUACUUAUGCAACACGGAAAGGUAGUGGCUUAUGCAUCUUGGCAAUUAAAGGUGCAUGAGCAGAACUACCCCACUCAUGAUUUGGAAUUAGCAAUUGUGGUGUUUGCGCUUAGAAUUUGGAGGCAUUAUGUUUAUGGGGUGCAUGUUGAUAUUUUCACUGACCAUAAGAGUUUACAGUAUAUUUUCUUGUAGAAAGAACUAAAUCUCAAGCAAAGGUGUUGGAUGGAGCUUUUGAAAGACUAUGACAUAAGCCUUCACUAUCAUCCGAGUAAGGCAAAUGUGGUAGCCGACACGCUCAGCAGAUUUUCUAUGGGCAGUAUUUCUCAUUGUUAAGAAAGGGAAGAGAGAGAUGGUGAAAGAUAUUCAUCGGCUUGCAAAUCUAGGAGUGCGACUCUUCGAUUCCGAAGAUGGUGGAAUGGUUGUUCAUGAGAUAGCUACGUCUUCCCUUUGUGCGGAAGUUAAAAAAAAGCAGGUCGAAGAUCCUAUCUUGAUGCAAAUUAAGAAUGAUGUUGGUCAAUAGAAGGUGAUGUCAUUUGACAUCGGUGGUGAUGGUAUAUAUUUUGAGAUACCAGGGUAGAUUAUAUGUACUAGAUAUGGAUAAUUUGCAAAAUUAAAUCCUUGAUGAAGCUCACACAUCAAGGUAUGUUGUUCACCCAGGCUCUACUAAGAUGUAUCGGGAUCUGAAAUCUUUGUAUUGGCGGAAUAAUAUGAAGCGUGAUGUGGCUAACUUUGUUCCCAAGUGUUUGAAUUGUCAACAAGUUAAAGUAGAGCACAUGAGACCAUAUGGUUCUUCCCAAGAGGUAGCUUUGACCUUGUGGAAGUUGGAGAUGAUUAAUAUGGACUUCAUUACAGGGCUCCCGAAGUCCCGAAACCAGUAUGAUUCUAUUUGGGUGAUUGUAGAUAGACUGAACAAGUCAACCCAUUUUCUUUCUGUCAGGACUAACUAUUUGGGAGAGGAUUAUGCCAAGCUGUUCAUUGCAGAAAUAGUUCAUUUGCACAGCGUGCCUAUGUCCAUCAUAUCCGAUCGAGGUACACAGUUCUCUUCUUAGUUUUGGAGAUCUUUAUAGAAAGGAUUAAGUACCCAAGUAAACCUAAGCAUUGCUUUUCACCCUCAGACCGAUAGGCAGGCCGAACGUACCAUUCAUACCCUUGAGGACAUGUUGAAGGCCUGUGUGAUUAAUUUUAAAGGUAGUUGGGUAGAGCACUUGCUGUUGAUAGAGUUUGCGUAUAAUAACAGUUUUCAUUCCAGCAUUAAGAUGGCACCAUUUGAGGCACUAUAUGGGAGAAGAUGUAGGUCUCCUAUAGGAUGGUAUAAAGUAAGUGAGAUGAAAAUAUUUGGGCUCGAUCUUGUUCAUCAGGCAAUACAGGAUGUGAAAGUAAUCAAAGAAUGACUUAAGACGCCUCAGAGUCGUUAGAAAUCUUAUGCCAACGUUAGGAGAAGAGAUUUAGAGUUUGAGGUCGAUGAUUGGGUAUUUCUAAAAGUUUCUCCUAUGAAAGGAGUUAUACGAUUCGAGAAGAAAUGCAAAUUUAGUCCUCUCUAUAUAGGACCAUAUCAGAUUUUGAUGAGAAUAGGUGGUGUUUAGUAUGAGUUAGAAUUGCUUGCCAGUAUGGGUUCUGUCCAUCCGGUAUUUCACAUAUCCAUGUUGAAGAAAUACAUUGGAGACCAUUCUUUGGUGUUGCUUGUAGAAGUGAUCAAGGCGACAGCCUCCUUAUCAUAUGAAGAAGAACCUAUUGCAAUCCUAGAUCAUCAGGUCCGGAAGUUGAGAAGUAAAUAAAUAGUUUCAAUUAAGGUGUUGUGGAGAAAUCAGAAAGUUGAAGAAGCCACUUAGGAAUUAAAGGAUGACAAGAGAACAAGAUACCCACACCUUUUUGACCCAGUAGAUGACGGAGUUGAAGGUAAAAUCCUUACCUUAAUCUUUCUAUGCUUCAGUAUGCUUGGAAUCGUUCUUGUCUAUUUUCCGCAUCAUUAUUUGGGGAUGAAUGAUCCCAAGGAGGGAUAUUGUAACACCCCAACAUCUUCUUAGCAAACUUCCAUCCAUGAAAAAUCUACCAUUAUAUUUUAGAAUGAUCUAAAUUAAUUUUUAUAUGAAAUUUCCUAGAUUUCAACUUUCAUUACGUAGAUAACUGAAUUAGCUUUUCAACGAUAUAAGAUUCGUCCAAAACGGACCCUCGGUGAAGAAGUUAUGAAUAAUUUAAAGUUUCAGUCGUAAACAUCGUCAUUUUGUUGUCUAGCGCAUCACGGAGAGGGUCAAAUUGACAAUUGUCAAAUUCUAAUGGGGCUCCAUGAGGGUGGCACAUCGCGGAGGCACUUAAUUUCCUACUCGUCGAAUUAUAGUGGACCACUGCGAUUGUGGCGCGUCGCGGUGGCACCAGAAAUCGAGUUUUUAAGUUCAAAUUUCCAGUUCCGUUUAGGAGUCAUUAAGGGUAAUUUUAACUUUUCCCUAGUCUUUAAAACCAUCCAAACAAAUGAUUUAGGAUAUGUUUGAGCAACUUAACCUACUUUUAUCAAAAUCAUCAAGAAUCUUCUCUAGAGCUUCAAACAAAAACUUCAAGAAACUCAAGAUUCAACCGUGGAUUUUCAAAAUCAAUUGAAGAUUCGAAAUCCCCGUAUCAUAGGCUUCAAGAAACACCCAUUGUUUUCCUAUUUUGAGGUACGCGGGUUUUUUCUAAAAAUCUCAUGGGUAUAGAAAUCAUGAUUUUAAGAAAGGUGUUUUUAGGUUUAUGAAUACAUUCAUAUUUUAGAAAUCUUGACGGUAUUGUUUUGGUCUUUUGACCUUCCCCAAAUUGAUUUGAAAUUAUAUAUACGUAUGCAUAUGUUUUAUGAUUUAUGAAUGAAUUGAGAGUAUGACGAGCAUGAAUCCCUCUCUUGGUAUGAUUUUCCCAAUUUUCUUAUGAUAUAGAUUGUUUUGAUUGUAUCUUGAAAAACAUGAUAUGAAAUAUCUUGAUUAAUGCUACAAAUUGAUUUAUGGUUUUGAAUUCGAAAGAGAGGGUUAUUCAUAUUGAUAAAUGUUGAAAAUAUUCAUAUAAUGAAAGAGUGUAUGAUUUUCCCAAAAGCACAUGACCACCAUAUGUUUGAACAAUCUUAGCAUAGUUUUGAUUUGCGUUCUCAAAACAUGAAAUAUUUUAUAUUAUUUGCAUGUUUGGGUGGUCUGAACUGUGUUUUAAUGAAAAAAUUAUGCAUGAUGCAUUAUGGAUCAGAAAUAGGACUUGCAAGUCUUGGUGUGACAACACCAAUUCAGAUUAUUCCAUGAUAAUUCAGAAUAGAUUUAAUACAUGAUUGAAAUCAGACUUUUCAGAUGUCUAAACUAGAAACAUACAUGAUUUAGAAUAGAUAAAAUUGGGCAUAAAGAGAGUUUAGGUGGUUCCCCAAAGAAGGUGUGAGUAUUAAACAACUCAUCACCUAAAACCAUGAUUUGCCGAUCAGGGUUUAUUUAUUACGCUGGCCUAGAGCCUUGUGGCGUAUCAGAUUUAGGAACUCCAACCCUUGCGGCACACUUGGGUUGGGAGCUUCCCCGCCGAGUCAAUGGCAGAUUCCAUACCACCCAUCAAAUAUCAGAAUUGUAGGGGAAUUCCACCUAACUCAGAAGUAAUAUACAGAUUAGAACUUGCAUUGACAGGCAGGUUAAAUGUUUUGCAAAAAUGCGCAUUUGUGUUUCGAAAGCCACUUGAUUUAUAAUGUUUUGACAAAGUUAUUUCCCAAACUAUUUUAUUUACAUAUAAGCUUUAUUUUGGAUUUAUUUGCAUACCAGUACAUCUGUAUUAACCCCUCUCCUCCUCGCUCCAGGUUCUGAGGCUUAGUCUAGGGGUCUAGAAAGGCAGUAGAUUCGUCAGACAGAGUUAUAGUGAUUAGUUGGUGAGCCUUCUCUAUUCCAGAAGACCCGUCUUUUAGAUUAUGUCCCUUAUUAUCAUUUUGGUCUACUGGGGGCCUUGUCCCAAUUUUCAGACAGCUGUCAGAUUUUUCUAUAGUAGAGAUUUCACAGACUGAGUCAGAUAUUAUUAGAUAUAGUUGAUUUUCAAUUUUCAUACUUAUGCUGAAUUCAGAAUUGACCAUGUUUUAAUAGCAGAUUAUGUUUUCGCAUCUUUUUUAUUUAUAUGAAUGUGUGCAUUCUUACCACAUAGAUGGGAUGUCCAUCAUGGCCAGACCCUAGUUUGGGUUGUGACAGAACUAGUACUGAGAUCUCUGAAUUUUCCUAAAUGUUCUAUCACUGACUGACUUCUAUGGAUCAUAGCGUGACUAAGAUUAUCUUGAGACUGACUCUGCUCUAGACAAGCAACUAAGUUUUCCGGUAUAAAUAACCCCAGGACUCGAUGGCAUAAAAUAAUAAGACAGAACCACACUUACAUAUCAUGACAAUGGACUAUCAUUCACAACACAAUAAAUACGAUAUCUCAUAGUUUUUCAAUAAGGAAUACACAUGGACAAGAAUGCAUACAACUUAUCAUAAUAAAUUCACUAAGGCAUUUCAACAAACGCUUGGCAUGCACUAGUUAUCACAUAAUUGGGGAUUUCAGGCUUAACAUACCAAAAAGGCACUAUUCUCUUUACUUAAGCAUUCUACCAAACAUAUGGGGAGCAUGCUUUGGUUAUACCACAGAUUCUAUACUUAAAUUAUUAUGAAUACAUCAAUAUCAUGCGACUUGAAGAAAUUUUAUCAUGAACAUCACAUAGUAGGAUCAAAGCUUGAAUCUUUGAAAUCAAGUCAUGAAUUAAAAACUCAUCAACAACAUGAACUUCAAUUUCUAUUACAAAAAGAAAAGAAUCAUGACAAUCUCAUAAAUAUAUAUAUACUCUUAAAUUUAGAAAAGGAUUCUUGAACUUCUUGGGUGAAAGGAACCCAAGAAUCUACAUCUGCAUACCUUAGUUUUAUAGAUUCUUAAAGUUCUUAAAGACUCUUGGAAGGAUUCUUGAGAUUGCUUUUAAAACUUGAGGGCUAGGUUUUUCUAUCUUUGAGGGAGAGUGUUUUGUUCUUGAUAAAGUAAUGAGAAUAGAUGAGUAACUUUGCCUAUUGGGGUUUUAAAUCCCAUGUAGAGACUGAUUGGGCUUUAGGGAAAUUACCAAAAGGUCCUGAAAUUUAAAUUAUUGAACCUGAAUGAAAUCCUGAUUUUACACACUGGCGUGAGCCAUAAUCACGCCAGCUUACAGAAAAGUGGACAAUUGGGUAACUUCUUGAUGGCGCGAUACGGUGGAAAUCGCGUUGCCACCUUGGUUGCAAACUGGAAAGACAUUGCGAUGUGGCGGCAUCGCGAAGGCUCAGUAGAAUUUGGAAGUUGUCAUUUUGGCUAACUCCACAAUGCGCUAAAGUACCAGGUAGCACACCGCUCACUAAAAUGGCUCUAACUCUUCGUCCGAGUUUCGGAUUUGGGAAAAUUUGGUAUCGACGGAAAGCUUAUUCAAUAAUAUACAUGACAAAAAGUUGAUAUUAGGGAAAUUCUACAUGUUUCAAAAAUAUUUCACUUGGAAAGGUAUUUCAAAAAUCUUUUAGGGCCGGAUUUAUACUUCACUUGACACGCUCUAAGACUCAGACUACAAGAGAAAUUUGCGGGGCCUUACAACAAGUACCCCUAGGAAUCGAUGGGAGGAAACUGACAAGACUUGACAAUUCUUGACUACACAAUCAAGAUCAACAAUUCAUAAUAGACUAACUUGGGGAUUUCAUACAACACAUGGUUAUCAUAGUUUUGUUCGUGGAUAAGAAUUCAAACAUUCAUUGCAUUAUUCCAUACUUUAACAUCAUGAGCAUUCUAUCAACAUAUGCAUGGAACAACGAUAACAUGGGUACCAUUUAAGCAUGAGAGAGUAGUAUGCAAAUCAUGUAGGUCAUAAUUUUUCUAUUAUGCAUAGGUUCUAAUCUCUUAGGCCUUUUAGCAAACACCUUGCAUGCACCAAUUAGGGAAUAGGCAUAAUUCAUCAAUUAACACAUCAUAAUCAACUCAAUUUAUGUUAUGUAAUCUUGUAACCUUGUGCUGUGCUUUACUAUGUGCUUGUGUGGUACCGCGUGUCUUGAGCCGGGGGUCUAUCGGAAACAGCAUUUCUACUUCUUUAGAGGUAGAGGUAUGGACUGCGUACAUCCUACCCCCCCCAGACCCCACCAGGUGGGAAUACACUGGGUUUGUUGUUGUUGUUGUUGCCUCUUAUAUGCUAACGUAAUUUCAUAGAUUUACAUAAAGAUUCCAACUUGGGAAUCAUACAACAUCAACAACAUUAUUAUAAACAACCCAUAUCAUAAACAUCAUAAUUUCAUGAUUAAAAGAGGGUUCUUGAGCUUCUUGGAUGAAAGGAAUCCAAGAAUCAAUACUUGACAUACCUUAUCUCUUGAUUUAAUGAAGAUUGAUAGACAGAUUCUUGAAAUUUGAUGGUAGAAUUUGUUUGAACUUGAACCUCCCAAUUGAAACCCUAGCUUGUUCUUGAGAAAAUUUUGAGAAAAGAGGUUAUAUUUUAGUAUAAAUGGGGAAAAAUUCCAUUUUUUUACUUAUAUAGGGGUGGGAAAUAGAUCAAAUUACCCCUCAAGGCACGGAAGUGGAAUGCUGAAAAAUUGGGCAAAAGGCUAUAGCCAGGGCGGGCCCUUGCUAUUCCCCCGCUCUAGCCACACGACGCCUUACUAUAACGGUGGAGUUUCCAGGGCGACGCCCUGCCUAGAGCGGUGCUCUAGUCUAGGCGAUCGCCUUGAGCUACCGGUUUGGAAAUCCAAACAUGCCCUUACGCAAUCCAAAAAAUACCAAAACUUACCCGAGAUGUACUACGACCUUGCCCCAUCGCAACUCAACUUGAAAAUCCAAAAACAAAGGUCGGAAAGGUCGUCAAAUAAAUCCCCGAAGUUCAAAGGUCUAAAAUGAGACUAAGUGUUGAACACUUAUCAAAAUUUUCUAAGUGUUGGAUCUUUUAAAGAGCUUCAAGGAUCUAAACGAGUUGAAUUUAAAUACAAGAUUUUGUGGGGUCUUAUAGUGACUUUUGUGUAAAUAAAUAUUUUAGUUGAAUAACCGAUGUUUGAGGAUGAUUUACCCCUUUAUAGUGAUAGACUAAUGUGGUAGCUAGUUGCAUUUAUGGAUUGUAUGGUAGUCUGUGGGGGAAGUGUUUGACUUAGAUUUUUUUAUUUAUAUAGAGUAAGAUGUGUGUUCUUAGAUCACUGAUUAUUGUGUGUCAAGUUUCUAUCUCUUGUAAUCUUGUUAUCAUCGUGUUGUUGAAACUAAAAGUAUAGUAAAGUUGUGUGGGUCUCUUUUGAUUCACUAGAAUAGUUUCCUUGUCAUUCAUCUCAUUUUCUUGUACAAAACACAAAAUUAAAGUGUAGUGAAUUCAUGUAAGGCCUAUUUUGAUUCACUAGCAACUUGUUGUUCAACUUGUUAUUCUUCUGUUGAUUGAAUAUAUGUAUAGCCAAAUCUUUUUGCAUGAGAUUGAGUUGGUAAUAAAGUGAUACGUCCUUGUGUGUUAGUUUAGUAGAAGGUAGGGAAGGAGAUAUUUGUUAAGGUGAAUUGUUGUUUACUUGAAGUAUGAAAAGGGUUGUUGACGGUGUUUGUUGUUCAAGAAGAGUAUAGGUUAUUGAUGAAGGUACUUGGUGAAUGAGUGUAGUUAAUUUAUGUGUCCCUGAGAUUGGAAGAGGGAGUUUAAGAGAAACUAAUAGUGUUAUGGACUAAGCUUAGCUGAAAAAAAAAGGGUAGAUAGUAAUGGUGUGUAGAAGGAGGAUGUGUUAAUGGAUUGUAAAUAGGGUAGGCCAUAUGAUUAUGAUAGAUUGUUGUUGUUAUGGAGUUCUAGCGUACUAGUGUUUCUUGAUGUUUUGUUUCAUAUUUAUUUUCCACGUGAGAAAUGUAUGUAAGGUUGGAUUGUAAACCAUGUUUAGCACUAGAAAUUAAGUUUGAACAGUUGAUGGCCAUAAAAGUAGAUGUUAUGAUUUCUUAGUUAAUGAUACUAGUUAUAGGGAAGUGGUCUAAUAGGCUUGAACAGCGUACACAAGAGCUUAAGUUUAUUUGAGCUGUAGUGAAGUAUGAUGUUGUAUGUAUGAUGUAGAAAUAUGUCAAAAGUGAUAUGGAGUUGCGACAUUUUCUAAGUCUAUUGCAUGUUGCGUGUGGCUAGUGGUACUGUUGAGUUGCUAGGUGGAGAAAGACUAGUUAGAUGGUACAUGGUGUUCUAAAUGUCCAAGUUAAGGAUUUUUGAUUGAUAGUGUUGAGCCUUUUUUAUAUGAUCUUGAUUAUCAUGGUAGAGAGAUAUAAGUUUGGGGUCGCGAUAUUAGUAGCCUAUGACGGAAGAAGUAUGGUUCAUCAACGGCUUGGUGAUAUCCAUGUUAAGUGUUAGAAUCUAAGUUUGAGUUGUUAACGUUGAACUAAUAGAAAUAAGAGUAGGAGCACAAGAAGGUGUGCACGUCAACUAUGGGGAUACUCAUGAAGAUUCGAAGUUAGUAAGUGUUCAAGUAUUAUAUAAUAACUAUUAUGGCUAUAGAAGAUAGAGUGUAUCUCCGAAGGUAGUAUAGUAGGGUUUUCACUUUCAGGUGUAGUCAUUUGGGUUAAGUUCUAUGAUAUACGUGUAUGGUCAUUUUUCCAGACCCUAGAGUGCAGUAAGUGUAGUUUAGUUAGAGUCUAGUAAGGGAUCUCUCAAACUUAAGAUAAUGUCUUGAAGCUAAGGGGAAGAUGAUAGAACGAAUAACCAAGUCAGGCUUUCAGAUUCUAGUAGUAAUGUCAGUAUGAUAUAGAACAUCAAAAAGUGAGGGUGAGACUCAACCCAUUCUUAUCUCAGUAUUUUUCAAUUGUCCCAAUACCAACUCUUGCCUCAGGUUUUAGUUCCAUGAUCAUAGUUCAUGUUCAUGUAUAUGAUAGAGAAUCACGUGCUUUUCCAGUUCCUAAAUAAGGAAUUCUAGUUCAUUCAGUAGUCGAGAUCACAUUCCAUAAGUUAUGAAAUCCAAAUUGAGGUCAUGCAACUCAUGACUUAUGUACUCACGCUUUAUAGUGUGCUCAGUUCCCAUAACUCAUGAUACACGCCAUAUAAUUGGCGAGAUUUAUCUUAUAUACAAGUAUACUAUCAAUUUAGAUUACUUUAAUGAAUCCUUGAUGUUGAUUCGCUAUUCCUCAGGCCUCAGUUAUGUGUCAAUUCUCGUAUAAUAUCCUUCCAUGCUUCAAGAUCUUAUGUUCUAAACUUUUAGUGACUCCUCCUUAUGUGAUGAUAGUAGAGAGGAGUAAAUGUUUCUUAUUGAUGGAAGAUCAUAUUAUGCUUGUUUUAGAUAAGGCCAUAAGUGUGAAGUAAGAUAUGGGGCCAAAUCUUUGAUAUAUGUGAUGGUUAGUGAAAAUUUGUGUGUGUAUGUUCUUGGGGUAGCCGUGAGAGUUAUAUUGGUAGUGGUUUAGAGAAUAUGUGAAUUAUGUCUUUAUGGAAAUUUUCCUUGAAGUUCAUAUGUGGUUAUAAAGACAGGCUUGAAUGACAUGUUGGGAUUUAAGUGGAGGAAUACAAUAUGCGCUAAUGAAUCCAUAGUAAGAGAUCAAAUUUAGUUAGAUGUCUUGUGUAACUAGUGCCCAAGAUUCUUUGCUCCCUCACACUACUAUGACUUCUUUAGAAGGAGUAUUGAAGAGAUACUCCAGUUAAGUAUAAGGGUCCAUCAUAAUUCAGACUGUAUAGCCAGUAAUUCAGUUUAACAGUCAGGCAGACAAGUUACGGUGAUUUUCCACCAUUUCACUUAGUCCUACAAUCCGAAGUCUUAGGCCUAUGACCAUCCCAAGUGAUAAUCUAUUCCAUCCAUGUAAGUUGAGAAUUCAAUUUAGUCAAAUCAUCAUGUUUUAGAUUCAACUAUUUAGUCAUGACUAAGUUCAUAAGAGUUCAGCACAUAAUCUCAAAUUUUUUCAAGUAUUUUAGCUCAGAUAGUGUAAUACCCUGAUACGAUCUAAUUCUAGUUGUCUCAUGAUUCAUACUUGCAUAAGUUAUCACUUCUCAAUUUAAUAUGUAGGAUUGAAUCAUGAACAUUCAAGAGAAUCCUAUACUCUCAGCAUGAAUCAGCUCCUUAAAGCAAGUAAAGUCAAGUCAGCUCAGAAUUCAAUUUCAUGAUAGAAGUUUAAAUGAUUCAGUAUGGCUAUAUACUUUCUUAGAAAACAUAUCAUGUCCACAUUUUUCCAUAAAUUUAAGACUUCAACAUUCCUACCAUCAUUCAGGGAUGAAUGACCCAAUGGGGAGAUAAUGUAACACCCCACAUUUUGGGCUAGAGCGAAAACUAUCGUUUCUAAGUAUAGAUGAUCCAAAAGCCAUAAAUCCUAUGAAAAUUUGAUAUGUUAAUCAAUUAUGUAGUGUGGUAACUUAUUUGAGCAUGAAUUGAUAUCAUAGAGGUCCCCAAACUCAAGGAUGAGUUAAAAGCUUUCUUAUCGUUCGAGUUUGAGUGAGAAUCAAAACUUGAGUCAAUUUCAAUCGACCAUAACUCUCUGUAUAUAACUAAUUAGAGGUCCUACUAUAUAUCAAAUGAAAUCUCUUCGAAUUAGCUUUCCAACGAUACUAAUUUCACCAAAAUACGAUACCCGAAAAAAAAGUUAUGGCCAUUUUCAUGGGCAUAGAAAUCUUCUAGAAGUUAUGGGCAUAGAAAUCUUCUAGAAGCCUUGAUGAUAUUGUUUUGGUCUUUAGGCCUUCCCCUGAAGUGAUUUGAAAUCUUAUACGUAUGUAUGUAUGUGUUUUAAGUUGAUAUUUGAAUUGAGAUUAUGACUCACAUGAAAUCCCUCUCUUGAUAUGAUUUUCCUAUUUUUCAUCUGAUAUGGAUUGUUUUGAAAAGCAUUAUAUGAAACGUCUUGAUUUAUACUAUGACUUAAAUAUAGUUUUGGAAUCAAAAGAAAGGGUUGUGUAUGUUGAUAAAUUUUGAAUAUACAUAUAAUGAAAGAGUGCAUGAUUUUGCCAAAAGCACAUGACCACCAUAUGUUUGAAGAAUUCUUGCAUAGUUUUGACUUAUGUUUCGGAACAUGAAAUCUCUUAUACUAUUUCCAUAUUUGGGUGGUCUGAAUUGAUAUUUUUGAUGAAAUCAUCAUGCAUGAUGCAUUAUGGCUCAGAAAUAGGACUUGCAAGUCUUGGUGUGACGACACCAACUCAGAUAAUGCCAUGGUAAUUCAGAACAUAAUAGAAUGCAUGUUUGAAAUCAGAUUUUCAGAUUUUGAAACUAGAAUGCUGCAUGUUUUGGAAUAGGCUAAAAUUAGGCAUAAAGAGAGUUUAGGUGGUUCCCCAAAUAAGGCAUGAGUUCAGACAACUCAUUACCUAAAAUCGUAUUUUGCCGAUAUAGGUAUAUUAUUGUACGCUACCUAACUCUGUGGUGUAGUAGAUUCAGAGACUCCAACCUUUGUCACAAACUUGAGUUGGGGACUUUCCCGCCGAGUCAAUGGAGUAUUCCAUAUAGACCGUGAAAUAUCAGACUUGUAGGGGAGUGCCACCUAACUCUGAAGUAAUACAAAGAUCAAAAAACUGCAUUGACAGAAAGGUUUAUGAUUAUAAAAAAUGUCCAUGUGUUUUGAAAAUAUAUCUUUCAUGAUGUUUAUGACUAGCUCUAAACUAUUUUAUUUAUAUAUACAAGCUUUAUUUUGGAUUUCUUUGCAUACGAGUACAACUGUAAUGACCUCCUACCACCCAGUGUCUAAAGCUCAGUCCAAAAGUACUGCUAAGCCGUAGAGUUUUAAGACAGCAGUGAUAUGUGCAAUUGGUGAGCCUUCUUUAUUCCAUAAGGUCUGUGUCUUUCAGAUUAUGUUAUUUAUUUUGUCUUAGGUCCACGGGGGGCCUUGUCCCAAUUUCAAACAGUUGUUAUUUUCAAAUUUAGUAGAGAUUUCGCAGACUGGUUCAGACAUUGUCUAGUUGUCGUUGGGCUUUACUUUCUAUAUUAUAAAUUGAGCUAAGAUUCAUGACCAUGAUUCCGUUCAUUAUGUAUUUUCCACAUUUCCUAUUUGUAUAUGAAUGAUGUAUAUGAUUACAAGUUAGAAGGGCUCUCGGGCCUUGAUGGUUCGGAAUGUCCGUUACGGCCAGGGCCUCGGCUUGGGUCGUGACAAGUUUAUGCAAACUCAUGGAAAAUUUUAGCUCUUUAAAUGAAGAUCAAUCGCUUUAAGUGGCAAUCCUCUUAUUGGUUUAAACUACAGCCUUAUACCAUAUACCUCAUGAUAUGUGCAUCCAUGUUUCUCACUGUGGUCUAUCCAAAGAAAUCAUGUUGUGUUGUGUUUAUGCCAAACGACUCUUUACUUAUGAUCUAGACACUUGAUAUAUGAAGCACUUCGUGUCUAUUCUAUCGUAUUUUCAUCUCAUGUUCCUCCUUGAGUAGUGCAAUAAGUGUGAGUUAUGGUCUAAUAAUGUUACUUUCAUUCGUGAUGCUUAUGCAUGGUCCCUUAAUAACCUCCGUAUGUUAGUAUGAUGGUGAUUGUAGAAGCAUAGUAGUAUGUUAGGUGGAGGAGUAGAUGUUUUUGAGGAUGAAAAAUUUGAUGUGAUUUAUCUAAGAAGGAGAAAUGUGGCUAAAAAAUUUAUGAGAGUGAUUGAAAUUGUUGGUCUUAGUAGGCAGAUCCAGGUAGUGGGUGUAGUAAUGAUUAGGUUUGAAUGUUCUGAUUGUUGAAGAAUACAAACCAAUGCACUGUGUGGUUAGUACUCCUUGAUUUAAAAACUUGAGUGUAUUUGAAAGUAGUGGUAAGGUGAAGUAAAUCUUCUUAAAGGGAUAUGGAAUAUGGAGCCCCAUAUCUAAAACUAGCACCUUUUUCUAACAAAUUAGGCCUCCACAUAAAAAUACUAUGCAGUGUGACUCAAACUCAUGGGGUUAGAUGCGUAUUGGGAGAAUUAUAAGUUGGAAAUGAUGAGGCAUGUAAGUUAUUGUUCGGGCCAUAGACAAGUAGUGUCUCUAAUUUUAAGUCUUUUCAUUGUAUCUAGUAAGAUGGAGAAUGUUUCUAUUUUAUGUCCCGCAAGAAUCUCAUCUCAUGCCUUAUACCAAUCUUAAUCAAGCCAAGGAUUCUUAGGAAAAAUCCAUCUCUUACAAUGUUUUGAUCAUGUUUCAUAAAACACAUGCCAAGAUCAUGUCGACGUCAAUUUUCGUUAUCUCAUAUUUUGUGCUUACACAUUUCCCUAAUGGUUAUCAUGAAGCUUGUUGGCUAGCUUCACAUAUUUUGUUGAGGAAAAAUGUUCAAUACGUUGUUAAGUUCUUUAUUCUACACUUUAGAGCUUCAAGAAGUCCCUACCCAUAAUUCGAGGACGAAUGAUCCCAAGAGGGAGAUAAUGUAACAUCCCGCACUUUUGGGUUAAAGUUUGAAUCAUCCUUUGUACACGUAUAGACCUGAACUCAAUGAUUCUUUGUUAAUAUGUAUGUUAUGAUAAAUCCUAUAGUGUGUGAAUACCUUUUAAUAUGAAUUGAGGUCACAGAAAAAACCCCAAACUCAAAGAUAAGUUGGAAACUCUUCUAUCGAUUAAGUUUUGGUGAAUGCCUAAACUUGACUCAACUUUCAUCGACCAUAAAUUUUCAUAUAUAUCUAAUUAGGGGUCCUACUAAAUGUCAAAUGAAAGGACAUCAAGUCUUCUUUUCAACGCAACUAGUUUCAACUUAAUUCGAUAUCAGAGUAGAAAGUUAUCCUUAUUUUACUUCGAAGUGUCUGUCUGUCAAAAAGUGACGGUGACCUAUCAACUAGGUGACAGCCCAUCAGCCCUGAUCGUCAUCCUAGGGCAGAAAAUGGUAAAAUCCAUCCCCAAAGAGACGACCUAGGAAACGGCCCAUCAAUCUUGGUCGUCAACUGAUCUAGGACUUUUUUUUGUUUUCUUAGGGGUAUUUUGGUAUUUUCCUCACCUCAAAUUCUCCCACAAGAUUGAAAUCAUCCGAAACACGUUAUAAUCCUUUUUUUUAUCAGUUUUUAAUAUAUCAAAUCCUCUCCUCUCUCAAAAACAAGAAAAAAACUAGGAUUUCCUUCAAGAUCAAGAAUUAAACUCUUAAGUCCAAGAUUUUCAAGGAACAAAUCAAGAUUCGAGUUCUACUCUUCAAACCUUGUAAUCUAAGGUACGUGAGGUUUUCCUAAAACUACUUGAGUAUAAAAAAAUUGUUUCAGUAACUUUUACCAUUAUGAAAUCAUGAAUUCUUGAGGGGGGUGUUGAAAUUACAUUGAAAUUUUGCAUUUAGGAAAUCUUUAAUGAUAUUGUUGUUUUGGUCUUGAGGCCUUUUCUCCACAUUGGUUUGUAAUCUUAUAUAUGUAUGUUGAAGAAUGUUAUUUAGAAGCAUGGUGUCAAAGUUCUUGACUAUUGUUAAAUGAUUUAAGAUUAAUCUUUAAGUCGAUGAGACAAGGUUUUAUAUAUUGAUAAAUGUUGAAUAUAUAUAUAUAUAUACGUAUAUAAUGAAAUAAGUGCAUGAUUUGCCAAAACUAUAUGACCACCACCUGUUUGUUAAAAUGCUGAAAAGAGUGAUCUUUGCAUAACUUGAUAAAUGUUUUGAAGUGUUAGUCUUCUUGAAUUGUUGAAGUAUGGUGGUCCAAAGUUUAUGUUUUGAAAGAAGAGAUCAUGGUAUGAUAUUUUAUGGCUCAGAAAUAUGACUUGAAAGUUUUGGUAUGAUGAUACCAAAGCAGACAAUGCCAUAAUAGACACAGAAUAGAAUAGAAAUCAGAUUUUUUUUUCAGACUUAUGAAUUUUGAAUUCAGAAAGAUGCAUGUUCAGAAAAGGCUAAAAUUAGGCAAGAAGAGAUAUUAGGUGGUUACCCGAAGAAGGCACGACGAUUUUAAAAAACUCAUUGCCCGAAAUCGUGUUUUAUCUAUACGGGUUAUUAUGUCAACUCUGGCCUAGUGCCCUAUGGCGUAUCAGACUCAGACACUCUAACUCUUGCGUCAAACUUGGGUUGGGGGCUUGGCCGCCGAGUUAAAGGAGGACUUCAUAUAGCCCGUGGGUUUUUAGACUUGUAGGGUGUACCACCUAACUCAGAAGUAAUACAAAGCAUAGAAUUGCAUUGAAAAGAAUGUUUUAUGAUUAUCAAAGAAUUGCCCAUGUGUUUUAAACUAUAUCAUGUAUGAUGUUUGAUGACUUGCUCUCAUCUAUUUAUAUAUAUAUAUAUAUAUAUGCAUUAUUUUGGAUUGGUCUGUGUACUAGUACAUCUGUAUUAAUCCCUAUAUUUCAGGGUCUGAGGCUCAGUUCAGGAGUCCCGUUAAGCCAUAGGUUUUCAGACAGAAGUCUGCAGUUGGUGAGCCUUCUCUAUUCCGAAAGGCCGGACUUAUUUGAACAUUGUUAUUUGUUUUGAGUCACGGUCUGACUGGGGGCCUUGUCCCAGUUUUAUUUUAGAAAUAUGUUGGAUUUUUUUAUGUUAGAGAUUUCGCAGACGGGUGUAAUAUGUUUUGAAUUCUAAGAAUUUAUUUUUAAAUUGUUCAAGUGUUAAGAUAUUGACCAUGGUUCCUUCUUGUGAUAUUUUUCCUCAAACUUUCUUAUAUUAUAUGACUAUUGGGCAUGAUUAUCAGAUAGAGAAGUGCGCCUGGGUCUUCAUGGUUCGGGAUGCACGUUACGGCCAGGGCCUCGACUCGGGUCGUGACACUUAAAUAAACCAAAUCUUUAAGGACAAAAGGAUCAAGUGAAACUAAUAUUGAGAGAACAAAAUUGCUACUUUGAAACCCAAAGAAAGGGGCCUGCAAGAUCAUACUAGAUAAAGAUUUAAUUUUUAAUAUGAAAUCUGAAACACAAAACAAAAAAUAAAAUAAAUGAAACUAGCGAAAAGAAAACAGCUUAACAAGUAAAGUUGUUAACUUUUUGUACAUAACAAAGAAAAGCUCAGAUGAGUAGUGAACUUUGAUCUGAAGGGGCAACAUACUUUGAAUCUAAGAAACAACAAGCCAAAUAUUCACACUAAAAUUUUCCAAACAAAAUGAAACUAGCAGAAAGAAAACCAACUUGACAAUUAAAGUUAUAAACUCUUUGUACAUAAAAAAUUGGGAAGGAGGCAGAAAUAUACUUUAACCUUGCCGAAAUUUGUUUUAACACGCCUCAACUUUGCGGGGCCCUAUGACCUCCCUCGAUUAUUUCUUACCGUAUUUCUGUGACAUAUAUUUGUUCAGCUGGACCACUUCAGACCCUUACACGCUUAGAGUGCGUGUAAUCACGCAGUAAUCCAGCUACACAAAUAUAUGUCACAAAAAUACACUAAUAAAUAGUCGAGGGGGUCAUAGGCCCCCAACAAAGUUGAGAUGUGUUACAACAAAUGUUGCCAAAGUUUAGGUAUAUUUUGAACCUUUUUCCCCAAAAAAUAAAUACACAGUAGCAAAAUGGCAUUUAAACUCAGAUUAGUAGUGAAAUUUGAUCUAAAGUGGCAACAACACAAAUAUUACCCUAACUAGCUUUAACCAACAAAGCAAGUGCAUUUAUGAACUUUUUGUACAUAAAAGAAGAACCCCACAAAGCAAAAAUGGUAUUUAAACUCAGAUUAGUAAUGAAACAUGAUCUACAGAAGCAAUAUACCAAAGAAACAACAACCUUAAAUCUCCAAAAAUUCAAGAAAACAACUUAAACAAGUAAAUUUAUAAACUUUUUGUACAUAAAAAAAAAAAAAAAUACCCAACAAAGCAAAAUGGUAUGUAAACUCAUAUUAGCAUAAUGAUAUAUGAUCUAAAGGAGCAAUAUAUCCAAGAAAAACAACCUUAAAUUCUCCAAAAAAAUCAAGAAAACAACUUAAAAAACUACAUUUAUAAACUUUUUGUACAUAAAAAAAAUACCCAACAAAGCAAAAUGGUAUGUAAAGUCAUAUUGGAAUAACAAAAAAUGAUCUACAGAAGCAAUAUAUCUAAUAAACAACAACCUUAAAUUCUCAGAAAAUUCAAGAAAAAAAUUCUCAGAAAAUUCAAGAAAAAAACUAAACAAGUAAAUUUAUGAACUUUUUGUACAUUAAAAAAAAUGCCCAAAAACUCAUAUUAGUAAAGAUAUAUGAUCUAAAGAAGCAAUACAUCCAAGAAACAACAAUCUUAAAUUCUCCAAAAAUUCAAGAAAACAACUUAAACAAGUACAUUUAUAAACUUUUUUAUAAAUAAAAAAAUACCCACAAAGCAAAAUAGUUACCUUAUCAUCAGUCAUAAUUUUCCAGUUCCAAAUGCAAGAAAAAAAAUUUAAAAAAAAAAAAAAAAAAGCAAAAAACAACAGAGAACAAGAAAAUGGAAGGAAGAAAGAAGGAAAAAAGUAAGAAAGAAGAAUAAUUUUUUUCUUCAGUCUACUCUAUAAUUAACAUUAUAAUUCAAUGAUCAUAAUUAUCAGUUGAAUUAAGAGAGAGACGGAGAGAGAAAGAGGAGAUAGAGAGGACCAUUAGCUUGAAAAACAGCAUCCCAUGUGAAUACAGCUUUUUUCUCUACUAUAUUUUUCUUCUUCUUUCCUCAUUGUUUUUUUUUUUUUAAGAAAGAUCAUAAAUCACGACAGUUUGAAGUUUAAUUACAUAAUUUUUUUAAUAUUUUUUAUAAUUAUUAAAAACUUUAAUCUUGAGUUUAUCAAGAUACAUAAUUAGCUUGCAAUACAUUUAAGAAAAUACAUUUUUUUCCUUUUUAAGGAUAUAAUUAGCUCCUGAUAUAAUUUUCAGAUUUUUAAUGUGUCGAAAUACAUAAUUAGCUCCUGAUACAUUCAAUAAAAAUAUAUUUUUCCUUUUGUAUAGAUACAUAAUUAGCUCCCCAUACAUUUUUUUUUUUUCAUUUUGAAUCUAUCGAGAUACAUAAUUAGCUCUCGAUCCAUCUAACGAAAAUCUAUAUUUUUCCUUUGUAAAGUUACAUAAUCAGCUCUUAAUAUAUAUUUUUUAAUUUUGAAUCUAUCGAGAUACAUAAGUAGCUCCUAAUACAUCCAACAAAAAUAUCCUAUGUGACACUUUACGUGGCCAAUUCUUGUCCUACAUGACCUCUUAUGUGUAUUAUGUCACAUAGGACAUGUGUGUCGACUUAUUUAAUUUUAUGUAAGUUUAAGUGCCUACUUGUGCACGCCCAAAGUUGAACGUCAUAGAUGUGAUUUGAUGGCAAGUUAAAGAGCAUGUUUAUGUAUUAUGCCAAAAAAAAAAAAAUCUCUUUGUAUAGAUACAUAAUAACUCUAGAUAUAUUUAUUCAAUUUCGAAUAUGUUCAGAUACAUAAUUAGUUCCCGAUACAUCCAACAAAAAUAUAUUUUUUUCUUUGUAGAGAUACAUAAUUAGCUCCUGAUACAUUUUUUUGAUUCUGGAUCUGUCGAGAUACAUAAAUAAUUCCUGAUACAUCCAAUGAAAAUAUAUUUUUAUGAUAUAUAAUUAGCUCUAGAUACAUUUUUUUCGAUUUUGAAUCUCUCAAGAUACAUAAUUAGCUCCUGAUAUAUCCAAUGAAGAUACUAAAUUAGUUAAAUUUUUAUAAUUACUUUGUAAGAGUGAAAAUUGGUGUAAAUAUUGCAAGUUAAGGUUUAUGUCUUAUUUUAUUUUGCUUUUUGUCUUGUAGAUGUUCAUUUAGGCCCCCUGAGGUUUAGGUAAUUACAAAACACUUUUCUACUAUCAAACAAUUAUUAAUAUGACUAUUUUACUGUACUGCACAUAUUAAUUGAUUUUUAGAAUCAUGUCUUGAAAGUGAUUUAAACAAUAAACAACUAAUGCUAAGGGUAAAAUAGAAUUAAUUUUUUGGCUUUUUUCUGAUAUAUCAAAGUAAUAAGUAAAAUAAAAAUCUAAUUAGAUAAUUACUAACCCUAAAAAAUUAACGGAGAGAGUAUUUAAUAAAUUAAAGUAUACUUGCACUCUUGGUCCCUAAAUUAUAACAACAAUGUCAACAAUAAGGAUAAGGGAUUUCGAGAUUCAUUUUAGGAUGAGUUUAUUUCAGGCUUGGUUGAGAUAAAAAACAUGGACUCAUGCCUAGAUUAGUUACCUCCAGUAUUGUAGCAUUAUUUUUAUCCCUUCUUAAAUGUGAAAUAACUAAUUCCAAAAUAAUUAAUUUCAAAAAUAUUAUUUUUGAUAUAACACUACUCAAAUAAACAUAUCAGAAUCAAUAAAACAAAAAAAUAUAGUCCUGAAAAAGCUCUUGAUUUAUGUGAUAUGUAGAGUAUUAAAUAUUUAGAGAUAAUAUCCACGAAAAUACCUAAACUUUGACCAAAUUUUCAGUUGAGCAUACUGAAAUUUGCGGGGGUCUUAUUACCCCCUAGACUUUUUUAAAAUGGAAUUAUUACCCCUCCAAAAUGGUAUAUCCAAUUUUGAAGUAGAAAGUGUAAUACACGCGCCAAUCUGAUAUUAACACGUGUAUUUUUUAUUUAAAAUUAAUUUUUAUUUAAUUUGUUCUCCAUUCUUAUUCUUUUCAUCAAUUUUCAUCAUUUUUCACAAUUUUUCACCAAAAUCAUGAUUUCUAAUUCUUCUAAUUUGGCUUUUUUUUUUUUUUGAAACAAUCAUAGCAGAUCAAAACUUGACCACUGAAGUUUCUUUGUAUCAGUUUCCACAAACAUACAAGCUCUAUAAUGAAUAUCAACUAGAAAUGAUUUUCACAGAACAAACACUCCAAACUCCAAGGGAAUAAAACUGUGGAUAAUAUCAACUGGAAAAUAUUUGAGUCUCAUUUGAGUUUGUAACAAUUCACCAAAUCGGCAAUUUCAUUGCUUUAGGCCAAAAUCGUAUUUUUCUUUUUAGCAGAAUGGAAACUAUAACCAUUUGAGGUAUACCGUAUUUCCUUUGGCGAUUGGAGCUAAAGCUUUAUUGCCAAACAAGCUUUUUCUUAUCAAAAUCUUGACUCAUAAUUCUUGAAAGUUGAUUGGUGUUGACUAGCUUUUUUCACCAAAAUCUUGAUUCCUAAUUCUUGAAAGUUCGUUGGUAGUGGCAAUGGUGGGUUAAUUUUGCUAUUUUGAUGGAAUUGAAGGAUGACCCAUUUGGUGUGUGUGUGUUUUGAAAUUGGUUCAAAUUGAUGUAAUUGAAUACGGUGUGUUGAAGAUGACCCAAUUUCAAUUCAACAGUGGAGCACCAAUAGAGCACUAUUAAAGAGAAGAAAGAAAUAAGAGAGAAGAGGAAGGAGCACCAUUGAAGAUAAGAGAAGAAAGAAAGAAGAGAGAAGAGGAAGAAGAUAUAAAUGAAAAAUAAAUAAAAAAUGUAAAAAUCAUUGUUUAUUAAAAAAUUGAGUUCUGACCCAAAAAUAAGGUUUUAUAACGAUUCGCGCCCAAUGCACGUGAAUUACAUGCACAUGUACAAGUUGGUAGAUAUAUGCCAUUAAAAUACAAAAUAAAGUAUAGGGGGUAAUAGGAUCCCCCCCCCCUCCCCCAUACAAAGUUUAGUAUGCUCAACUGAAAAUCCGGUCAAAGUUCAAGUAUUUUCGUGGGUAUUAUCCUGAAUAUUUAAAUAGCUUUGACAACAUUUUUGUUAUUUUAAUAGAAAAGGUAUUUAUCAAGUACAUUAAUUGUUUAUCAUCAGUUUCAAUGCUUCUAUUCAAACACAUUAUUAUUUAUUUAUAAAAUCAGUUUCAACACCAAAAAUUUUAGCACUCUUUAUUAAAGUUAUAUUUAAUGCCCCUAAUAACUUUUAUCAUUGUAAUGUCUCCGGUCCAAACGUCUGGGGGAUAGAGAUUCUUAUGCCCUACUUUUUUCUUAUGCGAAAUCAAUCCUUAUCCUGCACUUUCUCCCACCGCCCUGAAAUAUACAUAAAUCAUAAAUUCUUCAGAGUGGUAUGACAGACAUAUAAGGACCAUUAAGAAGUUCCUUCAAGCGUUGAAGCCAUUACUUUAAGUCCUUUUAUGGAAUUGUGUGUCAAUUUUCUGCUGAAUGCCUCUCAAUAUUGAGAGUCUUUCCAUUAAAUAGAAAAUAUAAAAGAUUACAUCCCUAAAGAUUCGUCUUCCUAUCCCUAAAGAUCAUCUUUUCUAUCCCUCUAAAUCCGCUAUUCUAUCCCACCAAAUUUGCUCUACUAAAGCCACUAUUAUUCUCUUUAAUUACUAAAUCAAAUCUAUGUAAUUACACUAAUAUACAACAAUAUAUAGAUAAAUUAUAUAUACUAUAUUUACAUCAUGCUAACAUCCCCCCUCAAAUUGAUGCUGGUAGAUCAAAAAGCAUCAAUUUGCCAAUUAGAAAUUGAUGUUGUCGUCAUGCCAUUGAUUUUGUAAAUGCAUCAGCUAUUUGAUGAUUACUGGACACGUGUGGAAGAUUAAUGACACCUUUAUCUACAACUUCUCAUAUAUAAUGACAGUCUACUUUGAUGUGUUUGGUCCGCUCAUGAUAAAUCGGAUUUGUAGCAGUUUGAAUAGCGCUUGUAUUUUAAGCAUGGAGAGGAGUAGGAUGAGAUUGAGGAAAAUUAAUCUCAGCAAGUAAUCCACAAAGCCACACAAUCUCGGAGCAAGCAGUAGACAUUGCUUGAUAUUCAGCCUCUGUUGAAGAUUUUGACACACGGUCUUGCUUCUUACUCUUCCAAGAUAUCAAAGACUCUCCAAGAAACAUGCACCAACUAGCAAUCAAACAGUGAGUGUCAGAACAUCUCGCCCAAUUAGAAUUACUAAAAGCAUUAAGACAAAUAGGCGAACAACUAGGAAAGAAUAAUCCACGAGUAAAUGUUCCUAGGAGAUAUCGAAUGAUGCUACGGACAGCCAUAAAAUGAAGAUGACGGGGAGCUUGCAUGAACUGCUAACUUGUUGAAAUGCAAAAGAGAUAUCAGGCCUAGUAAUAGUAAGGUAAUUUAAGCUCCUAACUAAUUACUGAAAUAUAGUUGGAUCAGGAAGAAGAUCGCCUUUCUCCCGGUGAUACUUUACAUUUCAUUCUAAUAGAGUAUCUACAGAGGAAUAAUCCUGAAAACUUGCCAAAGAAAUCAAAUCUUGAAACUAUGUUUAUAAGAUUACAAGUCAACUUUUACAACAAAAUUGAAACUAAAUACAUCAACUUCUACUUACUGUCUAUAAAGUCUCUACUAGUACUAACUAUAGGUAGUUAGGUCAAGACUCCCAACUAUCCCAACUCAAUAUGGCUAAUUAAAGAAAAUAAAAUACUUCUCAAACUGUAUAACUGACUCGAGCCCUUGGAUCAAAAAGACUCAUCACCUGCUGACCGGAAGCUACAACUGAUUGAACAUGAUAUGUGUGCUACAAUUUGUGCCUACAUUAUGAGACAAUGUAGCACAUAGACAAAUAUGUGGUCAGCACUUUGGGAAUAUACUGAGUAUAUGGGGGUGUAUGCAUUUAAAUAAACAAUAUCAUAAAGUUUGUAAGAAAUCAUGCAUUCCGACAAUAAUGACUCACAAAACUUGAAUAAAAGCUGAAAUAUAAGCAUCAUAAAUCAUGAAUAAUGAACAUGUAUCACAAAUCUCGCGAGUCAUUAUACUUAACACAAAAUUCUGAAUUUCUCCACUUAUUCUCAAAACUCAUAAGCUAAAGAAAUCUUUAAAUAAUACUUCAAACUCAUACUUCUUUAUCAAGGAGAAUAGAACUUCUUUAAAUCUAAAGGACUCAAAACUUUAUAAACUUAAGAACUGGAGUUGGGAAACUUGGGAAAUCUCAAGAAUCAAACUUUCAACAUAUACACUUUUAGCUUAAUUAGAGUAGGGGACUACUUUGGGAGUUUCAUCUAACCGACAUAAACCAUGUAAGCCACAUGGAGUCCAACGUUUUAUCCUACUAAGGAAGAAGAUCCACGUUGGAGAGGAGCAUUAUACUCUUGCCAGGGAGUAUAACCUCAACUCAGUGAUCACAAACUCAGCCUUAGGCCCACAAAUCUCAAUCCCAUAGUGGCACGUAGUUCUAGGAAAGUAGGAUGCACUGAACCCACACUUCCCCCUCGGUGCUAAAUAUUACUCCCAUACUCGGCUCAGAACUCUUAGGAAAUCCACCUCAAAAUAACUCAAUGGUCUAUAAUGAAGACCAAGUCAUAUUUCUCUUCAUUUGAAGCAUAUGAAAUUUGUGGAUUCCUAUUUUAACUCAAUAUCAAAGCAUCAAUCUUGGUAAGCAAUUUGCUAGAGGAAAACUAAAAACAAUAACAUUCUCAAAACCAAACUCAUUCUUGAUAUAGAUAUAAUAAUUCAAAACUAUCAAGAAUAGUAUCAUAAAAUCUCAAUACACUUCUUGGAACUCUUAUGGAAAUAUCGACAACUCAUUUUCGGAAUUAAAGCAUAUAUACAUAUUCAAGUAAUAUUAACCUUCAAGAUAGUAGUAAUUCAAGACUUUGACUUUAAAAACAUUCAAAACGUUGAUCAUGGUAGAAAUAUAUAAUUCAUUUAUAAAUUCUCAAUUCACAACAUAAAAUAGGUGACAUACCACAUAAUUCAAAAAACUUAAUCAACUCAAAUCUCAUAAACUUGAAAUAUAUCAAACUAAGAAUAAUCCAACUUGAAAAUACAAGAUUCUUUAAGAAAAUUAAUAAUUUGGGCACAAGAACGAAAGGCUUGUUCUUGCUCAAACCUCACAUACCUCAAAUGUGUGAAUUCGGAUGAACUUUUGAUUCCGGAACUCUAUUCAUGAAAUUGAUAGGUUCUACUUGAAGAUCUCGAGCUAAAGAUUCCGAUUCUUGAAUUAUUUUAGAGUUUUAACAGGGUGAAGUUUGAUAGAUCUGAAUUUUUGGUUGGAAGACAGUGUUGAGUUCUGGAGGGAAAACUGAUGGAAGAUAUUAUAUUUGGCCAAUUGGAGCAUAAUUCUCUUGUUUAAGAUGGAAGAAGAUUGAAAGUUUUUAUUGGGCCAUGGGAAUACCAGGGCGCUGCCCAGCUUAGGCCAUAGGAGAACCCAAGGCGGUGCCUUGGUUUAAACGGGGAAGUAACUGGGGCGGUGCCCAUCUUAUAGCGGGGGAGAGAGCUGGUUGGUGCCUCCCUUAGAACGGGGGAGAAACCCGAAUGGCACCCCAUUAUCGCGGAGGCUCAUUGGUUCAAAAUCCAAACAUGCCCUCAACGAGGUCCCAAAAUUCCAAAACUCACCCGAGAUGUACUAUUGACUUGCCCUAUCAACGCAACUUAAAAAUCGAAAAACGAAUGUCGGAAAGAUCACCAAAUAAUUCAUCGAAGUUAAAGGUCCAAAAUUAAGCUAAGUGUUGGAACACUUAGCAAAAUUUCUAAGGGUAAGGCUUCUUUUACUUCGGUCGAAAGACUUAAACGGCGAGGAAACUUCACGGGGUCUUACAACAUCUUCCCCUUGGGAACAUUCGUACCCGAAUGUCGCUUGCAAGGUUAAGAGCAUAGAGAAAAAUUGAGGAUACACUGAAGUAACUUGCUAAACUGAAUCUUUAAUUGGAGAGGAGCUGAUUCAACAAAUUCUCAUGGGUGCGAACAACUAGUUCCUGUAAUGCCCGUACUUAUGAAAUUUCUUGUAGUAAGACUAUACUAGUUUCAGAAAAUGGAAUAGUAUAGAAAUCUAUCCGUUCGAUUGUUGAGCUGGAUUGCUGACUAUGCAAAUUGAGUCAUACUAGAUACUCAUACCUAAAUGGAGGAUUUCUUUAAUACCCUUCCAGGGAGUUCCAACAAUACGAGGGAUCAAAGAACUUUUUGGGCAUGAUCAAAAUAAGGUAUCUGAAUAAGAGAUUACAAUAUUGCUACGACUCUAUACCUUGGAACAUAAACCUAUGAAUCAUAAGUCGGGAAAGAGGUACUAGACCUCAUGCAGUGCAACUUCUUUCUCUCAAACUUAGCAACGCUUCCCAAACACUCUCUCAACUAUACUAUACUCGCUCUAUUCAACUCAUAAUUCUCAUUAUCACUCCAAAAACCACAUUCAACCUCAUUCUAGACAUUUACUAAUGCGUAAUGCACCCAUCCACAUAUACACAAAUAGAACGUUCAAGUCUAUCUUCAUACCCACAUAUGCACCUCUAAAAAAACACUCAUAAAGCAUCUUUCUCAUAUUCUCUAAUACCUUACCCAUACCAACUUAUCUACACUAUUCAGUUCUUAAGAUGAUACACAUAAAAUAUUCUCAACUAACCAAGCCACACUCGAAACUUCACCUCAAAAUCCUUUCAAACUUAUAGACUUAGUACAAUAAGCACACAAUAAUUUUUCUCUAAAUAUAACACGUAAAACUUCAACUAACCCUGAUAUGCAUCAAAGACUUUACCUUAAUGUACUUCAAAUUUACUGCCUCAGCUAAAAUAAGCAUACAACCAUCUUUCAUCAACAAAAAAUGUUUACUCUCUCCCAUCUAGACAACUGCUCAUCAUAACUAUCUUGACCGAAGGAAAGGUAAUGGAAGGUUACAACAUGAGGACCAAAAACAUGAGAGGAUACUAUGAGUAUCUUGAUGCUCAACUGAGGCCUGAGGAAUAGGAGAUUUAGCAUCAUGAACUUAUCAAAGAGGUCUAACCCGAGGACUUGCAUUAUAUAAAAUCUGAAUUUCGUUGAUCAUUAAAAGUAUUGCUUGAGUACUUGAACUGAAUAUACUUUAAAGCUUGAGUACAUGAGUAAUGAGUUACAUGACAUAAUUUUGGAGCUCGUAACUUAUGGAAUGUGAAUCCGACUGAUUAAUGAACCAGAACUCCUCAUUUUAGGAACUAGGAGAGUACAUAAUUCUCUAUCAUAUGCACGGACAUGAAUUAAGAUCAUGGAACUGAAUGCAAUUCAUGGUUAGGCAUUGGGUCAAGCAUCAAUCUUUCUCAAAGCUAUUCUACAACUCACUGGUGCAUCUACUAGAAUCUAAAAGCUUGACUUGGUUACUCGUUCCAUCCUCUGCCACUUAGACUUAAGCAAUCACUCUAAGUUUGUGAACCACUAUACACAUUCUAGUCUAAACUUAAAUCACUUCACUCUAGAGUCCAGGAUAAAACAAUACACAUGAACAAUAGAAACUAACCCGAAUGACUACUCCUGAAAGUGAAAAAUCAACUUUUAAUACUACCUUCUGAGCUAAACCCUAUCUUUCUAUAGCCCCAACAGUCAUCAUAUAAUACUUGAACACUUACUAACUUCGAAUCUUCAUAAGCAUCCUCAUAGUCAGAGUGCACAACAUCUAGUGCUUCAACUCUUAUUUCUAUUAACUAGAUCUUCAAAAUUUCAAACUUAGAUUCUAAUGCUUAGCACAGAUACCUCCAAACCUUUGACAGACCAUACUACUUCUGUCGUAGCUUAUGAAUAUCACACCUAUAAGAUUAUAUUUCUAAACAUGAGAAUCAAAAUCAUACAUAAAUAGGCUCAACAUCUUUAAUCAUAACUUCUUAACUUAGCUAUCAAGAACAUCAUUCAUUAUCUAACUAGUCUUUAUCCACCUAGUAACUCCAUGGUACUACUAACUAUACCACAUACAUUGAUCCUUAAAAAUAAUCCAACCCCAUAGCACCAUGGGCGUGCUCCUACAUCCUACUUAAACAUCAGACUUGAUUACGAAUCAAUUAGACUUAAGCCCUUACAUGCACUAUUCAAGCCUAUUAGAUCACUUCUAUACAACUAGCUUCCAUGACACAUCAAUCACUAUACCCUCAUUGCUAGUCACCUACUAUUCGAACUAGUAUCUUGUUCUAGUUAUGAUUAUCUACAAUCUCGACAACUAUUCUUACCUGUCAAUCACCCGAAAAUGCUAGUCCACUAAAACUCCAUAACAAUACUGAUCAAUAACAGUCCUAUCGUCUACCUAUUGGAAACCCAUUAAUACAUCCUCCUUGUACACAUUACUAUUCACCCACCUAUACACCUACCUUCUUUCAUAGCUCCAUAAGUUCCAACUAACUCUUUUUUUGCACUUCCCGAAUGCCUAAAUCAACAACAUUCAUCCACCAAGUACCUUUAUCAAUAACUUAUACUUUUCUAGCAUAACAAACACCGUCAACAACUCUUUUCAUAUUCAAGCAAACAAUAAUUCACCUUAACUAAUAACUCCUUCUCUACCUUCAAGCGUAUCACUUCAUUACUAACUCAACCGUAUACAAAAAGGUUUGGCUAUACAUAUAUUCAAUAAAUCGCACUUAUCACCCUUCUUAUCAGUACACCUCUAAACCCCCAAUUCCAGCCAAUAAAAGAACAAGAAGAUAAAUAACAAGCUGCUAGUGAAUCGAAAUAGGCCUCACACGGCUUCACUAGACUUUGAUUUUAAACAAAACAAUGAUAACAAGGUUACAAGAUAUAGAAACUUAACACACAAUAUUCAAUGAUCUAAGAAUAUACAUUUUAUUCUAUCUUACUUGCAUGACUCGUAAGAGUGAGGACAUAACUCUGAUCUUGAAAGACUUAUAACACACUAGAAAGCUUCUCUAAAGUCACUUUGUUUGACUUCUGAAGAUUUUUACUAGACAAUCUGAGAGCGUUAUCUUGGGAGAAACUGGAACUUACUAAUCAUUCUAUCUCAAGAAUAAUACAUAGAUAGGGAAGUAUAGCUUUACAUUAUAGAUUCUGAGGAGGAAUCUGAAAGUACAUCUAACUUGGGCUUAGUGCAUGACUUUUAUGAGUCAUGAGUAAAGCACUUCAAUAUUUAAAACUUAAAAGCACUGAUGGAAUACUUUCAAGCUCGAUUACAAUCCCAUAACUACUUAUGGAGAUUGUCUGAGAAAGCACUAUCUAUAAGAUUUAAGCUUGACUAUUUCUGAUAUCUAGAAAGUAAAGUGGAGAUGGCCUGAUUAUAGUAAGAUGAGAAUCUGUAUAAGUUUUCUUAAAAGAACCUUUCUAUAGCACGAACUGAGACUUGAAAGAAUGGAAACCUUUCCUAAAUGCCCUGUAGCCUCUCGAAGAAAAGUACAGAUGUCUCAGUACCAUUCCGCAAGACUAUAUUAGACAUGACUUCAUAGACACUCUAGGAAACUUGAACUAUGUGCUCUGAUACCAAGUUUGUAACGCCCCAAAAUCAGAUCCCGAGAUGUCACACGGUGCUUAGGGUCACAAGUGACCCCAAGCUAACCCUUCUACAAGCAUAACUCAUAAGCAACUGAAUAAAAUGCACAAAUCUAAAAGAAUAAUGCGGAAGAUAACUCUUUUAUGAAUUUUCUCAAUACAAAACUAAGUUUACAAGAUUACAAGUCUGCUUUUACAACGAAACUGAAACUGAAUACAUCAACUUCUACUGACUGUCUAUGAAGCCUCUACUAGUCGGGUCAUGACUCCCAACUAUCCCAACUCAAUAUGACUGAUUAAAAAAAAUAAAAUACUUCUCAAACUAUAUAACUGACUCAAGCCCUUAAACCAACAAAAACUCAUCACCUACUGACUGGAAGCUGCAACUGACUGAACAUGAUAUGUGUGCUAUAAUUUGUACCUACAUUAUGAGACAAUGUAGCACAUAGACAUAUAUGUGGGUCAGCAUUUUGGGAAUGUAUUGAGUAUAUGGGGGUGUAUGCAUUUAAAUAAACAAUAUCAUAAAGUUUGUUAGAAAUCAUGCAUGCUGACAAUAAUGACUCACAAAGCUUGAAUAAAAGCUUAAAUAUAAGCAUCAUAAAUCAUGAAUAAUGAACAUGUAUCACAAAUCUCGUGAGUAAUUAUACUUAACUAAAAAUUUUGAAUUUCUCCAUUUAUCCUCAAAACUCAUAAGCUAAAGAAAUCUGUAAAUAAUUCUUUCAAACUCAUACUUCUUUAUCGAGGAGAAUAGAACUUCUUUAAACCUAAAGGACUCAAAACUUUAUAAACUUAAGAACUGGAGUUGGGAAACAUUGGGAAUCUCAAGAAUCAAACUUUCAACAUAUACACUUUUAGCUUAAUCAGAGUAGGGGACUGCUUUAGGAGUUUUUUCUAACCGACAUAAACCAUGUGAGCCACAUAGAGUCCAACAUUUUGUUCUCCUAAGGAAGAAGCCCAAUAUUGGGGGAGGAGCGUUAUACUCUUGCAAGGGAGUAUAACCUCAAUUCAGUUAUCACAAACUCGGCCUUAGGCCCACAAAUUUCAAUCCUACGGUGGCAUGUAGUUCUGGGGAUGUAGGAUGCAUUGAACCCACACUUCCUGCUCGGUGCUAAAUACUACUCCCAUACUCGGCUCAGAACUCUUAGAAAAUCCACCUCAAAAUAACUCAAGGGUCUAUAAUGAAGACCAAGUCAUAUUUCUCUUCACUUGAAUCAUAUGAAAUUUGUGGAUUCCUAUUUUAACUCAAUAUCAAAACAUCAAUCUUGAAUCAAAUCUUGGUAAGCAAUUUGCUAGAGGAAAACUAAAAAUAAUAACAUUCUCAAAACCAAACUCAUUCUGGUUAUUGAUAUAAUAAUUCAAAACAUUCAAGAACAUGGUCUUAAAAUCUCAAUGCACUUCUUGGAACUCUUAAGGAAAUAUCAACAACUCAUUUUUGGACUUAAAGAAUAUAUGCAUAUUCAAGUAAUAUUAACCUUCAAGAUAGCAGUAAUUCAAGAAUUCAACUUUAAAAACAUUCAAAACUUUGAUCAUGGUAGAAAUAUACAAUUCAUUCAUAAAUUCUCAAUUCACAACAUAAAAUAGGUGAGAUACCAUAUAAUUCAAAAACUUAAUCAACUCAAAUCUCAUAAACUUGAAAUAUAUCAAACUAUGAAUAAUCCAACUUGAAAAUACAACAUUCUUUAAGAAAAUUAAUACUUUGGGCACAAGAACGAAAGGAUUGUUCAUGCUCAAACUCCACAUACCUCAAAUCUGUGAAUUCGGAUGAACUUUUGAUUCCGGAACUCUAUUCGUGAAAUUGAUAGGUGCUACUUGAAGAUCUCGAGCUGGGGAUUUCGAUUCUUGAAUUAUUUUAGGGAUUUAAUGGGUGAAUUUUGAUAGAUAUGAAUUUUUCGUUGGAAGAUAGUGUUUAGUUCUAGAGAGGAAACUGAUGGAAGAUACUAUAUUUGGCCAAUUGGAGCAUAAUUCUCUUGUUUAAGAUGAUAGAAGAUUGAAUGUUUUUUUUGGACCUUGGGAAUACCAAGGCGUCGCCCAGCUUAGGCCAUGGGAGAACCUAGGGCGGCGCCUUGGUUUAAAUGGGGGAGUAACUGGGGUGGCACCCCUCUUAUAGAGGGGGAGAGAGCUGGGCGGCGCCUCCCUUAGAGCGGGGGAGAAAGCCGGGCGGCACCCCUCUAUUGCGGAGGCUCACUGGUUUGAAAUCAAAACACGCCCUAAAUGAGGUCCAAAAAUUCCGAAACUCACUUGAGAUAUACUAUUGACUUUCUCCAUCGCAACACAACUUGAAUAUCAAAAAACGGAUAUCGAAAAGGUCAAAAAAUAAUUCAUCGAAGUUGAAGGUCCAAAAUUAAACUAAGUGUUGGAACACUUAGCAAAAUUUCUAAGGGUAAGGGUUCUUUUAAUUCGCUCGGAAUACUUAAACGAUAAGGAAACUUCACGGGGUCUUACAAUACUCCUGCUCGUUUCUAAGAACAACCAAUCGAGCUUUGUACCAAUCAAGAGUUUCAUCAAAAUAAAGUUUAAUUGAAUAAACCCAUUUACAUCCAAUUGGAUAGACAUUUGAAGGACAUGAAAUAAUAUCCCAUGUGUCAUUUUCUUUAUGAGCCAAAAGUUCUUCCUCUAUUUCCUUCAGCCAACAUUCAUGAUUGGAAACUUCUACGUAAUAAGUUGGAACAGAAAUAGUGGAUAAAGUAGAUGAAAAGUCAUACCAAUUAGGAGUACGAGAUACUCUUGUAGAUCGCCGAGUGGGAUCAAGAGGAACAGGCCUUGAAGAAUUCUCAAAGUCUAGUUGUGGAGCAGUUUUAGGUGGCGGAUCAAUAUCAGGAGGGGGUAAAGUUGGCCUCCGGCGUUCAUACACAAAUUCAGAUUUGAACCUCUUAGAAGAAGAUGACAAAUCCUCAAAAGUAUGAAGAAAAAGAGAAGCAGGAUUUGACUCAACAUGAGUAGGAAAAAAUACUGAUUCUCUAAGAAAACAACAUUUCUAGAAACAUGAAAUUAAUUAGAACAUGGAUCAUAACAGAGAAAACCUUUCUGUAAAGUACUAUAUAAAGUACUAUAACCGAUAAAAACACAUUUAGUAGACUGUACAGAAAGUUUAUGACACUGAUAAGGAGGAAGAUGCACAAAACAAAUACAACCAAAUGUAUGAAAAAAUUCAUAGCUUGGAUUUUUCUGAUAAAGACAAUAAUAUGGAGAUUCAAGAUUUAAGACUUUAGAUGGUAGUCUAUUAAUUAAGUAAAUAGCAGUAGAAAAAGCUUCCACCCAAUAUUUAGAUAAAACAGAGGACUCAAUCAAUAAAGUAUGAGUGACAUCUAAAAGAUGACGUUUUUACGUCCAGCAACUCUAUUUUGUUGUGGUGUAUAUGGACAGGAGCGUUCUAAGACAAUUCCUUUUUCAAGAAAAAAAAUUUUGAACUCAUAAGACAUAUAUUCUCCACCAGAAUCAAAUCUAAAUAAUUUGAUGCAAGUAUAAAAUUAAAUCUCAAUAUAGGCCAAAAAUGUCUUGAAUAUGGAAAAUACCUCAGAUUUGGAAUGAAGAAAAGUCACCCACAUAAAUCGACUAUAAUCAUCUAUAAAUGUCACAAAGUACUUGAAAUGAACAUAAGAAACAAUUGGUGAAAUAUCGCAAACAUCACUAUGAAUGACAUCAAAACACUCUGUAGUACGACUACCAAAAUCAAAAAAACAAAGAAUUUUACUCUUGCCUAAUUUACAAGUAGAACAAUCAAAGAAAGCAGUGGAAAAUUGAUUUUUAUUCCACAAUAAACCCAAAUUUGAUAAAUGAGAUAACACAAUAGAAUUAGGAUCUCCUAAGAGCUUAUGACAUACCUCAGUCUUACUAGGUGUAGAAGUACAAGCAAAUGAUAGAACACGAGGAAUGGAAAAGUGUAUAGAAAACAGUCAUUCAACUUUAGGCCCCUUCGCAGUAUAGUCCCCGACACCUAAUCCUGCACAGGACAACCAUUACAAGAAAAAUUCACAUCACAAUUGCUAUCUACCAAUUGUCCAACUGAAAUAAGACUAGUGGAGAGCUUUGGUGACACAAAAGCAUUGUUUAAAGUUUUAGUAAUAUCCCAAACCUUGGUAAUGGGUGAAUUUAUACCAUUGAUAACUUGAAUUUUUGAUGGACCAUGAUACUUACAAACAUUUUUUAUCAUACUAUAUGAGUUGGUCAUAUGAUUGGAAGCUCCAGAAUCAACAAGCUAAAAGUUAGAUGCAAGAUCAUUAUCUUGUAGCCCUAAAGUUGAAAAGGCUGACAUGAUCAUUUGUCUUACCAUUUCACGAGUAAGAAAUUGUCCGAAGAUGAGUUCUUAGUAGUGAAAUCAUUUGUGCCAGCUUGAAAAGCAUUAACCUUAUAUUUUUUAGGGCGUGUAAGACACUCUAUGAUAAUGUAUCCUUGUUGUUUGCAAUAAUUACAAAACUUCUUGCCAUAAUUGCUAGAAAUAUGCCCAUAUUCCUUACAACUGUAGCAUUGAUUUCUAGUCAUAUCCCUACCCUUUUCUUUACUCUAAAACCCUGCAUUUUGGGCUAGAACAAAAAAUUUCAUUUCUAUGCGUAGAUGAUCCAAAAGCCAUAAAUCCUAUGCAAAUUUGUCAUGUUAAUCAAUUAUGUAUUGUGGGAACCUAUUUGAGCAUGAAUUGAGAUCAUAGGGGUCCCCUAACUCAAGGACGAUUUGAAAGCUUUCCUAUCGUUCGAGUUUGAGUGAGCAUCGAAACUUAGGUCAACUUCAAUCGACCAUAACUUUUUGUAUAUAACAAAUUAGAGGGCCUAAUAUAUAUCAAAUGAAAGCUCUUCGAAUUAUCUUUCCAAUGUUACUAAUUUCUCCAAAAUCUGAUACCUAACAAAAAGUUAUGGCCAUUUUCGUGACUGACACAGUAGCAUCACACGAUUAGCGUGCGACACACGCUCUAUCGCACGCACCCAAUUUCUAGGUCCUAUUUUCACAUUUUUAACGGAAAAAGUGGUAUUUUCCACCCUCUAUUCAGCCAUAACACUAGAUUAAAUCCCCCAAACACCAAAAUGAUGUCAUUCUCUCUCAAAAUCACCAAGAACACUUCUUAGGGUUUCAACCCAAAGAUCAAAAUAUCUUAAGAUUUUACCGUGGGUUUUAAAUAAUUCUAUGAGAUUCGGAAUUCCCAUUAUGAGGGCUAUAAGAAGCAUCAUCAAUUGUUCGAAUAGCAUCCCUAAAGCAAGUGUUAAUUCAAGAGUAAUAAAUUAAGGUACGUGGGAUUUUCCUAAAAUUUCAUGGACAAAGAAACCAUCUUUAAUUCAUGCUAACAGUUUAGAAAUCAUGAUUCUUAAGAAAGGUGUUUUGAAUUUAUGAUUACUAGCAUAUUUUAGAAGCAUUGAUCAUUAUUAUUUUGGUCUUUAGGCCUUCCCCCAAAUUCAUUUGAAACUCAAUAUAUAUGUAUGCUUGUGUUUAUGGAUCAAUAUACAGUUGAGAGCAUGAAUCCUAAAGAAUCCCUCUCUUGUUAUGAUUUUUCUCAUCUUUUAUAUGAUAUGAAUUGUGUUUGAAAUGUCUUGAUUAUUGCUAUGAUUUGAAUAUAAUUUUGAAUUCAAAAUAGAGGGUUGUGCAUGUUGAUAAACUUUGAAUACACUUUUAAUGAAAUAAUUGCAUGUUUGCCAAAAAUACAUGACCACCACAUCGUUAUUGAAAGAAUGAGAAUCUUAGCAUAGUUUUGACUUGUUCUUGUGGAACAUGAAAUUUCCUAUAUUAUUUGCAUGCUUGGGUGCUAUGAAUUAUGUUUUGAUGAAAGAAUCAUGCAUGGUACAAUAUGGCUCAAAAAUAGGACUUGUAAGUCUUGGUGUGACGACACCAACUUAAUUAAAGCCAUAGUAAUUCAUAACAAAAUAAAACACAUGUUUGAAAUCAGAUUUUUAGAUUAUGAAUUAAGAAAGAUGCAUGUUUAGAAAAUUUUUAAAAAUGGGCUUAAAGAGAGUUAGAUGGUUACUUGAAGAAAGUACGAGUUGAGAGACUAUGCUAGAAACCGUGAUUUGCUGACACGGGAUUACGGUACCAUGUUUUGUGAUCUUGUGUACCUUGAUUCACGUCGUCCCAAAUUUGGAACUAUGGUUAGGAGCGCUGCUUUGUGAUCUUGUGCACUACCAUGACAUGUUUAUUUAAUUGAAGAUUUUGGCACCCUGUUGUGUGAUCUUGCAUGUUCCCCUUAUAGAUACUCCAAUCCUUGCGGCAAACUUGGAUUGGGGGCUUGACCGCCGAGUUAAGGGCAGAUUCCAUAUAGCCCAUGGAAUUACAGAUUGUAGGGUGUACCAUCUAGCUCAGAAGUAAGAGAAAGAGUGAGUCAUGGUUUCAAACAAAUGUUUCAAAGUCUCUAAAAUGUGCCCAUGUGUUUUCAUAUAUUAUAAGUAAAAUGUUUUAUGAAUUGCUCUCACUUAUGUUAUACAUAAAUACAUUAUUUUGGAUUGCUCUAACUAUCAGUACAUCUGUAUUGACCCCCUCUCUUUAAGGUUCUAAGGCUCAAUCUAGGGGUCCUGAUAAGUAGUAGAUUUUCUCCAAACAUAAGUGUAGAGUUCCAUGGUGAGCUUCUAUAUUUUAGAAGGGUUGGGUUUAUGUUGGGUUUAUGCAUGUAGUAGAGAUUUAACAUACUACGUCAGAUAUAACAUAAAUGUUUUGAAUUGAAGUUUUCAUUAAGAUUUGAAUUCAGAUUUAAUGACCAUGAUUUCAUUUUAUUAGGUAUUUCUGAAUUAUCUUUUUUAUAUGAGGACAGUGUAUGUGAUUACAAGUUAUAAGAGUGUCCAGGCCUUUAUGGUUUGCGAUGAUCGUCACGUCUAGGGCCUCGGUUUAGGUCAUGACAAACUUGAUAUUAAAGCAUGGUUUAUGGUCCCAAGGUAUCUGCGAAAUCAUAUAGGGUAGAGUCUUGUUUAUGGGUGUGUAGCGCACCACACUUAUAGGCAGGAGGCUACUAGGCAUUUAGGAAUUUCUCACUUUCUUCAUGUUUUAGUUUGUGUUAUGGAGUUAGAAUAUUCUUCUUACAUACUCUAAUUCGUGCUAUGGUGUUGCACAUACGGAAGUAAAGUCAUCCCAAUUCUUUCCUUACUUUGAUGUGCUCAGAUAUGUCUCAUUAUUAGGGUGAUUUAAGUGUAGAAGUUUAGAGUCUAAAUGGUAUGGUCCUUUUUGAUUGAGUCAUAUAAUAUUUUAAAAUUGUGAAAGGUCUUGAGAAGAGUCUGUUAGUCCUCCAAGGUGUAUUGAUUCUAGUGUGAACUUUGAUUCUAACGAAAUCAUGCUUUUCAACUUGCAAUAUUAAGUGUAUUAAGUCCUUUUUAAAACUUAUGUUUCAGACUUCAUGCUUCAGGGGGAAUGAUGUGUAACAGAAUGUUGGAACUGUAUUUCCGCCCGAGUAGUAGCACAAGUUAAAGUGACAGUGUCAUGACCUAUUGGUACUGAUAUUGGACCAAGAAGUUGGUGAUGUGAAGUCGCAAGGUUUGAAAUCAGAGUGAGGAUGACUUUUGUGUAGAUAAAUGUGUUUAGUCGAAUAACUGAUGUUUGAGAAUGAUUUACCAUUUUAUAUUGAUAGACUAAUGUAGUAGCUAGUGGCAUGUGUGGAUUGUAUGGUAGCCUGUGAGGGAGUGUUUGACUCAGAUUUUUUUAAUUUAUACAUAGCAAGAUGUGUAUUCUUAGAUCAUUGAAUGUUGUGUGUAAAGUUUCUAUCUCUUGUAAUCUUAUUAUCAUUGUGUUGUUGAAACUAAAAGUCUAGUGAAGCCGUGUGGGGCUCUUUCGAUUCACGAGCAUAGUUUCCUUGUCAUUCAUCUCAUUUUUUGUUCAAAACACAAAAUCAAAGUCUAGUGGAGUUGUGUGGGGCCAAUUUCAAUUCACUAGAAACUUGUUAUUCAUCUUAUUGUUCUUAUGUUGGUUGGAACUGGGGUUUAGUGGCGUAAUGGCAAGAAAAGUGGUAAGGGAGAUUUAUUGAAUAUAAGUAUAGCCGAAUCAAUUUCCAUGAGAUUGAGUUGGUAAUGAAGUGAUACGACCUUGUGUGUUAGUUUAGUCGAAGCUAGAGAAGGAGUUAUUUGGUAAGGUGAAUUGUUAUUUGCUUAAAGUAUGAAAAGAGUUGUUGACGGCGUUUGUUUUGCAAAAAGAGUAUAGGUUAUUGAUGAAGGUACUUGGUGGGUGAGUGUAGUUAAUUUAAGCGUCCCUGACAUUGCAAGAGGGAGUUUAAUUGAAACUUAUAGAGUUAUGGACUAAGUUUAGCUGUAAAAAAAAUGGGUAGAUAGUAAUGAUGUAUAAAAGGAGGAUGUGUUAAUGGAUUGUGAAAAGGGUAGGCCAUAUGAUUAUGAUCGAUUGUUGUUGUUACGGAGUUCUAGUGUACUAGUGUUUCUUGAUAUUUUAUUUCAUAUUUUUUUUCCCAAGUGCGAAUUGUGUGUAAGGUUGGAUUGUAAACCAUGUUUAGCACUGCACAUUAAGUUUGAAUAGUUGAUGGCCAUGAAGGUAGAUGCGAUGAUUUCUUAGUUAAUGAUACUAGUUAUAGGGAAGUGAUCUAAUAGGCUUGAACAGCGUAUGCAAGAGCUUAAGUUUAUUUGAGCUGUAGUGAAUUAUGAUGUUGUAUGUAUGCUGUAGAAAUAUGUCCAAAGUGAUAUGGAGUUGCGGCAUUUUCUAAGGCUAUUGCAUGUUCCGUGUGGCUAGUAGUAACGUUAAGUUGCUAGAUAGAAAAAGACUAGUUAGAUGGUACAUGGCGUUCUCAAUGGCCAAGUUAAGAAGUUUUGAUUGACAGUGUUGAGCCUUUUGAUAUGAUCUUGAUUCUCAUGGUAGAGAGAUAUAAGUUUGGAGUCGCGAUAUUGGUGGGCUAUAACGGAAGUAGAAUUGGUUCAUCAAAGACUUGGUGAUAUCGAUGCUAAGUGUUAGAAUCUAAGUUGAUUUUUUUUGAAUGUUGAACUAAUAGAAAUAAGAGUUGAAGCAUAAAGGGUGUGCACCCCGACUAUAGGGAUAUUCAUGAAGAUUCGAAGUUAGUAAGUGUUCAAGUAUUAUGUAAUGAUUAUUGGGGCUAUAGAAAGAUAGGAGUGUGUCUCAGAAGGUAAUAUUUGCAAUGGAUUUUCCACUUUCAGGUGUAGUCUUUCAUGUUAAGUUCUAUGAUAUACGUGUAUUGUCAUUUUCCAGACCCCAAAGUGCAGUAAGUGUAGUUCAGUUUAGAGUCUAGUAAGGGAUCUCUCAAACUUAAGAUGAUUGAUUGAAGAUAAGGGGGAGAUGAUAGGAUGAAUAACCAAGUUAGGAUCUCAGAUUCUACUAGUGAUGUCAGUAUGACAUGGAACAUUAGAAAGUGAGGGUAAGACUCAACCCAUUCUUACCGCAGCAUUUUUUAGUUAUCCCAAUACCUACUCAUGCCUUACGUUUUAGUUCCAUGAUCAUAGUUCGUAUUCAUGCUUGUGAUAGAGAAUCAUGUACUCUUCUAGUCCCAAAUUGAGGAGUUCCAGUUCAUUCAGUAGUCAGAAUCACAUUCCAUAUGUUAUGAACUCCAAAUUGAGGUCAUGCAGCUCAUGACUCAUGUGCCCAUGCUUCAUAGUGUGCGAAGUUCCCAUAACUCAUGCUAUACCCCUUAUGAUUGGUGAGAUUCAUCUUAUAGUCAUGUAUUCCUUAAUUCAAAUCACUUUGAUAAAUCCUCGAUGUUGAUUUGCUAUUCCUCAGGCCUCAGUUAAGUGUCAAGUCUUGUAUAAUAACCUUCCAUGCUUCAAGGUUUUAUUUUCUAACCUUUUAGUGACUCCUCCUUAUAUAAUGAUAGUGGUGGUGAGUAAAUGUUUCUUGUUGGUAAAAGAUCAUUGUAUGCUUGUUUAGAUAAGUCCAUAAGUGCGAAGUAAUAUUGGGGCAAGUCUUUGAUGCAUGUGAUGGUUAGUUGAAAUUUGUGUGUGUAUGUUCUUGAGGUAGCACGUGGGAGUUGUAUCGAUAGUGGUAUAGAGAAUAUAUGAAGUAUGCCUUUAUGGGUGUUUGCCUUGAAGUUCAUAUGUAGUUAUAAAGAUAGGCUUGAAUGUCUGUCGGGAUAUAAGCACAGGAACACAAUAUGCGCUAGUGAAUCCAUAGUAAGAGUUCAAGUUGUCAUUGAAGUGGUAAAACACAUUAUCCUUAGGUUGUAAACUUUAAAAAGAUAUAGAAAGAUUUAUCAAUUCCCCUAUGAGAAUUAUAAGUUGAAUCGAAUGAGUAUGAUAUUUAAGGGGAAAUGUAUAGUUGAGGGAGUAUUCGAGAAGUGUGCUAAGCUUGAAAGUAAGAAGUUGCAUUGCCUAAGGCCUUGUAAUUCUGUCCUAGUUUACGAUUUAUAAGUCUAUAUUCCAUGCCAUAGAGUAGUUUCAUUGUUGUGAUUCCUUAGUUGGAUGUCUUGUGUAACUCAUGUCAUAGAUUCUUUGCUCCCUAAUGCUACUAGGACUUCUUUAGAAAGAGUGAUGAAGAGAUACUCCAGUUAAGUAUAAGUUUCCCAGUUUAACAGUCAGGCGGCAGAAAAGUUAUUGUCUGCAAAAGAAACAUAUCUUUCUUACAAGUCUCAGUAGAAAUGAGUUAAUUGCAUUAACUCAUAUUUUUCUGUUGUGAAUUAAAAGAGGCUAGACAAGCAGAAAUGAGAUAAUUGCAAACGUUGUGAGAUGCAGUGACAAAUUAAAAUUUGUAAGAUUUAUAUCAAAUAUUUAAAUUUGUUUUUUGACGGUGUCACAUAGAAAGACACAUAAUUGAAGACCAUACCUAUAUAUAGACGUUAGUUAGUCAUCGCAGAAGGAUUAUAGGUUUGUGUAAUAGCAUCUGAAUGUCCUUGAGUACCUUAAUGAGACAGGGAACAUUUCUCGUUGUGCUUUUACAGUAUCUUUGAAAUUGAAUCAUUGGGAUGAAUAUAUUUGGGGUGUAUUUUAUAUGUAGAAAGAAGUAACAUGUGUGUCAAUGUCCUCGAAGCUGCUAGGAAAUACCCAUACGAUAUUUUAAAGAGAAAAUAACACCAUAUACAUAUAUAGUUGCGGAGCCAAAAAUUUUAUUUAGUAGUGUCAAAAUAUAAAGAAGUAAAUUCAAGAAGGUGUAAAAGGGUGUCAAUAUGUAAAAUUGACCCAUUUUGCAAACGAUUACGCAAUAGUCAAGGAGUACUAUCCCUUGGUCUUGUAAAGUAAUUAAUAAAAUUCCUUUCAUUGCCAGAAAAAAAAUUCAUUCUUCACAUCAAUACAUUUAUUUAACAAACAUUUUAAACAAAACAAUUUAUUUGGAACAAGAGUCGCCAAGAGCAUGCUCAACAUGCGAGAAGUUGAAUCUUGAUGAUACACAAUCUUGAUUGUGUAUCCCUACAACAUCUUUCAUGUUUGUCCGUCUUCCUGGAGAUUUAACACAACAAUCUAGUGCCACUUUCAUUAUUGAUGCUACACAAUCUAACUUCUUGUUCAAGUGAUUAUCCAUCAGUGGAACCAAGUUGGAAUCCGCAACAUCCAUUACUGCAUCAGGAAGUGAAUAACUCACCCAUUGCUUCAAGCUAAGAUCUCCCUCAAACUCACUAGGCUUUCUCCUAGUAAAUGUUUCCAGCAACAUGAUUCCAUAACUACACACAUCACAUUUAGUAGACACCAAUCCAUCUUCUCCAUACUCUACAAUCAAACAAUUAUUUAAAGAUGUAACAUGAUAACUUGGUGGAAAAGGAGAAAGGGAAAAGAAAUGUGCAAAGCAAAAUCAAGAGACGUACCUGGCGCAAUAUAACCCAAUGUUGCUAAUGUUUUUGUGUAUAAAUCACUCUCAUCUUCACCAAGCAGUUUCGAAAUGCCAAAGUCGCUUAGGUGGGAAACCAUAUCCUCGUCCAGCAAGACAUUACUAGGCUUCAGAUUUCAGUGGAUCACAGGCGACAAGCACCCAUGGUGCAGAUAUUCCAAAGCACAUGCCACAUCUAUCAUUAUGCUUAGUCUUUGCCUGAUGUCGAGAAAGUAGUUGUGCGAAUACAAAUACUUCUCAAGACUCCCAUUAGGCAUAUACUGGAGCACUAAUACCUUCAAAUCAAGAUUGGAACAGCUAGCAAUGACUUUUACAAGAUUCCUAUGGCGAAGGCUGUGUAGAACUUCACAUUCCGUAUCAAAGCUCUUGAAUGCUGCAUCUAGUUGAAGAUUGAACACUUUAACAGUGAUGGUAGUACCACUUCUGAGAACGCCUUUGUAGACACAGCCAAAACUUCCGGAACCAAUCAGGUUACUCUCGCUAAGCGCAUCAAUUGCUUGGAGCAAUUCAUAGUAUGAAAUUCUUUCUCUUGUCAUGGCAGACAAUGAAUCAGCUUGUUGAGGAGCUCUUUUACCUCUUCUAUACCUUAUCCAGAAAAACACCAAGGUGAUAAGAACAAAUACUAGUGCAAUUCCCAGCAAAAGAAAAAGAAUAAGCACUUUUUUCCUACUAGAUCUAUGCUUUGAUGAAGUAGGGCAUGGUGGGACAAUAAACCUUGAAGAACCACACAGUGCUUCAUUGUAGAUGAAAAAUGUACUCAAGAAGUUCUUGAAAGGACACCCUGAGGGUAUUUCAGCAUGCAAUUUGUUGACAAAAACAUUGAAAUAUUUGAGGUAUUGAAGUUUCUCCAACGACAUGAGAAUAGUUCCCGAUAUAUUAUUAUCAGAAAGGUCUAGUAAUUCCAAACCUACCAUGUUGCUUAUUGAGUCAGAUAUAGAUCCUUGCAACUUGUUGUGCCUCAAAGAAAGCUGCACCAGAUUUUGCAACCCUCCAAUUUCUCUUGGAAUUCCAUUUCAGAAUUGAUUCAUCGACAGAUCUAUAAGUGUUGCAGCCUUUAAUUUUCCGAUUUCUGGAGUUAAAGAACCAACCAUGUUGUUUGACGAUAUGUCAAGAACCAUUAGAUCUUCAAGAUUACAUAAUCUUGAUGGUAUAUUGGUUCUCAAUUUAUUGGAACCCGCAUGUAUCUCUCUAAGGGAAGUAACCUUUCCGAAACAAUUAGGAAGAGAACCUGAAAGUGGAUUUUGACUCAAGUUGAUGACAUCCAAGAGCUGCAAUUUACAUAGAUUAUCACCGAUAGAUCCUGUAAGUUUGUUAUUACUCAAGAACAAGCCCUGCAGGUUUAUCAAGUUGCCAUUUGACGUGGGAAUCGAUCCAGCCAAGUUGUUUGCAGAAAGAUCAAGGUCUAAUAAGCAGCUUAAUUACCCAACUUCAUUUGGAAUUCGCCAUUUUAUUUUGCUACCACUGGCUUGAAAGAUUAUAAGAGAUGUGGAAAGGUUCCCCAUGGAGGCUGGAAGCAUGCCAUUUAGAGGGUUGAAAGAUAGAUAAAGAGCUGUUAAAUUUUUGCUAUUGGUUAAGGAAGUCAGGAAGCUUAAUAAUGAGUCGCUGGUUAAAUUGUUUGCCUCUAAAUUUAGAUACUGUAGAUGAGUCACAUAUCCAAGAGAAUUGGGAAUAAAUCCAGUGAGUUGGUUGGUAGAAAGCUUAAGAAUAGUAAGUUCUGAAUAACUGGAGAUGGAAUGAGGGAUAGUCCCACCAAGAUUGGUUAAGUUGCCCAUAUAAAGCUCUUCAAUGUUGGGUAUGAAAGAACACAUGUUUGGUGGGAGGCUUCCUGAUAGAUUGAUGAAUGAAAGAGAAAUCACUCUCAGCCCUGAUAUGUUGAAGAUCUCUGUAGAGAAUGGCUAAGCAGUCCAUUCCAGAUGCUGAAAGUGAUCACAAGCUACAGUAACUGUGACUUCAAAAAUACAGUUAUUCCCUGUAGCAACAUUUCCAAAAAGUAGUUACUAGCAGUUAGAGUAAUUAAGUAGUUAGUUACUAUUUUUUCUAAGUUAUUUUUUCUAGCCUCUAACGGCUCUUUCUCUCUCCCUAGCCUCUCUCUCUCUCUCGCCUCGCCCCGGUCCACGGCCUUCGGCGCCGACCCGACCCGACCACCGGUCCCCGGCGUCGACCGCCAUCGCCGUCCGAACAGCUUUCUCUCUCUCCCUACCCUCUCUCUCUCUCGCGCCCCGGUAUGUUGAACAUCUUCAUUUCAUUAUGUUGUUUUAAUUUACUCUUAUGAUUAAGGGUUUUAUCUUUACGAAUUGAGAGGUUCCCCAUCUUUAGGAAUUGAUACCGUCUCAAGACCGGCAUCAUAAAACACAUUCUAAUCCAUAUCUCCAACUAAUAGAUUCUAUUAGUGUCAGUAUUUUCCCAUGAAAGUUGAAAGAUGGUUUGGUUUUGUUCAAUCAAUUAGUAAAAAUUUCUGCUUUACAUUGAUUUCAACUUUGGUGGAAAGAUAUGGCAUGGUAUACUUCUACGAUAUUCAUAAACAUUCUCAUCAGCUAGAUCAAAUUAAUAAUGCUUAAUUGGAAGUAUAAGUUUUACAUCAUCAUGAACAAAUUAAUAUGCUCAAUAUCUGAAGAAAUGUGCAAGAAAGCAAACUUGUCUGUAAGUAUGGAAAUGAGCUGGCACAUAUAUAUAGUAUUGUCCCUUGAGUACAUUGUCUCAUUGGUGAGCAAAUAGUGAGUUAUUCCUCCGCCAUUAUAGUUUAUUUCAGUGCCAGGGUGAACGGAACAUUUGAUGAAGUAGCAAAAUGAAUUGAGUAUGAUGAACUUACAGAAUCCAACCAUCCCAGUACAAGAAUCAGGAUGUACAAACAUUUCAAAAGACCAAAAAUCAACUAGUUUGCAUUUAAUAGGCCAUAAAAGUAAAUAUCCUCAAAAUGAUGGUAGAAAGUUCCAAAACAUGACUUAUUAUUUCCUGUUCAAAACAAAAAUACAAACAGAGGUCCUCCCUCGUUCAAAUGGGGAAUGUAACAUUAGUAUCUGUGUUCUAACUUCUCCUUCUCCUGGAAGUGCUGCACAUACCUGCAUGCAUCAAGAAACAUCAUGGCUAUGAACUGAGCAACAUCUUGACUUAGCAAAGAAUACAUAUAUUGUAAUGAAGUCAAAAGAAAAUCAUUCCGUUUCAGUGAUCCAAUAGCAAAGGGGAAAGGGGGAAGGUGAACUGACUCGACAAGCUCAAGCAACAGAAGAUGUAAACAAUUACCACAAUCGCUUGAUAAAAUUCACUCUGUCUGAGUGCAGCUCAAAUACUAUGAUCCGGAUUAAUCUCUUAUCAUUGAGACAAGUUACAACUUAAAAUAACUAAGAACUUUCACAUGCUUGGAGACAACGUUGAACAAAAUAAAGAAAGUCGACUAGUUAAUCACAUUUACCUUGACCAAAUAAGAAUAGCAAAAAUACUUUAAUUAAGAUUCAGUUAGAGGCAUAAUACCUCAUUAGAGCUGUAAACUUGGUGAUAUAUUCUUGAACAAUUUACUAGUAUGCACACUUGUCUGAUUUGUGAAAGUACACAACAAUUAUCUAACUAGUGUCAAACACGUUCUCAAAUGUUAAUAUCUUAUUAACCUUACAUUUUCAAUCUGUAAGUAGGGUCAAAAGACGCUGAUCUCAGCUUCAGCAAUUAAAUAUUUGUAGAAGCAAAUGUCUUCAAUAAGUAUAAAUUGGCAUUGUGCAAUUGUAGAUUCACAGUGUAUGAAGGUCUCAUGAAUGCCUGGAAAUAAUGCUCUUAUGCAUAUUCUAAUGGCUCUUCACAGUUUGUAUGUUAUAUUCCAACUAAAAUCUGAGCAACUAAGUUCCAUACUAAGCUACAGCCUUCAGUUGGACUGGCUAUACAUUUCUACUCAAGAGAACUAAUGUGCAACACUUCCUAUCCAACCCCACCCAAGAAAGGGGCGUAUGCCAAGUUGGUGGAGAGUAAGGACGAAGAGGAGAAACGGGUAAACAGGAAAGAGUACAAGCUAGCGAGGAAGGAGGCUAAGUCAGCAGUCACGGCAGCUAAGACGGCCGCCUUUGAGAGCCUGUAUGCAGGGUUACAGGGGAAGGGAGGGGAGAAAAAGUUGUUUAGACUCGCUAAGGCUAGGGAGAGGAAGGGUCGUGACCUCGAUCAGGUGAGGUGCAUUAAGGGGGAGGACGGUAGAGUGUUGGUGGAAGACGGCCACAUUAAGAAUAGAUGGCAGUCGUACUUUCAUAGGCUCUUGAAUGACGAAGGGGAUAGAGCUAUUGUGUUAGGGGAACUGGAGCACUCAGAGGAGUGUCGGGAUUUUAGCUAUUGUAGACGUUUUAAGGUAGAAGAGGUUAGACAGGCUGUUCGCAGAAUGCGAAGGGGUAGGGCGACGGGGCCGGAUGAGAUACCGGUCGAGUUUUGGAAGUUCGUUGGAGAGGCUGGUCUUAGGUGGUUGACGGGAUUGUUUAAUGAAAUCUUCAAGACGGCAAAGAUGCCCGAGGCUUGGAGGUGGAGCACCAUGAUACCUCUCUAUAAGAAUAAGGGGGACAUCCAGAGUUGCAACAACUAUAGGGGUAUUAAGUUAUUGAGUCACUCUAUGAAAAUCUGGGAGAGAGUGGUCGAGGUGAGGCUGAGACGGAUAGUGUCUAUUUCAGAAAACCAGUUUGGAUUUAUGCCUGGCCGCUCGACGACGGAGGCAAUUCACCUGGUACGGAGGUUGGUGGAACAGUAUAGGGAGAGGAAGAAGGACCUGCACAUGGUGUUUAUCGACCUGGAGAAGGCCUACGACAACGUCCCUAGGGAGGUGCUUUGGAGAUGCUUGGAGGUGAGGGGAGUACCGCUGGCAUAUAUCAGAGCAAUCAAGGAUAUGUAUGAUGGAGCGAAAACUAAGGUGAGGACGGCGGGAGGAGACUCAGAACAUUUCACGGUCCGGACAGGGUUGCAUCAGGGAUCUACUCUUAGUCCCUUUUUGUUUGCAGUGGUAAUGGAUGUGUUGACGCGGCGUAUUCAAGGGGAGGUGCCGUGGUGUAUGCUUUUUGCAGACGAUGUAGUUCUGAUAGCUGAGACCCGAGAGGGUGUGAGCGACAAAUUAGAGGUGUGGAGGCAAACCCUUGAGUAUAAAGGGUUCAGGGUGAGCAGAAGCAAGACAGAGUAUGUGGAAUGCAAGUUUAAUGACAUGAGGAGGGAGAACGAGGUAGUAGUGAAGCUGGAAUCACAGGAGGUAGGUAAGAGGGAGAGUUUCAAGUAUCUCGGGUCCGUGAUCCAGAGUAACGGUGAGAUUGGUGAGGAUGUCUCGCACCGUAUUGGGGCGGGAUGGAUGAAGUGGAAGCUCGCGUCGGGGGUGCUGUGUGAUAAGAAGGUGCCGCCUAAGCUUAAAGGCAAAUUCUACAGGGCGGUAGUCCGUCCGGCCAUGUUGUAUGGAGCGGAGUGUUGGCCAGUUAAGAACUCCCACAUCCAGAAGAUGAGGGUGGCAGAAAUGCGGAUGUUGCGCUGGAUGUGUGGGCUGACUAGAGGGGAUAGAGUUCGGAAUGAGAACAUCCGGGAGAAGGUUGGUGUGACACCAGUGGAGUGCAAGAUGCGGGAAGCCCGAUUGAGAUGGUUCGGACACGUGAAGAGGAGGGGCAUGGAUGCCCCGGUCCGUAGGUGUGAGAGGCUAGCGUUGGAUGGUUUUAAGCGGGGUAGGGGUAGGCCGAAGAAGUACUGGGGGUGAGGUGAUUAGGCGAGACAUGGAGCAGUUACAGCUCACCGAGGACAUGACCCUAGAUAGGAAGGUCUGGAGGACGCGAAUCAGGGCAGUGGACUAGGGCCAGUCUGAGUCGCUAGUAUAGGGAACUACUUGGUGGGGGUUUAUUCCUGUUAGGAGUCCGUGUCCCAUGUUUUAUUAUGAAUCUGUGUGCUUUCCUCUGUUUUAUAUUACUUAUGGGUGCCGUAUUUAUGUUAUGUAAUCUUGUAACCUUGUGCUGUGCUUUACUAUGUGUUUGUGUGGUACCGCGUGUCUUGAGCCGGGGGUCUAUCGGAAACAGCCUUUCUACUUCUUCAGAGGUAGAGGUAUGGACUGCGUACAUCCUAACCCCCCAGACCCCACCAGGUGGGAAUACACUGGGUUUGUUGUUGUUGUAUUUAAUCUCAACUGUAUGUGUAUAUAUAUAACCUGUACAGAACAAGAACAAUCAAUGGAACAAGAAUACACUUUUCCAUAUCAGUUUCUUCUCUAAAUCUCAUCUUCUUCUUAUCUGAAUCUCAUACUGUGUUCUUGGUUUCUUCUCCUCUUGAAUUCAUUCUGUUUCUUGCUUCAUAUUCUUCGUUCAAUCCACCUAAAAUUACAUGGUAUCAAAGCCUUCAUCAGCUGGUAUUACUAGUUGAAUAAAUCGAUCAAAUUCCGCUAAAGAUUGGUCUGGGAGUUAACUGGAAUCUUGAUAAUUGGAAUGGCAAACAAUGCAACUGCUUUUGGAUUUCAUGGGGUGAGCACAGAGCCACAAUCAAGCAAUGGUAGCACACAGAUUCCUGGAAUCGAUUACAAUCAUCCACUUUUCCUGCAUUCUUCUGAUGUAAGUGGUGCUCAAAUUAUCUCCUUCCAACUCACGGGUGCAGAGAACUAUUCUCUGUGGUAUAGGUCUAUGAAAAUAGCUUUAUUAGGAAGGAAUAAACUUGGUUUAGUUGAUGGAACAUGUUAAAAAAAAAUAUCCAGGACUUGAGGGAAAUUGGCAAAGAGUUAAUGCUGUUGUGCUGUCAUGGAGAAUUCUGUAUAGAAAAGUCUUCUUGGUGGCAUUAUGUAUGCUUCUUGUGCUCAAUAUGUUUGGGAAGAUCUUGCUGAACGCUAUAACAAGAUAGAUGGGUCAAGAACUUUAAAUUUACAUAAAGAAAUUGCUACCUUAUCUCAAGGAACUAGUUCAGUGUCUGUUUACUUCUCUAAGUUGAAAGGUCUAUGGGAAGAAUUUGAAGCUAUGAUGCCUACUCCAUCAUGUGAAUGUGAUAAAUCCAGGGAGUAUAUGUUACACCUACAAAAACUCAAACUAUUUCAGUUUCUUAUGGGUUUAAAUGACUCUUAUAUGCAAACAAGAUCACAGAUCUUGUUAAUGAGCCCUCUCCCUUAUGUGAACCAAGCCUACUCCAUGAUCACGUCUGAUGAAAGCCAGAAGUCUGUGGUGGCUACAUCACGAAUCUUGGGUCCUAAUCGUCUGUCAGGGAAUCAAAACUUUGAGGUAGCAAUGUAUUCUAGGAAUGGAUUUAACACAGGUGGUGAUUCUGCUACAUACUCUAGAAAACUGGUCAUUUAUUUUGUGACUAUUGCAAACUCAAGAAUCACACCAGAGAAAAUUGCUACAAAUUGGUAGGUUAUCCACAAGACUCUAGGUUCAAGAAAAAAGGGUCCAAUACAGCAUACAAUGCAGUAUCUGAGCAUUCAACUUCUUAAGAUCAUGGAGGUUCUGCACUCACAUCAAACUAUACUGUUAAGUUUGCCAAUUUGGACAGAGGUCAGCCCUCAGUACAAGGAUCAUCAGAUGGACAACAAAAUCAAUCUGAAACCUGCAAUUUUACAAAGGAACAAUAUCAGCAGUUACUUCAUUUCCUAAACAAAGCCUCAAAUCAAGUCCAUUCAGCAAAUGUUGCAGGUAAUGUAACAGGUAUGGACAAAUUUUUAACUCUCAUUGAUAACACGAAAACAAAUCCUGUAUGGAUAGUUGAUACAGGUGCUACCAAUCAAAUGGUAGCAGACCUGAAUAGUCUGGACAAAACCACAGUCCACAAACCUCUUAAUUCAAAGAAGGUAUAUCUACCAAAUGGGGAUUCUCACUGGUUGAAGCUGUUGGUUCAAGUAUUUUACCUGACAACAAUAUCAUUACUGGAGUUUUUCAUAUACCUCAGUUCAAGUUCAACUUGCUCUCUGUAUCUAAGAUCACUAAGGAACUAAAUUGUUCUGUUACUUUUUUUACCUAACUUCUGUAUAUUUUAGGAUCUCUCACAUGGGAGGGUGAAGAUGAUUCGUAAAGAAGAGGAUGGACUCUAUCUACUGUCCAACAAUCCAAGUUCAGCAGAUGUUAAUAUUGCAGCUAGUUUUUCUAUUCCUUUGCUUAAGAUAGAUUGAAAACUAGACAUAGCCCUGUGGCAUAAGAAAUUUGGUCAUGUAUCUACCUCAGUUUUAAAGAAACUACUUGCAUAAAACACAACCAGUAUACUGAUAUAGUUGAUAAAUGCACUAUCUGUCCUUGUGCUAAACAAGCCAGAGUUCCUUUUCCUAUUAGUAGUUCAAAAAGUCAUGCUUGCUUUGAUUUGUUGCACAUGGAUCUAUGGGGACCCUAUAAAACUCCUACUCAUGAUGGUCAUAAAUACUUCCUUACUGUGGUUGAUGAUUUGUCAAGAUAUACCUGGAUAUUCCUAUUAAGACUCAAAAGUGAUGUCUGCAUUAUUAUUCAAAAAUUCCUAGUUCAUAGUAAAACACAAUUUGAUAAGACAGUAAAAUGUGUAAGGACAGAUAAUGGUACUGAAUUCUUAAACAAUGUUUGCUCAACCAUGUUCAAUUCCCUAGGUAUUAUAUGUCAAACCACUUGUGCCUAUACUCCUCAGCAAAAUGGCAUUGCUGAAAGGAAAUAUAGACACAUUCUUGAGCUCACUAGAGCCAUUAGAUUUCAAGCUCACAUUCCUCUUAAAUUUUGGGGCUUGUGUGUUUAGGCUGCUGUGUAUAUUAUUAACAGACUUCCAAGUUCUGUAAUUAACAAUAGCAUUCCUUACACACUGUUAUUUCACAAAUCCCCUUCCUUGUCACAUCUUAGAGUUUUAGGAUGCCUGUGCUUUGCUAAGGCGAUAUAAGAAACUGAUAAACUUAAGAGUAGGUCAAGGAUAGCUGUUCAUAUGGGCUAUGCUACUACUCAGAAAGGUUACUUGUUAUAUGAUCUAACAUCUCAUACUUUCUUUGUACACAGAGAUGUGAUAUUCAAAGAAGAAAUUUUCCCUUUCCAGUUACAACAUCAGCAUCCCACAACAAUUUUCAACUUCACUGGUUCAAAUGAUGAAGAAAUCACUCAUACUCAAUCUACUGGUGGACCUCAUUCUACUCAGGAAACAAGCUUACCUACUGAGAUUCCUGAUGCACUUUCACAAUGCUCUACAUCUACCUACUCAGAUCUUUUUGCAGGAUGCACAUGUAUCAGCAACACAACCAGAAGAGACUAGAAGAUCAUCAAGAGAUAAAAGACCUCCACUGUGGAUGAAGGACUUUGUAUCUCAUGCAAAGCAUACACCCUACUCACUGGACAAAUAUAUCUCUUAUGACAAGGUAAGCAAGUCCUAUCAAGCAUAUCUUUCAAGAAUACCUGUCAAUACAGAACCUAAAAGCUACAAGGAAGCAAUAACUGAGCCUAAGUGGAUUGAGGCAAUGAAGGCUGAAAUUGAGGCAUUAAAAGCUAAUCACACUUGGGAUGUGGUUACUCCACAAGGAAAGAUUCCUAUAGGUUGCAAAUGGAUCUAUAAGAUCAAAUAUAAGAGUUCAGGUGAAUUUGAGAGAUACAAAGCAAGAUUAGUGGCUAAGGGUUAUAGCCAAAACGAAGGGAUUGACUAUCAAGAAACAUUUAGUCCAGUUGUGAUGAUGAAAAUAGUAAGAAUUAUUUUGACUAUUGCUUCUCAAAAGAAGUGGCACAUCCAUCAGAUGGAUGUGUUUAAUGCUUUUCGAUAGGGUGACUUGACUGAUGAGAUCUAUAUGGAUCUUCCUCAGGGAUUUAAGAGUCAGGGGGAGAAUAAGGUGUGUACUCACUAAAUCCCUGUAUGGUCUAAAGCAAGCACCAAGGCAAUGGAAUGCAAAGCUAUCUCAAGCAUUACUGAAAUUUGAAUUCAAACAGAGUGAACAUGAUGACUCCUUGUUCAUAAAAAAAACUAUAACAGGUAGGUAAGCUGCUAUAUCUAACAAUGACUAGACCUGAAAUCUCCUUUGGGAUUCAGACACUAAGUCAGUUCCUACAACAGCCUAAGAAGUCUCAUAUGACAGCAGCUCUAAGGAUUGUAAGAUAUGUGAAGAACCAACCAGGUCAAGGGGUCUUACUGUCCAGUUCUCCUGAGACUACUAUCACUACAUAUUGUGAUGCAGAUUGGUCCUCCUGUCCCCAAACAAAAAGAUGAGUAACAGGAUACUUUGUACAAUAUAGAGGUUCCUUAGUUUCAUGGAAGUCAAAGAAACAGUCGACUGUCUCCAGGAGCUCAGCUGAGGCUGAGUACAGAAGCAUGGCAACCACUAUCACAGAAAUCAUAUGUCUAUAAGGAUUAAUUAAAGAACUCAGCAUUGAAGUCACUCUACCUAUCAAUAUCUAUACAGACAGUAAAGCUGCUAUACAACUUGCCGCCAAUCUAGUCUACCAUGAGAGGACUAAACACAUUGAGAUUGACUGCCACUUUAUAAGGAAAAAUAUCACUCAAGUCCUCAUAUCUACAAAAUACAUCUCUACACAGGAUCAACCUACUGAUCUACUUACCAAAGGACUCACUAAAGCACAAUUACAACAUCUCAGUUCCAAGCUAGGUGUUCCUAACAUUUUCUCACUUCCUAGCUUGAGGGGGAGUGUAGAGAAUGGCUAAGCAGUCCAUUCCAGAUGUUAAAAGUGAUCACAAGCUACAGUAACUGUGACUUCCAAAAUACAGUUAUUCCCUAUAGCAACAUUUCCAAAAAGUAGUUACUAGCAGUUAGAGUAGUUAAGUAGUUAGUUAGUAUUUUUUCUAUGUUAGUUAAUCUCAACUGUAUGUGUAUAUAUAUAACCUGUACAGAACAAGAAUAAUAAAUGGAACAAGAAUACACUUUCCAUAUCAGUUUCUUCUCUAAAUCUCAUCUUCUUCUUCUCUAAAUCUCAUACUGUGUUCUUGGUUUCUUCUCCUCUUGAAUUCAUUCUGUUUCUUGCUUCAUAUUCUUCACUCAAUCCACCUAAAACUACAAUCUCCAUGUCAAGUGAACCACUAAAUCUAUUAAUCCUAAGACUAAGUAGCUUCAACUCAACGAGAUUGCUUAUCUCGUUGGGUAUUUCACCUGUCAACACAUGAAGAAAAGAUGAAUACAAGUGAGAUGAACUAUUUGUCUCAAUGCUUAUCUAUGUGAUUCAUGCCUUAGUUUGACCUGAUGAAAAGGUGUCGACAAGAACUCAAAAAAUUGUUAUUGAUCAAAUUCUUAAGGAGGAUGUACAUAUUAUAUAUUUUUUUUCUCCAUUAAAAUUCUUAAUUUAAUUUUCUAUGAAUAUCUGAUUGUGCAGUUUUGUAUUUUUAUAUGGACUCAAAUAUAUAAAAUGAUACUUUAUUAGAAAUUAGCUAAUUACAAACAGGGGUUCAAAUUUACUGCUUAUUUUUUAAAACAAAUUAAUUUUAAACAUUAAAAGACGCUCCUUAUAUGGUGUUUAGAAGAUGUAUUUAUAAUUGUUACAUUUUAUUACUCAUUACAUGCACAAAUUAAUAGAAUUUUAAUAUUUCUAAUGGAUCUGUAAAAAUUAACAUGAGACACCAUUAGAAUAUAUAUGUACCUAUAAGCUUAUUUCCACCAAUCUGUAGAUGUUGCAUCUUGGUUAAGUUGCCAAUCUCCCGUGGUAAGAAUCCACUAAGAUUGUUCCUCCGCAGUGAAAAAAUUUGCAGCGAUGAGAUAUUUAAUAUGGAGAUCGGGACAGAGCCAGUAAUCUGAUUAUCUUCCAUGCCUAACUCUACCAAAUUAAAAAGAAUCCCAAUUUCUUGUGGAAUUAUCCCUGAAAUGAAUGUGUAUUAAAAUAAAAUUCUGAAGUAAUAAGAUACAAUAGUGCUAGUAUUCAUAAGAUGAAACGCACUAGUGAAAUGGUUAGUUCCAAGCGCCAAGCUCUGCAAGUUACUCAAUCUUCCAAUUUCGCCAUGUAUUGGUCCAUCAAGCUCAUUAUAUGAUAACGACAAUAUUUGAAGUUGUGAACAAUUUGACAAGGUUGUAGGCAUAUGACCAUGAAGCAUGUUAUGAGAAAGAUAAAUCCCUUUGAGUAUUGAGAGACCAUUUCAUAAACCAUUGGGAAGACUUCCUGAUAAGCUAUUGCCAGUAAAUGCAAUGAAUUCGAUCCUAGAAAUAUUGAAAAUUGUAAAUGGUAUAGAACCCGUAAGUUGAUUAUAUUGUAUGGCCAACCAGUUCAUGUUGUGAAGAUUGCCGAUCCCUUAUGGGAUGUUUCCUUGAAGUGAAUUAUAAGAUAUAUCUAAAGCCUCCAACCUUGAGGCAUUCAAGAGUGAUAGAGGAAUAGAGCCUACGAGAUUGUUAUCCCUCAACUUUAAUUCUCUAAGGUUUCCAAUCACUUUUGGUAUUUGGCCCUCUAUGGAAUUGAAAUUCAGAUUCAAAGUAUCAAGUGUGGAUGGAUAUAUUAGAAAAUGAAGAAGGGGUAGAACCAGUGAAACUAUUAUUCCUAAGAUUUAGAACUUGAAGUUGGUUUAAAAAUGCAAACCAACAAGGAACCUUCCCGCUGAAGUUGUUGAAACUUAAAUCAAGAAACUUAAGCCGACGCAAGUGUGCCACUUCUUGAGGCAAAUUUCCUUGGAAAUUGUUGCUUUACAGGUCAAGAGAAACAAGAAAUGUGAGAUUUCCAAAAUCAUGUGGAAUAAGAGCCACAUUGGAAAGAUUUAGGGACUUCACUCUCUGGUGACGAGAGCCACAAGUGACUCCAACCCAAUGGCAAGCAGAAAUAGCUGGAGACCAACUUUCAUCCAAGAAGUGAAAGGGGUCGAAAAUGAUUUGAGAUUUUAUAGAAAGAAGAACUAAUUGGUCAGUGGUAGUUUUGGUUUGGAUCAUAGCUGAACUAACCAUGACAUAAUGAAGCAACAAGAGAAAAGAGGUGAAUAUUUUCUCCAUUAUUGCAUAAAUUUGUAGGAAAAUGGUAUGGCUAGUAACCUGUGGUAUUUGAGACUUUAUAUAGUGAUAAUUUUGAAGAAUAUCUUUUUUUGAAUACUUUUUUUUUUAAAUCCAUUUUUGAAUAUUGUUCCCUAAAUUUAUUUUCCAGCUUAUGUAGGACCCAAGGACUUGACCAUUCGAAACAAACCAAAUCAACUAAGUCUUGCAAAUCGUUAUUGUGUUUUAACAUGUUUUACACAAAUUUAUCGGAAAGCAAGUAAAGCUGUAUAUAAAAAUGUAACACUGAACCUUGAGAAACGGAGAGUCAGAACUUGAAUUUUAUGGGUUAAAAUUCAAAAUAGCGACAUAUGUCAGGUGUUGAUAACCUUGUUCUAAAUUUAAAUUUUUACAUAUUUAGUGAAUUUUUUUAAUAAAAAUAUUGAAUUUGGAUUAAAGCUACUGAGUUCAGUCGAAUCCGUAAACAACCUUCUACAUCCGUUCCGGCACAUACUAAAGUGUGGACACAAAUGUGUGUUUUUCUUGUGUGGGCACAUCAAGAAUUCAACUUUUCUUGACAUUCUUGUGAUGUGUGUCUCAUAUUGUUGAAAAUGAGAAUGCUCUAUUUGCUCAUAUUUAUUUUGGCUGAUAUUAUCUCACACAAUAUGACAUGUAGGACGUGUGCAUCUCACAUGAUUUGCCACUUAGGGUGCAUGUGUUUAACUGUUUAACUUUAUAAUAGUUUAAAUGUCUACUUGUAUACACCCAAAAUUAAAUGCAUAGAUGUCUAGGUCAUCUAGAAAUUUUUUAUUUCGAAUUUUUUUUCUAAGGAAAAAGAAAAAAACAACUUUUCUUCAUUUAUUUGGUCAUAUAAAUAUUAAUACAACUAAAAUAUCGUUUCAACAAAACAAAAAAAGUGGUUGUCAAAUUGAUAUCCAAGUGUAGAAGCCAUUCAUUUUAGAUAAAAAAGAUAAAUUUUCCAUGUUAUGUGGGGGCAUUAAAGAUGUCUACCAAUGCAAUAAUUAGAUAAAGAUGUCUUACACUUUGUUUGGAUGGUUGUUUACUUAUUAUUUCUUAAUGUAUUGCAUAUUUAAUGCGUAACAAAGAUUUUCACUAAGAAGAUUUUAAAAUGGAGAUUCUUUUGUUAUGUCGAAAUUAUAUUUUUCUCUGUGAGUUUCCAAAUGGUAUAAAAGUGUGACAGCUUGUGUAGUCGAUUUAAGUUAACAAAGGUUUUAAAAAAAUUCUUGUUAUUUGUCCUUCACGAUUAAAUAGGUGCUUGGUACUACUACAUCGAGACAACAUUAAAAAAUAUAUAGUCAUUAUAGAUUUAGUUGCUUAUCAUCAGGCUACCCUCAGAUUCUUCCCUCCAUAUAUUAAAAAGGUGAGCAGGAAGGAUAGAUCCCAAUGAUUAUUUGACUUCUUUUGUAUUACCUCUGUACGUGCUAAUGAGAUCUCGUUUAGGUAAAAUGUCAUGCUUAAUGUAAUAUAGUUGUUAGUUCAACAUUGUUGGCUUGUGAUGCGUACUGAGUACAUGUGAUUUCCAUACCCAUACGUUCCGUGCACGAGUGGACCAUGAUGUUAUUGAGUCAGAAGAUUCAGAAGCUCUACUUCCUGUUGGCUAUGCUGUUUUGUGAAGACAUAUUUAUGUACUCUUUAUCGUUGUUAAUACAAACUUGACUAUUGAUGUUAUCACUGAUUGAUUGUCUUAUCCACAUAUGGCUGGUGUCGAUAAAGGUCAGAUAUUCUUCUUAUAAUCCUUAAGAGUUAUCACAUUUCAACAACGGAAAAGGGACAAAUAUACGCUCGAAUCAUGCUAAAUGGUACGUAUAUAUCUUACAUCAUACUUUGGGUACACAUAUACCCCUACCGUUAAUGAAAUGGUACGUAUAUGCUCCUCAUAUGCCGCUACCGUUGAUGAAAUGGUACGUAUAUGCUACUCACACUAACAGUAGGGACAUAUGUGUGCGAAAAGUAUGACCAGGGGUAUAUACGUACCCUUUAUCAUGGUUCAGAGGUAGAUUCUACACAAACAGUAGGGACAUAUGUGUACCAAAGUAUAACGGAGUGCAUUUGCGUAUUAUUUAUCAUUGUUCGGGGGUAUAUUUCAAACUAACGGUAGGAACAUAUGUAUACCCAAAGUAUGACAGAGGGUAUAUACGUAUCAUUUAUCAUAGUUCGGGAGUAUAUUUUUCCCUUUUCUAUUUCAACAAUGCCACUUUUGCAUUAACGCCUGAAAACAAAGGUUGUUCUUCAACCACACUACGCUGCAGCAGCGAGCCAACUGAACUCACAUUAUAGUAUAUUAAGGAGGGGACCGGUGAAGAAACAAAAAAAGAAACGUUAACUUCCCUUAAUCCUUCAUACCUGGGAAAAAUCUUGCUCCGCACUGUUAACUAUUGUGCAAAAAUUGAAUGUGGCGGUCCAAAAAUGUUCAUCUACUUACCAAAGCAAAUGAACUUUGGGGAUUUAAUGACAUCAAUAAUUCCAGUACAACAUCAUCGUUGGGGCGGGUUAUCAUCUUGAGACCUCGAUUAUCAAGCCUGCAUUCAAAAAUCGUUCAAGUUAAGUAACUGAUCGAUAUCUUUGUAGGCUUAGCUUAGACAAUCAAUCAAUGAAACAGCUACUGUGAAUGUUUGUAUUGACCAGGAACAAGUUUUUUCUUUCCAUAAAGGUUUUUCACUAAAGGGUUUGCUGCCCAUUGAUUUUCGGCACCGCGAUUUGUAGGCUGGAAUCUCGUUAAACUCAAAGUGCAAAUCUGACCCCAAUUAGCUCAUUUUAGGAAAUUUUGAAUCAUUUAUCUAGGGGGACCUACAGUUGUGAAUAGUGAUGUAAGCUAGAUAAAGUGGCCGAGCUUGUCCAUAAAAUACAGUGGUUACCGCUGUUCCAAUUCUUAGUUAUUCCCAAUGGAAUAUAUUUGGUUAGAUGUUCACAAUAGACCAAAGCCUUUCGUUAUCCUUGAUUCUGACCAUGACUAUUUAAGUUCUGUGUUUUUAUGUUCGUAAUGACCAAAUAAAAAAGAGAAAAGUAAACCCAGAAACUGCAUCCUAAAAAGAAACCGGAUAACUGGAAAUAUCUUGUGCAGCUGCUUUCAUCUCAUCUUCAAUUCCUUCUGAUGGUGUUGAGCUGGAAUUAAGAUCUCAAUCUUUGGAAACAAUCUCAUGCUUCAAGUGGAUUGUGGAAUUAAAAAAGACUGCAGCAACAGAGUAGGGAUGUUACCCUCUUUCUUUUUCUCAAUAAACAAAGACCAUGAGCAAUGGAUUGUGGAAAAAUUUCAUCUUUUUGCUGUAAAAAGACAUGUAAGAUGUGUAAAGUGGCUUAUAGUGUCAAUGAAGUGGUCGAGAAUAUAAUUCGAGGUUUCAGGUUCAAGUCCCUGAACCAGAUGAACUAAUAAAAUUCAUACCUUGCAAGAUUCCAUGGACUGAUUCAGAAUAGAGAUCAUGUCAGAUGAGUUUACUGGACGCUUUUUAGCGGGGAGAUGAGGAAGAUAACGUUGACCAAGAAUUCUUAUAGCAACAAGAAAAACUCCACUUGCAAGGACCAUGGAAAUUUCCUUUGACAUAGAAACAUUUCUCUAGAAUCCAGAGGAGAAAAUAGUAUUAUCCAUUUGGUUCCGGAAGACAUCUUUUGUACUUAAAGUAAUCAUUUAGCUAAAGAAAACUUGAAUUCAUAUUUGAUACUCCCAAAAGAUAGAGAAUGCAUGAAUGUGAAGGAAGGCAGGAUCAAAGAAGAUACGAACUAGCCAUUAAGGGCUUCAUGUGUUGAUCAAACCCAAACCACCUCCAAAAGGGUGUUCAAAUACUUCAAAUAGCAAACUAACGAGAGUGCUUUUUUAAAAGGGAUAAUACAAUAAACAGGACAACUUGACUUCAAUUUAUAAUUAUGACUUUUAACUUUAUUAGUGUACAAGUAGACCUUUUAAUUAUACAAAAGGUCAACAAAAAAAUAUAAUAAAUUUUAGACAUUAAAAAAAAAAAACUUAAUAUACCACCAUCACAAAUACAUGUACUUUUUAGAUUUUUUUUCAAAGAAAAAAAUAAAAAACAACUGCCUUCAAUAAAAUAACCUUCAAGUCCAAUGAAAAUUGAAAGGUUCAUUUCGAAGAAGAUGUAAAAUCCAAUGAAAACCCUAUAAAAUUUCCAUCUCUUAUUCCAUUUCAAUUAAGGAAAAAUUAUUGAAAUUUUCCAUUGGAGCUUCACAAAAUAGAAGCCGUUUAAAAUGAAAUUCUCACAAUUUCUUUAUAACUUUUAGCUCUUCGGAUACACAAACGAAGCAUACACCAUCGUCUUAAAGAGAAACCGAGAAGUGUAUUAGACUAUUGAUCAUACUUUUUUUAAUUGGGUUACUUUUUAUUUUUUUUAGAGUUGUUGGAGAAAAUAAAAAGAGAAUAAAGUGAAAAUUUAAUUUGUAUAUAUAUAAAAAGGAUUCACUGAGCGUAUCAUAGUCAUUUGAGCAUUUUUUACUAUUGGGGCUCUAAUUUUUAUCCCACGUGAGUCAUUUUGAGUGUAAUCACGCAUUUUGCCGAGUAGGAUUGGAGUUUUUUUUUGUUCAGCUUUUGUAUAGUUAAAACGCUUACUGGUGCACAAGCAAAGUUAUAGGUCAUAGUUAUAAUAUGAUGUCAAGUUAAAGGUCUUAUUUAUGUAUUAUGCCUUAUUAAAACAGUUUAUGGCAUAGUACAUAAAUAUGACCAUAAACUUGACACCUGAACUAUACAAACCUGAACAAAUAAAUACAACAAUUUUUCAACUUACAUGUGUGCAUCUCACUUGCACCUAUGUGGAUUAGUCAGCCACUCAAAUGCUACCACCUACUCAAAAAGAUACAUAACUAUGACCUUUAACUUUGCCAGUGCUCAAAUAGACUCUUUAACUAUAAAAACUUAAGCAAAAAACCCCUUCAAUUCUAACUACGACGCGCGUGGUUUUUGAGUGUAUACACGCAUUUUGCCACAUAUGAUUGGAGUAUUUAUUUGUUCAAGUUUUGUAUAGUUAAAGAGCGUACUUGUGCACUGUUAAAAUUUAAGGUCAAUAUUAUAAUUUGGUGUCAUGUUUAGGGUCAUAUUUAUGUAUUAUAUCAUUUGUUUACCAAUUAAAAUUUUAAAAAGAAGACUGGUUACCGAAGAAAUUCUCAGUUCAUGGAUAAUAACAAAUAAAGCAGGCAUGUAAAGCGCUUAUACACCAUACCUUGAAAAAAUUUGCAACGACACCCGAUGAUAAUUGCUUGUAGUAAUAUCUAAAAACACCUAAUUAACGUGUUAAAAGAUAAAAUGAAUGUAGUAUAAUUUGAUAGAAUUAUGAAAUGUUUUACACUUUAAUAGUGACCUCGUUUUAAUAAACCUAUAUAGGUGUCCACAGAUAGAUAGAGUAAAUCCUGUAUGUAUAUGUAAAAGUGUAAUCUAAUUAUCUAAUGCUUAAUUUCUUAUUUAAUACAAUGUGAUUUCAUGCUAGGUCGUUAACUAGCUAAUUGUUAUGUCUAAAAAGGAAAAGGUUCAAAUAUACUCCUAAACUUUGAGAAAAGAUCUAAAUAUAUUCUCUGUUACAAAUUUGGUCCAAAUAUGUCCUCGCUGUUAAAGUUUAGAGCAAAUAUAUCCCUAAACUUUUCAAAAAGGUCCAAAUAUACCCUCUAUUACAAGUUUGGUUUAAAUAUGCCCUCACUGUUAAAGUUUAGGAACAAAUAUACCCCUCUGGAUGUCAAAUGAUUAGCAGAAAAUUUACAAGCCCAUUUACAAAAAAAAAAUAAUUGCCACAUUACAAAAAAAAAUAAAUCCACCCAACUCUUUUACAACUUGAACCUGACCCAUCAAUUUGGACCAACUCAUGACCCAACCUAAUAUUUGUUUAUCAAAAUUUCAAUCUAAUAAUGUUAUCUAAAUAUGUCAUCAGUUCAAUGACUCUUCAAAUAUUAUGUUGAUGUUGCAUUUUUCUUAUUACCAAUGUGUUCUACUGCAAAUGUUGUGUUGAUAUUGUAUUUUUCAAACUUUGAUUUAUUUUCAUGUUUGAUUUUAUCGCGAAGGAUUCUAUUCUACUGAAAUAUUUCAAAAUAGUUGUAAAAUGUGGACGAAUCAGGGUCAUGGCUUCUCUAGCUGUUUCAGCUCCUAAGAGAGAGAUAGACUCCAAAAAAAAAGGAUUGUCACAUCUGAAAUAGGCCUUGUUUCAAUUUUUAGAAGUGAUAUCGAUAAUUUUUACAACAAACUUCUCAAGGGGCAGAGUAGAAUCACUUUAAUAUACAGAUUUGAUGACCCAAGUUACACAGUUAGGUUCGAUAAAAAGAUUCGUAAUUUGUAACACCCCGAGUCUGGUACCCCAGACGCUACACGGUGGUCAUAAUCUCGAAGGACCACAAGCUAACCCUUAGUUGAUACCUAUAACUGAGCACUGCAUAAAAUACUGUAAAAAUGCAGAAAACUGGCGGAAAACUUUCCAUAAGGUUCAAAUUGAAAUACAAUUGAAAACUGAAUACUAAUACAACUGUCUAAACAUCUAGUCUGAAAGCCUCUAAACUGUCUGAAUAAGGAGAUGAUAGGACAAUUCCCCUACUAACUCCGCCUACUAAAAUACUGAAUCUAGUAAUAUAAUGAAAUAAUAGAACAUCAUUAAACGAUAAGGACUCACUGUUCGGUCUACUGCUGCUGACUGAAACUGAACUACUAAUGGUAUUCUGGAGUCCGUGCUUCUGAACCUUUGGUAUAAAACACCAUAGCGCAGAAAAGUAUGCGUCAGUACAUAAGAAUGUACUGGUAUGCUAGAUGAGGUAAGUCUAAAUGCAAGGGUUCAUAUGUAUGAACAAUACUGACUGAAUAUAUGAGUAAUGAGGAUACAUGCAUAAAUGCAUAAACUAUAACUAAAAUUGCGGUGAUACUAAAUACUGAAUUCUAAUUACUGGACUACUGAUAACUGAGUCUACUAACACUGAAUUUUGAGAUCGAGCCUAUCUAGCGGGUGAUCCUUGAAUUUACUUAUACUGAUACUUAUUGACUGAAUCUGAGAUCAAGCAUAUCUAAUGGAUGAUCUCUGAAUCUACUGAUAAUGAUAAUAAUUAAUUGUAUCUAACAUCUGGCCUAUCUAGUGGGUGAUUUAUAAAUUUACUAAUAAGGAAUAUGAUUGACUAAAUUUGAGAGCAAGCCUAUCUAGCGGGUGAUAUCUGAAUCUAUGGGACUAUCUAAGUUCUUUACUGAGCUGAGUGACUGUAUCUGACAGUCCUGAUUUCUGUAAUCUAGAUCUGAGUUCUAUUACUGAGACUAAAUCUGAAACUGAGACUGCGAGAGGUAGUUAUCUAAAUGACAUGCCCCAAAUCUGGACUAGUGGGAUCCAACCUAUAACCCUAGCUGGAAGGAUGUCAGUACUGUAUUACUGGUAAAGACACUUCUAUGGUAAAGCCUGUCCAAUGGGUGACCCUAGACAGGAAGUCAAGAAUAAUCUAACGGGUGACUCAUGAGAGGUAGCGAACCCUUAAUCUAAUGGGUGAAUCCUCAUCUUGUGCUGACUACGCAGUUCUGGAGUACAGGGAUUGUUACUAUCGACUCUGCCUCUCUAAUGGGGAAGCCAUGAUCCCUGCUCUUGCUCGGUGCUGAAUUCUACUCUCAACUGAAUAGAUGUUAAACUGAUUCUUAGAUUAUAAUAGACUAAGCUGAAUCUGUUACUGAUCAUACAGUUUAACUAAGCUGAACUAAUCUUACUAAGCUACGUUGGCUGAUGGAAUAUUAAACUGACUAAAUUCUACUGAGUUUUGAACUGAAUGCUUGAAUACUACUGAGGUCUGAACUGAAUACUUGAGCUGGAAUUGGAAUGAUACUGAGCUUACUGAAUUUUCCUAUGUCAUGUAACUGACUGAGUUCUACUAAAUUCUAUAACUGCCAGAGAUACUACUAAUCUUGACAUGACUGAAAGUACUGUAACUGACACUGGCUCUAGGCACACAGCUAAAUUAUCGGAUAUUAAAUACCCCCAGGACUCGAUAUCAUAAAAUAAAUGUAACAUGACAGUUCGUGAAUAACAUGCAAUAAUCUAUCAUUUACAAUACAAUCGAUGAGGCAUAUCUUCAAGCACUUGAAAGUUAUAAACUCGUACAUGCGUAGGAAUGCACACUAAUGUCUCAUAAUUCAUCCUAUGAAGUCUUUCAUCAAACACUUAACAUGCAUCACCUUGUACAUAAUUGGGGAUUUCGUGGUAAUAUCUUAUGUUUCAUUCACUAAGGCUUUUCUACAAACAAUUGGUAUGCAUUAACUUAUACAUAAUUGGGGAUUUCAUGCUAACAUGCUAUAAUGACACUAUCUCAUUCAAAUAAGCAUUUUAUCAAAUAUAUGGGGAGAAUACUUUGGUUAAACAACAAUCAAUCCAUCAAAUUAACAUGACUAUAUUAAUUAACGUGCAACUUGAAGGGAAUAUCAUGAAAUUCAUCUCAUACUAGAAUCAAAGUUUGGAACUUGUAUCUAGAACAUGAAUCACAACUCAACAAUCACAUAAGCAUGAACUUCAACACACAUAAAUCAUAAAUAUUAAAUUUUUAUAAUUUGAAAAGUGUUCUUGAACUUCUUGGGCGGAAGGAACCCAAGAAUCAACAUCUAAUGUACCUUAGUUCUUGAUUUUACGAAGAUUGACGGUAAAAUUUUCAUGAAUUUGGAUCUUUAAUUGGAAACCCUAAACUUGAUCUUGAGUUUGAGAGAAACCACUAUAUUUUGGGUGAAAUAUGGCUGAAUUACGUAUUAUUGGGUUUAUAUAUGGGUGGAAAAUUGACCGUUUUGCCUUUGAAAAUAUGGGGCUGAACUACUGAAAAUUGCCCAAAUGGAGUACCCAGGGCGGCGCCCUGCCUAGCCCGUGUAAAAAUCCUGGGCAGCACCCUACCUAACUCGUGGGAGUAUCCAAGGCGGCGCCCUACCUAUAGCAGUAGGCUAAGCUAGGCGACGCGGGGAGAUCGCGUCGGGUUACUAGUUUGGCAUACCAAACAUGCCCUUAUGCUAUCCGAAAAAUUCUGAAACUCACCCGAGAUGUACUAUUGACUUUUCUCAUCAUGAAUCAACAAAAAAAUCGACAAAUGGAUGUCGGAAAUGUCAUGAAACAAUUCCUCAAAGUUCGAAGGCUUAUGAAAUGAAGAAGGUCCAACACUUAGCCAAAUUUUCUAAGUGUUAAGCUUCUUUUGAUAUGCUUUAAAUAGCUUUAAAGACUAGGAAAAUUUAUGGGGUCUUGCAAUAUCUCCCCCUUAGGAACAUUCAUCCUCGAAUGCGACUGACUAAGCUAGGAUUUCUGAUAAACUGAACUUACUUAAGGGACGCGAAUAUCUAAAACAUGACUAUAUGACUGGAACUUCUGAUAUACUGAAACUUUAUACUGAAGAUGCAUAUCUGAUGCAUGGAUAUCUGACUGAGUUGUUCUCAUGAAAGCAUGAUUAAAAUUAUUGAUAAGCUAAGCUUCUUCUACUAAACAUGCAUAUCCAAUACACGAAUAUCUGACUGAACUAACUCUUGAAUACAUGACUGAAUAUGCAAUAAAAACUGAUACUAACUUUGUAAGAAAAAUCUGAACAUGCGACUGAAUGGGUUUAAGGACAUGAAAGCAUUGGAGAAAUAUGGGGUAUUUUUCACUUAGGACACUAUGUCCCUCUACGAACGCUUACUUUACUCAGGUACUGGGGAAAAUUGAGGUGAUGCAUAAGACACCUACAAAUUGAAUCAUAACUAAACAUCUGGGAUCUUAAACUAAUGCAUGAUACAUGAACUGAGCCGAACUCGUUACUACUAGGACUUUCUAUCUAGAAAUAGUUUCAUUCUUGAGAUUUUUGAUAGUAUGAGCAGAUGGAAAGAUGGAAAAACAAAAUAUAUGAAUCUGACUGUUUGAUGGCUAAACUGAAUCGCUGGCUUUGCUAACUAACUCAUGCAAAAAAUUUAAGCUCAAAUGGAAACACAGGAUCUAACAAUGCAUAUCAUAAAAAUGAAGGACUUAUAACAUACCCGAAUCUAUGUUAGGGGAACUUUCCCGAUCAGGGCGAGUCUGGAGUGCAUAAAAUCUGUUUUGACAUUGACUGCUAGUGGUACUGAAAGUAGCGCCCUGCUGACUCAAAUUGCUGCCCCUCUUAGCCAUUAUUCUAUACUCCCGUAACCUGUGGCCUAGCUUCCCACAUCCAAAACAUACCUCACUUCCUGCUCUACAUACACCUAGGUAAUUCUUACCACACUCUUCAAAGAGCGGAUAGGUAUGAUCACUUCUCAUACUACCCUGGGUUUUAGAGCCUGGAGCCCCAUAAUGACUGUUAUCCUUGAACUUUGGUACUAGUGCACUAGCUGAGGAUGGAACUGGUACUAAAAAAUUUUGACUAUGCUGAGAACGGUUGCCACCCUGUGACCCUAGAUGAGAAAAACUAAAACUACUUGUUCUAGCUUUCUUAUUCACUCUCUCUCAUUCUUUAGAUUUCUCUGUCUCAAUCUGCUGAGCGUGUAUCAUCAACCUAUAAAGAUCUAUGUCCCUGUUGAGAAUAGAAGUCUUAUACUCCUUAACCACCAACCUAGACACAACGGUUACAAACUUACUCAUGCUUGACCUUGGGUCAACCAUCUGCUCAAGGACAUACUUAGACAACUGAUUGAACUUGAGGAAACACUCCUACACUGUCAUGGAGCCUUGCUUCAGGUUCAUGAACUCUUCUACCUUAGCUUCUGUAAUGCACCGAACUCAGGUGCCGAGAUGUUACAUGAUGCUUAGGAUCACAAGUGACCCCAACCUAACCCUUCUACUGGCAUAACACAUAAGCAACUAAACAAAAAGUAUAAAUCUAUACAAAUCUGCGAAAAAUAACUCUUUUCUGAAUUUGAUAUAUACAAAACUAAAUUUACAAGAUUACAACUCUACUUUUACGACCAAAACUGAAACAGAAUACAUCAACUUCUACUGAAUGUCUAUGAAGCCUCUACUAGUACUGACUAUAGGUAGCCGGGUCAUGACUCCCUACUAACCCAACUCAAUAAGACUGAAUAAAGAAAAUACAACACUUCUCCAACUGUAUAACUAACUUAAUCCCUUGAAUCAAAAGGACUCAUCACCUGCUAACUGGAUGCCGCGAACUGACUGGAUCUAAAGAUGUACACUAUACCUUGUACCUACAUUUUGAGAAAAUGCAACCCACAUACGAAUAUGUGGGUCAGUACCAUGGAAACAUACUGAGCAUAUGGGGGUGCAAGGCAUAUAUACAAUAAUAUCUUAAUAUCAUCACAGUUUAUAAAAUCAUGCAUGCUAAUAUAAAUGACUCUCGUAGCUCAAAUUAAAAUUAUCAUAAUCAUAAGAGAGUAAAAUAUAUUGGGUGAAAUAUGUGAGUCAUCAUAAUAAAUCUCAAUUCACUUCCAUCUCGAUUCCAAAUCACGAAAGCAAUCAAAUGUCAUAACAAUUCUCUUUGGAAUAUAUGUUCAUUAAAUCUUUCAAAAACAAUAACUUUCUCAAACUCAGUUUUUCAAACAAAUAUGUUUUAUCUAAGAUAGAAGAAUAAGACAUUUCAUAUUAUAUAGGAGAAUACACACACACACAUUGGGAGUCUCUUACAACCGACAUAAACCAUGUGAGCUACAUGGAGUCCAACGUCCAACCCACAUUGGGGAGAGCUGUCCUAUACUUGCCAUCGGAGUAGGACCUUAAUCAUUCUUUUCACUAGUGACCACUAUAUCAAUUAGCCUUAGGAUCACAUCCUACGGGAGCACGUAGUUCUAGGGAAGUACCAAUCACAGCUAUACCUCCCACUAAUUGCUGAAGACUUCUCCCGGACAUAGCUCAGAUCUUUUCAAAAGAAAAUCCGCAACAACACAAUUCAACAAUUCAUAACGGGAACCAUCAUGCUAUCCCUUUAUCAUAAUCAAUCAAAAUGUGCAUUUAUUUUCUCAUUUGAGUUCAAAAAUAACUCCUUCAAGACCAAAAGGUCAAAUCAAUCCAAUCUCAAAGUGUAUAUAACACAUUACUUCAACAAAAUAUAAAUUCAAAUUAGGUUCAACAACCUAUAUAUCAAUACUUGAUCAAAAAAUUUCAAGAUUCACACUUUAUUUAUCAAACAUGUAUGAUUCAUAUGAAUAUCUGGAAAUUUAUCUUUUAAUCAUGAAUAUUCACAUCAACGCUCAUGAAAUUCAUCUUCAAAACAUCAAAAAUAUUAUAACUUCUUCAACAAGAAUGUAGAUUUCAAAUUUCCAUCUCAAAUUCAUAAGUAGAGCAUGUAAAAUCAUAUAUCUUUGUAAAAUAAUAUAAAUUUUAGGCACAAGAACAAAAGGAUGUUCUUGUUGAAAACUCCACAUACCUUAAACUUGAAGCUUUGAAUGAACUCUUGACCUUGGGACUCUAUUCGUGAAAAUAAUGAGUCUUUCUUAUAGCCUUCGAAAUGGGGAUUGCGAAUCUCGAAGAAUUAUUGAAAACUCAUGGUUGAAUCUUGAGAUAUUUGAAUUUUUAGGUUGAAACCCUAAUGAAUGUUCUUGGUGAUUUUGAGAGAAAGUAAACUUAUUUUGGUGUUAUGGGAGUUUAAUCCCAUGUUAUAGACAUAUAUAGGGGUGUUUUUAGCACUUGGAAGUGAGGUAUGCAACGCACAACCCAUGGCAGACCUUAAGGUGUACGUUGCACACCUUAUGGCAGACAUUUAAGUAUGCCUCGCACUCCCAAUCGUAAACAUUUGAUUGGGUGGCGGAUUGCCCAUCGCACACCCUUAAUGCCUUUCACAAAAAUGGGAAUAACUCUUUGCUCGGGUCUCGGAUUUUUGCAAAAUUGGUAUCAUCGGAACGCUAAUUCAAUUAUCUAAAAUUUGAUAGGUCUUAGGAUGAAAAAUUCCAUGUAUAUUAAGAGAUAUAUACAUUUGAAGUUGACCCUUGUAGAAUCAAAUGUCAAACUUUGGAUGACUCAAUUGGUCUUAGCUCAACUUUGUUCUAGGUCAUUUAUAUGAACAUUUUUCACCUCUAAACUACUCCAUAGACUAGGAUAAUGAUCAUGCAACUUGUAUUCAUGUGAGAAUUACUUGGAUUAGAGCUUAGACGCGCAGGAAUGGCAAUUAGAAUUCUAGCACGAAAAUACGGGGUAUUACAUUAUCUCCCCCUUGGAAACAUUCGUCCUCGAAUGUGGAUAAUUAACCUGAAACACAGAGGAGUAUUAGUCUUCAAGCUAUCAUGUGUAACUGAUAGAACUGAAUCACUGGAUCUGAAGAAUAAUGAGCUUCUGAACUAGUCUUCAAGUGCAUGAAUCCUCAAGAAAAAUAACUAUAUGGAUAAGAUAGAAACGAGAGUGUCAACUUAUGAGUAACCAUUACUUUGCACUGGAUCUAAUCUCAUGAGAAAGGAUGAGAGGUUUAUGACAUGAAAAAUCGAGGUAUUACAACAUCCCCCUCGUGGGAUCGUUAGUCCCCGAAUGAUAAUAAUUUGAUGAAAAUACUAGGAAGAGACUGUGAUACUACACAGGAUACUUAUGAACUGAAUCAUGACUUAAUAUUUGAAACUGAAACUGAUGCAUGAACUGAGUUGAAUUCAUAAUUUAAUUGGACAAAAACACAUUGCCUUUUGGAAUGUACAUACGUAUAAGACUGUGGAUAGUAAGACUAGCUGGAAAAUUAAGAAUCUACAGGAGCUUAUUUCCUUGCUUGCUAAACUAGAUUACUGGCUAUAUGGACUGGAUCAUACUGACUACCCAUAUUUUCUACGAAAUUCUAUUGACAUUACGGAGCAAGGAAUUUUGGGCAUACUCUGAACAAAACAUUUGACUAAGGAAUCACAACAUUGAUAUAACUCUAUAGCAUGGAAUAUAAUUAUAUAACUCAUAAACUAGGAUAGGAUUACUAGGCCGUAGGCAACAUAACUUCUUACUUUAAAGCUUAGCAUUACUUCUCAAUGCUCUCUCAACUAUACUAUUCCCCUUAAAUACCAUACUCAUUUGAUUCAACUUAUAAUUCUCAUAUUGGCACUGCGAAAUCUUUCUACUAAGGUCUAAACUAAACUAAGUUCUCUCACCAUGAUCAAGCCUAACACUACAUCACAAGAUACAAUAUGCCAAACCACAAUACUAGUCUAAACCACAAGGUUCAAUAUUAUAUAUCUUCUUAGAGCUCACACCCUAAGCAUAACAUGCCUUACCACUUCAAUGACUAAUUUAAAACUCUUGAUAUGGAUUCACUAGUGNNNNNNNNNNNNNNNNNNNNNNNNNNNNNNNNNNNNNNNNNNNNNNNNNNNNNNNNNNNNNNNNNNNNNNNNNNNNNNNNNNNNNNNNNNNNNNNNNNNNNNNNNNNNNNNNNNNNNNNNNNNNNNNNNNNNNNNNNNNNNNNNNNNNNNNNNNNNNNNNNNNNNNNNNNNNNNNNNNNNNNNNNNNNNNNNNNNNNNNNNCAUCCAUAUGCCAUCCUUAAUUCCUAGCUUCAAUAAUCAUCAUCAAAGAUUUACACUCUCAUUUGCAACCAUAUCUACAUCUCUAAUCACAUAAUUAUAGCCUACCAUGAUCACACUUCUAUACUUAUAUUUUUCCCAAACCAUGAGAAUAAAAUCAUACUAAAAAGACUCAACAUCUUCAAUCAUAACUCCUUAACUUAGCUAUCAAGAACAACAUAUAUUAUCUAACUAGCCUUUCUCCACUAGCAACUCAACGUUACUACUAACCACACAAUUUGCAAUAAUCCUCAAAAAAUAAUGCAGCCCCAUAGCACCUUGGGCACACCUCUACAUCAUACUUAAUUACGAACAGAUGAUCUUACACUCUUGCAUACACUGUUCAGGCCUACUAGAUCACCUCCAUAUAACUAGCAUCAACCACCGAACCAUCGACUAUUCAAACUUAAUGUCUAGAGAUAAACGUGAUUUACAACCCAAUCUCACGCACAAUUUUCACUUCAAAACUAUAGAACACAGCAUUAAGAAAAACUAGUACACAAUGACAACCGAUCAUAAUCAUAUGGCCUAUCUUAGUCAUAAUUUGUUAACACAUCCUCCUUCUUCACAUUAUUACUAUUUACCCAUCUUCGCACCUAAAUUACUUUUAUAGCUCUAUAAAUUUCAACUAAACUUCCUCUUGAAAUCUCAGGAAAGCCUAAAGUAACAAUACUCAACCACCAAGUACUUUCACCAAUAAACUGUACUUUUCUAGCACCAAAAACACCAUCAACAACUAUUUUCAUACUUCAAGCAAACAACAAUCCAUGAUAACUAAAAUAUCCUUCUCUAAUUUUUGCUAAACUAACAAACAAGGAUAUAUCACUUCAUUACUAAUUCAAUCAUAAGCAAAAAUUCAGUUAUACAUAUUCAAUAAAUCGCCCUUACGACCAUUCUUGCAACUACACUUCUAAACCCACAAGUUCAACUAAAACAAGACUUUCAACUAAAUGUCACUACUUCUGUCACUACACAGAAACCCACACUUUCAACUAACACCAGAACAACAAGAUAAAUAACAAGUUGCUAGUGAAUCAAAAUAGGCCUCAGAUGGCUUAACUAGACUUUGGUUUUGUGUUUUGAUUAAGAAAAUUACAUGAAUAACAAAGCAACUAUGCUAGUGAAUCAAAAAAGGCCUCACAUGGAUUCACUAGACUUUGAUUUUUCACAAAUAUAAUGAUAACAAGAUUGCAUAAUACAAGAGAUAGAAACUUGACACACAACAUUCAACGAUCUAAGAAUACACCUUAAUCUGUCUUAAUUAAAUAACUCAUAAGAACAAGGGAAUAACUUAAAUUUUAAGGACUUAUAACAUACUAGAAGGCUUCUCUCAAGCCGCUUUAUGAAACUUUUGAAACUUCUGCUAGCAAUUAUAAAAGCAUUAUCUGGGAAGGAAAUGGAACUUGCCGAACAUGUUACCUCAAGAGAAGUACAUAGAUAGAGAAGUAUAGAUUAUCAUUAUGGAUUCUGAGGAGAAAUUUGAAAGCAUAUCUAACUCGGGCUUAGUGCACAAUUUCUACUGACUAUCUAUGAAGCCUCUACUAGUACUAAUUGUAGGUAGCUGGGUCAUGACUCCUGACUAACCCAACUCAAUACGACUGAAUAAAAAUACAACACUUCUCGAACUGUAUAACUAACUCAAGCCGUUGAAUCAAAAGGACUCAUCACCUGCUGGAUUGGUGCAGCGAACUGGCUGGAUCUGAAGAUAUACACUAUACCUUGUACCUACAUUCUGAGAAAAUAUAGCCCACAUAUGAAUAUGUAGGUCAGUACCAUGGAAACAUACCAAGCAUAUGGGGGUGCAAUGCAUAUAUAAAAUAAUAUCUUAAUAUCAUCACAGUUUAUAAAAUUAUGCAUGCUGAUAUAAAUGACUCACUUAGCUCGAAUUAAAAUCAUCAUAAUCAUAAGAGAGUAAAAUAUAUUGGGUGAAAUAUGUGAGUCAUCAUAAUAAAUCUUAAUUCACUUCCAUCUCGAUUCCAAAUCAUCAAAGCAAUCAAAUAUCAUAACAAUUCUCUUGGAAUAUAUGUUCAUUAAAUCUUUCAAAAAUAAUGAUUUUCUCAAACUCAGUCUUUCAAACAAAUAUAUUUUCAUCUCAGAUAGAAGAAAAGACUUUUUAUAGUAGAUAGGAGAAUACACACACACACAUUGGGAGUCUUUUACAACCGACAUAAACCAUAUGAGCUACAUGGAGUCUAACAUCCAACCCACGUUGGGGAGAGCUUUCCUAUUCUUACCAUCGAAGUAGGACCUUAAUCAUUCUUUUAACUAGUGAUCACUAUAUCAAUUAGCCUUAGGCUCACAUCCUAUAGGGGCACGUAGUUAUAGGGAAGUACCAAUCAUAGCUAUACCUCCCACUCGAUGCUGAAGACUACUCUCAGACUUAGCUCAGAUCCUUUCAAAAGAAAAUCCACAACAACACAAUGCAACAAUUCAUAACGGGAGCCAUCAUGCUACCCCUUUAUCAUAAUCAAUCAAAAUACGGAUUUCUUUUCUCAUUCAAGUUCAAAAAUAACUCCUACAAGACCAAAAGGUCAAAUCUAUCCAAUCUCAAAGUGUAUAUAAUAUAUUACUUCAACAAAAUAUAAAUUAAAAUUGGGUUCAACAACCUAGAUAUCAAUACUUGAUCAAAACAUUUCAAGAUUCACACUUUAUAUAUAACAAAUGUAUGAUUCAUAUGAAAAUCUAGAAAUUUAUCUUUUAAUCAUGAAUAUUCACAUCAACGCUCAUGAAAUUCAUCUUCAAAACAUCAAAAAUAUUAUAACUUCUUCAACAAGAAUAUAAAUUUCAAAUUUUCAUCUCAAAUUCAUAAGUAGAGUAUGUAAAAUCAUAUAUCUUUGUAAAAUAAUACAAAUUUUUGGUACCAGAACGAAAGGGUAUUCUUGUUGAAAACACUAAAUACCUUAUAAUUGAAGCUUUGAAUGAACUCUUGACCUUGGGACUCUAUUCAUGAAAGUAAUGAGUCUUUCUUGUAGCCCUCGGAAUGGGGAUUCUGAAUCUCGAAGAAUUAUUGAAAACUCAUGGUUGAAUCUUGAGAUAUUUGAAUUUUUAGGUUGAAUCCCUAAUGAAGGUUUUUAGGUUGAAUCCCUAAUGAAGGUUUUUAGGUUGAAUUUUUAGGUGUUUUUGGCACUUGGAAGUGAGGUAUGCAGCGCACAACACAUGGAUGACCUUAAGGUGUGCGUCGCAUACCUUAUAGAAGACAUUUAAGUAUGCCUCGCACUCCCAAUCGCACAUAUUUGAUUGGGCAGCACAUUGCCCAUCGCACACCCUUACUGCCUCUCACGAAAAUGGGAAUAACUCUUUGCUCGGGUAUUAGAUUUUUACGAAAUUGGUAUUGUUGGAAAAAUAAUUCAAUUAUCUACAAUUUGAUAGGUCUUAGGAUGAAAAAUUCCAUGUAUAUUAAUAGAUAUAAACGUUUGAAGUUGACCCUUGUAGAAUCGAAUGCCAAACUUUGGAUGAAUCAAUUGGUCUUAGCUCAACUUUGUUCUAGGUCAUUGCUAUGAAUAUUUUUCACCUCUAAACUACUCCAUAGACUACGAUAAUGAUAAUGCAACUUGUAUUCAUGUGAAAAUCACUUGGAUUUGAGCUUAGACGUACAGGAAAGACGGUUAGAAUUCUAGCACAAAAAUACGGGGUAUUACUGCUUCCCUUAUCUCAAGAAGGAAAAACUUAUCUAAGAACGUAUCAUAGAACAACCUCCAAGUCAUGGGAGUAUCAUUCUCCCUUUGACUGUUCUUCCACAACACUACCCAAUCAUGAACAACAUCCUACAACCUAUAGGAUGCAAACUGUAUAUUUUCCUCUUCAGACACAUGCAUAAUUUGGGUGAUAUUCUUCACCUCAUCAAGAUAAAGUUGGGGGUCCUCACUUGAUAUUGACCCAAAUAAUUAUGGUGAGUUCAUCUUCAUAAAAUUUUUUAUCUUACCUGCGGCUAAAUUCCCAUCUUACUUAGGUGGGGCUACAGCCUGAUGGUUACCCUGAACAUUAGUCGUCACAGCUUGGGAUAGAGCCCGAGAAGCUGCUUGGAACUUGCAUAUGACAUAUUUACUUCGAAGGCUCGGGCUGAGGUGGAUGAUUAUUAUUUCUAUGGGCAUUAGCUAUGCGAGAAGGCAUAUUUUGUAAUGAAAAAAGGAAAUAGAUAAUACCGGAGUUUAACAUGAGCUCAUGCUCACUCACACGACAUGAACAUUGAAAUAAGGAAAACUGUUCCUAAAAUAUCUCAUAGCCUCCUGUAGAUAAAUGUGACGCGCAACACACCCAUGCAUAAGACUCUACUAGAUGCGGCUUUCAGACUUUCUAGGAGACUAUUGAAUCUUAGGCUCUGAUACAAAAUUUGUAACACCCUAAGUUUGGUAUCCUGGAUGUUACACGGUGCUCAUAAUCCUGAAGGACGACAAGCUAACCCUUAGCUAAUACCUGUAACUGAGCACUACAUAAUAUACUAUAAAGAUGCAGAAACCUAGCGGAAAACUUUCCAUAAGAUUCAAAAUGAAAUACAACUGAAAACUAAAUACUAAUACAACUGUCUAAACAUCUAGUCUAAAAGCCUCUAAACUGUCUAAAUAAGGAGCUGAUGGGACAAUCCCUCAACUAACUCCAUCUACUAAAAUACUAAAUCUAGUAAUAUAAUGAAAUAAUAGAACCCUCAAAUGAUGAAGACUUACUAUUGGGUCUACUGCUGUAGAUUGAAACUGAACUUCUAACGAUACUCUGGAGCUCGUGCUCUAAACCAAUUAUACCAUAAUAGCACAGAAAAGUAUAUGUUAGUAUGUAAGAAUGUACUGGUAUGCUAGAUGAGGUAAGGCUAAAUGCAAGGGUUCAUAUGCAUGAACAAUACUGACUGAAUAUAUGAGUAUGCUGAAUGAGGAUACAUGCAUGAAUGUAUAAACUAUAACUAAAAUAGUGGUGACACUAAAUACUGAAUUCUACUAUAUGGACUACUAAUAACUGAGUCUACUAAUACUGAAUUCUAAGAUCGAGCCUAUCUAGCGGCUGAUCCUUGAAUCUACUGAUACUGAUACUUAUUGAUUGAAUCUAACAUCAAUCCUAUCUAACGGGUGAUCUCUGAAUAUACUGAUAAUGAUAAUGAUUGACUGUAUCUAAGAUUAGGCCUAUCUAGUGGGUGAUGUCUAAAUUUACUGAUAAGGAAUAUAAUUGAUUGAAUUUGAGAUCAAGCCUACCUAAUAGCUGAUCUCUUAAUCUUUAGAACUAUCUAAGUUCUUUACUGAGCUGAGUGAUUAUAUGUGACAGUCCUGAUUUCUGUAAUACUGAUCUGAGUUUUAUUAUUGAGUCUGAAUCUGAAACUGAGACUAUGGGUGGUAGUCAUCUAACCGACAUACCCCAAAUCUGAACUAGUGGGGUCCAACCUAUAAUUCCAGCUGGAAGGGUCUCAGUACUGUGCCACGGGUAAAGACACUUCUAUGGUCAAGCCUAUCUAACGGGUGACCUUAGACAGGAAGUCAAGCCUAAUCUAACUGGUGACUCCUGAGAGCUAGCCAAGACUUAGUCUAAUGAGUGACUCCUCGUCCUGUAUUGGCUACACUAUUCUAGAGUACAGGGACUGCUACUAACAACUCUGCCUCUCUAACGGGGAAGCCGUCAUCCCUGCCCUCGCUCGGUGUUAAAUUCUACUCCCAACUUAAUGGACAUUAAAAUAAUUCUUAGAUUGUACUAGACUGAGCUGAAUCUGUUUCGGAUCAUACUAUUUAACUGAGCUGAACUGAGCUUAUUGAGUUUCGUUAGCUAACGGAAUAUUAAACUGACUAAAUUCUACUGAGUUCUGAACUGAAUGCUUGAAUACUACUGAGUUCUGAAAUGAAUACUUGAGCUGGACUUGGAAUGAUACUGACGACACACAGCUAAACUGUUGGGUAUUGAUACCCCACAGAACUCAAUAACAUAAAAUAAAAAAGACACGAUAGUUCUUAAAUAGCAUACAAUAGUCUAUCAUUCACAAUACAAUCGAUGAGGCAUCUCUUCAAGCACUUGAAAGUUAUAAACUCGUACAUGCAUAAGACUGCAUACUAAUGUCUCAUAAUUCAUCCAAUGAAGUCUUUCAUCAAACACUUAACAUGCAUCAACUUGUACAUAAUUAGGGAUUUCGUGCUAACAUCUCAUAUUUCAUUCACUAAGGCUUUUCUACAAACACUUUGCAUGCAUUAACUUAUAGAUAAUUGGAGAUUUCAUGCUAACAUGCUAUAAUGACACUAUCUCAUUCAAAUAAGCAUUUUAUCAAACAUAUGGGGAGCAUACUUUGGUUAAACAACAAUCAGUCCAUCAAAUUAACAUGACUACAUCAAUCAACAUGCAACUUGAAGGGUAUAUCAUGAAUAUCAUGAAAUUGAUAUCAUACUAGAAUCAAAGCUUGAAACUUGUAAUCUAGAACAUGAAUCACAACACAACAAUCACAUAAGCAUGAACUUCAACUCACAUAAAUCAUUAAAAUCAUAAAUAUUCAAUCUUUAUAAUUUGGAAAAGGUUCUUGAACUUUUUGGGUGGAAGGAACCCAAGAAUCAACAUCUAACAUACCUUAGUUCUUAAUUUUACGAAGAUUGAUGGUGAAAUUUUCUUAAAUUUGGAUCUUCAAUGAGAAAUCCUAAAGUUGUUCUUGAGUGAAAUUGAGAGAAACCACUAUAUUUUGGGUGAAAUAUAGCUGAAUUACGUGUUAUUGGGUUUAUAUAGGGGUGGAAAAUUGAUCGUUUUUCCCUUGGAAAUAUGGGGCUGAACUGCUGAAAAUUGCCUAGGUGUAGUACCCAGGGCGGUACAUUGUCUAGCCCGGGGUAAAAUCCUGGGCGGCGCCCUGCCUAGCUCGAGGGAGAAUCCAGGGCGGCGCUCUGCCUAUAGUGGUGGGCUAAGCUGGGUGACGCGGGGAGAUCGUAUCAGGCUAAUGAUUUGGUAUACCAAAUAUGCCCUUAUGCUAUUCAAAAAAUUCCGAAACUCACCAAAGAUGUACUAUUGACUUGCCCCAUCGUGAAUCAACCAAAAAAGACAAAUGGAGGUCAGGAAGGUCAUGAAAUAAUUCCUCAAAGUUUGAAGGCUUAUGAAAUGAAGAAGUUCCAAGUCUUAACCAAAAUUUUCUAAGCGUUAAGCUUCUCUUGACAUGCUUUAAAGAGCUUUAACGACUAGAAAAAUUUGCGGGAUCUUACAUAAUUUCUCCUCCGAAGGCUAGAUAGAUGGAAAUAAUUAUCCUCAUUUAGAUGACUACUAGAGAUAUUGUCUUGUUGCUGGAAAAAGGACCCUCAAUGAUGGAAAACAAAAUUUGGGUCAGGUUAUGGGCUGGUCCAAAUUGGUUGGUCGGGUUCAAGUUGUAAAAGAGUUGGAUAGAUUUUUUUGUUAUGAGACAAUUAUUUGGCUUGUGUGGUAAUUACUUUUUUGUUAUAAAAAAGAAAAAUGGGCUUGUAAAUUUUCAGCAAAUCAUUUAACAUCCAGAGGGGUAUAUUUGCUCCUAAACUUUAACAGUGAAGACAUAUUUGGACCAAACAUGUAAUGGAGGGUAUAUUUGGAUAUUUUUGCAAAAUUUAUGGGUAUAUUUGCUCCUAAACUUUAACAGCGAGGGCAUAUUUGAACCAAACUUGUAACGGAGGGUAUAUUUGGACCUUUUCUCAAAGUUUAAGGGUAUAUUUGACCCUUUUCCCUAUCUAAAAACAUACAAUAUGUGCUAAUGAAUGUACCUUAUCCAAAUAAACUAAAACUUAACUCAUGUAGAGAAAAAUAUCACGAGUAAUAAACGUACAUGGAUUGAUAGACAUAGUAUUAUGAACAUUAGCAUCAAGUUUGAUGCAAAAUUUAAAAUUUAUAGUUUACAAGUAAAAUAAUACCUCUUCUUCAUUUUCUAAAUAUUCCAUUUGCUCUCAUUUUUUAUUUUUUUCAAAGUUAUUAACGAUAUAGUAAAAAUAUCGUGUAUAAAUCCCCCCUCCCAAAUUUCAUGUCUUUCUUGCAUCUCUUUAAACCUAUAUAGACAUCUUCAUAAUACAUAUCUAGAAUGACAGUUAGACCAACCUGAAAAGUAAAACUAGGUAAUUAAUAGAAAUAAUUACAAUGCCCAUCAAAUUCACUCACUUUCUCUUCCCUUGUCGUCACCUUCCCACUUUUUGCUUCAUUUGCGCCAUUUUCACUAAUGAUAAAGAUGAGAGAAAAUGUAGGCGAGAAGAGUUGCUAAAAUUGGAAGGUNNNNNNNNNNNNNNNNNNNNNNNNNNNNNNNNNNUUAUUAUUUCCCUUUCUCAAUUAAAUAGGUGCUUAAUACUACUUAGAGACAACAUAAAACAAAAUACUCAUCAUUGAUUUGUUUGCUGACCAUUAGGCUACCUCGGAUUUCUUCCCUCCAGAUAUUAAUAAGGUGGCGGAGAAGGAUAGAUCCAAACUUAUUUAUAUACAGAGAAGGAUAUUUCUUGUCAAUCUAAUCCUGGUAUAAUCCCAAUAGACAUAUUCUUUGACUUUAAUUCCUAGAGUGUAUUAGUAUAUUCCUUCUAUUUUCUUACUGGAAUAGAUAUUCUAACAACAAACCUCCUAACUUAGGUAGUUGGCAGCUCUUCGAUGUGCAACUAAGUAGGUUCUCACAGGUAAACAAAGAGGUGGAUCUUCAGAUCUUAAAAUACGUCAUCCCGUUCAUCCCAUUCUUUGAUUAUGUUCGUAUUGGAUCAUACGAUUCCGAGCAUCCUGCUUUUAACAUUCAUUCUAUAGAACGAAAACGAGACUUGUCCUUGCUAGUUGGAAGAAAACUUGUUUUAUUUUUCUUUUCUGCUUUUUUUUUUUUGUGUGUGUGAUUGUAUUCUAGUUAACCCACAAUCUUUCCGCAACAGCCAUAUAUUAAUUAUGUUGUGAAAGAUGGACCAUUUAGCACUAGUGUUGGGAGGACUAACAAUGUAUCUUAAAUGAAAAACAAAACUAUCAGGCUUGCGGAGAAAUAAGAAAUCGUCACUUAGCUCUUCCUGAUCCAUCACAAUUUCUGCAAGAGAUAGAUCUUCGAAAUCAUCAACGUCAUUUUCAGUUUCUUCAUCAACAUCAUUGUUUCGAGGAGUUUAUCUCCAGAAACUGAAGAAGUAGUAGGAGAUCUUCCAAUAAAGUGCGCUAAGGGGUCAGCCUAGAGUUAGUCUGAUAAUAUGGCAAAGGGCCCCGAAGAGCAAGGAAUGGAUUUUUAGACUUGUCUCUCAUAUCAUCAACUGUACUAAAAAGGGACUGUGAGACACUACUCGAACAGAACAGGAGGCAUACCUGGAGCUAAUUUAACUAACUGUCCAUUGUUAAAUUUACGGGCUUGGUAUGGCCGCGAAAAGGACUCAGAUACAGUGCAAAAUACAUGAAGUUUUGUAAUCAUAACUUAAGAAAUUAGAACUUAACAUUGAGGGGUCUAAUAAAUUAUUUUCUAGUCUUAAUUGGUUUAUUUGGAAAAUCUUGAAGAAUGUUGCCUGAUUUUCUGCUUCAUUAGAGUUUCAUAUCGGUACUGUAUUCAAAAAAGAAUGUAAAAAGAUAAAUGCAAAUUAUAUUUUUUCUUCACGUAUCGUCAUGUAAGCUUUUGGAGCAACAUGACCUAUAGGUCACGAGUUUGAAUAGUGGAAUCACUGUCCCUGGGGGCGAUAUUUCUCCAUAUCCUGCAUGAAUGCAAGAUGCUUCGUGCAUUGAGCUGCCAUUUUUUAUGUAUAGCAUUAUGACCUAUAGAAUUUUUUGUCAUUGCCCGUUAUGUAUGUUGUCAUGAUGUUAUAUGUCCUGUUAGUGUUUCCAAUGUAACACAUUUAUAUUACUUGCCUAUCUGUAUUCAUACAGUUGAUUCCUCUAACAAUUUAAAACAAAUUCAUUCCGCUUCAGUUUAGUGAGAUUCAUAGCAACCAUCUACCAUUUCUAAAACCAGAAUCAUGCACAAACCAAGUGUUAAAACAAAACAGCAAUCCCAAUGCUACAGCAACAACUUAGAAAAAAAUUGAAACAAACAAGUGAUUUGGAACAACAGAUUCCAGCAACAUGCUCAACAUGAAAGAAGUUGAAUAUUGAUCUUCUGCAGCAUCCCUACAACAUCUUUCAUGUUAGUCCUUCUUACCGGAGAUUCAGCACAACAAUCUAAUGCUACUUUCAUAAUUGAUGCCACAACAUCUAGCUCCUUCUGUAAGAGAUUACCCUUUGGUGUUACCAAGUUGACGUCUACAAUGUCCAUUACUGAUUCUGGGAGUGAAUAACUCACCUAUUGCUUCAAGCUAAGAUCUCCCUCAAACUCAGUAGGCUUUCUCCUGGUAAACGUUUCCAGCAACAUGACCCCAUAACUAUAGACGUCACACUUUGUUGAUACUAGUCCAUCCAGUCCAUACUCUACAGUCAAACAAUCCAUUUAAAGAUGCAAUAUACUUUCUAGGUGGGAAAAAAGGAAAGGAAUAAUCAGCAAAACUAAGAGACGUACCUGGCGCAAUAUACCCCAAUGUUGCGAAGGUUUUAGUGUACAAAUCACCCUGAUCUUCACCAAGAAGUUUUGAAAUGCCAAAGUCGCUGAGGUGUGCAACCAUAUAUUCAUCCAGCAAGACAUUACUAGGCUUCACGUCGCAGUGAAUCACAGGCAACGAGCACCCAUGGUGAAGAUACUCCAAAGCACAUGCCACAUCCAUCAUUAUGCUUAGCCUCCGCCUGAUGUCGAAGAAGUAGUUGUGCGAAUACAAGUGCUUCUCAAGACUCCCAUUAGGCAUAUAAUCAAGAACUAAAGCCUUGAAAUCAAGAUUGGAACAACUAGUAAUGACCUUUACGAGAUUCCUGUGGCGAAGGCUACGUAAAACUUCACAUUCCGAAUCAAAAUUCUUCAAUGCCGCAUCCAGUUGCAGGUUGAACACUUUAACUGCAAUGAUAGUUCCACUUCUGAGAACGCCUUGGUAAACUGAGCCAAAACUUCCGGAACCAAUCAGAUUACUCUCACUAAGCGCAUUAGUUGCUCGGAGAAUUUCAUAGUAUGAAAUCCUUUCUAUUGCUACAGUAGACAAUGAAUUAGCUUGCUGAGGAGCACUUUUACCUCUUCUAUACCUUAUCCUUAGGAGCACAAAGGUCAAAGGAACAAAUACAACUGCAAUUGAGAGCAAAAGAAAAAGUACUAGCAUUUUUUUCCUAUUUGAUCUGUUCUUCGAUGAAGUGGGGCAUGGCGGGACAUUAAAUCUUGAAGAACCACACAAUGCUUCAUUGUAGAUGAAAAACUGACUCGAGAGGUUCUUGAAAGGACCCCCUGAGGGUAUUUCACCGUACAAUUUGUUGUCUGAAACAUUUAAAUACUUGAGGUAUUGAAGUUUCACCAAAGACAUGGGAAUGAUUCCAGAUAUAUUAUUGUGAGAAAGGUCUAGGAAUUCCAAACCUACCAUGUUGCUCAUUGAGUCAGGUAUAGCUCCUUGCAAAUUGUUGUGUCUCAAAGAAAGAUAUGCCAAAGUUUGUAAGCCUGUAAUUUCGCUAGGAAUUUCAUUUGAAAAUUGAUUCAUCGACAGAUCCAUCUUUGUUACAGCCUUUAGAUUUCCAAUUUCUUGAGGUAAAGAACCUACCAUGUUGUUUGAUGAUAAGUCAUGAACCACUAGAUCUUGAAGGUUCCCUAAUCUUGGUGGUAUAUUGGAACUCAAUUUAUUGGAACUGAGAUGUAUCUCCCUAAGAGAAGUAACAUUCCCCAAACAAUGCGGAAGAGAUCCUGAAAGUUGAUUUUGACUGAAGUAAAUAGCACCCAAAUGCUGCAAUUUACAUAUAUGAUCUCCAAUAAAUCCUGUAAAUUUGUUGCUACUCAAGUUGAUCCUCUGAAGGCCUCUCAAGUUGCCAAUUGAUGAUGGAAUCAAUCCGACCAAGUUAUUUCCAGAAAGAUCAAGGUCUAAUAAGCUGCUUAAGUUCCCAACUUCAUUUGGAAUUGGCCCUUCGAUUUUGGAAUUUUUUGCGUAAAGUUUUAUGAAAGAAGUGGAAAGGUUUCCCAUGGAGGAUGGAAGCAUGCCAUUUAGAGGGUUUAAAGAUAGAUAAAGAGCUAUUAAAUUUCGGUUAUUGGUUAAGGAAGUCAGCAAGCUUAAUGAUGAGUCGCUGCGUAAAUUGUUUCCCACCAAGUUUAGGAUUUGUAGAUGAGUCAAAUAUCCAAGUGAUUUGGGAAUCAAGCCAGUGAGUUUGUUGCGUGAAAGCUCAAGAAUUGUAUGUUUUGAACAAUUGGAGAGAGAAUGAGGUAUAGUCCCAACAAGAUUGGUAAAGGCCAGAAAAAGUCCUUCAAUGUUGGGUAAGAUAGAACACAUGUUUGGUGAAAGGCUUCCUGAUAGAUUAUUGUUUGAAAGAGAAAUUACUCUAAGCCCUGAUAUGUUGAAGAUGUCCAUAUCAAGUUGACAACUAAAACUAUUAAAUUCAAGAUCAAGUAUCUUCAACAUCAUGAGCUUGCUUAUCUCUUCGGGUAUUUCACCUGGCAACACAUGAUGAAAGAUCGAAUACAGUGAGUUUAAGCAUUUGAUGCAACCUAGCUUAUCUUUAUAUGUAUACCAUUUGAAUACGUACCUCUAAGAUUAUUUUCAUUAAGCUGUAGUAGCUGCGUCUUGGUUAAGUUGCCAAUCUCCCGUGGUAAAUAACCCUUGAGAUUAUUCCUCGACAGUAACAAAAUUUGCAGCGAUGAAAUAUUGAAAAUGGAGAUUGGGACAGAGCCAGUAAUCUUGUUACUCUCCAUGCGUAAAUCCACCAAAUUAAGUAGAUUUCCAAUUUCUUGUGGAAUUAUCCCUGCAGUUAAUAUGUAAUAAAAAAAUUAUGAAGUAAUUAGAUAAAAUAGUACCAGCAUUCAUAAGAUAAAACAUACCUGUGAAAUGGUUAUAUCCGAGAUACAACUUCUGCAAGUUACUCAAUCUACCAAUUUCACUAUAUAUUGGUCCAUCAAACUCAUUUACUGAUAACGACAAAAGUUGAAGUUGUGAACAAUUUGACAAGCUUGUAGGCAUAUGACCAUGAAUCCUGUUAUAAGACAGAUGAAGCUCUUUGAGUUUUGGGAAACCAUUGCACAAACAAUUGGGAAGAUCUCCUGAUAAGCUAUUUUUUGUAAAUGCAAUGAAUUCGAUUCUAGAAAUAUUGAAAAUUGUGAGAGGUAUAGAACCCGUAAGUUGAUUAUCUUGUAUGGACAAGACCUUCAGGUUGUGAAGAUUGCCAAUUCCAUCUGGAAUAUCUCCUUGAAGUAAAUUUCCAGAAAAAUCAAAAAUCUCCAACCUAGAGGCAUUCCCAAACCAAGAAGGAACCUCCCCUAUGAAGCUGUUGAAACUUAAAUCAAGAAACUUAAGCCUGUGCAAGAGUGCAAUUUCUUGGGGCAGAUUUCCCUGGAAAUUGUUGCUUCUCAAGUCAAGAGAAACAAGAAAUGAGAGGUUUCCAAAUUCAUGGGGAAUCCUGCCUUUAAGAGCCAUGUUAGAAAGAUUCAAGGACUUCACUCGUUGGUGACGAGAACCACAAGUGACUCCUGCCCAAUGACAAACACAAAUAUUGGGAGACCAACUUUCAUCCAAGAAGUGAAAGGGAUCCGAAAUAAUUUGGGAUUUUAAAGACAGAAGAGAUAAUUGAUCAGUUGUAAUGUUGGUAUGAGCAGUGGCCGAACUAGCCAUAACAUAAUGAAGCAAUAAGAGUACUGUUAAGAGAAAAGAACUGAAAGGUUUCUCCAUAAGUACAAAUAUGAAUAGGAAAAUAGUAUGGCCAAUAACUUGUGGUUUUGUGACUUUAAGUAGCAACGAGGUCUUCCUUUUGGUCUUCAUAUCAAUAAUACUAAUACCACCAAAUCAACCAAGUCUUGCACAUUUCAAUCAGAAUUGUAAAAUACGGUACAAAAAUUCGUCUAAUCAGCCAAAGACUUUGUGAUGCUUAGCUGGAAAUACACUUUUAUAGAUUUUUGAAUACAUUUUUAUUUUUCAAUAAUUUUUGAAUCUCCUUAUUCAAAAUCCUAGAUCAGCCUGACAAUGGGGCACGAUGGGAUUGAGGCCAUUAGAAUAUAUGGAUUCUUACGCUAAUCUCUCGAGUUAAUCUAUGCUAUAAGAGGAUCACAAUUAAGUAUGUAUGGUAUAUGUAAAAAAUUAUUGAGUUUCCAUGAACACGUAAAUUCUCUUCUAGUUUCAUUUUUUUCGAUGUUAGAUAUUUGUAUUGAAGCCAAAUUCCAAAUAUGUACCACGUGGUAAGACACAUUUAAUAGGAAGCACUUCCUGCCAAUAUAUAUAUAUAUAUAUAUUUAUAUCCGAGAGGUUGAAUGAAAGAUGGAGGAAACAUAUUAGUUUAUCUCAUCACAACCCUUGAUGGUAAUUAACUUUUACUUGCUUUAGAGAUGUUUUUGUAAUUUUUUUUCUUAAAAAGUACUACAAAACAUUAAUUUGUAAUGGCUGUUACUAUUAUUUGACUCUUCAGUUACUUGGUUUUCUAAAUUUUUUUAAGGUUACGUGGGCCCUGCACCAGUAAUUAGGGUUGAAAAAUUAUUCCUCUAGUCGAUCCAAACUCCAUGGACUUGUGCAAGACUGCAGAUCAACCAAGUCUUGCUUUCAUUUUCUCUACAACUGUGUGAUGAAAAGUAUAAUGAUAUAUCUACAAUUCAAAAAAUAAAUGUCCUAAAUACUUGUUCAGUGGGGUAUUUGCAUUGAAAUCAAGACUAAUCUGAAUUCAUGCCAUGCAAAUUAACGGGGUUUCCACAUCCAGCAUGUUGACCUGAGACCUGUAAUUUAAAAAGAACUCAUACGAUCCAUCCCACCACAAAUCUUGAUGGUAAUUUUUACUUGUUUUAGAAAUGUUUUAAUAAAUUUUUAUUAUUAUAAAUUUCAGAACAAUAAUUUGUAUUGGUUGUUGUCAUUUGGCUCUUUAGUAAAUUGGUUCCUAAUUUAUGUGGGUCUGGAAGAUUUGACCAACUUGCAACCAUAUUCCAAAGAUUUGUGUAAGACUGAAUUAUAGGAAAAAAUGUCUAAACUUUAUUCGUAUUUAAUUUCAGAAAUCACAAAUCUGAAGUUGUUAAAAUCAAAACCAAAAUGGGUGUACCUAUAAAUAUAUUUUAAAACUAGAUUUAUAAAGAUUUGUAGCAGUGUCCAAAUAAAAUAUCUGAUAAAAUUUUUGUCUUGCAACCUUAAUUGUCCUGGAAAAACUGUUCUUCUAAUUGCGUGGCAACCUUAACUGUGGUUAAAAACUAUUCUUCUAAUUGAUCCAAUCUCCAAAGGCUUUGUGCAAGACUGCAAGUCAACCAAGUCUUCCUAUAAAUAAAUGUUCCUAAUUGUUGAAUUGCGAGCAAUGAAAUGUGACAUCCGUUGUCUGGUGUUUUCAUAAAGUUUGAUGUAUUAGAAUUAUACAAAGUAAAUUUAACGACAUAAGAAAAAAAGUUUGGACUUGCAUUGUGCGUAGGGGUUGUGCCAAAAAGAAGUUGAAUCCUGACUUUUCUUAGUGUCGCUAUCCGAUCCAGUUGAUAUUAUUGGACGGAGUAGACUGUUGGAGAGUUUUUCUUUGGAUCCAAUUAGCUAUUGUUCAAAAAGAGUUAGGAUUGGAAGGAGUAGACUGUUGGAGAGUUUUUCUUUGGAUCCAAUUAGCUAUUGUUCAAAAAGAGUUAGGAUUGGAAGGAGUAGACUGUUGGAGAGUUUUUCUUUGGAUCCAAUUAGCUAUUGUUCAAAAAGAGUUAGGAUUGGAAGGAGUAGACUGUUGGAGAGUUUUUCUUUGGAUCCAAUUAGCUAUUGUUUAAAGGAAAAAAUGCAUAUGGUACCUUAACUAACUAUUAAAUUAUAAAAAAUAGCAAUACUUUUUUCAAAUUACAUCGUGUAGCGUCCGUCGCAUUAUUUUAAGUGAUUCCCUACUUUUUGCCGUCUAAGAAAUUUUACUGUGCUAAAAUCCCCCUUUUCACGCCUUCUUCUUUAUCUUUCCUUAAUUUAAAAUUUUUAUUUCUUUUUUUUGGCCAUUAACCAUCACUCCCGCCUCAAUUUUAUUGCCUUUGGCACAAUUCUUGCAUAAUCUAUGAUAAGGAUUUCCUUCCUCUAUUUCAAGUAACUAUUAAUCUCAUAAUGCAUGUUAGCGGUUUAUCUUUUUUUUUUUUCUACUAAAAUUCAGAUUUUAAGGGUUUUAUGUUUUAAUGGAGGAACACAGAGGAAAAAUACCUAAAAACAGUGGUAUAUGGAAUAUGAAUUUACAGUCUGAUUAUGUACCAUAUUUUAGUCUUGAGUUAACUCAAGAAGAUUUAGUUAUAGUUGUUUCAAAUCCUUUACAGUUGAAGAAAUCUUGGAGAUCGAAGGAGAUUAGGUCGAUAUUUUGCUACGACCAAGUGAAGAUGACUGAAAUUUUGAAAAAAAAAAAAGGAUUGAAGAAAACUCCUUCUACAAAGGAGCAAAAAAUUCAAAAACGGUACGAGAAGAAAGGAAAAGCUAAAGAAAUUGAAGAUGAUGAUGAGAAAUCUUAUGCUAAUGAAUUUGAAGAAGAAAGUGAGGAAGAGGUAUUUUUUUGUCUGUUAAGUAUUGUGUUCAAGUAGUUAAUAUGUAUUUUAUGUUAUGAUGAUAUUUAGAGAUUGUAGAAAGCUGAUUUGUGAAGAUGAUAGUAUAAUUGUGAAAAUAUAUUGUUGUAUUAACUACUCAUGAAUAGUAUUUAGCUAUAUAUAUUUUUAGUAUAAUUUUUUUCUAGUAUUGGUUGCAGUAUUGGUAUGAUCAAAUUACAUAUGCAUGUUAUAUGUAUUUUUUGAGUGCUUUAAUAAUUUUUAUAGUUUAAAUACUCAUGAAGAGUAUAUUGGCUAUAUCUAUUUUUAGAAUAACUGAUAUGUAUUUUUCAAUGUGUAUUGCAGUUUUGCUAUGGUCAAAAUACAUAUGCAUGUUAAUUUUAGUUUAAUUACCAGAACAGUCUAUUGGCUAUAUGUAUUUUAAGUAUAUUUUAUAUGUAUUUUUCAGCGUUGGUUGCAGUUUUGAUAUGAUCAAAAUACAUAUGCAUGUUAACUUUAGUUUAACUACCAUAACAGUCUAUUGACUAUAUGUAUUUUUAGUAUAUUUGAUAUGGAUUUUUCAGUGUUGGUUGCAGUUUUGAUAUGAUCAAAAUACAUAUGCAUAUUAACUUUAGUUUAACUACCAGAACAGUCUAUUGGGUAUAUGUAUUUGUAGUAUAUUUGAUAUAUAUUUUUCAGUAUUUAGAUGCAUUUUUGUUAUCAUGCAAAUACAUAUGCAUGUUAUAUGCUUCUUUUGUCUUCUUGAAUUUUUUUACUGAUUAAGAAGUGGUAGUUUUACUUUGUAUAGGUGAUGCGGGACGAAAUAUUUAUUGUUAGAAAACUUUCAAGAUUUGCACCACACAUCUGCUCGUAUAGCGACAAUGAUAUGUAUGGAAGCAUACGCGCCGUAUUAAAAAAGGAACAGUUUAAAAAGUUUUGCCACAAUAACAUUUUUGGGUAUUUUAUGAAGAAGAAGAAAUGUGUAGUGCAAGUACAGUUGUGCAGAUGCGUUAUGACGCUUGAGUUUAAGGAGGGAUUGUGAUUUGUGCUAAUGGCACCUCUCUUAAUUUUACUUCCAGGGAAUUUGCUAUAUUUAUUGGUUUGAAUUGUGUGUAUAAUAGGUAUGACUUUAUUUUUUAUGAGGGUGCACCAAAUAGGAUGGUUGAGAAGUAUUUCAAUGGUGCAGAAAUUAUUAAGGAAAGGCAACUAUUUCAAGCAUUCAUGGAGAAAGUCUGGGGGGAGAACAAUGAUGAGGAUGCUGAAAAGUUUGCUAUUCUGUAUUUUCUGCAUUCUUUUGUGUUAUCUAGUGUUGAAACUGUGGUUAUACGCUGUCUUCAUUUUGAUUUGGUAGAAAGUGGAAGAUAUAAGGAUUUUCCAUGGGUUACAUUAUCUUUUGAGAUUUAGCGAGAAGUUUGAACAACCAGUUGAAACCUGGUGGUAAAUUUUAUUUGAUUCAAGGAAUCCCAUUGGCUAUUCAAGUGUGGCUUUAUGAGUGUUGUUCAAAUGUCCCACCAAAGAUUGCAUCGAAGGUUGAUAAUUGGAUUCUCUGAUUAUUAAAUUGGAAGACAAAUGCACCUCGACCACGUUUUGAGUUUUUGAUGGAUAUUAUGUUCAAAGAUGGCGGCAAGGUUUGUUGUUAAUAAUUGCAUAUGUAUUAAUAUGUAUUUUAUAGUCUACAUAUAUACAUUUUCAUUUACAAUUGUUUAACUGAUUCUUUAACAUAUAUUAUUUAUCUAUAUUUCUAAGUUGUAUUUAAGAACAUACAACCAACUCAAAUGGAGUUGGCAAAGUUGUAAAUACCACAGAAGGAUGCACUACAAGAUGAACGUUCAGUUGAUUCAGAUGAUGACUUCUAGGAUCCACCACCAAAAAACAUUAAAGAACAUUUAAAGAAGAAACAAUAAGUUGAUUCAUCAACCCCAAUAGCGAAAAAACUUUUAAGGAAAAAGCAAGUCAAUAUUGUUGACGAGCAUACCCAAACAAGGAGAACAGCUUAUUGUGCAGCAAAGGCUGCUGGAAUGAAGACACCAGUUUUCAAGCCAAUUCCAACACGACAGACAGCUUCUUCAAAAACAAAGAAAGGGAAGCCACAACUAGGGUUAUUUUUCUCAGAUACAGUCAAAGAGAGAUAGUCGUGUUGAGGAAUUAGCCGUGUCAAAGCCUGAGAGUCAUGUUGAGAAAGAAGUCUUUAUUUCUAAGAAAGUUUUUGAUGCAUUCCGCGAUGAGGUAAUUUUUUUUGUCUAAUAUUUGUUUUACAUUAAAAAAAUUAUUUUUACUGAUUUUGUAUGAAUAGAGGUUCGUCAAGAGUUUAAAGAAAUUCGUAAAUUAAUGAAGAAAAAGUUCAAAAAGAUGCUCAAAGAAAUUGAACAAAGCAAGGUAAAAAUUUUAUUAUUAUAUAUGAAGACUAUGAAAAAAAUACAUAUGCAGAGUAUUCGAAAAAUACAUAUGCAGUGUAUUCAAAAAUACAUAUACGGGGUAUUUAAUAAAUACAUAUGCCGUGUAUUAUAAUUACAUAUGAAAUGUAGUAAAAAAUAAAAAUGCAGUGUGUUUAAAAAUAUUUAUUGUUAGGUUGAUUUUGCAAGUAUUACAAUCCGUAAAAUAGUUUGUUUUUCGUUUUGUAUAUUAGUAUGUAUAUUUAGAAUGUUCUUUAUAGCAAUAUGUAUUUUUAGUGGGUUGGUUUAUACAUAUUUAGUGAACUCAAGUAUUAAUAGUUUAUUGAACUUAUAUUUGUAGCGACAACAUGAAGAUAAAGAUUCUGAAGUCCAAUAGAUGAAUUAUGCUGGUGCUGAAACAUCAUCACAAUGAUUCAGUCCUACUUUUGAUCAGAAUUUGGGUGCAAAUCAGGAUGGUACAACGGUAAAUAAUAAGUAACAUAUGAUUAUUUUUUUGAGUGCACAUAUGUAAUACUAUUUUUUAAGCAGUUAUAUAUUUUUUUUUAUAUAUAGACCUGUAUAAAUAUAUACAACUGAAUUUGUUUUUGAUGUUGUUUUAAUGUUUGUUUACUUGUUUGCAAGGAGUGCACUGAUUUGCAUCCAGUUAAAACAAACAUUAAAAUUGAUUCUGAAUAUUUAAUCCCUGAUGAGCUUCUCCGAAGUAUAAAUUUAGAUUAUAAUCUUUCUGAGAAGAUUGUUCAUUAUGAUGGUCGAGUAUGUAUAAUGAAUUCGUCUUUAGUUUAUGUGAUGUAUCAAUCCUAAAAAUUCACAGGACAAUUAUAUAUUUUCUUUCAUUUCUAUUGCAGAUCAUUGAUGAGAAAAUGGAUGAAACAAAUUUUUCUGAUUCGCAGUUUACAAUCCCAGAUGAGUUGUUACCAAGUCUAAAUGCCUAUCAAAGAGAAAGCAUCACGACACAUCCAUCGUCAACCCAUGAGAAGAACCCAGCGAUGAACAUUUCAAUGAUAAAAAGUCCAAGUCUGUUGUUCAAGUUCAUUGUCAAGUAUAUAUUAUUAACAUAUUUGAGGUUAUGUGGGUUAUUUUUAACAUAACAAACUAUUUUUUUUUACAUUUUUUUAAGAAAAACAAAGAGAACGUUGGAUUGAGCUCUAAAUGAGAAAUGCACAGAGAGGUUGAUCUUGGUACGGAGGAGCAAAAUAUGAUAAGUCCUAAAAUACAAGAAUUAACCAAUGAUGAACAAAGGGAUGAACCAUUUUGGCAUGAUUCACAAAAUGCGAUCCUUGAUGAGUUGCUUCCUAGUUUGAAUGUUUACAGUAGUAAAGGCAUCAUUGUUCAUUCCUCUGCUAAUCAUGAAUUUCAAACCCCCAUUCAAAAAUUAUGGAUUAGGUGAUCACCCAAAUUCAAGGAGACACCUUACAUGAUGAAAUUUGGUUCAGUUGUCGGUAAGUACACUUAGUUAUAUAUAUAGCUUUCAAUGUAAUAUAUUAUGUAAAUACUUUUUAUUAAUUACAUUUUUUUUAUUAUGUAACUAUAUAUAGAGCUCAGCAGAGCAUAUAUGUAUAUUUUCCCAAAAAACAUCCAUUUGUUUAUCACCCGAUUGAUGGGAUAGUGGAUACAAAGAUUGUCAACAAGUUCAUGGAUUGAAUUUCUAUAGACCUUCUCAAAGUUCAUGCAAAAAGGUAUUUCUAUUGAAUUGUUUUAACUUGUUUUUUUAAUUCCAUUAUGUUAGUCAUGAUUUAACAUGUACUAAUUAAAAAAAGGAAGGGAAAUACAGAUCAUUAUGAAAGGGACAAAUAAACCAUUCUAAUGAUGCAUUUUGAAGUUGAGACUGUUGAAGAUAAAAAUUGAUUCUACACAAUGGGGUUCCCUGAUCAGUCAUGGAUGGACUCGGUUAGUAUAUAAUUUUGACAAUGUUUCCUUUACAGUUGUAGCACUACUUAAAAUACAUAUUAUGUUACUUGUUAAUACAUAUGCAGGGACACAUAUGUAUUUUUAUAAUGUUUUAUUAUUAUUUAACAAAGGAUGUGUUAAAAAUUCAUACAUAAAGUAUUAAUAUACACAUGAAUUUUCAUUAAAUCACAUAUUGAUGAAUAUCCAUUUUUCUUGCAUCGUCUCUAUUUAAGUGUUUUUUACAAAAUAAAUUAUUCAUAUGCAAAUCUUAGACAUUAAACUAUAAAUUGCAUAUGUAUUUUAUGUUACAUACACGUGCUAAAUUCAGUAUACAAAUAGUUUGAAUGUUCUAAAACUUGUGGUGUUAGUUAUUGCAGCAAAUUGAUGUUUCCUUUUAGUACUUGAGGAAGAAGUCGAUGUAUGAUCCCAACAGGUCUUAAAAAUAUAGCACAAUAGAUUGCAACUUUAUGAACAUAAUUUGGUCUGUUCUUGAUGUUGUUUAUUUUGUGGAUGAUCCAAACCUUAAUGUGGGAGGACAGGAGGCCCAUCUUAAUGAGUACAUCAAUGGGUUCCGUAUGCAUGCUUCUGUGCCAUGGCAUACAAUGAAAGUCAUUUAUAUUGCAGAUAAUAUAAAAGAAAAACAUCAGUGGGUGCUAGAAGUUUUAUCCUACUCAACGAGGUGCAUAUUCUUAUAUGAUUCAUAUGAAUCAUCUGGUCAUUAUCCACUUGUUCUUGCUGAGAUCAAGAAAUUAGCUAAGAUUAUCCCUUUGUGUCUCCAAGGUUGUGAUUUUUACAAUAAGAAAGGAAUUGAUCUUCAAAACCAACCAAGAUAUAAAGACAAAGAUUACUCAGAUCUGUUUCAUUUCUUAUUUGAAGAGAAGUUGCCUCAACAACCGAGUGAAAGCUUGUAAAUUUUUAUUUUACAUAUACCAAAAUUGUAUGUUUGUACAAAAUAUAUUAUACAAUUUAAUCAAAUUUUUUUCCUUCUUUUUGUAGGGAUUGUAGUAUACAGAUUGCCUUUCUUAUGGUCACAAAGUUUUUGCGACUGAGUUCCACCCCAACGUACUCCAUACAAGAUAUGUUGCACUUUUGUGGGACUAUAGGAUCCGAAAACAAGAAACAAAUGCUCAUAGUGAUGUUGAAGCACCCUUGAGGCCUGGAAGGCAAAGUAGAAUAACUAGAGUCACUGAAGUUUUGAUGUAUGAUGUUUGAUGGGUUUAUUACUUUGUAUAGUUGAUCAAUUGAUUUAUGGAUGUUGGUUCUGAUUGUACAAACUAAUUUUUUUGUUUUGAAGUGGUUCUAAUUGUAGGUUAUAAUAGUACUUAUUUUUUAACUGAAUGAUAUCAAUUAAGUUUUAAAGUUGAUUAAUUUUGGUUUGAAUUAAAGUUUAAUUUGAGUAUUUUAUACAGUUCUACCUUUUAAUGUGAGAUUUAGUUAAAAAAUACAUAUGCAGUAUAAAACAAGUAUUUUUAGCCCAAAAAUACAAAUGCAGUGUUAAGAUUAAGCAUUCCAAAAAUACAUCUGGACCUUAACCAAUAUGUAUUUUAAUAAGUUUUCAUUUAUUAUCAAUAUAAAUGCGAAUUUGAAUUAAAUAUAAACUUGUAUUUUUAAUGCAGUUCUACUUUUUAUUACGAGAUUUUAGUUAUAAAAUACAUAUGCAGUGUUGAUAUUUUUUUAAAAAAUACAUAUGCAUUGUAUAUCAAAUGUAUAUAGCAUAAAAAUACAUAUCCAGUGUUAAGAAUAAACAUUUCAAAAAGAUAUACCUUGAUCAUAACUAAUAUGUUUAUACACGUUGAUCAUACCUAAUAUGUUUUCAUUUAUCAUCAUUGUCACACCCCUUUUUUUUACAACCAAAAAAAGAUUUGUUUUAAGUUUGAAAGGAUUUUUAUUAUUAAAGUGACAAAAGAUUGAAAAUUUGCUUCGAAAAAAGAUUAUAUACAUUUUUUAUUCAAAGUCGCCACUUGACAUAAAUUUGGUGUGCCAAGUCACCUUUGGAAAUCCUUUUCAAAACAGUUUAACUUUAGAAACUGAUCCGAAAAUAGAGAUUCCGGCUAAGGAAUUCUGUUGACCGAGGGAAAGGUAUUAGGCACCCCUCGGUCCCGUGAUUUGACCACGGUUGCUUGAUGGAGAGUAUCGGCUAAUUAGAUACCACGAAUGUAUAAACCACACAAAGCACAUAAACAAACAUCAAACAACAAUCCAAAAUCAAAAUAAUAUUGUCCAGUCCAAUUAUACAGUCUAAAACAAAAAAAUUGUGAAAAACAUAGAUCCUAUUCUAUACUAAUGCUAGACUAAGCUCCAACGCAACGCCUCGGUCCUUCGUUGCGAACGUCCUCCGGGUACAAAAUACUUUGGGCCAUUUCCCGACCAAUAAACACAAAUACCUCGGGGCAUUCCCCGGCCAAAUGAAUACAAUUGAGUCAAAUACAAUAAAACAAAAUCAUUUCAACACACAUCUCAAACAUUCAAUCAAUCCACAGUCUCUAGAUUUGCCUACCCGACCUAUGUCAUGCCUAGUCCUUCUCGACCUAAAACAUGGCACUAUCGGGUUCAACCAUAGUCAUGUUUAAAUCGAAUUACACCAACAUCAAUAAAUCUAAAUUAAUCUUUAUUCAUUUUUUCAUUAAGAUCGAUCCAUCCCGAAACCAUUCUCGAAAUAACUAAUUACUUCUUCGACUACUAAUCCAAGUUUUCAACAUUCGAAUUCAAUAUCAACCAAUACACAAUCAAGAUUCAAACAUACAAAACACACAAAUCAUCCACGUUUAUGUAAAAAUUAAAGGGAGAGGAUAAAAUUGGACCUCAAUGAUGAUUUUAUUGAAAAUUCAGCCAAUCGAGAAGACAGAGUCUGCGUAUCAAAGAACCCCGAAUCAGCCUCGACAACGAAUCAAAUUCUAACUCCGUAUCAGAAAUCAAAACCCGUCAAACCAAACCCGCAACUCGAAGAAAAGAUUACAAAGCCCAAAAUCUCGUACCUGAUCAGCCCGCUCUGUUACUAUUUUUGGUCAUUUUUGGUAGAUCUCACCGGAGUCAAGGCUGGUUGAGCCGAUUUUGAUUGCUCGCCAUCGAGUUUCGAAACCUUUCGAUAGAUGGUCGCCGGAAAUGACAUUAGGGGUCGAGUCGGUAGUUUCUCAGCAUUCUCCGAUUAACGUAGUAGCGUUGAUGGAGCUCCAAUAAGCUUAACAAUGGCGUCACUGUCUUCCUCCUCCCAAAUUAUCUCUCUCAUUUGACCUCUCUUCUCUCCCUCCAACUCAAUCUCUCUCACCUGUGUGUUGGUGUAUGAAUCUCGAGAAUAUUCAUGAGUGAGUUACCUAUGUGAGCUAUGUGUAUGUUGCUCGUUUUUCGGUGAACAGUGCGUGUGUGCGUGAAUAGUGAAGAAGAAGAAGAAACCCCAGAUCCCCUUUUUCUUAUGAUUUGUUGUAUAUGUAUGUAUGAUAAUUGUGGAGUCCGUGGGAAUUCUGUUAAGAGAAAAAUGGCAAGAGCCCGUUAGAUAGUGGGGGUAAGGGGUAUGUGGGGUUGGUUGUUAGUAUUAUGAUGAGAUUGUUAGGAUAAUGUUAGAGAUUUAUUGAAUUUUUAUUAUUUUAUAUUUUUGUGGGGUAUAAUUACAUGGGUGAGGGUACACGGUAGGUUAAAGUAAAAAAAGUAGGUAAAAACAAUAUCGGGGAGGGACGAAAUUAGGUGUCUACAUCAUGCCCCCUUUGAAUGUAAACACAAAGUGUUUUUAAACAAAGAAGUAGACAAUAAGAUAGAAUUUUUUCCCGACCAUUAUUCAAAGAAAGAAACAGAAAGAAGAAGAACAAUCGAGUUCCGACUUAAGCCAUCCUACCCACCCAAGUUAUAGAGGAAUCAAGUGACGGUGUAUCAAAGGAUUGGAAGGAAAUGGACUAUACUGAGUUGGAGAGUUGAGUGAUGUUCCAUCGAGGUUCCGUUCCGCUACUCUGUCAUUACAUCAAAAUGAAAAUUACAAGUUAAAACAUAAAUAAAAUUACAAAAUUCUAUCUACGCAGCUUCUUUUGGACUCUUAACUUGAGUUUCAUCACCGUAUUCUUCAGGUGGGCUCCUGACUUUCAAUUUCUUAAACUUGUUGCUUGGCUUUCAAUCUCUUUACCCUGUUCUUCAGGCGGGAUCCUGACUUGCCAUUUCAUCACCCUUUUCUUUAGGCGGGCUCAUGUCUUGCAAUUUUAUCACCCUGUUCUUCAAGAGGGCUCCUGACUUGCAAUUUCAUCCCCCUGUUCUUCAGACGGGCUCCUGACUUGCUAUUUCAUCAAUCUGUUAACUUUCAAAUUUUUACCAUAUUUCUUGACUUUCAACUUCUUCACCAUGUUUCUUGACUUUUCAUUUAUUUUUCCUGCUCUUCAAGAGCUAUGCAUCAAAACUAAAAAGAAAAUUAGCCCAAACAAAGAUUAUUAUAAAGAAAUUUCAUUUACUAGAAAAGUGAAGUUCCAAACACAUGAACAAAAUGUUGCCCCAAUUUAUCAUCAAAGGACUUUUGAGAAAGUCACAUCAUUAUAGGAAUCAAGAAGAAUGACUCGGCUAUAAGGUACGUUUGAUAGGAAUCAAAGGAAUUGACUCGACUAAAAGGUACGUCUUCUAGGUGUUAAGGGGAAUGACUUGACUAAAAGGUAUGUCUUAUAGGAAUCCAAGGGAUGAAUCGACCUAAAGGUAUGUCUAAUAGGAAUCAAAGGAAAUGACUCGACUAAAAGGUACGUCUUCUAAGAGUCAAGGGGAAUGAAUAGACUAAAAGGUACGUCUUCUAGGAAUCAAAGGGAAUGAAUCGACUAAAAGGUACGUCUUAUAGGGGUCGAGGGGGAUGACUCGACUAAAAGGUACGUCUUAUAGGAAUCAAGGGGGAUGACUCGACUAAAAGGUACGUCUUCUAGGGGUCAAGGGGAAUGACUUAACUAAAAGGUAUAUCUUAUAGGAAUCAAAGAGAGAUGACUCGACUAAAAGGUACACCUUAUAGGAAUCUAGUGAAAUGACUCGACUAAAAGGUACAUCUUCUAGUGGUCAAGGGGGUGACUCGACUAAAAGGUAGGUCUUAUAGGAAUCAAGAGGGAUGGCUUGACUAAAAGGUACAUCUUAUAGGAAUCAAAGUGAGAUGACUCGACUAAAAGGUACAUCUUAUAGGAAUCUAGGGAAAUAACUCGACUAAAAGGUACUCCUUGUAGGAAUCAAGGGGGAUGAAUCGACUAAAAGGUACGUCUUAUAGGAAUCAAGGGGGAUGACUUGAAUAAAAGGUAAGUCUUCUAGGGGUCAAGGGGAAUGACUCGACUAAAAGGUAUGUCUUAUAAGAAUCAAAGGGAGAUGACUCGACUUAAAGUAUGUCUUACAGGAAUCCAGGAAAUGACUUGACUAAAAGGCAUGUCUUCUAGGGGUCAAGGGGGUGACUCGACUAAAAGGUAUAUCUUAUAGGAAUAAAGAGGGAUGAGUCGAAUAGAAGGUAUGUCUUCUAGGAGUGAAGGUUCAAUUUAAGAAAUGUAUCACCUUGCAAAUGAACACUGAAAUCCUUGGACAAGAAAGUGUGUCUCCGAGGGAUAUAGGAUGAUGAAUUUUUACCAUGAUUUUAUUAUCAAAUCUGUGCAGCAAUAUUGCUUUCUGCAUUUGUAAAAGUGAGGCAUUGCAACCCUUGAUGUUUAUGCUCUGGAUUCCCUGCUUUGAAGGUAAUAUGUUUCCUGUUUCAUCAAAGAUAACUUGUGAGUUCAAAACAUGGUGGCUGGUUUGUGGCUUUAGCUUUCGCGGCGAUGGCUCUUGCCCUCAUCAUAUUUAACCUUGCUUCCAACUAUUAGUAUAUAUCAUUGACUUGCUGAAUCAUUGACCCGAGCUCAGAUUAUAAAGAGUGACUAAAACAAACACAGUAUCUCUACUUUGCCAUGCUUCUCAGUUAGACCCUUUGAACUUUGGUAUUUCCAUGAGUGCCCAAACUUGUCUGUUCACACAACUUUCUGUAUGCCUUAUUUUGGAUCACAAUCUUGUCUUUUGUAUGUGCUGGCUCUUUUGUCUUGAUUUGUGCAAUUAAAGAAGCUGGUAGCUAGUUUUGAAAUCUUUUCUUUUUUGUUUUGACAUGGACUUGACUCAAAGACAAGAAAUGAAAAAUAGAAUGACAAUUUUGUUUGGAUAACUGACUCAAGAAAGAUAAAAUAAAAAUUAAGAGAAGAAAGAAAAGACAAUGAAUGUCCCCCUUUGAAACAAAGAAACAAAAAAUUCAUCUAAAAAUGACAGUCAACACUAAUGAUUAUGCCAUGCAUUUUGGAUUAAGCAGCUUGACCUUUUCAUCCAAACUUUCUACCCAUUGUUGUUGAGUUAAUGGGCUUGAAACUUAGUUGAUUCCUUAGGUCAAUUGCAUUUAAGGACCCAUUCAGCUAGUGGCGCCUUGAAGGAUUUUCGCCAACAAGCUUCUCUCAUUUUCUUUUCCUCAGCUCACCAUUGCCUUAUGGUGGUUUUCCACUAAUGAGACUCUUUCAUCUUUAUUUCCCUUAAUUCACAGUCAUCUUACGGUGCCAGUGAGAGUUUUCACCGAUAAGAAUCUCUCAUUUUUAUCUCUCUUGACUUACAAUCGUCUUACGGUGCCCGUCAGGUUUUCACCAAUAAGACUCUCAUUUUUAUUUCUCUUUUGCUUUAUUAUGCUGAGGAAGACAAGUAGUUCCUAAAUGCAUCGUCAUAUCCCUUGCAUGCUUAUCUUUAACAUCCUCAAAGAUUGAUCAGAAGGUAUUUCUUUUGUUGUAACUUGGCUUUUGGAUAGGGUUGGAAAGAAAGAAAAGAAUGGGGCUCAAACGAUACUAAAAGUGGGGUAGGAUUUACAACUUUUGGAAUAGACUCAAAUAAUGAAGAUUAACUCAUGCCCCAAUGUUUUUUGACAGGGAAAUUCUAAAUUUUAUUUUGUUGUAUCGAGCCCAGGGUAGGGUAGCCUACGUAUCUCACUCCUGCGAGAGGAUAAUCAGGUCACACAUAGUUCUGGAAUCUUGUUCUUUCACUUGAUUCUAUAUAUUUUUUUUGGUGACUCUUUUUCUCUUUGUGACUUUUCUGACUUUAUUUUUAUUGACACUCAUCAUUUCUUUCCUUUUUGACACAUUUUUUUUUAAUUUUGUUGACUCUAUCUUGAUUCCAAAAGAGGGGUAUGAAAGAAAAUAAAACUAAGGCUCAAAUGGGGUAAACAAAGGAUGACACAAUAUUUGGAUAACAAAAUGAAAUGCCUUCGUCAUAUCAAUCUUGAAAAUGCUAGUACAUAGCAUGCAAUGUGAAGGUGCACGAUCAAGAUCACUUAAGAAAUAUUUUACAACACUAACUUUCCCCGAGCAUGUGUGCCACCUCUUUUGCUACACUUGCCCAGCAUACAACUCCACUUUGUUGUACAUUCCUUAUGCUGAAGGACUCAUGACUUCGUGGAGCUAAUUUUCUUCCUAUUCCCUUUGACAUAGGACCUCACAUUCACUACUUGACCUAAUUGAGAUAUGUCUUUCAAUUGAUGACCAAGUUAUUCUCACGAUUCUCAACAUAAUAGCCUCAAUUUUCAAAGAAGGCUUCAACUUGAUCACCAAAUACCUCUGCACUCUAUCUAUUUUCUCAGAUGCUCUCUUUUUCUAACUUUAACCCUCUGAUUCAAUGUUCAUGAUUAAACUGGAUUUUAAGAUCUAGCUGUAAAUUUCACUAGCAUGUCAUGUCACUAGAGUAAACAUAAAAUGUACUAUGUAAAGAAAACAAAAAAACAGCACAUAUUUAAAAUACAAAGAAAAAUGGGACCCUUUAUUUAAUAAAAAUGAAAGAUAGAAGGGUUUGAACAUAACGACAAAGGGAAAAAACAAGAUAGAUCCCGAACUACAACCCUGCAAUAAUUCGGAUAACAGAAAAUAAAACAAAAUAAACUAACUGGCCUCUUCCUUUUAGGGAGGGGUGACUUCUCAAUUUCUCAACCUGACAACUUAGCCACUAGUUUGCAUAUCAACAUGACUAGAGCUUCCCUCACUGUCAAUGUUCUGCACCAUAAUUGAUCCAUCUUGAAUCAUCUUUUCAAUUUCUCUUUUCAAAGCAUGAAAAUCUUCAAUACUGUGACCCUGAACAUCAGAAUGAUAUGAACAUUGUACAUUAGUAUAAAAAAUUCUUAAAUGUGAGUUAGGAGUGUACCCAAGGAGAGGAGUGAUCAUGCCCUUUUUUACCAAUCUCUGGAAUAAACUGGCAUAGGAUUCCCCAAUAGGAGUGACUUAUCCAUUUUCUUCCACCUUUUUACGAACUCUGGCCUCAGAUAAAACUUGAAUUUAGAGGUUCCUUGGUAAAUUCGUAGGGGUCGAGGACGAUGUUGAGGGGCAGGUGCAUGCCAUUGUGGAUAAGAAGAUGGAUGGGUACACAAUUGUUCAUUGUUCAAAGGACAUUGAGGAAGUGGAAUGAAACCCCUUGGAUUUUGAAAAGAGGAACCUUGUUGUAGAUGAAUAAGUGGAUUUGAUAUGUAAGAUCGAGAUUGACGCUGACAAUAUUGGUGAGUUGGACCUCUCAAACUCUUCUUUGGCCCAGGCACGACAACAGAUGCAUUUUCCUUCUUCUUUCCUUCAGUUUCCCUUGAAUGAUUGCAAUAUCAUCCCAAAUAUUUCACAGAAUCAUUCUGUCCACCAAGCUCCUCAAAUUUUGAUAUCUCAAAGCUUGGAGAAAGGUUAACACUUGAAAACAUACCCCAAUUUUUAUAUGAAACAUCUUCAUAGCCCACAAGUCCCAAGGAACUUUUCAUAUCAUUUUCUAUAGUCUUAACUUUCCCAACCAUUUUCUCUAGGACUUCUAGUAUGCUAUGCUUCUUAGUAAGAAAUUUUGACGGUCCACUUAACUUAACUGUAGGCUCAAGAGUAUAACAAUGAUCAUCACGAGUAUUAAAUGUGAAUUCACUAGUGAACUGGGAAAGCACAAUCAUUGGAUUGAUAACCAAAGUGGAAGCAUUAGUAGAAGGUUAAGCAAUAAAAGUACAAAUGGUAUGUGGUGAUGUGAAUGUGGUAGACUUAUAAUGAGGAGCUAAAGAAAAAGUGGUGGAAGUAUUGAGGUGCAUUUGACAUGGAAUGGAUUCUGAGGCAUGCUAUGGUGCAUCAACAACAGCAGAAAACUGACUUUGUGAUUUUGGUGGAAGACUCAAGGUAUUUGCAGGGUCAAAAGUGGGGAACGGAGGUGGAGGCAGCCCACUGACCCAAGCUCGGUACAUUUCCAUCAUUUGUUGUCUCAGUCUCAAAAUCUCUUCCCUUAAACUCUCAAUUUCUUGACUCUUUGUUUCAUCCAUGGUGCCACUCUCUAUAUACUUGUUGGACACAACUAAACCUUUCUUGGAUUUGGUGUGAUAUGGAGGACUAGCCAGGAAGCCACAAACCAACCACCUUAAACUAACUAAACAAGAGGAAACAAAUAUUUUAGAGUUCAACAUUUUUCAAAACCUCUCUCUCCUUUUUUUUUCUUGAAAAGAUCACCGAACCCAAGAAGGGAACCUACGUAUCUCACCCCCGAGAGAGGAGAAUCAGGUGUGCAUAGUUCGUGAAGUCGUGCCAAAAUGGCCAAUUGAACUCUUUGUCCUCUUUUUUUCUUUUUUUCUUGAAACUUUAAGAAGAAAAGAAAAUAACACAUUAUCAAAAGAAUUGACGAAAAUCUUUUUUUGCAUUUUUUAGGCUUAACAUCCCUAUACGAAAUGAAACCUAUGUUUACCAAAGAAACUCUUUUUGGGUUUUCAAUUUUGAAUUCAUGCGAAAAUGAAACUUAAACCUAUUAAAGGAAAAUGUAUAUGAAACACCUACUCUAAAUGAAGAGUGAAGAAAAUAUUUUUGGAUUUUUGAAUAAGAUCCCCGAACCAACAAUAGGCUGCCUACGUAUCUCACAUCCCGAAAUAGGAGAAUCAGGGGUGCGUAGUUCUUCCAGAAUGGACAAUUAAGGAUUAUAGAACAAACAAAACCUUGACUUGAGAGACACGACUACAAGGUAAAAAUAAAAUCUUUUUGGAUUUUUUUUGAAACUUCAUACAAAAAUGACACCAACAACUAUGAAACAAAAAUCUUUUUGAAAAUUUUGAAUUAUGAAUGCAUGGUAAAGGAGUAAAAGGAAAAUCUUUUUGAUGUUUUUGACAAAAUGAGUGCAAAAGGUAUAAAAAAUCUUUUUGAAUCUUUGGAUUUUGGAAAAAAAAAUCAAAAUCCAUAAAGAACUCUAAAAAUUUAUGAAACACUCUUUUUUUCUUUUUGACUCACUUUUUCCUAUUUUUUUUCAACAUUUCUUACCUACGCACUUUACUUCUAACAUAUGCUUUCCCCGAAUCAGUCCGUCAAAUGACCAUGUUAUCCUCAAAAAUGCAACAUUUAGCACGUAGGGAUGCUUUAGAGGUGAAUCUCCUACAAAGGGCCACGUGGUUCCCGCUGGUCUCAAUAUGAUACAGAUAAGCAUGACCUAAAGGCAGACCUAUGCUAGAGUCCACUAACAAGGCUGUUCGGGGGAACGUAUGGUCGAUAGUGGAUUGCUUUAGCUGUCCACCUACUCCAUACAACCCAAUGGCUUCCUCUCCUAAAAUAAGGGUGACUCAACUAUAGGUCGCGUACACACGUGUACUAUGGACUUAUUGAAAAAGAAAGACUCGGGUUAUGCACAUGAUGCCUGAUAUAAAGCAAUAACAUAUAAAGUACAAACUAUAAGCAAAGAGCACGUAGGCACUCAACAGUGAUAAUCCAAUAACACAAAACAACACAAACAAAAUGUCUAUACACAUAUAGUGCAAAACUAAGCAGAUACAACUCCAAAAUAACCAGAGAUUUUGGGUUUGAUCCCCAGCAGAGUCGCCAGAUCUAUCACACCCCUUUUUUUUACAACCAAAAAAAAAUUCGUUGUAACUUUGAAAGGGUUUUUAUUAUUAAAGUGACAAAAGAUUAAAAAUUUGCUUCGAAAAAGGAUUAUUUACAUUUUUUAUUUAGAGUCGCCACUUGACAUAAAUCGGGUGUGCCAAGUCACCUUUGGAAAUCCUUUUCAAAACAGUUUGAUUCUAGAAACUGAUCCACAAGCAGAGAUUCUGGCUAAGGAAUUCUGUUGACCUAGGGGAAGGUGUUACACACCCCUCGGUCCCGUGAUUUGACCACGGUCGCUUGAUGGAGAGUAUCGGUUAAUUAGAAUCCACGAAUGUAUAAACCAUAAAAAGCACAUAAUCAAACAUCAAACAACAAUCCAAAACAAAAAUAAUAAUGUCCAGUCCAAUUAUACAUUCUAAAAAAGAAAAAUCGUGAAAAAUAUAAAUCCUAUUCUAUACUAAUGCUAGACUAAGCUCCAACCCGACGCCUUGGGAAUUCAUCACGAACGUCCUCCGGGUACAAAAUACUUUGGGGCAUUCCCCGACCAAUAAACACAAAUACCUCGGGGCAUUCCCCGGCCAAAUGAAUACAAUUGAGUCGAAUACCAUAAAAUAAAAUCAUUUCAACACACAUCUCAAACAUUCAAUUAAUCCACAAAUCUCUAGAUUUGCCUACGCGAACUAUGUCUUGUCUAUUCUUUUUUGACCUAAAACAUGGACUAAUCGGGUUCAACCAUAUUCAUGUUUAAAUCGAAUUACACCAACAUCAAUAAAUCUAAAUUAAUCUAUAUUCAUUUUUUCAUUAAGAUCGAUCCAUCCCGAAACCAUUCUUAAAAUAAUUAAUUACUUCUUCGACUACUAAUCCAAGUUUUCAACAUUCGAAUUAAAUAUCAACCAAUACACAAUCAAGAUUCAAAUAUACCAAACACACAAAUCAUCCACGAUUAUGUAAAAAUAAAUGGAGAGAGGAUAAAAUUGGACCUCAAUGAUGAUUUUAUUUCAAAUAUCAGUCAAUCGAGAAGACAGAGUCCACGUGUCAAAAAACCCUGAAUCAGCCUCGACAACGAAUCAAAUUCCAACUCCGUAUCAAAUAUCGAAGCCCGUCAAACCAAAACUGCAACUCGAAGCAAAGAUUACAAAGCCCAAAAGCCCGUACCUAAUCAUCUCGCUCCUUUAAUCUUUUUGGUCAUUAUUCGAUAGAUCUCACAAGAAUCAAGACUAGUUGAGCCGAUUUUGAUUGCUAGCUAGUGUGUUUCGGCACCUUUCGAUGGAUGGUCACCGAAAAUGACAAUAGGGUUUUGGUCGGUGUUUUCCUAGUGUUCUACAAUCAACAUGGUAGCAUCAUCGGAGCUCCGGCAAGCUUAAUAAUGGCAUCGCUGUCUUUCUCCUCCCAAAUUUUCUCGCUGGUUUGACCUCUCUUCUCUCUCUCCAACUCAAUCUCUCUCACCUGUGUGUCGAUGUAUGAAUCUUAAGAAUAUUUCUGAGUGAGUGACCUAUGUGAGCUAUAUGUAUAUUGCCCAUUUUUCGGUGAACAGUGCGUGUGUGCGUGAAUAGUGAAGAAGAAAAAGAAACCCCGGACCCCUUUUUUCUUGUGAUUUGAUAUAUAUGUAUGUAUGAUAAUUGUGGAGUCCCUGGGAAUUCCGUUUAGAGGAAAAUGGAAAGAGCCCAUUAGAUGGUAGGGGUAAGGGGUAUGUGGGGUAGGUUGUUAGGAUUAGGAUGAGAUUGCUAGGAUAUGGUUAGGGAUUUAUUGAAUUUUUAUUAUUUUAUAUUUUUGUGGGGUAUAAUUACAUGGGUGAGGGUACACGGUAGGAUAAAGUAAAAAAAUAGGUAAAAACGAUAUCGGGGAGGGACGAAAUUAGGUGUCUGCAAUCAUUAUAAAUGAAGAUUUGAAUUAAAGAUAAAUUUGAGUUUUUUAUGCAGUUCUUAAUUUUAUUGUGAGAUUUUAGUUACAAAAUACAUAUGCAUUGUUCAUAUUUUGCUCAAAAAUUAUCAUGACCCGACCCGUGGCCCUGGCCGCGACGGGCAUCCCGGACCAUCAAGGCCCGAGAGACCCCUGUCUCUACCUAACCCACUAGUGAUAUUGUACGCUCUAGGCCCAGGCCCGCACGGAUUUAAAAAAUGUCACUAGGGAGUAAAUCUUUCUCACUUAUAUACCUAGAAUCUCUCCCAUGUUUUGCCGAUGUGGGACUCCUUCCUAAGUUGGGGUGUUACAUACACCCUCCCUUAUGGACUCAACAUUCUCGCUGAGGUUUGUCCCACUGAAUGGCAAUUGCCUACACUCAGGGCUGAGGUUUGCCCAACCUUACCGGUAUUUUUCUACACUCAGUUUGAACUUUGACCUAUAUUAAUAGGGCUGACAUAGGAGCGACUCUAAGACUAUUUUGUCAUGACCCGACCCGAGGCCCUGGCCGCGACAUGCAUCUCGACCCACGAAGUCCCAAGAGUCCCCUAUCUCUGCCCAACCUACUAGUUAUAUUUUCCACUCUGGUCUCAGUCCCACACGGCUUUAAAAUGCGCCACUAGGGAGUAAAACUUUCUCACUCAUAUACUAUAACACCCCGCAUUUCCGGAUAGAAUGAAAACCAUUAUUUCUAUGCGUAGAUGAUUCGAAAGCCAUAAAUCCUAUGUAAAUUUGGUAUGUUAAUAAAUUAUGUAGUGUGGGAACCUAUUUGAGCAUGGAUUUAGAUCAUAGAGGUCCCAUACUCAACGACAAGUUGAAAACUUUCCUAUCGUUCGAGUUUGAGUGAGCGUAAAAAAUUAGGUCAAAUUAAAUCAACCAUAAAUCUUUGUAUUUAAUGAAUUAUGAGGCCUAAUAUUUAUAAAAUAAAAGAUCUUUGAGUCCUCUUUCCAAUGCCACUGGUUUCUCUUUAAUUCGAUAUCGGAGCAGAAAGUUAUGCUCAUUUUACUUCGAUGUGUCUUUCUGCCAAAACGUGUCGAUGAGGCUGAUGACUUAUCAGCUGUGUGACGGACCGUCAGACCUGGUCGUCAGCCUAAGGUAGUGAAUGGUGAAAACCAGCCCAAAAGUGAUGACCUUGGUGAUGACUUAUCACCUGAGUGACAGCCCGUCAACCCUAGUCAUUAACUGAUGCAAUUAUGCAAUUUUUUUGGGUUCCUUAGGGGUAUUUUGGUCUUUACCUCACUCCAAAAAUCAUUCACACAAAUUAAAUCACCCCUUAAGCAUUAUUAAUCAAUAACUAUAAGUUUUACAACAUCCAAAACUUUCUCUUCACUCUUAAAAUAAGAUCAAACUAGGGUUUUCUCUAAGAACAAGAAAUUCAAGAAAAUCAAGCCUUAAGUUCAAGAUCUCCAAGAAACCAAGUAAGAUCCUGGUUUCAUCUAUCGAGAUCUAGGUUCCAUCUUUCAUAUCUUAUAAUUUAAGAUACGUGGGAUUGUCCUAAAUUUCAUGGGCAUGAUUUGAAAAGAAUUUGCACAAGAAUUUAAUCUUUAUACAUAUAUGUGUUAUUAAAAGUGGUGAUUUUAUUUUUAUACUAAUAACAUGUGUUGUUUCAUGAUUUUUAAAGAAUAGUGAAACUUCAUGGGGUUGUUUGCUUGAAUAUGUUCCAAUUGUUUAAUUGGGGUCAUGUGGCUUGAGCGCUAAGAAUGAGAAGAAUAUAAAUUAUGAUUUUUUUUAAAAUUCCCCAUGAUAAUGUUUUAGUGCCCCACAUGAUACUAGUCUUAAACUAUCGAGAGCAUGAGUUUUUGCUAUUUCCAUGAUACUACUCAUAAAUGAUAAAACUUCUUGAAUUAUUAUAUGUUGAGAACCAUUAUGCAUGUGUUUGAUAUGUGUGGAAGUCUUAUAUAUGUGCAUGUUGUGAAUGACAUAAGAAGUUGGAGAAUUGAUGUGAUACUGAUGACUUGCAUGUCGGGGUGUGACGAUACCCCACAGAGUAUGAUAUAUGUUUGGACUUGAAUCAAGCUUAAAGAUUAACUUUAUGUAAGUUAGGUGGUUACCCGAAGAAAGUAUGAGUCAAAUGACUCUAUGCUGGAAACCGUGAAUUGCCGACACGGGGAACUUGGUACCAUGCUAUGUGAUAUUGUGUACCUUGUAUUGUUUCAUCCCUAUUUAGGACUAAUGGUUAGGAGCCCUGCUUUGUGAUCCUGAGCCCAACCCGACACAUGGACUUGAUGGGGAUGGAAACACCCUAUUGUGUGAUCUUGUGUGUUCUUCUCCCCUCAAUAACACUCUAAUCUUGGAGGGAACCGGGAUUUGGCAGUUUCAUUAUAGGGUGUACCACCUAGCUCAGUAGUGAACAGUGUUUUUGAAAAAAUAAUUAUACUACGCUCAUGUGUUUUCGAGCUAUUUUUCGAUAAAGUGUUUUAUAGCAAUUAUUAUUUAUGUAAUAUAAAAAUUUUAUUUUUAUUUUUGGAUUACUCUACAUACCAGUAUAUCUGUAUUGACCCCCUACUUACCAAGUUCUGAGGCUCAGUCUAUGGGUCCAGAUAAGCAGUAGAUAAUUCAGAUAGUAGAACAGAUUGUGCAGUGGUGAGCCUUCUCUAUUCCAGAAGGCCUCUCUUUUCAUAUUAUGUCAUAUAUUAUAGUUUUGGUCUACUGGGGGCCUUGUCCUAGUUUUUAGGUACUUGUUAGAUGAUUUUGGAUUGUCAUUUUCUAUAUCAAAUUAAUAUCAGAUUUAUGACCAUGAUUCCGUUUUGCUAUACCUUUUGCAUAUCCUUAUUUGUGUGUGAAUGGUGUAUAUGAUUACAAGUUAGAAGGGUGUCCAGCCCUUCAUGGUUCAGGAUGCUCAUCACGGCCAUGGCCUCAGUUCGGGUCAUGACAAACUUGGUAUCAGAGCACGGUUCAUGGUCCCACAGUGUCUGUGAAAUCGCAUCGGGUAGAGUCUUGUAUAUGGGUGUGUAGCGCACCACUCUUAUAAGCAGGAGGCUACUAGGCAUUUAGGAAUAUUUCCCCUCUUUGUGAUUUAGUUCGUGCUUUGGAGUCUAAUCUGUCCCCUAAUCAAGUGAUCUCUUGUAUUUCAGAAAAAGGACAACCAUGUCUCCUUAUCGCUCCAACAAUUAGAAUACUCAGGAUGAUGAAGUCUGCCUCACCCAUAGAGAGCGAACACUCUAGAAACUGUUCCUACUUUGGGAGUACCUCCAGUCCCGACCAAUCCUCGAGCUCCAAGAACAAAUGUUAACUGUCCCCAGUCUUCUCAGAGGGAUAUAUCUAAUGAAGAAUUCAGACAAUCUAUUCACAUGCUUGCACUACUGGUAGCCGCACAGACUUAGAGGUCAAAAGACACUGGGUCUGCAUCUGUUACUUCUGAGGUUACUAGGGUGGGUUAGUUCAUCAGAAUAAACCCGCCGAAAUUUUAUGGCACUAAAGUAGAAGUGGAUCCAUAGGAGUUUGUGGACGAUAUGGAGAAGAUUUUCAGGGUAAUGCAUGUAGACCAAGUAGAAGGGGUUGAAUUGGCAGCAUUCCAGCUUAAGGAUGUAGCAAACCAAUGGUAUAAUAAGUGGGAAGAUGCAAAGGGUGAGAGUGUUGAUCCCACAGUUUGGGGAGAGUUUGUGGAAGUCUUUCUUGAUCAAUUCUUCCCUCUAGAACUGAGGGAAGCCAAAGCUAAAGAAUUCAUAAUCCUAAAGAAAGGAAAGAUGAGUGUCCAGGAGUACACUCUUAAGUUCAAUCAACUGGCCCGUUAUUCACCAGAGAUGACUAGUAAUAUGAGAGCCCAAAUACGAAAAUUUAUAUCCGACCUUUCAGAUGAUCUAGCACUUGAAUGUCAGGGGGUGAUGCUGAAUAGGGACAUAUACUUUACCAGACUAUCAGUCUAUAUGCAACAAGUUAAGAAGAAGAAGAAAAAGAUCAUUGAAUGUAGGGAGAAGGACAGACAGGUAAAGAGAGCAAAAAUAAUAGACUAGAGUCAUAGUCAGCCGUAGAGUGGAAAUUGGGGCAACAGGUUGUAGAAGAGAAAAAAUUUGGGAAAUUCUUAGCCUGCAACCAGCGCCUCCGCGCCUAGACCUCUACGUGAUUAGCGGUCCAUUAAUCCUUAGGCUAAUAGUAGAGGAAGGAUGCAGGACACCCAUUUAUGAGGUAGCGUGACGCAGCCCGCCAGAUCUUUUCCCCAUUGUAGUGUCUGCGAGAGGAACCAUCCUAGAAAAUGUUACUUUGAGAGGAGAAAUAGUUAUUCUGUUGGCCAAGUGGGUCACCUUCAGAGAGAUUGCCCUGCCACUGGAGGUAAUGUUAGAGGAGCCAAGUCUCAAGAAAAUUCUUCCACACCACCAUCUCAGAAGGGUGCCACUUCAAUUAUCGGGAGCGGUUGCAACUGGUUUUAUGCCUUGACCAACCUCCAGGAAGUAGAGGCCUCACCAGAUGUAGUCACCGGUAUGUUAAAUAUUUUUUCCCAUGAUGUUUAUGCAUUACUUGAUCCUGGGUCUACCUUGUCUUAUGUGACCCUGUAUGUGGCUGUUGGUUUUGGGUUUGAGCCCGACGUGAUUGCUGAACCUUUCUCUAUUUCCACUCCGGUGGGGGAUUCUAUUGUAGCUAGAAGGGUGUAUAAGAAUUGUGUUGCAUCUACUUUUAGCAGGGAUACAGUGGCAGACCUCAUAGAGCUUGAUAUGAUUGAUUUUGAUGCCAUCUUAGGGAUGGACUGGUUCCAUUCAUGUUAUGCCACACUACAUUGUAGGAUCCGAAGAGUCAUUUUUUCUUUUUCGAAUGAACCAGUCUUAGAAUGGGAGGGGCAUUCUUUAGCACCUAGAGGGAACCUUAUAUCUUAUCUCAGAGCCCAUAAACUUAUCUCAAAAGGGUGUUUGUACCAUCUUAUUCGGGUCAAAGAUUCUAAUACUAAAAGUCCUUCCUUUUUGUCUGUUUCUGUGGUAAAAGAUUUUUAAGAAGUUUUUCCAGACGAUCUUCUAGGAAUAGCACCUAAUAGGGAGAUAGAUUUUGGCAUUGAUUUAUUGCUAGAUACCCAUCCAAUCUCUAUUCUUCUAUAUAGAAUGGCUCCAACAGAGUUGAAAGAGUUUAAAAAGUAGCUAGCAGAUCUUCUAGAUAAAGGUUUUAUCCGUACUAGUGUUUCUCUCUGGGGUGCACCUGUACUCUUCAUGCAAAAGAAAAAUAGUUCCUUUCUUAUGUACAUAGAUUACCGCUAGUUGAAUAAGGUCACGAUUAAAAAUAAAUAUCCUCUUCCUAGGAUUGAUGAUAUUUUCAACCAUCUUCAGGGUGCUAAAUGUUUUUCAAAGAUAGACCUUCAUUCAGGAUAUCAUCAGUUGAAGGUUAGGGAGUCAGAUAUUCCCAAAAUAGCUUUUUGAACCAGAUACGGUCAUUAUGAAUUCUUAGUCAUGUCGUUCAGCUUGACUAAUGCCCCUGCAACCUUCAUGGAUCUAAUAAAUAGGGUCUUCCAUCAGCUUUUGGAUCUAUUUGUCAUAGUAUUCAUUGAUGACAUCUUGGUUUAUUCUAAGAGUGAGGAGGACUAUGCCAAUCACCUCCGAAUUAUUCUUCAGGCUCUUAGAGAUCACAAGUUGUAUGCAAAAAUCUCCAAAUGUGAAUUAUGGCUAAGUGCUACUGCUUUCUUGGGGCAUAUUGUGUCUAGUGACGAGAUUAAGGUGGAUCCCCAAAAUGAAGGCUUGACACGGAUGUUGUCAGCUAUUUUUUUCAGCAAUUUAAGGAAGUUUUUGCAAGGGUAUUUUGCUCAUUUCCCACCGUUUGGAAGCCUCUUUAAAUAUGAGAACCCACUUCCAAAUUCCUAAUUUCAUCAUUUUCUCUUCCAAUUCUCUCAAGAAUAUGUAUCUAGGGUUUCCUUAAGAACCCUAAUCUUCUAAAAAUUCAUCCAUAAAUUCUUCAAGAUUUCUUCAAGAAUCAAGUUCCUUAUAGUGUGGGCUUUAAAAAUAAUUUAUUACAAGUGCGGAGAGAGUCUCAAGCAUUAUAAUUCAUCCAAUUUCAAAGAUUAAGGUAUGUAGAUGUUGAUUCUUGGGUCCUUUUCAUCCAGGAAGCUCAAGAACCCUUUUCAAAACUCAAACAUUUUUAUGUUUAUGAGUUGUUAAUGAUUUUUAUGAGUUGAAAUUAAUGUUUAUUGUGUUGUAGAGUUUUGAUUCAUGUUUGUUUACAAGAUUCAUGAGCCUUAACCCUAGUGGUGGAAUCCAUGUGUAUAUUUGUGAUGAAUCUUCCUUAUGUUGCUUUCUAUGUGAUGUGUUCAUGUCAAAUGGGUGUAGAAAUUGUUGAAUAAGCAAAGCAUGUUCCCCCUAGGUUUGAUAAAGAGCUUAGAUGAAGCAUAAGGUCCAUUGUAGCUUGUUAAAGAUGAAACUCCAAAUUGUGAGUUAGUUUAUGCAUGCCUAGUGUUUGAUAAAAUGCCCAAGUGAAUGAAUUAUUCCAUGAUAGUAUGAAGUUUUCUCAAGCCAUGUGAUAUCUGAACACAUGUCAAGACUGAUAUAGAUAUGAAAUAGUUGUGUAAAACCUUGCUGAAUGGAGUACAAACUAGUAGCAUAUUUCCCCUACCUUAUUAUAUGAUUAUGUUUCUGAGAUACUUAAAGUGACCCCUUGGCGACAUUCAUGAUGAAUAAGAUUUUUGUGAUGCUUAAAUGCUUGAGGUGAUGUCUUAAUGCUUGUGAUGAAAUACGAAUGAUUGUGAUGAUGAAUGAACGAUCGUGAUGAUGAAUGAAUGAUUAUGCUUUACUUUGAUAUCAUCGAGUCCUUGGGCAUUUAUACCAGAUAAUAGAGCUGUUGUCUAGAACCCAUGUCAUUUUCUCGAUAAUUCAAGUCGAGCCAUGAUUCUUAGAACUCAGUAAACUAUAGAACUCUAUAUCCUUAGACAAGUGCAUAACUUAAGAAAGCUCAAUAAUCUCAGUUAUCUCUGUAAUCUCUGUAUUGCUUGUAAUCUAGCCUCAACCCUGUAAUCAGCUUCGAUCUAAUAGUAUUCAAGUGAUUCAAUUCUAAUCAUAGAAGAGAUUCGAGUAAUCUAUUCAAGCUCUGUAUCAUCAGUCAGAUACCAUGAUUCGAUACCUUUUCCGCCAGCUAAAAAACUAAGUAAUCUCAGCGUGACUUAGUCAGAUCUUUUGAGAAACAUGAUCUGUAUCAGAUUUAGUUUCGUUGUGUUCAGUUGAGAAUUCAGUUCAGAGUCUUUCAGUUGGGAGUAGAACCUAGCACCGAGCGAGGAAAAGGAUGGUGACUCUCCCGUAGAAAGGCCGAGUCUCUAGGAGCAAUUCCUGAACUCUAGAACUACAUAGCUAGUGUAGGAUGCAGGAGUCUCCCAUCAGUAGAGGCUGUCACCAUCAAAGAGGUUAGACUAUUAUAUUACCUCAGGCCGACUUCCUGCGAGGGUUAUCCCGUCAGAGAGGCUUAACCAGAGAGUUCUUUACCCGUGGUACGGUAUUGACACCCUUCCAAUAGGGGUUACAGGUUAGACCCCACCUAUGAUAGGUUGGGCUAUGUCGAUUAAGUAACUACAUCCCACAGUUGUAGUUUCAGUAUCAAUCUUUAAAAAUCAGGACUGUGUGGUACAAUCGUCUAUCUUAGUGAGAAAUUCAGAUAGUUCCAUUGAUUCAUAGACCAUCCCAUCAGAUAGGCUUGGUCUCAUAUAUAGAUACUUAUUAUCAUAUUUCAAGAUCUCCCAUCAGAUAGGCUUGAUCUCAGUCUCAGACCACGUUGAGUAUUCUUAUUAUCAUAUAUAGAGAUCUCCUGUUAGAUAGGCUUGAUCUUCAUCUCAGAUUCUGUUGAGUAUUCUUGUUGUCAGAUUCUGACAUGAUCAUACUUUUUAUCAUUGAUAAUUGUUUUUGGAAUAAUAUGUUAGAAAAGUUGAUCUCUUAUUUUGUCAGUUGAAAGUUGUAAGAUCAGAAUUCAGUCCUUGAUGUGAGUACAUCCAUACUCUCAGUAAUUGGUAUCAAAUAAGUUAGUGAUUCAGUAUCUCAGUGUCAGCAGUGAGUUCAGUCUGCAGUAAAGUGGUAUCCGAGUUUUAGUAUAUAGAGUUGCGAUGAUUGUGUUCAUUGUCUGUAUAUUCAUAUAUGUGUUCUCAUAUGACAUCUUCAUGAUUAUUCAAUUUAUAUAUUAUGCAUGCAUGAGCCCUUGCAUUAGCCUACCUCAUCUGCAUACUCGGUACAUUCUCGUACUGACACAUUUGCGCUAUGGUAUUUUAUUUGACACCAUAGGUUCAGAGGCAUAGGAUCCAGAGUAUCCUCAGUAGUUUAGUCCUAGUCAGCAACAGUAGCAAUAAGUCCUCUUCUUUCGAGGAAAAAUCUCGGUUUACUAUUAUUGCUUCAGACUUUGUUUAUUUUCAGUUGAUGGAGUUAGUUGGGGACCUAUCCUUUCAAAUUUGUAGUUCAGACAGUUUAGAGGUUUUUCAUACGGAUUUAUUAGUAUUUAGUUUUCCUAUAUUAUGAGUAUUCAUAGAUUUGUUGAACCUUAUGGCUAGUCUCUUCAUUUAUUUCAGCUAUUAUGCAGUGUACAGGUACAUAUAUCAGUAAAGUGUUAGCUUGAGGUCCUUCGAGGUUAUAAGCACCAGGUCACGUCUCGGGAUGGGAUCUCGGGCCAUUACAAACUAAGUAUUAGAGCCUAAGAGGUUCAAGAGUAUCCUAGGGAGUCUGAAAAGCCCCAUCUAGUAAAGUCUUAUGCAUGGGUGUAUAGCGUACCACAUUUAUGUACAAGAGGCUACGGGAUGUUCUUAGGAGCAGUUCCUCUUUUUUCAGUAAUCAUUUCGUAUGAGUGAGCAUAACCUCAAGUUGAUCCUCAGCCUAAUCUAGAUCUUUUUUCCAAUUACAUAGUAUGCGUCCUCGCAGAGAUUUUGUCCGUCGGGUUGAUGAUCAGCCCCCACAGUCAGUAGAUCCUGAGAAUGAGAGUAUGUCACAUGCAGAGUUUCGGAUAGCUUUUCAGGCACUAGCCCAAGCUGUGACUAAUGUUCAGGGGAACCGUCAGACUGCAACCCCACCUCAGCAAGAUAGGGACUCACUCGCAGCCAGAAUCAAAAGUUUCAUGAAAAUGAACCCGCCAGAAUUCUUUGGGUCAGUAGUAGGUUAAGACCCACAACUUUAUCUGGACAAGGUGAAGAAGAUCACCCAGAUUAUGCAUGUUUCUGAGAAGAAGAGUGUUGAGAUAGCAUCUUAUACUUUGAAGGAUGUUGCUUAAGAUUGGGUAGUGAUGUGGGAAAAGAGUAUAGGGGAGAAUACAACUCCUGUGACUUGGCUACAACUUCAGAGUGCCUUUCCAGAUAGGUUUUUACCUCUAGAGAUGAGAGAGCCUAAGUUAGAAGAGUUCAUGAACCUAAGGCAAAGUUCCAUGUCCGUGAAAGAGUAUUGUCUUAAGUUUAACUAAUUAGCUAUGUAUGCUCCUGACUUGAUAGCUGACCCUAGAGCGAGUAUGAGUAAGUUUGUGACUGGUGUAUCCGGGUUAGUGUUGAAAGAGGGUAGAGCUGCUAUGCUUAAUAGAGAUAUGGAUAAUUUUAGGAUAAUGAUUUAUGUGCAGCAGAUUGAGGUAGAUAGGAUGAAGGAGAGAGAGAAAGUGAGUAAAAGAGCCAAGAUAAGUAGUCGUGGUUUCUCACAGUCAGGGUCUCAAGGUGGUAAUAAUUCUCAGUAUGGUUGGAUAUUUUUAGUUCCAGCUCUAUCUUUAGCUAAUGUGCCCACACCUGUGUUUUGGGGUGUCAGAUCUGAGGGAGCGCCAAGCUCCAAAGCCCAGAGUAGUACUAGUGGUGUUCCUACCCAUCCGCGUUCUAGAGAGUGUGGCAGGCCCUACCAAGGUGUAGGUAGAGUUGGUAGUGAUGUGCAUUUUGGUUGUGGUGAUCCAGGCCAUAGAAUGCAAGAAUAUAGAGUGUUGACUCAGAGGAGUAGACUCCGUGCGUUUCAGGUUUGCCUUGAUUGGCAAGGGUUCCUUAAAAUAGACCCGGGUAUGCUAUGAGCCCUUUAUCUUUAUGACAUACAUUGAUAGAUCCUUUUCUCCUAUUUUGAACUUAUAUGUUAGCAUGAUUCAUGCAUGAGUUUCAUAUCUUGAUCGGUCAAUCAUGAACCAUUCUGUAGGUGCCCCGCGCGUUGCCCCAAUAUUUCAUCGAAGUAUGUUUAGAAGGACAUAGAGUCCCAAGAGGGAGAUAACCCAUAGUAUUAUGAUGUUUCAUGACAUUAGAUUCAUGCCGAUGCAUAUUUAGAUUUUCUUUAUGAAUUUAGCAUCAUUCGUUAUUGCAUUAUCAAGUCGUUCUUUUGAAAGUCAGCUUAGCUGGACAUUCAUGCAUUAGAUAUGCACAUUUAGUAGAAAUGAGUUCAGCUUGUCAGUGUGUGAUCAUUCAUGCAUUCUUGAGAUCAGCUCAGUUAUGAGUCCAUGCAUCAGAUAUGCAUAUGUGUUAUGAGAAUUAAGCAAUGAGUAUCAUUAGUCGAGUAUUACAUGCAACAGAUAUGAAUCAUGCCCAGUAUAAGAACUCAGUAUGUCAGUUAUUCCAGUUGCGUAAGCAUGCCUUGAAAUAUUUCCAUCUCUUGAGUAGGUUCUAUUGAUCCGUAUUUUCAGUCUAUCAAGCGACAUUCGAGGAUGAAUAUUCUCAAGGGGGAGAUAAUGUAAUGCCCUGCAAAAUCCUCUUCCAGUCUGAGCCUUAGAGCAUAUUUGGUAAAGUGAAAAUCUGAGUCUAAAUAUUUUAGAAAUAUCUUCCCAAGUAUGAAAUACUUUAAAUCGUGUGGGAAUCUAUUUGAGCAUAAAUUAAGAUCAUAGAGGUCCCCUAACUCAAGGACAGGUUGAAAGCUUUCCUAUCGUUCAAGUUUUAGUGACCGUCAAAAUUUGGGUCAACUUCAAUCGACCAUAACUCCUUGUAUAUAUCUAAUUAUAGGACCUUCUUUAUAUGAAAUGAAAUCUCUUUGAAUUAUCUUUCCAAUGAUACAAAUUUCGUCAAAAACCGAUAUUGAAGCAAAGAGUUAUGCCCAUUUUACUCCAUCAUGUCCGGAUGGGAAACUGGUGAUGACAAUUGUGAUAAGCCGUCAUGCCUGUGAUAGCCUAUAAGCAAUGUCAUCAGACCUGGGUAGAUUUUUGACCCUGGUGAUGAUAAUUUGUGACAAGCCAUCACGACCAUAGUGGCCUACCACCAAUGUCGUCAACCUUAACCAGAAACUCAAAAUUUUACCCUUUUGUGACGACAAUUCAUGACGGCCUAUCACCAACUUGACGGCUUGUCACAGAUGUCAUCAGCUAUUUUUUUUUAGAAAUUUAAGGACAUUUUUGCAAGGGUAUUUUGGUCAUUUCCCACCAUUUGGAAGCCUCUAUAAAUAUGAGAACCCACUUCCAAAACCCUAAUUUCAUCAUUUUCUCUUCCAAUUCUCUCAAGAAUAUCUAUCUAGGGUUUCCUCAAGAACCCUAAUCUUCCGAAAAUUCAUCCAUAAAUUCUUCAAGAUUUCUUUAAGAAUCAAGUUCCUCAUAGUAUGGGCUUUAAGAAUUAUUUAUUACAAGUGUAGAUAGAGUCUCAAGAAUUAGAAUUCAUCCAAUUUCAAAGAUUAAGGUAUGUAGAUGUUGAUUCUUGGGUCCCUUUCAUCUAAGAAGCUCAAGAACCCUUUUCAAAACUCAGACAUUUUUAUGUUUAUAAGUUGUUAGUGAUUUGUAUGAGUUAGAUUGAUGUUCAAUGUGUAGUUGAGUUUUGAUUCAUGUUUUUUUACAAGAUUCAUGAGCCUUAACCCUAGUAGGUGGAAUCCAUGUGAUAUUUGUGAUGAAUCUUCCUUAUGUUGCUUUCCAUGUGAUGUGUUCAUGUCAAAUGGGUGUAGAAAUGGUUGAAUAAGCGAAGCAUGUUACCCCUAAGUUUGAAAAAUAGCUUAGGUGAAGAAUAAGGUCCAUUGUAGCAUGUUGAAGAUAAAACCCCAAAUUGUGAGUUAGUUUAUGCAUGCCUAGUGUUUGAUAAAAUGCCUAAGUGAAUGAAUUAUUCCAUGAUAGCAUGAAGUUUCCUCAAGCCAUGUGAUAUCCAAACACAUGUAAAGAUGGAUAUAGGUAUGAAAUAGUUGAGGUAAAACCUUGUUGAAUGGAGUACAAUCUAGUAGCAUAUUUCCCUUACAUUAGUAUAUGAUUAUGUUUCCGAGAUGCUUAAAGUGACCCCUUGGCGACUGUGAUGAUGAAUAAGAUAUUUGUGAUCCUUAAAUGCUUGAGAUGAUGUCUUAAUGCUUGUGAUGAUCAUGAAUGAUUGUGAUGAUGAAUGAACAAUCGUGAUGAGAAAUGAAUGAUUAUGCUUUACUUUUAUGUCAUCGAGUUCUGGGGGUAUUUAUACCUGAUAAUAGAGCUAUUGUUUAGAGCCCAUGUCAGUUUUUCGAUAAUUCUAGUUGAGCCACGAUUCUCAGAACUCAGUGAACUAUAGAACUCUGAAUCCUCAGACAAGUGUAGAACUUAAGAAAGCUCAAUAAUCUCAGUUAUCUCUGUAAUCUCUAUAUCUCUUAUAAUCUAGCCUCAUCCCUAUAAUCAUCUCAGAGCUAAUAGUAUUCAAGUGAUUCAAUCCUAAUCUUAGAAGUAAUUCGAGUAAUGUAUUCAAGCUCUGUAUCAUUAGUCAGAUACCAUGAUUCGAUACCUUUUCCAUUAGAUAUGGAACUAAGUAAUCUUAGCAUAACUUAGUCAGAUCUUAUGAGAAACAUGAUCAAUAUCAGAUUCUGUUCACUUAUGUUUAGUUAAGAAUUCAGUUCAGAGUCUUUCAGUUGGGAGUAGAAGCUAGCACCGAACGAGGGAAGAUAUGGUGGCUCUCCCAUCAGAGAGAACGAGUCUCUAGGAGAAAUCCCUGAACUCCAAAACUGCGUAGCUAGCAUAGGAUACAGGAGUCUCCCAUCAGUAGAGGUUAUCACCGUCAGAGAGGUUUGACUAUUUUAUUGCCUCAGGCUGACUCCCUGUGAGGGUCAUACCGUCAGAGAGUCUUAACCAGAGAGGUCUUUACCCGUGACACGGUAUUGACACCCUUCCAGCUGGGGUUACAGGUUGGACCCCACCUGUGAUAGGUUGGGGCAUGUCAAUUAAGUUACUACUUCCCACAGUUGCAAUUUCAGUAUCAAUCUUCAGAAAUCAGAACUGUGUGGUACGUCGUCUAUAUUAGUGAGGAAUUCAGAUAGUUUCAUUGAUUCAUGGACCAUCCCGUCAGAUAGGCUUGGUAUCAUAUACAGAUACAUAUUAUCAUAUCUAGAGAUCUCCUGUCAGAUAGGCUUGAUCUCAGUCUCGGACCAUGUUAAGUAUUCUUAUUAUCAUAUCUAGAGAUAUCCCAUCAGAUAGGCUUGAUCUCCAUCUCAAAUUCUGUUGAGUAUUCUUGUUGUCCGAUUCAUACAUGAUCAUACUUUUUAUCAAUGAUAAUCAUUUCUCGAAUAAUAUUUUAGAAAAUUUGAUCUCUAAUUCUGUCAGUCGAAAGCAGUAAGCUCAGAAUUCAGUCCUUGAUGUGAGUACAUCUAGACUCUCAGUUAUCGGUAUCAGAUAAGUUAGUGAUUCAGUAUCUCAUUGUUAGUAGUGAGUUCAGUCUGUAGUAAAGGGUAUCUGAGUUUCAGUAUCUAGAGUUGUGAUGAUUGUGUUCAUGGUUUGUGCAUUCAUAUAUGUGUUCUCAUGCGGUAUCUUCAUGAUAAUUUAGUUUAGAUAUUGUGCAUGCAUGAGCCCUUGCAUUAGCCUACCUCGUCCACAUACUCGGUACAUUCCUGUACUGACGCAUUUGUGCUAUGGUAUUUUAUUUGACACCAUAGGUUUAGAGGCACAGGAUCUAGAGUAUCCUCAGCAGUUCAGUCCCAGUCAAUAGCAGUAACAGUGAGUCCUCUUCUUUCGAGGACGAAUCUCAGUUUACUAUUAUUGCUUUAGACUUUGUUUAUUUUCAGUUGAGGGAGUUAGUUAGGGACUUGUCCCUUCAACUCUGUAGUUUAGACAACUUAGAGGCUUUUUAGACGGAUAUAUUAGUAUUCAGUUUUUUUGUAUUAUGAGUAUUCAUAGAUGUGUUGAACCUUAUGGCUAGUUUUUUCAUUUAUUUCAGAUAUAAUACUGUGUACAUGUAAAGAUAUCAGUAAAGGGUUAGCUUGUGGUCCUUUGGGGUCAUAAGCACCGUGUGACAUCUUGGGAUGGGAUCUUGGGGCGUUACUAAUUCGUAGAAAGCUUUUCUUCCAUAGCUGCUCCACUUACUAAGUUGACCCCAAAAAAGGUAAAGUUUGUGUGGUCUGACUCCUAUGAGAAUAGUUUUGAGAAGUUGAAAGAUAAAUUGACUACUGCACCUAUUCUGACUUUCUCGAAAGGUACAAAGGGGUUUUUUGUGUAUUGUGAUGCAUCCCGUGUGGGACUUAGGUGUGUACAUAUGCAGCAUGGUAAUGUGGUGUCUUAUGCAUCUAGGCAGUUGAAGGUGCAUGACCGGAAUUACACCACUCAUGACUUGGAGUUAGCAAUUGUGGUAUUUGCUCUUAGAAUCUGGAGGCAUUAUCUUUAUGGGGUCAAUGAUGAUAUUUUCUCUGAUCAUAAGAGUUUACAGUAUGUUUUCUCGCUGAAAGAAUUGAACCUCAGGCAAAGGCUCUGGAUGGAAUUGCUAAAGGAUUAUGACAUGGUCCUGAACUAUCAUUCAGGCAAGGAAAAUAUGGUAGCUAACGCCCAUAGUAGGUUGUCAAUGGUCAGCCUUUCUCAUUCUAAAAAAGAAAGAAGAGAGAUGGUGAAGGAUAUUGACAAAUUUGCAAAUCUUGGAGUGCGACUCUUAGAUUCCGAAGAUGGAGGGGUGGUUGUUCAUGAUAUAGCUAAAUCAUCCUUUUGUGCUAAAGUUAAUGAGAAGCAGAUUGAAGAUCCCAUCAUGAUGCAAAUCAAGAAAAAUGUGGGCCAAUAGAAGGUGAUGUCCUUCAAAAUUGGUAGUGAUGGUAUUUUGAGAUAUCAAGGUAGAUUGUGUGUGCCAGAUGUAGAUGGUCUGAGGAAGAGAAUCUUUGAUGAAGCUCACACUUUGAGGUAUGUUGUUAACCCAGGCUCUACCAAGAUGUAUCAUGAUUUGCAAACCAUUUAUUGGUGGAAUAAUAUGAAGCGUGAUGUGGCUAACUAUGUUGCCAAGUGUUUAAAUUGUCAGCAAGUUAAUGUCGAACAUAUGAGGCCAGAUGAUACUUCCCAACAAAUAUCUUUACGCUUAUGAAAGUGGUAAAUAAUCAAUAUGGAUUUCGUCACAGGAAUUCCGAGGUCCUAAAACUAGUAUGAAUCCAUUUGGGUGAUUGUUGACAGGUUGACUAAAUCAGCUCAUUUUCUGCCUACUAGAACUAAUUAUUCGAGAGAUGAUUAUACCACGCUGUACAUUGAGGAAAUAGUUCAUUUACAUAGACACCUGUAUCCAUCAUAUCCGAUCGAGUUACGCAAUUUUCUUGCCAGUUUUGGAGGUCUUUUCAGAGGGGUUUAGGUACCUAAGUGAACCUAAGUACUAUAUUUUAGCCUCAGAUGGAUAGGCAAGUUGAGCGCACCAUUCAGACCCUUGAGGAUAUGCUGAGGGCUUGUCUAAUUUAUUUCAAGGGUAGUUAGGUGGAUCACUUGCCACUAAUAGAUUUUCAUAUAAUAAUAGCUACCAUGCCAGUAUUAAGAUGGCCCCUUUUGAAGCAUUGAAUGUGAGAAGAUGUAGGUCUCCUAUAGGGUGGUAUGAAGUUGGUGAGAUGUGGUUAUUAUGACCUGAUCUUGUUCACCAGGCAAUGGAGGAUGUGAAAAUCAUUAGAGAAUGACUCAAGGCAGCUCAGAGUCAUCAGAAUUCCUAUGCUGAUGUUAGGAUCAGAGAUUUAGAGUUUGAGGUUGGUGAUUGGGUGUUUCUUAAAUUUCUCCCAUGAAAGGAGUCAUGCAUUUCGGGAAGAAAGGUAAGCUGAUUCCUCUAGGACCAUAUCAGAUUUUGAGAAGGAUAGGUGGAGUUGCGUAUGAGUUAGAGUUGCCUGCAAGUUUGGGUUCUGUUCAUCCGGUAUUUCACAUAUCCAUGCUGAAGAAGUGUAUUAGAGACCAUUCUCUAGUGUUUCCCAUAGAAGAGAUCAAAGUGUCAGACUUCUUAUCCUAUGAACAAGAGCCCAUGGUAAUUUUGGAUCACCAAGUUAGAAAAUUAAGGAGAAAAGAGAUAGCUUCUAUUAAAGUAUUGUGGAGAAACCAGAAAAUUGAAGAAGCUACUUAGGAAUCAGAGGAUGACAUGCGAACUAGAUACCCAAACUUGUUUGAUCUGGUGAAUGACAAAAUAGAAGGUACAAUCUUUGUCUUAUGUUUCCUAUGCCUUAGUAUGCCUGAGAUCUGUGUAACUAUGUUCCGUGUCAACAUUCGGGGAUGAAUGAUCCCAAGGGGGAUAAUGUAACACCCCGCAUUUCGGGCUAGAACGAAAACCACCAUUUAUAUGCGUAGAUGAUCCAAAAGCCAUAAAUCCUAUGUAAAUUUGGUAUGUUAAUAAAUUAUGUAGUGUGGGAACCUAUUUUAGCAUGAAUUGAGAUCAUAGAGGUCCCCUAACUCAAGGACAAGUUGAAAGCUUUCCUAUCGUUCGAGUUUGAGUGAGCGUCAAAACUUGGGUCUAAUUCAAUAAACCAUAACUCUUUGUAUAUAACGAAUUAGGUGUCCUAAUAUAUAUCAAAGGAAAUAUAUUUAAGUCCUCUUUCCAAUGCCACUAGUUUUGCUUUUAUCCAAUAUCGGAGUAGAAAGUUAUGCUUAUUUUACUCGAAGUGUCUUUCUUCCAAAAUUUGAUGACGAGGCUGACAACUUAUCAGAUGUGUGGCAACCCGUCAGACCUGGUCGUUAGUCUAAGGUAGUGAAUGAUGAAAACCAUCCCAAAAAUAAUGACCUGGGUGUCAACUUAUCACCUGAGUGAUGGCCCAUCAACCCUGAUCGCCAACUGAUGCAAUUAUGCAAUUUUUUUGGGUUCCUUAGGGGUAUUUUGGUCUUUCCCUCUAUCCAAAAUCCUUUCACACGAAUUAAAUCACCCCUUAAGCAUUAUUAAUUAAUCACUAUCAGUUUUACAAUAUCAAAAACUUCCUCUUCACUCUCAAAAUAAGAUCAAACUAGGGUUUUCUCCAUGAACAAGACAUUCAAGAAAAUCAAGCCUUAAGUUCAAGAUCUCCAAGAAACCAAUCAAGAUCCGAGUUUCAUCUAUCGAGAUGUAGGUUCCAACUUUCAGAUCUUAUAAUAUAAGGUAUGUGGGAUUGUCCUAAAUUUCAUGGGGAUGAUCUAAAAAGAAAUUGCACAAGACUUUGAUCUUUAUACAUAUAUAUGUGUUAUUACAAGUGGGGAUUUCAUUUUUAUACCAAUAACAUGUGUUGUGUCAUGAUUUUGAAAGAAUAAUGAAACUUCAUGGGGUUGUUGCUUGAAUAUGUUUCAAUUGUUGAAUUGGGGUCAUGUGGCUUGAAUGCUAAGAAUGAGAAGAACAAAAAUUAUGAAUUUUUUUGAAAUUCUCCAUGAUAAUAUUUUAGUGCCCCACAUGAUACUAGUCUUAAACUGUUAAGAGCAUGGGUUUUCGCUAUUUAUUUGAUACUACUCAUAAAUGAUAAAACUUCUUGAAUUAUUAUAUGUUGAGAACCAUUGUGCAUGUGUUUGAUGUGAGUGGAAGUCUUAUAUAUGUGCAUGUUGUGAAUGACAUAAGAAGUUGGAGAAUUGAUAUGAUACUGAUGAAUUACACGUCGGGGUGUGACGAUACCCCACAGAGUAUGAUAUAUGUUUUGUCUUGAAUCAAGAUUAAAGCUUAUUUUUAUGUGAGUUAGGUGGUUAUCCAAAGAAAGCACGAGUCAAAUUACUCUAUGCUUGAAACCGUGAAUUGCCAACACAGGGAACUUGGUACCAUGCUAUGUGAUCUUGUGUACCUUGUAUUGUGUCAUCCCUAUUCGGAACUAAUAUUUAGGAUCCCUGCUUUGUUAUCUAGAUCCCAACCCUGACACAUGGACUUGAUUGUGAUGGAGACACCCUACUGUGUGAUCUUGUGUGUUCUUCUCCCGUAAGUAAUACUCCAAUCUUGGCGGCAACCAGGAUUUGGCAGUUGGUUAUAGAUUGUAGGGUGUACCACCUAGCUCAGUAGUGAUUUAGUGUUGUUGAAAAAAAAUCAGUAUACUAUGCUCAUGUGUUUUUGAACUAUUUUUCGAUAAAGUGUUUUAUAGAAACUCUCAUCUAUGUUAUAUAAAAAUUUUAUUUUUAUUUUUGGAUUACUCUACGUACCAGUACAUCUGUAUUGAACCUCCCACCUCUCAGGUUCUGAGGCUCAGUCUAGGGGUCCAGAUAAGCAAUAGAACAAAUUUUGCAGUGGUGAGCCUUCUCUAUUCCAGAAGGCCUGUCCUUUCAGAUUAUGUUAUCUAUUACAGUUUUGGUCUACUGGGGGCCUUGUCCUAGUUUUCAGGUACUUGUUAAUGAUCAUGUAGUAGAGAUUUCGCAUAAGAUUUUUCAGAGGUUGUUAGAUGAUUUUGGAUUGUCAUUUUCUAUUAUCGAAUUUAUAUCAGAUUUAUAACCAUGAUUCCGUUUCGCUAUAUUUUCCGCAUUUCCUUAUUUGUGUGAGAAUGGUGUAUAUGAUUACAAGUUAGAAGGGUGUCCGGGCCUUCAUGGUUCGGGAUGUUCUUCAGCGCCAGGGCCUCGGUUCGAGUUGUGAAAUAUACCCAACAUCCCUCCCAUGUUUUGUCGAUGUGGGACUCCUUCCUAAGUUGGUGUGUUAGAAAAAUACACAUGGAAUAUACAUCAAACAUAUUUAGCAUAAAAAUACAUUUGCAGUGUUAGGAUUAAGCAUUUGAAAAAUAUAUAUUGCAUACCUAAUAUGUAUUGUAAUGUGUUCAAUUAUUAUCAUUAUAAAUGUGAAUUCGAAUUAAAGAUAAAUUAGAUUUUUUCAUGCAGUUCUACAUUUAAUUGUGAGAUUUUAGUUACAAAAUACAUAUACAGUGUUGAUAUUUUUCUUAAAAAUACAUAUGAAUUAUACAUCAAAUGUAUUUUAGCAUAUAAAUACAUAUGCAGUUCAAACACAUAUUUGCAGAAUAUGUCAGAUGUAUUUAAAUCUUUGAACAAUUAGGAAUCAAAUACUUAUUUGGUUAAUCAAAAUUAUCAUCUUUAACCUAGAAUAUCUAUACAAUGUCAAAAAUACAUAUGAACUGUAGCUUGAAAAUACAUAUGCAGUGUUUAGACCUUUAAACAUAUACGUAUGCAGUAUUCAGAUGUUAUUGUGUUCAAUUAUCAAAUGAUGAAUAAAUAUAUUAACUCAAAUAAAAUAGUUCAUUAUUAAAAAAAAUGCAAAAUAAAGUUUUAAGAAAUAAUAUGGAAGAACAAAUGUAUCAUUUGCGAUAUUUCCUACAAGAACGCCUAUUGUUACCCUUAGCCCCACAAGCACCGCAUGAGUUGAUGUUCUUCUUUCCAAACAUAUCCCGGCGAAAUUUUCCAUGAUCCUUCUUUGUAGGUCUUCCUGGAGGUCAUUUGAACUUUGGCGGCAGUACUAUCUCACUAAGUACGCUAACUGAAAUUAUCCAAUCAUCUUGAUGUGGUGACGGAUAGAUUGAAACAUCAUAGAUCUUCAACACGAUUUUUGGUUUAAACAAAUCAGAACAAUAUGACCACUUCUAAAAAUUCUUGCUGUCCAACAUCGCACAAGCAUGUGCAUAUGGUAUCUCAUCGAGUUGAAAUGCAUUAUAUGAGCACUUUUUUUCCUUGAGGCAAACGAUGAAGUGCUUUUGUUUGUCGUGCACCGUAUACACAUAUUCCGUAGCUGGUAAAGCUUGAUAUCGAUAUAAAUAUGUAAAUGAUCUGCUACAAAAAAGAUGCAAACCAUAUUAUCUGAUAUGUUCCAACCAUAAUAGCAUAUGUAUUUUUUCUAGACACGUAUACAUCCUUACAUAAAUACAUAUAUUUAAUUAAAAUAAAUUACAAAGAUUUUUUUAUUUGUUAAUGAAGAUGUUUUUAAAUUUUUUUAUAGACAUUAAUGCAUAAGAAGUGUUCAAAUAUUGCAACAAAAAUACAUGUGUCGUGUAAAUUUUAAUAAAGCAUCUAAAUACAUAUGCAGUGUUAAUAAGUUUCUAUACAAAAAAUACAUAUGCAGAAAACAUAAUAUGUUUUUUAAUGGUUUUUUUUGACUAUGUUAUAUAUGUUUUCAUUAAUUUAGGACUGAAUGAAAGGUAUUUUAUUACUUAUGUUUUCAUAAUUAUAAAUGCCACAAUUUUAAAAGGUCAUACCGUCAUAUGAGUAUACAAAGUCUCGCUCUCUUUGAGUAUGUCAUAAAAUUUUCCAAUGAGUGUUGUGAAGGUGUAUGAAGUCUCCUGCCUAUUUUCGCAAUUUCAUUUAGCAAACAGCAAUCGAACUUUCUCAUGAAAAUCAUAAAUUGGCAGUUCUCUGGUUGAUACAUGUACUCCAUUUAUUGGCUCCUCAAUGUUUGAGGUCAUAGUCCAUCCUCGUUGAACUGUUGCAUAGGACCUAGCCCAUUUUUCAUAACCAGCCAAUUACAAAUAUUUCUUCACCCUGAUAUCAACUGCCUCAACCUUUUCCAUUAACAUGUGAAAUUUUGACUUUGAAUAUGCUUUGGCCAUUGUAUAAAGAUCUCCGAUAAUGCAUCGUGUGACUUUUGGUAAAGUUUUUUCACAUUUUCAAUAGAUGCCACGUACAUGCAUAAUGCGGAACAUCUUUGUACACAUCACCAACAGCCUUUAUGAUGCUUGGAUUCCGAUUAGAUACAACACACAUGUUUUGUAUUUCUCCGUAUGCUUCCUUUAGAUUUUCAAAGAACCAAGUCCAAGAUGCACAUUUUCAGAAUCUAGCACACCAUAUGCCAAAGAGAAUAUAUGACCUGUAUUUAUAAAUAUAUUUUGAACAUUCAGAUAUAAAUAUAUAUAAUAACUGCAUAUGUAUUUUUUACAAAUAUAGAUCCAAAAAUCUAGAUAUUUUAGCAAACAAAUAGCAUCAAUUACAUAUAUUAACAUGUAAACGCACAUCACAUUCAUACAUUAUCAAGUAAAACAUGUUUCAUCCAUGCAACUUUGGAAAUAUAUAUAUAUUUUAAAAUAGAAAUAUAUAUAUCAACUAGACAUUUGUAUUUUCAACUAAUAUGCAAAAAAUACAUAUGCCGCAAAUACAUAUAAACAUACAAACAGUUCUACAACGUAAAAAUAAAAUUAUACUAACCUGCUCCAUUCAUCGUACAUGCAGUUACAAAUGUCCCAAUAUACAUUCCUCUUAGAUGACUACCAUCAACAACUACGAUAGAUUUAUAAUGAUCUAAUCCUUUAAUGAAUGUAUGGAGGGCUAUAAAUACAUACAAGAACUUGUUCGCAUCCAUCUUCUUCAUUCUAAUAUGUGACUCAGGAUAUGUAUUGUUCAAAACAUAUAGGUAGGAUGGUAAUUUCCCAUAGGAUACAGAUGACUUACCCCUCAACUCUUCUAAUGCUCUUUCCUUGGCCCUCAAACAUAAAGUGUAUGUCAAAUCCAUAGCAAACUCUUCCUUCAUGUUAUUUGAUAUUUCGGUCGCACUGUAUUUUCUUUUGUGGUUUUCGAAUUUUUGUUUAACCAUACCCCCUAUCAACAUACUAGUAGCAUGUAAUUUCAGAUAGACAUUGUCCUACACCGGACAGGUAUGUUGAGGUAUGAAAUCCUUUAUUCUAAACAUUCCAGAAUCUCCCAUAGCGGAUGCAUGCAUUAAAAAAUCACAAUUUCUGGAUUUGCAAAUGAAUGUAUAACUGCAUCCAACAUUUAGCCAUACUAUCGAAAUACAUAUCCAAACUUAUUUUAAACAUUAUAUAAAUGAUAUAGAACAUGCGUACCAUUUCUUACUUGACCUUUUACUUUGCGUUUGAAACUUCUCCCUAAUUGAAUAUUUCUUCAUGACUGACAUUAAAAUGUUUUUCAUCAAAUAAACCUGGUCUGCCUCAAUAUGCUUGUGAUAUGGGUAGGAGAUAAUCACCUCAACUGUAUCCAUCUCAAAUACAUCUAAUGUUGUAAUUUCUUCAUAAACCACCAAAACUCCUUUGUUAUAUGCACCUAAUGUUGCUUGUACGUUAUUACAGAUGGCUCUUCUUUAAACAACACACAUGGAUGAACUUGCAAAGUUGUAUCCUACAACUUUCUUCAAAAUGCUUACGUAUAAAGGAAGACAAUUUAUGUCUUGUAUUUCUUUUUUCUGCAAUAUAAAAGUCUUUAAUCCGAUAUCAUUAUGUAUUUUUAUUUUCCCUGUAUUACUGGAGAUUUGAUUUUCCACUAGAAUACAUUUGUUGGUUAAGUCCACAUUUAAAUAUGAUGCCAAAACCUCAUGCAACUCAAUGAAAGAUGAUGUUGUGCUUAACAGUAUAGCAUCAGUGACAUAAUCGUCGUAGUUUUUUUUGUCAUACGUCCACCUACCAGAGUGCUUCACAAGGACUAGUAUGCUUUCCAUUUCUACCUGAUUUAAGAAAAAAUAAACAAAUAUACAUAUUUCUCGAAUGUCACUUUUUGUAACACACACUUUUCAAAAGUUUAAAAUCAAUUAGAGAAACUACUGAAUAGAACACAAGUAAAACAGGUAUAAAAGAUCUUUUCUCAUAUACAAUUAUACUCUCAAAUUCUGAAAAAAAAAAAAAAUACAUAUGCAGGUUCAACAUUACGCAUAUCAAAAAUACAUAUGCAGUGUUAACAUUAAGCAUAUCAAAAAAUACAUCUGGAGCAUACAUAAUUUGUAUUUUAAUAUGUAUUAAUAGAAUUUCAGCACAUUGAACAGCUGAAUUUAAUCAUUCAUUGAUCUAGGAGUUCAAAAAUGUCACGCCCCAAGCCGAGGCUCUAGACGUGGCACGCACCUGAUACUAUUGCUAGUAUGAGCGAACGACUUGGGAUAUCAGAUGAGCAUACAACUAACAUAACAAAUAGAGAGAAAACACAAUAGAAUAAGAGUUCUUAAAGGAUAAACUCUUUCAUCAAUGUUCAUUAAUUUCACUUAACGUCUGAAGAUACAAUAGUCAUGACAAAUAAUACUAAAAAUUAAAAGAGUUGUCUGGAAACUAAAUCAGUCUGUGAAGCCUCUAAUAAGUACCAAUACUAAAAGGAAAUAAAAUAUAAUGAAGUCAUCAUAUCCCAUCCAACCUCCUGAUAGAAAAGAGGCUCAUUAAUAGCAAAAGAGAGAGAUCCUAAUGAGUUGCCUGCCCGUGGACAUGAGAGCUAGAACGUAUAUCAUGAAACAAUGUAGCACCAAAGGCGGUCCAUAAGUUGAAUGUAUUGGUAUGAAAAACCAUUUCAGAAGGGUUGUACAUCAAGAGAUUAGAAAUCACAAUAAAAUUCAAAUGUGAAAAAAGACAACUGGAAAAGAACCAGAAUAUAAGCUAAAUUUAUAAUUUAUCAAGUAGAGUAGAUUUAAUUCCUUUGAUUAUUUAUGGGAGAAGGUAGUGAACCGCCAUAAACCACCAUGUGAGCGCAUGGAGUCUGAUCUUGGCCCGAUCAGCUAAGCCGUCCUAUACCUUGUCGGGCAUAGGAUGUGUCAUAAAAUAAUUUUCUAGACCUUUUCUGGCACACGUAAAAAGAUUCAUUCGACUUACGAAAUAAUAUCUAUGCUAUGUCGGCAAACAUAGUUUUGGGCAUUUGUCAUUUAGACCUAUGCCUUCACGGUCUGCUAACCAACUCCCUUAUGCUCAUGAAGUUAUCUUAUUUAUUCAUGUUCAAAGUGUUAGCCAUAUUAAGCUCAUGCUCAUGGUUUAGCCUUUUUAGCUCAUGUAUGUAAUUUAGCCUAUUAGGCACAUGUUGGGAAUUCAACCACUUUGGGUUCAUAAGAUUUUGAUUUGGUCUCAUUUCAUAGCUUUCUGGGCCUGUGAGGAUAUAUUCUGUUAAGGGAUUCAUAUCAAAGCGUUUUCAUUGCAUUUACAAUUAUUAUGGUGCAAUUGGAAACCUUAUUGCAAGAAGUCAUAAUUCCUAUUUAAAGUUGAAGAUAGCUCCCGUUGAUUUUUUUCUUUGUUAUGGAACAAUUAACUUAUGGAUUCGUACCUUUACUGUUGAGGGAAAAAAAUCAAGAAAGAUCAUAUUCAAGAUUUCAGAAAGCAUUCCAUUAAGUUCUCAAAUCAUGACUUUUACAGUACUCAAUGAAUCAAGGAAUAGUUAUGCGUGUUCCAGUUGAAACUUAUUUGUUGCAUCUUAACAAUUGGAGUUCCAGUGGGAAUCUUGGAAAAACAAUAGAAAGGUUGUAUUCUUUGGUUAGAAGAAAUAAGCGGAGUUCAACUUAAGGACUACAAAACAAACAAUCCAUUUGUUAACAAGUUCCUAUCUCUGUUUCCACCUUUCUGUGUUAUGAAUUUUAAAUCAUAAACGAGUAACUACAAAGUUCAUGGAUUCCAAUAGUUUCAAAUACUCAGAAAUUACAAAUAUGGAAAUAAUUCACAGGAUUUAAUAGGUUUCAAAAAAAAAAUGAAGAGUAUUCUAGGAUUGGGCUGAUUCUCCUGAUUUUCACAGAAAUUUGCUUGUUUUUUUUUUCCGAUUUUUAUUUCAUAAACGCAUUGAUAGACUAACUUAAUUGAUAAAUAUGAAGAUUCACUCAAAUCUAAAGAUAACUUGAGAUUAAUUUAAUUAGGGAGAAAUAAUAAAAAUUAAAGCAUAUGAGAAGGAACAGUUCUACAGACCACAAAACAUUUGAAGAAUUUGAGACUUGAAGAAGGGAUUAGCCUUGUUUUCUUGGACGAAUUUCUUCAUAUUCUUGAGAGUUGUGUUUGAGAGGAGAAUUGAGAUUUUUGGAUGAUGAAAUAGUGUGUGAAACCGAUGGAUAAAGGGGAACCUUUUACGUGAAAAAUAGAGAAAACGGAGGGUCUCUUUUUUUUAAUUUAGAAACUGAUGGAAACAGUAUGUGAAACUAUUGAAAUGAAGUUGGAAUUUAAACUGUUGAAAUAAAGUGUUAUUUUGAUAAAAAUAACGUCUAAAGCUGAAGAAUUAAAAGAAAUUUAAUCGCUUGGGAUAAGGUAAAAAGAAAAAGACAAAAUUGCCCUUAAUUCAUACUCAAUGUCUCUACGAAACUUAAGACAUGAUCUUUAAACCUAGAUCCAAUAUAAUUCCUAGAUUCAGGUCCAUGUACAUUUGAAGAGUGGUGAUAUUUGUUUUAUCUUUAGCUCGAACAUUCAGGGUAUUACAAUAUCUCCUCCUGGAGAUCAUUCUUCCUCCAAUGAUGGUCUUGGAUGAGUACCUUACAUGGAAUACCAAAAUAGUCUAGUCUUUCUUGAACUAUUUCUUAAUGGCAUGAAGUUUCCUAACAUGUGGAGCAUCGUAAUAAGCCAUGGAAGAAACAUAGAGGCACGAGUCAUGAAAUGCACGAGACUUAACAUAGGCAUGUCAUUGGUCAUAAGUUUCAUGGGAAAUGAAAAUAACAAUGUAAGACAUGAGUUUAGGUAUUAGCUAUAGGGGUAUCUUAGUUAUCUAAAUAGGGCUUACAGAGCAUGAAUGACAUGACAAAGACUAGGACAUAAGUCCCGUUCGACCUGAAGUUACAUAACACGAAGUUGGGGUUCCUUUGAGAUAAGAAUGGGGGUAUUUUCACCUCUAAUACUGGUAGCAUUAGAUCUUAGCAACACCUUUUGAAACUAUCUUUUUUUUCUCAUGAAUAUUACACUUCAUUAUUUCCAAAAUACAAUCCUCACAUGGAACAUACAAGUACUAAAGUCUGGUUCUAACACUUUCUUACCCUGUCCAAGCCUACUCAAAAGUACAAGGUGCCACAACUAAAAUACCAAUGCUAGUCUGAAUUUCAAGAUCCCAUAAUCUAAUUCCCUUUAAGAACCUUCAUCUUGAUUUUUCACUUGCUCUUAGAUUAGUUCUAAAACUCAAAAAGGAAUAUCUUGCAUCUACAAUUAUACCCAAGCACAUUACUUUUUCUCAUCAUGAAAACAUCCAUCCUCGAACUCUAACAAAGAAGUCACAAAUUUCAUAGUAUAUUUAGCCACAUAGCUAUCGACAUGAUAUCAAAGCUCAUCACUAUAACUUCAUAGUUUCUUCCCAGUUAAAAAGAAAAAGCUUCUCUAUCUACCCUAGAACCUCUAUGAACUGCAAUUUCAUGUACUCCUACUAGGGACACCGCAUAUGAAUUCAUCCAACUAUUACAUAUAGCUAAUUUUCAUCUCGCACAUCAUCCAUGAUUAUGAUAUUAGAUGAAUCGGUACAUUGCCAUCAUUGUUACUAGGAACAUCUACUCACUCCUAUCCAACCAUUACUCAACUGAUAUCAUACCACUGUCAUGUCAUAAAGAAUACCACCGAAGGAAUAGAAUAUGAGCAUCAGGAAUAUAAGGGAUACUUCUCAACCACUACUAAUACUUAUCGUGACCUUGCUAAUAAAGACUUGUCUUGUGAAUAAUGCAUAAUAGGCACGAAUAUUUUAUAUACAUAAAGCACAUCUGAAGAAUCAUUCUGGACAUAGAUAAUGACAUAGCAUGAGAUCGAAACAUAUCAAAAAAUGUGAGUUCAUAGGACUGGGCAUACUGGAAUUCAUGGAUUUGUAAAGUAAGUCUGGGAUCAUUGAGUUCAUUUUAUUUUUAUUCUAGGAACUUAGCACGAACUUGAAUCAGUAUGAAGUUCAUAAACCUAGGUCAUGGGCAUGAUACUAAUACUGGGACAUGAGUAUAGUGUCAUAGUGACUAAAGUACAUGGGAUAUUUUAGGAUAAAGAAUGGGUCACUUUCUCAUUCUAGCUUUUUUUUAGUACUUGUUACAUUACUAUUUAUAUCCAAAGACAUGACUUGGUUCCUUACCCAAUCAUCUCCCCCUCAGCUGAAAAUUUAGCAUCCUAAGUUUGUGGACUUAUUAUCUAAACAGAGCUAUCAUUACUUUACUCGGCAUGGUUGGGAUAUCACUAUAUACAUAAAUGCUAAACUCUUUUUAUUAUACUAUAUUUGUAGAUACUUAAUCUUGGCUAGGACUACUUUCUGAGAUACUACUCUAAACUUUUACUUGCCUCUAUGACUAUCAUUCUAUAAUUUGUGCUCCUAUUUGUAUACGUGCCCACUUCCUCAAAAAACUUAACAAGCUGGUCUUUCUUAUUAGUCUACAAUUAUCACACCUCUAAAUUUUUAUCCACCCAAUAUUAUAGAAUUAAAAUUGAUUCAGACCGUAGGAUUACCAUAUAAUUCAUAUAUGGAAUCUCUCCACCUUACACAAUAUCAAGAAUAAUAAACUAGGAACACACCACACUUAGGAGCUAACAAUCUCAUCUACUAUAUAUAUCUCUUAUAGAGCACACACCUUCCCUUAAAAUUCUUAAGAUUUCCUUAUCAUCAAAUUUAGCCUUCAUUCACUUAAUCGUCUAGAGCCCGCAUAUAUCAUACUUACACUUUCAUACUUUUCACAAGUUAACAUCUUAAUUUCUCGCACAAGUUAUGUCUAUCCCAUUGUAUCAAAUCCUAACUAACAUUAUCACCCUCAUGCUACCCUUCUUCGUACCACAACGAUCAUCUAAGGUCAAGCUUUAUGGUCUAGUAAUAAACAUAGAUAGCAACACUCAUCCACUUAUAAUACUUAGAAUUAUUGCUAGCGAAGAUAAUCAAGAAACACUAGGUCAUUAAGGGCUCCUGACAAAAUAGUAAAUUUUAAUCUAGUCUCACAGCCUAUCUAGUUGCAAACUAUCCGCGUAUUUUUUCUGCACAUAGCUACUACUUAUUCAAUGAUCUGUCUAAGCUACAUUCAUAGCUCUAAGACAACAAGUGGGGAACUCUCUAUAAAACACAAGGGGUAGCCUAAAUUUGUCAAGUCCUGACCACUCUACCCUCCUGUUCACAACAUAGACUUAAUCUUUACUAACACCAUCGCAUGUUGUCCUAACUUGCUUCCUAGUUCAAGUAUACUUCUAAGUCAUCGUAUCCAAAAAUCCUUUCUCUACUUGCAACCAUCAAAUUUACACCUUGACCAACACUUAAGGACAUUUCAUCUCAUCACUCAGUUAAUGGAUAAAUGACUUCAGCUAUACACUUCGAUCAAUUUACCAUCUCUACUUUUAGGCCACUAAACUUCUGAAUUCAUAUUUCUAAAUCUAGAUUUCAUUCUACUGCUUAUAACUUACAACAACCCAAACUACACUAGAACUAAAAUACAUAACUUCUGGCUAAAGGUGUCAUUUGCAACAAGGUUUAAAAAAAAGUAAAGAAAAUCUGGGAGUACAUCUUAGUUUGGAACAGACUCAGUAUUAAAAUGAAAAAGUGUGCAUUCUUAUGAAUCAAUGGGCUUAAAUGCACUAUUGAUCUCUCCUUAAUCUCUCGUGCAGUCUCUUAUUUUUUGGCUCUAUCUGAGAGAACUACAUCGAUAGGAAUCUAACCUUUAAUGUUAUACCACCUCAAAGGUGAGGCAUAGUAAGAGGAAUUGGAACAUCACGCAAAUUCACAUAAGAUUCUUAAGGCAGCUCUGUGGCACGAUCUAGAAUAUGAAAGAAAAGAGACAUUUUCUAAAUGCCCUGCAGCCACCAAAUUAUAAGUGUGGAGCACUUCAUACCCAUAAUUAGGACUCUAUAAGACAUGGCUUCAUAGACACCCUAUGACACUUGAACUCUACACUUUGGUACCAAGUUUGUCACGCCCCGAGCUGAGGCCCUAGACGUGGCAUGCACCCGAUACUAUUACUAGUAUGAGCGAACGUUUUGGCAUAUCACAUGAGCAUACAAGUAACAUAAUGAAUAGAGAGAAAACAGAAUAGAAUAAGAAUUAUUAAAGAAUAAAUUCUUUCAUCAUUAUUCAUUAAUAUCACUUAUUGUCUGAAGAUACAAUAGUCAUGACAAAUAAUACUAAAAAUUACAAGAUCUGUCUGUCAAUUAAAACAGUCUGUGAAGCCUCUAAUAAGUACCAAUACUAAAAGGAAAUAAAAUCUAAUGAAGUCAUCAUAUCCCAUCUAACCUCCUGAUAGAAAAGAGACACAUUAAUAGCAGAAGAUAGAGAUCCUAAUGAGGCAUCUGACCAUGGACAUAAGAGCCAGGACCUACAUCAUGAAAUGAUGUAGAGCCAAAGGCGGUCAAUACGUGAAAUGUAAUGGUAUGUAAAACAAUUUCAGGAGGGUAAUGUUCAAAGUGUUAGCCAUAUUAAGAUCAUCCUCAUGGUUUAAACUUUUUAGGCUCAUGUAUGUAAUUUAGCCUCUUAGGCUCAUGUUGUGAAUUCAACCACUUUGGGUUCAUAAGAUUUUGAUUUGGUAUCAUUUCAUAGCUUUCUCGGCGAGUGAGGAUACAUUCUGGGGUUCAUAUCAAAGAGUUUUCAUUGCAUUUACAAGCAUUAUGGAGCAAUUUGAAACCUUAUUACAAGAAGUCAUAAUUCCUAUUUAAAGUUAAAGAUAGCUCCCAUUAUUUUUUUUCUUUAUAAUGGAACAAUUAACUUAUCGAUUCUUACCUUUAUUGGUGAGGAAACAAAAUCAAUAAAUAUCAUAUUCAAGCUUUCAAAAAUCACUCCAUUAAGUUCUCAAAUCAUGGAUUUUACAGUACUCAAUGAAUUAAGGAAUAGUUAUGCCUGUUUCAGUUGAGACUCAUUUGUUGCAUCUUAACAAUUAGAGUUCCGGUGGGAAUCUUGGAAAAACAAUAGAAAGGUUGUAUUCUUUGGUUACAAGAAAUCAGCAGAGUUCAUUUUAAGGACUACAAAUCAAACAAUCCAUCCGUUAACAAGUUCCUAUCUCUGUUUUCACCUUUCUAUGUUACAAAUUUCAAAUCAUAAACUAGUAACUACAAAGUUUAGGAUUCCAAUAGUUUCAAAUUCUCAGAAUUUAAAAAUAUGGCAAUAAUUCAUAGGAAUUAAUUGGUUUUAAAAAAAAUGAAGAGUAUUCAUGGAUUAGGCCGAUUCUAUAGAUUUUCGCAGAAAUUUGCUUGUUUUUUGUUCCAGAUUUUUUUUUCAUAAGCGUAUUGAUAGACUAACUUAAUUGAUAAAGAUGAAGAUUCACUCAAAUCUAAACAUAACUUGAGAUUAAUUUAAUUAGGGAGAAAUAAUAAAACUUAUAGCAUAUGAGAAGGAACGGUGUUCAGUAGGAGGUACGGAAUUCAUCAUUCAUCUUUUCUUAGGUUCUAGCCUUGUUUAAGACAACCCUGCUCUAAUACCACUUUUCAGAGUGUGUGACCUACUAAUUUUAAUACUUUACUCUACUGUUUUCCUAUCUAUGGAACAAGUAAGUAAACGUGGUUCACAAAAUUAAAAGUUGAACACAAUGUUUUUACGUCGAAAACAUCCGGCUCAAGAAAGAUGUAAAAAACUACGACCUGUACCUCUACAGGAUUUAACCCCAACUUUGCUAUAACUCUUGAGACUCAACAAUCAAUAAUAUUACAAGACAUCUUGUAAAACUAGGAAUUAAAACUUCUAACUCCUAUACUACAAAAACACAAAUCUUCUCAACAUAAGUGUUCCUAAGUCUUUGAGUUCCCUUACUUGAAGACACAACUCCUAACUAAGUUUAUAGAUCAUGGAGACUAGAACAAUGACUCAUUACAACUCAAAGAACUUACCUACUACAAACAGUCUAAGACUUUGCUAAGUAAAGGACCAGGUUCUUCUUCAAGUAAGUGAAUUGUUUUCUAAUUGUUGAUUAUCUUAUUAGUGCGUGAGUGAAUGUUUUCAAAGUCAUUUGUUCUAUUUAAGUCAACACCUGAUAGAGUUCUUUAGUUGAUGUAUGGUACCAUCCUCACUAGGACUCUCAGGUAGUUUCACACAUUCUUUACUGCCUUCUCUCACUCUUGUUGUUUGAAUAUAACUCUUCUUGAUUAUCUCAUAAUUUCUGCAAAACUUCUUGUUCGACUUAACUUUUUUAAGAUUUCUUGUUCAACUCAACUUUUGCAAGACUUCAUGUUCAAACUAAGCUUCUUUAAGAUUUAUUGUUCAACUCAACUUCUGCAAAACUUCUUGUUAUGAUAAGUGUUAUCCACUCUCAUUUUGCACGCAGAGUCAUUUUUUCAAUAACUUGCGUGCAACUUUAUUCACUUAGAUAAAACAUCUUGCACAACAUGUUUCAUUCACAUGUCCAUUAUCAAAACUUCAUAUGCCCUAACAAAUUCCCCGUUUUUGAUGAUGACAAACUUAGCAGCACAACAUUACAAAAAAUCUGACAACUCAAUAAGGAAUUGAAAAAGAAUUACAGAAUGAAACAGGUUAGUCCAAUUGAGUUAUAAGCAUUGCAUAGUCUAUUAUUCUUCCCCCUUUUGACAUCUCGAAAAGAUGAUCCAACAAGUGAAAAUGUCUAAUAAUUCAUGGCCACUAGGGCUAUCAUUAAGACUGUAGACACGUAAUUUUGUCCCUCCCCGAAAGCAUUUUUUACCAUUUACCCCAUCUAACCUCGUAUCCUAUCCGCGUGGUAAUUUUUUCAGGAGGGGCCCACCUCUAACAAAAUUGAUACCAUCACCAUACAUACAUACACACAAAAUUGAUAAAGGAGAGGGGUCCCAUGACUUUUUGGAUUGUUCUUUCAUUUCUACUUAUAGAAGCAUACAAUUCCACAGACACUAGAGAGAAUGCACAGUUCAAGCUUCCAUCAUCCCUGGUCACCAUAGACACACACCACUACCAUACAUGCACACAUAUUAACACACGUACAGCUCAUCUAAAACACACACACACACAUAACACGGGAUACACACACUCAUCUGAUCGAGAGGGAGAAAUUGGGCAAAAUUAAGGAGAUUGAGAGAGAGAGAGAGCAAGAGAUCAAUCGAGAAGAUAGGGUGAAAUCGAGUGACAGAACCGGUUUGUCAGGUGGCUGGUCACUAUUCCAGUGAUUUGGUUCACCGGAAAAAUGUCAAGGCACCAAAAAACUCAUCGAAGCUUAUUUACCGUUGUCGAACUCGUUUGAUUCGUCGCAAUCUAUUUCGAAUCUCAAAUUUUGAUUUGAGUUGUGGGUUCGUUGAUUGAGGUUCUACUCGGGAUAUUCGAACACGUUUUUCGUCUUUUCAUUCAAUUAAUAUUGGAGUUUGAAAGCUACGAAUCGAGGUAUAAUUCUAUUCUCUCUCUUUUAUCUUUCAUGAUUUGUGAUAUUCAGUGCAUUGAAAGAAAUAUUAUGUGCUGGUUCAUCUUUGUUGGGGAUGAAUAAUUGUUGGUUCAAUUCGUUGUUUGGUUAUAAAUUGUGUAAUAAAAUGAUAUCUCAUUGAGAAUUGAAAUUGAUUGUUUGGGGUGAGAUUGAGAAAUUGAUAAACGGGCGAAUUUAGAUUAAUUUUGAUUAAUUAUUGUUUAAUUCGGAAUAAGCAUGAAUCUUAUCAAAAUGGAUAGGCAAAAGUUUAGGUUUGGGUAGGUAAAUUUAGGAAUGAUGUUUGAUCGAAUCAAUGGAAUGUUGAAUGUGUUGAAAAUUUUUCUAGUUUAUCUCAUUAAAUUGAAAUUAUAUUCAUUUGCCGGGGAAUGCCCCGAAUUGUAUUUAUUCACCGGGGAAUGCCCCGAAGUAUCAUGUACUUGAAGACGGCACACGGUCAAGGCUCGAAGAGUCGGGUGGAGUUUAGUUCAGGAGCAGUUUAGGAUUAUUUAAGAAUAGAAUAGGUUUAGAUUUUCGCAUUUUUCAUUUUUCGGGACUGUAUAAUUUGACUGGAUACUAAAUUUUGGAUUGUUUUGUCUUGUUUGUUUGAUUAAUUAUUUUGCGUGCUUCGGGUGGUUUAUAUAUUUGUAGUGUUAGAUUAGCCAAUAUUCUCUACCAAGAAACUGUGGUCAAACCACAGGAUCGAGGGGUGCCUAACACCUUCCCGUCGGUCAAUAGAAUUCCUUAACCGGAAUCUUUAUUCGCGAAUCAAUUUAAAAGAGUCGAAAACAGUUUUGAAAAAGGAUUUUCAAAGGGGACUUGGCACACCUGAUUAUGACAAGUGGUAACUCUAAGUUUUGAAUGUAAAUAAUCCUUUUCGAAAUAAGUAAUCUUCAUUUUUCUCACUUUACUAAUAAAAACCCUUUCGAAACUUAAAAUCUAAUUCUUUUUUUGGGAGUUCAAAAAGGGGUGUGAUAGCUCUGGCGACUCUGGUGGGGAUCUUUUCAGAAUUUGAGCUUAUUUUUGGAGUUAUAUCGGGUUAGUUUUGACAUUAUUAGUGUAUAGACAUUGUUUGUGUUAUUGUUUGUAUUUGUUUAUCGUUGUUGAAUGCCUAAGUGCUACGUGUUUAUAGUUUUUCUCUUAUGUGUUACCGCUUUAUAUCUAACAUCAUUUGCAUAACCCGAGUCAAUUCUUUCUGCAACAAGUUUUAUAAUACACGCUGUGUACAUGAUCUGUAGUUGAGUCACCCUUAUUUUUAGGAGGGGGAGCCGUCGGCUAGUAUAGAGAGGGUGGAAUGCUAGCGUAGCCACUAUCGACCAUACGCUCCUCCGAACAUCCUUGUUAGUGAACCCCAGCGUAGGUUAGCCUUUAGGUCAUGCUUAUUUGCAUCAUAUUGAGAUCUAGCGGGACCCACAUGGCCCUUUGUAGGAGAAUCACCUAUAAAGCAUCCCUAAGUGCUAAAUGUUACGUCUUUGAGGGUAACGAGGUCAUUUGAUAAUUGCUUUGGGCAAAAGCAUGAGUUAGAAGCAAAGUGUGUAGGCAAGAACUUGUUGAAAAAAAAAGGAGUGAAAAAAAAGAAAUUUGGUAGUUUUUAGGGUUGUUUAUGGCUUUUGUUUUUCACAAUUCAAAAAAAAAAAAAUUUUUUACUUUUUGCACUCAUUUCCCAAACAAUCAAAAAACGUUAAAAAGAUUUUCCUUUUAUUUCUUUAGUAAGUAUUCACAAUUUGAAAACUCCUAAAAUAUUUUUUCCUUUCAAUAAGAGCUUUGUACAUUUUUAUAUAACGAAAAUAUUAAAAAGAUUUUUACCUUCAUAGUUGUUGGUGUUAGUUUCUAAUUAAAAACCCAAAAAAGAUUUUAUUUUCAUCCUCUGUCUUUAAUCGUGUCUCUCAAUACAGGGUUUAGUUUGUCAUUUAAUCCUAAAUUGUCCAAUCUGGACGAACUAUGCACCCCUGAUUCUCCUCUCUCGGGAGUGAGAUACGUAGGGAGCAUACUAUUGGUUCGGGGAUCUUAUUUAAAAAUUCAAAAAGAUUUUCUACACUCUUCACUUAGAGUAGGUGUUUCAUAUACAUCUUUAAAGAAAACUACAAAAAAAGAUUUUUCUUUAAUAGUUUUAAGUUUCAUUUUCGCAUGAAAUUUAGAUUUGAAAACCCAAAAAGAUUUUUCUUUGAUCAUAGGUUUCAUUUUGUAGAUGGAUGUUAAACCUGAAAAAUUCAAAAAGAUUUUCAUCAAUUAUUUUAACAAUUUGUUAUUUUCGUUUCUUCUUAAAGUUUCAAGAAAAAGAGUUUAAUUGGCCAUUUUGUCAAGACUUCACGAACUACGCACACCUGAUUCUCCUCUUUUGGGAGUGAGAUAGUAGGCGCCCUUCUUGGGUUUAGUGAUCUUUUCAAAAAAAAACGAAAAGAAAAAAGAGAGAUUUUAAGAAAGUGUUGAACUCUAACACAUUUUCUAUCUCUUGUUCAGUUAGUUUGAGGUGGUUGGUUUGUUGCAUUUUGGCUGGUCCUCCAUAUUGCACCAAGUCACAGAGAAGGUUUUGGCCAACAAGGAUACCGAGUUUGUUAUCACUAAUCAGAUAGGGAGUUUGAGAAAUGAGAAUUUAGGAGAUAAUAAAGAUAUUUGGAAAUUAAGGCAACAAAUGAUAGAAAUGCAUUGAGCUUGGGCUAAUGGGUUGCCUCUUCCUCCAGUUCCUACUGAUAAUCUGGAAUAUCUUUCUAGCUUUCCUCCCGUGUCACAUACACAAUUUCCCACUACGGGGCAACAAUAUCCAACCACUUCUAAUGUUCAUUUCCUCACUCACCAAUCCAAAACAACCACAUACUCAGCUUCAUCUGUUGUUCAUGCUUUUGCAGUGCCACCCCCACCUAAAGCUCCUACUUUUGAUGUUCAUCCACAAGUUGUGCCUCCCUACUUUACAAGAGAGCCUGCAUUGAAUAUUACUGGUGAUCAACGUUACAUUUUUGAGCCUACAUUCAAGUUGACUGGUCUUUACGGUGAAACUCACCUUCCUUAAUUUCCUCCUAACACUGAGAAGCAUGUUCUGACCGAAGAACAAGAGGAAAUGACCAGAAAAUUGAGAAGUUUGGAAUCGGCUAUGAAGAACUUGCAAGGACUUGGGGGUUACAAGUUUCAAGGUGUCAACCUUUAUCCUGGCUUUAAAAUGCCAAAGUUUGAGAAAUAUGAUGGACAUGGGGAUCCGGUGGUGCAUUUGAGACGCUAUUGUAAUCAAUUAAGAGGUGAUGGAGGCAAAGAAGAAGUGUUUAUGGCUUACUUUAGUGAUAGUCUUUCGGGUCUAGCCUCGGAGUGGUUUGUUGAUCAAGAUAUUAAUAGGUGGAAUAGUUGGGAUAAUUUAUCUAAUGAAUUUGUGCAACAAUUUCAAUAUAAUGUGGAAUUGAUCCCUGACAAAAAAUCCCUAACCAGUAUGAAGAAGAAGAAGAAGAAGAAGAAGAAUGCUGAGAGUUUCAGAGAGUAUGCGAUAAGAUGGCGUGAAUAAGCUUCUUGGGUGAAGUCACCAAUGAAAGAAAGAAAGAUAGUGGAGGUGUUUAUUCAAGUGCAAGACAAAACAUAUUAUCAACAUUUGUUACCUGCGUUAGGCAAGCCGUUUAUUGAGGCCCUUAAAAUGGGGGUGAUGAUUGAAGAGGGAAUUAAGACUGGUCGCAUUGUGAGUUUUGCAACAUUGAAAGCGACUACUCAAACAAUUCAAAAGGGAUUAGGAAAUGUUGGGGAGAAAAAGAAUGAGGAAGAUGCAUCUACUAUUAUAGUUGGACAGCGGGCACGAUCAAGAAGACCCCGUUGUCGUCACUCUCAAGCAAAAACCCAAGUUCAUGCCCAAGCUUCACAUAAUCACUCCCAAAAUCGAUUAUACUCUACUCCUCCCCCUCCAUAUCUAGUAUAUAAUGCACAGCCACAUAUUCAACCCCCAUAUUACCCACAGUGGAACACACCAACUCCUCAGAGUCAUCCUCUAACUCCACAAACAUACCAAAACCUUUCUAAGCCUGAUUUUCAAUUCAAGCCAAAUGAUGAAAUGAGGCAGAAGUUGAGAGAUAAAUCCACACCAAUUGGAGAGUCGUAUGCCAGUUUAUUUCAGAGAUUGGUACAAUGGGGAACGAUCACUCCUCUCCUUAGAUGCACUCUUAAUCGGUGAUCAAGAAAUUUUGAUCCUAAUGUACGAUGUGCAUAUCAUUCUGAUGCUCAGGGUCAUAGUAUUGAAGCUUGUCGAGAUUUGAAAAAAGAAAUUAAAAACAUGAUUUAAGAUGGAUCAAUUAUGGUGCAGAACAUUGAUAUUGAGGGAAACUUUUAUCAUGCUGAUAUGCAAACCAAUGGCUAAGAUGUUAGGCUGAGCAAUUGAGAAUUCACCCCUCUCCCUACUAGGAAGAGGUCUGGUAGCUUGUUUUAUUUUAUUUUCUAUUGUAUAAACUAUUUCAGGGUUGUAGUUUAGGAUCUACCUUGUUUUGUCCGUUAUCAUUUAUGUUCAAACCCUUCUAUCUUAUGUUUUAACUAAAUGAAGUGUCCCAUUUUCUUUGUAUUUUAAAUAUGUGUUGUUUGUUUGUUUUCUUUACAUAGUACAUUUUAUGUUUACUCUAGUGAUAUGACAUGCUAGUGAAAUUUUCAUCCAGAUCUUAAAAUCCAAUCAAACCAUGAAACAUGGAAUCAGAGGGCUAAAGUUAUAAAAAACAUCUGAGAAAAUAGGUAGAGUGCUGAGACAUUUGGUGACAAGUUAAACCCUUCUUUGAAAAUUAAGGCAAUUAUUUUGAGAAUCACAAGAAUAACUCGGCCAUCAAUUGAAAGACAUGUCUCAAUUAGGUCAAACAAUGACUGCGUGAUCCGAUAUCAAGAGGAACAAAAAGAAAUCAGCUCUACAGAAGCAUGAAUCAUUUGAUGUGAGGGAUGCAUAACAAAGGUAGAGUUGUAUGCUAGAAAAGUAUAGAAGAAGAAGUGACACACAUGUUCAGUUUAAGUUAGUGUUGUUAAAGUUUCACACAUGAUCUUUAUCUCCCAUUUUUCAAUUGCAUGUUUUAUACUUGCAUUCUCAAGGAUUGAUAUGAUGAAGGCAUUUCAUUCUGCUAGUCAAACAUUGUGUCAUCCUUUGUUUACCCCAUUUGAUCCUAUUUCUAUUUUCUUUCGUACCCCUUUUUCGGAAUCAAGAUAGAGUCAGUAAAAUUCAAAAGAAAAGUGUCGAGCAAAAGAAUAUAGUCAAAAAAAGAAGAAGAGAAGAGAGAAAAAAUAUUUCGAAAAAGAGAAAAAAAGUGUCAAUAAAAAGAGUCGAAAAAAAUCCCAAAAAGAAAAGAGUCAAUAAAAGUCAAUGGAAUACAAAAGGAAGCAAUUAUCAAGCAAAAGAAUAAGCUGCCAGAACUACACAUGACAUGAUUCUCCUCUCUCGGGGGUGAGAUACGUAGGCUACCCUACUCUAGGCUCGGUCUAACCAAAUAAACAGCUUAGAAUUGCCCAGUCAAAAGAAACUGGGGCAUGAGUUAAUCCUCAUUAGUUGAGUCAAUUCCAAAAUUUGUAAGUCAUACCCCACUUCAAGUAUCGUUUAGGCCCCAUGUCAUCCUUUCUUUCUAACCCUAUUCAAAAGCCAUGUUACAACCAAAGAAAGACCUUCAGAUCAAUCUUUAAGAAUGUUAAGGCUAAGCAUGCAAUAGAUGUGAUGACGUAUUUUGGAUACUACUUAUCUUCCUCAGCAUAAGGAGUCAAAAGAGAAAUAAAAAUAAGAGAGUCUUAUUGGUGAAAACCCUCACGGACACCAUAAGAUGAUGGUAAGUUGAGAGAGAUAAAAAUAAGAGUUUUAUUGGUGAAAACCCUUAUGGGCACUGUGAGACGACUGUGAGUUGAAAGAAAUGAAAAUAAGGGAAUUUUAUUGGUAAAAAACCCUCUCGGAUACUAUAAGGCGAUGGUCAGGUGAUAAAAGGAAAUGAGAGAUGCUUGUUGGAAAAAACCCUUCAAGGCGCCACUAACCGAAUGAGGUCUCCAAAUACAAUUGGCCCAAGAAAGCAACUCACUUUCAGGGUCAUUAACUCAACAACAAUUUGUGAGAGUUUUGGAUGGAAAGAUUUGGCAGUUUAAUCCGAUAUGCAUGUCAUAAUCAUUAGAGUUGACUGUCAUUUCUAGAUAAAUCUUUCAUCUUUUUCAAUGGGGACAUUCAUUAUCAUUUCUUUCUUUUCUAUAGUUAUAUUUUUAUUUUUCUUGAGUCAGCUAUCCAAAUAAAAAUCAUUUUCAUUUUUUCUCUUGUCUUUGAGUCAAGUCCAUGCUAAAACAAGUGAGAAAAUAUUUUAAAACUGGCUACCAGUUUUUUCAAUUGCGUAUAGCAAGACAAAUGGUCAACACAUAAAAGAGACAUAAUUGUGAGCUGAAAUAAGGCAUACAGAAAGUUUUAUCCAUCGAAAAGUCUGAGACUCAUGGAAAUACAAUGGUUCAAAGGGUUUAUCUGUGAAGCAUGACAAAGCAGAGAUACUGUAUCUAUUUCAGAGUCACUCUUAAUAAUCUGAGUUCGGGUCAAUGAUGCAGCAAGUCAGUGACACAUGCCAAUGGUUGAAAGCAAGAUUAAAUAUGAUAGGGGCAAGAGUGAUUUCCACGAAAGCCAAAGCCAUAAACCAGCCACCAUGUUUUUAAACUAACAAGAUUUAUUUGUAUGAAACAGGAACACAUGAUACCUUCGAAUCAAGGAUUUCAAAGCGUAAACAUCAAAGGGCAUACUAUUCUCACUUCUACAAAUGUAAGGGGCAAUGUUGCUGUAUAGAUUUGGUAUUCAAAAACAUGGUAAAACUCAUAAUCCAAUAUCUCUAGGAGACACACUUCCUUAUUUGGGUAAUUCAAGCAACAUUAGUGAGGAGACACACUUGGGUAAUUCAAGCAAUAUUUGUAAGGGGAUGUACUUCCUUAUUUGGUAACUCAGGGAAUAUUUGUAAAGAGACACACUUCCUUAUUUUUGUAAUUCAAGCGACAUAUGUAUAGAAAUGAACUUCCUUGUUUAGGUAAUUCCAGUGACAUUUGUAAGGAGACCCACUUCCCUGUUUGGGCAAAGCAGCAUUUGUGAGGAGAUGCACUUCCUUAUUUGGGCAAUUCAAGUGACAUUUGUGAGGAGACACACUUCCUUGUUUGGGUAAUUCAAGCGACAUUGGUGAGGAGACACACUUCCUUGUUUAGGUAAUUCAAGCAACAUUUGUAAGGAGAUGCACUUCCUUAUUUUGGUAAUUCAAGCAACAUCUGUAAGGAUACACACUUCCUUAUUUGAGUAAUUCAAGUGACAUUUGUGAGGAGACGCACUUCCUUGUUUAGUUAAUUCAAGCAACAUUUGUUAGGGGACGCACUUUCUUGUUUGGAUGAUUCAAGCAACAUUUGUAAGGAGAUGCACUUCCUUAUUUUGGUAAUUCAAGUGACAUUUGUGAGUAGAUGCACUUCCUUGUUUGGGUAAUUCAAGUACCAUUGGUGAGGAGACACACUUUUUUGUUUUAGCAAUUCAAGCGGCAUUUAUGAGGAGACGCACUUCCUUAUUUGUUUAAUUCAAACGGCAUUGGUAAGGAGACACAUUUCCUUGUUUGGGAAAUUCAAGAGACAUUUGUUAGGAGACACAAUUCCUUAUUUUGGUAAUUCAAAUGGUAUUGGUAUGGAGAUGCACUUCCUUUUUUGGUAAUUCAAACGGUAUCAUAAGGCGACGCACUUCCAAAGGAGACGCACUUCCUUGUUUAGGUAAUUCAAGCAGCAUUGGAAAGGAUAUGCACUUCCUUAUUUUGGUAAUUCAAGCGGCAUUGGUGAGGAGAUGCACUUCCUUGUUUGGUAAUUCAAGCAACAUUUGUAAGGAGAUGCACUUCCUUAUGUAGGUAAUUUAAGCAACAUUGGUAAGGAGAUGCACUUACUUGUUUGGUAAUUCAAGCGGUAUUUGUAAGGAGAUACACUUUCAUAUGUGGGAAAUUCAAGCAACAUUUGUAGGAAGAUGCACUUCCUUAUUUGGGUAAUUCAAGCAUUUGUAAGGAGACACAUUUCCUUGGGUAAUUCAAGUGGAAUUUGUUGGGAGACACACUUCCUUAUUAGUUUUCAUUUGUCAGGAGCCCGCCUGAAGAACACGGCGAAAGUAGGAAAGUCAAGCAAUAAGGUAAAGAAGUUGAAAGUUCAGCAACAAGGUCAAAAAGUGAAAGUCAACAGAUUGAUGAAAUUGCAAGUCAUGAGCCUGCCUGAAGAAUAGGGUGAUGAAACUCAAGUCAAGAGUCCAAAAUAAGCUGCAUAGAUAGGACUUUUGUAAUUUUAUUUAUGUUUUAACUUGUAACUUUCAUUUUGAUGUAAUGACAGAUCCGCGAACCAGAACCUCUGCAGGGCCUCACUCGACUCUCCAAAUCGGUAUAGUACCUCUUCUUCCAACCUUUUAAGAUACCUGUGAUGUGAUUUCCUCAUAACUUCAGUACGUAGGAUGUCCUGAGUCAACUUGGUUGUCUUUCUUCCUUCUGUUUCUUUCCUUGAAUAUUGGUCGGGUCAAAAUUAUGUCUCAUUGUCUACUUCUUUGUAUGAAAACACGUUGUAUUUACAUGAAAAGAUGGGCAUGAUGUAGAAACGUAAUUUUAUCCCUCACCGAAAGAAUUUUUUACCAUUUACCCCAUCUUACCUCGUAUCCUAUCCGCGUGGUAAUUUUUUCACAAGAAAACAAAAUAAAUAACUACCUCGUCAUUUUAUUUAUUUACUCUUUAUCUUUAUCACAUUUAAAAAAAUCCUAACAAAUUUUAUUUUCUUUUAAACAUCCUAACAACCCUCCCUAUUAAACAUUGAAAACACAUCACCAUCCCCACACCCCCUCACCACUACUCACGUGCACCCCUACCCCACUACCCCAUCCUAAUAUACAGAAACCACAAUGGAAAGAAAGAGAAGAGCAACUUCAAGAGGGUCCAACACUAACAAAAUUAAUACCACCACCAUACAUACAUACACACAAACUGAUAAAGGGGAGGGGGCCAUGAAUUUUUGGAUUGAUCUCCAAUUUCUACUCAUAGAAGCAUACAAUUCCACAGACACUAGAGAGAAUGCACACUUUAAGCUUUCAUCAUCCCUGGUCACCAUAGACACACACCACUGCCAUACACGUAUACAUAUUAACACACACAGCUCAUCUAAAACACACACACACAACAUGGGAUACACACAAUCAUCUGAUCGGGAGGGAGGGAGAAAUUAGGCAAAAUUGAGGAGAUCAAGAGAGAGGGCAAGAGAUCGAUCAAGAAGAUAUGGUGAAAUCUAGUGAGAUAACUAGUUUCUCAGGUGGAUGGUCACUGCUCCAGUGAUUAGGUUCACUGGAAAAAUGUCAAGGCACCCAAAAACUCAUCGAAGCUUAUUUACCACCGUCGAACUCGAUAAUUGGAAUAAUUUUAUGAAAUUUCGUACUCGUUAUCGAUUUGGGGUUCAGCUUCUAUUCGCCUCGUUCAAUUCAUCACAAUCUGUUUUGGAUCUGAAAUUUGGAUUAGAGUUGUGGGUUCAUUGAUUGAGGUUUUACUCGGGAUAUUCGGACGCGGUCUUCAUCUUUUCAUUCGAUUAAUAUUGGAGUUUGAAAGCUAUGAAUCGAGGUCCAAUUCUAUUCUCUCUUUUAUAUUUCAUUAUUCAUUAUAUUCAGUGCAUUGAACGAAAUAUUAUGUAUUGGUUGAUCUUUGUUGGAGAUGAAAGAUUGUUGGUUCAAUUCAUUGUUUCGUUAUAAAUUGUGUAAUAAAAUCAUAUCUCGUUGAGAAUUGAAAUUGAUUGUUUGGGCUGAUAUUGAGAAAUUGAUAAACGGGUGAAUUUAGAUUAAUUUUGAUGUAUUGUUGUUUAAUUCGAAAUAUGCAUGAAUCUUAUCGAAAUGGAUAGGCAAAAGUUUAGGUUUUGGUAGGCAAAUUUAGGAAUGAUGUUUGAUUGAAUGGUAGGAAUAUUGAAUGUUUUGAAAACUUUUCUAGUUUAUCUCAUGAAAUUAAAAUUGUAUUCAUUUGUCGGGGAAUGCCCCGAAAGAAUUGUAUUUAUUCACCGAAAAAUGCCCCAAAGUAUCAUGCUCUCCUCUUUCUUUCCAUUGUGGUUCAGAGCAUCGGGUGGAGUUUAGUUCAGGAGUAGUUUAAGAUUUGUUUAGAAUAGAAUAUGUUUUCAUUUUUUUCAUUUUUCAUUUUUCGGGACAGGAUACUAAAUAUUGGAGUGUUUUGUCUUGUUUGUUUGAUUAAUUGUUUUGCGUGCUUUGUGUGGUUUAUACAUUCAUAGUGUCAGAUUAGCCGAUAUGCUGUAGCAAGUGACUGUGGUCAAACCACAGGAUCAAGGGAUGCCAAACACCUUCCCCUCGGUCAACAAAAUUCCUUAACUGGAAUCUCUGUUCGCGGAUCAGUUUAAAAGAGUCAAAAACAGUUUUGAAAAAGGAUUUACAAAAGUGACUUGGCACACCUGAUUAUGCAAAGUGGCAACUCUGAGUUUUUAAUGUAAAUAAUCCUUUUCAAAACAAUUAAUCUUCAUUUUUGUCACUUUACUAAUAAAAACCCUUUUGAAACUUAAAAUCUAAUUCUUUUUUUAGGAGUUAAAAAAGGGGUGUGACAAAGACAAUUAAAAUUCAGAGUAAAAGACCAUUAAUGCAUCAUGAAAGAAUAGAAAUAGAACACUUUGAAGCAAUGAAGACCAUUUCAUUCACUAUGUAGAUACACCAAAAUUACCAACAGCAGCAUAAGAGAAAACAAGUAACCAUGGAAGGAAGCAACAAAAAAAGAUAGUCUUGGUGUACUAGGAUUAGGUUAAGUGGAUGAGGAUGAGGGGAUAAGGGAAGUCAACUUCCUAAUAAUAUCAACAUUGUCUGAUCUUUCAUGCUCUAGAGAGCAAAUGAGGGAGGCAAUCUGAGCCUGAAGAGCCCUUUUCUUAUCAUCAUGGGCAGCUUGAGCAGUUACUAGUGCAAUUUGAGCAGCCUCUAGCUCAACAGUUUUUGUUGCAAGAGCAUUCCUUAACCUCUGCACUGGGUUAUCAGCACUCCUCAUAAAAACAGGUAGGUUCACAUGGUUCAGACUACCAAUAAUAUCCUUUGUAGUUUGUAGAGACCACACUUUAAUACCCACACCAAAAUCAUCAAACAUGGGAGUGAGCCAGAACUCAUAAGGAAGAGCAUGGCCAUUUACUUCUUUGAUGAUAACCCUUGGCAUAUGUUUCAGAAUCAUCCUAGGCAAGUCAAUUUGAACUUCUGUGUCCAGCAAUUCCAUAAAUGUAAGAUCAAGAAAGCUAGCUAUAAUCCUACGUUCCUUCCUAGGGAGUACCAUCUUGUGCACAACAUCAAAAUAAAGUUGAUGCAGUGGGGAAAUAUCCCUUUUAAGAACCCUUUGAUAAUUAACCAGGUGAGGAUUUCCGAAAAACUUAUGACAAACAUCAAGAGCAGAAGCCAAAUUUUCAAGAGGUGGCCAGGUACCCUUGAAAUAGUGCCCCCAACCCCUGAAGGAAUGUGUAAGAUUCUAGCAAUGUUAGCAGUAUAUAGAUUCAUGAUCUUCUCCCUAACGGUUGUAUAAAACAACUCACCAAUGGCCACCCCAUUAGUAUAAAAUUCAUAUACUUCAGGUUUAGCAAACUUCAUUUGAAGGUCACCCUGAAGAAAUAGGUGUGACAAUCCUUGAAACUCUAAUUUCUCCAACAAGAUUCGCAUGGAAUCACCACCAAACCCACUAAAAACAUGACCCUAGCUAAUUUACGCUUUUGAACAUGGAGUGUCGUGAUAGAGUGUCCUGAUGUGAAGAAGUAUUGGGGAUUUCAAAAUCAGGAUCCAAUUCAGCAACAGGAUUAACAGGGGAGUCAGACUCAGAUGAGUAAGAGGGAACAUGUUUGGUGACCUAUUUCUUCAUACGAGAGGAUGAUUUUGUAGGAUAUGCUUUGGAUAAGGAUGAAGCUUUAGAGGUAAGGGAGGGUUUAGAAGAUGAAGAGGCUUUUGGGGUAAAGGGAAAUAUCAAUAUGCUUAGUUCUUUUAUGUUGAAUAGGAUUUUUGGCUAUGUUAAUGGCACUUGUACUAUCACAAAAAAUGGGAACACAAUAACCAUCUAUACCAAAGUCUAAUUGCUCUUGCUUAAUCCAUAAAAAUUGAGCAUAAUAAGAACCUAUAGCAACACAUUCAGCUUUAGCAGUAGACAAGGCUACUGAAUUUUUCUUCUUAGUGGACCAGGUAAUCAAACAUGAUCUAAGGAAGUGUGCCAUGCCUGUAGCUCUCUUCCUAUCAACCAAAUAUCCUAUAUAAUCAGCAUCAGAGUAGCCUACCAAAUCAAAGUUACAACCUUUGGGAUACCAUAAGCCAAGAUCACUAGUUCCCUUUAAGUAUCUGAAGAUUCUUUUCACUAAUUGUUUUAUUUGCAAUCCCAAGAAGUAAUUCAGUUCCUACAUCAUGCUCAUCUCAAAUUCACAACUCAUGAGUUUGGAAAACUCAUGAGUCAUAGUCAUGUUGGUUAAACCAAAAAUAAUGCUAUCCACAUAUACCUUCACAACAAACAAAUUCUUUCCAUUAGUUUUCAAGAAAAGGGUAUUGUCAAUUUUAACUCUGGUAUGACUAUGCUCUAGUAGAAACUUUGACAAUCUUUCAUACCAAGCCCUUGGAGCUUGUUUCAACCCCUACAAAGCCUUGUCUAAUUUGUACACAUGAUCAAGAAACUCCUUGCUUUCAAAUCCUGGAGGUUACUUCACAUAAACCGCCUCUUUGAGAAUGACAUUCAAGAAUGCACUCUUCACAUCCAUUUGAUAGAGAAUAAGCUCCAUAUAUGCAGCAAAAGUAACAAGUAAUCUUAUCGCUUCAAGUUUUUCUACAGGAGCAAAAGUCUCAUCAAAGUCAAUUCCUUCUUCUUGAUUGUAUCCUUAGACCACCAAUUUUGCCUUAUUUCUUGUAACUUUUCCAUGCUCAUCAAAUUUAUUUCUGUACACCCACUUAGUCCCAAUUAUUGAUCUAUCUUUUGGGAGAGGGACGAAGUGUCAUACUUUGCUUCUCUUAAACCAAUUUAACUCUUCUUGCCUGGGUAAAAUCCAAUUAGAAUCAAGAAAUGAUUCAGUUACCUUCUUUGGCUCAAUCUCUAAUAGGAAUGCCUUAAAGGCAUACACAUUUCUCAAACCAGACCUUGUAGUGAUCCUAGAGGUAAGGUCAGUGAGAACAUUCUCAAUAGAAUGUGAUCCUUGAUACUUGUAUCCUUUUUGGAUAAAGCCUAGUGAGCUACUAGGAUCACUACUGAUAUUCUAAGUUGGGGUUGUUGGUGGCUCAGUUCCCCCUAUCACUGUGCCUUCAGCUUCAGUUCCCCCUGUCAAGGCUCUUCCAUGUUUGGUAACUCCAAUCGAUGAACCGGGUUGUGUAAAAUGUUCCUUAGUGUCACUUUCUUUCUACAGAUUAGUCUUGACACAGUAUUCAUCAAAAACCACAUGCAUGCUUUCUUCAACACGAUUGGUUCUGUUAUUUAAAACCCAAUAAGCCUUACUAUGAAGUGAGUAACCUAAGAAGAUUCCCUCAUAACUUUUAGCAUCAAAUUUUCCCAGAUUGUCCUUUCCAUUAUUAUGUAUAAAACAUUUACACCCAAAGACUAUAAAAUGAGAAAUAUUUUGCUUUAUUCCUUUUAGUAAUUCAUAGGGAGUCUUAUCUAACAUAGGUCUGAUCAUGCAUCUGUUUAUGAUAUAUGCUACAGUACUUAUUGCCUCAGCCCAAAAGUUUUCAGCAAUAUCUGCUCCAAGCAUCAUUGUUCUAGCCACGUCUUCCAAGGUUCUAUUUUUCCUUUCCACCACUCCAUUUUUUUGUGGUGUUCUAGGAGCUAUGAAAUUAUGAUCUAUACCAUUUUCUGAACAAAAUUCUAAGAACUUUAAAUUUUCAAAUUCUGUACCAUGGUAAGACCUUAUGGAAACUAAUGAGGUGCCCAGUUUCUUUUCAAUUUUUUUAGUGAAAAUUUUAAAGACAUUAAAGGCAUCUUCUUUAGAGGCUAGAAACAAAGUCCAGGUGAACCUAGAAUAGUCAUCCAAAAUUAUAAAAACAUACCUUUUUCCACCUCUUCUUUGAAGUCUCAUUAGUCCACACAAGUCCAUAUGGACCAGAUCAAGCCACUUGGUAGUGCUAACAUGGUUCUUUGGCUUGAAAUAAGACCUUACCUGCUUCCCCCUUACACAUACACUACAUAACUUUUCUUCCUUGAACUUAGUCUUGGGCAGUCCCAAUACUAUUUCUUUGGAAGAAAGUAUGUUCAGUUGUUUCAGACUUGCAUGUCCAAGUCUCUUAUACCAAAAGAGGGGAUCAUUUUCUAUUUCACUUAGACAAGUUAACUCAGGUCCUGGUAUUGCCAUUAUGUCAACUUUGUAUACAUUUUUGUAUCUAUUUGCAGUGAGGACAAUCUCUUUGGUGUCCAUCCUUUUGACUUUGACUCCUGCAGUAGUAAAAAUAACUUUAUUACCUUUGUCAUAUAGUUGUGAGAUGCUUAGCAGGUUAUGCUUUAAUCCUUCUACAAGAUAACCAUCCUCCAAUGCUUUUAACUCAGAUGAGCCAAUUUUACCCACUCCAGUAAUAAUUCCUUUUUUUCAUCACCAAAAGAAACUCCUCCUCCAUCUAUUUUGGAGAUUGAAAGGAACUUUUUCUUGUCACCAGUCAUGUGUCUUGAGCAAGCACUGUCUAAGUACCAGUGCCUUUUGCUUUCUUUCACCUUCUCCUGUAAAAUAAAUCAAUGGUUAGACGUAGGAACCCAGACAAGCUUGGGUCCUAUUUUAUGAGUAAAAGAAUGAACUACACUUCUUCUUGUCCAUGCUGGCAACAUGUAUUGCAACAUGUUUCUCUGACCAGAACUAGUUCUGUUCUUUUUGGUCUAAUAAAAUCUGUUAGCUAGGUUUUGACUGUUUGAUCUGCUUUUAGCAGUCACUGGACAUUCAGUGGCGGGAUGUCUAAGGUUGCCACAGAUAUAACACAAAUCUCUAGGAUCAUCAAAACUUUUGUGCAAACCCAACCCAGCCUUUUCAUUGUAAUUUCUUCCACUCAGUUUGUGAACAAUUCUUGAAGAGUUUGUCCACCUAUUUUCCCUUUCAACAUCAAGUUUAAGUUUAGAAACUUCUUAACACAACUUGUUUAUUUUUUCAAUUAAAUCAUGGCAUUCUUGUUUGUAGUUAACUAGCUCAAGUUCAUCACUUUCUUGUUCCUUACUCAUGGCCUUUUUUCCAUUUUGACUGAGAGUUAAUUUAAGAACUUCAGACUUAAGAUUAUUGUUUGAAGACCCAAAUUUAGCAACUUGUUUCUUGAGAGUGCAGUUUUCCUUGUCAACUGUACUUGUACAAGCUUUUAAAUCAAAGAGAUCAAAUUUUAGGCUUGCAAGACUGUUGAACAACUCAUCCCUUUCAGAAGUUAAUUCAUAGAAAUCAUCAAUUAGUGCUCUCAUCAAGGAAACCUUUUUUUUUUAAAACAAUUGUAGCUUUUCUUUAAGUUCAAGUAUACUUACCUCAGAAGCAUCAUUUUUUUCUUCUAAAUCUAAGUCUCCAAGAGCCAUGAAUGCAUUUUCAUCAGCUUCAUCUUCAUCUGAGUCAGAUCCCCAGGCUGUUAUCAUUGCAUGUUCCUCCUUCUUUUUGGCCUUUUCUUUUAGUUCCUUUUCAGCCCUUUCCUUCUUCCAUUCAAUUUCUCAGACUGGACUGUCUCUGAUCUGAUGAUCAAUUUUGCCACACUUGUAUUAGCCAUUUGGAUUGUCAUUGGAACAUUUCUUGCUACCUGUUCCCUUCUUCUUCUUAAAGAAUUUGAUAAAGUUCUUAGUUAUGAAAGCAACUUGUUCCUUAUCAAGUUUAAAUUCCUCAUAACUAUCAGAGGCUUUCAAUGCCAGGAUUUUCUUAGGAGCUUCUUGCUCUUUGUUUCCAUCAACUUCUAUUUCAUAAGUCCUUAAGUUCCCUACUAGUUCAUCCAGGGUCAUACCUGCAAAAUCCUUAUUUGCCUACCUGAUUGCAGUCACCUUAACAUUUUAUUUUGAUUUUGGUAAAACCCUCAGUACCUUUUCAACUUGUUCCUCCUCAGAAAUGGCCUUUCCUAAGGAAGUCAGCUCAUUUGUUAAGGAAGUAAUUCUUGUCAUUAUUUUAUGCAUGGGCUCAUUUUCCUUCAUCUUAAAUGCCUCAUACUCAGUGGAUAGAAGAGAAAUCCUGAAUUUUCUUACUUAAGAGGUAUCUUCACGAGCAUUCACCAGUGCAUCCCAAAUUUUCUUAGCAGAGGUGCAAGUUGAUACUCUAUUGUAUUCAGCAGGUCCUAGUCCACAAACCAAGAUGUUUUUGGCCUUAGAAUUUUUCUUCAAUGCCACAAAGUCAUUAGGAGUAAAUUCACUCCUUAAUUUCUUAACUGGUUCACCAUCAACCAACUUCAUUGUAAUAGUGGGUCCAUUAGUAAUCCUAUCUCAUAAUUCAUGGUCUUCACCUUGGGUGCAUAUUUCCAUUCUUGCUUUCCACCAAAUAAAGUAAGAUCCAUCAAAGAGUGGAGGCCUGGUAGUCGACUGACCUUCACUAUGUCCAGUAGGAGGUGCAGAAUUCAUCAAUGAUCUUUUGUUAGGUGCCAGCCUUGUUUAAGACAGCCCUUCUCUGAUACCACUUGUUAGAAUGUGUACCCUACUAAUUUUAAUAUUUUACACUACUGGUUGCCUAUCUAUGAAACAAUUAAAUGUGGUUCACAGAAUUAAAAGUUGAACACAGUGGUUUUACGUGGAAAGCACCCGGCUCAAGAAAGGUGUAAAAAACCAUGACCUGUAACUCUGCAGGAUUUAACCCCAACUUCACUAUAACUCUUGAGCCUCAACAAACAACAAUAUUACAAGACUCUUGUAAAACAAGGAAUUAAAACUUCUAACUCCUAUACUACAAAAUCACAAAUCUUCCCAAGAUAAGUCUUUCCAAGUCUUUGAGUUCCCUAACUUGAAGACACAACUCCUAACUCAGUUUAUAGAUAACUAAGACUAGAACAAUGACUCAUUACAACUCAAAGAACCUACCUACUACAAAUAGUCUAAGACUUUGCUAAGUAAAGGACUAGGGUAAGUGAACUAUUUGCUGAUUGUUGAUUAUCUUAACACUGCGUAAGUGAAUGGUUUGAAAGUCGUUUCUUCUAUUUAAGCCAACACUAAUAGAGUCCUUUAGUUGAUGUAUGUUUUUAUUCUCACUAGGACUCCUAGGUAGUUUCACUCAUUCUUUACUGCCUUCUCUCCCUCUUGUUGUUUGAGUAGGACUCUUCUUGAUUAUCUCAUAAUUUCUGCAAGACUUCUUGUUCGACUGAACUUCUUCAAGAUUUCUUGUUCAACUCAAAUUCUGCAAGACUUCUUGUUCAAACCAAGCUUCUUCAAGAUUUCUUGUUCAACUCAACUUCUGCAAGAUUUCUUGUUGUGAUAAGUGUUAUCCACUCCCAUUUUGCACGCACAGUCAUUUUUUCAAUAACUUGCCUGCAGUUUUGUUCACUUGGAUGGAAAAGAUUGCACGAUAUGGUUCAUUCACAUAUCCAUCAUCAAAACUUCACAUGCCCUAACAAAACCGAAUAAAACAUCGCGCAUUUUCCGAAGGCCCAAUCAUUAUUUCAGAACAACUGCUAGACUCUCACAAUGGAUGUAACAGAAUUCUAUUCUGCUUUUAUGACAACACCUAAUUUUGUGUCAUGCUGGGAAAUAAAUUGUACAAGAGAUUAUUUAUGCGGAAGAAAAUUCAGAAUGCAUUAGUUUUUUGUACAAUGUACAACAACAACAACAUACCCAGUGUGGGUAUGUAAAUCCUAUAGAUGGGAUAUGGGAAAAGGAGGGAUGGAACACGAGGACUUCCCAAGGGCCAAGGGGCAACCCAUCCUAAUAUCACUCUAGUCCAAACACACUUAUCUUCAGAGGUCCGAUGACUAUUUUGCAUUUAUAUUUGUUUAACUUUUUCUAUUAAUACGGCGGCCAUAGUCAUCUUCGAUGUUCGAAACUUGAUAAAGAAGGAAGCACAUCGUUUGGAAAGUACUGGACCAUUUAUAUAGGAUACCGAGGAGCCUAAAGGGAAUCCCACCUGAUUAUUUGUAAUAAAUUCAUUUCUUCCUCUUGAAGGGAAACAUACUUUCCUUAGGCUGCACCAUGUAAAGUCCCAGGCGAGCAGUCUCCAUGCAAAUCAGGAGCUAAAGACAUUUUUUGGUAAUUUGGACACCGAUGGACAUACAUAAGGGAGAAGAAGAAGAAAAUGGGAUAUGGAACACUCCUACUUGUUAAUUCCUCUAUCAAUUAUAACAAAACAUUACUCUGUUUCGUAAACAAGUUCCACCCUUAUGACACAUUCAUAUGGAACCAGCUAGAAUUUCUGAAAAUAGAAUAAAUUCACAAAUCAUAUGGAACAACAUGUUCAACAUGCAAGAAGCUGAAUCUUGAUCUUCUGUAGCAUUCCAACAAUAUCUUACAUAUUUGUCCUUCUUGUCGGAGAUUCAGCACAGCAAUCUCAUGACACUUUCAUAAUUGCUGCCACAACAUCUAGCUCCUUCUAUAAGUGAUUUCCGGUUGAUGUUAGCAAGUUGGUAUCAACGACGUCCAUUACUGCCUCUGGAAGUGAAUAACUCGCCCAUUGCUUCAAGCUAACAUCUCCCUCAAACUCAUUAGGCUUUCUCCUGGUAAAUGUUUCCAGCAACAUGAUUCCAGAAUUAUAGAGAUCACAUUUUUUUGAAACUAGUCCAUCCAAUCCAUACUCAACAGUCAAACAAUUAAUUUAAAGAUGCAAUAUACUUUCUAGGUGCGGAAAAAAGAAAGGAAUAAUCAGCAAAACUAAGAGCGUACCUGGCGCAAUAUAACCCAAUGUUGCAAAUGUUGUUGUCUAUUAAUCACCCUCAUCUUCAAGCAGUUUUUAAAUCCCAAAGUCGCUGAGGUGGGCAACCAUAUCCACGUCCAGCAAGACGUUACUAGGCUUCAGAUCAUUGUUUGCCAGGUCUGCACUCCUGCCGGCGAGCUCAACAAUUUUCUCAAAAGAACAGAUGUUGAAUUGUUUCAUUGUUGUCAUUACAUAGAGGACAUGUUCGAGAGGUUGUCAGACCCCAUUUAGCAAGCUGCUCUAUGGUAGCUAAUCUUCCAUAGGCAGCCAAACGUAAAAUGUAUGGAGCACCUUAUCCUUGGUACUUUCUCAAACACUCUAUGCAUUUUCUGCUAAAUCUGUUUGUUGGAGAAUGUUUCAAGUUGCUGAAACACUCCAUGCAUCGCUGCUCUGAUAUCAUGGGAAAAUCUACCCUAUGCAGCUAAGACUCCAUUGAUGGAGCUUGGGGCGAAAGGAGGAAAAAUAAUAGAGACAGUAUCUUUAUAACUCCUUGCGCAAACCCUACACAAUGGAGUAUGUACACAGCCUUUUAUAGACUGAGUUUAAAGAAAAAAUAUCUGCCAACUAACUCUUCUAGAAUCUUCCUUGACUGCUCACUCCUCUAACCGACUAACUGAUAAGUAGCUAACUAACCAACCUUAUAGAGCAGCAACAGCUAUAGUAAUUAAUGAAACAGUAAAAAUGUGAUCUUCAACAAGUGAUUCAGGAAGAUUAGUUUUUUAAUAUCCAUAUAAUGCAUGAUAAGGAUUCUCUUUGUCAUGUCGCAAUUACAUUUUUAUCUACAGGUUUCCUAAUGGCAUAAAAGUGUGACACCAUGGGUAGUUGAUUUAUAUUAACAGAGGUUUUGGAAAGAAGAGUCUGUUAGUUGAAGCCUUCCUCGAUUAAGAAAACACUCAUCUUAGAUUUAUUUGUUGAUCAUCCGGCUAACAUUGGAUCCUUCACUGUAGAUGUUUAUGUAGUGGGGUAUCAAAUUUCUCCUUUAUGUUUUGUUCCCCUCGUAUCUAACCUUUCUAAGUUGGCUCUCAUAGGUAAUCAAAGAGGUGGAUCAUCUGAUCUUAAAAUAAGUAAUCUCGGCUAUCCCAAUCUAUAAUAUUAUCAUUUCGUCAGGUAUUGAAUCAUACGAUUCUGAGCAUCCUGCUUGUAGCAUUCAUUCUAAAAAACCAAAAUGAGACCUUUCCUUGCUGGUUGGAAAAAACCUUGUGUUAUUUUUCUUGUCUAUUUGGUUUGUGUGUGAUUGUGUUCUAGUUAACCCACAAUCUUUCCGCAACAGCCAUAUACCAAUUAUGUUGUGAAAGAUGGACCACUUAGCACUAGUGUUGGGAAGACCAAUAAUGUAUCCCUUCCAUUUUUGUACUUGGAUAAAUAUUCUAACAACAAAUGGCCUAGCUUAGGUAGUUGGCAGCUCUACAUUGUGAACUGCAUCGGAAAGGGUAUCCAAUUUCUCCUUUAUGUGUUGUUUCUCUUGUAUCUAACAUUUCUUAGUUUGCUCUCAGAGGUAAGCAAAGAGGUGGAUCAUCUGAUCUUGAAAUUGGUCAUCCCGUUCAUCCCAAUCUAUAAUAUGAUCAUUUCGUCAGGUAUUGCUGAAUCAUACAAUUCUGAGCAUCCUGCUUUUAACAUUCAUUCUAUAGAACCAAAACGAGACCUUUCCCUAUUUUUGAAAAGAAAACUUUGAGUUAUUUUUCUUCUCUAUUUUCUUUUUGUGUGAUUUUGUGCUAGAUAACCCUCAAUCUUUCCGUAAAAGCCAUAUACCAAUUAUGUUUUAAAAAAUGGACCAUUUAGCACUAAUGUUGAGAGGAUUAAUAAUGUAUCAUAAAAGUAUUACUUUGUUACUUGACUCAAAUGAAAAAACAAAAUAAUGAGACUUGUGGAGUAAUAAGAAAUGAUUGGAACUUCACCACCUAAUAAUAGAAACACAACUGACAAAAUAACUCUACACUUUCUCCUAGUCCCUUUCUGCAAGAGACUGAUCUUCCAAAUCAUCAAUGUCAUUUCCAGUUACUUCAUCAACAUCAUCGUUUUGAGGAGUUUAUCUCCAGAAACUAAAGAGGUCAGCCUAAAGUUAGAGAAAAGAAUGCAUUCUUAGACUUGUCUCUCACACCAUCAACUGUACCAAAAACAGACUGACAUGUUUCUCAAACAGAAAGUGGAAGCUUAACAGGAGGCAGACCCUGGAGCUAAUUUAACGAACUGUCCACUGUUAAAUUUACGGGCUUGGAAUGGACUCGGACACAGUGCAGAAUACAAGAAGUCUUGUAAUCAUGGCUUAAGAAACUAAAAUAUAACAUUAAGGGGUUUAAUUAAUAUUUUUCUACUCUUAAUUGAUUGAUUUGGAAAAUCUUGAAGAAUGGAGCCUGAUUUUCUGCUUCAUUAGAGUAUCAUAUGGUACUAAAGAAAAAAGAAAGUAGAAAGAUAAUGCAAAUUAUCUUUUUGGCAUAAUACAUAAACAUGCCCUUUUAACUUGACCUCAAAACACAUCUAUGACCUCCAACUUUGGGUGUGCACAAGUAGACACUUAAACUUGUAUAAAGUUGAACAAAUAGACACACACGUCCUAUGUGGCAUAAUAAAGUUGAAGUGGUAGGCGAAGAAAGAAAUAUAAUUGGUUCUUGAGAGUGAAAAACUAAAAAAAGAUAGAAAUCGCAGGACAAAAAAAUUGUGGGACAUAAAUUCAAGGACACAAAUUAUGCUCCAAGGCAUAAGUUCAGUGGCAUAAUUAUGUCACAGUGCAUAAGUUCAAUGGCUCUAAGAACGUGUACUGCAAAAGCAAUGUCAAGCCUGGUGAAUGUUAUGUAGAUCAAAAGCCAACCUAACUAUCUGCCCAUUGUCAGGCUCGGUAUGGCCGUGAAAAGGAUUCAGUUUCGGACAACCUUCAAGUCAGAUGAUGAGCAUAGCGAGUCAGCACAACUGGGAAUGAAGAAUGUCUUCAAUCUCAAAGCUGCCACGAUUUUACAAUCAGUAAGGGAACUCAUUUGAUAAGAAUACUGCUGCCACGCAAAAAGGUAAAAGAACAUAAACUCACUCAUCCUCUGCAUAAAAAGCACCCGGUUUUCUAUCACUGCAGGGGUGGCUUUCACGACUAGAGCCAAGGCCCUGGCCGCGACAGACUUCCCGAACCAUAUCAAGGACCGAGACACACCUGUAACUCCCCAAUCCACUAGUGAUAUUGUCCUUUUUGGGCCCAGGGCCGCACAACUUUAAAACACGUCACUAGGGAGUUAGGCCGAGGCCCCAGCCGCGACGGGCAUCCCGAACCAUAUCAAGGACCGAGACACCCCUGUAACUCCCCAAUCUACUAGUGAUAUUGUCUGCUUUGAGCCCAGGCCCGCACGACUUUAAAAUGCGUCACUAGUGAGUUAGGCUUGCUUACUUAUAUACCCAGCUUCCCUCCUUUUUUUGUUGAUGUGAGACUCCAUAUCCUAAGUUGGGAUGUUACAUACACACACACCCUCCUUAUGGACUCAGCGUCCUCGCUAAGGUUUGCCCCACCGAAUGGGAUUUGCCUAUACUCGAGACUGAGGUUUGCCCCACCUUACUAGGAUUCGCCUACACUUAGUUUGAACUUAGGUCCACAUCUAUCACGACCCGAGCCGAGGCCCUGGCUGCGACGGACAACUCGAACCAUCAAGGCCCGAGACACCCGUGUAACUCCCCAACCCACUAGUGAUAUUGUCCGCUUUGGGCCCAGACCCACAUGGCUUUAAAAGGCAUCAUUAGGGAGUUAGACUUGCUUACUUAUAUAGCUAGCAUCCCUCCUGUGUUUUUCCGAUAUGGGACUCCAUAUCCUAAGUUUGGGUGUUACAGCUGCUUAUGGAGAUAAACAAAGGAUAGAGGUAGAAAAACAGCACUGCCUUUUAAGAAAAUAAUAUUAAAAAUGGAAAAGGGUCAAAAAUACCCCUGAACUAUCUGAAAUAGAUCAAAAAUUCCCCUCGUUAGUUUUUUAGCUCAAAAAUUCCCCUCCGUUAAAUAUUUGGAUCAAAAAUAUCCCUCCCCUUAACGGAAUUCGAAAAAGGAUCAAAAAUACCCCUGAACUAUCUGAAAUGGAUGAAAAAUACCCCUCGUUAGUUUUUUGGCUCAAAAAUAUCCCUCUCUUAAAUAUUUGACUAAAAAAUGCCCCUCCCCUUAAUGAAAUUCCAUCAAGCAUGCUACCUAGAUAUUGUCCGCUUUGGGCCCAAACCCACACGGCUUUAAAAGGCAUCAUUACGGAGUUAGGCUUGCUUACUUAUAUACCUAGCAUCCCUCAUGUGUUUUUCCAAUGUGGGACUCCAUAUCCUAAGUGUUGGGGUGUUACAACUGCUUAUGGAGAUAAACAAAGGAUAGAGGUAGAAGAAUAGCAACUGCCUUUUAAGAAAAUAAUAUUAAAACUGGAAAAGGGUAAAAAAUACCCCUAAACUAUCUGAAAUGGAUCAAAAAUACCCGUCGUUAGUUUUUUAGCUCAAAAAUACCCCUUCGUUAAAUAUUUGGCUCAAAAAUAUCCCUCCCCUUAACGGAAUUCGAAAAAGGAUCAAAAAUACCCCUGAACUAUCUGAAAUGUAUCAAAAAUACCCCUUGUUAGUUUUUUGGCUCAAAAAUAUCCCUCUGUUAAAUAUUUGACUAAAAAAUGCCCCUCCCCUUAAUGAAAUUCCAUCAAGCAUGCUACCUAGAUAAAAAAAAUCACGUGACUAUGCCACAUUACCAUCCACAUGUAAAAUGUUAGUAUGUUUUAAUUAUAUGACAUUCCUUUCUUUUUUUUUUCUUUUUUGCAAAGCAAUUUUAUUGAUCUGAAAAAAAUAAUAUGAUAAGAGAAAUUAAAAAUUUCUAAAAAUAUUUAAAUAAAAUAAAAUUAAUCAGUUUUUUACUGGAUUUAGUUUAACGUUUUUAGGAUUUCUCGACCUUGGGAAGGUACUAAAUAAAUUUUGUUAAAGGAGUACAAAUUACUCAAUUUUUUUCAUUAUACGAUAAACUUUUCACUUAGAUUAUUAAGGAAAAUUAUAUCCAUGUUUUUCUAAUGAUUAAAAUAUAUUAAAUGUCAUUUACUUUUCUCAAAGUGGAAUCUUAAAAAAUUCUAAGAAUACUUGAUGAUUCAACAUAAAAUUAGAAAAACUAUCAACAUUCAUUAUGUCCAGAAAAAAUAAAUCAACAUCACUGAAUAUAAUCUUUUUAUUUAACUCCUUCACCAAGAAGAAAGGAAUGCCAUAUAAUUAAAAAGUAACAUUUUACAUGUAGAUGGUGACGUGGCAUAGCCACGUGGAUUUUUUUCUUUAUCUAGGUGGCAUUUUUGAUGGCAUUUCGUUAAGGGGAGGGGUAUUUUUGAGCCAAAUAUUUAACAAAGGGGUCUUUUUGAGUCAAAAAACUAACGAGGGGUAUUUUUGAUCCAUUUCAGAUAGUUCAGGGGUAUUUUUGAUCCUUUUUCGAAUCCCGUUAAGGGGAGGGGUAUUUUUGACCCAAAUAUUUAAUGGAGGAGUAUUUUUGAGCCAUAAAACUAACGAGGGGUAUUUUUGGUCCAUUUCAAAUAGUUCAGCGGUAUUUUUGAACCUUUUCCGUAUUAAAAAAAAAAACUUUUCCUACUAAUACAGCAGCCAUAAUAGUCUUCUUUGAUGUUCGAAAACUUGAUGAAGGAGGCAUAUUGUUUGGAUAGUAUGGUACCCAGAAUCGGGCACAAAAAACGAGAAAAGAAAAAAUAAAAAAAAUAUCACAAAAAUUUAGAUAAAAGAAUUUAACAAAAAGUUGCAACAGACAAGUCAUUUGGAACAACAUGCUCAACAUGCAAGAAGUAGAAUCUUGAUCUUUUGUAGCAUUCCUAAAACAUCAUUUAUAUUUGUCCUUCUUGCCGGAGAUUCAGCACAACAAUCUAAUGCCAAUUUCAUGAUUGAUGCCACAACAUCUAGCUUCUUCGGUAAGCGAUUGCCAGUUGAUGUUAGCAAGUUGGCAUCUAUGAAAUCCAUUACUGCAUCUGGAAGUGAAUAACUCACCCAUUGCUUCAAGCUAAGAUCUCCCUCAAACUCAUUAGGCUUUCUCCAAGUAAACGUUUCCCGCAACAUGACCCCAUAACUAUAGACGUCACAUUUUGUUGACACUAGUCCUUCCAGUCCAUACUCCACAUUCAAACAAUUCAUUUAAAGAUGCAAUAUACUUGCUAGGUGGGAAAAAAAAAAGGAAUAAUCAGCAAAACAAAGAGACGUACCCGGUGCAAUAUAUCCCAAUGUUGCUAAAGUUUUAUUGUAUAAAUCACUCUCAUCUUCACCAAGUAGUUUUGAAAUGCCAAAGACACUUAGGUGGGCAACCAUAUCCUCAUCCAGCAAGACAUUACUUGGCUUCAGAUCACAAUGAAUCACAGCCGACGAACACCCAUGAUGGAGAUACUCCAAUGCACAUGCAACAUCUAUCAUUAUGCUUUGUCUCUGCCUGAUGUCGAGAAAGUAGUUGUGAGAAUACAAAUACUUUUCAAGACUUCCAUUUGGCAUAUACUCGAGCACUAAGGCCCUAAAAUCAAGGUUGGAACAACUAGUAAUGACUUUUACGAGAUUCCUGUGGUGAAGGCUGCGCAGAACUUCACAUUCCGUAUCAAAGCUCUUAAAUGCCUCCUCUAGUUGCAGAUUGAACACUUUGACUGCAAUGGCAGUUCCACUUCUGAGAACGCCUUUGUAAACAGAUCCAAAACUUCCGGAACCAAUCAGAUUACUCUCGCUAAGUGCAUCAAUUGCUUGGAGCAGUUCAUAAUAUGAAAUUCUUUCUCUUGUUAUGGCAGCCAAUGAAUCAGGUUGUUGAGGAGCCCUUUUACCUCUUCUAUACCUUAUCCAUAAAAAAACAAUAAUGCUUGGAACAAAUACUAGUGCAAUUCCCAGCAAAAGAAAAAGAACAAGCACUUUUUUCCUAUUAAAUCUAUGCUUUAAUGAAGUGGGGCAUGGAGGAAUACUAAACCUUGAAGAACCACACAAUGCUUCAUUGCAGAUGAAAAACUGACUUGAGAGGUUCUUGAAAGGACCCCUCGAGGAUAUUUCACCAUACAAUUUGUUGACAGAAACAUUGAAAUAUUUCAGAAAUAUUUCAGGGUUUGAAGUUUCUCCAAAGACAUAGGAAUGAUUUCUGAUAUAUUAUUGUUAGAAAGGUCUAGGAAUUCCAAACCUACCAUGUUGCUCACUGAGUCAGGUAUAGAUCCUUGCAAUUUGUUAUGUUUCAAAGAAAGGUGCACCAGAGUUUGCAAUCCUCCAAUUUCUCUAGGAAUUUCAUUUGAGAAUUGAUUCAUUGACAGAUCUACCAAUGUUGCAGCCUUUAGAUUUCCAAUUUCUGGAGGUAAAGAACCUACCAUGUUGUUUGAUGAUAAGUCAAGAACCACUAGAUCCUGAAGGUUCCCUAAGCUUGGAGGUAUAUUGGAACUCAAUUUAUUGGAAUCGAGAUGUAUCUCCCUAAGCGAAGAAAUUUUCCCUAAACAAUUAGGAAGAAAUCCUGAGAGUUGAUUUUGGCCCAAGUAAAUAUCACCCAAAUGCUCUAAUUUACAUCUAUGAUCUCCAAUAAAUCUUGUAAGUUUGUUGCUACUCAAGCUGAAGCGCUGAAGGUUUCUCAAGUUGCCAAUUGUUGUUGGAAUCCAUCCCGCCAAGCUGUUUGCAGAAAGAUCAAGGUCUAAUAAGCUGCUUAAGUUCCCGAAAUCAUUUGGAAUUCGACCUUUGAUCUUGCAACCGUUGGCGUAAAAUUUUAUGAGAUGUUGAAAAGUUCCCUACGGAGACUGGAAGCAUGCUGUUUAGAGGGUUUAAAGAUAGAGAAACAGCUGUUAAAUUUCUGCAAUUGGUUAAGGAAGUUAGGAAGCUUAACGAAGAGUCGCUGGUUAAAUUGUUUUCUAUCAUGUUUAGGAACUGUAGAUGAGUCAAAUAUCCAAGAGAACUAGGAAUAAAGCCAGUGGGUUUGUUGUAUGAAAGAUCUAGAAUGGUAAGUUCGGAACAAUUGGAGAUAGAAUGAGGAAUAGUCCCAACAAGAUUGUUUAUGUCUGACAGAUAAAGCUCUUCAAUGUUGGGUAAGAGAUAACCUAAGUUUGGUGGGAGGCUUCCUGAUAGAUUAUUGAAUGAAAGAUAAAUUACUCUCAGCCCUGAUAUGUUGAAGAUCUCCAUUGUAAGAGGACCACUAAAUCUAUUACGACCAAGAUGAAGUUCCUCCAACUCAAUGAGAUUGCUAAUCUCUUUGGGUAUUUCACCUGGCAAAACAAGGACAAAAAGGAAUACUAGUGAGUUAACUAGCAUAAGUUGUACCUCUUGCUAUAUCACUUUGAUUACGUACCGGUAAGCCUAUUUUGUUCAAGAUCUAAUAAUUGCAUCUUGGUUAAGUUGCCAAUUUUACGUGGUAAGAAUCCGUUAAGAUUAUUCCUCGACAGUGAAAAAACCUGCAACACCGAGAUAUUGAAUAUGGAGAUUGGGACUGAGCCGGUCAUCUGGUUUUCCUCCAUCCAUAACUCCAUCAAAUUAACAAGAUUUCCAAUUUCUUGUGGAAUUAUCCCUGCAGUUAAAGUGUAGUUAAUUUUUUAUUUUGAAGUAUAAAAUAUUACUAGUAUUCAUAAGAUGAAAAGUACCAGAGAAAUGGUUAGUUCCGAGUCCUAAUAUCUGCAAGUUACUCAAUCUUCCAAUUUCACUAUGUAUUGGUCCAUCAAACUCAUUUUCCGAUAAAGAGAAAAUUUGAAGUUGUGAACAAUUUGAUAAGCUCGUAGGCAUAUGACCACGAAGCUUGUUUAUGGACAAAUAAAGCCCUUUGAGUAUUGGGACACCAUUGCAUAAACCAUUGGGAAGAUCUCCUGAUAAGCUAUUGCCGGUAAAUGCAAUAACUCGAUUCUAGAAAUAUUGAAAAUUGUGAAUGGUACAGAACCCACUAGCUGAUUAUACUCUAUGACCAACGAUUUCAUGUUGUGAAGAUUGCCGAUCCCUUCUGGAAUAUUUCCUUAAAGUGAAUUAUAAGAUAAUUCUAACGUCUGCAACCUUGAGGCAUUCGCGAGAGACACAGGGAUAUGACCUUCUAAGGAAUUGAAUGCCAAAUUCAACAUUUCAAGCUUUGAAAUAUUAAAAAAUGAAGAGGGAAGGGAGCCGGUGAAACUAUUAUUCCUAAGACUUAGAACUUGAACUUGGUCUAAAAAUCCAAACCAAGAAGGAACCUCCCCGCUGAAGCUGUUGAAACUUAACCUAAGAAACUUAAGUCGAUGCAGUCGUGCCAUUUCUUGAGGCAAAUUACCCUGGAAAUUGUUGCUUUCCAAGUCAAGAGAAACAAGAAAUGAGAGGUUUCCAAAUUCCCGGGGAAUCCUGCCUGUAAGAGCCAUGUUGGAAAGAUUCAAGGACUUCACUCGCUGGUGACCAGAGCCACAAGUGACUCCAACCCAAUGACAAAUGGACGUAGCGGGAGACCAACUUUCAUCCAAGAAGUGAAAGGGAUCGGAAAUGAUUUGGGAUUUCAAAGCGAGAAGAGCGAAUUGAUCAAUGGUAAUAUUUGUUUUUGUCAUGUCUGAACUAGCCAUGACAUAGUGAAGCAACAAGAGUACUAUUAAGAGAAAAGAACUGAAGGCUUUCUCCAUUAUUGCAAAAAUUAGUAGGAAAAUGGUAUGGCUUAUAGCAUGUGGUUUUGAGACUUUAAAUCGCAAUGAAAUCUCCCUUUUGGUCUUCAUGAUUUUGAAAAAAAAUACUUCAUUUAUUCUGUCAUAUUCAACGGCGGAGUUGAAAUUUUCAUUUAGGGGUUUCAAAAUAUAAAGAAGUAAAUUCACGAAAAAGUUAAGGAUUUAUUCUGUCAUAUUCAACGGCGGAGUUGAAAUUUUCAUUUAGGGGUUUCAAAAUAUAAAGAAGUAAAUUCACGAAAAAGUUAAGGAGUGUCAAUAUGUAAUAUAUACAUUAAAAAUAUAUAUAUUUUUACCUAGCAACAUAAUGUAUUUUUCCGACGAACAUAUAGCUCCCCCAUUGGUCAUAUCAAUUCUAAUUUCACCAAGUCUUGCACGUUUCAAUUAGAAUUGUAAUAUGGUUCAUAAAUUCCUCUAAUCAGAAAAAGACUUGUGCAAGUCAAUCAAAUCUUGCUUUAUUUUCUCUAGAAUUGUGUGGCGCAAAAAUGUAAUGCCAUGUUCCUCAAAUAAGUUAAUUUUACUAACUUAUAUUAUACGCUUGAGAGUUUUAUUUACAUGAUUAAGAUAGUUUAGGGAGAAAGUUUCGAAAUAUACCUAAAUUUUGGCGAAAUUUGUUGUUACAUGUUUUAACUUUGCAGGGUCCUAUCACCCUCUAGUUAUUUUUUACCGUAUUUCUGUGACAUAUAUUUGCUAGCUGGAUUACUACGUGAAUAAACGCACACUAUGCGCGUAAGGGUCUAAAGUAGGCCAACUAAGCAAACAUAUGCUGCAAAAAUAUGAUAAAAAAUAAUCUAUGAGGAUCAUAGAACCCCCGUAAAGUUGAGGCGUGUUACAACAAAUUUAUCAAAGUUUAGGUAUAUUUUUCGGACCUUUGUUCAAAUAGUUUGUAUAGCUGAUCAUAACUUGUUUAUAAUCCUUUUAUCUCUUACUAGGACAGAAUCUGUAGACUUUUACAUUCUAGUUACUUUUUGAGUUUUUGUAGAAGUUAAUUUAGCUCAUUUUUAUAUGGAAUGGUAGUAUAAAAUGAGCUUUUGAUUAUUGUUUAUAAUUUAUUUGAAAUUUGGACUUGUUUUAGAGUAUGUUUUCAUGAACUUCUUUAUUAAUAAAAAAAUACACAGCAUUAAAUUAUAUUGGCAUAGUCUAUAAUUGAUUAUAGUCACUACUGUUUGGGUAAUGUAUAUGACAACAUGAAAGAUAUAUUUACAUUCUGGAUGAAAGAUAACGCAUUUAGCAAAUUGUUCUAUCGUAGUUUAAUAUCUCGAUGAGACUAUUUACUUUUAAUUUUUAGGAUGUUUUUACAUUUUUUUAAAAUUCUAAAAAAGUACACAUGUAGAGCAUGUUUGGAUUGUCUUAUUUUAAAUGUUUUUAAGCCAAAAAAAUCUUUUAAACACUUUCUUUGUGAACUUUUCAUAACUAUCGUGUUUUCUAGACAUGUUCUAUCCCUUUUCCAGACAUGUUCUAUCUCUUUUAUUCUAAAUAUUUUUUAGUUAGUUUAAAUUGGAGGAUUCUCUUGUUAUCUCGAAAUUAAUAUUGAUUUAUUUUAAUUAAUGACAUGAACCUCAAAUAAAAGGCCACGUGACAAGGCAGUUUUUGCAAACCCACCGUUAAAAAGUAAUGACAUGAAUGAGCUAGUUUUGUAACCGUGAUGGUAUUAAUGAGACAAACUUUUAACUGAUGACAUAAAUGAGACUUUCUGAUAGUUCAAUGGCAUAUUUGAGUCUUUUUCCUUACAUUAAAUGUGGACCUCAAAUAAAAGGCCACAUGGCAAAACUGUUUUUGAAAAACUACUGUUAAAAAGAAAUGACAUGGAUGAGCUGAUUUUGUAAUGGCGAUGACAUGAAUGAGCUGAACUUUUAAUUGAUGGCAUAAGUAAGUCAUUCCUGAUAGUUCAAUGACAUAUUUGAGUCUUUACCCUUAUUUUUAUCACUUCAUUUAAGCACAUAUCACUUUUAAAUUGUAAAAUGUUUAAAAGUUUUCUUUGUUUUAAUUGAUAUAUAAAAUUUAAAUUUUUAAGUGACAAAAGACUAUUUAAUUAAAAAUAUGUAAUUAAGUAGUGGAUUCAAUAUUUUUGUAAGAAAAAUCAAAUUAUUAAUAAAAAAAAAUAUUAGGCAACAAAUUUAACGUAUAAUAUAUUCAUAAAUAAAAAUUAUAUUUAUAGUACAAUUUUUUAAUAGAAAAAUAUAUUACCAAAAAAUAAUGAGUUGCGAAUGAAAUGGUAUUAAAAAUUAUGGGAAUAUAUAUGAAUGUGAAAAGUGAUAUAUAAAAGCGGGUUUAAGGAGCGUAUUUUUGUUAUUUUACACAUUUUAUCGAGGUAUAAGUUAUCCCAGUAUUACUAUACCACUUUAAGAUAUGGAUAACUUAUCCCAACACUAACUAUUAAUCUUAGGAUAAGUUAUUCCACACUUCAAUAACAAACAAGGGAUUAAGGGUUACUAAAAAGUUAUUCUGAGAUUAUCUUUCUGUAUCCCUCACACCAAAUGACCCCAAAAAGAUUAAAUUCAUAAAAUUUUAAUUUGGAAUCUGCAAAUUUUAAUUUGCAAUCCGCCUAUGUCAUUGUAAGAAUGACAUAUAGUUGGUGUUUGACUUGGAAAAAAACAUCAAGUGGCAGACCAAGAAAGAAAUAUAGUUAGUGCUUGACUUGGAAAAAAAUCGUCCAAUAAUUUUACAAUCAAAUGUACAGUUAGUGCUCAUGAUAUGGUGUACAAUUUCUUGGAAGUAGAUACUUCAAAAUGGCUAAACAUUUUCCUAUAGGUUGAUUUUUCCUAUGUUGCUCCAUAUUACCUGCUCUCAUCAAGCUCAGAAGAAAAUUUUGGAAGAUAAUACUUUUUGUAUAGAUACAUGUUAGGCAGUCAAAUAUGAUCCAAAAGUUUAUAGACCCAUCCAAUUUGCCCAAAAUUUUAAGGAUUGAACACAAUAUAAUUUCUCAAUAUAUUGACUGAUUUUAGCUCAACUCAACUUAAUCCAUCUCCAAAGGGUCAUUUGCAGAUGAGUUAUUCUGGGGUGAUAUUUCUUUUUUCCUUAAGUACUUUAAGUUAUAAGAAAUGACCCAAAAAUGCCCUUGACAGUGAAAAACGAAAAAAAAAAAAAUGCAAGGCAAAAAAUUUGCUAGGCAUAAAUUCAGUGGCGCAAGUUAUGUCCCAAACAAAGAUCUCUAAAAGUCUUGCCCUGCAAAAUAGAUAUUUCCUCUAUUAAUUUUUACUUAUCCAUUUUAGACUUCCCACACCCCUUAAGAAAUUGUUGGUUUUAAUAGAGAUGAGUUAGAGAAGAACGCAGAGAGGGUUUUUUUUUUCUUUUUUUUUUAUAAAGCUAAAUUUUUUAUUGAUCAUCAACUCCUCCUUAAAUAGUGUUAUUACAGAUAAAAAUAGAUUAAACUUACCAUAAAAGAAAACCUAUUUGCUACCAAAAAUAACAACUAAUCAGUUUCCUACCAAAAAUAGAAAUCCCAAUUUAACUAGGAGUUGUAUGUAAAAAAGUUGGAGAAAAAUAAAAAAUAAAUCACGUGCAUUGUUCCUUAAAAAACUUUUAACACUCCUCCUUGCUUUAGAAACUGCAACAUUUUGGUCUUCUUUCUUGGGAUCUCCACACUUGAUAACCGAAAGUGACCUUGUGAAUAAAUCUACAAAUUCAUCUUUUGACUUGUAGUGAACUAAAUUCACUUCUCAUCUUCAAUGGAACCCUUGACUAUUCAAUUCUAUUGACAUGUCAUCCUGUUUUAUUUGCAUCUUGAAUUUAAACUUACCUGUUUUAUUUUUCUGAAACAUAGAUAACUCCUCCUUAGCUUCAAUUCCUUUAGGGACAUUGAAAGCUCAUUUAGACCUAACAGGUUCAUAUUGCUUGUGCUUUUUCAAUUAUAGGAUCAUCUUCUUCUUUUUUAAGCUUAUGAUCUUUUUCAUGUUCUACAGAAACAUCUUUCAUUGGAUAAAAUAAUAAAAUGUUUACCUCUCAUCUUAAUGUUUAAAACUUCUUUUCCAGCACCAUCAUUGAAGAAGCAAUGUUUAUCCUCAAAGGAUACUUUGUAUGCUUUUUCUACCAACUGACAAGUACUCAACAAGUUUUGAUCUAUAUCAGGUGCAUAAAGAACAUCAAAAAUUGCUUUAUUACCUGAACGUGUAUUGAUGACAACAGUUCUUUUUUCUUCAACAAGAAUCUAGUUACCAUUUACGAUCCUAACUUUGGAUAUUUCAGUAGGCUUUAAUUCUUUAAACAAACUCUUGUUAUAGGUCAUGUGGUUGGUACAACCUCUAUCAAUCAACCAAAAAUUUGUUGAAACUUUACUUGAGAUACAUGUUGCAAGAAAAAGAUGUUCUUCUUUUUCUUCUUCUUCUUCAGUGACCAUACAUGCAUCUGCUUCAUGAUUCUCAAAUUUGCUUUAGGAAAUCACUGCUUCAUGGACAAGUUGAUUGCGCUUGAUGCACUUCGCGUCUGACCUUUUCCAAAAUCUAUAUAGUGGAUGACUCAUUUUUCCAUAGUGCUCACAAGGUAGGUAAUUUUUUAAAUUUUUAUCCCUUCUUUGAGUUUUGUGGUUGGCUACUAAGGCUCCUUCAACCGUACCAUCUUGCCUCAUAAGUUUUCUUUGGUACAAUGCCUGAAAAGAAUUUAACAACUCUGCCAAGGUAAUCUUGGACAGAUCUUGUGUUUUUUCCAAGGUAGUUAUACAUGCUUCACAACUUUUGGGCACUGUAACAAGAAUGUUUUCAAUAAUUCUUGAAUCUUUAAAUUCAGUGUCAAGUAAUCUUACCUUGUAAACAAUACAAAGUAAUUUGUCUGAGUAUUCUUUGACUGUCUCGGAGUCUUUCAUUCUCUGCAAUUCGAACUCUCUUAUUAAAUUUAAUCCUUACAUUACAAGGAUUCUUUCAUCUCAAGCAUAUUCAUUCUUCAGAUAAUCCCAAAUUUCCUUUAGUGAUGUGAGAGACAUAAUUCUUGUAAAAACAGUUGUUGAAAAAGAAGCAAAUAGAGUUACCUUUGCCUUAGACUUUGGGUUUUUCUUUCCCUUGUGACUCUUGAUUUGGGUUAUGAUGGGAAUAUUUGAUAGCAGAUUAAUUUCAUAAUCCUUUUCCACAGCUUCCCAUAGAUCAAGAUCCUCCAAGUAAGUUUCCAUUAUCACAACCCAUAAUUGAUAAUUUUCACCAUAAAAAAUGGGUGGAGCCAUUCGUGAAAAACUAUUUUCAGAAUCCAUCUCUUCACUCACAGGUUCCUCAAGAAAAAUAUCUCUAGAUACCAGUUGUUGGUUUUAAUACUUUUAAAAUAACAUAGCAAGGAGAGCCAAGAACAUAGCCGUAACACCCCAUAGUUGUAGUGCUCUAUUAAUGCAUUUAGAAUGACCUUUAGGACCCCGUAUUGAUGGUAGACCAUGUAUAGACAGCGUGGGAGGUGUUGGGGGGGGGGGUUUGGGACCUAAAAAAUAAGUGUGCAUCGUAAGAUAGAGUCCAUGUGAUGGCCAUGCAUCGCAUUGCCAUCGCCUACCGCCACUGGAAUUGCUAGGCAAUGGGGCAUGCGUCGCCCACUUGGUUUCUAGGCAAUGAGGCGUGCGUCGCACACAUAGGUGCUAGGCUAUGGGAUGUGUGCCGCAUGGCUAAUGGCAUAGCGAUGUAAAUGCUCCAUUUUAAUUUUAUUUUAAGGAAAAUAAGGUCCUUUCACAUCCCAUAACUGUCCCUAAACACUCUUAGUCAAAAUUAAAGUCCAUAUUCAUAUUUUAUCACUGACAAAAAUCCCUAGUUCAUCUUUCUUGAGCACAAGAAGAGAAAACAACCUAGGGUUUGAGAUAUAAAGCCUCAAGGGUCAAAGUUUCUUGACGUUUUCAUUAAUCUAAGGUAUGUGGGACAACCCUAAACCUCAUGGGCAUAGUGUAUUGUUUUUAGCAAGUUUUAAAAUUAUGAAAUUAUGUAUUUAUGAAGGGUUUUGAGAACACUUUGAAGAAUAUGCAUUAUGGACCCAUUUUGAAGAAACUAUCAUAAAUUUUUCCAUAUAUUGAAUUAUACUCAUGUGUUUAAAUGUUAUACGAUUUCGAGAAUUAAUAUGAGAGCAUGAUUCAUGAAACUUCGCUCUCAACAUGGAAUAUGUUUGACUUACCAUACUAUGGGAUAUUCAAUUGCAUGUCUUAAAGCAAAAGCCAAAUGUUUUACUAUCAUAUAUGAACUUGAUGUUGGUUACAAAUUAAAGAGAGGGUGAUUUAUUUUUUAUAAAUAUUCAAUGUGAUAAUUGAAAGAAUUGCAUGGGUUGUUAGGAAGGAAUUGACCACUAUGUGUUAAAGUAUUGAAAAGAGAGAGUCUUUGCAUAAGUUUUCACAUGUUUUGAAAAAAGAACUCUCUUGCACUAUUUAAAUGUUUUGGUGGUCCGAUAACAUGUUUUGAAUGGAAAGACUACUAUAAGAUAUUGUGUGGCUUAUACGACUUGUAGGUCUUGGUAUGACGAUACCAAAUAAGACAAAAGCCAUAACAGACUCAAACCAGACUAGACUACAGACUUUUCAGACAUCAGACUACAUUUUUAGAAAGAUGCAUGUUUUAAAAGGAUAAAAAUGUGCUUAAAGAUAGUUAGAUGGUUACCUGAAGAAGGAAUUUGAGUGUAAGGGCUUAUUGCUGGAAAAUGAGUUUUGCCGAUUCGGGAGAUAUGAUUGGCUAUGGCUAAUGUAUACUUUCCCCUGAGACAAAGACCCCUAUCCUUGUGGCAUACUUGGAUUUGUGGACUUGACCGACGAGUUAAUGGAGGACCCAUAUAGCCCGUAGUUACUAGACUUAUAGGGUGUACUACCUAGCUUAGAAAUAAAAUAAAGAGUUGAGUCAUGAUUUCUAGAAGUGUUUUGAAGCUCAUUAAAUUAUGCCCAUGUAUUUUCAAUUGUUUUAUGCUGACAUGCUUUUAUGAAAUGCUCUCACCUAUAUUGUAUAAAUAUAUAUUUUUUGUUUUUGAAUUGUUCUACAUAUUAGUACCUUUGUGUAUUGACCCCCUAUAUUUCAGGUUAUGUGGUAUAGUUUCAUGGUCCAUCACAACAGUACAACACUUGGGAUUUGACGGAAUUGGUGAGCCAUUAAUCUAUUGGAAGGCAUUUAUUUAUAUGUUGCUUCUUUUAGUAUAUGGUCUAGCCGAGGCCUUUGUCCCGGCCUAGACAGUUAGUAUUCAGUAGAGUCUUUGUAGACGGUAGUUGAAGUGGUGAAUUGUCAUAUCUUAUUGACACAUUUCAGAUUUUAAGUUUCCAAUGAACACUUUAUAUCUUCCGUACUUUGAUUUAUGUAUGGAUUAUGCUUAUGAUUACAUGAUAAGAGUUCUCUCUAGUCUUCAUGGUUUGGUAUGCCCAUCAUGGACAGGGCCUCGCCUUGGGUCAUGACAAUCUUGGAAUCAGAGAAUAGUUCUUGGUCCCAGGGUGUCUAUAAAGUCGUGUCUAGUAGAGUCUUACUUAUGGGUGUGUUGUGCACCACACUUAUAAUCAGUAGGUUGUCGGGCAUUUAGGAGUUUUUUCUCAUUAUUUCAUACUCUAGUUCGUGCUAUAGCAUCGUCCAUAAUAAAGUUAUCCAAAUUCCUUCCUUGCUUUAAAUUAUUGGGUCAUGCCUCAUUGUCGAGGUGAUACAAGUCCAAGAGUUUAGAUCCCUAACAAUGUGGUCCUUUCUGAUUGAGGUAUCCAUGAAAUUAUGAGAUAGCACAAGGACUUGAGAGGAGUUCAUUAGUUCUUCAAAGUUUAUUGAUUCGAGUGUAAACCUCUAUCUUAAUGAAAUCGUGCUAUUCAGCCUGAGGUAUGAAGUGUAUUCAAUUUCUUUUAGAAUCCUUGUUGCAGAUGUCAUGCGUAAGGAUAGAGAUAUAUAGCAGAAUGUUGGAACAAUAUUUCUACCCGAGUAGUAGUAUAUUUUAAGGUGUAAUGACCUAUUGGUAGUAAGAUGAUCCCAAAGUUAGUUAUAUGAAGUCACAAGUCUAGAAGUCAGAGUGGGGGUGACUUUUACCUAAAUAAGUAGUUUUAGUUGUUUAACCCUUGACUGAGAGGUGGUUUGCUCUUUUAUGGUGAUUGGAUAUUACUGUAGCAAGAUUUUGAGAGUGUAUGGUAGUCUAUGGAGGAAGUGUUUGGCUUUGAUUAUUAUUUAAUCAUAAUAGGGAAGGAGCCUAGAGUGGAUAGUCAUGGUAGUUGUAGAAAUUAUUUAUAAGUGGUAAAUAUAAAGGGGUAGAUUAGUCAAUAAGUUAUGGGUAGAGACUCAUUGAUGCUUAUGGGAUUUUUAAAAGUAGUCUAAACGUGUGCAUGGGUAAGUAGAUUUAAUGUGAGAAAGUAGAGCAUGUUGAGAAGGUCAUAAUGGGUUAUAUUAUAAGAUUAAGAUCGACUAUCCCUUUUAUGUGACUUUAUCCCCCACCCCCGAUUGUCAUUUCUCUAGUAGUUAUAAACUAGUACUGCAUAUGAGAAGGUGUGUGGUAGAUUUUAAGGUGUAGUAGAAGUGUUGUGCUGAAAAAUAAACUUAUGGGCUGUAGUUACGUGAAAUAAGAGACUUCGGUUGAUUUCCCCAUUUAAUGGACUAGUAUAAUAUAUGGCAUGCUUCAUCAGUGGUACAUGAUUGAUGCUAGACUAUAGGCUUGAACUUUAGAUGUGGAUUGAGGUGGUAUGAAUAGUAACUUAAGAUUAAUGAUGCAUGUUUUGUGGGAGUAAGUAGUAGGCUUGAUUUAUGUGUGCAAUAGCCUAAAUUAGCAACUUACGGAAUAAGGAGUGGAUAAUUGUGAUAUAUAUAUAUAUAUAUAUAUAUAUAUAUAGUCGUGAGGACUAUUGUUAAAGAUAAUGAACUGUGGUUGAGUUAUUAAAUGUAUAAGAGCGUUAAAUAAAUAAGAAUAAGUGGAACCUCCAGGCAGCAUGUUGUUAGAUAAGGCCUUAUAUUGUUAAGUGUCUUGCGUACCUAGUUUGUGUUCCUGAAUUUUGUAGUAUGGAGAAAUCUGGGGAGUUGUUAUAUGGUAUUCUUCAGAGUUGAAUUAAGGAAAUAUAGGUAGGCCAUAUGCACCUUUGUUAUAGUUUUGCAAACUUUGUUAAGUUGUAAGUUAUGUGAUUAGAGGUCUAAUGUUUGAAUGUUAAGUAGUGGAGAGUGGAUUUUUUUGUGAUAAGGAGUGAAGAUAUGUAUGCUUAUGAAACUGUGAGUUGUAGGGUGAUGGAUAUAGUGGCUAGCAAAAGUUAAGAGUAGUAUUUCGGAAAGCAAUGCCUUCAGAUCAUAGUUUAUCAGGGGGAGUGUACCCUUUAUAAUGUGUAUAGUGAUAUCCCGUUGUGUUGAGUGUUGUUAUUGUAUAUUUAACAAGAAGCUAUGUUCUCAAGUCUAGGAUUGUGACUUUGAUCUAAAGGGGAGAUGGUGAAUUAAGGUGGUUCCCAAAUUUUCUUGUGGUAUCAAGUUUCAUAGAAUAGUCAUGGUAAAUCUAUUCUUAUUCAAUCAAGCUCCUCCUAUUUCAAUUUAAGAGGUCAUUCUACUAAUGUCUAAUGUAUUCAAGUUAUGACUAUGUCUAUGGUUCAAGUUCCCUAUGCACUUAUGUCCAUGAUCUGACCUCCAAACUAAAAGAAAUAAUGUCCCUCAGCAAGCUAAUCUUUCAUUUAUUAAAGAUUCACGUUAUGAUUGUUAAUUAUCCAUAACUUCAUGUCUCAUAUCAUGUUUAGUUCUAAGGAACUAUGAUUUCUAUACGUUACCAAUUUGUUUUAUAUCGGGUUUAGCCCAAAGUUAUAAAGUUUAUGCAAACUCAUGACUAUCUCAACUCUGAAAAUGAGAAGCACUAGCUUCAAGUAUCAAUCCAAAUCUCAAUCGUUGACUUCAUGAAUUCCAGUUUUAUGCUAUGUAUAGCUCAUGAUGAAUGUGAUCAUAUUUCUGUCACGACGUGAGACUACCCUCUAGUCGUAACACGAUUCUUGGAACCACAAGUGAUCCAAAGCUAACCCAUGAGUUGGCAUACUGCUUGAUCAAUUGAUUCAAUAUAUUAAAUAACUAGUUAUGUUGUGCGGAAACAUAAUCACAAUAAAAUCUGAAUAAGCAUGUAGCUAAUAAAAUUUUACAAUCUGAUAAAACUGAGGAUAGAACUCAAAUUACAUGACUUACUCUGACUGACAUUUAGGAAGCCUCUACUAUACUGACUAUAGAUAGCUGGGACAUGCCUCCAGCUACCAUUAAUCAAUACAUAUGAAUAAUAAAAAAAAAGCACAUAGUCAACAUCUGGAGUCCCUGAAAUAGGAAAACUCAUCAUCUGCUAGCUGGAAACUAUAACUGUCUGAUCAUGAUGUGUGGGCUACAACUGGUACCUAAAUUAUGAAACAAUGUAGCCACACAGACGUAUAUAUGGAUCAGUACUUCUGGAAUGUACUAAGUAAGUGGGGGUGAAUGCAAUAAGUAAAACUGAUUAUAUAUGAAAUCUUAAAGCAUGCAUGCUAAGUGCAAGUAAACUCACCAGAGCCUGAAAUAAACUGAAACUCAAUAUAUCUUAAAAAAUGAUUAACAAACAAAAGCUGAUAAGCUGGCGAGUCACUACACUUAGUUUCUUAAAGCUUUUCUUUCGUAGAAUAAGUAGAACUGAAGUUGGAAAACAAUAAAACAUGGAUACUAUAUGAAUAUUGGGUCUAAAACUAUGUGAUGGAAAUUGACAUAACUCGAGGAUCUGAAUAUACAAAUAUACUGAGAACGAAUGAAUAAACACUCAAAACCAAACAUAACAUAUACUAAGCUAAUCUAAUUAACUGAAUGAUUGAUAGCUGAAUACUGAAUAAUUGACGUCUGAAUACUAACUAUCUGGUAUCUGGAUACUGAUUAACUGAUAACUGAAUACUGAUCAUGUAAAACUGAACUAUACUUAGUCUGAAUAACUAGACUAAAACUAUGGGGUACUUUGCAUAUGAGAUAAGGACUAACUGAACAACAUGAGGUAACUGAGCAUAAAUGCAUGAAAACUAUAAUAUCUAAGAAUGAAAGACUAAGUGUGUAUCUGUUAUGUCACUGAGAAAAUCUGUAAUUCUAAAAUACUGAAAUUUGUAUAACUGAAUAUCUAAAAGUUUGUACACUUAGUCAAGCAAACCUGAAAUGAAAAUACAUUGAAUACUAUACUAAGACUAUGGGAGGUAUCAUGUAACUGACAUGCCCCAAUCUGAGCUAAUUAGGGUCCAACCUGUAACCCCAGUUGGAAGGGUGUUAGUACCUUGCCACGGGUAUUAACACUGGCUGACGAUGUGGAUCCACAAGGCUAAUGUAUCGAAGGACUAAGGAGUCAGUUUUAACUAGCGGGUGACUCAUAAGAGAGUGUUAGUCCUAAACUGGCGGGUGACGUAUCAUAAAUCCUAUGCUGGCUACGUAGUUCUGGAACUUAGGGACUGCUACUAAAGACCCAGUCCUAGUUGGUGGAAGAGCCCUGUACUAAAUCCUACUCCCAACUAAAAAACACUGAAACACAAUCUGGUGUAUGCACUAUAACUGAUAAGCUAAGCUUAGGUCAUAGUAUUAUGAAAAUAACAGUGCAUGCAUAAUCUUGAAGAAAUCAUGAACAUGUGAACGAAUAUAUUUAACAUAAAAUAAAUACUGGUGGGUUCAUUAUAAAAAUGAUGAUCUGAACAUGGUGAUAAAAUCAUGACUCUAACUGACUUGUUACUUGAAAAUGCAAUUAUGUAAAAAUACAUAGGUAUCGGGUGUUCAUAACCCACCCGCACUGAAUGAGUAUAAAAUAUGAUAUCAAACUUGAAAUACAGUAAUAAGUGAUUAUGGUUCAAAGACCCAAACAUGGUAUUUCAUCAAUCAUAUAAAAAUCAUAACCUUAGACAUGAGAGUAUCUUCAACAUGAGGAAAAAAUAGGAUUACAUGGCUAAAUUCAUAACUUGGGAAUUUAUCAUGAAAUUCUCUUUCAUAAGGCAUGGAAAAUCAAAAACUUGGGACAUGAGAUAACCAAUCUUUUCAUGGGAUCAUACUAGGACAUGAAUUGAGUCAAAUUACUAAGGAGAAACAUGAUUUAAAUGCAUCUUGAAUAUAUACAACUUCAUAAUAAUGGAAAAAUUCAUACUUUAAAUCAAAGAGAGGUAUUUGGGCUCCAUGGAUGAAAGGGGACCAUGGAUGAACUCCCACAAACCUUAAUAGAUUAUUUCUUGAGGAUUUUCUUGAGGGUUUAUUAAACAUGAAGCUUGAAGUCCUUGUCUUCUUAAGAGGAAAAGCUUGAACUUUGUUCAUGGGGACAGGGGAGCAUUUUUACGUGAGAAAUUUUAAGGAAGAUGGACAAAUAAUGCCCUUUUGGAUGCUAUAAGUCUUCCUUUGGACGUUUAGGGUUGAGGGGAAAGGAUCAAAGUUCCCCUUGACCCCUAAAAAGUUGAAAUGGUGUGGUAAUAGACCUUACAACAUGCCCCUUAACCCGGGGGAGUAGCCCCUGUGGCGCACACUCCAGUCCAGCGGUGUAAGCCCUGCGGCACGGGCUUAUCGCGCACUCUCACGGUCUGUCAAAGAAAUAUCUAUACUUUUUUCUUGGGUAUUAGAGUAAUGAAAAAUUGGUAUUGUUGGAAAGAUAACUCAAUUAUAUACAAUUUGGUGGGUCCUGAGCUGAAAAAUUCCACUUAUAUCAAAAGUUAUACGCAGUCAAUGUAGACCCUUCUAGAAUCAAAUAUCAAACUUGGAUAAAUCAAGGACUCUUAGCUCAACUUUGUUCUAAGUAAUUCCUAUGAACAUUUUUCACCUCGAAAGCACUUCACAUACUAUGAUAAUGAUCAUGACACAUAUAUUAACAUACAAAUCAUGGGAUUAAAGUUCACACACGUAGGAACGACUCUUCAAAGUCUAGCCCAAAAAUAUGGGGCAUUAUAGUUUCUCACUGUGUCCAGUCCUAAGAACUCAUAUUGUGUUGUGUUUAUGAUGAAGGACUCUCUACUUAUGAUCUUUACACUUGAUAUAUGAAGCACUCCGUAUCUAUUGUAUCGUAUCUUCACCUCAUGUUCCACCUUGAGUGGUGCAAUAAGUAUAAGUUAUAGUCGAAUAGUGUUACUCCCAUUCAUGAUGCUUAUGCUCGGGUCCCUCAAUGACCCUCCAAAUGAUAGUAUUAUUGUAAUUAUGGAAGAGUAGUAGUGACUUAAGUAGGGGGAGUAGAUGUUCUUGAAUGUGAAAAUUUUAAUGUAAUUUCUUUAGCUAAGGUUAUAGGUGAAGGGGGAAAGAAGGAAAUGAAAUUUCAUUAUGUAAAAUAGUUAGGAAAGAUAUAUUUGGUGAAAAUAUUUAUGAGAGUGAUUGAAUUUGCUGAUCUUAGUUGGGAGAUCCAUGAGGUGGGUGUAGUAAAGAUAGGCUUGAAUUUUUUGAUAGAUGAGAACACAAACCAAUGUGCUAUGUGGUUAGUACUUCUUGAAUCAAGUCCUGAGGUUGCUAGAUUAUAGUGAUGAGGUGAAGUGACAUUCUUUAAGGGAUAUAGAGUAUGGGGUUCCAUAGCUUAUUCUAGCACCUCUUUUCUCUGAGUUAGGAUUCAACAUAGAAGUACUAUGCAGUGGGACUUAAACUCUUGUGGUUAGAAGUGUGAUGGGAGAAUUGUAAGUUGGAAAUGAUGAAGUAUUUUAUUUAUUAUUUGGGGCAUAGUUGAGUAGUGUCUCCAUGUUUUAGGUCUAUUCGUUGUAUCUUGUAUGGUAAAGAAUAUUUCUAUUCCUAUCUCCCGCGAAAUCUUAUUUCAUAAUUAGUACUGAUGUAAAUCAGGCCUAUGAUUUCCAAAUAAACUCAUACCCUAUGUUGUGAUGAUCAUGAUCCCUAGAACUCAUGUACAAGGUUAUCUCUAUGUUAAUUCUUAUUAUCUCACGCUUCUUGUUUACACGAUACACUAGAGGUUAUUAUGAAGCACUUUUGAUACCUUUGCAUAUUUUGUUGUAAGAAAAAAUGUUCAAUGCAAGGUUACGUCCUUUAUUCCAUACUUUUAGAGCUUCAACAAGUUCCUAUCCAUCAUUCUGGGAUGAAUGAUCCCAAGGGGAAGAUAAUGUAACAGCCCAUAGUUGUAACUCUCUAUUAAUGCAUUUAGAAUGACCUUUAGGACCCUUGUAUUGAUGGUAGACCAUGUAUAUACACUGUGGGAGGUGUUGGGGGUCUUUUGAGACCUCAAAACUAAGUGUGCAUCGCAAGAUAGAGUCCAUACGAUGGUCGUGCAUCAUAUUACCAUCGCCUACUGCCACUGGAAUUGCUAGGCAAUGGGGCAUGCGUCACCCACUUGGUUGCUAGGCAAUGGAGCGUGCGCCACCCACAUGGGUUCUAGGCCAUGGGCUAUGCGCCACAUGGCUAAUGUCAUAGUGGUGUAAAUGCUCCAUUUUUAUGUUAUUUUAAGGGCAAUAAGGUUGUUUCACAUCCCAUAGCCGUCUCUAACCACUUUUAGUCAAAAUUAAAGUCCAUAUUCACAUUUUAUCACUGACAAAAAUCCUUAGUUCAUCUUCCUUAAGCACAAGAAGAGAAAAUAACCUAGAGUCUGAGAGAUAAAGCCUCAAGGGUCAAAGUUUCUUGACGUUUUCGUCAAUCUAAGGUACAUGGGGAUAUCCUAAACUCCUUGGCCAUAAAUUUUAAAGUUUUUACAAGAUCUAAAGUAUAUAUUUACGCACGUAUUAUGAGAUUUGAGAUUGAUUUGAGAGCAUGCAUUGGGAAUCCUGAUUUAUGAUGAAAUCUUGUUUAAACCAUUGGGUUUUUUCCUAAACUUGAAUUUUGUUCAUGUGUAUGGAUGUCAUGAGUAUGAAACGUUAUACGGAAGCAAGAUUUAUGUAAUUCCCUCUCUUGUUAUGAAACUCAUUAUCUUGACAAUGUUAUGGAUUGUUUACACUUAUGGUUAAAAGUUGAGUUUAAAUGUUUUAUCAAUGUUUAUGGAUUAUUAUUUUCUUAUGAACGAAUGGAGAGGGGUUUUUUCUUGUUUUAUAAAUGCUCUUGUUUCCUAAUAAAGGGCUUGCAUGUGAUUGAUGAAAGAGAUGACCACACUUUGUCAAAGUAUUGAAAAGAAGGUAUUUUGCAUGAGUUUCAUAUUUUUUAAAUAAGAACUCUCUUGAAGUGUUUAAAUGUUUUUGUGGUCAAUAACAUGGUUUUGAAUGAAAAGACUAUGACAUGAUAUUGUAUGGCUUAGGUGACUUGUAGGUCUUGGUAUGACGAUACCAAAAUAGAUGAAUACCAUGAUAAACUUAGAAAUAGAUCAUGUUUUUAGUAUGAUGCAUGUUUUAAAGUGGUUAAAAAUGGGCUCUAAGAGAAUUAGGUGGUUACGCGAAAAAGGCACAAGUUCAGAUAACUCAUAGCCUGAAACUGUGAUUUGUCGACAUGGUUUUUUAUAUUUCCAUGAAAUAGGGGAUUGUACGCUAGCGACGGCCUUAUGGCAUAGUUGAGAUGCAGAGACUCCAGCCCUUGCAGAAAACUUAGGGGGGCUUGGCCGCCGAUUCAAGGGUGGAUUCCAUAUGGCCUAUGGGAUUGUAGAUAUGUAGGGUGUACCACCUAGCUCAGAAGUAAGACAAAGAGUUGGGUCAUUAUUUCUAGAAGAUGUUUUGAAUCUUAUUAAAUUAUGCCUAUGUAUUUUCGAUUGUUUUAUGCUGACAUGCUUUUAUGAAAUGCUCUAACCUAUGUUGUAUAAAAAUAUAUUUUUUAUUUUUGGAUUGUUCUACGUACUAGUACCUUUGUGUAUUGACCCCCUAUAUUUCAGGUUAUGCGGUAUAGUCCCAUGGUCCAUCACAACAGUAGAACACUUAGGAUUUGACGGAACGUGAGCCAUCCAUAUUGUUAAGGCAUUUGUUUAUAUGUUAUGUCUUUUAGUAUAUGGUCAAGCUGGGGGCUUUGUCCUAGCCUAGACAGUUAGUAUUCAGUAGAGGUUUCGUAGACGGUAGCUGAAGUGGUGAUAUGUCAUAUCUUGUUGACACAUUUCCAAUUUUAAGUUGUUGGGUUGAAUUGGUGUGAAUGGAAAAUGAAGGAUACAACUCUUUGAGUAAAAGACACUAUUUCGGAAAAAGAUAUGACUGUUUGGAUGGUUUUGCCUGUUUGGAAAAGACACAUUCUUUCGAAUGGACAUACAUGAUUGUUUAGAAAGGAUACACUUUUUCAGUGAACCAUUUUCACCUUUUCGAAGGGGCACUUAAUGGCUAUAUAAACCUACAUUUUUUCACAGGUUUAGUACGGAUUUUUUGCACUUGAAAACAUUUAUUGUCUUCUAAAAUAUUCCGUGUGAUCAUCUAACUGUUCAGUGAGUUCGAAGCGAAUUCGAUUGUUUGAGGUACCACUACAGUCGAAUUGUUAAGCCAUUUUAUCCUGGAAGGAAAAUUCCACAACCUCAAGUGCUUAAGGGGAAUCAUUUCCUUAAGGACACUCCGUGAAUUCGGAGGACUUGGCUUUUUCUUCUUCAUCUAAUUUUCUUUAAAAUACUGAAAACACACUUCUUUGAAAGGUCAUUUUUGAUCUUCUGUUGAAGGUUUUGGAAACUUCAUAAGUGUUCUUGAUUUAUUCUUGAACUUCUGUUGAAGUUGUUUUGCCAAAAUACAGGUUUUUGAAUACUCGAAGACAACAAUCUUAAGGAAAUAAUUGAAAAAAAAUAUUGUUUUUUGCUUGUUUGGUGAAAUUUUUUUUUCACUAAAGUUUUUUUUCAUAAUCUAUAUUUUUUGGUUUCAAGAGAUUAAAGCUCUAUGCUUUCUACUCCAUUUGAACUUAACAAGAGAUUUGAAGAAAUAAAAUCUUCAUCACAAGUUAGAGGUCAUUCGGUUGAUGAUUGAAAGUCAUAAAAACUUCAUCGUUAAACUAGAAACAAGGGGUGUUUAAAUUUGCUGCAACUUUAUAAGUAGUAUUUUGAUAUACUAAAUUUUAUUGUAUUGUUGUGAUAGGAAGAUGACUACUAACAAUCAAGUGAAUGAUACUGCAACGACUGUGGCAGAAACUAAUGUUGUCACAACGAGUGGUACCAGUGUUUCGUAGGUAAUGACACCAGCGGAGAAACCUACAAAAUUUACUGGUGUUGAUUUCAAAAGGUGGAAAUAGAAGAUGUUCUUCUACCUUACAACCCUAUGUUUUCAAAGAUUCACAUCUGAAGAAGCUUCAGAGGUGCCCGAGGGAACUUCAGACUAGGAGAAAUUUGUCGUUAUGGAGGCGUGGAAACACUCAAAUUUUCUAUUCAUGAAUUACAUUCUAAAUGGCCUCCAAGAUAAACUAUACAACGUUUAUAGUGGAAUAAAGAUGAUAAAAGAGUUGUGGGGUGCGCUAGGAAGAAAAUACAAGACUAAGGAUCCUGGAAUCAAAAAGUUCUUCAUUGCAAUAUUCCUUGAGUUUAAAAUGAUUGAUAGAAAGUCUGUUGUAUCUCAUGUCCAGGAACUGCAAGUGAUCAUCCACGAUCUCCUCGUAGAAGGAAUGAGUUUGAUGAAUGAACAUAUUAAAAAUGUUCUUGAUGUUUACAUAAACUUUAUUGUAGGUUUGAUCAUGAACGAGACGUUUCAAGUCGCGGUGAUAAUUGAGAAGUUACCACCUUUGUGGAAGGACUUCAAGAACUAGUUGAAACAUAAGCGAAAAGAGAUGUCAGUCGAAGAUCUUAUAGUAAGACUGCACAUUGAGGAAGAUAACAAAGCUGCGGAAAGAAGGUCGAAAGGAAACUCUGCAAUAAAUGUAGCAAAUAUUGUAGAAAACAACCACAACAACUCUAAAAAAUGGAAGAAAAUUGGACAUGAAAGCAAUCAACCUAAGAAGAAAUUCAAGGAAAAAUGCUUUCACUUUUGCAAGAUUAGCCACAAGUCAACAGAUUGUCAUGCCCCAAAGAAAGGCAAAAAGAGGGACCAAGAAAAUAUGGCUGAAUCCAAGAAAGAAAUGGACGCUCUGUAUCCCAUGCUGUCUGAAUACAACUUGGUGGGAAAUCCUCAAGUGUGGUGGAUGGAUUCCGGUACCACCUGCCAUGUUUGUGCAAAUAAGGAGUUGUUUGUUGCUUUUGCGCCGGCUCAAGACAAAGAGAAGAUAUAUAUGGCCAACUUGCAACUGCAAAUGUUGAAGGAAUAGGGAAAUUCUGUCUGAAAAUGACAUCAGGCAAAGUGUUGACUUUUAUCAAUGUCCUGUAUGUACUGGAGUUACGGAAGAACUUGAUUACUGUAUCACUUCUAGGGAAAAAUAGAUUCAAAUGUGUAUUUAUUUUCAAAAAAAUUAUACUUAGUAAAGAAGAAGUGUACGUAGGAAAAGGCUACCUCACUGAGGGCCUAUUCAAAAUGAAUGUAAUGAAUAUUGAAAUCAAUAAAAGUUCAGUUUCUUUUUACUUGCUUGAGUCUAAUGAUUUGUGGCAUGAACGAUUAGGACAUGUCAAUUAUAAAACAUUGUAAAAACUGAUUAACUUAGAAGUUUUACCAAACUUUGAAUGCAAUAAAUCUAAAUGUCAAAUAUGUGUUGACUCAACGUAUGCUAAGAUUCCAUAUAAGUCCAUUGAAAGAAAUUCGAAUCCCUUAGACUUAAUACAUACUGACAUUUAUGAUAUGAAGUCAACACCAUCUCGUGGUGAAAAAAAUUUUUUAUAACUUUUAUUGAUGACUUCAUUAGAUAUUGUUAUGUCUAUUUGCUAAAUAGUAAGGAUGAAGCAAUAUAUGCAUUUAGACCAUACAAAGAGUUGAAAAUCAUUUCGAAAAAAAGAUCAAAACUAUAAGAAGUUAUAGUGGUGGAGAAUAUUAAUCAAAUAUUUGUAGAGAAUGAAAUUAUCCAUCAAAUUACGGCCCCAUAUUCACCUCAAUCUGGUAGAAUUGUAGAAAGAAAAAACCUAACUUUGAAGGAAAUAAUGAAUACCUUACUUAUAAGUUUAGGUUUAUCGCGAAACUUGUCGGGGAAAGCUAUCUUUACAACUAACCGAAUACUCAAUAGAGUGCCCCAUAGUAAGGCACAAUUAAUUCCAUAUGAAAAUGGAAAGGAAGGAAACCCAACUUGAAAUAUUUCAAAGUGUAGGGGUGUCUAGCAAAGCUGCAAGUUCCUAUGCCUAAAAUAUAAAGAUAGGACCUAAGACGGUGGAUAUGCUAAAAGUAUCAAAGCAUGUUGGUUUUUGGUUCAUAAAUUCGAACAUCUAGAUAUCAAUGAAAAUACGAUAAUUGAAUCAAAUAAUGCUAAAUUAUUUGAACAUAUUUAUCCGUAUAAAACUACACAUGAACGGUCUAGUGGGGGAUCUAAACAACCUCGAGAUGAACCAACUGAGGAUGCACAUAAUGAUAAGAAUCUAAGACGUAGUACACAUCAAAGAAUUCAACUUCGUUUGAAUCGGAUUUUAUAACAUUUCUCUUAGAAAAUAAUCCUCAAACAUUUAAAAAAGCGAUGUCAUCAUCAGACUCAUCCUUUUGGAAAGAGUCAGUCAAUAGUGAGAUUGAUUCAAUCUUAUGUAACCAUACGUGGGAAUUGGUUGAUCUUCCUCCAAAAAAUAAAUAUUUAGGUUUAAAAUGGAUCUUCAAAAGAAAAAUAAAAGCGGAUGGUACUAUUAACAAAUACAAGGCAAGACUUGUAGUAAAGGCUUCAAAAAGAAAAAGGGUCUUGAUUACUUUGAUACAUACUCGCCUGUAACAAGGAUAAUGUCAAUUCGGAUGUUAAUUACCUUGGCGGCAGUAUAUGGUCUUAAAAUCCAUCAAAUAGAUGUGAAAAAAAUAGUCCUGAAUAUAGAAUUAGAGGAAGAAAUCUAUAUGGAAUAACCCAGGGGUUUUGUGGUUCCAGGAAAGAAAACUAAGGUGUGUAAACUAGUUAAGUUGCUGUAUGGACUAAAACAAGAACCUAAACAAUGGCAUGCAAAGUUUUACCAAACCAUGUUGGCAAAAAGAUUCAAGAUAAAUGAAUGUGAUAAAUGUGUAUACAUUAAAGACACUCCAAAUUACCAAGUCAUUAUUUGUUUAUAUGUGGAUGAUAUGUUGAUCAUCAGUAGAGACAUUUCUAACAUAAAUGCUACAAAAUGAAUGCUCGAGAGAAAGUUUGAUAUGAAAGACCUUGGAGUUGUGGAUGUGAUCUUAGGAAUAAGAAUCCAUAGAACUCCACAAAGGUUGGCUUUGUCACAGUCACAUUACAUAGAAAAGGUACUUGAUAAAUUCAAGUAUUUGGAAUUUGGAAUUGCCAAGAUUCCAUUGGAUAUGAGCUUCGCACUUCAAAAGAAUGAAGCAAAAAGUGACUCACAAUUAGAGUAUGCAAGAAUGUUGUGAUGUUUAAUGUAUAUAAUGAAUUUUACACAACGAUGCAUAUCAUGUGCUAUUAGUAAAUUGAUUCAGUACACGAGUAAUCCCAACAAAACUCAUUGGAUGGCAAUGAAAAGAGUUUUAGGGAAUCUUAAAUACACUCAAGACUAUGCUUUGCAUUAUAAUAAAUAUCCUGCGGUACUUCAAGGAUACAGUGAUGAAAAUUGGAUCACCAGAUCAAAUGAAGUAAAAACCACAAGUGGAUAUGUAUUUACAAUAGGUAGAGGAGCAGUCUCUUGGAAAUCAUCAAAUAGACAUAAAUUGCUCGCUCUACGAUGGAACCAGAAUUUAUCAAAUUAGAUAAAGCCGGUGAAGAAGCAGAAUGACUCCAAAAUUUCUUGGAGGAUAUUCGUUAUUAUCCCAAACCAUUGGCACCAGUGUGCAUACACUUUGAUAGACAAAUAGCAAUAGGUAGGGCAGGAAGCAUAAUGUACAAUAGUAAAUCUUGAUACAAGAAUAAUCACAGAUAUGGAUUUAUGAGGGUGCACAUUGGUCCCGAGACUUGGUGUGUGCAAUUGAAGUGUAGAAGAAGUCCAAAAGAUACCAAAAAUCAGUCCACUCUUACACUUGAGGGGAACUUCACCCUUGAGGGUAUUAUGGAUAUUUUGUAUUCUAUUUUGUAAUGACUAUAUAAGGAACAUGUUAGGGUUUUAUUUUAGCUAGUUGUCUUAUGAUAUUGAAAGAACAAUAACACUUCCCUUGAGAGAGAGAGAGCCUCCCAAGGCCGAAACUAGGACAUGGCAAGUGUGGAAUCACUUGUGAAUGUGUAUUUCUUGGAAACGAUGGUACUUGAGCGGUGGAAUCCCUCUCGUGUCUUCGUAAGAGUGUGGUGUUGCUAUCGUAAGUUCUAGGGGUCCUUAGAUUUAAUAUAUAUUUGGGUUCUUAGGUCUUAUUGUAGUGUAUGUCUCACUAUCUAUAUCUACAUUUCAUGUCUUAGUUAGUGUAGUUUAGGGAAACCAUUGGUUCUUGUUGUUCAUGUAUCUUGUAACCAUUUAUUGUUGUUAUUAUCCCUAUCAUAUUUUUGUCUAUCAUCUUGUGUUCAUCAUUUUUUAUUGGCUGUUUUGGUGUAUAAAUACACCUUGUUUCCUUGUAUUCUUGUGUUGUUGUUGUUUGGCCGAAACUAGCUCUCAAAGGGGUCCUCGGAUUCCUCUUGAUUUGUGGAUUGCUUUGAGACUUUUCUUGUGUUUCUUGGUAUUCUUGUAUCAUUUGGUAUCAGAGCAUGGCUUGAUCUUGUUCCCACAAGAUCAAUCUUGGUCUUGUUAGUUGAAAAAAAAAACAAAUUGUUGAAAGCUGAAAAUUCUAGAAAAAACAAGCAAUCUGUCCGUGUUGUGUUCUUGGCCGAAAUUUGUGUUCUUGUUUUUUCUUGGCUGAGAUUUUUACUUUUCUUUGUUGUCUCUAAGUGUUAGUUUUGUUUCUCACUAACACAUUGAGUCUAUAUCUUGAUUUGAGCUUACAUUUGUUGCAGUUUUCAACUUGUCCUUGUGAUGUUAUUGUUGUUCUAAGCUUGGCCUUGUGUUGUUGUUGAGGAUUGGUGACCUAAAAACAAUUUUUUUGAAUUUUUUGUAGCUUGGCCGUGAGUUGGUGUCGUAAAAGUAUUGUGGAUUUGGACUUGGAAGUUGGAUGUUUUUGGUUGUUCUUGAAGUUUGUUGUUGUUCUUGGGGAAUAUUAUUGUAGUUCUUGAUGUUCUUCACAACCUUUAUGUCUUGUUAAAAUAAAGUGUUUAUUUGAUCCAUAAAGGUGAAGGAAAAAGGGGGUGUGACUUGUUAGUCUUGAAAGACUACAAGCACCAAAGACUUUAUCAACCAUUUUUCAACAACUUCCCUCAAAACAAGGGACUAUGUCUUGUGGGACUAGUAAAGUCAAAUCUCACCUUGUGAGUUUGAAAAGUUCAAAGGUUACAGGACUUUACUUUCCCUCCAAUAUCAAGUCAUCCAUUACAAAAAAUUAUGUAAAGAUUAAAACUUCAAGUGAUGAACAAAUUGUGUGGUUCGUGACCAAUUGUAAACUGCCACGUCACUAUAAAUACUGUUCACGCAACAAAUUUUAGCUCAAAUUUUUAUCUUCUAGUUUUAAGUUUUGGUUCUUUAGUUUCAUUUGUUGAUUCCAAUACUAAUUUACAAACUAGUGACCGUUUACUAGAUUGUAAAUUAGUUUUGAAAACCGUUCUUCGUGUCUACGUUCCUUUGUGUGUCUUAGUCUUUUUAAACAUUUGGUUCACCUCUCAACACCUCCCAAAGUACAAGCAAACUUACAACACUUGUGAGGUUAAGUGUGAGGAAUUCGAGAGGUAAGGAAAUAAAGAGAGAGUGUGAGAACUUUUCUUGUACAACUAAUUUAUUUGUGUUUUUGUAGGUAACUUCUUGGCUACAAUGGAUAAUAAUGUUCCUAGUGCUAUCUUGGCUAGGGUUGAAACUUAAUUGGGCCGAAUAAGAUUGAAGGUAAUUCUCAAGAUGGAGAAGAAGCCGAGGUGCUAAAUGAAGAUGUUGGCCGAGACUUGUUGUUAUUAAGCACUCGGAUUCUUCAUGUUUUCCAGACUGUUUUGGGUAGUUCUUUUGAAGUGGCCAAUUGAACAAGAUGAAGCCGUGAAUUUAUGGGCAAAUUCCUCUCAAGAUGGAGAGGAUGAUACAAGAAUAAUUACGGAUAUAGACUUAUGAGAGUGGGUCCUGAGACUUGGUGUGUGCAAUUGAAGUGUAGAAGAGGUCCAAAACACACCAAAAAUCAGUCCACUCUUACACUUGAGGGGCACCUCACCCUUGAGGGGUAUUAUGGAUAUUUUUUAUUCCAUUUUGUAAUGACUAUAUAAGGAACAUGUUAGGGUUUUAUUUUAGCUAGUUGUCUUAGGAUAUUGAAGAACAAGAACACUUCUCUUGAGAGAGAGCUCCCAAGGCCAAAACUAGGACAUGGCAAGUCUGGAAUUUGUGAAUGUGUAUUGUUUGAAAACAUGGUGCUUGAGCGGUGGAAUCUCUCUCGCGUCUCCGUAAGAGUGUGGUGUUGAUAUCUUAAAUUCUAGGGGUCCUUAGAUUUAAUAUAUCUUUGGGUUCUUGGGUCUUAUUGUAGGUUAUGUCUCACUAUCUAUCUAUACAUUUCAUGUCUUAGUUAGUGUAGUUUAGGAAAACGUUUGGUUAUUGUUGUUCAAGUAUCUUCUAACCAUUUGUUAUUGUUGUUAUCUUGUGUUCAUCAUGUUUUAGUGGCUAUUUUAGUGUAUAAAUACACCUUGUUUCCUUGUAUUCUUGUGUUGUUGUUUGGCAGAAACUAGCUCUCAAAGGGGUCCUCGGAUUCCUCUUGAUUUGUGGACUGUUUUGAGCCUUUUCUUAUGUUCCUUGAUCUUCUUGUAUCAAACCUCGUCACAUAAGUUGGAGACAUAAUACCGUUAGAGAACUUCUCUCUAGUAGAAUUAUCACUGUUGACUAUGUGAAGUCAAAGGAUAAUGUGUCGGAUCUACUUAUAAAAGGCCUAACUAGUGAAGGAGUUGAGAGGACAUCCAAGGGAAUGGGUUUAUGGCCUAGGACAAGUCAGCAUGGCAGUAACUCUACCUAGCAGACUAUAGAUCCCAAGAAUUAGGUGUAAGGAGAUCAAACAAAGUUGUGUCUGAUAGGCUCAACAUUGUCAAUAUACCCAACCAUUCUCAUGAUGUAGACAAUGUUUUAUAGACAAGGAUAAGACUUAUGGUGUGAAGUCUUUUAAUGAUUAACUAAAUUUGGAAGAUUUGACCAAAUAUUUUAAUCAAUAGGAUUGAACAUUUAGAAAUCACCUAUGUGAGGGCGAAGUGGAAGCCGCUUCAAGGAGAAUGUUAGUAAAGGCCUAUUCUCUAAGCUCUAAUGAUACCGGGACGUGUUCAUUGCUGAAAUGAACAAAACCGUGAGAACCAUAAAUGGUAUAAUUCUGGUUGUGUGACAUGUGUUAUCUAGGUGUACAUUAAAACUUGAUGGUUCAAAGAUAUCAAAUCUACCGAUUGACUGAGUGCAUUUGAUACAUGUUCACUACCAAAAGUUCAAAGGGAAACCCACUUAUCCAGAUGCAAUUAGUUUUUUCUUGAUGAUCAUAUACUUUUCCAUAAAGUUUUAUAAAGAGUAGUCAUUCCCAUUCAUGUGGGGAUUGUCGGGUUCAAUUGGUGUGAAUGGAAAAUGAAAAGUUUCUUGAAAGGGACACAACUCUUCAAAUAAAAGACACUAUUUUAGGAAAAGGUAUGAUUGUUUGGAUGAUUGUGGCUUACGGAAAAGACACAAAUCUUUCAAAUGGAUAGACAUGACUGUUCAGAAAGAAUACACCUUUCCGGUGAACCAUUGACACCUUUCGAAAGGGGCACUUAAUGGCUAUAUAAACCUGCAUUUUUUCACAAUUUUUCUACACUUGAAAACAUUUCUUGUAUUUUAAAAUACUCCGUGUGAUUAUCUAACUAUUGAGUGAGUUCGAAGAGAAUCCGAUCGUUUGAGGUACCACUACAGUCGGAUUGUUAAGCCAUUUUAUCAUGGAAGGAAAAUUUCGCAACCUCAGGUACUUGAGAGGAAUUAUUUCCUUAAGGACACUCGGUAAAUUUGGAGGACUUGGCUUUUUCUGCUCCAUCUAAUUUUCUUUAAAAUACUGAAAACACACUUCUUUGAAAGGUCAUUUUUGAUCUUGUGUUGAAGAUGUUGGAAACUUCAUAAGUGUUCUUCAUUUAUUCUUGAACUUGUGUUGAAGUUGUUUUGCCAAAAUACAGAUUUUUGUGUACCCGAAAACAACAUAAGUUUCCAAUGAACAUUGUUAUAUCUUCCGCACUUUGAUUUAUGUAUGGAUUAUGCUUAUGAUUACAUGCUAAAGGGUCUCUCGGGCCUUCAUGGUUCAAGAUGCCCAUCGCGGCCAGGUCCUCGGCUCGGGUCGUGACAUUAGUGGCUGAAAAUGAGCCGCUUUACCAGAAAAGAAAAAUAAACUUCUCUGCACCUUUUCUCUUCCAAAGCAUCUCUAUUUUGAAACUAAUAAGAUUUAUUAUAAUUAAUGAUUUGGACCUCUAAUAAAAUGUCACGUGAAAAAAUUAUUUUUGAAAACCCACCGUUAAAAAGUAAUCGCAUCAAAGAGCUAAUUUUAUGAUGACGGUGACAUGAAUGAGCCAAAUUUUUAACUGAUGGCGUAAAUGAGCCAUUUCUGAUAGUUCAAUGGCAUAAAUUAAUCAUUUCUCAUAGUUAUAUGGCAUAUUUGAGUCUUUUCCCUUCUAAAGAAGUAAACAACAUUUAGAGCAUGUUUGAAUUGUCUUAUUUUAAACGUUUUUAAGUCAAAAUAGCUUUUAAACACUUUAUUUGUGAACUUUUCUUAAGUCAUGUUUUCUAGACAUGUUCUAUCUCUUUUAUUUUAUAUGUUUUUAGUUAGUUUAAAAUGGAGGAUUCGCUUAUUAUCUUGAAAUUGUAUUUUUCUUUACAGGUUUUCCAAAUGGCAUAAAAGUGUUGUUUUUCAUUGUAUUUGACUUCUAUUACUUCACUUAAACUGUUUAUGUGUUAAGGAAAUCUAAUUGUGGCAAAUUUCAUGCUUGAUGUGAUAUAAUUAUUGUUCUUUCAGCAUUGUCGUCCUAUGAUAUCUACUGUUUAAUCUGAAAUGCCAUACACCUUCUCUCAUUUACUUUUCAAUCAGAAUUGUAAACGGUGUGAAAAUUCCCCUAAUCAGCCAGACUUUUGCAAGUCAAGUAGUCAACCAAGUCUGUCUUUAUUUUCUCAAGAAUUGUGUGGUGCAAAAAUGGUACGUCAUCUUCCUCUAAAAAGUUACAUUUGUUAACUUACACUAUACGUUCAACAAAUAUUCUUACAUGAUAAGCAUAAUCUUAUAUAGUUGAUCAUAACAUUGUUUAUUAAUUAUUAUCCUUUUAUCUCUAGGACAGAAUUUGGAGACGUUUACAUUCUAGUUAGUUUUUGUAGAAGUUAAUUUAGCACUUCUAUAUGAUAUUGGUUGUUACUAUCAUUCAACUCUUCAGUUACUUGGCUUUCUAAAUUUUUUUUCAGGAUACGUGGGUUGUGAACCCGUAAUUAUGGUGGCAAAAUUAUUCCUCUAGUCCAUCCAAACUCCAUUGACUUUUGCAAUACUGCAAUUGAACCAAGUAUUGCUUUCAUUUUCUCUGCAACUGUGUGAUGAAAAGUAUAGUGAUAUAUCUAACAAAAAGUUACUCCCGCCUUUCAUCUUUACUUGUCUACAAUUCAAAAAAUAAAUGUCCUAAAAUACUUGUUCAGUGGGGAUAUUUGCAUUGGAACCGAGACUAAUUCGAAUUCGUGCUAUGCAAGGCCCAUUAAAGGGGUUUUCACAUCCGGCAUGCGAACCUGAAACCUGUAAUUAAAAAAGGACUUAUAAGAUCCAUCCUACCACAAAUCUUGACGGUAACUUUUACUUGUUUUAGAGAUGUUUUAAUAAGUUUUUAUUAUUAAAAAGUUCACAACAUUAAUUUUUAUUGGUUGUUGUCAUUUGGCUCUUUGGUUAAUUGGUUCCCUAACUUAUGUGGGCCUUGAAGACUUGACCAACUUACAAAUGUAAUAAUGAUGACAAAAUUAUUUAUUUAAUAGGUCCAAACUCCAAAUUCGUUUGCGAGACGGCAAGUCAAUUCUCAUUCAAAUGACACUUCCAUUUUCACAUUCAAGCAAUCAAAAAUGUAUAAUUGGAAUCAACCAAGUCGUGCAAACCGUAAUUGUGGUGGCAAGUUUAUUCCACUAAUCAUCCCAAAUUCCAAAGAUUUCUGCAAGAUUGGCUAGGUAAAAAUGUUUAAACUUCAUUUAUAUGUAAUUUCAGAUAUUAAAUUUGAAGUUGUUAAAAUCAAAACCAAAAUGGGUGUACGUAUAAAUAUAUUUAAAACUAGAUAUAUAUAGGUUUAUAGCAGUGUCCAAAUAUAUUUAUGUCUUUCAACCUUAAUUGUGGUGGAAAAACUAUUCUUCUAAUUGAUCCAAACUCCAAAGACUUUGUCCAAGACUGCAAGUCAACCAAGUCUUUCUUGGUAAGAGAUUGUUCCUAAUUGUUCAAUUGCGAGCAAUGAAGCGUGACAUCCGUUGUCUACUAUUUUCAUAAAGCUUGAUUUAUUAUAAAUAUACAACAUAAAUUUAACUAUAUGACAAAAAAAGUUUGGACUUGUGCAUAGGGGUUAUGCCAAAAAGAAGUUGAAUCCCGUGGGGCAUAAUUUGUAGUUUGAAAGUCUUUGAGCGAAGCCUUGCCUCUAAGGCAAUAGUUGUAGAACAUCUGAUAAAUGAAGGCAUAACGUGUAUAACAAAUUAGUGCAACUUACUGUCUUAUUUAUUUUACUGCAUGCCAAAAUAGUUAUUCGGUGAGGUUUGUUCACCUUAGAAAGUUGCCUGGAAGUUAGGAUUUUUAGGAGUAAGUUAAAUGGAAUAAAAAGUUAUUAGUUAAGAGUUAUAUUUGCAGUAGGAGUCUAUAUAUAUAGAGUAACAGCUGCUCUGUUUUCCUCUCGUAAUUUUCUAUCGCCAUAUUUUCUAUUCAAGUAAAAGCUUUCUAUUGUUUUAUUUCUUUUUCCUUCACUGUUCUUGUUCUAUCACUUCUCCUACUCAAUAAUUUUGUUAUAUGGUAUCAGAGCAAGGUUGAAGGGAGGAAUUUUUUUCUUUUCUAUCUUUUUGUCUAUCAGUUUACUCUGUUGGAGAAGUUUGAAAAGUGUGAAGAGAAAGCUUUUGUCGUUUAUAGCAAAGGAGGCCUCAAACGGGGGAAAUACUCAAUAUGAAAUAGAAAAACUUGUAGGCACUAAUUACAAGUAUUGGAGAAUGUGUAUCGAAGCAUACCAUCAAGGUCAGGAUCUGUGGGAUUUAACUGUAGGAACUGAUUCAAUAAUCCCAGCCAAUACUCCUGGUAAUGCCAAAUCACGAAGGAAAUGGAAGAUAAAGUGCGGAAAAGCACUCUUUUCUUUGAGGACUUCUAUGAGCAUGGAGUUUAUUGAUCGUGUUCGUGAUGCUGUCUCUCCAAAAGAAGUUUGGGACACGCUCAAAAGGCUGUUUACCAAGAAAAAUACAGCAAGGCCGUAACUAUUGGAGAAUGAGUUGGCAAUGUUACAACAGGGAGGUAAGUCUAUCUCAGAUUACUUUUUGCGAGUUAAAAGUAUCUAUGCUGAAAUUUCAUAGAUUGAUCUGGAAGAGAAGAUUAGUGAGUCGCGCCUACGACGCUAUCUUAUUCGUGGAUUGAAAAAGGAGUAUGGUCCUUUUGUCACUUCCAUUCAAGGAAAGCUGCAACAACCAUUUGUUGAGGAAUUGGAGAACAUGCUUUCUAAUCAAGAAGCUUUUGCUAAACAAAUGGCUAAGAAUCUUCAAAUUGAGGAUGUUCUAUUUUGUAAAGAGAAGUCGAACAAGAAGAAUACAUCAACUUGGAACAAAAAUAAAGAAGAAGAAACAACCACGGAAAAAAGUGAAAAUUCACAUAAUAACAGGAAGUGCUACAGAUGUGGGAAAAUUGGCAACAUCAAGAAAAACUAUCGAGUAAAACUUUCUAAAGCCAAUGUUGCGUGCACCAAUGACCGAGAUGAGCAAAUGAAAUGGGAACAAUGUUUUUGCAUUGAAGUUGUUGAACAAAGUUAGCACAAGAUUUUGUCAAUUAUGCUAACAACAAUAAGAGGGAAGAGUGGAUCGUUGAUUCAGGGUGCUCUCAUCAUGUCACUGGAGAUGAUUCUCUAUUCUCAGAGAUGUGAGAACAUCAUGGAGAUCGAGUGAUUAUCCCAGCAGAUAACUCGACAGAUCCAGUAGCAAAAUAAGUUGUUGUGACGAUUGAGGUUGCUGGUGAUAAAUCCAAAAGUAUUAAGUUGCAGGGCAUUUAUCAUGUUCCAGGUUUGAAGAAAAAUCUAGUCUCGGUUCCUCAAACUACUGAUUCUGGAAAAUAUGUAUUGUCUGGUCCUACUGAUGUCAAGGUUCUUGAAAAUAUAAAAGAAAUAUUUGCUGAUGUUAUUUUUACUGGCGAGAGGAAAGGUUCUUUGUUUGUUAUGUCAACAAGUGAAGAUUAUAUAAAGAAAACAAGCCAAACUGAUAGUGCCGCAAUUUGGCACGCUUGGUUGGGUCAUGUGGGAUACCAAAUGUUGCAGAAGAUAUCUUCUAAAAUGUUGGUAGAUGGCAUGCCAACUUUGAAGAAUGUACGUGAAGACAUGAUUUGUCAAGGCUGGCAAUAUGGAAAAUCUCAUUGUCUUCCUUUCAAAAAGUCAUCAAAUCGGAGAAACGUGUUGUUUGAAUUGGUUCAUACAGACUUGAUGGGACCAACAAGAACACCAAGUUAUAGCGGGCAUCUCUAUGUUAUGGUGUUGGUGGAUGAUCACUCCAGGUUUACUUGGGUGAAAUUUUUGAAAGAAAAGAGCGAAACAUUAUCCAAGUUUGUGGAGUUCAAAAAUGUUUUUGCAAAUGAGUUCGCGAAGAAGAUAAAAUGUCUCCGUAGUGAUAAUGGUGGAGAAUAUAUGUCAGAUGACUUCUUCCAGUAUUGUCAUGAAAAUGGAAUUCUUCGUCAAAUGACUUGUCCAGAUACUCCUCAGCAGAAUUGAGCUGCAGAAAGAAAGAUUUCUUAUCUUACUUCAGUUUGCCUUCAUGGCUCAGGAGCUUUGGGCAGAAGCUAUUCAAUGUGGAUGCCAUGUGACAAAUAGGCUUCCUCCUUGGACUUGUACACAGAAAUCGCCUUUUGAACUUUUAUAUAGUCAGAAGCCAAAUGUGAACUAUUUUCGGGUUUUUGAUUCUACUUGUUAUGUUCAUGUUCCCAGAAGUAACAGAACCAAACUUGAUCCGAAAGAAAGAAAAUGUGUAUAUGUUGGUUAUGACUUUUAUGGGAAGGGCUGGAGAUGCAUGGAUCCAAAGACAAAUAGGUUUACCAUUUCUAGAGACGUGGUAUUUGAUGAAACGUCAUCUUUGUUUUCUUCUCAAAAGCUUGUUGUUCUGGGUGAUGAUCAAGAUAAUUUGGAGUUAUUAUUUCCUAAAGUAAAUGUGCCAUCACCUUGUAGUGAAGAGGGAGAAAGUGUAUCUCAAAAUCAGAAUAUUUCUGAAGUUGCAUCUCCAAGUUAGAGCAUUUCAAAGGAAGGAAAUAGUGAACAACAAGCAGCAAGAAGGUCAACAAGGGAGAAAAACCAAUCGGACUACCUCAAAGAUUAUGAGGUCAAACUUAAAAGUUAUUCUGUGACCUCAUGUUUCAUUACAGAAGCACUAACUGCAGAAGAACCAUUAAGUUAUGAAGAAGCAAAGGGCUGUCCACAUUGGGAAAGAGCGAUGCAAGAAGUAAUUUACGCUUUAGAAAAGAAUGAAACUUGGGAAUUGGUACCCAAACCAAAAAAAUGGAAUCCAGUCACUUGCAAAUGGGUAUUUCAAUUGAAGAAAAUAUCUUAUGGUACCAUUGACAGGUUUAAAGCUCAUCUAGUUGCUCGUGGUUUUUCUCAAAACUAUGGAAUUGAUUAUGAGGAGACGUUUAGUCCGGUGGCGAAGAUGGUGACAGUAAGAUCACUUAUUUCGCUAGUUACUUUCAAAAGUUGGAAGCUAUGGCAGCUCGAUGUAAAUAACGCAUUUCUUUAUGGAGAGUUGGAUUGAGAAUUAUAUAUAGAGCAACCUCAUGGAUUUGUCUCUAAGUAGUUUCCAAGUCAUGUUUGUCGGUUGAAGAAAGCUCUAUAUGGCCUCAAGCAAGCACCAUGAGCUUGGUAUGGUAGAUUUGCUCAAUACCUUAUCUUUUGUGGUUUUAGAGUAUCUGAUUUAGAUUCUAGUUUAUUUAUAAAAUUAGAAUCAAAUGCAUAUCUCCUGAUAUUAUUAUACGUUGAUGAUAUGAUAAUAACUGGAGAUAAUGAACUAGAAAUUUCUAAUCUAAGGAAAGACUUGUCUGUUCGUUUUGAGAUGAAAAAUUUGGGGAAAAUUGGAUGUUUUCUUGGUCUGGAAGUGGAAAAAUCAGAUCGAGGCUACUUUGUUUCUCAGAAAGGUUAUGCGGAGAGUCUCUUAGAACGUUUCAUCAUGGGGGAGUCGAAAGAAAAGGCUACUUCAAUGGAGCCAAAUCUCAAGUUGAAAAAGAAUGAAGGCGAGGCUUUGAAGGAUGCGAUAAAGUUCCGACAACUAGUUGGAAGUUUGAUUUAUCUGACUAUCACAAGGCCAGAAAUAUCUGACUCUGUUGGUGUCUUUUCUCAAUUUAUGCAAAAUCCAACAACUUCUCCUUUAAAUGCCGCGAAGAGGAUUUUGCGCUAUGUGAAAUUAUCUCUUAGUCAUGGACUUUGGUACAAGAGGUGUGAUACUUUUUUAUUGAGUGGAUUCAUUGAUGCAAAUUGGGAAGGUGAUACACAUGAUCGUCGCUCGACUUCAGGUUACUGUUUUAGUACCGGGUCAGCAGUGGUGUCUUGGUGUAGCAAGAAGAAAGAUGUUGUUGCUUUGUCUACCACCGAAGCUUAAUAUAUUGCAGCAACCAUGGCUGCACAAGAGUGCAUUUGGUUGAAAUGGCUAAUCAAUGAUAUGUACUAUAAAGUAGACUAUGAUGUGCAAAUCAAGUGUGACAACGAAAGUGCCAUCAAACUUGCAUCAAAUCCAGUUUUUCACGCUCGAAUGAAGCAUAUUGAGAUCCGCCAUCACUUUGUUCAUGAGAAAGUCUUAAGUGAAGAUAUUGAACUGACAAUUGUUCGCACCAACGCUCAAGUUGCAGAUAUAUUCACUAAAGCUUUGGAGAAGUCUAAGUUUCAAUACUUUCUAGAUGCUCUAGGAGUAGUUCAUCAUGAGCUUGAACUAAGGGUGAGUAUAACAAAUUAGUGCAACUUAUUGUCUUAUUUAUUUUACUGCAUUUACCAGGUCAAAAUAGUUAUUUAGUGAGGUUUGUUCACCUUAUAAAGUGGCCCGAAAGUUAUGACUUUUAGGAGUAAGUUAGAUGGAAUAAAACGUUAUUAGUCAGGAUUUAUAUUUGCAGUAGGAUUUUAUAUAUACAGAUUAAAAGCUGCUCUGUUUUCCUCUCGGAAUUUUUUGUCGCCAUAUUUUCUAUUCAAGUAAAAGUUUUCUGCUGUUUUAUUUCUUUUUCCUUCACUGUUCUUGUUCCAUCACUUCUCCAGCUCAAUAAUUUUGUUAUAACGUGGUAGUGUCAACUUUUUUCCGUGGGACAUAAUUUUCUAUUUGAAAGUCUUUGAGCUAAGUCUUGACACUAAGACAAUAGUUGUAGAACAACUCAUAAAUGCAAAAAUAACGUGGUAGAGUCAACUCUUGCCUGUGGAGAAUAAUUUGUUGUUUGAAAGUCCUUGAGCUAAGUCUUGCCUCUAAGGUAAGAGUUAUAGAACAUCUCAUAAAUCAAAACACAAUGUGUUAGUGUCCACUCUUGCCCAUGAAACAUAACUUGUUGUUUGAAAGUCAUAAGUCUUGUCUCUACAAUAUGGUAGUGUCAACUCUUGUCCAUGAAACAUAGCUUGUUGUUUGAAAGUCAUAAGUCUUGACUUUAUAAUUUGAUAGUGUCAACUCUUUCUCAUGAGAUGUAACUUGAUUGGAAGAAAUUGAAGAAAAGAACAAAAAUUAAAAAAAUUGCGAAAAAAGAAGAAAAGGAAGAAAAAUAUUUAAAAAAUAAAAAUCAAAGAAAAUGUAGAAGUUGAGAGAGAAUGGAAAAAAAAAUAAAGGUUGAUAAAAUAAAAAUAAAAUUAAAGGCCAAGAAAAAUAUAAAAAAGUUUUUUUUAUAAAAGUAGACGUUGAGAGGAGUAAAGAGAAAAAAGUAAGAGUGGAAAGUUGCUUCAACAAUGCCGCCUAUUUUUUUCUUUUUUCUCUAGCUUUUUUUUACAUACAAAUCCUAGUUAAAUUAGGAUUCCUAUCUUUGGUAGGAAACUAAUUAGUUACUUAUAUUUUUGGUAGAAAUAGGUUUUUUUCCUCCUAUUUUUAGUUGUAAUAACAACUAUUUAAGUUAACCAUUUGAUAAAUAAUAAGGCACGUCUUUUACAUGAAAAUAAUCAACCUCUCUGCAUAUUCUCUUCUAUAAACUCCAUCACCGUUUAGUCGGCUAGCUUUUGAAUUGAAUUCCUGCAUUAUUUUCCUUUAAUGGUUCUAAAUCAACAAUUGGUAUCGGAGCUUUAAUCUUAAGGGACCUAUGAGUGUGGGCAUCAAUCUAAUCUGAUCGAUACCAUGAACGGAGAAGCAAAUUUUUCUUCAAUGGCACCACCAACUUUCGAUGGAGAAAGUUAUCAAAUCUGGGCAGUUAGAAUGCGGAUAUAUCUACAAGCUUUGGGUCUCGGGGAAGCUGUUGAAGAUGAAUAUGAGAUAGUUCCCUUGCCGGAAAAUGCCACGUUGGCGCAGAUUAAAACUCACAAGGAGAGGAAUACUAGAAAAUCAAAGGCAAUGGUAUGCUUAUUUACUGCAGUUUCAUCUAAUAUCUUUACUCAUAUCAUGUCUCUAGAAUCAGCAAAAGAGGUAUGAGAUUAUCUCAAGACUGAGUAUGAAGUAGAUGAAAGGAUUUGAGGGAUGCAAGUGUUGAAUCUGGUACGUGAUUUUAAGCUGAAAAGGAUGAAAGAAAGUGAAACCAUAAAGGAGUACUAUGACAGACUUCUUAAUUUAGCAAAUCGCAUCAGAUUGUUGGGUUCCACAUUCAAUUAUUCAAGGAUUGUUGAGAAAAUCCUAGUAACAGCACCUGAAAUAUUUGAGGCUGCCAUAACAACCUUAGAAAAUACUAAGGACUUAUCCAAGAUCACACUUGCAGAGCUUUUAAGUGCUUUUCAUGCAUAAGAGAAACGACGCAUUAUGAUACAAGAAGGAGCUGUUGAAGGUGCCUUAACAGCCAAGCAUCACGAUGAUGGACGCUCUAAGAAGAAGAAGAAGAAUAAGAAGCACCAACCAACUGAUGGAGAAGGUGCAGCGCACAGCAACAAAAACAAAACAGGUGGUUUCAAAGGAAACUACCCUCCUUGUAAGCAUUAUGGCUAGCUUGGACAUGCACCUUUCAAGUAUUGGAAGAGGCCUGAUACUAAGUUCACUAAAUGCAAUCAUCUUGGGCAUGAAGUGACCAUCUGUAAAAACAAAACUCCGUAGUAAGAUGCAGAUGCUCGAGUUGUUAAUGAACAGGAAGAGGAUCAACUUUUUAUCACAUCGUGUUUUACAAGAAGCAGCUCAAGCGAGUCCUAGCUAAUUGAUAACGGUUGUACAAAUCAUAUGACUCAUGAUGAGGAGAUUUUCAAAUAUUUAGAAAAGUAUGCAAUCUUUAAAGUCAGAAUCGGUAAUGGUGAUAAACUUUCUGCCAAAGGAAAAGGAACAGUUGCUAUUGGAAGCCGCUCAGGUACAAAGUUAAUUUCAGAUGUACUUUUUGUUCCAAAACAUGAUCAAAAUUUUUUGAGCACAGGACAAAUUUUGGAGAAUGGUUUUAAUCUUAAUUUUAAGGACAAGAAGUGUGCGAUAUUUGUUCCAAAGGGUCAAGAAAUCUGCCAAGCUAAGAUGAGAAGAAAAAGCUUUUCGUUUGAUAAUUAGAGGGAAAGUCGGUUGCCUAUCUGAGACCAAAGAUAACAGAGAUGUAUGGCAUAAGAGACUCGGGAACUAUCAUCACAAGAAACUCUUGCACAUGGUAAAGAAAGAUAUGAUUCUAGGAGUACCAUCCAUGGAGGACAAACAAAUAAGCUGCAACAUAUGUCAAUUUGGAAAGCAAAGCAGGUUGCCGUUUACCAAGGGAACCUGGAGAACAUCGGAGAAACUUCAGUCAGUCCAUAUUGAUUUGUGUGGACCACAUAAAACUACUUCUCUUGAUGGAAGUAAAUAUUUUAUAGCAUUUAUUAAUAAUAUGACAAGAAUGUGUUGGAUUUAUUUUCUCAGGUUCAGAUCUGAAGUACCUGAAGUAUUCUGGAAAUUCAAAGCUUUGGUAGAAAAUCAAAGUGGUUGCAAGAUGCAAACUGUUAGAUCAGAUAAUGGUACUGGGUACACAUCUGAUCGAUUUGAAAAGUUUUGCGAAAAUGCAGUUAUUGAGCAUCAACUCACUACCCCAUAUACUCUGCAAUAGAAUGGAAUCAGUGAAAGGAAGAAUAGGAGGAUAAUGGAGAUAUCACGGUGUUUUUUAUAUGAGAAAGGCCUAACAAAAUAUUUAUGGGCAGAAGCAGCUAACACUUCUGUUUUUUUGGCUAAACAUAUUGCCUACCAAAGCAGUUGACGACAAGACACCUUUUGAGGCAUGGCACGGCUAUAAGCCAUCCUUAAAAAAACUUAAAAAUCUUCGAUUGUUUGUGUUUCUCUCAUAUUCCGCAGGUUAAGAGGGACAAGUUAGACAAGAAAUCUGAACCUGGAGCCUUUAUUGGUUACAGUAUAAUCUCUAAGUCUUACAGAAUUUUUCAGCCUCAUACUGGAAAGAUUAUGGUAAUUAGAGAUGUAUUUUUUAUGGAGAAUGAGCAAUGGGAUUGGGAAAAUUUUAACCAAAAGAAGAUCACAAGAAAUCUACCAAAUUUUGAUAAAAACAUUGAUGAUCAACCUGUGAGAGGAACAAGGUUUCUCUGACAUAUACCAGAGAUGCAAUGUCGCCAUUUUAGAGCCUUCUGGAUUUGAAGAGGCUAUUUUAGAUCCUUAGUGAAAGGCCGUAAUGGAGGAGGAGCUUGCAAUGAUUGAGAAGAACAAAACCUGACAGCUUAUGGAAAAGCCUCAAGAUAGAAAGAUCAUAAGUGUGAAGUGGGUUUACCGCACAAAAUUGAAUGUUGAUGGUUCUAUUAAUAAGCUCAAGGCAACACUUGUAGUUAAGGGGUAUGCACAGAUUUUUUGUGUUGAUUAUUCUGACAUGUUUUCUCCAGUUGCUAGGCUUGACACAAUCAUGUUACUUCUUACUAUUGUUGUACAACAUGGCUGGAAUGUGCACCAGAUGGAUGUCAAAUCCACAUUUCUUAAUGGAGUUCUUGAAGAAGAAAUCUAUAUGGAGCAACCUGAAGGUUUUGUUGUAGGUAGAAAAGAAGAGAAAGUCUACCGACUACAUAAAGCUCUUUAUGGCCUAAAAUAUGCACCAAGAGCUUGGUAUAGUCGAAUAGAUGAUUAUUUCCUUAGCCUCAGUUUUGAGAAAAGUGUUUCAGAAUUCACACUAUAUGUUAAACACAAUAACAGUGAGAUUUUUGUUGUUUCUCUUUAUGUCGAUGACCUUUUGAUUAUAGGAAGUAGUGCAAAACUCAUUGAUGAGUUGAAGAAGGCUAUGAUGCAAGCUUUUGAAAUGUUUGAUCUUGGUCUGAUGACUUAUUUCCUUGGAAUGGAGAUUACACAGGGAAAAUAUGAGUUUUUCAUUUCGCAGAAGAAGUACGCGAAGGAAAUUCUCAAGAAAUUCAAAAUGAAAAAUUGCAAAGAGAUGAAUACUCCCAUGAACCAAAAAGAGAAACCAAGCAAAGAUGAUGGAGCCGAAAAGGUAGAGAAAACAUACUUCAGAAGUUUCAUUGGGUGUUUAAUGUACCUUACAGCAACAAGACUCGAUAUAUUGUAUACUGUAAGUAUUCUAUCAAGGUUCAUGCAUUGUCCGAGUGAAGUACAUCUGAAGGCAGCCAAAAGAAUUGUGUGAUACAUCAAAGGAACAAUCACCAUGGAGUCAUGUUUCGAAGGAGUCAACCUGUAAACAUUUUUGGGUACUCUGAUAGUGAUUGGAGCGGUUCCAAGGAUGACUCGAAGAGUACUUCAGGGCACUAUUUUAAUCUUGGUUUUGGGAUUUUUUUAUGGAGUUGUAAAAAACAGGACAUUGUGGCUCAAUCUAAUACUGAAGCUGAGUUUGUGGUAGCUAUAGCAGCGGUAAAUCAAGCACUGUGGCUGAAGAAAAUUCUAAUUGAUCUACGUAUGGAAUCAACAGAAAGCAUUAAAGUGUACAUGCACAACCAAGCAGCAAUAGCUAUUUCUCACAAUCCUGUGUUUCAUGAAAAAUCUAAGUACUUCAAUUUAAGUUUUUCUUCCUGAGAGAAGUAUUAAAAGAUGGAGAUGUGAUUCUUGUCUACUGUAAGACGGAAGAACAAUGGGCUGAUAUAUUCACUAAGCCUUUACCAGUCAGCAAAUUCGAGCUUCUUAGAUAGAAAAUUGGAGUUUGCAUUUCAUAAAGCAAGGAGUGUUGAAAGUUUCUUUAAGAAUGCAGCCUGUUUUUUUCUUUUUUCUCCAUCUUUUCUUUAAGUACAAAUCCUAGUUAAAUUAGGAUUCCUAUCUUUGAUGGAAAACUCAUUAGUUACUGAUAUUUUUGGUAGAAAUAGGUUUUUUUCCUUCUAUUUUUAGUUGUAAUAGAAACUAUUUAAGUUAACCAGUUGAUGAUCAAUAAGACACGGCUUUUACAAUAAAAUAAUCAACCUCUCUAUAUAUUCUCUUCUAUAAACUCCAUUUCUAUUUAGUCGGCUAGCUUUUGAAUUGAAUUCCUGCGUUAUUUCCCUUUAACGGAUUUAAACCAACAGUAAGGGUUGAGAAAAACUAAUAAGAACAAAAAAAAAAGAAAAAAAUAAAAAAACAAAGUAAAAUAAAAAAAGAACAAAAAAGAAGUUGAGAGAAAAAAAGAAAAAAAGUAAGGGUUGGGAAAAAUCAAAAAGAAAAAGAAAAAAAAUAAAAUCAAAGUAAAAUUAAAAAGAGAAAAAAAUAGAAGAUGCAUAAGUAUUGAGUUUUUAUCCAUUAUGAGGAUAUUUAUCUAAUUUACUCCAUUGGUCAGGGUCAAUUUUGCCUGAAAAUGUAUCACUUAAUAGUUAAAGGCUAUUUUUAUCAAGCUUUUUUAUUUGGGGUCGAAAUUUGAAAGCCACCUUAUUUUGAGGCUAUUUCAGUAUUUUCCCCAUCCAGCAUGCGAACGUGAGACCUGUAAUUAAAAGAGUACUAAUAUGAUCCAUCCCACCACAAACCUUGACGGUAACUUUUACUUGUUUUAGAGAUGUUUUAAUAAUUUUUUAUUAUUAAAAAGUUCACAAAGUUAAUUUGUCUUGGUUGUUGUCAUUUGGCUCUUCCGUUAAUUGGUUCCCUAACUUAUGUGGGCUUCGAAGACUUGGCCAACUUGCAACCUAAUAAUGGCGGUAAAAUUAUUUCUCUAAUAGGUCCAAACUGCAAAUACUUUGGCGAGACGGCAAGUCAAUUCUCAUUCAAAUGACACUUCCAUUUUCUCAUUCAAGCAAUCAAAAAUGUAUAAUUGGAAUCAACCAAGUCUUGCAAAUAGUAAUUGUUGUGGAAAGUUUAUUCCUCUAAUCAGUCCAAACUCCAAAGACUUUGUGCAAAACUGCAAGUCAACAAUGUCUUGCUUUGUAAGAGAUUGUUCGUAAUUGUUGAAUUGCGAGCAACGAAGCGUGACAUCCAUUGUCCAGUGUUUUCAUAAAUUUUGAUUUAUUAGAAAUGGACAAAGUAAAUUUAACUCUAUUAAGAAAAAAAAGUGUGGACUUGUGCAUAGGGGUUGUGCCAAAAAGAAUUUGAAUCCUGACAUCUCUUAGUGUCAUCCAAUCCAGUUGAUAUUAUUGGACGGAGUAGACUGUUGGAGAGGUUUUUUUUAAUCCAAUUAGCUAUUGUUAAAAAGGAGUUAGGAUUAGAAAGAACGUCCUACAAGUAUUCUGCGUGUGUCUACAAACAAACUUAUUUACAUCACUAUGUCUUCAACGAGUGAAGAAGAAAGACGGGAUGGUGAAAAUGUAAGGAAGCAAGGAAGGGAGAAAAGGAAAACUAGCAAUUGAUGCAGAGAUAAUUGAGAAUACGCCAGCUUUCCAUGUAGUUGAAGUGAAAAAAAAAAAAUCAAGAGACACUGCAGAAUACCGGCAGUUUUGUGAUCAUGGAUUAAAGCUUUCAUUAAAAGAUAUAGUUUGGACAUGGCAGGGCAAUGAGCACAACAUGUGGAAAAUCAAAACUUAGAGGUAAGAAUGUGAAACAAAAAGAGUUGUGGUGUAAAGAAUUGGUUAAUUUGGAAAAUCUUGAAGAAUGGAGGUUGAUUUUAUACUGUAUUGAAAGAAGAGAAAUUUAGGGACUUAAUUAUCUUUCUUCUUCGUUUAUCAUUGAGGGACCUAUAUGUCCCAUAUUUAAGUCAUGGAAUCGGUCCUAAUGUUUGUGUCAGGAAAAUUGCCUACAUUACAACCCUUGGUUGCGACACUUGUCUAUAUCUUCCUUGAAUGCAAGAUACUUCAUGCACCGUACUACCUUUUUUUCUUAUCAUGUAAGCUUUAUGAAAACAUAUUUUGUUAUUGCUCUUUUUGUUUGUUGUCUUGAUGUUAUAUGUCAUCAGUGUUUCCCAUGUAAAACAUUUACUGUAUUAAUUGCUAUUUGUAUUCAUGUUAACUAGUAUGCGUACCCGUGCAAUGAGCGGUAAGUAUUUUAAACUAUUUAAUCAAUGAAUUUAAAGUGUUUUGCCACUGAUCUUUGAUUCUACUUUGUUCCAACUUCCAAAUAUAUAACUUCCUUCAUUUUAAAAUAGUUGACCAUUGUUGACUUGAUACUCCCCGAAAAUAUUUGUUAGCGGUUGAUUUUAGCAUCUCAUUAAUUAUGUUUCAAAAAUUUAAACUUGAGUAUACACACUUUGUUUAGUUAUUAAAUAAUAAAGGUAAUAUUGAAAGAAUAAAAUAAAAUUUUCUUGAUUUCAUAAAAGGUACAAAUAAAUUGAAAGAUCAAAGGUACAACUAAACUGAAAUAAAAUUUUUAAAAAGAAGAUCUAACUAUUUUGAAACAUAGAGAGUAGUAUCAAAGUAAAUACCGAAUGGAAAAAAUGCUCAUUUCCCUUUCCACUCCUAAGAUGAAGGGCGUAUAAAGAAGGAGCCAAACAACCAUAUUUUACCAAAAAAAUAUUUUUUCUUAACAAUGCAUGUCUUACGUAAAUAUUUUUAUAUUUUAAAGUAAAUUCAAAUAAUAUAUCUAUUUAAUUAAUACGUUAAUUAGCAUACAUCUAUAAUAUAAUUUAAUAAGCAUAUAUAUACAUACAUAUAUAUACAUACAUACAUACNNNNNNNNNNNNNNNNNNNNNNNNNNNNNNNNNNNNNNNNNNNNNNNNNNNNNNNNNNNNNNNNNNNNNNNNNAUAUAUAUACACACACACACACACAUUAUUGAAUAUUAUUUGCAUAAUUAAUAAUCUAUCCUUGUGAAAUUGAAAUGGAUAAAGUUGCGAAGAUAUAAUAAUUUUAGGUUUAAAAUUUGAGAUAAUACCCUAUUACCUCCUGAACUAUACCCAAAACGGCAGAGACACACCUCAACUUAAAGGAGGUCUUAUUGCCCCUGAACUAAUUAAAAGUUUGAUUUUGACACUUUUAGUGCCUACGUGGCACAACAAACUGAAGUGUCCAGGUAGGCACACGUGUGUGCCACGUAUGUGCCACGUAGGCAUGUUAAAAUUACACUUUUAAUUAGUUCAGGGAGUAAUAGGACCCUCUUUAAGUUGAGGUGUGUCACAGCCGUUUUGGGUAUAGUUCAAGGGGGUAAUAGGGUAUUUUCUCUUAAAAUUUUAACAAAAAUUAUUACAAUUAAAUUUAAUAAAUAAUGUACAAAGUAUUCUUCCAUUUGAUUUUCAAUAUCGUCACAAGCAUGGGAAUUUAAAUUGUUUCGCAUAAUAAUUCCUUUUUAAGGUCGUGUUUUAAAAUAAAAUAAAUGAUCAUUAGAAAUAAUUAUUUAAUCAUUAUAUUAAAUAAGACAUUUGAAUACUAAGAAACAUAUAUGGUUGAUGUCUCCUUACCUAUCAUCAGAAUUUAAAGAAGUUCAUAAGUACAAAUAACUUAUAUAUGUUGCUCUCUUUUUUCCAUAAGCGUAUUAAAUUAUGCAGCAGUCAGCUUCUCCAUAUAGAACAAAUCAAUCAGAUUCAACUUAUCGUCUUGAAGUUUUUGACACAAAAUUGGAUCCGAAUUACUUUUGUUUUUCUCAUGCUGAAUAAUAUUGAUAGAUGUUAGUUAUUUAUGUAAUAUAUAUAUAUAUAUAUAUAAGCACAAAAGUUAUGAAAUAUAUAAAUUUAAAACUUUAAUAAGACAAAAAAAUUGAUUACUCAUAUUAUCUGUUUACAAAUAAAAAUUGAGAACUUUCAUUUAUCCCUUCAUUAGUUCAUGUGAAACAUUUUUUCAACUAAGUCCAAUAUUGUACAUCCAAAUAAUUCUUUCAACCCUUUGACUCAUGAAACUUCAAUAUAAAUUAUUUUCAAAAUAUUUACCGAAGCAAAUCAAUGUUAUAUUUGAUGAGUAUUAAUUAAUACCCAUCAAUAAAUUUCAUAGAAAUUAUUAGGAAGUACUAAUAUUGAAAGUCGUACAUAGGGUAAUAACAUAAAUUUAUCUGUUGUUGUUCCAUGAGCAAAUUUAACUCAAGCCAUAAUAAUAUUUGCAAUGUACCAAACUACUACUAGAUCAUCAUAAAUAAUCAAAAUACUACAAAAAUCAUCCCUUUGUAGCCAACAAAAAACAACUUACAUAAUAUAUGAUGAAGAAAAUACAUCUUAGAUCUUACACAAUAUUGUAAACUUUUCCAAAGGAAAGAACCCAUAAAAAUCUUUUCAAAUAUUAUCAUUGAUAACAUGGUGAAACUGUUUUUUUCAUGCAUCCAUUUCAAUGAGUGACAUAAAUAAAGAAGACGAAACAUGAAUUAACGUCUCACCAUGAUAUCUAGCCUAAUGUAUAACAAUCCAUUCUACAAAUAAAAAUAAUUAAAAAAGAAGAAACAACAACAUCAAUUAAAAUUAACGUUACCUUCUAUUUUUCAACCAAAAAAGUAUGUUCAUAACCUUAGUUCUAGUUGUAGUGCAAAUAUUUUUCCACCAGAUCUGGUUAUGGAGGUGGCAAUUGUGUGUGAAAGGAGAAGAUAGAGAAAUGGGAAAUGAAAAAGUUCGGGAAACGUUAGGUUAGUUAAGUUUUUUAAUCCUUUAGUUAUGAUAAAGAUGAGAAGUUGUAACCACCUAGGAUUCUUCAAAUCAAAAUUUAAACUUUAUAUAUUGAUUUUUUAAUCUUGAUGUUUAAUAUUUGACUAAAAUAAUUAACCUUUUCACAAAAGGCAUUUUAAAAUUUAAAAAUUCCUACAAUUAUUAUAAUUUGGGGAUAACCAUCUUCAAAAUAUAAGAAUUAAAUUCAACUUUAUAAUAUUUAGCUUUCAAUUAAUUUUUUAAUAUAAUUUCAGUAUAAAUGUUUUGUUUGUCAAGUAGAUAAAAUUUAAACCUCAAUUGUUUAAUAUGUUUUAAAAUUUAAGGUCUAGAUUGAUUUGAUUUAGGUAUAAAAUAUAAGAAUUUAAUAUUUAAAAUAAUUAUGGAUCAACUAAAAUUUUAAAGGAAAAACAAAACAGAGAAACGAAAAUGAAGUAUGUUUAAAGAUAAGUUUAUCUUUUGAAAAUAAAUGGAUACACUUGGUUUAAUUUACACUAAAAAAAAUUAUUUGGUUUCAAUGUAAAAUUAUGUUAUCUUCCGUUUGUUAAAAGAAAAAUUACAAUUAAUGUUGGUGUUUUUUCAAAAAAAGUUACUCAGCUAGUUUUAACAUUUAGUUGUAUUAAAAUUCAAAUAUUCAAAAAAAAUUAUUUUGUUUUUAAUCUUUAUUAUAUUAUGAUUUUGAUUUUUUAAAUUGAAAUUUAAAAAUAAUAAUGAAUAACUAACUUAACUAUAAUUUGUCCUAAAUUACCAAGUGGCUUAUUCAUAGGCGGUCACUUGGCUUAAUGUGGAGGCUUUGUCCUCUCUUUUAAUAAUACAAGCUUUGUCUCUCCUUUUCUUGAAGCUUUUUCUUUCAUGAGUCAAGCAAUCAACAACAUAAUAUAAGCAUCAAUACAAGAACAACAACACCCAUUGUGGCACCAUUAUGCCAUGGGUCCAAAAUGACACCAAACCCCCAAGUGGGUCCCACCUUCAAAAAAUGAGUUUUCAAGAUCAACCCAUAGUCUAAAUAUCAUUAGGGAGCUAAAAUCCUCAAGAAAUUUGAGUAAAUCAAUAACAUUUGUGACUAGAAUUGAGCUUCAAAGACUUGAAAUUUUUGAGUCUAGAAAUCAAGAAAUUAAUACCAAAUUUGAAGGAAUCUUACCUUAGAUUUGUAGAAAAAUAUAGAUUACACAAGUUAUUCAAGCUCUUAAUCAACCCACAAGACUCAUUUUUUAGUCAACAAUCUCUCAUGGUUGCUAGGGUUCUAAAAGAAAUGAAAAAUGCCCCAAAAAUGAGCCUAAUGAGGCUUUUAUACGAGUUUAAAUGGGCCCGCAAGAUCAAAAUAUUUUUUUGAACUUCCGGACUCAUUCGAACUCCUUUUUUGCAAAUGAACUAUGUAACCCCACUAAUUCGAUAUUUCGGAUGCAUUGGUGAAAUUGUAUUUUUCAUCCAAGGUCAUUUAGGCCACUUGUGGGUCCCACAUCCAUAUAUUUUGAUUUUUUACUUUUUGACUUAUGGGUCGAAAUGAGCUCAGGUGCUGUGGGAUCUGAACCAAGAUUCUACCUACCCUAAAAUCGAUAUUACAUAGCUGCUGGCGUAGUCAAAAUUUGCAUCCAAAAUUAUUUUACUGAAGUUUUUUCUCGGCAACCAUUUGGAAUCGACGAAGACUCACAUUAGAAAAGUGGUUCUAAAAAUCAAACGAACCAUCAGGUAACCGAAAUAUCAAUUUCAUGAAGUCACUAAUGGCUUGGGACGGCUAUGAAGGAGCUCUAUCGGCAAAUAUAAUCAAGAACACGGCUAAUGACCUGAAGGGUCAUUACAGCAACUUAUUACAUGCAUGAAACUCAAUCGUUCCUGCGUGGAUUAGUAAUCCACUCAAAUGCUGCCACCUAAUAAAAAAGAUACAUAAUAAGUAUGACCUUUAACUUUGUCCGUGCACAAAUAGGCCCCUUAACUAUACAAAAACUGAACAAAAAAAUACUCCAAUUCAAUCUUAGACGCGCGUGGUUUUGAGUGUAUACACUCAUUUUUUCAAGUAGGAUUAGAGUAUUUUUUUCUUGUUCAGCUUUUGUAUAGUUAAAGGGCCUACUUGUGCAUUGGUAAAGUUAAAGGUCAUAGUUAUAAUUUAGUGUCGAAGUUAAAGGUCCUGUUCAUGCAUUAUGUAUUAGGAAUCUUAGUCAUUUGUAUCUAUCUCUUGUAUACAUUGUAUUUAUCCAUAGAGGAUAAUGUAAUUAUCUCUUCACAAAGUUUCCAUUAUAUAUAUAAAUACAGAGGCAGGGCUCUAAGUGUGUUGAGCCAUUUUACAAAUAUAUUCUCAUGGUAUCAGAUAGCCAAAGAUCCAUCUAUUUUUUUUUCUAAAACAUAUUGUUUCUUCAUCUUCCGCAACAUCCGUCGUUUCUUCUAGCGUCCCAUCUGCUACAUCCGUCGUUUCUUCUACUAUCCCAGAUUCAACUUUUUCUGUUACAUCUUCGCUUCCUUCCGUAAGCAACACCUUAUUUGGAUUAUCUCCUUCGUUUGACAUUGCUUCUCCUGUUAUACCAAAUCUCUCCUCUGUUGUUGCUCUUGCAACUCCUAAUGUCACAAAUUUAGUAACUAUUAAGUUAAGUUCUGUGAAGGACUAUCUCACAUGGCGCACUCAAUUUACCUCUCUAUUUUUUUCACAUGAGAUUAUGGGUUUUGUUGAUGGUUUAAUCCCUCCCCCAUCUCUUCUUCUUGGUGAUGCAUCUAGAAAUCCACAACUAAACCCACUCUAUCGAUCUUGGAUAAAAAUCGAUCAAAGUGUUCGUUCUUGGUUAUUCGCCACACUUUCUCGUAAUGUUCUCCUUGAUGUUUAUUUUUUUCCCACAUCUAGAGAUAUAUGGUUAUCCUUACAUCGUCACUGUAUGGAUGCGAGUCAGGCUAAAUCUAUUGAGUUGAAAUGUCAACUCACUGCCUUACAGAAGGACGAUAAUAUGAGCAUUGACUAGUAUCUUCAAAAUGCCAAACAAAUAGUUGAUUCUCUUACAGCAAUUAAUGCACCUGUUGCUUCUCGGGAUUUCAUUGAUCACGUUUUACUUUGUCUUGGAAAAGAGUAUGACACCUUGUUUGGCAUCAUUACUCACUUUCCAAGCCAACUAUCCAUUGAAGAGCUUUGCACCAAACUUUUACUUUAUGAGCAAAGGUUGCAGCGAUUUAAGCACCUUGACUCACCAACUAUGGACCAAGCAUUUGCUACACAUUCUGUUUCUACAACUACUCCUCAAGAUUAUAGCGCUCAGUUUGGUAAUCAUACUGGCCGUGGCCGAGGUCGAUCCUCUUUAUUUAGAGGUAGUGGCUUUAAUGGUCAUGAGAAGCAAUCACAAUUCAAUUCCAGCAACCAUAAUACACGCAUAAGCACAACUGGACAGCCACAGUUAGGUAUUGGUGGUACAUACCCUGGCUCCUAUAAUUCUUAUUCUGUAAGUACUAAUUCACCAUCUAUGGGAGUGCUUGGUUCUCACCCCUUUACUCUUAGUUGUCAAAUUUGUGGAUCCCUCGGACAUGCUGCCUUACAAUGUACUAAUAGGUUUAAUCAUGCUUUUGUUGCUAAUGAUCUUCCUAAGCCUUUUGCAACCGUGUAUGUUGGUGAAACGAAUGAUGCUACUUGGUACGUAGAUUUUGCAGCAUCUGCUCACAUGACUCCAUCUGAAGGUAACCUUUUGCACAAAACUCCAUACACUGGCCAUAAUCGUGUUUUAGUUAGGGAUGGAAAAUUGCUCAAUAUUAGUACUAUUGAAUAUACCCAAUUACCAUCUACUUUCCGUCCCCUUCAUUUGCGUUCUAUCUUUCAUGUUCCUCAGUUAAAACAUAACUUAAUUUCAGUCAAAAAGUUAUGUGAUGAUAAUAAGUGUGUUAUUAAUUUUGACUCGUCUUCUAUUUCUGUUAAGGACAAAGCCUCGGGUCAAACUCUCCUUCGAGAAUCCAGUAAAGGCGAUGUUAUCCUCUUUCAUCCAAGUCAUUGUUCUAUCAUCCUCCAGCUUUAGUUGUCGUACAACAAUCAGGAGACGUCUGGCAUCAUCGUUUUGGUCACUGUGGAGCUCGAGUCUUAGAUAGUCUUAGAGACAAUAAUUAUAUUCGUUUGGUUAAUCUUUUUCAAAAUAAGUAUGUUUCUUGUCGAUUAGGAAAGGCACAUCAUUUGCCAUUUCAUUUAGUAGAACAUUGUAGCUCUUUUCCGUUGGAGAUUAUUCAUUCUAACAUUUGGCAGUCACCUGUGUUAUCUAAUUUAGGUUAUCAAUAUUAUGUUAUUUUCAUUGAUGAUUUUUCCAGGUUCAUAUGGAUUUAUCCCAUGAAACAUAAAUCUAAAAGUUUUACUCAUUUUUGUGCCUUUCGAAAAUUAGUGGAAAACAUUUUCAACACUAAAAUUAAAAGUUUUCAAAGUGAUGGAGGCGGGGAGUUCGAUAACAAAGUCAUGGUCUCAUACUUUUCUGAUUCCUGAAUUAUUUUUCGUAAGUUAUGUCCUGAUACUCCCCAACAAAAUGGGGUAGCAUAAAGAAAGCACCAACACAUUCUUGAGAUGGUGCGGACUAUUCUCACAGAUGCCGCAAUACCAUCUAAGUUUUGGGUUGAUACUGCUUUUAUACAGUUUACACCAUAAAUAGGUUACCGUCCCCAGUUUUACAAGAAAUUUCUCCAUUUGAGAAACUUUUUCAAACUCCUCCAGAUUAUGAUUUUCUCAAAGUGUUUGGUUAUGAAUGUUUUUCAUAUGUAUUGUCUCGAAAUUCAAAUAAGCUUGAACCUUGUUUAGUUCGUUGUGUUUUCUUAGGCUAUGCUUCUAAUUAUAAGGAUAUCGUUGUUUGGAUCCCAAAGUAGGUCGUGUGUAUAUUAGUCGUCAUGUCACUUUUCAUUAAUUAGCUUUUCCUUAUUCUGAGUUAUCUCGUGAUCCUUCUAUAUCUUCGUCUAUUCAAUCUAACCCUCUUGUAGUCAUUUCACCCUCACACCCGCAUGUGUCUAAUUCAAUUUUUUUUCCCUCUAGGACUCCUAUAGAUUCUUCUACUUCAGGCUCUUUGGACGUUUCUACUGACCCCAUAAUUCAGUCUCCUAAUGUAACCCCCCUAGUUGAGACAUCUCCUGAUAGGUCGAGCUCACAUGUGUCUCCUACUAUUCUUUGUCCAUCCAUCUCCAUUGUUGCCGCUCAUCCUAUGCAAACUCGCUCCAAAUCUGUAAUUUCUAAGCCUAAAAUGCUCUUCUCCCUAAGUUCAAUCGUCUCUGACACCAAACCUUCAUGUUUCUCUCAAGCAGUAAAGAAUCCAAAAUGGCAAGCAUCCAUGGCCGAUGAAUUCAAUUCUCUUUUGGAAAAUCAAACUUAGGUUCUUGUCCCUAAUAAUUCUAACAUGAACUUGGUCGGUUGUAAAUGGGUUUAUCACAUUAAAUAUAAUUUGAAUAGUUCUGUUGAGUGAUACAAAGCUCGUCUUAUAGCACAGGGUUUCACUAACAACCUGGUAUUGACUAUUAUUAGACAUUUAGUCCCGUUGUCCAUCCGACAACAGUACGUAUUGUCCUUUCUCUUGCCAUCUCUCUUUCAUGGUCAAUUCGUCAACUAGAUGUUAAAAAUGCAUUUUUAUAUGGUGUGCUUCGUGAAGAGGUGUUCAUGAAACAACUGCCGGGCUUUGUUCAUCCUAACUAUCCUCAUCACGUUUGCAAACUACUUCUGGCUCAUGGGUUUAUUUGUGUAAAUCAGAUUCUUCUAUGUUUAUUUGUAAGUGUUCAUAUGGUACUCUCAUUUUAUUGCUCUAUGUUGAUGAUAUUAUUCUUACUGGAAGUCAUGUUUCUCUAGUUAAUAAUUUCAUUCGGCGUCUUUCACGUCAAUUUUCCAUGAAAGAUCUUGGUGAUCUUCAUUACUUUCUUGGUGUCCAUGAUACUCGUACAUCUGAGGGUCUUCAUCUAUCUCAACAAAAAUAUGUCUCUGAUUUGUUGGUUAAGUUUCAUAUGCACACUUGCAAUCCUGUUCGCACCCCAUUUGCUUCCCGAACUUCGCUUUCUCUUAUGGAUGGUGAGUUACUUUCAGAUUCUACUAAAUAUCGGAGCAUGUUAGGUGCACUUCAAUAUUUAACUUUGACUCGUCCUGAUAUUGCUUAUGCUGUAAGUGUUGUCUCGCAGGUUAUGCAUGCUCCUCGUACCAGUCAUCUGCACUCUGUGCAGCGUAUUUUCAGGUACUUGCGGGGUACUAUUACCCAUGGUAUUUUUCUCAAAGCAUCUUCACCUGUUUCCACAAUGGUUGCCUACUCUGAUGCUGAUUGGGCUGGUUUCCCGGAUAGUCGACGUUCCACUACUGGAUUUGCUGUAUUUUUGGGUGAUAAUCAUAUCUCUUGGCAUGCAAAGAAGUAACCAACUGUCUCUAGAUCCUCUACUGAAGCAGAGUAUAGGGCGAUUGCCUACACUUUUGCUGAAACUACUUGGAUUCGGCAUGUUCUUUCUGAGCUUGGUGUAUUCCUUGGGAACCAGUUCGAGUGAUGUGUGAUAAUGUUAGCUCUACAUAUAUGACUCGCAAUCCGGUGUUUCAUGAUCGCUCUAAACAUAUUGAUGUAGAUUUUCAUUACGUUCGUGAUAACGUUGCUCAAGGAGAUCUCGUUGUUCAAUAUGUGCCCACUCGCUUACAAUUUGCUGAUAUCUUCACAAAAGGACUAUCUUCAUCUCAAUUUUAUUUUUUACGAGACAAUCCGUCCGUUAUUUCUGUCCGUUCAGAUUGAGGGGGUAUAUUAGGACUUUUAGUCAUUUGUAUCUAUCUCUUGUAUACAUUGUAUUUAUCCGUAGAGGAUAAUGUAAUUAUCUCUUCACAAAGUUCUCAUUAUAUAUAUAAAUAUAGAGGCAGGGCUCUAAGUGUGGUGAUCCAUUUUACAAAUAUAUUCUCAUUAUGCCUAUUCCAUUAUACAAAGUUUGAUUGGUUUAUUUUUAAACAUCCCCUCAUGAAACGUCUUUUCUUACUUAUCCUAUGUUCACUAUAUUAAAUCUUUUCAUUCUAAAAAUUCAUAUAUCAAAAAUAUAUAGUGAUAUCAUGUAUGUAUGAAGGAAACAAAGGACGUCAAUAAACAAACACAUAAACUGUCUCUUUCAAUUGAACAUAUUCAUUCUCCUAAACAUAUAAAGUAUGUUUUAAACUUGCUUUUAGUUACAGUUAAUAUAGUAGUUUGGGACAGUAGUCAAAUUGACAACUCAAGUUGUCUACCAAUUCCGUAUUUCCUACCCGACUGCCCAAGUGAUUAUCUCAGUUCCUUCAAAAUAUCCUGUAAUAAUAACUAAGAUGAUCAUCGACUCAUUGUUUGAUAUAAGACGACAUUUUAUGGAGUCACCAUUUUAGGUAAACAUCUCAUUCACCUAAAUUGAUAUAUUAAUAGAUACUUUAUUUGAAUUAAAAAAUACUUCCGUUGAUGCUCCUUUCUCCAAUAUGCUCUUCUUCACAACUAUCCCUUACAAAAAAAGAAUUUCAUUUUUACAAAUUGAUGAAAAAAAAUAGUAAAUAUUAUAUGGAGAAAAGCGUGUAUGUCUUGGUAUAUAAUAUAAUUUACGCUGCAUGAGCCAAAUAAUGAUAAUUAUAUUAAAGUGCGAAAAUUGCAAGAUUGACGGCAAGAGCUCAUUAUAAUAUAGGGUAAAACGUUUGUUGUUUACAUCUAACAGUAUCUGACGCUAGAGAAGAUGGUCAGGCUGGAUUACAAAAUAAUAGUUAUUUUUUUUUAAUCAUCUAAGGUAGUUAAGUGCUAGUGGCAAAGGGAUCGAGUUGCCGCCUUGAUGACGUCGGUUUGAACCUAACUGUACGCAUGUCAUCUUUUUAACUUGAAUUCAAGUGUGUAUCGGAAACAACUACCAUCCACAGACCCUAUUUUGUUGGAUUGUAGUUUUUUUUUUUUUUUUUUGAAUCAGGCCGCAUAUGCAUAAUUUGGCUACUGAACUUGAGGUGAUUGCUCUUCUAAUUUGAAAAAAAUAUGCUCUUAAUAGUAUUACUUCAAAAUAUUGUAUUAAUAAAAGACAAAAGAAAGUAGGACUAUGAAGAUUCAUUAGCAUUGUACUAAUAUCGAACACUAAUUUGCACAUAAAACUUUGAGAAAAUAGGCAAAGGUACAAAGUGUAAGUUCACGGGGUUCAGAGGCUCAUCCACAUCCUAUUAACAUGUGGGCUUCGGAAAAGAAAGCAGAAGCAACUCUAUCUCUUGAGUGUCCUCAUCCUAAUCAAGUCAUCUCUUCAAUCAAAUUUCCAAGCUUUGGCACUCCUCAUGGAACAUGUGGAAGCUUUAGCCAUUGUCGAUGCAGGAGCAAGGAUGUUCUUUCAGUUCUAAAGAAGGUUAGAUCCUUUAUAAAACGUGUAACUGGUAGAUCCAGUUAGAAUUCUCAUACCAAAUUUCAAUUCAACCAUCUUUGCAGUAUUGCAUUGGAUCAAAAAGCUGCAGUCCUGGUGUUCCAAUAAAUGUAUUUGGUGACCCAUGUAUAGGAGUCACAAAAAAAUAAGUUGUAGAAGCUUUCUGUACAUGAUACCUCGCGGAACUACUGGACUGAGAAGGCACAUUCCUAAGUGUAGAAGUGAUAGAAGGUCAGAUAAACUAUUACUAAGUUACAAAUCAGAAAGAUAUUGCUCACUGAAAACUUACGCAUGAUUUCCGCCCUAUGUAUUCAUAUAUCAAAAUUAUAUUUAUAGCAAUAUUUUAGUUAACAAACAAUUCACUGCUAUUCUUAUACACUACCAAAAGACCCCUUAUUGGUUAAUAUCUUUGUAUCAUCAAGCUGAAAAAGCACUUGAGGGUCUUUGGAACCUUUAAUUUGCAGAGAGCUGAAUGAAGUGAUGGUGUCUGAUAUUUGUCUUCCCCACCGAUGAUUGGCAUCUUCAACCCUCUCUUGACUGGUCUAACAUAGCCCAAUUGGUAAUCUUGCCAAGAAUUCAUUCGACAUCUUUAGAUAAAUUGAGAAACUUAAAUUGUGUCUCUAGAUGAGCAAAAGAAACAUCUGGUGGUAACUGAUAAUUGUGAAACUUUGUUUUCUCUCACCAAUGGGGACUAACUUUACAUUCAAUUGCAAUAGUGUGAAAACUGUGACCUUCAUGCUGUUAAGAUCAUCUGUCCUCUUGACCACCACUGAUCUUUCAGCAGUGUUAAACAGUCUAUUCUGCAUCUCCGUCCCUCGGGACAUCAAUUGUCUCACCGUUCCACUGUACAGUAACAUGAAUAUCUUCAUCCCAGUUUGACACUUUCUUUGCUCCUAGAACUAAUGUAUGGGUGUCAAACAUGCCUGAAAAUGUUUGAGCACAUGUAAAGUCGCACUUCCUUUGCUGUGGUUGUGUACCAAUUAGAUGUGCAUUAAUGUGGAGGUUGUCAUCUGAGAAAAUAGCAAAGUCAGUUUCCUUUGCUCCAUGGAAGUACAACCUCACGCCGUCACCACCCACAAAUCUGGGAUCGCAGCAUAGAGACCAUAACCAUCAUACCUAGCUUGUAGCCUUUGAACUUCCUGCUAUUUUCCGAUACUUGAUUCAUAUGCAAUAGAAAGUUUCUUAAAUUGGCAUAUUUCCUCGAUCUUUAAUCUUUUGUUAGAGAACACAUGUAUGCUAUCUCAAAAACAGGGUUUCCAGUAGUAUUGCUUUCACAUAUACCUAGUGUAGUGACCUUUCCUAAUUGUUGUGUCCCUACAUUUUGACUUAAAUAUACAACCAACUGCGCCAUCAAAGGCUUUAACUAUUUACUGCCAAAUUAUAUGCGGUGAAAAAAUUAAGAUAGAAUUUCCACUUAAGCUGACAAUCAUGAGAUAUAAGAGCAAAUUUGAAAACAACAGUAAAUCAAACAAACAAAAAGACAAAUGCUAUCUCCCAAUUUCGAGAAUGAGAAUAAAACAGAAAUUCCAGGACAAAAUAUAACAAAAAACUUCAUCGCACCGCUGUUACUCUGACUUAGGGCGUCUUAGAUAAGUCCUCUGCUUGAUCUCCAUUAGUCCAGAUGAAAGUGAAAGAAUGUAACUCACACUGAUAUGCACAAAGUGACAGAAGUUUGAAGGCUGCAUUUAAUACACAUUGAUACAUGCAUACAUAUUGGGUACUUAAAAUUAAAGGAAUUUGCAUAAAUUGCAAUUAAAACUGGAUUAUGAAAAAGUACAAACCCGAUAAUGGAUAAUUUUACCAAAUCAACUAAAGGCAUCUUCCAGCUGAUAAAUCUAUAUCGUCCCAUGAUAAACCUAUGUGACUUUUCCAGUUUCUUUCAUCACAAAAAAUCAGAAUUGAUCUUAUCAUAGAUAGAUAAUUAAUAUUGAAACCCAACAUAACCACCAAUUUUAAGCUUUAUAUAUAAGAUUACAAAAAUCACAUACUCAAAUCAACAGCAAAAGAACACUAUAGAGAAAAUUUUUAAAGCAAGUACGGUAACAGUAGAUGAGAAAGAAAUGGACCUUCUAAUCAUAAUAUGUAAUUCUUGAAGACCAGGGGACUCAACGCAUAGACUGGUACCUGGAAAAUGGACUAAAAAACUCAAAAAAGAAUCUUAACUCUUCAACCAAAACACAUUUGCAACAUUUAAUCAUUUAUUCAAUAUCAAAUGGGUGUUUGUCGAUUUGAUUCGGCGAAGCUUGAGAGGCUUAUGAAUGGAGAUCUGGUGGUUCUCAAUGGUUGCGGAUGAACUCUAUUAAAAUGAAACUGGAAAUGAAUGGUGGUACUCGACGGUGAUUCAUUUCUUCUUAUAACAACUUAUGUCAUGGUUACUAAAUUAUUUUUUCGACCAUAAAGUUUGUCAAUGGAAAAAAUUGCAAUCUUGAAAAAUAAUUUUCAAAAAUUCAAGUAAUACCUCAAUUAAUCACCAUAUGGACCUGCAAGAAUAAUAGUAUAGCCAUCAAGAUCAACAGCAUUGCAACAGAGAUCACAAAGGUCAUCAAGAAACUAAGCUUCAUGAACUUCACUCACAUCCAACUAUUACACACACAACAUUGCUAAAGAUAAGUUGCAGAGAACUGCACAAUUCAUUUCACGUAAUAAGAAAUUUUUUUCGGACUAAUGUUUAUUCAAUUUGAAAAGACCAAACAUAAAUUCGACGUUCAAUCUUCCUUAUGUCUGAUCUCUCAUUAUCUUCUAUAUCUGCAACAUUUAACCACGUAACUUGUGCGCUCUAUUUAAUUCACAUAUAUCAUUGACUUGCAGAUGCAGUAUAUAAAAUAAUAUAUUUAUAGCAGUAGUGUGCAGCAUGUGUUGUUCAGGAGAUGUAAGAAAAUCAACUAACUUAUCAACAUAAGAUUUUUUUUUUUCUUGGAGAAAAGCUUGCUUAGAUAAGAAUUAAAUAGAACGAAUAAACAUAAAAAUCUUCCUAUACCAAGUUAAAGAUGUCAAAAGAUGAAAAGUGCCCUAUCCUAUAAAUGAAGUGAGUGGCAAUACCUAAUUGAAAUGUAUGUGAAAAUUCAGUAGUGCCACACAUAUUUUCUAGACUCUCCCCCCUGAAAUUAUAAAAAAGAAAAUGCAAAUUAAACUUAUAAAAGAAAAUAUCUAAGCACCGAUUUUGAGGUUUCCAAAUAGGAGCAUGAAGCAGGAAGAGAAGAAACCCAUGAGAAAUUUUAGGAUGAAUCCUCACAAAAUUAUUCUUAGUUCCUGAUAAGGCUUAGGACAUGCAGAUCUGCAAACAUUUCAGAAAUUAACAAUCGGUCUGCCAAUAACAUCUAAUCGAAUGUACCAGAAGAUUAAACUCGGUGUGUCUUGCCUUUGCGAAUCGCCAAAGACACCCUUAACGGUUCUUAUAGAACAAUCAAGUUUGAUACUACCUCCUCUAUCCAGCAUUCGAGAUUUCUCCAAGUAGUUAAUUUUUUCUUAAUCAAAUCGUCAUUUCUGCAUAAAAUCUACCCUUUCCAAACCCCACUUGAUGAAAUUAUAAUGGGUAUGUUGUUGUUGUUGUUGACUGCAAUAGUUCAAAGUUGCAUUUUGGAAGUCGCUUAUGUUUAACACUGGAUAAUGUACAAAUAAAAGAAAGUUAACAAACAAUAAAUACACAACCGUCCAUAAUCCAACACUUACUAUGAAUCACAUGAGAAUAGUUAAUAUUUAACAUAUGAAGUGGCCAAUAAACAACUUGCUUGAUGUAGUUAAAAUACAAUUCAGAAAUCGAUAAGACUUGAAGCAAAAUUAUGAAAAAAUCAGAAUCUAAAUUACUUGAUAGAUAAUUUAGAUAUAAACAAUCUAUCAGGUCAUAUGAAACUUGAUAUCUUUGUAGCAGAAUUUCAUACCACCUAAAAUAAGAGUGCGCUUUUUGGGAUCUUUUCUUAAGACAUUAUAAAAAAAUGGAGUAAAAAAAAUAACAUUUGUAAUUGAAAAAGAUUAGGUAUUGCACCAAAGACAUAUCUAAACACAAACAAAGGAAGUUAAGUAAAAUUCAAAAAUGCGUAACUAAUAACUUACUUAGCUACUUGUUAUCCUGAAACGCCACAUGGUAAUUUAUCAUGCUUCCACAUGGCUUUAUGUGGAGGCUUUGUCCUCUCUUAAAAAUAGAUUAAUUUUAAACAUUAAAAGACGCUCUUUAUAUGGUGUUUUUUGUCAUACGCUUGAAGAUUUAUUUAUAAUUGUUACAUUUUAUAACUCAUUACAUGCAUAAAUUCAUAGAAUUUUAAUAGUUCUAAUGGAUCUAUAAUAAUUAACAUGAGACACCAUUCGAAUAUAAAUGUACCUAUAAGCUUAUUUCCACUAAUCCGUAGAUGUUGUAUCUUGGUUAAUUUCCCCGUCUCCCGUGGUAAGAAUCCUCUAAGAUUUUUCUGUGAUGCUUACAAAAUUUGCAGAGAUGAGAUAUUGAAUAUGGAGAUGGGGACAGAGCCGGUAAUCUGGUUUCUCUCCAUGGCUAACUGUGCCAAAUUAACAAGAUUUCCAAUUUCUUGCGGAAUUAUCCCUGCAAUUAAUGUGUAAUAUGAUAAAAUUCUGAAGUAAUAAAAUACAAUAGUGCUAGUAUUCAGAAGAUGGAACGUACCAGUGAAAUGGUUAGUUCCGAGAGUCAAUUUCUACAAGUUACUCAAUCUUCCAAUAAUUUCACUAUGUAUUGGUCCAUCAAACUCAUUUUCUGAUAAAGACAAAAUUUGAAGUUGUGAACAAUUUGACAAGCUUGUAGGCAUAUGACCGUGAAGCUUGUUUGUGGAUAAAUAAAGACCUUUGAGUAUUGGGAGACCAUUGCAUAAACCUUUGGGGAGAUUUCCUGAUAAGCUAUUGCCAGUAAAUGCAAUGAAUUCGAUCCUAAAAAUAUUGAAAAUUGUAAAUGGUAUAGAACCGUAAGUUGAUUAUAUUGUAUGGCCAACCAGUUCAUGUUGUGAAGAUUGCCGAUCCCUUCUAGGAUGUUUGCUUGAAGUGAAUUAUAAGAUAUAUCUAAAGCCUCCAACCUUGAGGCAUUCAAGAGUGACAGAGGAAUAGAGCCUAUUAGAUUGUUACCCCUCAACUUCAAUUCUCUAAGGUUUCCAAUCACUUUUGGUAUUUGGCCCUCUAUGGAAUUAGAAUUCAGAUUCAAAGUCUCAAGUGUGGAAACAUUUGAAAAUGAAGAAGGGAUGGAACCAGUGAAACUAUUAUUUCGUAGGUUUAGUACUUGAAGUUGGUAUAAAAACCCAAACCAAGAGGGAACCUCCCGCUGAAGCUGUUGAAACUUAAAUCAAGAACCUUAAGCCAAUGCAAGUGUGUCAUUUCUUGAGGCAAAUUUUCAUGGAAUUUGUUGCUUCCCAAGUCUAGAGAAACAAGAAAUGUGAGGUUCCCUAGUUCAUGGGGUAUUACGCCCGUAAGAGAAAUUCAAGAAUCUCACUCCCUGGUGACGAGAGCCACAAGUGUCUCCAACCCAAUGGCAAACCGAUGUAGCUGGAGACCAACUUUCAUCCAAGAAGUGAAAGGGGUACGAAAUGAUUUGUGAUUUCAGGGAAAGAAGAGCAAAUUGAUCAGUGGAGAUAUUAAAUUUGUUCAUGGAUGAGCUACUUAUAACAUAGUACUGAAGCAACAAGACAAAAGAGCUGAAAGCUACAAGUUUCUCCAUAAUUGCUUAUAUUGGUAAGAAUAUGGAUAUGCAUAGUAAUGAUGUGGUUUUGACACUUAAAAUAGCAAAAGGUCUCUUUCUCUUACUGAUUUUAAAAUCUACAAAAAUCUUUUUUUAUGAGAAUUUUCCCUAAACUUUUAGGGAAAAAGGAAUAGCUUUCCUUUAUUCAUUGAUUAAGUCAUCUAAAGAAACAAUAAAGUAACUUUAAUUUGUUUUAGUGGCAAACCAAGAAAGAAGACUCAAAAAGGAGUCUUCCACUAAGUUAUGUAACCAUAUGUAAGAUGCUCAUUGGAGGAGCAAGAAUGAAUUUAAUAGAUUUUCUUUAUUAUUAUCUUUGUUUAACUCCAGUAGAUACAGGUGAAAAUCAUAAUUUGAGUUAACAACUUAAACAGUACUGACUACAAUAUCAUAAUGAAUAGGGAUUUAGUUUUGGCAAACUAAAAUUUAACUAGUGUCAGCUAUGGGUUCACAGAGAUUUAUAUCUUUUGAUACGGAGUAUAGAUAUAUACGGAAAAAGCUACUAAAAUAUCAACAACUACUAGGCUUGAACCCAUAAUUGUGUUCUGAUCUGUCAUCCCAGAGUUGUCGGAAAGGUAAGAUGGAAAUUUUAUUGAACUCAUUGGGUGUAUCUUCCACAUGAUGUUCAGGAAGCACCUGGUUCGAGUCUGUUGAGGCACCAUCUGCGCCAGCUGUAAGGUUGUUAGAAAGUUAGUUACAAACAACUUUUGGUGCUGGGUACAUGGUUUUAUUUGGAUUUUCAUUAUUUCGCGGAUUUUGACCAUCCCAUAAAAUGGUUAGCAGCCUCUCUGGGUACAUGAUUUCGAUGUUCUAAAACUGUAGUUAGACUGAUAAGUGCACCUUCUUUUUAUUAUUCUGAGGUACAAGAGUGAUGUGCAACAUAGGAUAUUGAAUGAAUCUAUUAAGAACAUUUUAUUACACUAAGAAAAUUUGACCUAUAUAAAAAUUAGAAGUUCUAUAAAACAAAACAUCGAUGUUAUCUAUAGAAAUAAAAUAUACGCCGGCGAGAUAACCAGUUGCAAACAAGUGUUUGGUUCGAAAUCGAGAGGGCGUCAUGCGGAAGCUAUUAGUUGCAAACUAUUAUGGUGACAAUUCAGAAGACACAUAAAAAAAUACUAAUAAGCUUAAUAUUAUUAUAUUAUUUAGUCAAUUGGCCUAUAUGUAAAAUCUAAUAGUAAAAACGUAUAAACUAAUGAGAGAGAAGAUCUCACCCUAAACAAAAAUCUUAAAAGACUACAUCGGGGAUGAUAUUGUGUUAUGGCAUGAGAAUGAGUCUUCUAUUUAUAGAUGUCCAAAACCUUUCCUCCAAGAAACAGUUUGCCAAAUAUGAAAAGUUUUAUAUUUUCCUUCAAUGAAAAAUAAAAGUAAUUAUGGUACUAUUUUAUUUUCCUUUAAUAGAAAAUUAAAACUCAAUUUUUGUAAGAAAAUCAGGGCAAAAACGCUAACAACAAUUAUGGUACUGACUCCACUUUUUCCUCUUCUUCUCGCUGUUCACUCUCACCUCCCCUCUAUUUACUGCUAUGGCGCUGAGAAAGGGUCAAAUUUGACCAGAUUGUAUGAUUUCAGAGUUGCUCCGGCAAAAGCCGUUGAAGCAACGCCACUCUAAUCACCGCUUUGUUUUGUUGUAUACAUUAAAUAUGAUUGUUUGAUUUUUUAUUCUCACAGAUCUGACCAGAGUUUCUCGUUCUCCGGUGAAGCUCCAUUAAAAACUGACGAAGCUCCACUGUUUUUACUAUUUUUUCGUUGAUUGCAUUUACAAUUCUUUUCUUUUGCUUGUUGUCUGUAAUAUUUAUAUUGCUAUGGUUUUGCUCUAUUUUUUUACCAUCUUUGUUAUGGAUAUGUUGAUUGCUGCACUUUGUUGUUAUUUUAGGAUUAAUUUUUAAUCAAAAAUUUACUUUGAAAAUGCUUUGCUACUGUUUUGGAUAAUUUUUGGACUGUUUUGGGCUUCUGCUUUGCUACUGUUUUGGAUAAUUUUCGGACUGUUUUGGGCAGUUUUUUUUCUUACUUCUAUUGCUUUGACAUUUAUUAUACUGAUAACAAAUAAAUACUACGCUAGUUGGCCGAAAAGGAAAUUCUUCGUCGAUUUUCGAGGCCUCUGCACAAAUAAAAGACGGAUAUUACGUAUAUAAAUGCGUAGUAAAAUAAAUAAAUUUGGGCGAUGACAAAAUUUUUAUAACAACGCAAAAAAUUUUAUGAUUCGUAUCUUGACAACACGAUUUAGGAAGGCUAAUAAAUCGGCAACCAAUUCGUAGCCAUGACGUAUUUAAAAUCUAAUUUGAGCCCACCUUUUAACGAAAAAUAAUAUUUUUUUAUUCAUAUAUGCCCACAUACGUUCCCAAUUUAUUUUGAUAGUUGUUUAUUUGUUACUAACAUUUUACUAUAAGUGUUUAUGCAGGUUAUUGGAAAUAUUUAUCGGGAAUGGCACGCAAAGAAGAUUAUAAUUUUUAUGUUUGUAAUUUAUAUUCUUACACUUGUACAAAUAGCGAUUAUAGCGAAAAUUUUAUUUCUUGGGGCAUCGGCCGGGGAUAUUUUUACUUACACAGUAUCCAUCGCGCAUUUAGGCAAAUUUAGGCCAUCAAUAUUUAUAUUAAAUUGAUUUAGAUAUUUAAUCAAAUAAUUUACACUUUUUUACACUAGAAAUAUUACGUAGUCUUUUCUUUAAAACAAGUUUUCUUUAUUCAAUUUAGUCUAUUCUUUACAUACAUACACUAAUAUACUUUUGUUUAUUUAUUAUGACACCAUAUGUAUUAUAUUAUUUAAUGCAUAUAUUUGUAAUUACAAACAUUAAUUUUUUCCUUUAUCUUUUAAUAAACCUAAGUCUGGUCGGAAACCACAUUUGUGGAUUCUAAAAGGUGCCUAAUCCCUUUCCUUUGGAAUAAUUUGAACCUUUACCUGGAAUCUAAAAUGAUUUCGUAGAUUAGAAUAAAGUCAUACUUAUUAAAUAAAUAAAUAAAUAAAUAAAUAGGUUUCCUAUUUUUCCUUAAAAAUUAGGUGGCGUCUCUAUAUAAAAUAAAUUCUUUUUAGAGUCCAUAAUGUCGUGCUCGUUUUAACCUUAGGUAAAAAUAGGGUAUGACACAAAUUCUUCUCAAGACUCCCGUUAGGCAUAUACUUGAGAACUAAAGCCUUGAAAUCAAUAUUGGAACAACUAGUAAUGACUUUUACGAGAUUCUUGUGGCGAAGGCUACUCAAAACUUCACAUUCCGUAUCAAAACUCUUGAAUGCUGCAUCCAGUUGCAGGUUGAACACUUUAACUGCAAUGGCAGUUUCACUUCUGAGAAUCCCUUUGUAAACAGAGCCAAAACUUCCAUAACCAAUCAGAUUACUCUCGCUAAGAACAUUAGUUGCUCGAAGUAGUUCAUAGUUUGAAAUCCUUUCUCUCGCUACAGUAGACAAUAAGUCAGCUUGCUGAGGAACACUUUUACCUCUUCUAUACCUUAUCCAUAGGAGUACAAAGGUCAUAGGAACAAAUACAACUGCAAUUGCGAGCAAAAGAAAAAGAACUAGCGUUUUUUUCCCAUUUGAUCUGUGCUUUGAUGUAGUGGGGCAUAGCGGGACACUAAAUUCGAAGAACCACACAAUGCUUCAUUGUCGGUGAAAAACUGACUCGAGAGAUUCAUGAAAGCAUACCCUGGGGGUAUUUCACCAUACAAUUUGUUGAGAGAAACAUUGAAAUACUUCAGGUUUUGAAGUUUCUCCAAAGACUUGGGAAUGGUUCCUGAUAUGUUAUUAUGAGAAAGGUCUAGGAAUUCCAAAUCUACCAUGUUGUUCACUGAGUCCAGUAUAGAUCCUUGCAACUUGUUGCGUCUCAAAGAAAGGUGUGCCAAAUUUUGCAGUCCUCCAAUUUCUCUAAGAAUUCCAUUUGAGAAUUGAUCCAUCGAUAGAUCUAUCUUUGUUACCACCUUUAGAUUUCCAAUUUCUGGAGGUAAAGAACCUACCAUGUUGUUUGACGAUUAGUCAAGAACUACUAGAUCUUGAAGGAUCCCUAAUCUUGGUGGUAUAUUAGAACUCAAUUUGUUGGAACCCAGAUGCAUCUCCCUAAGGGAGGUAAUAUUCCCUAAACAAUUAGGAAGCGAUCCUGAAAGUUGAUUUUGACCCAAGUAUAUGUAACCCAAAUGAAGCAAUUUACAUAUAUGAUCUCCAAUAAAUCCUGUUAAUUUGUUAUUAGUCAAGAACUACUAGAUCUUGAAGGAUCCCUAAUCUUGGUGGUAUAUUAGAACUCAAUUUGUUGGAACCCAGAUGCAUCUCCCUAAGGGAGGUAAUAUUCCCUAAACAAUUAGGAAGCGAUCCUGAAAGUUGAUUUUGACCCAAGUAUAUGUAACCCAAAUGAAGCAAUUUACAUAUAUGAUCUCCAAUAAAUCCUGUUAAUUUGUUAUUAGUUUAGUUGAAGCGCUGAAGCUUUCUCAAGUUUCCAAUUGAUGUGAGGAUCGAUCCAACCAAGUUGUUUCCGAAAAGAUAAAAGAAUAAUAAGUUCCUUAAGUUCCCAACCUCAUUGGGAAUUCGCCCUUGGAUUUUACAAUUGUUGGAAACAAAUGCUCUAAAAGAUGUGGAAAUGUUCCCUAUAGAGGCUGGAAGCACGCCAUUUAGAGGGUUGAAAGAUAAAUCAAGAAAUGUUAAAUUUAUGCUAUUGGUUAAGGAAGCCAGGAAGCUUAAUGAUGAGUUGCUGGUUAAAUUGUUUCCUCCUAAAUUUAAAUGCUGCAGAUCAGUCAAAUAUCAAAGAGAAUUGGGAAUCAAUCCAGUGAGUUGCUUGUUAUAAAGCUCAAGAAUAGUAAGUUUUGAACAAUUUGAGAUGGAAUGAGGAAUAGUCCCAACAAGAUUGGUUAAGCCACUCAGAUAAAGCUCUUCAAUGUUGGGUAAGAUAGAACCUAUGUUUGGUGGUACGCUUCCUGAUAGAUUGUUGAAUGUAAGAUCAAUUAUUUUGAGCCCUGAUAUGUUGAAGAUCUCCUUAUCAAGUUAACCACUAAAAUUAUUAGCCGCAAGAUCAAGUUUCUCCAACUCAACGAGAUUGCUUAUCUCUUUCGGUAUUUCACCUGUGAACACAUGAAGAAAGUAUGAAUAUGUUGAAGAUCUCCAUAUGAGUGCUUAUCUAUGUGAUUCAUGCUUUAAUUUGAGUUGAUGAAGAAGAAACUUGAAUUGUAAUUUCUAAUGGGACAAUGAUAUAAGAACAACCAAGAACACACAAAACAAACACCCAAAGCAGUCCACAAGUUCAAGAGAACCAAGGACCCUUUGAGUGGCCUCUCUCGGAUUCAAGAACAACAACAAGAACAUAAAGUAUUGUAGUGCUUAACACCUAAUUUCCGGUGAUCCAAAAACUAUAUUAUCAACACAAUAUGAGAGCAACAAUAUUACAUCAAUAAGAAACUCACGGGUUACACUAACAACAACAAGAAAUCCGAAACUUACAACAACAAUACAAGAUAGAUAGUUAGACCCAAUGAAGGGACAAUCUUAAGAACCCAAGAAUUGUGAGACUCUUGGACCCUUAACACUACCCAUGCCACAAACCUAACUCUAACAUUGACACAAGAGGGACGUUACCUCCUCUAAACACCAACGUAUCAAGCCAAUGAUGCAACAUAAGUGAUAUCCAUACUUGGGCAGCCCUAGUUACAGAUUGGUCGAUUUUCUAAGCCCUACAACUAAAGGGUGUUACACUCCUCACAUUAGAGAGAGAGAGUUUGUCUUACAUCAAUAAACAACUAAGUCCUAAAAACCCUAUCUUUUUCUAUUUAUAUUACAUUACAAAAAAGACAAAUACCUACACUACCCUUAAAGAGAGGGCUGGCCAUGAAGUACAUUUUGGGCAAAGUGAAGUGACCAAAAUGCCCUCAAUGAAGAUGGACCAAAAACCGUGAGCUAUUAAGUGUCCAAAACCGUGAAUCCUCAAGUCUUUAAUGAUCCUAGAAAUCUUUCACUCAUGGCCUUGAUGAAUGGUAGGCUCAAAAUAGGUCUUCCUUGCAUAUUCUUGUGCCUUCGAGGUGACAAAGUCUUGAGCCAUUAAGUGAUGGUCUCCAAUCAUGUCUUCAAAAUUAGGGUGGCCAUUUGACUUGUAUCAUCCUUCCCUUCUUGAAAAGGAUUCGACCUCAAAUCCAAACCUUGCAAGAAUGAAGAGAAGACAAACAAGCACCACAUCCUCAUGACAUGAGGGUUAGAGUUAGUACAAUAAACAACAUCAACAUGCCAAGGAGGUACACACUUGAGAUAUAGCCACCUAUCUUUGACUUUAAUGAUGAGGGCCUUAGUAAAAAUAUUUCAAAAGGGUGGUGCCGAAAUUUAAAGUUAAGUCCACGUAACACAUAUAACAAUAUCACUCAAACAAGUGGACCGAGCAACAACUAUCUGUCCUUCACACCCUAAGAAGUUACCAGGAUCAAAUGGAAGACGUAACCAAGGACUUAGGUCCCGGCCACUCUCAUUCUCCCCUACAGUUCCAUCCUCAAGGUUAAGCGAGCCCUCUUUAUCAGCAUUGGAAAUAUCAUGCAUAAAAAGAGGGUUGAGAAAGGUGUUCCAUGAGCCAACUUUAAAUAAAGGGUUCUCAUGCAUGCACUUACUACUAGUUUCAAAAUCUCCACUAGGAAUAUGCCCAAUAUAAGAAACACUUAAAGAAGAAGUAGAUGGAAUUUAUAAGCACACAUCACCUUCUCUUUCAAAUGAGCAAUCCUCACUUAGACACAAACCACCACGGGCAGCCAAGGGAUUACAAGCAAAACCAUCUUUACCAAGACAAUCAUAAUUCGGGUUUCCUAAACAAUCAAGCACAUCAAGGUCUUUUCCACCCAAUUGAUCACUGUCCACAUUCUCACUUGUUGUUGGCAACUUAUAUACCAACGGAGAAUCACCUUGUUUUUCACAAGGGUCAACUAGUGUGUGAAUACUCUCGCCACUUGGUAAUGGAACCUUAGUAAGCAAUAAGUGCUAGCACUAGAUGGACACAAAUCAUUCUCACACGGAGAAUCAAUUUCGUCAUCCAAAGGAUCAACUAGUGCUUGCGUACCUACAACAAGAGUUUGGUCCUCGUGCGACCUAACAAUACCAAGAGUAUCACCAAAGGGAGACUCAAGCACCUCUACCCUAGGUAAAGCCGUAACUACCCCCACUUGGCUCCUACUAGCCACAACACAACAUUAUAAGUCCAUAGGAGGGUAGGGAAUAGCUUUUUACCUCGUAGCUCACAUGAGCUACAGCCUUCCUCUUUAAGUAUGUCCAGGUAUCCCACUUGCACCCUUUGACCUACCAUACAAUCCAACCUUUCAUUUUCCAUAGCUAGGUCUCGGGACAUAGUGUCAAGGUAGGCCAAAAUGACAUUGGUGGCAUUGUUGUCCAAGGGUUGAGAGGUUGAAGCCGCAGGUUCCCCUGCAGUUGUUCCUAAAAAAAUAAAAAAAAGAACAAGAUUACAAAGAAAAACACAUGUUAGUUCGAAACAACCUCACCAUACUCUCACACACUUGAUCGUCUCACACUUGGAUUCACAAGUGUUGCAAGUCGGCUUGUAGUUCGUGAUGAGUCAAGGAAUGAGUCUACUCCUUGGUAGGAAUGGAUUCUUUGUUUGAAGACUCAAGGAAAGUAAUGUCUAAAAUUGAACCAAGAAGUAAUAUGAUUUUAAAAAUAACAAAAGCACAAAAUAAAUGUUGACAUGAACAAUAGAUUCAAAGGACUAAUUGACAAUCUAGUAGGAGUUUACUAGUUUGUUAAUUAGUACUAGAAUCAAUUAAACAAAACAAAGGAUCAACAAAUAAGAAACCAAGAAAUCUAAAAUUUGAGCUUAAAAAUGUUGCAUGAACAGUAAAACAUGAUGACAUGGAAGCACGUAAUGGUUGUGGUUUUAGACAAGUUAUUUUCCAAUUUGGAAGUCUUGGUCAAUUUUCAGUUUGGAAAUUGGGGAAUUCGUUUAAGGAGAGAAAUUCAAACAAGUCUUGGAGCCUUUUUCAACUUCAAUUUUCAAGACUUGACUUUCUUAUACACCCUUAAAACAUGGCCCCUUGUAUCAUGAAAAGUUGUUGGAUAGUGGUUGUUAAAGUCUUUAGUGGUUGAGAAGUCUUGCAAGACUAACAAAUUCUUACACCUUUUCCUUCACCUUUUUGGAUCAAAUAAGCACUUUAUUUUUAACAAGGUAGGAAGGUUGUGAAGAACAUCAAGAAAUAUAACAACAUUCACCAAGAACAACAACAACAAUCUCAAUAACAACCAAUAAUUUCCAAAUGGCUCCUCCCAAAUCCACAACAACAAUAUCUUCAACACUUGGUUAAGACAACUACAACUUCAAAAAAUAUGUUCUUAGGCCACCAAUUAACAACAAUAUCACAUGUUCAAGCUUAGAACAACAACAAUUUGAAGACCACACAGCCAAAACAGUCCACCACAACAAUGUUCAACAAGAAGCGGCCAAGUCUUAUGUUCACAACAACAACAUCAACACUUAAAGCUCAAACUUAGAUAUAGACUCAAUGUGUUAGUGAAGAAAAAAACUAACACUUAGAGACAAUAAAGACAAGUAAAAAUAUUGACCAAUACACAACAAGAACACAAUUUUCGGCCAAGAACACAAGAUGGACAGAGUGCUCUUUUUACUAGAACUUUCAGUUUUCAACAACAAUUUUUUUUUUUGAAUGUUUCAAGCAAGCUAGCCCAAGAUUGAUCUUGUGGGAACAAAAUCAAUCCUUUCUUUGAUACCAAAUGAUACAAGAACAACCAAGAACAGACAAAACAAACACCCAAAGCAGUUCACAAGUUCAAGAGAACCGAGGACCCUUUGAGUGACCCUUCUUGGAUUCAAGAACAACAACAAGAACAUAAAGUAUUGUAGUGCUUAACACCUAAUUUCCAGUGAUCCAAAAACUAUAUUAUCAACACAAUAUGAGAACAACAAUAUUACAUCAACAAGAAACUCACGGGUUACACUAACAACAACAAGAAAUCCGAAACUUACAACAACAAUACAAGAUAGAUAGAUAGACCAAAUGAAAGGACAAUAUUAAGAACCCAAGAAUUGUGAGACUCUUGGACCCUUAACACUACCCACGACACAAACCGAAAUCAAACGUUGACACAAGAGGGACCUUACCUCCCCUAAACACCAACAUAUCAAGCAAACAAUGCAACACAAGUAAUAUCCACACUUGGACAGCCCUAGUUACGGAUUGGUGGCUUUUCCAAGCCCUAUAACUAAAGGGUGUUACACUCCUCACACUAAAGAGAGAGUUUGUCUUACAUCAAUAAACAACUAAGUCCUAAAAACCCUAUCUUGUUCUAUUUAUAUUACAUUACAAAAAAAGACAAAUGACUACACUACCCUUAAUGAGAGGGUGGCCAUGAAGUGCAUUUUGGGCAAAGUGAAGUGACCAAAAUGCCCUCAAUGAAGAUGGCCCAAAAACCAUGAGCUAUUAAGUGUCCAAAACCGUGAAUCCUCCAGUCUUCAAUGCUCCAAGCAAUCUUCCACUCACGGCCUUGAUGAAUGGUAUGCUCAAUGGUAGGCUCAAACUGAGUCUUCCUUGCAUAUUCUUGUGCCCUCGGGGUGACCAAGUCUUGAGCCUUUAAGUGAUGGUCUCCAAUCAUGUCUUCAAAAUUUAGGGUGUCCAUUUGACUUGUAUCAGACAAGGUGUCGACAAGAACUUAGAAAAUUACGUUCUAACUCUACACUUCUUUUCCUUCAUUUAUAUUGUUAUUUUUCAAAGUCUUCAGAAGGAUGUACAUAUUAUAUAUUAUUUUAUUAUAUUUUUUGUGUUUUUCUAUCUAUUGGACUUCUUAAUUUAAUUUUAUAUAAAUUUCUGUUGUGCAGGCUUGUAUUUUUAUGUGGACUCAAAUAUAUAAAAUGAUACUUUAUUGAAAACUUGCUAACUACUGACAGAAGUUCAAAUUUACCAUUUAAACAUUAAAAGAUGCUCCUCAUUUGGUGUUUCUUAUCACACUUUUGAAGAUUUAUUUGUAAUUGUUACAUUUUAUUACUCAUUACAUGCAUAAAUUCAUAGAAUUUUAAUAGUUCUAAUGAAUCUAUAAAAAUUAACAUGAGACACAUGUGCAAUGCACGUGUAUAUAUAGAGAGACACCAUGUGAGUAUAUAAGUACCUAUAAGCUUAUUUCCUCUAAUCUAUAGACGUUGCAUGUUGGUUAAGUAGCCAAUCUCCCGUGGUAAGAAUCCACUAAGAUUGUUCAGCGCCAGUGACAAAACUUGCAGCAAUGAGAUAUUGAAUAAAGAGAUAGGGACAGAGCCAGUAAUCUGAUUAUCCUCCAUGGCUAACUCUACCAAAUUAACAAAAUUUCCAAUUUCUUGUGGAAUUAUCCUUGCAAUUAAUGUGUAAUAAAAUAAAUUUCUGAAGUAAUAAGAUACAAUAGUUCUAGUAUUCAUAAGAUGAAAGGUACCAGUGAAAUGGUUAGUUCCGAGAUAGAAUUCCUGCAAGUUACUCAAUCUUCUUAUUUCACUAUGUAUUGGUCCAUCAAACUCAUUUACCGAUAAAGAAAAAAUUUCAAGUUGUGAACAAUUUGAUAAGCUUGUAGGCAUAUGACCGUGAAGCUUUUUUUUUGGAUAGAUAAAGCCCUUUGAGUAUUGGUAGACCAUUGCAUAAACCGUUGGGAAGAUAUCCUGAUAAGCUAUUUCCUGCAAAUGCAAUGUCUUCAAUUCUUGAGAUAUUAAAAAUUGUGAAUAGUGUAGAACCCGUAAGUUGAUUAUCUUGUAUGCCAAACAACUUCAAGUUGUGAAGAUUGCCAAUUCCUUCUGGAAUGUUUCCUUGAAUUGAAUUAAAAGUUAUAUCUAAAGUCUCCAACCUUGAGGCAUUUGAGAGUGACAGAGGAAUGAAACCUAUGAGCUUGUUACCCCUUAAGUUUAAUUCCCUAAGGUCUAUAAGACUUCCAAUUACUUUUGGGAUUUGACCAUCUAAGGAAUUAAAUGCCAAAUCCAAAGUUUCAUGCUUUGAAAUAUUAGAAAAUGAAGAGAGGAGUGAACAAGUGAAACUAUUAUUUCUAAGACUUAGAAAUUGAAGUUGGGGUAAAAACCCAAACCAGGAGGGAACCUCCCACUGAAGUUGGUGAAAUUUAUAUCAAGAAACUUAAGCCGACACAAGCGUGUCAUUUCUUGAGGCAAAUUUCCACUAAAAUUAUUGCUUCCCAAGUUGAGAGAAACAAAAAAUAAGAGGUUUCCAAGAUCACGGGGUAUCUUGCUUGUUAGAGCCAUGUUGGAAAGAAUCAAGAACUUUACUCUAUGGUGGCGAGAGCCACAAGUAACUCCAACCCAAUGGCAAACGGGCAUAGCUAGAGACCAACUUUCAUCCAAGAAGUGAAAGGGGUCUGAACGACUUGGGAUUUCAGAGAAAAAAGAGCCAAUUGAUCAGUAGUAAUGUUGGUUUUGUUCAUGGCUGAACUAGCCAAAAGAUAGUGAAGCAACAAGGAUGUUAAAAGAAAAGUGGUGAAUGCUUUCCCCAUUAGUGCAAAAAUGUCACGACCCGAACCGAGGCCCUGGCCGUGAUGAGUAUUCCGAGCCAUCAAGGCCCGAAACACCCUUUAUCUAUCUGGUAAUCAUGCACAUGACUUAUAUGAAAAAAUUGCGGAAGAUACACUAUAUAACGGAAACAUGGUCAAGAAUCAUAUGAAAACAAUAAUGGGGAAUAAUGUCCCAUAAUCUCAACACAACAUCUCUAUAACGUUUGUGAAAUCUCUACUACAUGACUAAAAUAAAUGUCUAUCUGAAAACUGGGAAAAGGACCCCAGUAGACCCAAAACUAAUAAAUGAUAAAUUAAACUAUGGGCAUCAGGCCUUCCGAAAUAUAGAAGGCUCACCACUUGAUUCUGCGAUCUUUCAUAGGAAUCUACUGGUUGUCUGGACCCCUAGACUGUGCCUCCAAAUCUGGGAGGAGAGGGGGUCAAUACAAAAGUACUGGUACGCAGAGAAAUCAAAACAGAAAUAUAAUAUUUUUUACACAAUAUAGGUGAGAGCCAUUAUAAAGCAGUUUUAUAUCAAGUUAUUUGAAAACACAUUAAUAGUUUUCAAUACCAAUGUAAUGCAAUUGAUCUAGGUGGAAUACCCUUCAAUUGUAAUUCCACAGCUAUGUGGAAUCCGCCUCUGGUGCUCAGUGGCCAAGCCUCCAAUCUAAGUAGCCGCCAGGAUUUGGAGCCGGUAUACCCCCAUGUGAGUACACCGCAGGGAAUCCCCCAUGUGAGAUGUCCCAAUUAUUUUAUUAUCCUCCCAUGUUGGAUACAAUAUCAUAUGACCCGCAUCGGCAACUACGAUUUCCAGCGAUGAGCCCUUUCACUCAAACGCCUUCUUCGGGAAUCCACCUUUCUCAUGAAAAUCAAUGCAUUCAAACUUUGUUCAAAUCAAUCACAUGUCAUACUCUGUAGGGUAUCGUCAUACCCGAAUUUCAAGCCAUCAAUAUCACAUCAUUCUUCUCAUUCAAUCAUAUUCAACAUGAAUAACCUUCUCGUUUUCAAGUCAAAAUCAUAUCAAUUCUCAAAACAUUUCAUAUCAUGCUCUUCAAGAUGUUUUCAAACAAUUUACAUCAUAUGAACAUUUAAAAUAAAUUCACAUCAAGAGAGGAAAUUUCAUAUCAUUCAUGCUCUCAAGUUAACAUCUUUUCGGAAUACAUGCAUAUACAUAUAUCCUAUAGCAAAUCACUUUGGGAGUAGGCCUAAGGGCCAAAUCAAUAUCAUAAAAUGUUUAAAAUGUAAUCAUAUUAGUAAUUUAAAAACCCUCAUUUGAAAACAUGAAUUUUUAAAGACCAUGAGAUUUUUGAGAUAACCCCACGUACCUAGAUUACUACGAAUAUUAGGCGCUUCUUGAAGCCUACAUUGAGAGGAUUCCAAAUAAGCAAUUAGUUUUUAAAGCCUAUUAGAUCACUUCUAUACAACUAGUAUUCAUUAACCAAGAAAUCUUCACAUCUACCUUCAUGGACAUCAACUAUUCAAACUUAAUAUCUAGUUCUAUACAUGAUUUACAACCCAACCUUACACCAAAUUUUCACUUGGAAACUAUGAAAUAAACAUCCCGAAACACUAGUGCACUAGAACUUCAUAAUCACAAUAAUCGAUCAUUACCUAAUGGUUUUCCUUAUCAUAAUCCAUUAGCAUGUACUAUUUCAGUACAUCAAGCCUACUAAUUUAAUCAUACAAAACAUACAUCAUCAAAUCCUUGCCACUAUUUACCACCACACCAUUUAAAAUUCAAGCCUAUAGUUUAGUAUCAAUCAUUUACCAACAAUGAAGAAUGCAACAUAAUAUAAAUAUACUAAUCCAUCAAAUUGGGACAGUCUACCCAAAUAUCUCAAAAAUCUACUACAUACCUUCUCACAAGUAGCACUAGUUUACAACUACCAAUGAAAAGAGAGUCAAGGGGGUUAAAGCCUCAUAAUAGACAUGGUCAACCUUAUCCUUAUAUUAUAACCCCGUACAAUCGUAUCUACUUAUACUGCUUUCUCACAUCACAAUUACUUACCCAAGCGUACAUUACACUAUCUUUAAAGUCCACAAUAACUAUGAGUCUAUACUUAUAACCUACCGGCUAAUCUGGCCAUUUUCAUACUUCAAGCAACCAACAAAUCACCCUGACUAACAACUCCUUCUCUACCUUAUACUAAACUAACUCAUAAGGACGAAUUACCUCUUUACCAACUCAAUCUCAUGCAAACAGAUUUAGCCGUACAUAUAUUAAACCAAUAAAAGAACAACAAGUUGGACAAUAAGUUGCUAGUGAAUUGAAACAGGUCUCACACGGCUUCACUAGACUUUAGUUUUGUAUUUUGAACAAGAAAAUGAGAUGGAUGACAAGGCAACUAUGCUAGUAAAUCGAAAGACCCCCACACGGCUUCACUAGGCUUUAAAUUAUUUUUUUUUCAAAAACACCAUGAUAACAAGAUUACAUAUUACAAGGGAUAGAAAAUUAACACAUAAUAUUUAAUGGUCUAAGAAUAUACAUAUUAUUCUGUACAAAUAAAAAUCUAAGUAAAACACUUCCUCCAUGGACUACUAUACCGUCCACACACGCUGCUAGCUACCACAUUAGUUUAUCACUAUAAAGGGGUAAAUCAUCCUCACUCUGAAUUCUAACUUUUUGACUUCACAUCACCAACUUCUUGGUCUAAUUUCAUUACCAAUAGGUCAUGACAACAACACUUUAACACACACUACUAUUCGAGUAGAAAUACAGUUCUAACAUUCUGCUACACCUUAUUACCUCUGAAGCGUGACACUGUCAACAUAAGUUCUAAAAAGAACUGAAUACACUUAAUACUGUAGGUUGAAAAGCAGGAUUUCAUCAAAAUCAAGGUUCACACUAGAACCAACACACUCCAAAGCACUAACGGACUCUUCUCAAGUCCUUGCAAAAUUCUUAUAUGAUUCGAUCAAAACAAACCAUACCACUUAGACUCCAAACUUCUGUACUUGAAUCGGCCUAAUGAUGAGACAUGUCUGAGAAUGUUCGAGUAAGAAAAGAAUUGGGAUGACUGUUACUUUCGUAUGGGAAACACCAUAGCAUGAAUUUGAGUAUGAAAGAGGGACAUUCUGACUCUAGAACUAAAACAUGAAGAAAGAGAGACAUUCCUAAACGCCUAGUAGCCUCCUACUUAUAAGUGUAGCGCACUACACACCCAUAUACAAGACUCUACCCGAUGCAAUUUCGCAGACACCCUGGGACCAUGAACCGUACUUUGAUACCAAGUUUGUCACGACCCGAACCGGGGCCCUAGCCAUUACAAGUAUUCUAAGCCAUCAAGGCCCGAAACACCCCUUAUCUAUCUGGUAAUCAUGCACAUGACUUAUAUGAAAAAAUUGUGGAAGAUAUACUAUAUAACGGAAACAUGGUAAAGAAUCAUAUGAAAACAAUAAUGGGGAAUAAUGCCCCACAAUCUCAACACAACAUCUCUAUAACGUCUGCGAAAUCUCUACUACAUGACUAAAAUAAAUGUCUAUCUGAAAACUAAGACAAGGCCCCAGUAGACCCAAAACUAAUAAAUGAUAAAUUAAACUGCAGACAUUAGGCCUUCCGAAAUAUAGAAGGCUCACCACUUGAUUCUGCGAUUUGUCGGAAGGACUCUACUGGUUGUCUGGACCCCUAGACUGUGCCUCCAAACCUGGGAGGAGAGAGGGUCAAUACAAAAAUACUGGUAUGUAGAGAAAUCAAAAUAGAAAUAUAAUAUUUUUUACACAAUAUAGGUGAGAGCCAUUAUAAAGCAGUUUUAUAUCAAGCUAUUUGAAAACACAUGGGCAUAAUGUAAUAGUUUUCAAUACCAAUGUAAUGCAAUUGAGCUAGGUAGAAUAUCCUACAAUUCUAAUUCCACGGCUAUGUGGAAUCCACCGCUAGUGCUCAGCUGCCAAGCCCCCAAUCCAAGUAGCCGCCAGGAUUUAGAGCCGGUAUACCCCCCAUGUGAGUACACCACAGAGAAUACCCCUAUGUGAGAUGUCCCAAUUAUUUUAUUAUCCUCCCAUGUUGGAUAGAAUAUAAUAUGACCCGCAUCGGUAACUACGGUUUCCAGCGAUGAGCCCUUUCACUCAAACGCCUUCUUCGGGCAUCUACCUUUCUCAUGAAAAUUAAGGCAUUCAAACUUUGUUCGAAUCAAUCACAUGUCAUACUCUGUAGGGUAUCGUCAUACCCGAAUUUCAAGCCAUCAAUAUCACAUCAUUCUUCUCAUUCAGCCAUUGUAUUCAACAUGAAUAACCUUCUCGUUUUCAAGUCAAAAUCAUAUCAAUUCUCAAAACAUUUCAUGUCAUGCUCUUCAAGAUGUUUUCAAACAAUUUACAUCAUAUGAACAUUUAAAACAAAUUCACAUCAAGAGAGGAAAUUUCAUAUCAUUCAUGCUGUCAAGUUAACAUCUUUUCGGAAUACAUGCAUAUACAUAUAUCCUAUAGCAAAUCACUUUGGGAGUAGGCCUAAGGGCCAAAUCAAUAUCAUAAAAUAUUUUAAAUGUAAUCAUAUUCGUAAUUUAAAAACCCUCAUUUGAAAACAUGAAUUUUUAAAGACCAUGAGAUUUUUGAGAUAACCCCACGUACCUAGAUUACUACGAAUAUUAGGCGCUUCUUGAAGCCUACAUUGAGAGGAUUCCAAAUAAGCAAUUAGUUUUUAAAAUCCACGGUUGUAUCUUGAGUUGCUUGGAUUUUUUAUUUUGAAAUCCUAGAGAGAUUUUUUGAAUAAUUUUGAUGAAUGAAGGUGUAUUUUGGGGUCUUUGAGAACUGAAUUUUGUGUUUAGGGCUAAGUAAGGGUGGAAAAGGACCAUUUUGCCCCAAAAACAGAGUGUUUAAGUCACUUUCAAUCUUUACAUAGGCGCUGCAUAUGCUAUCGCCUAUGUUUACAUAGGCGCCGUCUAUACUAUCGCCUAUGUCUACAUAGGCGCCGCCUACUACUUUGAAAGGCCAUAACUUCUUGCUCGAGUGCCAGAUUUUAACAAAAUUGGUAUCGUUAGAAAGCUAACUCGAAGACCUAUCAUUUGACACAUAGUAGGCUCUCUAAUUCGAUAUAUAUAGAGAGUUAUGGUCGCUGGAAGCUGACACAAAUUACAACAUCCACUAAAACUUAAUCGAUCGAAAUAGUUUCAACUCGUCCUUGAGUUGAAGGACCUCUAUGGUCUAAAUUCAAGCUUGAAUGGAUUCAAAUACUAUGUAAAUAAUUAACAUGCCAUAUUGGCAUAGGAUUUAUGGCUUUGGGAUUAUCAAUGCAUCAAAAUCAUAGUCUAUAUUAUAGCCCGAAAUGUGGGGUAUAACAAGAAUAAUUCAGUUCAGGUCUAUAUACGUAGGAACGAUGGUCUAAACUCUAGCCCAAAAAUAUAGGGUGUUACAAAAAAGUAGUAGGAAAAUGGUAUGGCCAGUAACAUUUGGUUUUGAGACUAUAAAUAGCAAUGAGAUCUCCCUUUUGUACUUCACGAUUUUGAAAAAAUUACUUUUCUGUAACAUCCGCAUUUUUGAGCUAUAAAUUAAACUGUCAUUCCUAUGUGUCUAAGCUGUAAUUCCAUGGUUUAUAUUUAAAUUCAUGUGUCAUUAUCUUUAUCCUAGUAUAUGAAGUAAUUAUGAGGUGAAAAAUAUUUGUAGAAAUCGCUUAAAGCAAAGUUGAGCCAAGAAUCUUUCAUUCGUCCAAAGUUUGAUAUUCAAUUCUACAAGGGUCCACUUUGAACGUGUAUAAAUUUUUAUACAUGUAUAAUUUUUCAUCUUAAGACCUAGAAAAUUUUAGAUAAUUUAAUUAGCUUUCCAACGAUACCAAUUUUGCCUAAAUCCGAUAACCGAGCAAAAAGUUAUGGCAUUUUCCAUGUAAGGCAGUAAGCCGAUGCGAUAGUGACGUAACACGUCUGCCAGUGUGUUAUGGAACUGUUUCACAGACUAAAUCAGUUUUUAAUGGGUAUAGGGGCAUUUUUGUCACUUCUCCUCACCCAAAUUCCGUCCAUAACAUAAAAUUUCAGCCCCAAGAAGCAUAAAGUGCCUCUUAAAUCAAUUUUCUCUCAAAAGAAAAACCUAACCACCUCUCCAAGAACAAGAUUCAAUUUUUCUUCUCAAAGAUCAAGAAUUCAAGCCUUUUAAUUCAAGAUUCGGGGGAAAGGUUUUCAAGAUUAGGCUUUCAAUCUUUAAAACUAAACAAUCUAAGGUACGGGGGACUAUCCUAAACUACAUGGGUAUAUGUUUUAUGAUUUCUACAAGCCUUAAAGAUGUAUAUGCACGUAUAUACUAUGAGUUUUGAUAAAUUGUUUUAAAGAGCAUGCAUUGUGAAAUCAAUUCAAUGGAAUUAUUAAAAUCGUAAUUGGUUUUUCUAUAAGUUUGAUUUAUAAAUCCUGUGCUUUUUAUGUGAUUUGAAAUCGAAAGUUAGCUUACGAAUGUAACUUGUGAAAUUCUACUCCUCAUGACAAAAUUUAUGAACCUUGCAUGAUAUAAAUUGUGAAUUCUUUUUGAGAGCAUGAAUUAAGAGCCCCUCUUUUAAUCAUGAAAUUAUGUAUAACUAAUGUUGGGGGCUGACUUAUGAAUGAUGAGAAACUCUUGAGUUUAAGUGUCUCCUUAAUAAUUAUACAUGAGUAGAAUAAAUGGAAUGGCCACUAUGUUUUCAAGAUUCGUAAAAAGAGUGUGUUUGAAUGAGUUUCAUGUGGUUUUGUUAAUGAGAACUCUGGUGUGACUGGAUAAACCUUUCGGUGGUAGUUGUACAUGUUUGAAUAAGAAGGGUUGUGGAAUUGAUAUGAUAUGAAUGACUUGCAAGUCUGGGUAUGUGUAAUACCCCAUAUUUUCGUGCUAGAAUUCUAACCGUUGUUCUUGGACGUCUAAGCUCUAAUCCAAAUGAGUUGAAUGUGAAUACAAGUUUCAUGAUCUUUAUCCUAGUAUGUGAAGUGCUCUUGAGGUCAACAAUGUUCAUAUAAAUCAUUUAGAGCCAAGUUGAGCUAAGACCAUUUGAUUUGUCUAAUAUUGGAUAUUCGAUUCUAUGAGGGUCUACUUCAAAUGUGUAUGUCUCUUAAUAUACAUGGAAUUUUUCAUCCCAAGACCUAUCAAAUUGUAGAUAAUUGAAUUAGCUUUCCAAAGAUACCAAUUUCGCAAAUAUCCAAUACCCGAGUGAUGAGUUAUGCCCAUUUUCCUGAGAGGCAGUAUGGAUGUGCGAUAACAUAUGCGACACAUAACUUAGCUUGUGCGAUAAGGUGUGCGGCGCAUACCCUAGCAUAUGCGAUCAGGUGUGCGACGCACACUUAGGGUUUCAGCAAUGAAAACAUUCCGUUUUUGAGUUAUUUCAAGGAUAACUAAGCCUUUUAACAUUCCUUACACGUCCCUAAACAUAACCCUAAAAAUUUAACUACUCCUACACACAUCAUCACCCUAUUAUCAGUCUAAGCACAUCAUUCAAGAGAACAAUAAGAGUAAAACAAUUAGGGUUGCACAAUCAAUAUUUGUAGUUCCAAUCUUUCAACAAUUUUAUUACUACAGAGGUAUGUGGGGAUAUCAACAAGAACAUCCUUUCAUUCUUGUGCCCAAAAUUUAUAUUAUUUUAUGAAGACACAUGAUUUUACAUGCUUUACUUGUGAAUUUGAGAUGGAAAUAUUCUUGUUGAAGAAACUGUGAUAUUUUGAUGUUUUAAAGAUGAAUUCCAUGAGCUUAAUGUGAAUAUUCAUGAUUUAAGUUAAAUUUCCAGAUUUUGGUAUGAAUUAUACAUGUUGCUAAAUAAAGUAUAAAACUUGAAAUGUUUUGCUCAAGUGUUGAAUUAUGGAUUUUGGACCCCCUAUUCGAGAUUAUGAAUUUUUCAGAAGCUAUGUGUUAUAUACACCUUGAGAUGAGAAUGAUUUGACCUUUUGGUCUUGAAAGAGUUGUUUUGAACUCGAAUGAGAAAAGAAAUCCAUAUUUUGAUUGAUUAUGAAAAGGGGUAGCAUAAUGGCUCCCGUUAUGAAUUGUUGAAUUGUGUUGUUGGUGAUUUUCUUGUGAAAUGAUCUAAGCUAAGUCUGGGAGUAGUCUUUAGCACCGAGUGGGAGGUAUAGAUGUGAUUGGUACUUCCCUAGAACUAUGUGCCCCCAUAGGAUGUGAGCCUAAGGCUGAAUGAUAUAGUGAUCACUAGUGAAUGAAUGAUUAAGGUCCUACUCCGAUAGCAAGGAUAGGACAGCUCUUCCCAAUGUGGGUUGGAUGUUGGACUCCAUGUAGCUCACAUGGUUUAUGUCAGUUAUAAGAGACUCCCAAUGUGUGUGUGUAUUCUCCUAUCUAAUAUGAAAAGUCUUAUUCUUCUAUCUGAGAUGAAAGCAUAUUUGUUUGAAAGACUGAGUUUGAGAAAGUCAUUGUUUUUGAAUGAUUUAAUAAACAUAUAUUCCAAAGAGAAUCGUUAUGAUAUUUGAUUGCUUUGGUGAUUUGGAAUCAAGAUAGAAGUGAAUUCACAUUUAUUACGAUGACUCACAUGUUUCACCCGAUUUAUUUUAAUCUCUUAUGAUUAUGAUGAUUUUAAUUCGAGCUAAGUGAGUCAUUUAUAUCAGCAUGCAUAAUUUUAUAAACUGUGAUGAUAUUAAGAUAUUAUUUUAUAUCAGCAUUUCACCCCAUAUGCUCGGUACAUUUCCAUGGUACUGACCCACACACACACCCAUGUAUAGGCUAUACUUUCUCGGAAUAUAGGUAAAAGGUAUAGCAUGCACCUUCAGAUCCAGUCAAUUAGCGGCAUCUAGUCAACAGGUGAUGAGUCCUUUUGAUUCAAGGGCUUGAGUCAGUUAUGCAGAAUUAAAAAUAUUGUAUUUUCAUUAUUCAGUCGCAUUGAGUUGGUUUAGUUGGGAGUCAUGACCCAGCUACCUACAGUCAGUACUAGUAGAGGCUUCAUAGACAGUCAGUAGAAGUUGAUGCAUUUCGUUUCAGUUAUGAUUGUAAAGGCAGAAUUGAAAUCCUAUAACUUUAGUAUUGUAUUGAUCAAAUUCAAAAAGUUUUAUUUUUCACAGAUUUGCAUAUAUAUUUGUACUUUUUAUUUAGUUGCUUAUGAGAUGUGCCAGUAGAAGGGUUAGCUUGGGGUCACUUAUGACCCUAAGCACCGUGUGACGUCUCGGGACCCAAUUUCGGGGUGUUAUAGUAUGGCAAUACCCUAUUGUGAUGUGCCCUUAACAGAAUGAGAAAGAUUUUUUAUUAAGCAUGAAUUAUAUUUUUAGGAGGCUAAAAAUUGGGCUUAAAGAGAGUUAGAUGGUUACCCAAAGAUAGCAUGAGUUGAAAGACUUAAUGCUAGUAACUGUGAUUUGCCGACACGGGAUUAUGGUACCUUGUUAUGUGAUCUUGUGUACCUUGUAUUAUCUCAUCCCAAUUCGAAACUAUGGUUAGGAUCCCUUCUUUGUGUUCUUGUUCCCAACUAUGACGUAUUGACUUGACUAGGGAAUUUGACACCCUGCUUUGUGAUCUUGCGUGUUCUCCCCCUUAUAAAUACUCCAAUCCUUGCGGAAAACUUGGAUUAGGGGCUUGUCCGCUGAGUCUAGGACGGAUUCCCUAUAGCCCGUGAAAUUAUAGAUUGUAGGGUGUUCUAUCUACCUUAGAAGUAAAAUAAAGAAUGGGUCAUGGUUUCAAAGAAAUACUUCAAAGUCUUUUAAGUAUGCCCAUGUGUUUUCAUAUAUCAUAUGUAAAAGUGUUUUAUAAAUUGCUCUCACUUAUGUUGUACAAAAGUUGAUUAUCUUGGAUUGCUCUGCGUACGAGUACAUCUGUAUUGACCCCUAUAUUUUAGGGUCUGAGGCUCAGUCCAGGGGUCCCGCUAAGUCGUAGAUUUGUCAGAAAGAAGUGUGAAAUUGGUGAGCGUCCCUUAUUCUGAAAGACCUAUUUUUAGAACAUUGAUAUUUCAUUUUGUUGUGGUCCGACUAGGGGUUUUGUCCCAAAUUUCAAACAGAUGUCAUUUUCUGUUGUUAGAGAUUUCGCAGACUAGUGUCAUGUGUUUUGAAUAUUUCAUGAACUCAUUUUUUUGUAUUAUUCAGUUAAAGAAAAAGAUAGUGACCAUGUUUCCAUCUUGGUUUAUUUUUUCUCUAAUUUACUAUAUUGUAUGAAUGUUGUGCAUGAUUUCAAAAUAGAGAAGGGGCGCCCGAACCUUCAUGGUUUGGAAUACUCAUUACGGUCUGGUCCCCAGCUCGGAUCGUGACAAACUUGGUAUCAAAGCACGAUUCAUGGUCCCAGGGUGUCUGUAAAAUUAUGUCUAAUAGAGUCUUGCUUAUGGGUGUGUUGUGCACCACAUUUAUAAUUAGAAGGCUACCGGGCAUUUAGGAGUUGUUUCUUAUUCUUUCUUACUCUAGUUCAUGUUAUAGCGUCGUUUAUAAGAAAGUUAUCCAUAUUUCUUCCUUGUUCAAAUUGCAUGGGCCAUGCCUCAUUAUACAAGCCUAUGAGUCUUGCUCUCCCAACGGUUCUCUCUAAUUGAGUUGUCUAUAAAGUUAUGAAUAUGCACAAGGACUUGAGAGGAGUCCAUGAGUGCUUUAAAAUGUGUUGAUUUAAGCAUAUACCCCUAUCUACAUCAGUUGUGCGCUUGAGCCUGAGGUAUGGAGUCUAUUCAGUCUCCUUUAAUAAAAUUUUUGUUGCAGAUUUCAUAUUUAAGGAUAAUGAUGUGUAGUAGAAUGUUGGAACUGUAUUUCCACCCAAGUACUAGUAUAAUUUAACGUGUCAUGACCUACUAAUAGUGAGAUGGUCCAAAAGAUAGUGACAUGAAGUCACAAGGGUGACAUUUGCAUAAAUAAAUAAUUUUUGUUGUGUAAUCGCAGAUUGAGGAGGGGAUUUCCAUUGUAUAGUGAUAGAAUAAUGUGGCAGCAAUAUUUGUAGAUUGUAUGGUAGUCUGUGAAGGAAGUGACUGGAUAUGAUUUUUAUCUAUUCGAAUUAGGGAAGGAGCCUAGAGCGGAUAGCUAUGGUGGUCAUAGAAACCAAUUAUAGGUUGUGAAUGGAAAGGGGUAGAUUAGUUAAUAAGUUGUAGGUAGAGACUCAUUAGUGUUUAUUGAGUUUUCAAGAUCAUUGUGAUGUAUGAUUAGGUAAGUAAGUAUGAGGUGAGAAAUUAGAAUAUAUUGAUAAAAUUAAAAUGAGUUAUAUUAUAAGAUUAAUUUUGACUAAUCCUAUCAUGUGACUUUACCUCUUUGACGGUAUUUUCUUUAGUAGUAGUAAACUAAUACUUCAUGUGAGGAGUUAUGUAGUGGAUUUUCAGUUGUAAUAGUGAGGUUAUGGAGAGCAUGUGAUUGUAAGUAGUAGUUAAGUGAAAUUUCCCCAACUUGAUAAACCAGUAUAGUAUGUGGCAUGCUUUAUCGGUGGUACAUGAUUGGUUGUAACUACAGGCUUGAACUUGAGAUGUGGGUAGUGGUGGAUAGUAGCUCAAGAUUAGUGAUGUAUAUUUUGUGGGAAUGAAUUAGUAGGCUUGAUGUGAGGUGUGAAAUAGCUUAGGUUGGAAACUUGUGGAAAAAAAAGAGGAGUUGAUAAUUGUGAUAUUUAUAUGCAUGAGCACUAGUGUUAAAAUAAUGAAUUGUGGGUGAGUCAUUAAGUAUAUAAUAGCAUGAGUAUAUAAGAAUAAGUUGAACCCCAGAUAGCAUGUUGAUAGAUAAGGUUGUAUGGUGUAAGUGUCAUCCGUACUCAGCUUGUGGUUGUGGAUUUUGUAGUACGAAAAAGUCUGGGGAGUUGUUGUAUAGCAUUACUUAAAGUUGAACUUAAGGAAAUGUAGGUAGGUAAUGUGCGCCUUUGGUAUAGUUGUGCAAAUUUUGUUAAGUUGUAAGUUAUGUGAUUAAAGGUGUAAUGCUAGUAUCCUAAGAAGCUGAAGAUAAGGCGUUAAGUGUUUAGAAGCAUGGAUUUCUAUGCCUAUGAUAAUGUUAGUCGUAAGUCGACGAUUUUGAGGGUUAGAGAAAGUUGUGAUUUGUGUCCCUAAAAGGGAGAUGUCCUAGAAAGAAAUUAGUGUGUUUUUAUUUAAAAUUAUUAUGGAGAGUUGUAGUUAUAGAUUUGAUAAGGGGAUAUGUCUAUAAGUCUAGGAUUGUGACUUUGAUUAAGGGGGAGAUGGUGAUUUAAAGUAGUUUUCGAAUUUUCCUGUGGUGUCAAGUUUCAAGAAGAAUCAUGAUCAAUCAGUUCCUGUUCAAGCAUAAUCCUCCUACGUCAGUUUGAAUAGACAUCUACCAAUGCCUUGUGUAUUCAAGUCUUGCUAAUGACUAUGGUUCGAGUUCUCUAUGGACGUAUGUUUAUGAUCUGACCUCUAAACUAGAAGCAAUUAUGUCUCUCAAUGAUCCAGUCUUUCAUUUAUUCAAGCCAUAUGUUCUAUUGUUCGUGAUCCAUAAAAAUCUAUAUCUCUCAGCAUACUUGGUUCUAAGAAAAUAUGUUUUUAUAUGUCACCGAUUCAUCCUAUGUUGGGUUUAGCCAAAGUGAUAAAGUUUAUGUAAGCUCAUGGUAAAUCUCAGUUUCUUAAAUAAGGAGUAAUUGCUUCAAGAGGCAAUCUUUGUCUUAGUUGUAAGGUAACACCCCGUAGCAUUCUCGACUCAAUACCACUCUUAGUUGCAUGUAUGGAGAGCUUACAACCUGAAAAUUUUUCUAAUUGUUAAAAGACUUAGUCAUAUUCAUGAGCUCUUAACUUCGAUAAUUUUCAAAUUGAUCUUCCUGAUGCCAGAACGUAGAUUUUUGAGUUGAUUCAUGAUCAGGGGUGUAAAGGGGGUGCCUCGGAAAAGUUUUAGAUUUUUUUUCAGACAAUGUUUAAGGCAUGUUUGAAUGAUCAAAAUAGUGGGCCAAUGCGAUAUCGAAGUGUCGUGCCAGGAAUCGUAUUGUAGGGACCGAUACGGCGCAGCGUGGCGCUUAAUGCUGAUGGUUUGUGUUACUAAUUUUCGGGUUCAGGAGGGUUAUUUAGUCUCUUUCUCUUAUUUUAUUUUGAUAUGUGCACCAAUAUUUUCUCACUGUGCUCCAUCCUAAGAAUUCAUUUCGUAAUGUGUUUCUUCGAACGACUCUCUACUUAUGAUCCAGACACUUGAUAUAUGGAGCACUUCAUAUCUAUUUUAUCGUAUCUUCAUUUUAUGUCCCUUCUUGAGUGGUUCAAUAAGUAUAAGUUAUGGUCUAAUAGUGUUACUUCCAUUCAUGACAUUUAUGCUUGGGUCCCUUAAUGACCCUCCGUAUGAUAGUAUGAUGGUGGUUAUGGAAGCACAGUGAUGUGUUAGGUAGGGGAGUAGAUGUUCUUGAAGGCAAAAAAUUUGGUGUGAAUUCUCGAGCUAAGGUUAUAGGUGAAAGGGAAAAGAAAAAGAGGAACUUUUGUUGUGUGAAAUUGUUAGGAAUGAGAUAUAUGGCGAAAAUCUUUGUGAAUGUGAUUGAAUUUGUUGGUUUUAGUGGAGGAAGUCCAUGAUGUGGGUGUAGUAAUGAUAGGCUUGAAUGUUGUGAUUGAUGAAAACACAACCCAUGUACUAUGUGGUUAGUACUUCUUGAAUUAAAACCCGAGGGUGUUUGACAAUAGUGAUAAGGUGAGGUAAUAUUCUUAAUGGGAUGUAACGUACAGGGUCCUAUAGCUAAAGUUAUCACCUUGUUAUUCCAAGUUAGGCUUCAACAUAAAAGCACAUUGCAGUGAAACUCAAACUCUUGGGUUAGAUGUCUGAUGGGAGAAUAGUAAGAUGGAAAGGACGAAGUAUGUUAUUUAAUGUUGGGGCAUAGCUGGGUAGUACCUAUCAGCUAAGUCAACUCGUUGUAUCAUAAGGGGUGGAGAAUGCUUUAAUCCCUAUCUUUCACGAAAUCUUAUUUCAUGACUAGUACUAAUAUAAAUCAGGUCUAUGAUCAUCAAAUAAAUCUAUGUCUUAUGUUGUGAUAAUUAUGGUGCAUAGAACUCAUGUGCAAGAUUAUCCCUAUGUAAAGUCUCAUUAUCCCAUGUUUCAAGCUUUCACGUUACACUAGGGGUUAUCAUGAAGCUCGUUUGAUGCUUUUGCAUAUUUUGUUAGAGAAAAAUAUUCAAUGCAAGGUUUCAUUCUUUAUUCUACACUUUUAUAACUUCAACAAGUACCUACUCAUCAUUCGGGGACGAAUGAUACCAAAGGGGAGCUAAUGUAACACCCUGCAUUUUCAAGCUAGAAAUCAAACUUUCAUUCCUACGUGUGUAAGCUCUAAUUCCGUGUUUUAUAUUUAAAUUCAUGUAUCAUGAUCUUGAUCCUAUUAUAUGAAGUGAUUUUGAGGUGAAAAAUAUUUGUACAAAUCGCUUAAAGCAAAGUUGAGCUAAGAAUUCUUCAUUCGUCCAAAAUUUGAUAUUCGAUUCUACAAGGUUCCACUUUGAACAUGUACAACUUUGAAUACACGUAGAAUUUUACAGCUUAAGACCUACCAAAUUGUAGAUAAUUAAAUUAUCUUUCCAACGAUACCAAUUCACCUAAAUUCAAUAACCGAGCAAAAAGUUAAGGCAUUUUCCGUGUGAGGCAGUAAGCCGAUAUGAUAUCGACGCGAUGCGUCGGCCAGCGCGUUACGGAAUUGUUUCACAGGCUAAAUCAGUUUCUGAUGAGUAUAGAGGAAUUCUGGUCACUUCCCCUCACCCAAAUUCCGUCCAUAACAUAAAAUUUCAGCCCCAAGAAUCAUCAUUUGCCUUUUAAAUCAAUUUUCUCUCAAAAGAAAAAAUCCUAACCACCUCUCCAAGAACAAGAUUCAAUUUUUCUUCUCAAAAAUCAAGAAUUCAAGCCUUCCAAUUCAAGAUUCUCAAGAAAGCUUUCAAGAUUAGGCUUCCAAUCUUCCAAACUAAAUAAUCUAAGGUACGUGGGGCUAUCCUAAACUACAUAGAUAUAUGUUUUACGAUUUCUACAAGCCUUAAAGAUGUAUAUGCACGUAUAUACUAUGAGUUUUGGUAAAUUAUUUUUAAGAGUGUGCAUUGUGAAAUCAAUUCAAUGGAAUUAUGAAAAUUGUUAUGUGGUUUUCUAUAAGUUUGAUUUAUAAAUCUUGUGCUUUUUUUGUGAUUAGAAAUUGAAGGAUAGCUUACGAAUGUAAUUUGUGAAAUUCCACUCCUCAAGACAAAAUUUAUGAAUCUUGCAUGAUAUAAAUUAUGAAUUGUUUUUGAGAGCAUGAACUAAAAUUCCCUCUUUUUAUCAUGAAAUUAUGUAUAACCAAUAUCGGGGGCUGAUAUGUGAAUGAUAAGAAACUCUUGAGUUAAAUGUCUUCUCAAUCAUUAUACAUGACUAGAAUAAAUGGAAUGGCCACUAUGUUUUCAGGAUUCGCAAAAAAAGUGUUUGAAUUAGUUUCGUGUGAUUUUGAUAAUGAGAACUCUGGUGUGACUGAAUAAACCUUUCGGUGGUAAUUGUACAUGUUUGAAUAAGAAGGGUUGUGGAAUUGAUAUGAUAUAAAUGACUUGCAAGUCUAGGUAUGAUAAUACCCUAUUGUGAUAUGCCCUUAACAGAAGAACAAAGAUUUAUUAUUAAGCAUGAAUUAUGUUUUUAAGAGGCUAAAAAUUGGGCUUAAAGAGAGUUAGUUAGUUACCCGAAGAUAGCAUGAGUUGAAAGACUCAAUGCUAGAAACCGUGAUUUACCGACGCAGGAUUAUGGUACCCUUCUAUGUGAUCUUGUGUACCUUGUAUUAUGUCAUCCCAAUUCGGGACUAUGGUUAAGAGCCCUACUUUGUGAUCUUGUGCCCAACCACGACAUAUUGACUUGACUAGGGAAUUUGACACCCUGCUUUGUGAUCUUGCAUGUUCUCUCCCUUAUAGAUAUUUCAAUCCCUGCGGCAAACUUGGAUUGGGGGCUUGAACGCCGAGUCAAGGGUGGAUUUCAUAUAACUCAAGAAAUUAUAGAUUGCAGGGUGUACCAUCUAGCUCAGAAGUAAAAUAAAGAGUGGAUCAUAGUUUCAGAAAAAAUACUUCAAAGUCUUUUAAGUAUGGCCAUGUGUUUUUAUAUAUCAUAUGUAAAAAUAUUUUAUAAGUUGCUCUCACUUAUGUUGUACAAAAAUUAAUUAUUUUGGAUUGCUCUGCGUACCAGUACAUCUGUGUUGACCCCUAUAUUUCAGGGUCCGAGGCUCAGUCUAGGUGUCCUGCUAAGUCGUACAUUUGUCAAACAGAAGUGUGCAGUUGGUGAGCCUCCCUUAUUCCGGAAGACCUGUUUUUAGAACAUUGAUAUUUCAUUUUGUGUUUUUUUUUCCGACUGUGGUCUUAUCCCAGAUUUCAGACAUGUGUCAUUUUUAGUUGUUAGAGAUUUCGCAAACUAGUGUCUGGUGUUUUGAAUGUUUCAUGAACUCAUUUUUUUGUAUUGUUCAGUUAAAGAAAAAGAUAGUGACCAUGUUUCUGUCUUGGUUUGUUUUUCCACUAAUUUACUGUAUUGUUUGAAUAUUGUGCAUGAUUUUUAAAUGGAGAAGGGGCGCCCGAGCCUUCAUCGUUCGGGAUGGUCGUUAUGGCCAGGGCCCCAACUCGGGUCGUGCCAUUUUCAUUCUGUAAUAUCCAAUGACGGAGAAAAAAUUUUCAUUAAAGGUUUCCAAAAGACAUAAUACAUAAACAUGCCUUUUAACUUGACCUUAAAUUGCAUAUAUGACCUCCAACUUUGAGUGUGCACAAGUAGACACUUAAACUUAUAUAAAGUUGAACAAGUCUACCUCAAAUUGCCCCAAUUUCACCAAGUCUUGUAUGCUUCAAUUAGAAUUGUAAAUAUGGUUUAUAAAUUCCCAUAAUCAACUAAAGACUUGUGCAAGUCAACCAAGCCUUGCUUUAUUUUCUCCAGAAUUGUGUGGUACAAAAAUGGCAUGUCAUGUUCCUCUAAUAACUUAAUUUUAUCAACUUAUACUAUACGCUCGAGAAAUAUUUUUACAUGAUUAGCAUAUUUUAUAUAGUUUGAUCACAACAUAUUUUCAGUAAAGCAUCUAGUACGCACCUGAACUAUGACCAAAUUUGCUACGACACGCUCCAACUUCACGGGGUCCCUAUUACCCUCUAAACUCAAUUUUAGCAUAUUUCUGUCACUCUUUUGUGCUGACGUGGCACCUUUUAUCAAUUUUUUGGCUGACAUAACACUUUUGAUGUGAGCUCCAUUUUGUGUAAAAAAUGUUGUCAUGUCAGUACAAAAGAGUGAUAAAAAUAUACUAAAAUUGAAUUCAAGAGUAAUAGGAUCCUUGUGAAUUUGGAGUGUAUUGUAGAAAUUUUGGCCAUAGUUCGAGAGGGUAUUGGAUUUUGUAAAUGUCACAGAAUCCAGGAACAUUUACAAUCAAGUUACUUUUUGCGGAUAAUUUAGCACAUUUUUAUGGGAUGGUAAUAAAAGGAGUUUGUUUGAGUUAUGAUUAUGUUUUUAUGAACUUUUUUUUUAAUAAAAGAAUACAUAAAAAUAAUUUGUGUUGGUUGUUAUAAUUUUAGGGAAUUUUCCUGGUUAUGUGGCCCCAAAGACUUUACAAAAUUGUAGAAGAUCAAAAAUACACCAAGUCUUGCAACUGUAAAUGUAUUGUCAAAUUUAUUCCUCUAAUCAGUCCAAAAGACUUCCCAAGUUGCCUUCUACAAAAGUUAUCUAUAUUAAUUAUAUAGAGAAUUUUAUGUGAUAGUAUAAUUAAUUAAUGGGUGAAAAUUGUUCCCUUCGAAAUUUGCCUUAAAAAUCAACCUUCCCCAAACUAUCAACAAUAAUCAACCUCCCCUCUUUGUCCCAUGCAAUGUCCAUUUUGUCCUUGUAAUUUUAAUUUUAUAUUUAUGUAAUAUCUUUUUAUAUUAUAUGUAAUGAAUAUUUUUUUAACAUGGAUAUUUAUAGUAUUUUAUUUAAGUUUAUUAACUUUAUAANNNNNNNNNNNNNNNNNNNNNNNNNNNNNNNNNNNNNNNNNNNNNNNNNNNNNNNNNNNNNNNNNNNNNNNNNNNNNNNNNNNNNNNNNNNNNNNNNNNNNNNNNNNNNNNNNNNNNNNNNNNNNNNNNNNNNNNNNNNNNNNNNNNNNNNNNNNNNNNNNNNNNNNNNNNNNNNNNNNNNNNNNNNNNNNNNNNNNNNNNNNNNNNNNNNNNNNNNNNNNNNNNNNNNNNNNNNNNNNNNNNNNNNNNNNNNNNNNNNNNNNNNNNNNNNNNNNNNNNNNNNNNNNNNNNNNNNNNNNNNNNNNNNNNNNNNNNNNNNNNNNNNNNNNNNNNNNNNNNNNNNNNNNNNNNNNNNNNNNNNNNNNNNNNNNNNNNNNNNNNNNNNNNNNNNNNNNNNNNNNNNNNNNNNNNNNNNNNNNNNNNNNNNNNNNNNNNNNNNNNNNNNNNNNNNNNNNNNNNNNNNNNNNNNNNNNNNNNNNNNNNNNNNNNNNNNNNNNNNNNNNNNNNNNNNNNNNNNNNNNNNNNNNNNNNNNNNNNNNNNNNNNNNNNNNNNNNNNNNNNNNNNNNNNNNNNNNNNNNNNNNNNNNNNNNNNNNNNNNNNNNNNNNNNNNNNNNNNNNNNNNNNNNNNNNNNNNNNNNNNNNNNNNNNNNNNNNNNNNNNNNNNNNNNNNNNNNNNNNNNNNNNNNNNNNNNNNNNNNNNNNNNNNNNNNNNNNNNNNNNNNNNNNNNNNNNNNNNNNNNNNNNNNNNNNNNNNUUAUUUGUAUUUUUUGCAUUGAAAUAUGUUUAUAAAAUUAGUAUUACUUAUUAUUUUCACUUGUAAAAUAAAUAUUACAGUUUUCAUUAUUAUUAAUAAAACAAAUUUUCUUAUAUCAUGCUAAUUUACUUCAUAAAGAUCAUCAUUAGCUUAUAUACUUAAUUAGUAUUUCUUUUUUUUUUUCCUAGAAGAUAAUGUUUAUGUUUUUAUGAAGAUUUUGUUAUAUGAAUUUUUUUUAAAAAAUGAAGAUAAUGUUUAUGUUUUUAUGCAAUGUCCAUAAACAUUAUCAUAUUACAAGGACAAAAUGGAUAUUGCAUGGGAUAAAGGGGGAGGUUGAUUAUUGUUGAUAGUUCGGGGGGAGAUUGAUUUUUAAGACAAACUUCGGGGGGAGAGAGGGGGGGGUCGAUUUUCACCCAUUAAUUAAUUCUAUUUUCAUUUUAGGUAAUAUUAAACUCGGUCAAUUUUAUUUUUCUCAAAAAUUAAAAUAUUGGGAUUAAAUCGAUUGAGUUGGUCGGCGUUUGUGGUGCACUUAGUAGCACUUUUAUCAAAAUAGAACUACUUCCAUAGAUAAAAUGGAUUAUUUUUACUAAAAACUCUAAAGUUAUAUGUACACUAGCUAUGUCAAGAAUUUUUAGAUGAUUAGUUAUUUAGUAUAGUUUAUAAUUGAUUCUAGCUACUUUUUAAGCACUACAAUAGUGUGGAAAAUAAUUUCAAACUUUCUAAUGAAUAUUCUUCUUCCACAUUUUAUUUUCAAAGUAGGUACCCUCUCAUUCCUAAUCUGAUUUCCUAUCGCGUAAGACCCAUUAAACGGGAAGCACUUUCUACCAUGAUUAUUUUCAAAUUCAGCAAAUCCAAGAUCUUUGAUUAUAGCAGGAGGAAUCAUGUUCAUCCACAACCUUAAUGCUAAAUUUUACUUUCUUUUAGAGAUAUUUUUUAAAAAUUUUAUUCUUAAACAGUUCACAACAUUUCUUUGUAAUGACUGAUGUCAUUUAACUCUUGAGUUACUUGGUUCCCUAACUCAUAUGGUCUAGGCGAGCAAAAUACUCCUUGCACCGCAAGAGCCAUGUUGGAGACAAGUAAAUAGCUCAGUUUGCGUUGAUGUCCACCAUAAUAAUGGUAGAAAAAGAAAUCCUCUAAUCCUCUACUGGUUUUUUUUUUUAGGAUAAGAUUUUUUUUUUUUUUUUUGACGAGAAGAUAGAGAAUGAAGCUCAUUAUACUUUAGUGUUGAUGCAGUAGUUUCUGGGUGCACAAUGUGUCCUAAAUUACUAACAACAUACUAUGCAUCAUAACAUUAUUACUUAUUACUUAGGCACUGAUGAAAAACAUACGAUGCAUCAUAACAUUAUACUUUAGUGUUGAUGCACGAGUUCCAUUGUUUCGAGGAUUUUUAUCUCCAGAAUUUGAAGAACUAGUAGGUGAUAUUCCCAUAAAAUGGGCAAAGGAUGCAUUUUUAGACUUGACUCACCUUUUCCUCGAUCUGUAACAAUCUUAUUAUUGUCCUAUAGAUACUGAUUACUUAUUUAGUUAUAGUAUACGCUAAGCUCAAUAUGCUAAAUUGUGCUAAAGUACUAAUUUCUUGCUAAUGGAGUUUGACGCUUUAAGAACAAAACGAUGCAGUUGGAAAGGAGAAAGGAGAAAAUUGUUGAUGGUCAAUUAUGUAUGAAUCUUGAAUUGAAUUUGAAAAGUGAUUUUUACUUUUUAUCGCACUAAAAUAAUUUCGCGUGGACUCUUAUUACUUAAAAUGUUCCUCGCAGCACUAGUGCUAAAUGGUCCAUCUUUCACAACAUAAUUGGUAUAUUUCUUAGCACUAUUGGGACUGUAUGUAUUGUCGCACACACCAUAACCUGUACCAAGAGCACUUGGAUAUGUUCCAACAUGAUAGCUUUCAAAAGCAAACUGUGAGACAUUACUAGAACAGAGAUUAAGAGGAGGCAGACCCCUGGACCUAAUAUGACUAACUGUAUAUUAAAAAAUAUACAGGCUUGGUAUGGCCGGGAAAAGGUCUCGGUGUCUGGUGACCUUAAGUCAGAUAAUAAGCAUAGUGAGUCAGCAAAAUACAUAAAUAAAAUUGCACCAGAGAGACAACAGUUGUAAAAAAGAGUAGUUCAAACUGCAAUGUUUUUUUUUUCUUUCAAAUCAUUUGAUGGUCUGCUCCCAUCAGAUAACUAAUAUAACAGAACCAGAACAGUUAUCAUGUUCCAAACACUCCAUUCUUUCGUUAUCUUUCCUCCAGUCUAACUGAAUAACACUUGUUCUAACUUUAUAUUCUCUGAGGCCUCUGGUUUGAAGGGAAAUCUCAAUCAGAAUUAUAAAUAUGGUGGCAAAAAAGUCCUCUAUUCAGCCAAAGACUUGGCAAGUCAACCAAGUCUUACUUUAUUUUUUGUGUGCUUAAUUCUUUUUAAGUAGUCUUGCGUUCAUAUUCUCUAGAGUUGUGUGGCGAAAAGUAAUGCCACAUUUACUAACUUAUACUAUAGCGUCUUCUUAAUAUUAAUCAAGUUUAGUCAAAUUUUUCCAAUAAAUUACUUUCUAUAUUGACAUUGAUAUGGAUAUUCCUUGUCAUAUGAAGAUCCUAUAGUUUAUAGUAUAUUCUUUCCUAGAUAGUCAAGUUUUUACCAGUGAAUUAUUUUCUAUGUAUCCUUUGUAAUUAGUUGAGUUGCGGAAAACCUAGCUCAGAAACCACAGUUAUUAAAAAAGAAACAUAGUCUGAUUACGUGUUCGGUUAAAAUUGUUUGAAACUAGUAACAUAGAAUUAUGUAUUUGGUAAAAAUUGUAUUUGUAAGCAAUACUUUUGUUAAAGUGACUAUAAAAUAACCUUAAUUUGUUGAAUUCAUAAUCUAUAUCUAUAUAUUAUUAAAAGGAGAGGACAAAGGCUUUACAUUAAGCCAAGUGGUGGCAGCCCAAGAAUAAGACACUUGGUAUUUUAGGACAAAAAUACAGUUAGGUUAGUUGUUAGUCCCCACUAAUUUUUAAUUUGUUUUAUACAUUUUUAAAAUAAAUUUUUUAUUUCACUGAUAGUUUAAUGUCACAUGUUUUUUAAAAAUUUAAAUUUUAAAUAUUAUAUUGAUGAGUUUGACAAAUGUCCUAUGGUAAGCCACCCACGAAUCAACCACACCUCUGAACUUCAAUUAAUAAUUAACAAUUUUUAAAUUGAGGAAACUGCAGAGGCAGUUUUAUUGCAAAUUCAUCAGCAAAUUCCAAUGUAAAAGAACAAAAAUAAAAAAGUUUGAGGCCAUUGUUGAAGCCUUUGACUGCACCGAGAUCUCAACAACACAAAUUGUAAUUCGCAAAAGAGAUGUGAAAUUUGAAAGAAAAUGUAUCUGAUGAUAAACAGGGAAGAAGAAUAUCCAACAACAUUCAUUCAAAUAAGAGAUGAAAUUGCAAAAGUUCUGUGCAGUUCAAGGGUUUCUUUUCAUGGGCAGAUAUAAGUUUUUUUUAUCCAUCUUUUCAAGAAUUAUCAACGUUGGUGUCUUAUGACAUCAAUUGUUGCUCUUCACCAUUUUUGUAUCUGAAUAUAAUUUUGGCUUAAUUAAAUCAAAAUUGAAUGAUAUUACAAUAACGAUUCUUAUGACUUAGUUUGUGAAAAAUAUUUUGUAUUAUUUAAUAUUUUUAUCCAUUUAAUUGGUAUAUAAUGGUGAAGAAAUUUUUAUUGCAUGGUGUUUAAAAGUGUAAGUGGCUCAAGGGAAAAGGAACAAUCGUGCGUAUGAGGUAGUUUCCAAAUUAGUUUUCACAUUAUGAAUUAUGAAUGGAUUUUGAACAGAAAUUGAAUUUCUGAUAGCAUUUUGCAAGCUUUUACAUUCUGAAAUUUUACCUUGUGAAAUGGCAAUUCGUUUAUGCAUAUAUUGAUUUAGGGAAAGGUCUCUUCCUUUAAUACUUUCUUUUUUACUUUAGGGGUAUUUUUCUGCAAGAUGGUGGCUGAUAUUGCACUUUUUUUAUUUUUCCGGUAUGGAUACAACUCAAUACGGCAUUAAGUCCUACUAGAUUUAGGCUUUACUGAGUCGACAUUGCCCUCCAUCAAUUCCUAUUAAUUAAAUAUAAGUACUUUUAACAGAGCAUGGUCAAAUGAUUUAUGUGAAUGUUGCCGAUUGGCAGGAUAUAAAAUGUUGGCUUUAUGUUGAUAGAUAGUGAAAGAGAUUGAGGGCGGUGGAUUGAUAGAGGAUUGAACAGUGGCAUUCUUCUCUAUUAGAGUUGGAAAUGGAUGGCGGUUAGUAUGUCAUAGGAUUUUAUGUUGUCUGAUAUGUUGGGUUUGAAAACUAGAGCCAAAUUUUUAUUUUUUCUGAUUGAAUGAAUCAUGAUGUGAAACUGGUUGUUUUGAAUCUUAUUCUUUUAUACUUUGCUGAAGUCCUGUAUAUGGGUAUGUGGUUGGCAUUCAUAUCUUUUUAAGGCAUAACUGUUAAGUCAUUGUGGAGGACUGCUCAGCAGAUUCGUGACUUAAGAGUUCUAUCAACGAGAAUACUUCAUGGCUAUUAUCUGAAACACCAGAGUAAUUAGCUUAUUUACACUCCAUCUAUAUAUAGGUACAGGGGCCUAUAAGACUUAAAUUGUGUUUGUAUGUCAGUUGUCUUCCCCUUGGAAAUCUCUUUAUCCUUUCAUAUUGAGUUUUCUAUAUACAUGUUAUUCUUUUUCACCUUUAGGUAGGUGUGGUUGGUGGAGAUUGUUAAACUAGAGAAGAACAACCUUGCAGGGAGAAGUUGGCUUUAAUAACAACCUUCAGGGUUCAUAGACAUGCAUGAUUUUUCAUGAGAUGUUAAUAUUAUGAUUCUGUCAGUGUAUAAAGGGUUAAAACGUCUAUUUUCUCCUUCAUUUAAGGAAACCCACUAUCAGAAAAAAAUUAAAUAUAUAUCAUUAAACUAAGCUUUUGUAGAACCCUCGGCAAAGUUAAAUGAUAAGCUAGUAAAAAUUUAACCUUUAUUGUAACACCCCGCAUUUUGGGUUAGAACGAAAAUCGUCAUUUCUAUUCGUAGAUCAUCCAAAAGCCAUAAAUCUAAUGGAAAUUUGGCAUGUUAAUUAAUUAUAUGGUUUGGGAACCUAUUUUAGCAUGAAUUGAGAUCAUAUAGGUCCCCUAACUCAAGGACGAGUUGAAAUCUUUCAUGUCGUUUGAGUUUGAGUGAGCGUCGAAACUUGGGUAACCUUCAAUCGACCAUAACUCUUUGUAUAUAAUGAAUUAGAGGUCCUACUAUAUAUCAAAUGAAAUAUCUUUGAAUUAUAUUUCCAACGAUACCAAUUUCGUCAAAAUACGAUACCCAUGCAAAAAGUUAUGGCCAUUUUCGUGAAUGAGACAGUAGCAUCGCGCGAUUAGCGUGUGACGCACACUCUGUCGCACGCAACCAAUUUUCAGGUCCUGUUUUUGCAUUUUUAAGGGUAAAGUGGUAUUUUCCACCCCCUAUUCAUCCAUUAAACGGAAUUUAAUCCCCCAAACACCAAAAUAAGGUCAUUCUCUCUCAAAAUCAUCAAGAACACUUAUUAUGGUUUCAAUCCAAAGAUCAAAAUAUCUUAAGAUUUCACCGUGGGUUUUCAAUAAUUCUUCGAGAUUCGAAAUCCCCAUUGCGAGGGCUACAAGAAGCACCCAUCAAUUGUUCAAAUAGCAUCCUUAAAGCACGAGUUCAUUCAAGAGUCAUAAAUUAAGGUACGUGGGGUUUUCCUAAAAUUUCAUGUGCAAAGAAACCAUCUUUAAUUCAUGCUAACGGUUUAGAAGUCAUGAUAUUUAAGAAAGUGGUUUUGAAUUUAUGAUUUCUAGCAUGUUUUAGAAGCCUUGAUCAAUAUUGUUUUGGUCUUUAGGCUUUCCCCCAAAAUGAUUUGAAACUCUAUAUAUAUAUGCAUGCAUGCGUUUAAGGAUGAAAAUACAAUUGAGAGCAUGAAUCCUAAAGAAUUCCUCUCUUGUUAUGAUUUUUCCCAUCUUUUAUAUGAUAUGAAUUGUGUUUGAAAUGUCUUGAUUAUUGUUAUGACUUGAAUAUGAUUUUCAAUCCAAAAGAGAGGGUUGUGCAUGUUCAUAAACAUUGAAUACACUUUGAAUAAAAGAAUUGCAUGUUUGCCAAAAAUACAUGACUACCACAUGGUUAUUGAAUGUAUGAGAAUCUUAGCAUGAUUUUGACUUGUGCUUACGGAACAUGAAAUUUCCUAUACUAUUUGCAUGCUUGGCUGGUCUGAAUUAUGUUUUAAUGAAAGAAUCAUGCAUGGUACAAUAUGGCUCAGAAAUAGGACUUGCAAGCCUUGGUAUAACGACACCAACUCAGUUAAAGCCAUAAUAAUUCAGAACAGAAUAGAACACAUGUUUGAAAUCAGAUUUUCAGAUUAUGAAUUCAGAAAGAUGCAUGUUUAGAAAAGGUUUAAAAAUGGGCUUAAAGAAAGUUAGAUGGUUAUCAGAAGAAAGUAUAAUUGAAAGACUCUAUGCUAGAAACCGUGAUUUACCGACACGGGAUUGUGGUACCAUGCUUUGUGAUCUUGUGUACCUUGAUUCAUGUCGUCCCAAAUUGGGACUAUGGUUAGGAGCCCUGCUUUGUGAUCUUGUGCACUACCAUGACAUGCUGAUUUGAUCGGGAAUUUUGGCACCCUGCUGUGUAGUCUUGCGUGUUCCCCUUAUAGAUACUUCAAUCCUUGCGGUAAACUUGGAUUGGGGGCUUGGCCGUCGAGUCAAGCGCGGAUUUCAUAUAGCCUGUGGAAUUACAGAUUGUAGGGUGUACCAUCUAGCUCAGAAGUAAGACAAAAAGUGUGUCAUGGUUUCAAAGUCUUUAAAAUGUACCCAUGUGUUUUCAUAUAUUAUAUGUAAAAUAUUUUAUGAUUUUCUCUCACUUAUGUUAUAUAUAAAUACAUUAUUUUGGAUUUCUCUGCGUACCAGUACAUCUGCAUUGACCCCCCUCCCUUCUAGGUUUUGGGGCUCAAUCUAGGGGUCCCGAUAAGCAGUAUGUUUUCUCCAGAUGGAAGUGCAGAGUUCCGUAGUAAGCCUUCUAUAUUUCAGAAGGCCUAGUUUACUUUAGUCAUUUAUCAUUAUUAUGUUUUGGUCUACUGAGGGCCUUAUCCCAGUUUUUAGAUAGUUGGGUUUAUACACAUAGUAGAGAUUUCGCAGACUGAGUCAAAUAUAACUCAGAUGUUUUGAAUUGCAGUUUUCAUUAAGAUUUGAAUUUAGAUUUAAUGACCAUGAUUCCAUUUCAUUAUGUAUUUUCACAUUAUCUUUUUCAUAUGAGGACAGUGUAUGUGAUUACAAGUUAGAAGGGCGUCCGGGUCUUCAUGGUUUCGGGAUACUUGUCAUUGCUAGGGCCCCGCUUUGGGUCGUGACAAACUUGGUAUCAGAGCACGGUUAAUGGUCCCAAGGUGUCUACAAAAUUGCAUUGGGUAGUGUCUUAUUUAUAGGUGUGUAGCACGCCACACUUAUAGGCAGGAGGCUACUAGGGUUUAGAAAUGUGUCUCUUUCUUCAUGUUCUAGUUCGUGCAAUGGAGUCAGAAUAUUCCUUUUACAUACUCUAAUUCGUGCUAUGGUGUUACCCAUACGGAAGUAAAGUCAUCCCAAUUCUUUUCGCCCAUAUAGAAGUAAAGUCAUCCCAAUUCUUUUCUUACUUUGAUGUGCUCAGAUAUUUCUCAUUAUUGGGGUUGUUGACACCUAAUUUUUGGCCUCCACGACUAAAUUUAAUCCUGAGUUUCUUCAGUUUCUAAUAAAACCAAAAUAUUUAUUCCAUCCAAAUAAAAAAAAUUAAAAUAUUUUUCGUACGUGAUUUUGUCAAUUUAAGUAGCGAUUAUAUAUUAUCGUGUUCAGUUAUACGAGAUUAUAUAAUUUGUUACUUAAAUAUUUAUUUUACAAAAUAUCGGAUUUUAAGUAAUGCUCAUCUUGAAAAUAAAUUCAAAUAAUUAAAAUCUUGAUUUAAAUAUAAUUUAUUUACAAAAAUAAUUUAUUUGGAUAAAUAUGCAUUUGAUUUUAUUAAAUUAAGAAGCUCGGAAUUAAAUGAAGUAUUAAUUCGUAUUGAAUUUCAAUUUAAUUUAGUCAAUCUAUUAGAUUUGGCCAUAAUUGAAAUCAAAUUGGUCAUAAUUGUAAUGCAAUUCGUCAAUUGAUUUUUAAUUUGGUCAAAAUAAAUAAAUAUGGCUAAAUUUUAAAUCCCAAUUGGGGUUAUACUUUAAAUAACCCCAAAAUUUUCAAGAACUCUCAUAACUUCUGCCCAAUUUCCACCAAAAAAUAAAUUCAAAUUGUACUACAUUGUACUAUUCCCCCCAACGUUGUCCUUUUCCAAUUUUGAAAUUCAAAGAUUGUACUACAUUGUACUAUUUCCCUUCAUAUUAUCUUCCGCCUCACCUUAUCUUCAAUUUUUACAUUUCGAAAGCACCCCUAAAUAUUUUUUCUCCCACAUUGUUGGAUAAAAAGAAAUAAAUCUCUAUCCUUCCCUAUAAAUACUUUUCUCCCACAUUGGUGAAAAAAAAAGAAAAGAAAACACCCCAUUCUCUCCUAAAAAUACUACCACUACUUUGGUAGAGAAGGAGGGUGGAAAAGUAAGAAAAAAAGGCUAGAAAGGUGAAAAAAUCCUUUUUGAGCAAAAGAGUUAUUUUUAUUUAGUAAAAAAUUUUGUUUCAUAGAGUUGGUCAGCUAAUAAAAACUUGCAAGUUGCCGGCGACGUUUUUCGGUGGUGGUUGAUUCCGACAAAACUCGUAUUCUCGUUUUGCUGCCCCCAAAAAGGUAAACACAUCUUUUCUUUUUUUCUAAGUUUUAUUAUCAUUUUUUUUCUUUCUUCAUCUUUUUUUUCUUCGUAGUUAUAAUUUUGUUUGCUAUAGAUGGCCUUAAAGGCCAUAGGACAUUGUGAUAGAGAUAUUUUAAUUAUUUUCAUAUUCAUGAUAUAAAAAUGAGCUAACAAUAGUUGCACGUGUCUUUUUUUACUUUAUUCUUUGAUUAUUAUAUAUAAAGUUUCAAUCUUUGCUUAAAAGAUGUACUUAUGCUUUGUUUAAUCUCAUUGUUGGUGAAUACGUUUGUUUUUAGCAUGUAAAGUUUUAUUUUUAGCAUGUAAAGUUGUUUCCUUUAUGUUGAAAAGAAUAGAUAAUAUUGAUUGUUUCUUCUUUUUUUACUUUAUUUUUUGAUUAUUUUGGAUAAAGUUUAGCUUUUUGUUUGAAAAACAUCCUCAUGUUUUGUUUAAAUUCAUUGUUGGAGGAUAUGUUUGUUUUUAGCAUGUAAAGUAUUUUUCUUUAUGUUGAAAAUAAUCGUUAAUACUGAUUGUUUUGCCUUUUGACCUUAUUUUUUGAUUAUUUUGGAUAAAGUUUAAAUCUUUACUUGAAAAACAAUACCCAUGUCUUGUUUAAACUCAUUGUUAGUGGAUAUAUUUGUUUUAGCGUGUAAAGUAGUUUAUUUUAUGUUGGAAGAAUAGUUAUUAUUAUUUGUUUCACCUUUAUAAAAAUAGUAAUUGAUUAAAUCAAGAAUUUGUCAUUUGCCUGUUAAUUAUUUUAAGGAAUCUCCAAAAUCUUCAUAUAAGAGAUGAAGUGCUAGCUUUAUUUUCUAUCCACGAUGUUUAUUCCUCUUUUUUUUUUCUGCAUGUUUUUUAAAUUUGUCAAAAUGAUGAGAAAGUUCAAAUUUUUGUGGCUAAAUAGAAUUAUUUAGAUAUUUUUGAGUCAUGCAUAGUAUGAUUGUGAAAUAAUAUUUCAAUUUUGGAAAUGCUAAACUUUUAUUCUAAUUUUCUUACUCUCUUUGGACUGUUAUAUGUACUCUUUGUGAGUGUAAAGAUUUGAUUCAUGUCUCUCUUUUAUUCAUAAUAUCAAAAGAGAAUCAACGAUUUCUUAGAAACAAAAAUCAUAGGUCGUUACACGUUUUUCAAUAAGAUAUUGGUUGUAAUUUAUAUGUAUGAAUUUUCGUUAAUGUCGCCUUAAUUGAAAGUUAAAGAUUCUCUUUAUUGAAAAGUUAGCCUUUAUUUUCUUUUGUUAUAUGGAUUGGUGUCUAUGUUUUUUCAAUUCUAGAAAUCAUGAGUAUUUUUCUUUUUGCCUCAUCCCUUUAAUUUCGCAAGCUUAUGUUGUUUGUUUCUUGCAUUAAUUCAUUGAAUAUGACCUUCUUCCUUUUACCUUUAUUCAUUCUUAAUAUGGACAUAAAUCAUGAGGCAUGUAAAGGAGUGUAUUUGCUUUGUAUUUUUUAUUUGUUGACUCUAAUUAUUGUGCAAGUAUGUUUAUUCUUGUCAUUCAAAAAUUGGUUCUUCAUAGAUUCUUUUACUUUGAAAUAUGUCAUUUUUAUGCCUUGAACAUAUAUUAAUUUCUAUAUCGUUUCUUUGCAUGCAGAAAAUUUCUCGAGGCCAAAUGGAUUUCUCUCCUCUUGCAUUUUGUAAUGGGCCAAUGAGGUCUACCCCUUCGAGUCAAGUUCGAAGUUUAAACCUUUGGUCCAUUACAUGGCGUACGGGUGCUAGAAGAUAGACGAAGAAGGAAAAUGGGUCAAAACCAAUUGAUGAGGUCACUAAAAGACUUGAAAAGUCUCAAUUUUUAUUAUUGUCUUCUUUUUAUUUAUUCAUUUAGUCAUUUAUUUAUUCAUUCAUUUCGGCCUCGAAGCCAAAGUUGUAUUUAAUAUAGGUGGAGCAAGACUCGAGCCAAAGGCUCGAAAAAUAGUUUAGGACAGGUGAAAUGGGUCGGAAGCCCAACUAGACUAGGACAGGUCUCGUUGAUUUGGGCCCAAUGGCCUAAAUCCUUUACUUUCUCCUCCCUUCCCCUUUUAUGUGUUUAUUUGUUUAUUAGUUUGGUUUAGAUUUAGUUAAAAUCCCUACUAAGUCGCCUAAAUCUAUUUUACACAAGUCUUUUAAAAAAAAUAAAAAAUCAAAUUACUAUUUCAACAAAUUAAUCUUUUCAAAAGUUAAUAAAAAGAUGUUUUCAAACAGUCCGGAUAACCGCAUGUUAGCUGACGUUUUAGGUGCCUAACACCUUCCUAAAACGUUAAUAGGACCACUUACUCAGAAUCUUCAAAACUUAAAACGAUUUUUCUGUUUUGAAACAUUUGAAGUAACUCUCUAAAGGUUUCUGAAUUCCUUUUCAAAAUUAAGUGGCGACUCUCAAAAAGUCAAAAUUUUUCUGCUAAACAGAAAUGGAGACUCUGUUGGGAAAUUUUAACUAGGUGCUAACCAAAUGUUUGAUUUCGUCUUUUGAUUAACUGUUUAUGUGUUUAUAUGUUUUGAUUCUAUAAAGUUUAACUAUCGCAUCUCAUCGCAUAUUUCUGCAUUAUUUAAACUGUUUUGGGAUUUCGUGGAUGUCCUAGCCCUUGUUGUUCAAUUCCAAAAUAUGUUGGAAAUACGAACGGCUUAUUAGCAUGUGAGUCAUCUGAUACUGUUCGUAUUUUCAAACUCAAGUUUUCCGCAAACCCACUCUAGACACCGAGGAUAGAACGAAACCAAAACCCUAUUUUAGACAUGAGCCUAGGACGACCCAAUACCCGAGUGGGGUAUUGGGCCUAUUAGAAAAACUGCCCUGCGUAUAUUGACCUCGAGUCAAUUAUAGACAAACCAUACUUACGUGUUGAAGAAAAUGUAUGCCUGUCUAAUUCAAUCCAUUAUCCUUUGGGGGUCGAGAAAAAACUUGAUUUGCUUACUUUCGUAAGAAGAAUUGAAUCAAGUUAAGCAAGAAUUUGAUCGAUUUGGGAGGUUGCAUCUAAGGCAUAGUUUGAACGUCAACGGAUGUCACCAAUAUAAGAAAUAGACGAAGCAAAGAGUGCGAAGGCUGAUAAAAGAAGCAUCCCCUACGUGGGACAUUAUUCCUUUUCCCUAAAGAUUGUAUCCCUUUUGUGCAACUUUUGUAGACAUUUAUGUCAUUUACGUAUACCUAUGAAUGUUUUUGGGGAUAAUGGAUUAGCUUUAAAAAGGCGUAUAUUUUCUUCAAAAUUCGUUAGGCCUAAACCUUUGGCUCAAAAGGGUCACCUAAUUAGGAUGCACGUUUAUUACAAUAUGCCCGUGUAAUAUAACUAUUUGUGUGCUUAUUCGUGUUGGUUCGAAUCAAAGGAAAAUUGAUCCAAUCCCAUUUUAAUAUACCCCACUAUACAAAAGUCCUACCAAACAUACUCCAAAGUCUCCCAAGUUUCUUAGAAAAGUCCACAGUCGUUCUCAAAACUUUCAAAAUGAUCGCUAUCAUUUUUGGCAAGUUGACUUUAGAAUCAGAAGAAGCCAUUAUAGUUCUGAACUACGUAGGGCCUAAUUUCUCCCCGUGAGAUACAUAGGUAGCCUUUUGGCCCGGCCCCUAUCUUCAAAAACUCUAUUGUUCUCCACUUUCUUGAAGGAAGAAGAAGAGUUGAACCUUCCCGACAAAUUUCACCUAUCCAUAUCAUUGAGUAAAAUCCUGUUCAUUGAAAUCCUCGAGUCAUCAUUGCUUCUUGGAUCAAUUGGCAUGAUAUGAGAAACAACUCUAUGUGUUUACUUCCUACCUUAUCAUCUUGCUUUACUUAUUACUAACGGGAAACUAACACGUCAGCGUUUGAGUUGUUUUUAUUGCAGGUAAUAGAAACUACUCUGUGUUGGCAUAAAAUAACCCUGCUUCACCAGAUCAAAAUGAAUAAGAGAUCCCCUUCUUGACUAUAACUUUGUUACAGGAACAGAAAUAUGACUAGUAGUAAAGCUGGACUCUACCAAUCAUUUUUCAACCCUGUAUACGAUAGUCUCGAGGAUGGAAAUUUUUCCAAGACAAAUGGGAUCAUGGAAGUUUAAUUGUAGGAAACAUUAUUGAAUUGGACCUCCACUCCACUCAUGACUCAUCGCCCGUUGUAUAAUAGUAACUUAAAACCUGCCAUUGUCAUGUCAUGUCAAGAAGCAAAAUAAUGGUAGCCCUAGAACAGUCAACAGAAGAAUCAAAGAGUUCGAGAAUCAAAGAAGCCUAAUCUAGAGGAAACCGAGGUGGUUAACUAGGAAGGCGAUGACUUCAUUGGAUAUUUGAUCCUUUGUUCUAUCAAGACAAAUGCAAUGCAAACGUUAUGUCAUCCAUAGAAGUACUUAUUUAUAUUCUAGUAAGAUGGAUAAGAGUAUUUUUAGGGCCAUUAUGAGUUUAUAUACGAACUACGUUUGACUUGAAUUCCCAAAAAAGGGAUACGUAGGCGGCCUAUGUUAGCUUCGGUCAACCCCUUAGGAAAAUUUGUCCUUUCCUUUAUGUACAAACUAUGUUUGAUCUGAAUUCCCAAGAAAGGGAUACGUAGGCGGCCUACAUCGGCUUUGGUCAACCCCUUAGAAAAAUUUAUCCUUUCCUUUAUGUACGAACUACGUUUGACCUGAUUUCCCAAGAAAGGGAUACGUAGGCGGCCUAUGUCAGCUUCGGUCAACCCUUUAGGAAAAUUUAUCCUUUGCUUUAUGUACAAACUACAUUUGACCUGAAUUACCAAAGAGGGAUACGUAGGAUGCCUAUGUCGGCUUCGGUCAACCCCUUAGGAAAAUUCAUCCUUUCCAUUAUGUAUGAACUACGUUUGACCUGAAUUCCUAAGAAAGGGAUACGUAGGCGGCCUAUGUCGGCUUCGGUCAACCCCUUAGGAAAAUUUAUCAUUUCCUUUAUGUACGAACUACAUUUGACCUGAAUUCCCAAAGAGGGAUACGUAGGCGGCCUAUAUCGGCUUCGGUCAACCCCUUAGGAAAAUUUAUCCUUUCCUUUAUGUACGAACUUCGUUUGACCUGAAUUCCCACAGAGGGAAACAUAGGCGGCCUAUGUUGGCUUCGGUUAAUCCAUUAGAUUUUUUUAUAUAUAUCCCUAGCGUAGCUUGAACUCUGUUUGACCUAAUUCCUGCUUCAACAAGAUACGUAGACUUUCCAGCGGCUCGGUCGUAUAACCCCAGGAAAUGGAAACUGGGACAGAAUUUUUGAGAAGAAAUCUAGAAAAUUCACAAUAGAAGAUCAACAUCCAACAAAGAGAAUGAAGAUCAACAAAGACUUCAGAUUCACUCAAGAUGAUAUCAUCUCAAACUACUUUAAACUGGGGCAUAAAUGUUUAGGGAGGCCUCAAAAUUUCAAUCAAAUACUGGAAUAUAUUUUAAAUUCCCCAGCACUUGAGGUCGAAGUUGAGAUUUGAGAAUCACCACCUGUGAUAAAGUCUAGGAAGACUGAAUCCCUGUCUUUGAUAAAACUUCUGGUAGAGAUCCUCGACAAUGCUGAAUCCCUAGCAAUCCUCCGUCAAAUGUCAGAUAUUGUCAGAAUCAAGGAAAAGAUGGUCGUUGAGCUAGCACAUGACAUGACUGGCAGAGAUUUUCUAGAUUUUUGUAGGAGUUUUCGAAACUAUCUUCUAAAAAUUAAGACUACUUUCAAAAAUCUAGAUAAAUUUUUUACUUAGUGAUUGCCUAGACAUUAUUUUAGACGGGGAGUCAUGAGCGGAAGUCCUAACAUGACGAAAUACCUGAAAGAUGGCGAGAGGAAAAUCAAGAAUUAAAGAAGGUAAACACGGAGUAGUUUCACUCAAAUUAAUCAUUUUCUAUGGGUGCAGGGACCAAUACACAAAAAUGAGAGUCUCUUUCAAAAAUCCCUGAGCAAAUUGGGAGCCAUACCAAAGAACUAAUGCUCAAGAACGGUAUUUUUGGGUAGCCCUAAAAAUGGGUUUAGUACCCAUAUAUUGAAGACCUUUUGAAGUGUCCAUUUGAUUUCUUGAGAUCAUGGAGGACAAACAUAAGUGUCUUGUCUUUACAAAUAUUGUAUUUUGAAUUUUUCUAAAAAAUAGUCGCUAGCAAAAGUAACUUUGUGUCUACUAAUCGUCUUACCUUUAGUACAGGUACAUGCAGAAAGCAAGACCCUGACAAAUGAUUUCAGGAGAAACUAUUUUUAAUUUACCGGAAGAACCAUUGCAUGUCAUUGCCAAGAAGGCGAUUGCAUAUCAUUGCCACAAGGGCCAUUACAUAUCAUUGCCGAAAGGGCCAUUGCAUAUCAUUGCCACAAGGUUCAUUGCAUAUCAUUGCUGCAAGGGCCAUCAUAUAUCAUUGCCACAAGGGCCAUUCUAUAUCAUUACUGAAAGGGCCAUUGCAUAUCAUUGAUGCAAGGGUCAUUGCAUAUCAUUGCCGCAAGGGCCAUCACAUAUCAUUGCCACAAGGGCCAUUGCAUAUCAUUGCCGAAAGGGCCAUUGCAUAUCAUUGCCAAGAGGAUCACUGCAUAUCAUUGCUGCAAGGGUCAUUGCAUAUCAUUGCUGCAAGGGCCAUUACAUAUCAUUGCCAAAAGGGCCAUUGCAUAUCAUUACCGCAAGGGCCAUUACAUAUGAUUGUCGUAAGGGCCAUCACAUAUCAUUGCCGCAAGGGACAUUGCAUAUCAUUGCCAAGAGGGACAUCUCAUACCAUCACCCAAGAUGGCUAUUCAUAUAUCUAUUUACAAGCGAGGCACAACGCUGGCGUCGAGGAUAUCAUCAACAUUUAUUAUCUGUUGACUUACGAGAUGUAACGCUGGCGUCGAGGAUAUCAUCAGCAUUCAAUAUAUCUAUUGACACGUGAGACACAACAUUAGCAUCGAGGAUAUAAUCAACAUUCAAUAUAUCUAUUGAUAUUCGAGACACAACACUGUCAUCGAGGAUAUCAUCAGCAUUUAUUAUCUAUUGACACGCAACACGUAACGCUAGCAUCGAGGAUAUCAUCAACAUUCAAUAUAUCUGUUGACACGUGAGACACAAAGCUAGCAUCGAGGAUAUCAUCAACAUUCAAUAUAUCUAUUGACAUGCGAGACACAAUGCUAGCAUCGAGGAUAUCAUCAGUAUUUAUUAUCUGUUGACACGCGAUACGUAAAGCUGGCGUCGAGGAUAUCAUCAGCAUUCAAUAUAUCUGUUAACACGUAAGACACAAUGCUGGCGUCGAGGAUAUCAUCAAUAUUUAAUAUCUAUUGACAUGCAAUACAUAAACUCCAGUGUCGAGGAUAUCUCAUCAUAUUAUGAAUCAGUAUCUGAAUGCAUUAAGAGCACACGAUUUGAAGGGACGCCUUUAAGCCAGUGUCUAAAGACGGAUGAUAGAUGAGAUUUUCUAGAAAUUGACAAUUUGAGGGUUAUCUAUAAGUCAUAUUAUUUGAAAUAGGAUAGUGUGCAAGAUCACCUAUGAUUUGAUAGCCUAUAGGUCAUCCGUAAGCCACAACGAUAUCCUAACUGGAUAGUGUGCAAGAUCACCCAAAAAUCGAUAGUCUGAAGGUUAUUCAUAAGUCGCAACUAAAUCCUUACCGGAGAAUAUGUGACAUUAUGAAAUUGAUACGUCCAAGGGUUCUAUAUAAGCCGCGUCAUUUGCAAGAUAUAUUAUGUGCAGGAUUACCCAAGGACUAACAAUUUGAGAAAUAUCUAUAAGUCACAUUGUAUCCAAGGUCGGAUGAUGUGAAGGAAAACCUAAAAGCUAGCGAUUGAAGGGAUAUUUGUAAGCCAUCUCUUAUCAAAGGUCGGAUAAUAAGCAGGAUUACCUAAAAUCUAGCAAUCCAAAGGAUAUCUAUAAGUCGCCUCAUAUCCAACGUCAAAUAAUGUGCAAGAUUAUCCAAAGAUUGAUAAUUUAAGAGAAAUUUAUAAAUCAAUCAUUGGCUAUAAUAGGAGAGGUUAUCAUUCCACAUAAAACAAGUGAUAUAGGUAACCAAAAGGGUUGCCACACCAGAACAAGAUUACACGGUUGUAGGGACCGUUCUGCAUAAAGUGUCAUCGGUAUCUAAAAGGGCCACCCCACUGUGAAGACAUAUUCGCUCGACAAAUGAGCUAAUUAUGCAACAACCAAGAAAGUUUUUGUGUUUGUUAUUUCGAGUUAUUUCCUGCCAAUCAGGUACAAGAAAGGAUAACUUUGCUUUUUAGACAAUAACUCACGUGGAGAUAUGGUAAAAAACUAUACACCUCUUUCGUGAAUUGUGCUUAUUACUAAUGAUUUUUAUUUGAGAUAUUGUCGAAAGCAUCCAAAAGGAUGAAAAUCUCAAAUCAAAACCACAGGUGGAAACGACUCCAAAAAGGACACAGCAAAAUGUUGAACUCUUUCUUAGCAGUAAAACGGGACAUAGUCUAGAGAGGAACGUCAAACUCUUUGAACGCGAGCUAAAGGAUGAUCACCACCAACAUAUAACCACACCCCUUAGAAGGCAUGUGGGCAUUUUGGUAUAUUUUUGUUUCAGCUCCACCUCCGGGAUAUUUUCUUAACUCAUACUGAGGGUAACCUUCUCUUUCUUUCAAAUUCGGUGACAACAUACUUAAAGUUUCGGAAAUUAUGUCCGGGUAAGUUCUUGUAUAUGGGUUUGAAGGAUCACAUAUUCAUGAUUUAGAGGUUACAAGCCUCUUUUCCUCAACUCGAUCAAUUUGUCACUCAUCCUGAUCCAAAGAUUGUCCGAAAAUAGAGGACUAUCUUUUCUGCCGAUAGAGUUGAACUACAAGCAGUCUGAUUCUCUAAGUAUCAGGGAUAUGUAGGCUAGGAUCUGUGUAGAAAACUCGAUUGCAUUCCAACCUACCCCCAAAUCCCUUUAUUCUCCAGCUUUACGAUUUUAUCAGAAACUCCAAAAAUAGAGACAACUUGUGAAUCUUUUAAAAAAUCGUUCUUUAAAUCAAGCUUUAUGAACUACAAGUGGCCUGAAUUCUCAUAUAACCUGAGAUAUGUAGGAAACCUCAUACCGAGGUCCGGCCAUGAUUCUAUGAAACUCGUGCGAAAAUCAGCCUCUUUCAGAUUCGAAUCUAUGGUCGGACAAAAAUUAGGAACGUCAACCUCCCUUUGCCGAGGGUUACUUACAUCCACCCUACCCAAAGAGAGGGGACAGUUGUUGACACCUAAUUUUUUCCAUCCACGACUAAAUUUAAUCCUGAUUUUCUUCAGUUUCUAAUGAAACCAAAAUAUUUAUAUCAUCCAAAUAAAAAAAAUUAGAAUAUUUUUCGUACGUGAUUUCGUCAUUUUAAGAAGCGAUUAUAUAUUAUCGUGUUCAGUUAUAUGAGAUUAUAUAAGUUGUUACUUAAAUAUUUAUUUUACAAAAUAUCGGAUUUUAAUUAAUGUACAUCUUGAAAAUAAAUUCAUAUGAUUAAAAUUUUGAUUUAAAUAUAAUUUAUUCUCAAAAAUAAUUUAUUUGGAUAAAUAUGCAUUUGAUUUUAUUAAAUUAAGAAGCUGGAAUUAAAAGAAGUAUUAAUUCAUAUCGAAUUUCAAUUUAAUUUAGUCAAUCUAUUAUGUUUGGCCAUAAUUGAAAUCAAAUUGGUCAUAAUUGCAAUGCAAUUCGUCAAUUGAUUCUUAAUUUGGUCAAAGUAAAUAAAUAUGGCUAAAUUUUAAAUCCCAAUUGGGAUUAUAUUUUAAAUAACCCCAAAAUUUUCAAGAACUCUCAUAACUUCUACCCAAUUCUCACCAAAAAAUAAAUUCAAAUUGUACUACAUUGUACUGUUCCCCUCAACUUUUUCCUUUCCCAAUUUGAAUUCAAAGAUUGUACAACAUUGUACUGUUUCUCCUCAUAUUAUCUUCCACCUCACCUUAUCUUCAAUUUUUACAUUCCGAAAGCACCCCUAAAUAUUUUUUCUCCCACAUUGUUGGAUGACAAGAAAUAAAUCUCUAUCCUUCCCUAUAAAUACUUUUCUCCCACAUUGGUGGAAAAAAAAAAUACCCCAUUCUCUCCUACAAAUACUACCACUACUUUGGUAGAGAAGGAGGGUGGAAAAGUAAGAAAAAAAGGCUAGAAAGGUGAAAAAACCUUUUUGAGCAAAAUAGUUAUUUUUAUUUAGUAAAAAAUUUUAUUUCAUAGAGUUGGUCGGCGAAUAAAAAAUUUCAAGUUGUCGGUGACGUUUUUCGGUGGUGGUUGAUUACGACGAAGCUCGUAGUCUCGUUUUGCUGCCCCCAUAAAGGUAAACACAUCUUUCCUUUUUUUUUUUAAGUUUUAUUAUAAUUUUUUUUCACUCUUCAUCUUUUUCUUUUCUUCGUAGUUAUAAUUUUGUUUGCUAUAGAUGGCCUUAAAGGCCAUAGGACGUUGUGAUAGUGAUAUUUUAAUUAUUUUCAUAUGCAUGAUAUAAAAAUGAGCUAGCAAUAGUUGUACGUGCCUUUUUUGACUUUAUUCUUUGAUUAUUAUAUAUAAAGUUUCAAUCUUUGCUUAAAAGAUGUACUUAUGCUUUGUUUAAUCUCAUUGUUGGUGAAUAUGUUUGUUUUUAGCAUGUAAAGUUUUUUUUUUUAGCAUGUAAAUUUAUUUCCUUUAUGUUGAAAAGAAUAGAUAAUAUUGAUUUUUCUUCUUUUUUUUACUUUAUUUUUUGAUUAUUUUGGAUAAAUUUUAGAUCUUUGUUUGAAAAACAUCCUCAUGUCUUGUUUAAAUUCAUUGUUGGCGGAUAUGUUUGUUUUUAGCAUGUAAAGUAUUUUUAUUUAUGUUGAAAAGAAUCGUUAAUAUUGAUUGUUUUGCCUUUUGACAUUAUUUUUUGAUUAUUUUGGAUAAAGUUUAGAUCUUUACUUGAAAAACAAUACCCAUGUCUUGUUUAAACUCAUUAUUAGUGGAUAUAUUUAUUUUAGCGUGUAAAGUAGUUUAUUUUAUGUUGGAAGAAUAGUUAUUAUUAUUUGAUUCACCUUAAUAAAAAUAGUAAUUGAUUAAAUCAAGCAUUUGUCAUUUGCUUGUUAAUUAUUUUAAGGAAUCUCCAAAAUCUUCAUAUAAGAGAUGGAGUUCUAGCUUUAUUUUCCAUCCACGAUGUUUAUUCCUCUUUUUUUUUUCCGCAUGUUUUUUAAAGUUGUCAAAUGAUGAGAAAGUUCAAAUUUUUAUGGCUAAUAGAAUUAUUUAGAUAUUUCCGAGUCAUGCAUAGUAUGAUUGUGAAAUGAUAUUUCAAUUUUGGAAAUGAUAAACUUUUAUUCUAAUUUUCUUACUCUCUUUGGAUUGUUAUAUGUGCUCUUUGUGAGUGCAAAGAUUUGAUUCAUGUCUCUCUUUUAUUCAUAAUAUCUAAAGAGAAUCAACUAUUUCUUAGAAAUAAAAAUCAUAGGUCGUUACACGUUUUUCAAUAAGAUGUUGGUUGUAAUUUAUAUGUAUGAAUUUUCGUUAAUGUCGCCUUAAUUGAAAGUUAAAGAUUCUCUUUAUUGAAAAGUUAGCCUUUAUUUUCUUUUGUUAUAUGGAUUGGUGUCUAUGUUUGUUCAAUUCAAGAAAUCAUGAGUAUUUUUGUUGUUGCCUCAUCCCUUUAAUUUUGAAAGUUUACGGUGUUUAUUUCUUGCAUUAAUUCAUUGAAUAUGGCCUUCUUCCUUUUACCUUUAUUUAUUCUUAAUAUGAACAUAAAUCAUGAGGCAUGUAAAGGAGUGUCUUUGCUUUGCAUUUUUUAUUUGUUGACUCUCAUUCUUGUGCAAGUAUGUUUAUUCUUGUUAUUCAAAAAUUGUUUCUUGAUAGAUUCUUUUACUUUGAAAUAUGUCACUUUUAUGCCUUGAACAUAUAUUAAUUCUUUAUCUUUUCUUUGCAUGCAAAAAAUAUCUCGAGGCCAAAUGGAUUCCUCUCCUCUUGCAUUUUGUAAUGGUCCAAUAAGGUCUACCCCUUUGAGUCAAGUUCAAAGUUUAAAUCUGAGGUCCAUUACAUGGCGUACGGAUGCUAGAAGAUAGAGAAAGAAGGAAAAUGGGUCAAAACCCAUUGAUGAGGUCACUAAGAGACUUGAAAAUUCUCAAUUUUUAUUAUUGUCUUCUUUUUAUUUAUUCAUUUAGUCAUUUAUUUAUUCAUUCAUUUCGGCCUCAAAGCCAAAGUUGUAUUUAAUAUAGGUGGAGCAAGACUUGAGCCAAAGGCUCAAAAAAUAGUUUAGGACAGGUGAAAUGGGUCGGAAGCCCAACUAGACUAGGACAGGUCUCGUAGAUUUGGGCCCAAUGGCCUAAAUCCUUUACUUUCUCCUCCCUUCCCCUUUUAUGUGUUUAUUUGUUUAUUAGUUUGGUUUAGAUUUAGUUAAAAUCCCUACUAAGUCGCCUAAAUCUAUUUUACACAAGUCUUUUAAAAAAAAUAAAAAAUCAAAUCACUAUUUCAACAAAUUAAUCUUUUCAAAAGUUAAUAAAAAGAUGUUUUCAAACAGUCCGGAUAACCGCAUGUUAGCUGACGUUUUAGGUGCCUAAGACAUUCCUAAAACAUUAAUAGGACCACUUACUCAGAAUCUUCAAAAUUUAAAACGAUUUUUCUAUUUUGAAACGUUUGAAGUAACUCUCUAAAGGUUUCUUAAUUCCUUUUCAAAAUUAAGUGGCGACUCUCAAAAAGUCAAAAUUUUUCCACUAAACAGAAAUGUAGACUCUGCUGGGAAAUUUUAACUAGGUGCUAACCAAAUGUUUGAUUUCGUCUUUUGAUUAACUGUUUAUGUGUUUAUAUGUUUUGAUUCUAUAAAGUUUAACUAUCGCAUCUCAUCGCAUAUUUCUACAUUAUUUAAACUGUUUUGGGGUUUCGUGGAUGUCCUAGCCCCUGUUGUUCAAUUCCAAAUUAUAUUGGAAAUACGAAUUAAUCUUUUCAAAAGUUAAUCAAAAGAUGUUUUCAAACAGUCUAGAUAACUGCAAGUUAGCGGAUGUUUUAGGUGCCUAACACCUUCCUAAAACAUUAAUAGGAACCACUUACUCGGAAUCUUCAAAACUUAAAACGAUUUUUUUGUUUUGAAUCAUUUGAAGUAACUCUCUAAAGGUUUCUUAAUUCCUUUUCAAACUUAAGUGGUGACUCUCAAAAAGUCAAAAUUUUUCCACAAAACAGGGGUGAUUCAAGUGCAGUAGUUUAGAGUCUAAAUGGUAUGGUCCUUUCUGAUUAAGCCAUAUAAGAGUUUAAAAUUUGUGCAAGGACUUGAGAAGAGUCCGUUAUUGCUCCAAGGUGUAUUGAUUCUAGUGUGAACUUUGAUUUUGAUAAAAUUGUGCUUUUCAGCCUGUAGUAUUAAGUGUAUUCAGUCCUUUUCAAAAUUUAUAUUGCAGACGUCAUGCUUCAAGGGAAUGAUGUGUAGCAGAAUAUUGGAACUGUAUUUCCACCCGAGUAGUAGUAUAAGUUAAAGUGACGGUGUCAUGACCUAUUAGUAGUGAUAUUGGACCAAGAAGUUGGUGAUGUGAACUUGCAAGGUUAGAAAUCAGAGUGAGGAUGACUUUCAUGUAGAUAAAUAUGUUUAGUUGAAUAACUGAUGUUUGAGAAAGAUUUACCUUUUUAUAGUGAUAGACUAAUGUGGUAGCUAGUAGCAUGUGUGGAUUGUAUGGUAGUCUGUGGGGGGAGUGUUUGACUAAGAUUUUUUUUAUUUAUACAGGGUAAGAUAUGUAUUCUUAGAUCAUUGAAUGUUGUGUGUUAAGUUUCUAUCUCUUGUAAUCUUGUUAUCAUUGUGUUGUUGAAACUGAAAGUCUAGUGAAUCCGUGUGGGGUUCUUUCAAUUCACUAGCAUAGUUGCCUUGUCAUUCAUCUCAUUUCUUGUUCAAAACACAAAAUCAAACUCUAGUGGAGCCUUGUGGGGCCUAUUUCGAUUCACUAGCAACUUAUUGUUCAUCUUGUGUUCAUGUAUUGGUUAGAACUGGGGUUUAGUGGUGUAACGGCAAGGAAAGUGGUAAGGGAAAUUUAUUGAAUAUAUGUAUAGCGAAAUCUUUUUGCAUGAGAUUGAGUUGGUAAUGAAGUGAUACGACCUUGUGUGUUAGGUUAGUAGAAGGUGGAGAAGGAGUUAUUUAUUAAGGUGAAUUGUUGUUUGCUUGAAGUAUGAAAAGAGUUGUUGACGGUGUUUGUUGUGCAAGAAGAGUAUAGGUUAUUGAUGAAGGUACUUGGUGGAUGAGUGUAGUUAAUGUAGGCAUCCCUGAGAUUGCAAGAGGAAGUUUAAUUGAAACUUACAGAGUUAUGGACUAAGUUUAGUUGUAAAAAAGGGGUAGAUAGUAAUGGUGUGUAUCUAACGCCCCAAAAAAUGGGUCCCAGAGCGUCACACGGUGCUUGAGGCUAUGAGUAGCCCCAAGCUAACCCUUUGAGACAUUUUCAUUCAGUUUAACAUAAAUCAACGGGGUCUCAAAUAUCAACAGAGUAAUCAUCAUCCAAGAAUAAAAGAAUUCNNNNNNNNNNNNNNNNNNNNNNNNNNNNNNNNNNNNNNNNNNNNNNNNNNNNNNNNNNNNNNNNNNNNNNNNNNNNNNNNNNNNNNNNNNNNNNNNNNNNNNNNNNNNNNNNNNNNNNNNNNNNNNNNNNNNNNNNNNNNNNNNNNNNNNNNNNNNNNNNNNNNNNNNNNNNNNNNNNNNNNNNNNNNNNNNNNNNNNNNNNNNNNNNNNNNNNNNNNNNNNNNNNNNNNNNNNNNNNNNNNNNNNNNNNNNNNNNNNNNNNNNNNNNNNNNNNNNNNNNNNNNNNNNNNNNNNNNNNNNNNNNNNNNNNNNNNNNNNNNNNNNNNNNNNNNNNNNNNNNNNNNNNNNNNNNNNNNNNNNNNNNNNNNNNNNNNNNNNNNNNNNNNNNNNNNNNNNNNNNNNNNNNNNNNNNNNNNNNNNNNNNNNNNNNNNNNNNNNNNNNNNNNNNNNNNNNNNNNNNNNNNNNNNNNNNNNNCACUUUCAGUUCAUCAAGAAUACCAAUUCUCAUAAUGUAAAUAUCAUUUAAAUCUUUUGAAAGAAUAACUUUCACAAUUCCACUUUCAAAAUCACUUCACCAUUCACCAUAGACACAAGGAAACACACACACACUGGGAGAUCCUAUAACUGACAUAAACCAUGUGAGCUACAUGAAGUCCAACGUACAACCCACAUUGGAGAAAGUCGUCCUAUCCUUGCCAUUGGAGUAGGACUGUCGAUAUCAAAUCCACACAUAUUAGUGAUCACUAUGUAAAUUAGCCUCAGGCUCACUCCUACGGGGGCACGUAGUUCUAGGGAAGUAAGGUCGCUUUAUACCUCCCACUCGGUGCUAAAGAUUUCUCCCGGACUUAGGUCAGAUUAUUUCAAAGACAAUCCACAACAAAACAAUUUCAGUAAUAUAUAAAUAUACAUCGGGAGCCAUCAUGCUUCCCAUCUAUCAAAAUCAACCACGUUGUGGUUUUCUUUCACACUCAAGUUCAAAAAAACUCCAUUAAGACGAAAAGGUUAAAUCAUUCAAAAUAUCUCAAAUAUUCAACAUCAACGUACUUAUAACACACACUUUCUAAAAAAACACAAUUUCCAAUGGGGAUUCACGACCUAAAUAUCAAAAUCAUGAUAAAUAUCAUUCAAGAUUUAUGCUUUAUAUCNNNNNNNNNNNNNNNNNNNNNNNNNNNNNNNNNNNNNNNNNNNNNNNNNNNNNNNNNNNNNNNNNNNNNNNNNNNNNNNNNNNNNNNNNNNNNNNNNNNNNNNNNNNNNNNNNNNNNNNNNNNNNNNNNNNNNNNNNNNNNNNNNNNNNNNNNNNNNNNNNNNNNNNNNNNNNNNNNNNNNNNNNNNNNNNNNNNNNNNNNNNNNNNNNNNNNNNNNNNNNNNNNNNNNNNNNNNNNNNNNNNNNNNNACUUGGAAUCUUGAAUAAAUUUGCAGAAUUAAUGAUGAACUUUGGAGGUUCUUGAAGUUGGAUGUAGGAGCUUAGGGUUUUCUUUUUGAGGAAUUUGAUGAAAUAUAAUAUAUAAUGCUUCUAAUAGGCUUUAAUAUAGGGUUUGGACGGAUUUUAGGUUGGGGGGAUGACCAAAACGCCCCUAAAAAGAUCAAAUAAUUCUCGAAUCUGUCUUUUGGUGGACUGUUUUGAUAGUCUGAAGUAGAUCAACCAUAACGUUUUACUCCGAUAUCCAAAUUGGAUGAAACUAAUUUCAUUAGAAAGAGGAAUCUCAUAUCUUUCCAUUGAUAUAUAGUAUCUCACCCAGAUCAUUGUGUACUAGGAGUUAUGAUCGUUUGAAUUUGACCAAAAAAUUCACUUUUGAUAGGCUGAAGCAGAUCGACCAUAACUUUUUGCUCCGAGAGACAAAUUGGAUGAAACCAAUUUCAUUAAUAAGAGGACUCACAGAUAUUUCCUUUGAUACAUAGUAGAUCACCCAGAUCAUUAUGUACAAGGAGUUAUGAUCAUUUAAAGUUGGAUCAAAAAUACGCCAGGCCUCAGUACUUUUUUUCCUGCACGUUUUACUGUUCACUACUAUUCAUGGUUCAAUUGGAAUGUUCAUAACUCGUCACUCGGGUGUCCAUUUUGGAUGAUCCAUAUAUAAUUGGAAAUCUUAUUCGAUACUCUACACAAUGGUGGGUCAUAAUCUAAGACAUUCCGCAUGAAAAAAUUUACAAUUCAUUCUAGAACAUAGAACCCCACGUUUACGCACAAAAUUUCAACAAAAAAUUUCCCGUGGUAUUACAGUGUAGAAGGAGGAUGUGUUAAUGGAUUGUGAAUAGUGUAAGCCAUAUGAUUAUGAUCAAUUGUUGUUGUUACGGAGUUCUAGUGUACUAGUGUUUCUUGAUGUUUUAUUUCAUAUUUUUUUUCCCAAGUGAGAAUUGUGUGUAAGGUUGGAUUGUAAACCAUGUUUAGAACUAGACAUUAAGUUUGAACAGUUGAUGGCCAUGAAGGUAGAUGUGAUGAUUUCUUGGUUAAUGAUACUAGUUAUAGGGAAGUGAUCUAAUAGGCUUGAAUAGAGCUUGAGUUUAUUUGAGCCGUAGUGAAGUAUGAUAUUGUAUGUAUGAUGUAGAAAUAUGCCCAAAGUGAUAUGGAGUUGUGGCAUUUUCUAAGGCUAUUGCAUGUUGCGUGUGGCUGGUAAUACCAUUAUGUUCCUAGAUGGAGAAAGACUAGUUAGAUGGUACAUGGUGUUCUAAAUGGCCAAAUUAAGAAGUUUUGAUUGAUAGUGUUGAGCCUUUUGAUAUGAUAUUGAUUCUCAUGGUAGAGAGAUAAAAGUUUGGAGUCGCGAUAUUGGUGGGCUAUGACGGAAAUAUAAUUGGUUCAUCAAGGACUUGGUGAUAUCCAUGUUAAGUGUUAGAAUCUAAGUUGAGUUUUUUUUGAAUGUUGAACUAAUAGAAAUAAGAGUUGAAGCGCUAGAGGGUGUGCACCCCAACUAUGGGGAUAUUUAUGAAGAUUCAAAGUUAGUAAGUGUUCAAGUAUUAUGUGAUGACUAUUAGGGCUAUAGAAAGAUAGAAGUGUGUCUCAGAAGGUAGUAUUAGCAGUGGGUUUUCCACUUUCAGGUGUAGUCUUUCGGAUUAAGUUCUAUGAUAUACAUGUAUUGUCAUUUUCCAGACCCCAGAGUGCAGUAAGUGUAGUUUAGUUUAGAGGCUAGUAAGGGAUCUCUCAAACUUUAGAUGAUGGCUUCAAGCGAUGGGGGAGAUGAUAGGAUGAAUAACUAAGUCGGGCUCUCAGAUUUUAGUAGUGAUGUCAGUAUGACAUGGAACAUCAGAAAGUGAGGGUAAGACUCAACCCAUUCUUACAGCAGUAUUUUUCAGUUAUCCCAAUACCUACUUAUGCCUUACAUUUCAGUUCCAUGAUCAUAGUUCGUGUUCAUGCUUGUGAUAGAGAAUCAUGUACUCUUCCAGUCCCAAAAUGAGGAGUUUCAGUUCAUUCAGUAGUCGGAAUCACAUUGCAUAUGUUAUGAACUCUAAAUUGAGGUCAUGCAGCUCAUGACUCAUAUACUCACGCUUCAUAGUGUACUCAGUUCCCAUAACUCAUGCUAUACUCCUUUUGAUUGGUGAGAUUCAGCUUAUAGGCAUGUAUGCCUCAAUUCAGAUUACUUUGAUCCAUGAUGUUGAUUUUCUAUUCCUCAGGCCUCAGUUAAGUGUCAAGUCUCGUAUCCUUACAUGAUUCAAGGUUUUAUGUUCUAACCUUUUAGUAACUCCUCUUUAUGUAAUAAUAGUGGUGGUGAGUAAAUAUUUCUUGUUUGUGAAAGAUCAUUGUAUGCUUGUUUACAUAAGGCCAUAAGUGUGAAGUAAGAUUGGGGCCAAGUCUCUGAUGCAUGUGAUGGUUAGUUGAAAUUCGUAUGUGUAUGUUCUUGAGUUAGCACGUGGGAGUUGUAUCUAUAGUGGUUUAGUGAAUUUAUGAAGUAUGCCUUUAUGGUUUUUUGCCUUGAAGUUCAUAUGUGGUUAUAAAGAUAGGCUUGAAUGACAUAUUGGGAUUUAAGUGGAGGAAUGCAAUAUACGCUAGUGAAUCCAUAGUAAGAGUUCAGAGUUGAUUAUUGAACUGGUAAGGCACGUUAUGCUUAGGGUGUAAACUUUAAAAAGAUAUAGAAAAAUGUACCAAUGCCCCUAUGAGAAUUAUAAGUUUAAUCGAAUGAGUAUGAUAUUUAAGGAGAAAUGUAUAGUCGAGGGAGUAUUCGAGAAGUGUGCUAAGCGUGAAAGUAAGAAGUUGCAUUGCCUAAGGCCUUGUAAUUCUGUCCUAGUUUAUGAGUUAUAUGUCUAUAGUCCAUGCUAUAGAGUAGUGUCAAUGUUGCGAUUCCUUAGUUAGAUGUCUUGUGUAACUCAUGUCAGAGAUUCUUUGCUCCCUAAUGCUAUUAGGACUUCUUUAGAAAGAUUGUUAAAGAGAUACCCCAGUUAAGUGUAAGUGUCCAGUAUAAUUCAGUUUAACAGUCAGGUAGAGAAGUUACUGUGGUUUUCCACCUUUUCACUCGGUCCUACUAUCCGAAGUCCAAUGCGUAUGACAAUCCCAAAAGAUAAUCUAUUACAUCUGUGUAAGUUGCAAACUCAGUUUAAUCCAAGAAUCAUGUUUUAGAUUCAAUUAUUUAGUCAUGACUUAGUUCAUAAGAGUUCAGCACAUAAUCUCAAAUUUUUCCAGCUAUUUUAGCUCAGACAGUGUAAUACCUUUGUAUGAUCUAAAUCUUGUUGCCUCAUGAUUCAUACUUACAUAAGUUAUCACUUCCAAAUCCAAUGUGUGUGAUUUGAGCAUAAACACUUCGGGGGGAAUCCUAAACUCUCAGCAUGAAUCAAUUCCUUAAAUCAAGUAAGGGCAAGUCAGCUCAGAAUUCAGUUUCAUGAUAGAAGUUUAAAUGUUUCAGAUUAGUUACAUCCUUUCUUAGAAGACACAUCAUGUCUGCGUUAUUCCAUACCUUUAACCUUCAACAUUCCUACCCAUUAUUCGGGGAUGAAUGAUCCCAAGGGGGAAAUAAGGUAACACCCCUCAUUUUGGGCUAGAAUGAAAAGCGUCAUUUCUAUGCAUAGAUGAUCCAAAAGCCAUAAAUCUUAUGCAAAUUUGGCAUAUUAGUCAAUUAUUUAUUGUGGAAAUCUACUUUAGUAUGAAUUGAGAUCAUAUAGGUCCCCUAAUUCAAGGACGAGUUGAAAGCUUUCCUAUCGUUUGAGUUUAUGUGAGCAUCGAAAGUUGGGUCAAAUUCAAUCGACCAUAACCCUUUGUAUAUAGUGAAUUAGAGAGCUGACUAUAUAUCAAAUGAAAUAUCUUCAAAUUAUGUUGCUAACAAUACCAAUUUCACCAAAAUCCGAUGCCCGAGCGAAAAGUUAUGGCCAUUUUCGUGACUGAGACAGUAGCCUCACGUGAUUAGCAUGCGACGCACGCUCUGUCGUACGCACCCAAUUUCUAGAUCCUGUUUUCGCAUUUUUAAGGACAAAAGUGGUAUUUUCUACCCCUUAUUCAGCCAUAACACAGGAUUUAAUCCCCCAAACACCAAAAUAAGGUCAUUUUCUCUCAAAAUCACCAAGAACACUUCUUAGGAUUUCAACCCAAAGAUCAAAAUAUCUUAAGAUUUCACCGUGGGUUUUCAAUAAUUCUUUGAGAUUUGGAAUCCCCAUUGCGAGGGAUACAAGAAGCACCCAUCAAUUGUUCGAAUAGCAUCCCUAAAGCACGAGUUCAUUCAAGAGUCAUAAAUUAAGGUACGUGGGGUUUUCCAAAAAAUUCAUGGGAAAAUAAACCAUCUUUAAUUCAUGCAAACGGUUUAGAAAUCAUGAUUUUUAAGAAAGAAGUUUUGAAUUUACGAUUACUAGCAUGUUUUAGAAGCCUUGAUCAGUAUUGUUUUGGUCUUUAGGCCUUCCCCUAAAUUGAUUUGAAACUCUCUAUAUAUAUGUAUGCAUGAGUUUGAGGAUGAAUAUACAAUUGAGAGCAUGAAUCCGAAAGAAUCCCUCUCUUGUUAUGAUUUUUCUCAUCUUUUAUAUGAUAUGAAUUGAUUUUGAAAUGUCUUGAUUAUUGCUAUGACUUGAAUAUGAUUUUCAAUCCAAAAGAGAGGGUUGUGCAUUUUCAUAAACGUUGAAUACACUUUUAAUGAAAUAAUUAAGAAUGAGAAUCUUAGCAUGGUUUUGACUUGUGCUUUCAAAACAUGAAAUUUCCUAUACUAUUUGCAUGCUUGGGUGGUCUGAAUUAUGUUAUAAUGAAAAAAUCAUGCAUGGUACAAUAUGGCUCAGAAAUAGGACUUGCAAGUCUUGGUGUGACGACACCAACUCAGUUAAAGCCAUAGUAAUUCAUAACAGAAAGUACGUGUUGAAAAACUCUAUGCUAUAAAUAGGCUUAAAGAGAGUUAGAUGGUUACCCAAAGAAAGUACGUGUUGAAAAACUCUAUGCUAUAAACAAUGAUUUUCCCACACGGGAUUAUGGUACCAUGCUUUCUGAUCUUGUGUACCUUGAUUCAUGUCGUCCCAAAUUGGGCCUAUGGUUAGGAGCCCUACUUUGUGAUCUUGUGCACUACCAUGACAUGUUGAUUUGAUCGGGGAUUUUUGCACCUUGCUGUGUGAUCUUGCUUGUUCCCCUUAUAGAUACUCCAAUCCUUGCGGAAAACUUAGUUGGGGCUUGCCGCUGAGUCAAGGGCGGAUUUCAUAUAGCCCGUGGAAUUACAGAUUGUAGGGUGUACCAUUUAGCUCAGAAGUAAGACAAACAGUGAGUCAUGGUUUCAAAGAAAUGUUUCAAUGUCUUUAAAAUGUGCCCAUGUGUUUUCAUAUAUUAUGUGUAAAAUGUUUUAUGAAUUGCUCUCACUUAUCUAAUAUAUAAAUACAUUAUUUUGGAUUGCUCUGCAUACAAGUACAUCUAUAUUGAACCCCACCCCCCCACCUUCCAGGUUCUGAGGCUCAAUCUAGGUGUCCCGAUAAGCAGUAGGUUUUCUCCAGACAGAAGUGCAGAGUUCCAUGGUGAUUCAUUUAUCAUUAUUAUGUUUUGGUCUACUGAGGGACUUGUUCCAAUUUUCAGACAGUUGGGUUUAUGCAUGUAGUAGAGAUUUCGCAGACUGAGUCAGAUAUAACUCAGGUGUUUUGAAUUGCAGUUUUCAUUAAGAUUUGAAUUUAGAUUUAAUGACCAUGAUUCCGUUUCAUUAUGUAUUUACGCAUUGUUUUUUUCAUAUGAGGACAGUGUAUGUGAUUACAAGUUAGAAGGGCGUUUGGGCCUUCAUGGUUCGGAAUGCUCAUCACGGCUAGGGCCCCGUUUUGGAUCGUGACAUUUAUGAUGGGGAGAUCUAAGAGAAAUACCGUGUUGAUUUCUUUUGGAAUGGAUAGGAGCAAGAAGACUCUAAGAAUCAUCAAUGGCAUGACACUUCUAACACUAAAUCAAGAAAUAAAAAUGAAGAUAAUGAUGCCUCUCUACUACCUGACACAAAAGCUUUAGACUGCACAGCCAAGCUAGCACAUUAGACCCAAGUGGGGCGAAGAAUUUUGUAUUGUAUGUAUUGCUGAAUUUACUCUUAUUUUGAGCUUAGAUGUUUGUAUGGUUAGUUAAAUAGAAAUAAUUGUUUUCUAUUCAAAAGUAUUUUGUCUAAAAAACACUUAAAAUAAGUCAAUCCAAAUAGGUCCUCGGAAUCUUUCUAUAAGUUCAUUUAAAAUUAGCAUUCCUCUAUGAAAAAAUAGCAUUCAAUUGCUUCCCUUAUCAGAUAGGUCAACAAUUUACUCCCUUGUAGCUCUUUUUUGCUACUGAUUCUCAAGUCUAAAACAUGAAUAUCAAAUUCUGAAUUACUACUAAGAUUGGAGUUCAAUCACCGAGAAAAGCGAAGCGCUCAACAAGUUUUGCGCCUUAUUUCAGGGGUUAAUAGUACCUUUGACAACACGUCUUGAAUCAAUUUUGGUUACAAGAUGAGCAUGCACCUACAUAUAGAUUGUUCCAUAUUAGACAGUACUUUAUUUAUUUUUGGAAGUGAUUAAAGUAAUAGCUUCUUUAAUAAUCUUUCUUGAAUUUGUCUAUUAAGUUGUAUUUGUAAAAAUGAUUACCAUCAUGUGACAAAGCAUUGUGUGCCUCAAGACUUGAGCAACCUAUAGCAUAUUUAUACCUAAACCAAGAGUUUUUGUUACUCUUUUAUUAUGGUGUUGAAAACUGAAAUUAAAAGAUGACAAGGGUAAAAUAUUUUGAGCCAGAUUAGUUCAUGGCAUUUUACCUAAAAUACUUCUGGCAGAGAAUACUUUAAGUGCCUUUAUAUUCAAAUCUUUACAUCGGAUACUUCCUGGAAUUGUUACUAUAUCUUUAUAUACACUUGUAUUAUUUUUCAUAUCUCACUUCAGUUCUUACGGGAAACAAUGACAAGGAAACUCAAAGAUGUGAUGAGGCAUUCUCACAAGUGAAAAGGCACAAAAAUGUCACAUCUUUGGAAUAAAAAAAAUAUGAUGGGUACAUAGUUGUUAUAUUGGGUGUUAGAAUAAAGAAGAUUGUGGGGUGGUAGUGAUGACUAUGAAAAAAAAGUUUUCCGUCUUUGACUUUCUACCACCUGAAUGUGAAACUUUUUCUGUGCAGACUUCUGAAGUUUGUGUUUCUAGGUCUGAUGAUUCUAUUUUGAGAAAGGAAAGGCUCAAAUAUGCCACUGAACUAUCAGAAAUAGCUCAUUUAUGCCAUCAGUUAAAAGUUGAGCUCAUUCAUGCCAUCGCCAUUACAAAACCAGUUCAUCCAUGCCAUUACUUUUUAAUAGUAGUUUUCAAAAAUAACUUUGUCACGUGGCCUUUUAUUAGAUGUCCACGUCAUUAAUUAAAAUAAGAAAAAUGGCUCAAAUAUACCAUUGAACUAUCAGAAAUGACUCAUUUAUGCCAUCAGUUAAAAGUUCGGUUCAUUCAUGCCAUCACCGUUAUAAAAUCAACUCACUCAUGCCAUUACUUUUUAAUGAUUGGUUUUUAAAAUAGCUUUGCCAUGUGGUAUUUUAUUAGAAGUUCAUGCCAUAUUAAUUAAAAGAAAUCAAUAUUAAUUUUAAAAUAUCUGAAAUUAGUUAGUAUUGGGAUUAUUUAUUCCUGCAUUUAUACCAUAAUGAUGGGAGAAGUUAUCCCAUAUACAUGAAGGGAUAAUUGGAAUAGCAAACUUCUUUUAAGAGGUUAUUUGAAAAUAAUUUUUUAAUAAUGUAUGCUCCAAUAAUUCGUGAUGGGAGAAGUAUUCCACAUGCUUGGCGGGAUAAUUGGGAUAAUAGACUUCUUUUAAGUCAUUAUUUGAAAAUGACUUUUUCAAUAAUGUAUACUCCCCUAAUUCGUGAUGGGAGAAUGGAGAAGUUCUAUUGGUACGCCUCUUUCUUUUUCUUGCUUGCCCUAAUCGUUCAUUGAUUUAUUUUCUUGCAACUUCGGAGUAUAUAUUGGAGUCAGUGGAAUGAAAACUAAUCAGUUACUGUAAGAUAGAAUUUUUGAGGUUACUGUUAAGCGUAUCAUUUAUAAUGAUUUAGAAUCAACUUGAAAUAGCCAAAGGAUAUACAUUAAUCACUAUUUUUUCUGAUUGAAAAAAUAGUUGUUGUUGUAAAAAAAAAAUAUUUUAAUGGGUGUGGGUCGGGUUAUGUUAAAUGAUUUGGUUGUUUUUAAUGGGUCUAAGAUAUUUUAAAAUUAAUAUUGAUUUAUUUUAAUUAAUGUUGCGGAAAUAAAAGGUCACAUGACCAAACUGUUUUUGAAAACCCACCAUUAAAAAGUAAUGACCUGGGUGAUCUGAUUUUAUAAAGACGAUGGCAUGAAUGAGCUGAACUUUUAACUGAUGGCAUAAAUGAGCCAUUUAAGAUAGUUUAAUGACAUAUUUGAGCAUUUUUCCUUAUUUUAAUUGAUGACGUGGACCUUUAAUAAAAGGCUACCUUUAAUAAAAGGUCACGCGGCAAAGCUAUUUUUGAAAACCACCGUUAAAAAUUAAUGGCAUGGAUGAGCCGAUUUUGUAACUGCGAUGGCAUGAAUGAGCCAAACUUUUAACUGAUGGCAUAAAUGGGUCAUUUCUAAUAGUUCAAUGGCAUAUUUGAGCUUUUUCCCUUUUGAGAAUAAUAUGGUAUGCUACCCUGUCAGAUGUUUCUAAAUUAUCGGCCAAAGGUACAAUAGAAAGCACUGAUAGAGUUGAAAAGUUUUCUUAUUGAUGUCUUACUAAGAAAUUUUUUUACAACUUUGUCUUCUGAGAAUGUAGUAAACCAAAAAAUUCAGGUAAAUGCAAAUGCUGGUUUUCCAAGUGCUAUCAGUUCAAGGAGUUAAAAUUUUUUCCCUCAUUUCACCAAGUAAAAUUUUAUUCUUCAGUCAUUAAGUUAUUUUUCCCGUCGAUUUAUAGAUUAAUUUUCCUCAGAGUAAAGAUUUUAACCUCUUUUGAACACUACAAUUGCUUUGUCAGGUUACAAUAAGCUAAGCGGAUGAUAAGAUACAUGUUAAAUCUCCCUUUUUAUACCCUUUCUCAAUAAAUAAAUAAAAAUAAAUUUCAACAUGGAACAUAUUUUACAAAAAUAUUUCUCAUUAUUCCAAACCCGAAAUAUAGCUAACACAAACAAUUCACGUUUUGCUCAUCUAAGUGGCUGUGGAUUGUGUUUCGUUUUGUCAGUUUCCGAAUAUUGGUGAAGGACAGUGUUGAAAGUGUUUCUCAUCCCUUCUUGCAACCAACUUAGAAAAGCCACAUAGAUGUUGGCGCUCAAAAAAGGCUGGUGUUGAAAAUAAAUUUUGAAGAAAAUGUAUUCAAUUUUUUUGCGGUUCAACUUCUUUCAUGUUAUCAAGAUGCUAUUUUGGUGUAAUUUUUUAAUCUGUUAGCGUUAUAUUCAAGAUGAUCAAAAUUCAAAAGGCAACAUUUUACAAUUAUCUCUCUGCUCUUUUACUUCCUUUUUUUUGUGAGAUAAUCCGCGCAUCGCGCGGGUACAUAUACUAGUAUUUACUAAUAAAAUACUUCCCCUAAUGUGAAAUUCAGACGCGAUUCUCUGGGCUUUAAAAUUUUUUUAUGGGUUGAAUAGACCAUCAAUGUUUGGAUCAUAUCAACACUAAUACCACCAAAUCAACCAAGUCUUUUACAUCCCAAUCAGAGUUGUAAAUAUGGUGGCAAAAAUUCCUCUAAUCAGCCAAAGACUUGGCAUGUCAACCCAGUCUUGCUUUCAUAUAGUGUAGAGUUGUGUGGCGAAAAGUGGUGCCACACUUACUAACUUAUACUAUAGUGUCUUAUUUAGAAUUUAGGAAUUAAACCAACUCACUGGCGUAACUGGUAAAGGUUCUUCCAUGUGAUCAGGAGGUUGCGGGUUUGAGCCAUGGAAACAAAUCUCUUAAAGAUAUGCAGGGUAUGGCUAUGUAUGAUAGAACCUUAUGGUCCAGCCCUUUCCUAGACCCCAUGCAUAGCGGGAAAUUUUUGCACCAGGCUUCCCUUUUAUUGGCUUCAACAACAAUUACUUUCCUCAUGAAUCUAUUAUAUUGAGCUUACGCCCUUUGUACAGUCAAACAGUGAGAUUUAUUGCAACCAUCUAGAAUACCUGAAAGCAAUUAAUUUGAAUAAUAUUAAGAGGAACUAACACCUUGCAAACAAUAAUACUAAGAGGAAACAGUGAGAGUUAUUGCAACCAUCUAGCAUUUCUGAAAACAGAAUCAUACACAAAUCAAGUGCUAAAACAAAACAAAACAACAGAUUCCUAAAAAAUGCUCAACAUGCAAGAAGUUGAAUCUUGAUCUUCUGCAGCAUCCCUACAACAUCUUUCAUGUUUGUCCUUCUUGCCGGAGAUUCAACACAACAAUCUAAUGCAACUUUCAUGAUUGAAGCCACAACAUCUAGCUCCUUCUGUAAGUGAUUAGCCGUCGGUGUUACCAAGUUGACAUCUAUGACGUCCAUUACUGCCCUGGGAGUGAAUAACUCACCCAUUGCUUCAAGCUAAGAUCUCCCUCAAAUUCAUUAGGCUUUCUCAUAGUAAAUGUUUCCAGCAACAUGACCCCAUAACUAUAGACGCCAAACUUUGUUGACACUAGUCCAUCCAGUCCAUACUCUACAGUCAAACAAUUCAUUUAAAGAUGCAAUAUGCUUUCUAGAUGGGAAAAAAAGAAACGGACAAUCAGCAAAACUAAGAGACGUACCUGGCGCUAUAUACCCCAAUGUUGCUAAGGUUUUAGUUUACAAAUCACCCUGAUCUUCACCAAGCAGUUUUGAAAUGCCGAAGUCGCUGAGGUGGGCAACCAUAUCCUCAUCCAGCAAGACAUUACUAGGCUUUAGAUCACAGUGAAUCACAACCAACGAACACCCAUGAUGGAGAUAUUCCAAUGCACAUGCCACAUCUAUCAUUAUGCUUAGUCUCUGCCUGAUGUCGAGGAAGUAGUUGUGUGUAUACAAAUACUUCUCAAGACUUCCAUUUGGCAUAUACUCCAGCACUAAAGCCUUAAAAUCAAGGUUGGAACAACUAGUAAGGACUUUUACGAGAUUCCUAUGGCGAAGGCUCGCAGAACUUCACAUUCCAUAUAAAAGCUCUUGAAUGCCGCAUCUAGUUGCAGAUUGAACACUUUAACUGCAAUAGCAGUUCCACUUCUGAGAACACAUUUGUAAACAGAGCUGAAACUUCCAGAACCAAUCAGAUUACACUCGCUAAGCGCAUCAGUUGCUUGGAGCAAUUCAUAGUAUGAAAUUCUUUCACUUGUUAUGGCAGACAAUGAAUCAGCUUGUUGAGAAGCUCUUUUACCUCUUCUAUACCUUAUCCAUAGGAGCACAAAGGUCAUAGGAACAAAUACAAGGGCAAGUCCCAGCAAAAGAAAUAGAACUAGCAAUUUUUUCCGAUUUGAUUUGUGCUUUGAUGAAGUGGGGCAUGGCUGGACACUAAAUCUUGAAGAACCACACAACACUUCAUUGUAGAUGAAAAACUAACUCGAGAGGUUCUUGAAAGGACCAGCUAAGGGUAUUUCACCGUACAAUUGGUUGUCAGAAACAUUGAAAUACUUGAGGUAUUGAAGUUUCACCAAAGACAUGGGAAUGAUUCCCGAUAUAUUAUUGUGGGAAAGGUCAAGGAAUUCCAAACCUACCAUGUUUCUCAUUGAGUCAGGUAUAGCUCCUUGCAACUAGUUGUGUCUCAAAGAAAGGUACGCCAAGUUUUGCAAGCCUCCAAUUUCUCUAGGAUUUUCAUUUGAGAAUUGAUUCAUCGACAGAUUCAUCUUUGUUACAGCCUUCAGAUUUCCAAUUUCUUUAGGUAAAGAACCUACCAUGUUGUUUGACAAUAAGUCAAGAACCACUAGAUCUUGAAGGUUCCCUAAGCUUGGUGGUGUAUUGGAACUCAAUUUAUUGGAACCAAGAUGUAUCUCCCUAAGGGAAGUAAUAUUCCCUAAACAAUUAGGAAGAGAUCCUGAAAGUUGAUUUUGACCGAAGUAAAUAUUACCCAAAUGCUGCAAUUUACAUAUAUGAUCUCCAAUAAAUCCUGUUAAUUUGUUAUUAGUCAAGUGGAAGAGCUGAAGCUUUGUCAAGUUGCCAAUUGUUGCGGGAAUCGAUCCAACCAAGUUGUUUCCAGAAAGUCUAAGGUCUAAUAAGCUGCUGACGUUCCCAACUUCAUCUGGAAUUCGCCCUUGGAUUUUACAACACAUGGCGAAAAAUGUUCUAAGAGAUGGGGAAAGGUUCCCUGUAGAGGCUGGAAGCAUGUCAUUUAGAGGGUUGAAAGAUAUAUCAAGAUAUGUUAAAUUUCUGCAAUUGGUUAAGGAAGUCAGAAAGCUUAACAAUGAUUCGCUGGUUAAAUUGUUUGCCACCAAGUUUAGGAUUUGUAGAUGAGUCAAACAUCCAAGAGAAUUGGGAAUCAAGCCAGGGAGUUUGUUGUUGGCAAGCUCAAGAAUAGUAAGUUUUGAACAAUUGGAGAUGGAAUGAGGAAUAGUCCCAACAAGAUUGGUUAAGGCACCCAGAAAAAGUCCUUCAAUGUUGGGUAAGAUAGAACCUAUGUUUGGUGGGAGGCGUCCUGAUAGAUUGUUGAGUGAAAGAUCAAUUAUUCUCAGCCCUGAUAUGUUGAAGAUCUCCAUAUCAAGCAAACCACUAAAACUAUUAAACGAAAGAUCAAGUUCAUCCAACUCAACGAGAUUUCUUAUCUCUUUGGGUAUUUCACCUGUCAACACAUGAAGAAAGAGUGAAUACAAGUGAGAUGAAGUAGUUAGCUCAGUGCUUAUCUAUGUGAUUCAUGCUUUAGUUUGACUUGAUAAGAAGACUCUUGAAUUGUAAUUGAUAAUGGGAUAAGGUGUCAACAAGAAUUCAGAAAAUUAUGUUCUAACUCUAUACUUCUUUUUCCUUCAUUUAUAUUGUUAUUGAUCAAAGUCUUAAGAAGGAUGUACAUACUAUAUUGUUUUUUCUCUGUUUUAUUUUAUUUUUUGUGCUUUUCUCUCUAUUGGACUUCUUAAUUUAAUUUUCUACGGAUUUCUGUUGUGCAGGUUUAUAUUUUUAUAUGGACUCAAAUAUAUAAAAUGAUACUUUAUUGGAAGUUUGCUAACUACUAAAAUUUACUGUUUAAACAUUAAAAGAUGCUCCACAUUUGGUGUUUCUUCUCACACUUUUGAAGAUUUAUUUGUAAUUGUUACAUUUAUUACUCAUUACAUGCAUAAAUUCAUAAAACUUUAAUAGUUCUAAUGGAUCUAUAAAAAUUAACAAGAGACACACAUGCAAUGCACGUGCAUGUACAUCGAGACACUAUUUGAAUAUAUAUGUACCGAUAAGCUUAUUUCCACUAAUCUGUAGAUGCUAAGAUUGUUCUGCCACAAUGACAAAAGUUGCAGCGAUGAGAUAUUGAAUAUGGAGAUCGGGACAGAGCCGGUAAUCUGGUUUUCCUCCAUGGCUAACUUAACCAAAUUAACAAGAUCUCCAAUUUCUUGUGGAAUUAUCCCCGCAAUUAAUGUGUAAUAAAAUAAAAUUCUAAAGUAAUAAGAUUCAAUAGUGCUAGUAUUCAUCAGAUGGAACGUACCAGUGAAAUGAUUAGUUCCGAGAUCUAAUAUCUGCAAGUUACUCAAUCUUCCAAUUUCACUAUGUAUUGGUCCAUCAAGCUCAUUAAAUGCUAAAACCAAUAGUUAAAGUUGAGAACAAUUUGACAAGCUUGUAGGCAUACGACCAUGAAGCUUGUUAUAAGACAGAUAAAGCCGUUUGAUUAUUGGGAUACCAUUGCAUAAGCCAUUGGGAAGAUGUCCUGAUAAGGUAUUGCCUGUAAAUGCAAUGACUUUGAUUCUAGAAAUUUUGAAAAUUGUGAAUGGUAUAGAACCUGUUAACUGAUUAUACUGUAUGGACAACCAGUUCAUGUUGUGAAGAUUGCCGAUCCCUUCUGGAAUGUUUCAUUGAAGUGAAUUAAAAGAUAUAUCUAAAGUAUCCAACCUCGAGGCAUUCGAGAGUGACGGAGGAAUAAAACCUAUGAGUUUGUUACCCCUCAACUUUAAUACUCUAAGGUUUAUAAGGCUUCCAAUUACUUUUGGUAUUUGGCCCUCUAUAUAAUUGAAUUCAGGUUCAAAGUCUCAAGUAUGGACAUAUUAGAAAAUGAAGAAGGGAUGGAACCAGUGAAACUAUUAUUCCUAAGACUUAGAAAUUGAAGUUGGUGUAAAAAUCCAAACCAAGAAGGAACCUUUCCUCUGAAGUUGUUGACACUUAACCUAAGAAACUUAAGCUGAUGCAAGCGUGCCAUUUCUUGAGGCAAAUUUCCAUGGAAAUUGUUGCUUCCCAAGUCAAGAGAAACGAGAAAUCUGAGGUUUCCAAAUUCACGGGGAAUCCUGCCUGCAAGAGCCAUGUUGGAAAUAUUCAACGACUUCACUCUCUGAUGACGAGAGCCACAAGUGACUCCAACCCAGUGGCAUACAAAAGUAGCGGGAGACCAACUUUCAUCCAAGAAGUGAAAAGGGUCUGAAAUGAUUUGGGAUUUCAAAGAGAGAAGAGUCAAUUGAUCAGUGGUAAUGUUGGUUUGGGUCCUGCCCGGACUAGCCAUAACAUAGUGAAGCAGCAAGAGGACUAUUAAGAGAAAAGAACUGAAGGCUUUCUCCAUUAAUGCAAAAAUUAGUAGGAAAAUGGUAUGGUUUAUGGCAUGUGGUUUUAAGACUUUAAAUAGCAAUGAAAUCUCCCUUUUUGGUCUUCAUGAUUUUUAAGAGGGAAUAGGCUCAAAUAUGUCAUUGAACUAUCAGAUUUCUCAUUUAUGUCAUCCGUUAAAAGUUUGGCUCAUUCAUGUCAUCGCCGUUACAAAAUCGGCUCAUCCAUGCCAUUAAUUUUUUCAUGGUGGUUUGCAAAAACAGCUUUGCCACGUGGCAUUUUAUUAAAGGUCCACGUCAUUAAUUAAAAUAGGAAAAAGGCUCAAAUAUGCCAUUAAACUAUCUGAAAUGACUCAUUUAUGCCAUCAGUUAAAAGUUCAGCCCAUUCAUGCCUUCGUCCUUAUAAAAUCAGCUCACCCAUGUCAUUACUUUUUAAUGGUGAGUUUUCAAAAAUAGUCUUGUCAUGUGGCCUUUUAUUAGAGGUCCACGACAUUAAUUAAAAUAAAGGAUAAACUACAUAAAUCUUAUACUUAAGAGACUAUAUUACCUAAUAUCCCUUAAUUUUUCAAAAUUUACAUAAAGUUCCAAUUUUCAACUUUACUCUUGAUACAUAUCAACAAAACCCCACAUUCUAUGUUUAUUCCACCAUCAACUCAUUCAAGCUAUUUUUUUUCCAAAGAUUUUCUUUCCUAAAAUAUCUCCCUAAUUAUCAACAAUUAAAUCAUCUUCCUUCCUGAUUUUCUCUCUUCCAUUAAUGCUUAAAUCACUUUCUUCCUAAUUUUUUCUCCUUCGUUAACUCAUGCAACUUUUAUUUUCCUCUCCUAAAAUCUCUCCAAUUUUUUUUACAAAAAUCUAUUGAUACAUAUAUAAAUUUUUUUAGUUAUUCAUACAUGUUUAUUUUUUUAAUGGUGAUUCAUAUAAAUGAUAAAUAUGAUAUCAUUAUAUGGGUAUUAUAGUGAUUCAUACGAUAGAUACAUUUUGUAUGAUUUUAACGGGUAUUACAUAUGAUUUUAAUGGGUGAUACAUGUUGGAUUAUGGUGAUUUAUAUGAUAUAUACAAUUAUUUAUUUCAAUUAUUGAGUGAUUCAAAUGAUAUUAAUGGAUGAUAUAUAUGGUAUUAUGGUGAUUUAUAUGGUAGAUACAAUUAUUUAUUUCAAUUAUUGGGUAAUUUAUAUAUAUGGUAUUAUGGUGGUUCAUAUGGUAGAUACAAUUAUUUAUUUCAAUUAUUGAGUGAUUCAAAUGAUAUUAAUGGAUGAUAUAUAUGGUAUUAUGGUGAUUUAUAUGGUAGAUACAAUUAUUUAUUUCAAUUAUUGAGUGAUUCAAAUGAUAUUAAUGGAUGAUAUAUAUGGUAUUAUGGUGAUUUAUAUGGUAGAUACAAUUAUUUAUUUCAAUUAUUGGGUGAUUCAUAUGUUAUUAAUUUAAAGGUAAUGGUGUAGUCAGUGUAGGAAACAGAAGUAAUAAUAUUUUAUUUUUAAAAAGACUAAAAGCAGAAUUAAAACAUAAUUAAAAUUUAAUAUGAAAAAAAAAAGACUAAAAUUAAAGACGAAAAAAAGACAAAAAAGACAAAAAAAAUAUAUCUUUCAUAAUUAAUGACGAAAAAAGAGAAACAUAAUUAAAACACCUAAAUUAAAUCUAAAAAGGGAGAAAAAUUAGAUAUCUUUCCUUAAAUAAAAGAAUACAAUGAAUAAAAGAGAAUCUAUUAUUUCCUUAAAUAAAUAUUUUUAUCAUUUUCAAAUAUGUUAAUUUUUUUAUAUGUAUCACCUAAUAACAUAUGUAUCACCAUUUUAAAAAUCGAGAUAAAAUUUAAUUAACAAAAUAGUCGAGAUUUUAUGCAAUAUCACUUAAAGAUUCAGGGAUUUAUGUAAGUAACCCCAAAAUAAAUUAAUAUUAAUUUCAAAAUAUCUUAGACCCAUUAAAAACAACUGAUUCAUUUAACAUAACAUGAUCCACACCCAUUAAAAUAUUUUUUUCAAGUAUUUUUUUCCUACAAUAACUAUUUUUCUGAUUAGAAGAAAUAGUAAUUAAUGUAUAUCCUUUGACUAUUUCUAGUUGAUUCUAAAUAAUUAUAUAUGUUACGCUUAAUAGAAACCUCAAAAAUUCUAUUCUACAAUAACGGAUUAGUUUUAAUUCCAAUGACUCCAAUAUAUACUCCGAAGUUGCAAGAAAAUAAACCAAUGAACGAUUAGGGCAAGCAAAAAAAAAAAGAGGCGUACCAAUAGAACUUCUCCAUUCUCCCAUCACAAAUUAGGGGAGUAUACAUUAUUGAAAAAAUCAUUUCUAAAUAAUGACCUAAAAAGGGUCUGUUAUCCCAAUUAUCGUGCCAUGCAUAUGGAAUAACUUCUCCCAUCACGAAUUAGUGGAGCAUACAUUAUUGAAAAAUUAUUUUCAAAUAACGGCUUAAAAGAAGUUUGCUAUUCCAAUCAUCCCGCCAUGUAUAUGGGAUAAAUUCUCCCAUCAUUAUGGUAUAAAUGCUAAAAUAAAUAAUCCCGAUACUAACUUAUUUUAGAUAUUUUGAAAUUACUAUUUAUUUAUUUUAAUUAAUGGCGUGGACUUCUAAUAAAAGAUUACGUGACAAAGCUAUUUUUAAAAACUCAUCAUUAAAAAGUAAUGGCAUGAGUAUAUUGGUUUUAUAACGGUGAUGAUAUGAAUGAGCCGAACUUUUAACUGAUGGCAUAAAUGAGUUAUUUCUUAUAGUUCAAUGGCAUAUAUGAGCCUUUUUGCUUAUUUUAAUUAAUGACGUGGACCUAUAAUAAAAGGCCACGUGAAAAAGUUAUUUUUGAAAAUCACCGUCAAAAGUAAUAGCAUGGAUGAGUUGAUUUUGUAACAGCGAUAGCGUGAAUGAGCUCAACUUUUAACUGAUGGCAUAAAUGAGUCAUUUCUGAUAGUUUAGUGGCAUAUUUGAUCCUUUUUCCUUUUAAAAAAAAUUCUUUUCUUCAUUAAUUUUGUCAUAUUCAACACGGCGUUAAAAUUUUCAUUUAGGAGUUUCAAAAUAAAAAGAAGUAAAUUCAGGAAAAAUUCAAAGAAUAUAAAUAAUAUAUAUAUAAUAAGAAAUUACUUUUACCUAGUUACGUAAUGUAUCCUUUCGACGAAUAUAUCACUCCACUAAUCAUAUCAAUUCUAAUUUCACCAAGUCUUUCACGUUUCAAUUAGAAUUGUAAAUAUGGUUCAUACAUUCCCCUAAUCAGACAAAGAGUUGUGCAAGUCAACCAAGUCUUGCUUUAUUUUCUUUAGAGUUGUGUGGGGCGAAAAUGGUAUGUCAUGUUCCUCCAAUAAGUUAAUUUUACUUACUUAUAUAUGGCAGACAAUGAAUCAGCUUGUUGAGGAGCUCUUUUUCCUCUUCUUUACCUUAUCCAUAGGAACACAAAGGUCAUAGGAACAAACAGUGGCGGAGCCAGAUAUUUUAUGAAGGGUGUGAAAAAAUUUAAAAAGCAACAACAACAACAACAAACCCAGUGUAUUCCCACAUAGUAAGGUCUGGGGAUGGUAAGAUGUACGCAGUCCAUACCUCUACCUCUAAAGAAGUAGAAGGCUGUUUCCGAUAGACCCCCGGAUCGAGACACAAAAUACUACACAAAUACAUAGUAAGGCAUGGAACAAAAUGGCAUAACACAAAUACGACACCCACAAGUAAUAGAAAACAGAGAAAAGCAAACAGAUUCGUAAUAAAACAUGAAGCAAGGUAUCAUAACAAGAAUAAUACCCCCACCAAGUAAUUCCCUACNNNNNNNNNNNNNNNNNNNNNNNNNNNNNNNNNNNNNNNNNNNNNNNNNNNNNNNNNNNNNNNNNNNNNNNNNNNNNNNNNNNNNNNNNNNNNNNNNNNNNNNNNNNNNNNNNNNNNNNNNNNNNNNNNNNNNNNNNNNNNNNNNNNNNNNNNNNNNNNNNNNNNNNNNNNNNNNNNNNNNNNNNNNNNNNNNNNNNNNNNNNNNNNNNNNNNNNNNNNNNNNNNNNNNNNNNNNNNNNNNNNNNNNNNNNNNNNNNNNNNNNNNNNNNNNNNNNNNNNNNNNNNNNNNNNNNNNNNNNNNNNNNNNNNNNNNNNNNNNNNNNNNNNNNNNNNNNNNNNNNNNNNNNNNNNNNNNNNNNNNNNNNNNNNNNNNNNNNNNNNNNNNNNNNNNNNNNNNNNNNNNNNNNNNNNNNNNNNNNNNNNNNNNNNNNNNNNNNNNNNNNNNNNNNNNNNNNNNNNNNNNNNNNNNNNNNNNNNNNNNNNNNNNNNNNNNNNNNNNNNNNNNNNNNNNNNNNNNNNNNNNNNNNNNNNNNNNNNNNNNNNNNNNNNNNNNNNNNNNNNNNNNNNNNNNNNNNNNNNNNNNNNNNNNNNNNNNNNNNNNNNNNNNNNNNNNNNNNNNNNNNNNNNNNNNNNNNNNNNNNNNNNNNNNNNNNNNNNNNNNNNNNNNNNNNNNNNNNNNNNNNNNNNNNNNNNNNNNNNNNNNNNNNNNNNNNNNNNNNNNNNNNNNNNNNNNNNNNNNNNNNNNNNNNNNNNNNNNNNNNNNNNNNNNNNNNNNNNNNNNNNNNNNNNNNNNNNNNNNNNNNNNNNNNNNNNNNNNNNNNNNNNNNNNNNNNNNNNNNNNNNNNNNNNNNNNNNNNNNNNNNNNNNNNNNNNNNNNNNNNNNNNNNNNNNNNNNNNNNNCUGAGUUUUAGCUCCAUCAUACAUGUCCUUAAUUGCUCUGAUAUAUGCCACCGGGACUCCACUCACCUCCAAGCAUCUCCAAAGCACCUCCUUGGGGACUUUGUCGUAUGCCUUCUCCAAGUCGAUAAACACCAUGUUCCUUUCCCUAUACUGUUCCGCCAGCCUCUGUACCAGGUGAAUUGCCUCCGUCGUCGAUCGUCCAGGCAUAAAUCCAAACUGGUUCUCCGAAAAAGACACUAUCCGUCUUAGCCUUACCUCGACCACUUUCUCCCAAAUCUUCAUAGAGUGACUCAAUAACUUAAUCCCCCUAUAAUUAUUGCAACUCCGAAUGUCACCCUUGUUCUUAUAAAGAGGGAUCAUAGUACUCCACCUCCAAGCCUCGGGCAUUUUUGCCGUCUUGAAAAUUUUGUUAAACAAUCCAGUCAACCACCUUAAACCAGCCUCACCAGAAAACUUCCAAAAAUCCACCGGUAUCUCAUCCAGCCCCGUCGCCCUAUCCCUUCACAUCCUGCGAACAGCUUCUCUAACCUCUUCUACCUUAAAACAUCUACAAUAACUAAAAUCCCAACACUCCUCAGAGUGCUCCAGGUCGCCUAACACAAUAGCUCUAUCCUCUUCGUCAUUCAAGAGCCUAUGAAAAUACGACUGCCAUCUAUUCUUAAUGUGGACAUCCUCCACCAACACUAUACCGUCCUCUCCCUUAAUGCACUUCACCUGGUCGAGGUCACGACCCUUCCUCUUCCUAGGCUUAGUGAGUCUAAACAACUUUUUUUCCCCUCCUUUCUCCUGUAACCCUGCAUACAAGCUCUCAAAAGCUGUCGUCUUAGCCGUCGUAACUGCUAACUUAGCCUCUUUCCUAGCUAACUUAUACUCUUUCCUAUUUACCCGCUUCUCUUCUUCGUCCUUACUCUCAACCAACUUAGCAUAUGCCCCUUUCUUGGUCUCCACUUUCUUCUUAACCUCUUCAUUCUACCAUCAAUCCCCCCGAUGAUGCCUGGCCCGGCCCCUAAAAAUACCCAAUACCUCACUUGCAUUCUCCCUGAUGCACCUAGCCACCCUAUCCCACUACUAUCCACGUCCCCCCUACACUCCCACACCUUCAUUCCUGCCAAUUUAUCCCCUAUCUCUCACGCAUUCACUGGAGUCAAGCCGCCCCACUUAAUUCUAGGUCUACACUUCUCACCCCUUCUCUUCCUAUCUUUCUUUAUACCCAAAUCCAUAACCAAGAGCCUAUGCUUGGUCGAAAGUUUCUCACUUAGGAUGACCUUACAGUACUUACACAAUACCCUAUCCCCUUUCCUAAGCAACAAAAAGUCAAUCUGGGUCUUGGCUAUCGCGCUUCAGAAGGUGAUCAGGUGAUCGUCCUUCUUCGGGAAGUCCGAGUUCACCACCACCAGGCCAAAGGACCUCGUAAAAUCCAAUAGAGUAGUCUCCUCUUCAUUUCUUUCCCCAAAACCAAAACCACCAUGCACAUCACCAAAGCCUCCUGGUAACGCCCUGAUGUGCCCAUUGAAAUCUCCUGCUACAACAAUCUUCUCCGAGCUAAGCAUGCCUCUCACCACCUCAUCCAAAGCCUCCCAAAACCGCAUCCUCUCUUCCCUCUCCAAGCCUACUUGCGGCUCAUAAGCACUACACACGUUCAGGGUAAACCCCCCAAUGACCAACUUAAUAGUCAUCAACCUAUCGUUGAUCCUCUUUACCUCUACUACCUAACCUCUAAGCUCUUCAUCUACUAAGAUGCCAACUCUAUUCCUACGUCUCUCGCUCCCAGAGUACCAAAGCUUGUAGCCAUCCACAUCCCUAGCCUUAAACCCUACCCACUUGGUCUCUUGAACACACGCAAUAUUAAUCCUCCUCUUUCUAAGAAUCUUCACAAGCUCUAUGGACUUACCCUGAAGAGUCCCUAUAUUCCAAGACCCAACCCUUAGCCUACCAUCACUAUCCACACGUCUUUCUCUACCACCCCUAAGGCCAAACCUUGGCCUCUCUCCCACUACUAUAGAAAAUAUAAGAAAAUAUAAACAAUGGUAGUAACAAAGCAGCAGCAGGAAAUACAAGGUUCACACAAAUUAGAAAAAAUAAUCAAGAAACAAAACUAAACUCAAAUAAGGAGAAAACCCUAAUGGACUCAACACCCAAAAAACCAAAAACAAAGCCCCAAGCCGACAACCCAAUGGACAAAACAACCUUAUGAAAACAGAAAAAAAGGCACGCACACAGAAACUACCCGUCCUAGCAGCUAGGACACACACCACAACAAUUUCCAAUAAGCACCGCAGCCAGUCCACAAUGUACUCACAGGAAGACGGAACUAAGAACAGGCAGAGACAGUAAACAAGCUACAAGAAAUAGAUAGUAGACAAACAAGAAACCAGAAACAAAACAAAAAUAAGGACAAACAAGAUGGAAACAAGCAACAAACUAAACGACAAAAUGAAUAAAAAAGUUCAACGAAACCAAAACUGAAAAGAAGUAGCUAAAUAUUAAAGCAAAGAUGUCACCGGUAUGCCUGUGUGCUACUGGUUAAGACAAUAUUGCUAUCGGAAUUAGCUGUCGGAGCGUCACCGAAAUUCUACCGGCGAGUCUGGUUCUCACCGGAAUCUGGUCGUCGGUGUCUUCGUACCCACUUACUUUGAUCGGUGCUACCCCCUUACACUUCGCCGCAGCUAAGGAGUCGAGCCGGAGGGAGCCCUAGUCCCGCCGACGAUAGCAGUGAUGGGGAGAGAAUGGGAAAGAGGGGAAGAGAAGGGGGGUAGGGAGAUCUGGGGAGAGUACCCUUACCUGUUUCCGGUGCGCCUACUCCGUCUCCGGUGUCGGCCGACCAGUGGUGGUCAGUGAACCAAGUCCAUCCGAAAAAGAAGAAGAUUCUCCCUUUUGUGUAGCGACGGGAAUGGGGAGAUCCGGGGAGAAAGAGAAGAGAGGGAGAAAGGUCCCUUACCUGUUGCCGGCGUAGCUACGACAUCAUCGGCGUCGACCGUUUGAGGUCAGUGGACGUUAGGGAUGAGAGAGAGAGAAGAGCGUAUGACAGAGAGCAAAAAAAAAAUAAAUUAAAAAGCAGCUAACAAAAAAUUUUAAUGAGCGAAUUCACAUCCAACUUGCUCAAUCUGACAACUUUAUCAUAAAUAACGUCAAUAAUUUGUUUUCCACCAAAUACAAAUUGUCUAAAUUUUUCUUCAGUUUGGAUUGCUUUCUAGUUAUAAAAAAUACACGGUAAAUUGUAUAAACUAUAAUCAUAGUUCUAUGAUGGAUGGAUCGAGAUUUUUACUGAACACAUAUAACACAUUCAAGCCAAAAAAAAAAACACUAACUUGUUGAUUUUUAAUUAAAUUUAGAGUAAUUUUUUAUCUUUAAUUUUGCUACUUCUUAAUUAUAAUGGAUUUUAAAUUUAUUGUGUUUUGAUGGAGAAUAAUUGAAAAAAAUGAAAAAAAAAUAAAAUUCAAGUCAUGGUUAGUUUUCCAAUUCUAUAAAACUAUGAAAAAUUAACUCUUCAUUAAAUUUUUUUGGUUUCAAACCUCCUAAUAAUCUAUUAGGAGGAAUGGAAAAUAUUAUGUGUAAUUGGACAUAAUAUUUUCUUUUAAUUUAUUGGGUAGAAACUUGUUUGAAAUGUUAUUUUAUAUUUAAUACAAAUAAAUAUUCAAAUUAAAGUUUCAAUUAAAUUUAAUAAUUAUUAAUAAUUUUUUAUUCUACCUUGAUAUAUGUGAUACAUUUUUCCUUUUAACAUGUCUCAAGAAAAUGUUAUCCAAAAUUGGAACUCAUUUACCUUUAGGAUGAUUCUUUUAAUCUAAAUAAAAUGAUCUAUAAAUAUAUAAAUAAUUAAAUAGUACCCUAUAAACUGUUAAGGAGAAAUUAAUUUAUACACUUUGAUUUUGAUUGAGGGCCUCGUGUGGAUGCGGGGAGGAGACGGGAUGGGUAAAAUGAAAGAGUUUGAAGAAUGAAGAAUUAAUAGUAAUAAAAAAGAGAGCUAGUGGCUUCACUUGAGAAUUGAUCCUGUGAAGGGGGGGGGGCUGUAAAAAGAAAGAGUUUGAAGAAUGAAGAAUUAAUAGGAAUAAAAAAAAAAGAGCUAGUGGCUUCACUUGAGAAUUGAUCCUGCGACCUUGCAGCGCUUUUGCACAGUCUUAACCACUGAGCCAAAGGCUCUAAAAAUGACAAGAUUGUGCAACCGCAGCUACAUGUUCUUAUUUUAUAAAUUUUAAUCUACAUACGCGGUAUAAUUUUUUACGAAGGGUGUUCACUUGCACACCUUUGAAUAGCUGUAGCUUAAGAACAAAUACAAGUGCAAUUCCCAGCAAAAGAAAUAGAACUAGCAAUUUUUUCCUAUUUGAUUUGUGCUUUGAUGAAGUGGGGCAUGGCUGGACACUAAAUCUUGAAGAACCACACAAUGCUUCAUUGUAGAUGAAAAACUGGCUCGAGAGGCUCUUGAAAGGACCCCCGAGGGUAUUUCACCGUACAAUUGGCUGUCAGAAACAUUGAAAUACUUGAGGUAUUGAAGUUUCUCCAAAGACAUGAGAAUGAUUCCCGAUAUAUUAUUGUGGGAAAGGUCCAUGAAUUACAAACCUACCAUGUUGCUCAUUGAGUUAGGUAUAGCUCCUUGCAACUUGUUGUGUCUCAAAGAAAGGUACGCCAAAUUUUGCAAGCCUCCAAUUUCUCUAGGAAUUUCAUUUGAGAAUUGAUUCAUCGACAGAUCCAUCUCCAUUAGAGCCUUUAGAUUUUCAAUUUCUGUAGGUAAAGAACCUACCAUGUUGUUUGACAAUAAGUCAAGAACCACUAGAUCUUGAAGGUUCCCUAAGCUUGGAACUCAAUUUGAUGGAACCGAGAUCUAUCUCCCUAAGGGAAGUAAUAUUCCCUAGACAAUUAGGAGAAGAUCCUGAAAUUUGAUUUUGACCCAAGUAAAUGUCACCCAAAUGUUGCAAUUUACAUAUAUGAUCUCUAAUAAAUCCUGUAAAUUUGUUGCUACUCAAGUUGAGCAGAUGAAGGUAUCUCAAGUUGCCAAUUGAUGUUGGAAUCGAUCCGACCAAGUUAUUUCCAGAAAGAUCAAGGUCUAAUAAGUUGCUUAAGUUCCAACUUCAUUUGGAAUUCGCCCUUUGAUUUUGUAAUUGUUGUUAUAAGAUUUUCUAAGAGACCGGAAAGGUUCCCUGUGGAGGUCGGAACCAUGUCAUUAAGAGGGUUGAAACAUAUAUCAAGAAAUAUUAAAUUUAUGCAAUUGGUUAAGAAAGUCAGCAGUCACUGGUUAAAUUGUUUUCCUCUAAAGUUAGAUACUGUAGACGAGUCAAAUAUCCAAGUGAGUUGGGAAUCAAGCCAGUGAGUUUGUUGCCUGCAAGACCAAGAAUUGUAAAUUUUGAACAAUUGGAGAUGGAAUGAGGAAUAGUCCCAAAAAAAUUGGUUAAGCUGCCCAGAAUAAGUGUUUCAAUGUUGGGUUAGAUAGAACAUAUGUUAGACGGGACGCUUCCUGAUAGAUUGUUGAAUGAAAGAUCAAUUUCUCUCAGCCUGGAUAUGUUGAAGAUCUCCAUAUCAUGUGAACCACUGAAUUUAUUAUUCGGAAAAUUAAGUAUCUCCAACUCAAUGAGAUUGCUUAUCUCUUUGGGUAUUUCGCCUGAAAACACAUAUAGUGGAUUACUAGUUAGUUGGUUCAAUCUAGUAAACCUAUUUUUGCUAAGAUAUAAGAAUUGUGUCUUGUUUAAGUUCUCAGUCUCUCGUGGUAAGAAUCCACUAAGAUCUUAACUUUUAUGUUGUUGGUUAUACGAAAGUUUUAAAAGAAAAAAGCCAAAAAAUACGUAUAGAAGAUAAAUAUAUUUGAACAGAGCCAUCAAUCUGGCUUCUCUCCAUGCCUAAGAACACCAAACUUCGAUACCUCAAUUAAUUCAAUAACUGAAAUUACCCCUGCAGUUACUGUGUAAUAAAAUAAAAUUCUGGAUCAAUUACAUACAAGCAUUCAUAAGAUAAUUCAUACUAGUAAAAUGGUUAGAUUCGAGAGCCAAGGCCUGCAAGUUACUCAAUCUUCCAAUUUCACUAUGUAUUGGUCCAUCAAGCUCAUUAAAUGCUAUAACCAAUAGUUGAAGUUGAGAACAAUUUGACAAGCUUGUAGGCAUACGACCAUGAAGCUUGUUAUAAGACAGAUAAAGCCGUUUGAUUAUUGGGAUACCAUUGCAUAAGCCAUUGGGAAGAUGUCCUGAUAAGGUAUUGCCUGUAAAUGCAAUGACUUUGAUUCUAGAAAUUUUGAAAAUUGUGAAUGGUAUAGAACCCUUAAGUUGAUUAUAUUGUAUGACCAACCAGUUCAUUUUGUGAAGAUUUCCGAUCCCUUCUGGGAUGUUUCCUUGGAUUGAAUUAUAAGAUAUAUCUAAAGUCACCAACCUUGAGGCAUUCGAGAGAGACAGAGGAAUAGAGCCUAUGAGAUUGUUACCCCUCAAGUUUAAUUCUCUAAGGUUUAUAAGACUUCCAAUCACUUUUGGUAUUUGACCCUCUAUGGAAUUGAAUUUAAGAUUUAAAAUCUCAAGUUUGGAAAUAUUAGUAAAUGAAGAAGGGAUGGAACCAGUGAAACUAUUAUUCCUAAGAUUUAGAACUUGAAGUUGGUGUAAAAACCCAAACCAAGAAGGAACCUCCCCUCUGAAAUUGUUGAAACAUAGAUCAAGAAACUUAGCCGAUGCAAGCGGUCAUUUCUUAAGGCAAAUUUCUAUGGAAAAUAUUGCUUCCCAAGUCAAGAGAAAUGAGAAAAGAGAGGUUUCCAUAUUCACGGGGAAUCCUGCCUAUAAGAGCCAUGAUAGAUAGAUUCAAAGAAUUCACUCGUUGGUGACGAGAGCCACAAGCAACUCCAACCCAAUGAUAAACAGAAACAGCGAGAGACCAUUUUUCAUCCAAUAAGUGAGAGGGGUCGGAAAUGAUUUCAAAUUUUAAAUAAAGAAGAGCUAAUUGAUCAGUGGUAGUGUUGGUUUGGGUUAUAGCUGAACUAGUGUCACGACCCAAGUUGGGACCCUAGCCAUGACGAGCAUCCUGGACCAUAUAGGCCCGGACGCCCCUUCUAUUCGGUAUAUCAUGAACACUAUUCAUAACAAUAAGAAAAGAUUCCGGAACAUAAAAUAGACAGAAUCAUGGUGAUAAAUGUUAAUUCUGUUUUUAACAGUAGUGGGAGUAAAUAAGUAAACAUCUAGACAACAUCUGAUUCAGUCUGCGAAAUCUCUACUACGUAUAAAAUAAAUAAACUGUUUGAAACUGGGACAAGGCCCCAAGUGAACCAAUACCAAAGUAAAUAAAAAAUGUCUGGAUGAACUAGGCCUUCCGAAAUAUAGAAGGCUUACCAACUGCACACUUCACCUCUAUCUGAAUAAAUCUUUUGCUUAAUAGGACCUCUAGACUGAGCCUCAGACCCUGAAAUAUAGGGGGUCAAUACAAUUAUACUGGUACGUAGAACAAUCCAAUAUAAUGAAUUUUAUACAUAUGAAACAUAGGUCAGAGAAGGUCAUGAUAUAUGUUAUGCAUGCAUAGUUUUAAACACAUCGGCAAUUCUCAACUGAUCUCAAAACAAUCUGAUCAAUGCAGUUCUAUUCUUUGAAUUAUUUCUGAGCUAAGUGGUACACCCUACAUAUCUAAAAGGUUCCCAUAGGUAAUAUGGGAUCCUCCAUUAACUCGAUGGCUAAGGCCCCAACCCAAGUUUGUUGCAAGUGUUGAAGUAUCUGAAUCUGAUAUACCCUGGAGCACUAGGCCAGCAUAUAAUCCCUCUUGGGGAAAUAAUAACUCGUAUCAGCAAGACACAGUUUUAGGCAAUGAGUUCUCUGAACUCGCACCUUCUUCGAGUAACCACCUAACUCUCUUAGUGCCCAUUUUUAUUUAUCUGUUCUAAACAUGCCUCUUUCUGAAUUAAAAAUCUAAAUCUGAAAUGAAAUUUAUAUUCUAUUCUGAGUUUUUAUCAUGGCCUUAUCUAAUUUGGUAUCGUCAUACCAAGACUUGAAAGUCAUGUUUCUGAGCCAUAAUUAUCAUAUUAAAUCCCUUCUUUCAAAACAUAAAGCUUGGACCACCAUACUUCAAACAAUUGUUCAAAAGAUUACUACUUCAAACAUUUAUCAAAUCAUUCUAUACAAUAUUUCAACAAUUAUGUGGUGGCCAUGAAACUUUUAGCAAAACAUAAAAUCUUCUUAAUAAACUUCUUUAACCUUUAACACAAAGUAAGACACCCCCUCUUUAAUUUAAAACCAUAAUCAAGUCAUUUAUAUCAUACUUCCAAUAAUACAUUUCGAAUAAAUCAUAACUUACGGAAAUAAGAGAGGGAUUUCAUGCUCUCAAUUCAUCGUUCAAACUCAUCAAAAUUUCAUGCUCUCAAUUCAUCAUUAAAACUCAUCAAACACUUACAUAUAUAUAUAUAUAUACUUAUACAUGAUUGUAAAUCAAAGGGGAAAGGCCUCAAGACCAAAAUAAUAAAUCAUUAAUGAAUCCAUAUUGUAAAGUUGUAUACAUAAAUUCCAAAAGCCUUCACAAAUUCAUGAUCUCACAAUGUUAAAUGUUAUUGAAACAAUUUUCUUAUGCCCAUGUAAUUUUAGGCAAAACCCACGUAUCCUGGAUCACUUGAGAGAGAGGGUGGAAUCCGAAUUUCAAACCAGUUCUUAGAAUCCUUGACUUAAUGAUGAACUCUUGAUCUUAAGAGAAUGGACUAGGCUUUUGAUUUGAGAUGAUAACAGUAGUUUUUGAUGAUUUUUUCCCUAAACACUCUUUAAUUUCAUGUUCUGGCAGAGUUAUGAUGAAGGAGAAUGACUGAAUAUCCCUCUCCAAGGCCAGUUAUUUAAAAGAGUUCACGAACUGGGCACCGGCGUGCCAACCGAUGCGACGUGCCGAUAUCGCAUCGGUUCACUGCUUCAUCGAUGUGACCAUCGAUGCGGCGCAUCUACUUCGUGUUGAUUCACUAUUUCCAACGUCCAUAUAUACCUCUAAUGGUGUUCAAAAAACCCAAAACUUCCCUGACACAUCCCCUUUACUCCCUCGAACAUGAAACAACUUAAAAAUACAUACUUCAAGGUUUGAAAAAUCGAUUAAGAGAUCACACAAGUUAGGAGCUUAAAAUAUGACUAAGUACUUUUUGACACUUAGGAAAUUUUCAAGUUGCUAGCCUCUCAAACAUGCUACUAGGUGAGAUACCACGUAGAAGAUUUUUACGGGGUAUUACAUUAUCCCUCCUUGGGAUCAUUCAUCCCCGAAUGAUGAUGAGGACACAAGUAAGCACGAUUUAUGUUAGUGAAUAGGAGAUAAAAAGAAUAAGGCAAAGAUUGUACCUUUCGAUUUCAUCAUUCACCAGAUCAAAAAUAUUUGGGUAUCUUGCAUACAUAUAGUCUUCCGACUCCCAAAUAGCUUCCUCAGCUUUCUAAUUUUUCCACAAUAGCUUAACCAAAGUUAUUUUCUUGCUUCUCAACUUCCGUACUUAACGAUCCAGAAUAGAAACAGGUUCUUCUUCAUAUGCGAAAGAGUCUUUCACAUUGAUUUCCUCUAUGGUCAACACCAAGGAAUGGUCUAGAAUAUACUUUUUGAACAUAGACACAUGGAACACGGGAUGUACGGAGCCCAAACUCGCGGGCAAUUCUAAUUCAUAGGCAACUCCACCUAUUAUUCUCAAAAUCUGGUAUGGUCCUAUAUAACGAGGAAUAAGUUUCCCUUUCAUUCCAAAAUGCAUCAUAGGGGAGACUUUGAGAAAUACCCAAUCACCAACCUCAAAUUCUAACUCUCUUCUUCUAAUAUCGACAUAGGACUUCUGACGACUCUGAGCUAUCUUAAGUCAUUAUCUAAUAAUUUUCACCUUAUCCAUUGCCUGAUGCAUAAGAUCAGGCCCAAAAAACCAUAUUUCACCCACUUCAUACCAUCCGAUCAGUGAUUUACACCUUCUCCCAUAAAGAGCUUCAAAAGGAGCCAUCUUAAUACUGGCAUGGUAGCUAUUAUUAUAGGCGAAAUCUAUCAAUGGCAAAUGAUCUACCCAACUACAUUUGAAGUCAAUUGUAUAGGCUCUCAACAUAUCCUUUAGAGUCUGAAUGGUACGUUCAUCUUUUCCAUCAGUCUGAGGGUAGAAUGCAAUACUCAGGUUCACUUAGGUACCUAAACCCCUCUGAAAAGAUCCAAAAAUGUGAAGAAAAUUGUGUACCUCGAUCGGAUAUGAUGGACACAGGUGCCCCAUGAAAAGGAACUAUUUCCUUGAUUUACAACUUGGCAUAAUCAUCUCCCGAAUAGUUAGUCCUCACCGGCAGAAAGUGAGCUGACUUGGUCAACCGAUCCACAAUUACCCAAAUGGAGUCAUAUUUUUUUAGGACCUCGGAAGUCCCAUAAUGAAGUCUAUAUUGAUCAUCUCCCACUUCCACAUAGGCAAAGCCAUUUCUUGGGAAGUGCCACCUGGUCUCAAUUGUUCCACUUUAACUUGUUGGCAAUUCAAACACUUGGAAACAAAAUCAGCAACAUCAUGUUUUAUAUUAUUCCACCAAUAUAUAGCUUUAAGAUCAUGGAACAUUUUUGUAGAACCUGGGUGAACCACAUACCUCGAAGUGUGAGCCUCAUCGAGGAUCCUCUUAUGCAUCCCAUCCACAUUCGAUACAUACAACCUGCCUUGGUACCUCAAAAUCCCAUCACCACCAAUUUCAAAAGACAUCACCUUUUGUUUACCCACAUCUUUCUUAAUCUGCAUCAAGAUGGGAUCCCCGUCCUGCUUCUCUUUAACUUAUGGACACAGGGGAGAUUUAGCUAUUUCAUGCACCACCACUCCUCCAUCUUCGAAAUCCAAUAUUUGUACCCCUAGGUUUGCAAGCCAGUGAAUAUCCUUCACCAUCUCUCUUUUUCCUUCCUCAACAUGAGAAAGACUUCUUAUAGAUAGUCUGCUGAGGGCGUCGGCCACCACAUUUGCCUUUCCUGGAUUAUAGUGCAGACUCAUGUCAUAAUCCUUCAAUAGUUCCAACCAACGCCUUUGCCUGAGAUUUAAUUCUUUCUGUGAGAAAACAUAUUGUAAACUUUUGUGGUCAGUGAAAAUAUCAACAUAUACCCCAUACAAAUAAUACCGCCAGAUUUUCAGUGCAAACACUACAACCGCUAACUCCAAGUCAUGGGUGAGUAAUUUCGCUCGUGCACCUUUAACUGCCUAGAGGCAUAAGCUACCACCUUGCCAUGCUACAUAAGUACAUAUCCAAGUCCCACUCGGGAUGCAUCACAGUAUACAACAAAACCCUCUGUACCCUCCGAAAGAGUCAAAACAAAUGUGGUAGUCAACUUAUCUUUCAACUUCUCAAAACCAUUCUCACAAGAGUUAGUCCACACAAACUUCACUUUCGUCUGUGUCAACCUAGUAAGUGGAGCAGCUAUGGAAGAAAAACUCUCUAUGAAUCUUCUGUAAUACCCCGCCAAACCCAAGAAGCUCUGAAUAUCGGUUAGAGUCGUAGGUCUGGGCCAUUUCCUCAUUGCCUCUAUCUUUUGGGAUCAACAUUAGUUCCUUCACUAGACACAAUAUGUCCCAAGAAAGCAAUAACAUUAAGCCAGAAUUCACACUUGGAAAAUUUUGUAGACAAUCUAUGAUCUUUGAGGGUCUGAAGGAUGAUUCGAAGGUGAUUGGCAUGAUCCUCCUCACUCUUAGAAUAAAUCAAAAUAUCAUCAAUGAAGACUAUGACAAAUAGAUCUAGAAACUGAUGAAACACCCUAUUCAUUAGGUCCAUGAAAGUUGCAGGGGUGUUAGUCAAUUCAAAGGACAUGACUAGGAAUUCAUAAUGGCCAUAUCGGGUUUGGAAAGAUAUUUUGGGAAUAUCAACCUCCCUAACCUUCAACUGAUGAUACCUCGAAUGAAGGUCUAUUUUUGAAAAACACCUAGCACCCUGAAGUUGGUCAAAGAGAUCAUUAAUUCUAGGAAGGGGAUACUUGUUAUUAACAGUGACCUUAUUCAACUGGCGGUAGUCUAUACAUAUGCAGAGGAACUAUGUUUCUUGUACACGAAGAGUACGGGUGCUCCCCAGGAGGAAACACUAGGACGAAUAAAUCCUUUGUCAAGAAAAUCUAUUAGUUGUUCUUUCAACUUCUUCAGUUCUGUAGGAGCCAUUCUAUAGGGCAGAAUAGAAAUGGGACGGGUAUCUAGUAAUAAAUCAAUACCAAAAUCUAUCUCCCUAUUAGGUGGUAUGCAUAGAAGAUCAUUGGGAAAGACUUCUGGAAAUUCAUUAACCACAGGGACAGUUUGAAGAGAAGGACUUUUAAUAUUUGAAUUUUUAACCCGAAUAAGAUGAUACAAACAACCUUUGGAAAUGAGCUUACGAGCUCUAAGAUAAAAUAUGAACUUCCCUCUAGGUGCUAAAGAAUACCCCUCCCAUUCUAUCACCGAUUUAUUCAAAAAAGAAAAAGUAACCUUAUGGGUUCUACAGUCCAGUGUGGUAUAACAUGAAUGGAGCCAGUCUAUUCCUAAAAUAGCAUCAAAAUUAAUCAUAUCAAGAUCUAUGAGAUCAGCCGCGGUAUCACGACUACAAAAACUCACAACACAAUUUUUAUAUAUCCUCCUAGCCACAACAGAAUCACCUAUAGAAGUGGAAAUAAAGAAAGGUUCUACAAUGACUUUGGGCUCAAACCCAAAACCGAUUGCCACAUAAGGGGUCACAUAAGACAAAGUAGACUCGGGAUCAAGUAACACAUACACAUCAUGGGAGAAGUUUUUUAACGUACCUGUGAGUACAUCAAGUAAGGCCUCUGCCUCCUGGUGAUUUAAUAAAGCGUACAACAUAUUACGAUUGCCCCCAGUAGCUGAAGUAGCGCCCUUGGGAGGUGUUGGUGGUGCGGAGAAGUUUUCUUAGGACUUGUCACCUCCAACACUUCCUCUAACAGAUAGGCAGUCCCUAUGAAUAUUACCUGUCUAGCCACACACAUAACACACUAACCUGCAAAACUGGCACCUUCCUAGAUAACACUUACCACACGUAUCACAUCGGGGGUAUGACCUAGCAGGUUGCACCACACUUUCUUGCGAUCGGGUGCCUUGUACUCUUGGUCCAUGUCUAGACUGGAAAAUUUGAAAAUAUCGAUCGACUAGAGGCCUGGGCGUGGGUGUGCUGACUGCAGGCUUAACAUUACUCUAGAACUUUUUCUUUGACCACCUGUUACCCCAAUUACCAUAUUGGUGCUGACUAUGGUUCGAGUCUGUUGGGCUGCUAGUAUGGCCCUCUUGGCCUUUCUAUCUUUCUCCCUUGCUUCAGCAACCCUUUUUUUCUGUUCCUCAACCUUCUGCAUGUGAAUUACCAAUCUGGAAAAGUCUAUAUCUCUGUUCAACAUUGCCCCUUUGCACUCCAACACCAAGUCAUUCAAAAGACCGGAUGCAAACUUUCUUAUACGGGUCCUCAUACUUCCCACCAAUUCUAGAGCAUAAUGGGAUAGUUUAUUGAAUUUUAGUGUAUACUCCUUGACGCUUAUCUUCCCCUGUAACAAAUUCAUGAACUCUUCCGCCUUAGACUCUCUCAACUCCUGGGGAAAGAAUCGAUCUAGGAAAUCGUCCACAAAUUUUCCCCACACAUUGUACCACUGAUUUGCUACCUCCAUCAGUUGAUAAGCCUUUAAUUCAACUCUUUCCACUUCAUCCAUAUGGAUCACUCAAAAUAUUUUAUCUAUUUCAUCUACAAACUCUUGUGGAUCCUCCUCCACCUUUGUACCUAUAAACCUAGGCGGGUUCAACCUCAUAAACUGACCCACCCAUGUAUCCUCGGAUGCACCAGACACAUACCCAACAUCCUCUGACCAUCGGGUCUUUAAAGCCACCAAUUGUGCAAUCAUAUGCAUUGACUGUCUGAACUCAGCAUUAGAUAGCUCUCUGGGGAGGUUGGGUGUGGUUAAUCCCUGAACAGGGAGCCCUAGGUGCCCUGGGUGGGCUUUUUUGGAUAAGAGGGACUUCUAGAGAAGCAACAAAUUCAUGAGUGUGAACGUAUUAUGUUUUCUCAGACGUAUUAUGUUUUCUCAUCCCAUGGGUAGGACAGACAUCUUCAGUUUGGGUAUUUUAAUCAUUGGAGUGACGUGGAGGCAUGAUAACUUUUCUGAAAUACAAGAGACCACUGAUUAGGGAACAUUUUAGACUCUACAGCACAAACUAAAUCAUAAAGAAAGGAGAUAUUCCUAGACGUCUAGUAGCCUCCUGCUUAUAGAUGUGGCGCGCUACACGCCAAUAAAUAAGACUCUACCCGAUAUAAUUUUGCAGACACCCUGGGACUAUGAAUCGUGAUCUAAUACCAAGUUUGUCAUAACCCGAGUCAUGACUCUAGCCGUGACGAGCAUCCUGGACCAUAUAGUCCCGAACGCCCCUUCUAUUUGGUAUAUCAUGAACACCAUUCAUAACAAGAAGAAAAACUUGCGGAACAUAAAAUAGAUGGAAUCAUGGUCAUAAAUCUGAAUUCUGUUUUUAACAGUAGUGGGAGUAAAUAUGUCAACAUCUAGACAAUAUCUGAUUCACUCUACGAAAUCUCUACUACAUAUAAAAUAAAUAAACUGUCUAAAACUGGGACAAGGCCCUCAGUGGACCAAUACUAAAGUAAAUAACAAAUGUCUGGAAAGAAUUAGGUCUUCUGGAAUAUAGAAGGCUCCCCAACUGCAUACUUCACCUCUGUCUGAAUAAAUAUACGGCUUAGCAGGACCUCUAGACUAAGCCUCAGACCUUGAAAUAUAAGGGGUCAAUACAAUUAUACUGGUACGCAGAGAAUCCAAAAUAAUGAAUUUUAUACAUAUGAAACAUAGGUGAGAGCAGAUCAUAAAAUAUGUUAUGCAUGCAUAGCUUGAAACACAUGGGAAAUUCUCAACUGAUCUCAAAACAAUCUGAUCAAUGCAGUUUUAUUCUUUGAAUUACUUCUAAGUUAAGUGGUACACCCUACAUAUCUAAAAGUUUCCCAUAGGAAAUAUGGGAUCCGCCAUUAACUCGACGGCCAAGACCCCAACCCAAGUUUGCUGCAAGGGUUGAAGUAUCUGAAUCUGAUAUGCCCCAGGGCACUAGGCUAGCUUAUAAGCCCUCUUGGGGAAAUAAUAACCCGUAUCAGCAAAACACGAUUUUAGAUAAUGAGUUCUCUGAACUCGCGCCUUCUUAUGGUAACCACCUAACUCUCUUAGUGCCCAUUUUUAUUUAUCUAUUCUAAACAUGCCUCUUUCUGAAUUAAAAAUCUAAAAUCUGAUAUGAAAUCUGUAUUCUGUUCUGAGUUUUUAUCAUGGCCUUAUCUAAUUUGGUAUCAUCAUACCAAGACUUGCAAGUCAUGUUUUUGAGCCAUAAUUAUCAUAUUAAAUACCUUAUUUCAAAACAUAAAUCUUGGACCACCAUACUUCAAACAAUUGUUCAAAAGAUUCCUACUUCAAACAUUUAUCAAAUCAUGUAAAAAUCAUUCUUUACAACAUUUCAACAAUUAUGUGGUGGUCAUUAAACUUGUAGCAAAAUAUGAAAUCUUAUUAAUAAACUUCUUUAACCUUUAACACCAAGUAAGACAUCCCCUCUUUCAUUUAAAACCAUAAUCAAGUCAUUUAUAUCAUGCUUCCAAUAAUGCAUUUCAAAUAAAUCAUAACUUACGGAAACAAGAAAAAUUAGAAACAAGAGAGGGAUUUCAUUCUCUCAAUUCAUCAUUCAAACUCAUCAAACACUUACAUAUAUAUAUAUAUAUAUAUACUUAUACAUGAUUGUAGAUCAAAUUUAGGGGAAAGGCCUCAAGACCAAAAUAAUAAAUCAUUAAAGAAUCCAUAUUGUAAAGUUGUAUACAUAAAUUACAAAAUCCUUCACAAAUUCAUGAUCUCACAAUGUUAAAUAUUAUUGAAACAAUUUUCUUAUGCUCAUGUAGUUUUAGGAAAACCCCACAUAUCUUGGAUCACUUGACUUAAUGAUGAACUCUUGAUCUUAAGAGAAUGGACUAGGGUUUUGAUUUGAGAUGAUAAGAGUAGUUUUUGAUGAUUUUUUCCCUAAACACUUUAAUUUCAUGUUAUGGCAGAGUUAUGACAAAAAAGAAUGACUGGAUUGCCCUCCCCAAGGUCAGUUAUUUAAAAAAAUUCGCGAACUGGGUACCGGCGCACCAACUGACGUGACACAUCGAUAUUGCGCCAGUUCACUGCUUCAUAUAAUAAUAUCGGAUUAAGCCUAAGUCAGAAGACCGAACCAAAGCACCAACCAAAAUAGAAAAGAAUCUUAAGUAUUUUUAUGACUGUAUGGACUCUUUUACCCAAACAUGGGGCCUGUCAGAGAUUUAAUAAACUUAUGUUGAACCUGUGUGUCUAGAAGUUCUAAUUGUNNNNNNNNNNNNNNNNNNNNNNNNNNNNNNNNNNNNNNNNNNNNNNNNNNNNNNNNNNNNNNNNNNNNNNNNNNNNNNNNNNNNNNNNNNNNNNNNNNNNNNNNNNNNNNNNNNNNNNNNNNNNNNNNNNNNNNNNNNNNNNNNNNNNNNNNNNNNNNNNNNNNNNNNNNNNNNNNNNNNNNNNNNNNNNNNNNNNNNAGUAGCUUCUUCUUUAUUUAAUUCUUGAAUAUAUUACAAAGAGAGAGAGAGAGAGAGUUUGUGAAAAAUAAAGGAGAAUAUUUCUGAACUCUUGCCUCUUCUCAAGAAUGAGGCGCCUAUAAAUAUAAUAAAAAAGAGAAUCUUGCACAAUAAUAGAUGGGUCCCUGUGCACAGUGAUUUUACUAUUACAAAGAGGAAAUUAUUACAGUUAUAUCUUAUCCAUCAGUCAUGUGUUGUCUUUUCCUUUCCAUUUCUUGAUGAGUGCUUCAGCUUUUUCAAUUUCUUCUUCUUCUAUUAGAAUUUCGGAGGUUGUGAAUCAGUAAUAUCUUCAGUAUUUGUUUCGGUACUAUUCAUUGAUAUGUCUGAAUUUUGCUCAACAGUUUGAAGUAAUUUAUCUCUGACCUCUGAUAAAUAUUCUUCUAUCAUUUGCAUUUUAUUGCCGCCAUGUACAGAUAUUCUUCGGGAAACAUAGUUAAGACUCUUUUCUUCCACCAAAAUUGANNNNNNNNNNNNNNNNNNNNNNNNNNNNNNNNNNNNNNNNNNNNNNNNNNNNNNNNNNNNNNNNNNNNNNNNNNNNNNNNNNNNNNNNNNNNNNNNNNNNNNNNNNNNNNNNNNNNNNNNNNNNNNNNNNNNNNNNNNNNNNNNNNNNNNNNNNNNNNNNNNNNNNNNNNNNNNNNNNNNNNNNNNNNNNNNNNNNNNNNNNNNNNNNNNNNNNNNNNNNNNNNNNNNNNNNNNNNNNNNNNNNNNNNNNNNNNNNNNNNNNNNNNNNNNNNNNNNNNNNNNNNNNNNNNNNNNNNNNNNNNNNNNNNNNNNNNNNNNNNNNNNNNNNNNNNNNNNNNNNNNNNNNNNNNNNNNNNNNNNNNNNNNNNNNNNNNNNNNNNNNNNNNNNNNNNNNNNNNNNNNNNNNNNNNNNNNNNNNNNNNNNNNNNNNNNNNNNNNNNNNNNNNNNNNNNNNNNNNNNNNNNNNNNNNNNNNNNNNNNNNNNNNNNNNNNNNNNNNNNNNNNNNNNNNNNNNNNNNNNNNNNNNNNNNNNNNNNNNNNNNNNNNNNNNNNNNNNNNNNNNNNNNNNNNNNNNNNNNNNNNNNUAAUCCCAGUAAAUGAAAUUGGCAAGUGUUUGGCCCAUUGGUCCCAUUAGCAUAGAUCGUUGAGUCAUUGACAAAAUUCCCCAUUCUUCAAUAGGAAUAAGUUUUUUAAUUACCAUUUUAGAGUAUCCAUGAACUCCAGGGGUUGUUUCUCCGAGGGGGCUGUGAUCAAAGGUUGCACUGAAGGUUUCCACUAAUAUAUGUUCAUAAUAAGUUCGAGUUUUGUAUGAUUCGCCAGUAAAAUAUACGUUGGCAGUAAGGUAAUUUUUCAGUAGUCUCCAUGCUUCUUCAGAAUUUUCUUGUCCAGGAAUAUGCUAAUUUUCAAUAUAUAAUAUAAGUUCUCUAGCAUCCAAUUUUUCAUAUGAAGGCUUAUCUUCAGAAUUUUCUUGAACUAUGGACGCAAAAGAAUCUGCAGUUUUUUGUUGAUCUGAUAGAUAAGAUUGUAGUUGUUUGUAUAAUGGAUGAUUUUCAGGAAUGUCUUCUAAAUGUACAGAAGAACCAAUAUUCAGAGUUUUGGAUGAUGAAGAUUCAUCUCGAGGAAUUUUUGAAUUAAUUAAAGUUCUAUUUCCUUGCUGCAAUACAGGGAAAUUAGAACUUGCAGAGCAAUAUGCAGAAUUUCUUCAAUCAAAAUAUGAAGGGUUUGUUCAUCCUCCUUGAUAUGAAGAGUUUUGAUUUCUUCCACCUCGUCCUCUACCUUUGGCGAGUUGCCAAGGAGGAUCCAUACUGCAUUAAUAAUCAGGAAUUUGAUCAGCAUACCAUGACAUAUAUUCAGAGAGAUCUUCAUAAAGUGUGUCCUUUGUGAUAAGGUCCUCAAUGACUUUCCGUAGUAUGAGCAUGUGUAAAUCCAUAUUUAGAGGAACUGCUUUUAUAAAGGUGAUUAAGAACUUUGCAGAGAAGAAGUGUAGAAAGAACUUCAUUAUAUCUGUAAACAUUAAUCACUUAAGUCAAUAUCAAACCAAUAAAUUUCUUUUUCAAGGAAUUCGUCGUGGUUAACAAAAUUUUCUUCUUCUAUUAAGCUACGAAUUAGAGUUUCUAAGAUAAGAAAAUGAAUAUCUUCAUUUAAAGAAAUGCAUUUGAUAAUAGUUAUUAUAGUUUUCUCAGAGAGGAAGUAUGUAUAAAAAUUCAUGUUAGAUAUUCUCGAGAUAGAAAAUCAGGCAAAGAAUUUUCACUACCCUUUUUAUAUUGUAUUUCAUAAUCAAAAGGGGCUAAUUGAGCUUGCCACCGCGCAAAUAUUAAUUUAGAGGCAUCAUGUUUGAAGUCUUUAUUAAACAUAAAUUUGACGGAUUGAGCAUCAGUUCUAAUUAUAAAUUUUUGGUUAUACAAAUCAUCUUGGAAUUUUAAAACGCAUUUUACAAUAGUUAACAUUUCAUGGNNNNNNNNNNNNNNNNNNNNNNNNNNNNNNNNNNNNNNNNNNNNNNNNNNNNNNNNNNNNNNNNNNNNNNNNNNNNNNNNNNNNNNNNNNNNNNNNNNNNNNNNNNNNNNNNNNNNNNNNNNNNNNNNNNNNNNNNNNNNNNNNNNNNNNNNNNNNNNNNNNNNNNNNNNNNNNNNNNNNNNNNNNNNNNNNNNNNNNNNNNNNNNNNNNNNNNNNNNNNNNNNNNNNNNNNNNNNNNNNNNNNNNNNNNNNNNNNNNNNNNNNNNNNNNNNNNNNNNNNNNNNNNNNNNNNNNNNNNNNNNNNNNNNNNNNNNNNNNNNNNNNNNNNNNNNNNNNNNNNNNNNNNNNNNNNNNNNNNNNNNNNNNNNNNNNNNNNNNNNNNNNNNNNNNNNNNNNNNNNNNNNNNNNNNNNNNNNNNNNNNNNNNNNNNNNNNNNNNNNNNNNNNNNNNNNNNNNNNNNNNNNNNNNNNNNNNNNNNNNNNNNNNNNNNNNNNNNNNNNNNNNNNNNNNNNNNNNNNNNNNNNNNNNNNNNNNNNNNNNNNNNNNNNNNNNNNNNNNNNNNNNNNNNNNNNNNNNNNNNNNNNNNNNNNNNNNNNNNNNNNNNNNNNNNNNNNNNNNNNNNNNNNNNNNNNNNNNNNNNNNNNNNNNNNNNNNNNNNNNNNNNNNNNNNNNNNNNNNNNNNNNNNNNNNNNNNNNNNNNNNNNNNNNNNNNNNNNNNNNNNNNNNNNNNNNNNNNNNNNNNNNNNNNNNNNNNNNNNNNNNNNNNNNNNNNNNNNNNNNNNNNNNNNNNNNNNNNNNNNNNNNNNNNNNNNNNNNNNNNNNNNNNNNNNNNNNNNNNNNNNNNNNNNNNNNNNNNNNNNNNNNNNNNNNNNNNNNNNNNNNNNNNNNNNNNNNNNNNNNNNNNNNNNNNNNNNNNNNNNNNNNNNNNNNNNNNNNNNNNNNNNNNNNNNNNNNNNNNNNNNNNNNNNNNNNNNNNNNNNNNNNNNNNNNNNNNNNNNNNNNNNNNNNNNNNNNNNNNNNNNNNNNNNNNNNNNNNNNNNNNNNNNNNNNNNNNNNNNNNNNNNNNNNNNNNNNNNNNNNNNNNNNNNNNNNNNNNNNNNNNNNNNNNNNNNNNNNNNNNNNNNNNNNNNNNNNNNNNNNNNNNNNNNNNNNNNNNNNNNNNNNNNNNNNNNNNNNNNNNNNNNNNNNNNNNNNNNNNNNNNNNNNNNNNNNNNNNNNNNNNNNNNNNNNNNNNNNNNNNNNNNNNNNNNNNNNNNNNNNNNNNNNNNNNNNNNNNNNNNNNNNNNNNNNNNNNNNNNNNNNNNNNNNNNNNNNNNNNNNNNNNNNNNNNNNNNNNNNNNNNNNNNNNNNNNNNNNNNNNNNNNNNNNNNNNNNNNNNNNNNNNNNNNNNNNNNNNNNNNNNNNNNNNNNNNNNNNNNNNNNNNNNNNNNNNNNNNNNNNNNNNNNNNNNNNNNNNNNNNNNNNNNNNNNNNNNNNNNNNNNNNNNNNNNNNNNNNNNNNNNNNNNNNNNNNNNNNNNNNNNNNNNNNNNNNNNNNNNNNNNNNNNNNNNNNNNNNNNNNNNNNNNNNNNNNNNNNNNNNNNNNNNNNNNNNNNNNNNNNNNNNNNNNNNNNNNNNNNNNNNNNNNNNNNNNNNNNNNNNNNNNNNNNNNNNNNNNNNNNNNNNNNNNNNNNNNNNNNNNNNNNNNNNNNNNNNNNNNNNNNNNNNNNNNNNNNNNNNNNNNNNNNNNNNNNNNNNNNNNNNNNNNNNNNNNNNNNNNNNNNNNNNNNNNNNNNNNNNNNNNNNNNNNNNNNNNNNNNNNNNNNNNNNNNNNNNNNNNNNNNNNNNNNNNNNNNNNNNNNNNNNNNNNNNNNNNNNNNNNNNNNNNNNNNNNNNNNNNNNNNNNNNNNNNNNNNNNNNNNNNNNNNNNNNNNNNNNNNNNNNNNNNNNNNNNNNNNNNNNNNNNNNNNNNNNNNNNNNNNNNNNNNNNNNNNNNNNNNNNNNNNNNNNNNNNNNNNNNNNNNNNNNNNNNNNNNNNNNNNNNNNNNNNNNNNNNNNNNNNNNNNNNNNNNNNNNNNNNNNNNNNNNNNNNNNNNNNNAUUAGAGUUUCUAAGAUAAGAAAAUGAAUAUCUUCGUUUAGAGGAAUGCAUUUGAUAAUAGUUAUUAUAGUUUUCUCGAGAGGAAGUAUGUAUAAAAAUUCAUGUUAGAUAUUCUCGAGAUAGAAAAUCAGGCAAAGAAUUUUCACUACCCUUUUUAUAUUGUAUUUCAUAAUCAAAAGGGGUCAAUUGAGCUUGCCACUGCGCAAAUAUUAAUUUAGAGGCCUCAUGUUUGAAGUCUUUAUUAAACAUAAAUUUGACAGAUUGAGCAUCAGUUCUAAUUAUAAAUUUUUGGUUAUACAAAUCAUCUUGGAAUUUUAAAAUGCAUUUUACAAUAGUUAACAUUUCAUGGGCUAUCGUGGCGUAUUUUUUCUGACUUUCCAUCCAUUUACCAGAAUAAAAUCGAAUCAAACAUUCGGUCUUCGUAUGGGGAUUAACUUGUUUAAGUAUUCCGCCAUAUCCAAUAUUUGAAGCGUCAGUUUCAACGAUUUUUAACCAGUUAGGGUUUGUAAGAGAAGUACAAGGAAGGGUUUGAACUCGGUUUUUAAUUAAUUUUACUAAAUUAGUGUGUGCUGGAGUCCAAGGAGUUUUGUGAUCCUUUUUUAGUCCAUCAUAUAAAGGAGCUAAGUCUCUAGACAAAUUUUCAUAAAAAGGGGAAAUAUAGUUAAGACUACCGAGGAACCUUUGAAGCUGUUUUUUAUCAGUAAUAAUAUCAGGAAUUUUUUACCAAAUUCUAGAACUCGUUGUAUAGGUUCAAUAGAACCUUGAGAAAUAUUAUGUCCUAAAAAUCUAAUAUUUGUCUAAAAUAAACUUAGCUUUGGUUUAGCGAUGACUAAGCCGUUUUGAAUAAUUAUUUGUUUAAACGUAUGCAAAUGUUUAAAAUGAGACUCAAGGGUUUUUGAAAAUACUAAAAUAUCAUCAAUAUAGACAAUGAUAAAGUCCAUAUAGGGAUUAAAAAUGGCAUUACUAAUCUUUUGAAAUUCGGAAGGAGCAUUCUUUAAACCAAAUGGCAUGACAUUCCAUUCAUACUGUCCAAAAGGGACAUUGAAAGCAAUUCUAUAAGUAUGACUUUUAUCAAUUUGAAUUGGCCAAUAUCCAGAUUUUAAAUCAAAUUUAGAAAAUAUAUUAGCAUCAUAUAAUCUGGAAAGUAAGUCCCUUUUAUUCGGUAUAGGGUAUCGAAUCCAUUUUAAAACUUUAUUCAGAGGUUUAUAGUUUAUAACUAGUCGAGGUAUCCCUCGUUCCUUUUCAGCAGCAUUAUUGACAUAAAAAGCGGUACAAGACCAAGGAGAUUUUGAGGGUUUUAUAAGACCCUUUUGAAGAAGAUUAUCAAUUUCUGUUUUACAGAAUUCUACUAAUUCUGUAUUCAUUUGACAAGGUCGGGAUUUUGUAGGAAUCUUAUCUUCACUGAAGUCAUCUUCAUAAGGAAGAGAAACAAUAUGCUUCUUUCGAUUCCAGAAAGCAUUUGGAUGAUCCGCGCAAAUAUCCAGAAUCAAUUGAUUAGAAAUCAUUUUUAUUUUUUCUUGAACCUUUACUGAUUUUAAAGUAUCCAAGAUGUUAAUACUCAUUAAUUCUAAUUGUAAGAAAUUGAGCUGAUUUUGUUUCAUAUUGAUAAGGGCAUUAAUAUCUCUGGUUACUGGCUGAGUAACAAAAGGAUAAGAAAUUUGUUUAUCAUUGUACGUAGCCUUAAAACCAUUUGCAUCAAUAUGAGUAUAAGGAUAAAUAGCAUUUAUAAAAGGUGUUCCUAAAAUAAUAGGAGGAUAAAGCUGAUUUUUUACUAAAAAGAAAAAAUGUGGAAUGCAAACUUUGUCUCGGCAGAUAUGAGUAUUUGGUAAUUUAUAAUUAAUAUCAAGAGCAUGACCAGAUGCAGAUUUUAUUAUAUGAGUGGUUUUUUCAAAAACUAAAAAGAAGAAAUGAGGAAUGCACACUUUAUCUCGACAUAUAUGAGUAUUUGGUAAUUUAUAGUUGAUAUCAAGAGUAUGACCAGAUGCAGAUUUUACUAUGUGAGUAGUUUUUUCAAAAUGAGGCGCCUAUAAAUAAUAAAAAAGAGAAUUUUUAGAGCCUGGUUCUCAGGCAAGAAAAUAUACCAUAGUAAAAUAUAUUAAGAAAGGUGUCUUUAUACCAUCUAAAUUCUCCUAAGUGUUUGCAUUUUAAACCAUUAAGAAGAGUUCUAAUUUUUCAUACUGAUUGGUAAAUCUUCCUCUAAAAUGUUCAAUAAUUGUAAGCAUAAGGGUAUAGACAGCAUCUGAUCGUCCUGCCCGAAGUGGUCGUCCUAGAUUAUGCUUUCCAGGUUUAUCAUUGGUGGCAUUAAAAGUAGCCUCGCAUUUAUCAUCGUCUAGGAAAUUAUCCCACCAGCCUAAAAUUUGGCCAGUAAAUCCCGCAACAAUUAUUUUACAAAUUGUUAGGUCAGUAUGAUUGGCCUGAUUCUCUGCUGAAGCAGCGGCUGUGGCAAUAGUAGCAUACAUGGACAUUCGAUGGAUAAGAAUAGAGAUCUGUCGAUCUGAUAAUCCGUCAAUAUUCCAUUCAUAAAUAGCUUCUCCACUAUAAGAAGUAUUUGUUUGAUUCCAAUCUCUCUCCUCUAUCAGAACAUCUUGAGGAGUUGGACGUGGUUAAUAUGCAGUAGACAUACGAGGAAUAUCAGUGUAUUAUUUUCUCGGUUGUUUUUUAAUCAUACCUUUUAGCUUAUUUAACUCGGAAGAGAUUAUAUCUCCAGUAUUUUGAGUAGAUUCGAUAUUAUCAGCAAAAUUAGACUCGAGUUUUUGCACAAAAUCAUCAGAAUAUUAAGAGGUUGAAUGUUUAAACGAGAGAAAUUUUUAUCUAAGAGUUUUUCUAAUUGGUAUAAUUGAGAAACCUUUUCAAAUCCUUCUAUUUCAGGAGGUCUUUGCAUACAAGGUUUAGAUAAAAUAUAUCCUUCUUCUUCUUUGUUUUCGGAAGUAGAAGGAAUGUUACAGGAAUUCAUCUGCGGGCUAAGUUUAUUAACUAACUCAAUUAAUUCGUCCAGUUUUUUAAUCAAGAGAGGAAAUAUGUUCUCCUAAAACUUUAACAUAAAGACUCAAAUAAUUAUUUUGGGUGAUAAUGUUAUUUAUUUCAGAAACAGUAAUUUUUCCAACAUCUUCACUUACAAAUUUUUGAAAAGCAGAAAAAGUCAUUCCAGUAUUAUUGGGUAAUAUAAAGGAAGACUGAGGAGGAUAUAGUGCCUGAGUAAUUGUACCAUCAGAAUUUUGAUAAGAUCUUUCAAUUAUUUUGAUAUAUGACGGCAAAUAUGCAGACAUAAAUCAUGGUACGAAAAAAAUAAUUAUAUUAUGCAAGACACAUAUUUCAUAGAAUUCUUCAGAAAUAUUUCAUAAUUCAUCAGGAUUAUAAGUCUUGAAAAACCAUGUCCUAAAGGUUUUCCAUUUUUCAGANNNNNNNNNNNNNNNNNNNNNNNNNNNNNNNNNNNNNNNNNNNNNNNNNNNNNNNNNNNNNNNNNNNNNNNNNNNNNNNNNNNNNNNNNCAGGUUCGAUAGGAGAAAUAUGAUGUAUAGAAGGAAGUCUUCUUGGUAGUGAAAAAGAAUUUCUAUAGACUGGGGGAUUAUUAUCAAAUUGUAGACAAAUUCGUCCAUCUAAAUUUUGAGUUACUUGAGUUAACUCUGAAUUAGUCACAUCCUCCGCCAAUUGUUUUGGAGAAGUGACUGAGUUUAAAAUUCAUGUUUUGGGGAAGUCAAUUUAAUCCCAUCGAAUAGGUCUUCGGGUAGUAACCCUGGAUUUUAUAAAAUUAGUUUCAAUAAGCAUAGUGCAAUCAGAAGUAUCAUCUAUUAAUUUACAUCGAGGAUUUAAGGUUGAUAAUAAACGAUAGUAUAUGCGGUAAGAAUCGAACCUGAUUCUUUUUCACUGCUUCAUCACUGUUUCUCAUAGUUAAGAUUAUGCCCCUAGAUCUGAGCUUAUAGGAUUAUAUUACCGCAUAUACAAUCGUUUAUUAUCAACCUUAAAUCCUCCAUGUAAAUUAAUAGAUGAUACUUCUGAUUGCACUAUGCUUAUUGAAACUAAUUUUAUAAAAUCCAGGGUUACUACCCGAAGACCUAUUCUAUGGGAUGAAAUUGACUUCCCCAAAACAUGGAUUUUAAACUCAGUCACUUCUCCAAAACAAUUGGCGGAGGAUGUNNNNNNNNNNNNNNNNNNNNNNNNNNNNNNNNNNNNNNNNNNNNNNNNNNNNNNNNNNNNNNNNNNNNNNNNNNNNNNNNNNNNNNNNNNNNNNNNNNNNNNNNNNNNNNNNNNNNNNNNNNNNNNNNNNNNNNNNNNNNNNNNNNNNNNNNNNNNNNNNNNNNNNNNNNNNNNNNNNNNNNNNNNNNNNNNNNNNNNNNNNNNNNNNNNNNNNNNNNNNNNNNNNNNNNNNNNNNNNNNNNNNNNNNNNNNNNNNNNNNNNNNNNNNNNNNNNNNNNNNNNNNNNNNNNNNNNNNNNNNNNNNNNNNNNNNNNNNNNNNNNNNNNNNNNNNNNNNNNNNNNNNNNNNNNNNNNNNNNNNNNNNNNNNNNNNNNNNNNNNNNNNNNNNNNNNNNNNNNNNNNNNNNNNNNNNNNNNNNNNNNNNNNNNNNNNNNNNNNNNNNNNNNNNNNNNNNNNNNNNNNNNNNNNNNNNNNNNNNNNNNNNNNNNNNNNNNNNNNNNNNNNNNNNNNNNNNNNNNNNNNNNNNNNNNNNNNNNNNNNNNNNUACUGGAAUGACUUUUUCUGCUUUUCAAAAAUUUGUAAGUGAAGAUGUUGGAAAAAUUAUUGUUUCUGAAAUAAAUAACAUUAUCACCCAAAAUAAUUAUUUGAGUCUUUAUGUUAAAGUUUUAGUAGAACAUAUUUCCUCUCUUGAUUAAAAAACUGGACAAAUUAAUUGAGUUAGUUAAUAAACUUAGCCCGCAGAUGAAUUCCUGUAACAUUCCUUCUACUUCCGAAAACAAAGAAAAAGAAGGAUAUAUUUUAUCUAAACCUUGUAUGCAAAGACCUCCUGAAAUAGAAGGAUUUGAAAAGGUUUCUCAAUUAGACCAAUUAGAAAAACUCUUAGAUAAAAAAUUCUCUCAUUUAAACAUUCAACCUCUUAAUAUUUCUGAUGAUUUUGUGCAAAAAAUCGAGUCUAAUUUAGCUGAUAAUAUCGAAUCUACUCAAAAUACUGGAGAUAUAAUCUCUUUCGGACCUAAAAAAUUUAAAUUUAUGAUUAAAAAAUAACUGGGAAAAAAAUAAGCUGAUAUUCCCCGUAUGUCUACUGCAUAUUAUCCAUGUCCAACUCCUCAAGAUGUAAUACUUCUUAUAGUGGAGAAGCUAUUUAUGAAUGGAAUAUUGACGGAUUAUCAGAUCGACAGAUCUCUAUUCUUAUCCAUCGAAUGUCCAUGUAUGCUACUAUUGCCACAGCCACUGCUUCAGCAGAGAAUCGGGCCAAUCGUACUGACCCAACAAUUUGUAAAAUGAUUGUUGCGAGAUUUAUUGGCCAACUUCGAGGAUGGUGGGAUAAUUUCCUAGACGAUGAUAAAUGCGAGGCUACUUUUAAUGCCACCAAUGAUAAACCUGGAAAGCAUAAUCUAGGACGAACACUUCGAGCAGGACGAUCAGAUGCUGUCUAUACCCUUAUGCUUACAAUUAUUGAACAUUUUAGAGGAAGAUUUACCAAUCAGUAUGAAAACAUUAGAACUCUUCUUAAUGGUUUAAAAGGCAAACACUUAGAAGAAUUUAGAUGGUAUAAAGACACCUUUCUUAGUAGGGUGAUGGAUUUACCCGAAAGUAAGUAUGACCAUUGGAAAGCUAAAUUCAUUGAUGGUGAAGUCCAGUAUUCAGAAAAAACCUUUAUUUGCUGAAAGAGUUAGGAAAUCACUGAGAGGAUCUUAUGGCGAAGUCCAGUGUUCAGAAAAAACUUACGGUCAGCUUAUUGUAGCUUGUACUCAAGAAGGCUUAGCGCUUUGUAACGAGUUAAAAUUAGCCAGACAGAUUAAGCUUGACAAACUCAGAGAAAAAUCCCAAUUAGGAGAUUUUUGUGAAAAAUUUAGUAUGGAUAAACCCUUAGCAAGAAAAACCCAAAGAUAUUCCAAACCUAAUAAAUCCUAUAGAAAUAAACGUUCUAGGCAUAGAAACAAAGAAGAACGUGAAACUAGAAAAUCCUUUCGUAAGUAUACCAGAUUCACGAAAAAUAGAUCAAAAAGAGAGUUAGCAAAAAUUAAGUGCUAUAAGUGUAACCAAUAUGGUCAUAUAGAUCCAAACUGCAAAUUACAAAAACUCAAGUCCUUAGGACUUUCUGAAGAAGUUCAUGACCAAGUUUAUAAUUUAUUAUAUACCUCUGAUUCCGAAUCUGAUUCUACAUCUGAAGAUGAUUUUGAAUUACCUAAUUCUGAUAGUGAGCUCAAUCAGGUUGAUAAAUGCAAUGAUUGUGAUAAUGAUAUUUGUAAUUGUGAUGAAAUGAUGUAUAAACUUCAAGCGCAAUUUGAAGAUCUUGAUUUAAAUGUUCAAACUCUUAUUGCUGAUAAUGUUCUUGAAUUGCUGAAAGAAGUUACUGAUGAAAAACUUCGUGAAAAAAUCAUUAAUUUUGCUACUCAAAAAACUUCUACUAAUACUAGUAUUUCUAAAGAUAACUCUUAUGAUAAUUAUCACAUGUCGUAUUCCUUAGCCGAGGUUAAUCGACAUCUUGCGUUGAGUCAAACUCCAGGUAGAGAUACUACCUUUAAUGAUUUAAAAAUCGAAGUUGAACAAUUAAAAAAAGAAAUUGUCUCCUUAAAACAAAAUCAGAUGAUCUCCGAUCAGAGAAUUUUGAAAAUUGAAGAAAAGAUUCCUGACAUCCCUGAAACUCCUAUUACUUCAAACGGAAAAGAAAAGGAUUUUGAAUACUCUGAAAAUUCCAAAAUUGAUAAAUUUAGUCCAAAAGAAGAUUUAAAAAGGGAUUAUUUCUUGGGGAUGAUGCAAAUAGUUACUGCUCAUAAAUGGUAUAUAAAUUGCACUGUUAUGAUAAAUAAGGAAUUUUCUAUCACUAAUAUUUCUAUGAUUGAUAGUAGUGUGGAUGUUAGCUGUAUUCAAGAAUGACUGAUUCCAACCAGAUAUUUUGAAAAAACUACUCACAUAGUUAAGUCUGCAUCUGGUCAUACUCUUGAUAUCAACUAUAAAUUACCAAAUACUCAUAUAUGUCGAGAUAAAGUCUGCAUUCCACAUUUUUUCUUUUUGGUAAAAAAUCAGUUAUAUCCUCCUAUUAUCAUAGGAACACGUUUUAUAAAUGCUACUUAUCCUUAUACACAUAUUGAUAUAAAUGGUUUUAAGGCUACUUAUAAGAAUAAACAAAUCUCUUAUCCUUUUGUUACUAAUCCUGUAACAAGGGAUAUAAAUGCCCUUAUUAGUAUGAAACAAAAGCAAAUUAAUUUUUUUACAAUUAGAACUAAUGAUUAUUAAUAUUUUUGAUACUUUAAAAUCAGUAAAAAUCAAAGAAAAAUAAAAAUAAUUUCUAAUCAAUUGAUUCUUGAUAUUUUUGCGGAUCAUCCAAAUGCUUUCUGGAACUGAAAGAAGAAUAUUGUUUCUCUUCCUUAUGAAAAUGACUUCAGUGAAGAAAAAAUUCCAACAAAAUCUCGACCCUGUCAAAUGAAUACAGAGUUAGUAGAAUUCUGUAAGACAGAGAUUGAUAGUCUUCUGCAAAACGGUCUUAUAAGACCUUCAAAAUCCCCUUGGUCUUGCACUGCUUUUUAUGUCAAUAAUGCUGCUGAAAAAGAACGAGGAGUACCUCUACUAGUCAUAAACUAUAAUCCUCUGAAUAAAGUUUUAAAAUGGAUUCGAUAUCCUAUACCGAAUAAAAAAGACUUACUUUCCAAACUUACUUCUCUAAAUUCGAUUUAAAAUCUGGUUACUAACAAAUUCAAAUUGAUAAAGAACAUACUUAUAGAACUGUUUUUAAUAUCCCUUUUGGACAGUAUGAAUGGAAUGUUAUACCAUUCGGUUUAAAAAAUGCUCCUUCCGAAUUUCAAAAAAUUAUGAAUGACAUUUUUAAUCCCUAUAUGGACUUUAUCAUUGUCUAUAUUGAUGAUAUUUUGGUAUUCUCAAAAACCCUUNNNNNNNNNNNNNNNNNNNNNNNNNNNNNNNNNNNNNNNNNNNNNNNNNNNNNNNNNNNNNNNNNNNNNNNNNNNNNNNNNNNNNNNNNNNNNNNNNNNNNNNNNNNNNNNNNNNNNNNNNNNNNNNNNNNNNNNNNNNNNNNNNNNNNNNNNNNNNNNNNNNNNNNNNNNNNNNNNNNNNNNNNNNNNNNNNNNNNNNNNNNNNNNNNNNNNNNNNNNNNNNNNNNNNNNNNNNNAAAGAUAAGUUUAUUCCAGACAAAUAUUAGAUUUUUAGGACAUAAUAUUUCUCAAGGUUCUAUUGAGCCUAUACAACGAGUUCUAGAAUUUGCUAAAAAAUUCCCUGCUAUUAUUACUGAUAAAAAACAACUUCAAAUAUUCCUUGGUAGUCUUAAUUAUAUUUCCCCUUUUUAUGAAAAUCUAUCUAGAGAUUUAGCUCCUUUAUAUGAUAGACUAAAAAAGGAUCACAAAACUCCUUGGACUCAAGUCCACGCUGAUUUAGUAAAAUUAAUUAAAAACCGAGUUUAAACUCUUCCUUGUACAUCUCUUGCAAACCCUAACUGGUUAAAAAUCGUUGAAACUAAUGCUUCUAAUAUUGGGUAUGGAAGAAUACUUAAACAAGUUAAUCCCCAUACAAAAACAGAAUGUUUGAUUCGAUUUUAUUCUGGAAAAUGGACUGAAAGUUAGAAAAAUAUGCCACAGUAGCCCAUGAAAUGUUAACUAUUGUAAAAUGUGUUUUAAAAUUUCAAGAUGAUUUGUAUAAUCAAAGAUUUAUAAUUAGAACUGAUGCUCAAUCCGUUAAACUGCAGAUUCUUUUGCAUCCAUAGUUCAAGAAAAUUCUGAAGAUAAGUCUUCAUAUGAAAAAUUGGAUACUAGAGAACUUAUUCUAUAUAUUGAAAAUCAGCAUAUUCCUGGUCAAGAAAAUUCUGAUGAAGCAUGGCGAAUACUUAAAAAUUAUCUUACUGCCAACGUAUAUUUUACUGGCGAAUCAUAUAAAACCUAGACUUAUUAUGAACAUAUAUUAGUGCAAACAUUCAGUGUAACUUUUGAUCACAGCCCCCUUGGAGAAACUACCCUUGGAGUACAUGGAUACUCCAAAAUAGUAAUUAAAAAACUUAUUCCUAUUGAAGAAUGGGGUAUUUCGUCAAUGACUCAACGAUCUAUGCCGAUGGGGCCAAUGGGACAAACACUUGCCAAUUUCACCUACUGGGAUUAUAUUAAAGCCUUUUCUCAAGUAUUAUAUUAUAAUAAUUAUAAGCACAAACAUACUUGAUUCAUAAAAAUUUGUGCUAAAGUAUUUGAAAAGCCUAUUCCAAAUUGGUUUAUUCAAUGGUGGUCUCAACAUGGACCAACAGUCAAAAUAUUACCUCCAGAAUAUUCUUCUCUGUACUAUUCAUGGAAAAAAUCCUCCCCUUUCUUAACAGAAUUAUAUCUUUCAGAUCAUAUUUGUAAGAUCGAUACUAUUGAUCAGAUGUAUUUCUACAUAGAAUUCUCUAUCCCUUGGGUCCAUCGAUGGUCAGUAGAAAUAGGCUAUGACACUGAACAAAUUCCUGCCUUAUACCGAAUAUUCUAUUGUAAUUUCUGGAACAAAUUGUUUCGAAAAGAUCCAGAUACUAAACUCACCUACGAUCAUGAUCAACGGGAGGAAAUAAUCAAGAAAAUUGCUGAAUAUGAAAAAACUCCAAAAAAAUCAAUUUUGGUUGAAGAAAAAAGUCUUAACUAUGUUUCUAGAAGAAUAUCUGCACAUAACGGGAAUAAAAUGCAAAUGAUAGAAGAAUAUUUAUCAGAAGUAAGAGAUAAAUUACUUCAAACUGUUGAGCAAAAUUCAGACAUCUCAAUGAAUAGUAUCGAAGCAAAUACUGAAGAUAUUACAGAUUUUCAACCUCCGAAAAUUCUGAUAGAAGAGGAAGAAAUUGAAAAAGCUGAAGCAUUCAUCAAGAAAUGGAAAGGCAAAGACAAGAUAUGACUGUUUGAUAAGACCCCUCUUCUUUUUUUUCUUAUGUAAUAGUAAAAUCACUGUGCACAGGGACCCAUCCAUUACUGUGCAAGAUUCUCUUUUUAUUAUUUAUAGACGCUUCAUUCUUAUGAAGAGGCAAGAGUUAAGAAGUUCUCUUCUUUUGUUUUCUAAAAACUCUCCCUCUCUCUCUCUAUCUCUCUUUGUAACAUAUUUAAGAAUUAAAUAAAGAAGAAGCUACUUUUUACUACUAUUUCAGUCUGGUUCCCAGCUAAUCAGGUGCAUAUUUCUUUCUUACUUGUGAACAUUUAAUUAAACUUCUACCCUAACCCAGCCGUUACUAUGUCCGGCUAAAAGGUUUCUUAUAUCUAUGUUGAAGAUCUAACUUCGCUGACAUAUUAACUAUGAAAGCUCCAGACUCUAUCAAAAUAUAAAAGAAUCUUUCUAAUUUCUUGACUUGGUUCUAAAAUGGAGGUACAGUCGAGUUUAAUACACUUAUGUUAGCCUUGUCUCUGUGACUCCGUCUAGUAAGUUAUGCCCUCUCUAUCCCAUUGUGUUGUUAAGGAAAGGGUGAAUUCUGCACAAUUAGAACUUCUAGACACAUAGGUUUAACAUAAGGUUAUUAAAUCUCUGACAGGCCCCAUGUUUGGGUGAAAGAGCCCACACAGUCAUUAAACUAUUUAAGAUUCUUUUCUAUUUCGGUUGGUUCUUUGGUUUGGUCUUCCGACUUUGGCUUAAUCCGAUAUUGUUAUAUGGUCUGGCAGGCUGAGUGGCAUACCCCAGCCUAAGAGAUCCUGUUAAUGGUAUCAGAGCCAGUGAAUUUUCAUAGUAAACAUGUUAAGUGGGGUAAAGUUUUUUUAGCGUAGAUAUAAGGCUUUUAAUUAUGGAUAUGGGAGAAUUUAGUACUAAGAGCACAAAACUCGAAGAGGUAGAUUUACCUCAAGAUAUGGAUUUAUUAAAUAAAUGGACAAUUCCAAAAGUUGAAUUAAAAACCAUAUAUGGGUACGGAUUUUUUGAUAAAAUAAAACAUAAACAAAUUAUUAAAACAACUGAGCAAUCCCUUGCUUUAAAUGCUGAUGAUCAGAAUAUUCAACUCCUAAAUAAGCAUGAUAUUGAUAUUUUUAAACGUAAUUAUAAUUAUAUGCAUAUUGGACUAGAACAAAUUGCCUUUUGACCUUUAACACUAAAGGGUCUCCCUGAAACAUUUUUAGCUGCUUUACGUGAUGCUAGAAAUUUAAAUUUUAGAAAAUCCUUAAUGGGAUCUAUUGAAUCUACUCUUGCUUAUGGUCCUGUAUAUUUUAAUACUCAGCCAAAUUUAAAAUUAUCUCUACCUGAUGUAAAUAUUCUUCAUGCUUUAACCUUAAAUGUGAAAACUCAUGGUUAUGAUUAUGCCCCUGGAUCUGAGCUUAUAGGAUUAUCUUACCGCAUAUACAAUCGUUUAUUAUCAACCUUAAAUCCUCGAUGUAAAUUAAUAGAUGAUACUUCUGAUUGCAUUAUGCUUAUUGAAACUAAUUUUAUAAAAUCCAGGGUUACUACCCGAAGACCUAUUCGAUGGGAUGAAAUUGACUUCCCCAAAACAUGGAUUUUAAACUCAGUCACUUCUCCAAAACAAUUGGCGGAGGAUGUGACUAAUUCAGAGUUAACUCAAGUAACUCAAAAUUCAGAUGGACGAAUUUGUCUACAAUUUGAUAAUAAUCCCCCAGUCUAUAGAAAUUCUUUUUCACUACCAAGAAGACUUCCUUCUAUACAUUAUAUUUCUCCUAUCGAGCCUGAUUAUGGUCCAUCUAGGAACCGGUAUUGUAUUGUAUUAUAUUGUAUUGUAUCGUAUCAUAUUGUAUCAUAUCGUAUUGUAUCAUAUUGUAUCGUAUCGUGUGGUAUCAUAUUGUAUUGUAUCGUAUCGUAUCGGAUCGUAUCAUAUUGUAUCGUAUCGUAUCGUAUUGUAUUGUAUUGUAUUAUAUUGUAUUGUAUUGUAUUGUUUUGUAUUAUAUUGUAUUGUAUUGUAUUGUAUUGUUCAUGGGCUUCAUAAACGAGGCCCAUGAUUAUGAAGGUGCCCACAUACUCUUAAUGAUACAAGAAUAAUGGCUGCCUUAGCUUUCGAAGACAUCAUUCAAAGUCGCAUGGAGGGUACGUGAUCAUACUUGGAGGGGACGUUUUGAGCCUACCAUUGAUCAAACCCGAGUGUAGAAGAUUGCUUGGAGACUUGAAGACUUAAGGACUCUAGGGUUUGUACCACCUUUGUUGGUUCAAGGUUUUGGUGCCCUUUAUUAAGGGUAUUUUGGUCACUUAGCCUUAAGGGCAUUUUGGACAAUUCAUAUUGUUUUCCAACACACCAAGGCCACCCUUGGUCAUUAAGGGUAGUGUACUCUUUUUUGCCUUCCUUUGUAAUAUACUAUAAGUAGGAUUUUUUUAGGUCUUCUCUCAUGAGUUUUUGAAUGAUAAAUGUAUGAAACACUUGAAAAUCCUCUCUCUUGAGAGUAGACCACCUUAGUGUAGUCUUAGUUAGGACUUGGAAAAGCCAUCCUUAGUAUAGGACUUGGAAAAGCCAAUAUUGAGCUUUGCUUGGAAACGGUGGAUCUUGAGGUGAGUUGAUUUCCUUGGCGGUCACCGUAAGAGUGUGGUUUUGCUUAUUACAUUCAUUAGGGUUAGUGUUGAAAUACACUUGGUUCUUAAUCUUGUAAUAAUCUUGGUCUCACUAUCUAUCCUUUCAUUAUUUUGCAAAUUUGUGUGUUUUUGUGUUUGUCAUCUUGUAUCCCUUUGUGUUGCUUGUUCUUCUCACGUUUUGUGGACUGUUUUGGCAUCUUGGUGGGCUGUUUUGUAUCACUUUAGGGAUUAAGUAACGAAAAUAAAAUAAUCCAGCAAAAGCGUACGACAAAAAAUAAUUGUAAGUUGCGGACAAUUCUACCUAUAUUUUUCCAUUCUCCCAUUAUUACUUGAGACAGGUAGAAAUUCCAUACAUGUCUUUCUAUUAUUGUCUUAUCAUGCUAAGAUUACAUAUGCCGGAUGAUUAUCCAACAUAUAUAUGCAUACACAUAAACAAACUGCAAAUAAUGUGCAACUUUUAUCCUUAUAAAUUGGUAUCUUGGCAAUUUUAUCUUUUUUUUUGUGUUGUAAUAUUGUUUUGAUUCGGUAAAAUUCUUAAUUCAUACCAAAUUUCUCAUCUUCUUUUCUUAAACAUGUGUUUCACAAUUCUUAAUCUUUCUGUACUUGAUCUUCAUGAUUUUAGUGUUGCUACAAAGUUGUCCAUGUAGUUUUUGGCUACAUCUCCGAUAAUAUCCAUAAUCGAUAAAAUUAUUUGUAAGUUAACUUCAGCUUACAUUGUGCACAAUUUUGCAGCAGGUACUGCUGCAUGAUAAACUAACGAAAUAUUGAAAUUUGCAUGAGAAAAUAUUGGAAUUAUUUUUUAAAAAAAAUUGGGGUAGAGGAAGGGAAAUUGGAGAGGGGAUUACAAGUAAAUCAGACUCUCACCAAUUAGGUGAAAGUUUGGGUAUUCAACCAAUUGAACAGCUAAAGUUCCCUUUUAAAUGGUGGUAUAAUAGUUAUUUUGGUGACAAGCUCUUGGGGUUAUAAUUUGUAAUGCAGUGUGUCUUGAUCAUAAAAUUUUUUUUCUUAGUUUUCGGUAGAACAGACCUUUGAACCAUAAAGUGUUUAUUUACUAUAUGAGUUAGCAAUGAAAUCUUAAUUUAAAUAGACCUUACAGAAGUGUUCUUUGUUCUCAAUCGAAUGAUAAUUGACGAAGUGGAAGCACUGAGUGAAGCGCUACACAUUUAGCUUGGCUUUUGAGAAUUCUACUGAGGAAGUUUAUGUAACUGGAAAGUUCUUUCAGUCUCUUGUAGCUGGUAAUUCCAUAUGUGUUUCUUAGUUGGUUCAGCAUUAUUGUUACUGAGUAUACAUGUUUUGAGUGUAUAUAUUUAUUCUAUAGGUAGUCUUCUAUAUUUGACACUUUAUAAAGGAUGACUAGAAUGUUCAUGUACUAUAUAUAUUAUUUCAUUUAUCGAUAGUCUUCUAUGUUUGCCACUUUGUAAAGGAUGAAAUUUUGCUUUUGCAUUUAUAAAUUAUGAUUAUUAUGAAGUAUGUAUGCCGAAUGAGUGCUUAAAUCAUAGAUGCAACUAAUAUGAAACACAAAUUAAAUUAUAUUAGAAUUCAAAAUGUUGGGCCCGUACAUAGCACGAGCAUGCUUAUCUAGUUAUUUGUAUUAUAUAGUCUUAAAAGUUGGUCAUAAAUUCCCAAAUGACAAAAUAGCCAAACAUCUUUCCCAAAAUGCGAAAUGUAUCGGAAUGAUGUUACAUUUAGGUGGAUCCCACAUUUUUUCAAGCAUAAUUUUUCAAAUAAUAUGUUUUGUAUAUUAAUAAUUAAUCUAUACUAAUGAGAUAUUAUCUAAAUUUUAAUUCAUUUUUAGUUCAAAUUUUUACUUUUAUUUUAUUAGAAUAGAAAUAUGUACAAAAAAUGUAACUAUAUUAUCGUAUACUUAUAAAACUUCCAUAAAAGAAUAUAAAAUUUUAUUCUAAACAGGAACGUAUAAAAUAUUCGUACGAUUUAAGAUCAUGUUAGUGCACAAAUCAGAUCAACUUGAUUUUUUGAACCGAUUCGAAUCAAUUUAGAUUGUAUAAUUUAGAUGAUUAAAAAUUCAAUUUGAUUUAAGAAUUCAAUUCUAGAAUAUUACGGUACACAGAUUGGAUAUACUUGAAUGUGUUCAUAAUCCGAACAAACUUAAAAAAGUGAAAUAUAUAUUAUGUGAUGAUAAUAAUUUUUUUGUUAUCAAUUAUACAUCCUAUGUCUCGAUUCAAAUAAUAUAUUUUUCUUCUUAAUCGGUUAUAAAAAAUAAUUGACAUUUUUCAUUUGGUUAGUAUUUUAUGACGUUAUUAAUAUGUUAGUCAAGUUGAAUUUCAUUUAUUUGUCAAAAGGUCCAUAAAGUAUACUCUUCUAUUUAAGGUUCACUUUAAAGAUGAUUUGAAACAUUCAGAAGUUUUUUCAUAUAUCUUAAAUUCGAUGUUGAAUGAAAAUGUAAUAAAUAGAAACAAAGGGAGACUUAGUUUAUAUGAGGAUGUGCAAAUACUCACAUAUGUUUCAUAAAAGAUAAAAAUAUGAAAUUAAUUUUGGCCACACAUUUAAUUGCAUAAAGUAACUAUUACUAUAUUAUAGUAAGAUAAUAAAAAAAAAUACUCAUGAAUAUUGAAAAAAGUAUUUUUCUAUCAAAAUACAAUUAAUGAUUUCUCCAUAAUUUUAAAACUUCACAUAAUACAUAUCCUUACAAAGAUUUGCACUACAUAUAAUUUAUGAAAAUAAAAUUAUUUACUCAGAACCUAUUAAAAUUAUUUUAAACAACUUAUUUAUGUAAUAUUAACUAUCUCAUCUUAAAUUACCACAAUAUAUAUCAUGUUAAGUUUUGUUAAUUUUUUUGAUUUUCUUUAUUUGAGGUAGUUAAUUUUCACAUCAGGAAGACAAAUCACUUACUAUAUUAAAUUGGUACUCUAUUUUUAAUGUAUAUAAGACAAGACAUAAAAACAAUCCUUUAACAUUAUGAUUCAUUAAAAUGUUCAACCAGUAAGUCCUUAUUUCCAUUUGUUAAACACCCAUAAAACGAAUCUAAAUGUAUUUAAAAUCAAUUUAUGUAUAGAUUAGUAUCCUUAUUGCUUCGUAUGAUUCUAUAUAAAAUGUUGAUAAAUAGAUAUUUAUAAUUUUAAUCUAUUCUCUUGUAUAACUUUUUAAAUAAAGUAGAAAAAGAAAAAUAUUACAAUUAGUUGUUUAAUCUAAGAGAAUAUGUUUGAUCCGAUGUUAAAAUUAGCAUUAGAGUGUCACACCCCUUUUUUUCACUCCCAAAGAUUAAGUUUUAAGGGUCGAAAGGGUUUUAAUUAUUUAAGUGACAAAACAUGAAAAUUUGUUUCGAAAAAGGAUUAUUUUUAACAAUCAAAACUCAGAGUCACCACUUGGCAUAAAUCGGGUGUGCCAAGUCACCCAUGGAUAUCCUUUUUCAAAAUAGUUUUUACUCUUUAAUACUGGUUUGCGAACAUAGAAUCCGGCUAAGGAAUUCUGUUGACCGAGGGGAAGGUGUUAGGCACCCCUUGAUCCCGUGGUUUGACCACAGUCGCUUGACAGAGCGUAUCGGCUAAAUUGACACUACGAUGUACAAACCACACAAAAACAUGUAAAACAAUCAAACAAACAAACAAAAAUCAAAGGGAUCUGAAAUAUAGUGUCCAGUCCGAGUUUUACAGUCCCGAAAUAAAAAUACUGAAAUAACCUACAGUAGUCCUAAACUAUGCUUUACCCAAUGCCUCGGGCCUUGAUCAUGAGCAUCCUUAGCAUACAAAAUUCUUCGGGGCAUUCCCCGGUGAGUAAAUACAAAUGACCUCGAGGCAUUCCCCAGUUAAAUAAAUACACUUUUCAAAUACGAUAAACAAAACAUUCAACAAAUAUUCUAAGCAUUCCAACAAUUCAACAAUUCUAAAUUUGCCUACCCAAGCCUACUGUUUGCCUACCCGCUCGAUGACAUAUCAUGUUCAACAUCAACAAUGAAUAAAAAAAACAACAAUAUUUAUUUUUUAUCAACUUUUAAUUCCCGUCUUCCCCAAUUCCAUUGUCAGACUAAUUAGCCAAUUCUUCGAAUAUCAAAUCCAACAUCAACCACGUAUACACAACAAAGAUUCAAAUACGCUAAAGAAACAAGUUAUUCACACCCAUAACAAACAACUAAAAUUCCAAAAAAUAGAAUAGAGAAUGAGAUGAGAAAUGGACCUCAAUACCUUAUUGAUUAACUGAUCUUUCUGAAUAGAACCGCGUCCAAUGGAACCUCAACGUCGAACCUCAAUGUUACUUUUAUUCAAUCAACUUGAACCGAUUUCAACCACGACGGGAGCCUCGUGAACCCAUGAACCACGAACAGACCUCGAACUCGAUUCCCAAAAUCCCAAAGACAAACCCACUUUUAUUUUCCGAUGUUUGGGACGGUUUUGAUUGGUUUUGGCGCGUCUCUGGUGAAAUUUAGAGCAGCCCAUGGACUACUGCGGCUGAUUUGGCUGCUGGCUACUAUUUUCUGCUUGUUUGGGUCAUUUUCUAAUGAAAAUCUUGGUCGCCGGUGAGAGUGUAUUCCGGCGAACUGGCCGGAUUUAGAGCUCUCUCUAUCUAGACCACAGCAGUGGCGUUUUCUCCCUUUAUCCUUCUCAGUCUAUCUCUCAAACUCUCUCUUUCGCUCAAUUUCAAUUUCCCUCUCUGCUUUCCGUUCAAUUCUCGCUCUCAGUGCGUGUAGGUGUAUGAAUUCUCCCUUAUUUCUAUCGAGAUGAUGAGUAUCGUCUCUUCUCCUGUGCUAUACGUAUUAUGUGAAUGGAUGUGUAUGCGUAAAUUCUGUACCAGUGAGUGUGUGCUAAUUCUGUGUAUUCAAGAGGCAGCUGGUGAGUGUGUGUAUUUGAUGUGAGGGUCUAUGGUGUGAGGUUCGUGUGUUUUCUGUGUGCUAAUGGACCAAGAAAAAAAAUGGAGGAUCCCCCCUUUGUUGUGGAGAAGAUGAUUGUGUAUAUAUUGGAAAAAUGGAAAAAAGCCCCUCUGCGUGAGAAAAUGGGAUAUGUAUAUAUGGUAGGUGAUAGUGUGAGGGGUCACGUGGGUGGGUAUUGGGAUAGUGAGGUGGGUAGUGAGGUGGAAGUUUUUGAUUGAGUAGGUUGUUAGGAUAAGAUAAAUUAGCUAGAGGUAUUGUUUUUUGUUUAUUUUUGUAUUUUUGUGGGGAAUAAUUAAAUGGGUGAGGGUACAGGGUAGGAUAAAGAAAAAAUGGGUUAAAACGAUAUCGGGGAGAGACGAAAUUAGGUGUCUACAUAGAGUAUAUGAUAUUUUAAUGUUAAUUAUGAAACCUUAAAUAAGUUAUAAGAUAUUAUUUGAUUUUGUAAAAUAAGAAGUUAUAUUUUCUUAUAUAAUGUGAUUUUUACUUACACUUUCUAUUGUGUUAAUUUAAAAAUAUUAGUGAUCAUUCCUUUUGAAAAAUUAAUUAAAUAACUAUAAAUAUAUUUAAAUUUAUAUUAUUGGGCCUGUAAACAGGCCCCUCAUUAUCUAUUUUUUUUUAUAUAUAGAAGAGUGAGUAGGUGGCACAACCAAGAGUAUUCUUGUCAUUUCAAAAAAAGGAAAGUGCAUUGUUUGCUUAUUUUGUAAGCCUUAAAGUUAGUGCAUUAAUUUUUAAUGACCAAAAAAAAAUCAAACCACUUUUUGUAAAUGAUAAUUUUAUCCCAAAAUUGUAUUAUAUCUCACGUGGAUCCCACAGUUUCCUUCACAACUUUCUAUAAACAUUUUUGUCGAUUCUAAUACACAAUACUCAUUUCUAUUCUCUUCUACAAGUGGUGAAAUUUUAAUUUUAUUUUAUUCAAAUAUUUUUUUUUGAAUUUUAUUUUAUUACUUUUUUUUCUACUAUAUAGAAAGGAGAGUUAAAGAACGACCAAGGGCAAUAUAAUCAUUUCACGCUACUACUAACACAAUUCUAGAAGCCUAAUUUUGUAAGGGCAUUCUUGUUAUUUCAAAAAAAGAAAAGUAUAUUGUUUGCUUAUUUUGUAAGCCCAAAAUUUGUACAUUAAUAUUUAAUGUCAAAGAAAAAAAAUAAACCCCUAUUUGUAAAUGUCAAUCCUGUUUCAAAGUUGUAUAAUGUCUCACGUGGACCCCGUAAUUUUCUUCAUAACUUUCUAUAAAUGUCUUUUGUGAGUUCUAAUACACAAUACUCAUUUCUAUUUUUUUUAUAUAAGUGGUAAAAUUUUAGUUUCAUUUUAUUCAAAUGAAAUGUCAACGGGCAAGUAUGAAUCAAAAAAUUUGAUGCCAAAAAAAGAAAAGUGAUUUUUUGUAAAUGUCCACCAUAUUUUAAAGUUGUAUAAUAUCUUAUAUGGACCCCACAAUUUUCUUCACAACUUUCAAUAAAUAUUUUGCGUGAGUUAUAAUACACAAUACUCAUUUCUAUUCCUUUUAUAAGUGCUAAAAUUUCAGUUUCAUUUUAUUCAAAUGAAUUGUCCACAAGGCAAGUAUGAAUUAAAAAAUUUAAUGUAAAAAAAAAAACUCUUUUAGUAAAUGUCAAUUCUAUCCCAAAGUUGUAUAAUGUAUCACGUAAACCCCACAGUUUGCUUCACAACUUUCUAUAAAUAUUUUGUGUGAGUUCUAAUACACAAUACUUAUUUCCAUUGCUUUUAUAAGUGUUAAAAUUUCAGUUUCCUUUUACUCAAAUGAAAUGUAUACGAGCAAAUAUGAAUUAUUUCUUUGCACAUUUGGUUGUAGUAAAUUAUUUAUUAGAGUAAUAAAGAAAUAAAAAAUAUAUUACUCCCUUCAUCUAAAAAAGAAUGACCCAUUUUAACUCGACAUAGAGUAUAAAAAAAUAUAAAAAACUUUAGUAUCUUGAGGUCAUAAAUUAAAGUUAUGUCAAAUAUAUUAAAGUGUUUAUCUUGUGGUUCUAAAUAUGGUACGUGGAAAGUAGAAACUAAAGUAUUGACCAAAAAAAUAAUUUUUUUAAACAAAUUAAAAUGAAAAAUAAGUCUUAUCUUUGAAAUGGAGUGAGAAAACAUGUACAGGGCAUUUAUCUAUCCACAGUUCACAACAUUAAACAAUAAUUUCAAAUUGAAUUUUUUUACAAUAUUUAAAACAAUUUUAAAAGAUAAUUUUAAACCAUAAAAAAUAAUUUACGUAGUGAGUCUUGUUCAUACUUUAUUAUGAUAUAUGAGAAUUUAUAUGAUAAAUUUUUAUUAAAUUAAAAUUAAAAUAAUAUACUUGAAUCAAACGAAAAGAAUAAUUUUAAAUUUAAAGAGAAAUUAUAUUUGAAAUUUGUUUCAUUUGAACAUUUUUUUUCAAUCAUAGUGUUCGGAGAAACUUUUUCUCCUCUUAAAACUAUUGAUACUUAGCUUAUGUUUAAGGUAACACUUACAAAUAUAGCCCAGGGUAUAACAUUUUUUUUCAUUAUUUUUUUAAUAUUGUCAUAUCAUUUUUUAUGUAGAUCCCAUUACAACUCUAUUUUAAAUGAAAAAAUUAGAUAUAAUAGUCAUUUCAUUAGAAUCUUUUCAAUGUCACUAAUGGUAUAAUCUUUCACAUGGAUUCUACACAUCUCAACUAUAAGUCUAUUUUAAUAUGUAGUAAAAAAAAUUAAAUGCAUUAUAUCAGAAUGUCUAUUUUAAUACGUCAUGUCUCGAUUCAAAAUGAUAUAUUUUUCUUUUUAAUCAGUUCUAAAGAAGAAUUGACAAUUUUAUUUGUUUAUUAUUUUAUAACAUUAUCAAUAUUUUAAUCAUGUUGAAUUUCACUUCUUUGUCAAAAAGUCCACAAAGGUAUACUCUUCUAUUUAAAGUUUAUUUAUUUUAAAGAUAAUUUUAAACAUUGCAUAGUAUUUCAUAUAUCUUAAAUUUGAUGUCUAAUCAAAAUGAUAUAAAUUGAAAUAAAGGGAGAUGUAAUUUGUAGGAGGAUGUGAAAAUACUUACAUAUGUUCCGUUAAGAUAAAAAAAGUAAAAUUAAUUUUAGCCACACAUUUAACGUCAUAAAGUAACUAUUACUAUAUCAUAAUAAAAUAAUAAAAAAUAUUCAUAAAUAUUGAAUUGUGUUUAUCUAUUAAACACAGUAAUAGAUUCCUCCAUAGUUUCAAAACUUCACAUGAUACAUAUCAUUAUAAAAAUUUACAAUGCAUAUAAUUUAUAGAAACAUAAUUAUUUACCAAUCACCUAUUAAAAGUAUUUUAAAUAAAUUAUUUUAAAAUAUAAUAUUAACUACCUCAAUCAUGUUAACUUUUAUUAAUUCUUUUUAUUCACUUUAUUUAGGUAGUAAAUUUCCUCAACAGGUAGACAAAUCACUUUAAAAGAAUUUUUUUCCUUACUAUAUUAAAUUGGUCACUGAUUUUUGACAUAUAUAAGACAAGACAUAAAGAAAAUCCUUUAACGUUAUGAAUCAUUCAAACUUCAUCGAGUAGGUCCUUAUUUUCAUUUGUUAAGCACUCAUAAAAUGAAUUUAAAUAUAUUUAAAAUUAAUUUAUGUAUGAAUUAGUAUCCUUUAUUGCUUCAUAUGAUUCUAUCAAAAAAUAUUAAAAAAUAAAAAUUUAUAAUUUUAAUCUAUUCUCUUGUAUAAUUUUUAAAUAAAGUAUAAAAAAACACUAAAAUUAGUUAUUUAAUCUAAGAGAAUGUGUUAGACGCAAUGUUAAAAUAAGCAUUAGAGUAUAUUAUAUUUUAUAUUUAUUAUGAAAACUUAAAGAAGUUGUAAGCUAUUAUUUGAUCUUAUAAAAAUAAAAUUUAUAUUUUAUUGUAUAGUGUGAUUUCUAUUCACAUUUUCUAUUGUGUUUAUUCAAAAAUAUUAAUAAUAAUUUUUUUAAAAAAUAAUUAAAUAACUAUAAAUAUAUUUAAAAUUAUAAUAUUGGGCCCAUAAAAGGGCCCUUUAUUAUCUAGUUUCAUAUAUAGAAAGAUGAGUUCAAGGACGACUAAGGGUAUAUUUGUAAUUUAGCAGCAAAUAAUGAGCAAAAGUUAAUAUUCUUUAUAUUAGGUGACGUUUAUUGUGGAAGACAUAAAAAGCCAUGUUUCUUUCGUCAUCAAUUAACCAUUACACCGCUCUGUUUACUAUUCAAGUUUUCUCUAAAAUUGAUUAUAUAUGUUAUGGUAUGGUAUUAUAGAUCUAUAUAUUUUUGAAAUGAUGAAAACUAAUUAGGAUAAACAAUGCUCCCAUUAUUGUUAUUAUUAUUAUUUAUUUGUUAUUUUUUAUUAUUUAUUAUAUAGAAGAGUGAGCAGGUGGGACGGCAAAGGAUAUUUUUAUUAUUUUAGAAAAGAAAAGUGCAUUGUUUGCUUAUUCUUAGGCCUCAAGUUUGUACACUAAUUUUCAAUAACAAAACAAACCAAACUUCUUUCUGUAAAUGUCAAUUCUAUCCCAAAGUUGUAUAAUAUCUCACAUGGACUCUACGAUUUCCUUCACAACUUUCUAUAAAUAUUUUUUGUUGGUUCUUAUAAAUAAUACUCAUUUCUAUUCCCUUUUAUAAGUGGUGAAAAUUUAAUUUAAUUUUAUUCAAAUGAAAUAUCCAUUAACAAGUGGAAUUAAAUUUUUUUCUUUGCACAUUUGACUAUAGUAAAUUAUUUAGCAGAGAUUAACGAAAUAAAAAAAUAUAUUGCUCUCUUCAUUUUAAAAAGAAUGAUCUAUUUCAACUUGACACGACUGUAUAAGAAAAUAAAAAAAAAUUUUGUAUCAUGUGGUCAUAAAUUAAAGUUAUGUCAAUGUACCAAAAUUUCCUUUAACUUGUGGUUUCAAACAUGGCAUAUACACGUGAAAAGUUAAAAUUAAAGUAUUGCCAAAAAAGAAAAGUUCAUUCUUUUUUUAACAAAUUAAAUGAAAAAUAGGUCUUUAUUUUUGAAGUUGAGGAAGUAGCAAACAUCUGCAACACAUUCAUCUAUCCACGAUUCAUAUCAUUCAAAAAAAAUUUCAAGUCAAACUUUUUCACGAUAUCUACAAUAAUUUUAAAUUAUAAUUUGUUAAACCUUAAAAAAUAAUUUAAGUAGUGACUUUUGCUCAUACUUUAUUAUAAUAUAUGAAAAUUUAUGUCAUAAUCCUUUUAUUAAAUGCAAAUUUAAAUAAUAUAUUUGAAUAAAAUGGAAAGAUUAAUUUUAAAUUUAAAGAAAAAUUAUAUUUGAAGUUUGUUUCAUUUAAAUAUUUUUUUAAUCAUGGUGUCUAGACGAGAUUUCUCUUCUCUUAGCUAAAUCCAUGGAAUAAACAAGUUACUAUUGAGUGUAACAUCCAUUAUUAUUUUUUAUUGUUUUUACCUAAAAUUAUUGAUGAUUAAUUUAUGUUUAAGGUAACACUUACAAAUAUAACCAAGGGUGUAACAUUUCUUUCAUAAUUGUUUCUAAUAUUUCUAUAUAAUUUUUAUGUAGACCCAAUUACAAUUCUAUUUUAAAUUAAAAAAUAGAUAUAAUGUUCAUUUCAUUAAAAUCUUUUCAAUGUCAUUAAUGAUGUAAUCUUUCACAUGGAUUCCACACACAUCAACUAUAAGUUUAUUUUAAUAUGUAAUACAAAAAAAUUAAAUGCGUUAUAUCAGAAUGUCUAUUUACUACAUCAUGUGUCUCAAUUCAAAUAAUGUAUUUUGUUUUAUUUAAUUCGUUCUAAAAAAAUUGACAUUUUUUAUUUGGUUAGUAUUUUAUAACAUUAUCAAUAUUUUAGUCAUAUUGAAUUUACUUUAUUUGUCAAAAAGUCCACAAAGGUUUAGUCUUCUAUUUAAAGUUUAUUCAUUUUAAAGAUAAUUUGAAACAUUGAAAAGUUUUUUCAUGUAUCUUAAAUUCGAUGUAUAAUCAAAAUGAUAUAAGUUGAAAUAAUGGGAGAUGGUAGUUUAUAGGAGAAUGUGCAAAUACUCACACAUGUUUCAAAAAAGAUAAAAAAUGAAAUUAAUUUUAGUCUCACAUUUAAUUGCAUAAAGCUAUUACUAUAUUAUAGUAAAACAAUAAAAAAAAUACUCAUAAAUAUUGAAUAGGUGUUUAUCUAUCAUACAGAAUAAGCAAUUCCUCCAUAAUUUCAACACUUCACGUGAUAAAUAUCACUACAAAGAUUUACAAUACAUAUAAUUUAUGGAAAUAUAAUUAUUUACUAAUCACUUGUUAAAAUUAUUUUAAACAACUUAUUUAAAAUAUAAUAUUAACUACCUCAUGUUAAAUUACUACAAUAUAUAUCAUGUUAAAUUUUGUUAAUUCUUUUGAUUCUCCUUAUUUGAGGUAUUAAAUUUCCUCAUAGGGUAGACCAAUCACUUUAAAAGAAAUUUCUUGCUUACUACAUUAAAUUGAUCUCCUAUUUUUGAAGUAUAUAAGAUAAGACAUAAGGGCAAUCUUUUAAUGUUGUGAUUCAUUAAAACGUUCAUCCAGUAGCUCCUUAUUUUCGUUUGUUAAAUACACAUGAAACGAAUUUAAAUGUAUUUAAAAUUAAUUUAUUUAUGGAUUAGUAUCCUUUAUUGCUUCAUAUGAUUAUAUAACCAAUAUUAAUAAGUAGAUAUUUAUAAUUUUAAUCUAUUCUCUUCUAUUGUUUUUAAAUAAAGUAGAGAAAGAAAAACAUUAAAAUUAGUUGUUUAAUCUAAGAGAAUAUGUUUGAUUCGAUGUUAAAAUAAGCAUUAGAAUACAUAAUAUUUUAAUGUUAAUUAUGAAAACUUAAAUAAGUUGUAUGCUAUUAUUUGAUUUUAUAAAAAUAAAAAGUUAUCUUUUAUUAUAUAGUGUGAUUUCUACUUACAUUUUCUAUUAUAUUUAUUCAAAAAUAUUAAUGAUCAUGUUUUUUGAAAAAUUAAUUAAAUAACUAUAAAAAUAUUUAGAAUUAUAAUAUUGGGCCCGUAAAUGGGCCCUUCAUUAUCUAGUUUUCUCAAGAAUUGUGUGGUACAAAAAUGGUAUUCCAUGUUCCUCUAAUAAGUUACAUUUGUUAACUUAUACUAUACGUUCAAGAAGUAUUUUUACAUGAUAAGCAUAUUCUUAUAUAGUUGAUCAUAACAUGUUUAUUAAUUGUUAUCCUUUUAUCUCUAGGACGGAAUUUGGAGAUGUUUACAUUCUAGUUACUUUUUGUAGAAAAGAAGAUCCAUUCUUUUCUCUUAUCUUCUUAUACGCCAAGCAGGCGGAGCUAGAGUUCUAAUUAUGAGUUCAAUAGAAUUAAGUAGCCUUGAUCCCAAAACCUUGUAUUUGCAUUAGAAAUCCACUUAAUAAGUAAAAACAAUUUAUUUAACCUCGUGAAGUUGCAUCUUUUAUAGAGUUGAUUUUUCAGCACUAAACAGGAUGCUGCGUGCAAAACAAAUCCCUUAAGAUCAGUUCCUUUUUGAGUGAGUAAAAACUUAUGUCGCUCAAAAUUGUUAUCGAGUGUAUGUGGGAUCCUUCAAAAAAUAAUACAUUUUUGCAAGUGUGCGGCGACAUUUAUGAUAAGUCCAAGUAAUAAGAGGUCUUCGGUACAAACACAGACUAGUUCAACAAACUUUACAACAACAUACCCAGUGAUAUCUCAUAAGUGAUGUCUAGUGUAUGCAAAACUUACAACUACCUCGUGAGGUAGAAAAGUUUGUUUCCAAAAGAAGCUCAGCUCAAGUGCGGCAAAUCCACGUAAAAAGAAGAAGGAAACAAUGAAGAAAAUUCCUUCACUGUUUCCAAAAAGUAUCACCUAACUUUGUUUAGCAAAAAGUAGUAACUCCGCAACAUGACCAACAACCUGUUUUCCUCUAUCAGCGCUCUGCUCAAUAAUUUUAUCACCUAAAACACAUCUGUUUCCAGGUAGUUGCCUCCUUGAUUUGAUAUUUGAAGCAGUGCUCAAAUUAGCAGCAUUAUUUUGGACUUCAAUAUGAUCAUGACCCGUAGUAGACACAACCCAAUGCAUCAGAUCCUCCUGGUCGAUCUUUCUUGUUUGUAUCCUUUUCUUUUGCAAGGAGGUCACAGAUUCAAGUCGUAGAAACAGCCCCUUCCAAAAAUGUAAGGUGAGGUUGUGUACAAUAGACCCUUGUGGUCCGGCCCUUCCUGUACCCUGCACAUAGCGGGAGCUUUAGUUCACUGGGCUAUCCCCUUUCAUCCUUUUCUCUUGCCACUUACCAUUAAUAAUCUCCCAACCCAUGUGCCAAUAUUCUCUACCUCCACUUUUGCACAAGCAAGCUUAGCUGAUCAUAGUUCUGAUGGGAUAUGUUACGCUAGUGUUGGUAUGAAUUAUGACCGCAUGCUAUCUUCGAUAUGAUAAGAAUUCCAAUAUUCCAAAUUUUUGUUUGUACAAAAUUUUGAUGAUGGUAUGGUAUUAUUCACAUAUGUUGCCAAAAAAUUUAGCAAUCUCAUUUGGAACAGGACAACUGUUUGUUCAAAAAUUUGAUGAAGAAGGAGGCACAUCAGCAAAAAAGGAUGACAAAAAUACACUAAAAUUGAGUUCAGGGGUAAUAGGACCCUUGUAAAGUUGGAGUGCAUCGUAGAAAAUUUGGUCAUAGUUCAAGAGAGUACUAGAUGCUUUACUCUAAAAUUAGUGGAUUGAAAAAAUUAGUGUCUCAUGUCAUAGUUGAACUUUUCUGUUAUGUGGGGCGUGAAAUGGGGCGAGUUAUGUAAUAAUCACAACUUUUGCAAAAGUCAAUUGUGCGCAUUUUUUAUUAAAAUUUUCCACCAUGACAAGCAAAAAUGAUUUCCAUUGUUAGUGGUGGAUGCAUCACAGAGAUAUUAAGUUUAUCUGAAUCCAAUAUUUUUAAUGUAGAGAGAAAUUUAUGUAUAGAAAUUUAUUAAAUUUGCACCAAAAUUAAGUUCAAACUCAUAGUUUUAUGUCACAACCUGAACCGGGGCCCUGGUCGUGAUGGGCAUCCUGAACUAUGGAGGCUUGAGCACCUCUUUUCUAUCUGGUAAUCAUGAACACCAUUCACAUACAAUAAAGAAAAAUGCGGAAAUAAACUGUAAUACCUCGGGAAAUUUUUCGUUGAAAUUUUGUGCGUAAAAGUGUUGGGUUCUAUCUUCUAGAAUGAACUAUAAAUUUUCGUGCGGAAUGUCUUAGAUUAUGACCCACCUUUGCGUAGAGUAUCAAAUAAUAUUUCCAAAGAUAUGUGGAUCAUCCAAAACGGACACCGAGCGACGAGUUAUGAACAUUCCGAUCGAACCGUGAAUAGUAGUGAACAAUAAAACGUGCAGGAAAAAGUACUGAGGCCUGGCGUAUUUUUGCUUCGACUUUAAAUGAUCAUAAUUCCUUGUACAUAAUGAUCUGGGUGAUUUACUAAAUAUCAACGGAAAGCUCUAUGAGUCCUCUUUCCAAUGAAAUUUUUUUCAUCCAAUUUGUCUAUCGGAGCAAAAAGUUAUGGUCAAUCUACUUCAGCGUACCAAAAAGUAAAUAUUUGGGUCAACUUCAAACGAUCAUAACUCCUCGUACACAAUGAUCUGGGUGAGAUACUAUAUUUCAAUGAAAAGAUAUGAGAGUCCUCUUUCUAAUGAAAUUGGUUUCAUCCAAUUUGUAUAUCGGAGUAAAACGUUAUGGUUGAUCUACUUCAGACUAUCAAAACAGUCCACCAAAGGAUAGAUUCGAGAAUUAUUAGAUUUUUAGGGGCGAUUUGGUCAUUCCCCCACCCAAAAUCCGUCCAAACCCUAUAUUAAAGUCUAUUAGAAGCAUUAUAUGUUAUAUUUCAUCAAAUUCCCUCAAACAGAAAACCCUAAGCUCCUACAUCCAACUUUAAGAACCUCCAAAGUUCACCAUUAAUUCUGCAAAUUUAUUCAAGAUUCCAAGUUCCUAGUUCAANNNNNNNNNNNNNNNNNNNNNNNNNNNNNNNNNNNNNNNNNNNNNNNNNNNNNNNNNNNNNNNNNNNNNNNNNNNNNNNNNNNNNNNNNNNNNNNNNNNNNNNNNNNNNNNNNNNNNNNNNNNNNNNNNNNNNNNNNNNNNNNNNNNNNNNNNNNNNNNNNNNNNNNNNNNNNNNNNNNNNNNNNNNNNNNNNNNNNNNNNNNNNNNNNNNNNNNNNNNNNNNNNNNNNNNNNNNNNNNNNNNNNNNNNNNNNNNNNNNNNNNNNNNNNNNNNNNNNNNNNNNNNNNNNNNNNNNNNNNNNNNNNNNNNNNNNNNNNNNNNNNNNNNNNNNNNNNNNNNNNNNNNNNNNNNNNNNNNNNNNNNNNNNNNNNNNNNNNNNNNNNNNNNNNNNNNNNNNNNNNNNNNNNNNNNNNNNNNNNNNNNNNNNNNNNNNNNNNNNNNNNNNNNNNNNNNNNNNNNNNNNNNNNNNNNNNNNNNNNNNNNNNNNNNNNNNNNNNNNNNNNNNNNNNNNNNNNNNNNNNNNNNNNNNNNNNNNNNNNNNNNNNNNNNNNNNNNNNNNNNNNNNNNNNNNNNNNNNNNNNNNNNNNNNNNNNNNNNNNNNNNNNNNNNNNNNNNNNNNNNNNNNNNNNNNNNNNNNNNNNNNNNNNNNNNNNNNNNNNNNNNNNNNNNNNNNNNNNNNNNNNNNNNNNNNNNNNNNNNNNNNNNNNNNNNNNNNNNNNNNNNNNNNNNNNNNNNNNNNNNNNNNNNNNNNNNNNNNNNNNNNNNNNNNNNNNNNNNNNNNNNNNNNNNNNNNNNNNNNNNNNNNNNNNNNNNNNNNNNNNNNNNNNNNNNNNNNNNNNNNNNNNNNNNNNNNNNNNNNNNNNNNNNNNNNNNNNNNNNNNNNNNNNNNNNNNNNNNNNNNNNNNNNNNNNNNNNNNNNNNNNNNNNNNNNNNNNNNNNNNNNNNNNNNNNNNNNNNNNNNNNNNNNNNNNNNNNNNNNNNNNNNNNNNNNNNNNNNNNNNNNNNNNNNNNNNNNNNNNNNNNNNNNNNNNNNNNNNNNNNNNNNNNNNNNNNNNNNNNNNNNNNNNNNNNNNNNNNNNNNNNNNNNNNNNNNNNNNNNNNNNNNNNNNNNNNNNNNNNNNNNNNNNNNNNNNNNNNNNNNNNNNNNNNNNNNNNNNNNNNNNNNNNNNNNNNNNNNNNNNNNNNNNNNNNNNNNNNNNNNNNNNNNNNNNNNNNNNNNNNNNNNNNNNNNNNNNNNNNNNNNNNNNNNNNNNNNNNNNNNNNNNNNNNNNNNNNNNNNNNNNNNNNNNNNNNNNNNNNNNNNNNNNNNNNNNNNNNNNNNNNNNNNNNNNNNNNNNNNNNNNNNNNNNNNNNNNNNNNNNNNNNNNNNNNNNNNNNNNNNNNNNNNNNNNNNNNNNNNNNNNNNNNNNNNNNNNNNNNNNNNNNNNNNNNNNNNNNNNNNNNNNNNNNNNNNNNNNNNNNNNNNNNNNNNNNNNNNNNNNNNNNNNNNNNNNNNNNNNNNNNNNNNNNNNNNNNNNNNNNNNNNNNNNNNNNNNNNNNNNNNNNNNNNNNNNNNNNNNNNNNNNNNNNNNNNNNNNNNNNNNNNNNNNNNNNNNNNNNNNNNNNNNNNNNNNNNNNNNNNNNNNNNNNNNNNNNNNNNNNNNNNNNNNNNNNNNNNNNNNNNNNNNNNNNNNNNNNNNNNNNNNNNNNNNNNNNNNNNNNNNNNNNNNNNNNNNNNNNNNNNNNNNNNNNNNNNNNNNNNNNNNNNNNNNNNNNNNNNNNNNNNNNNNNNNNNNNNNNNNNNNNNNNNNNNNNNNNNNNNNNNNNNNNNNNNNNNNNNNNNNNNNNNNNNNNNNNNNNNNNNNNNNNNNNNNNNNNNNNNNNNNNNNNNNNNNNNNNNNNNNNNNNNNNNNNNNNNNNNNNNNNNNNNNNNNNNNNNNNNNNNNNNNNNNNNNNNNNNNNNNNNNNNNNNNNNNNNNNNNNNNNNNNNNNNNNNNNNNNNNNNNUAGAAAGCUUAUUUCCAAAGGGUGUAUUUACCAUUUGGUUAGAGUUAAAGACACUAAGUUUGAGACUCCAACUCUCCAGUCUGUUAACAUCAUCAAUGAGUUUUCUUAUGUCUUUCCAAAUGAUCUUCCAGGGAUACCUCCUGAUAGAGAGAUAGAGUUCGAGGUUGAUCUUCUUCCCCAUACUCAGCCCAUUUCUAUUCCUCCUUACCGUAUAGCCCCUGCAGAACUUAAGGAGUUGAAAGAGCAACUCAAAGAUCUAUUAGAUAAGGGUUUUAUGAGGCCUAGUGUUUCUCCUUGGGGUGCUCCUGUGUUGUUUGUAAGAAAGAAAGAUGGCUCUUUGCGUAUGUGCAUUGAUUACCGCNNNNNNNNNNNNNNNNNNNNNNNNNNNNNNNNNNNNNNNNNNNNNNNNNNNNNNNNNNNNNNNNNNNNNNNNNNNNNNNNNNNNNNNNNNNNNNNNNNNNNNNNNNNNNNNNNNNNNNNNNNNNNNNNNNNNNNNNNNNNNNNNNNNNNNNNNNNNNNNNNNNNNNNNNNNNNNNNNNNNNNNNNNNNNNNNNNNNNNNNNNNNNNNNNNNNNNNNNNNNNNNNNNNNNNNNNNNNNNNNNNNNNNNNNNNNNNNNNNNNNNNNNNNNNNNNNNNNNNNNNNNNNNNNNNNNNNNNNNNNNNNNNNNNNNNNNNNNNNNNNNNNNNNNNNNNNNNNNNNNNNNNNNNNNNNNNNNNNNNNNNNNNNNNNNNNNNNNNNNNNNNNNNNNNNNNNNNNNNNNNNNNNNNNNNNNNNNNNNNNNNNNNNNNNNNNNNNNNNNNNNNNNNNNNNNNNNNNNNNNNNNNNNNNNNNNNNNNNNNNNNNNNNNNNNNNNNNNNNNNNNNNNNNNNNNNNNNNNNNNNNNNNNNNNNNNNNNNNNNNNNNNNNNNNNNNNNNNNNNNNNNNNNNNNNNNNNNNNNNNNNNNNNNNNNNNNNNNNNNNNNNNNNNNNNNNNNNNNNNNNNNNNNNNNNNNNNNNNNNNNNNNNNNNNNNNNNNNNNNNNNNNNNNNNNNNNNNNNNNNNNNNNNNNNNNNNNNNNNNNNNNNNNNNNNNNNNNNNNNNNNNNNNNNNNNNNNNNNNNNNNNNNNNNNNNNNNNNNNNNNNNNNNNNNNNNNNNNNNNNNNNNNNNNNNNNNNNNNNNNNNNNNNNNNNNNNNNNNNNNNNNNNNNNNNNNNNNNNNNNNNNNNNNNNNNNNNNNNNNNNNNNNNNNNNNNNNNNNNNNNNNNNNNNNNNNNNNNNNNNNNNNNNNNNNNNNNNNNNNNNNNNNNNNNNNNNNNNNNNNNNNNNNNNNNNNNNNNNNNNNNNNNNNNNNNNNNNNNNNNNNNNNNNNNNNNNNNNNNNNNNNNNNNNNNNNNNNNNNNNNNNNNNNNNNNNNNNNNNNNNNNNNNNNNNNNNNNNNNNNNNNNNNNNNNNNNNNNNNNNNNNNNNNNNNNNNNNNNNNNNNNNNNNNNNNNNNNNNNNNNNNNNNNNNNNNNNNNNNNNNNNNNNNNNNNNNNNNNNNNNNNNNNNNNNNNNNNNNNNNNNNNNNNNNNNNNNNNNNNNNNNNNNNNNNNNNNNNNNNNNNNNNNNNNNNNNNNNNNNNNNNNNNNNNNNNNNNNNNNNNNNNNNNNNNNNNNNNNNNNNNNNNNNNNNNNNNNNNNNNNNNNNNNNNNNNNNNNNNNNNNNNNNNNNNNNNNNNNNNNNNNNNNNAAAGUAGAGGUUUUCUCCCAAGGGGGAGAUGGUGUGUUGAGAUUGCAGGGUAGAUUGUGUGUCCCAAAUGUUGAUGAUCUAAGACAGAGGAUUAUGGCUGAAGCGCAGGGGGCGCGAUAUUCUAUUCAUCCUGGUGCCACCAAGAUGUAUUGAGACUUACGUAAAAUCUAUUGGUGGAGUAGAAUGCAGAAAGAUAUAGCAGCAUUUGUAGCUAAGUGUGCAAUAUGCCAAUAGGUUAACGUUGAACACCAAAGACCUGGUGGUAUGAUGCAAGAGUUUAUUAUUCCCACCUAGAAGUAGGAAGAGAUAAUUAUGGACUUCGUGAUUGGUUUACCUUCUUCCCGACACCAUCAUGAUUCCGUUUGGGUUGUGGUUGAUAGGUUGACUAAGUCUGCUCAUUUCUUGCCUGUUCAUACUUCAUAUACUGCUGAGGAUUACGCUAGAUUGUACAUCCUAGAGCUAGUAAGACUGCAUGGAGUUCCCUUGUCUAUCAUUUCGGAUAGGGGUACUCAGUUCUCUUCGUAAUUUUGUAAAGCUUUUCAGAAGGGUCUUGGUACCUAAGUGCUUUUGAGUUCUGCUUUUCAUCCGUAGACCGAUGGUCAGGCUGAGCGGACCAUCCAAACCUUAGAGGAUAUGUUGAGAGCUUGUGCACUUGACUUUAAGGGAAGUUGGGAUGAUCACUUACCGUUGAUAUAGUUUGCUUAAAAUAACAAUUUCGACUCUAGUAUUGGCAUGGCUCCGUUUGAAGCCUUAUAUGGGAGGAAGUGUAGAUCACCCAUAGGUUGGUUUGAGAUGGGUGAAGCGGCUGUGAGUGGUCCUGAUUCGGUAAUUAAGGCUAUGAAAAAAUUUAAGUUGAUUAGGGAAAGGUUUAAAACUGUGUAGAGUCGUCAGAAGUCAUAUGCGGAUGUUAGAAGGAGAGACCUUGAGUUUGAAGUUGGUGACCUAGUGUAUCUGAAAAUUUCACCCAUGAGGGGGGUAAAGAGAUUCGGAAAGAAGGGGAAGCUUAGUCCCUAUUAUGUUGGUCCUUACAAAAUUNNNNNNNNNNNNNNNNNNNNNNNNNNNNNNNNNNNNNNNNNNNNNNNNNNNNNNNNNNNNNNNNNNNNNNNNNNNNNNNNNNNNNNNNNNNNNNNNNNNNNNNNNNNNNNNNNNNNNNNNNNNNNNNNNNNNNNNNNNNNNNNNNNNNNNNNNNNNNNNNNNNNNNNNNNNNNNNNNNNNNNNNNNNNNNNNNNNNNNNNNNNNNNNNNNNNNNNNNNNNNNNNNNNNNNNNNNNNNNNNNNNNNNNNNNNNNNNNNNNNNNNNNNNNNNNNNNNNNNNNNNNNNNNNNNNNNNNNNNNNNNNNNNNNNNNNNNNNNNNNNNNNNNNNNNNNNNNNNNNNNNNNNNNNNNNNNNNNNNNNNNNNNNNNNNNNNNNNNNNNNNNNNNNNNNNNNNNNNNNNNNNNNNNNNNNNNNNNNNNNNNNNNNNNNNNNNNNNNNNNNNNNNNNNNNNNNNNNNNNNNNNNNNNNNNNNNNNNNNNNNNNNNNNNNNNNNNNNNNNNNNNNNNNNNNNNNNNNNNNNNNNNNNNNNNNNNNNNNNNNNNNNNNNNNNNNNNNNNNNNNNNNNNNNNNNNNNNNNNNNNNNNNNNNNNNNNNNNNNNNNNNNNNNNNNNNNNNNNNNNNNNNNNNNNNNNNNNNNNNNNNNNNNNNNNNNNNNNNNNNNNNNNNNNNNNNNNNNNNNNNNNNNNNNNNNNNNNNNNNNNNNNNNNNNNNNNNNNNNNNNNNNNNNNNNNNNNNNNNNNNNNNNNNNNNNNNNNNNNNNNNNNNNNNNNNNNNNNNNNNNNNNNNNNNNNNNNNNNNNNNNNNNNNNNNNNNNNNNNNNNNNNNNNNNNNNNNNNNNNNNNNNNNNNNNNNNNNNNNNNNNNNNNNNNNNNNNNNNNNNNNNNNNNNNNNNNNNNNNNNNNNNNNNNNNNNNNNNNNNNNNNNNNNNNNNNNNNNNNNNNNNNNNNNNNNNNNNNNNNNNNNNNNNNNNNNNNNNNNNNNNNNNNNNNNNNNNNNNNNNNNNNNNNNNNNNNNNNNNNNNNNNNNNNNNNNNNNNNNNNNNNNNNNNNNNNNNNNNNNNNNNNNNNNNNNNNNNNNNNNNNNNNNNNNNNNNNNNNNNNNNNNNNNNNNNNNNNNNNNNNNNNNNNNNNNNNNNNNNNNNNNNNNNNNNNNNNNNNNNNNNNNNNNNNNNNNNNNNNNNNNNNNNNNNNNNNNNNNNNNNNNNNNNNNNNNNNNNNNNNNNNNNNNNNNNNNNNNNNNNNNNNNNNNNNNNNNNNNNNNNNNNNNNNNNNNNNNNNNNNNNNNNNNNNNNNNNNNNNNNNNNNNNNNNNNNNNNNNNNNNNNNNNNNNNNNNNNNNNNNNNNNNNNNNNNNNNNNNNNNNNNNNNNNNNNNNNNNNNNNNNNNNNNNNNNNNNNNNNAAAUUCUUUUAUUCUUGGAUGAUGAUUACUUUAUUGAUAUUUGAGGGUUAUUUAUGGAAACCCCAUUCAUUUGUGUUGAACUGAAUGAAAAUGGCUCAAAGGGUUAGCUUGGGGAUACUCGUAGCCUCAAGCAUCGUGUGAUGCUCCGGGACCCGUGUUCCGGGGUGUUACAAACUUGGUAUCAAAGUCUAAUGUUUUAAGGUGUCCUAGGGAGUCUGACAAGCCGCGUUAAGUAGAGUCUUGAUCAUCGAUGUGUAGCAUGCCACAUCUAUGAGCAAGAGGCUACAAGACGUUUUAGGAAAAAGUGUGAUUCUUUGUUUCAAAAGUCUAUCGUGCUUAGAGUGUCUCUCUCUGCUAUUGAUUCAUGCUCUCCUCUUUCAGAAAUAUGCGUCUAUUGAUUGUCGGACCCGAGUGGUCAAGUUUCAAUUUCUGGGUGCAUCCGUGUUUGAGUGGUCUGGGAAUUCUGUGUCACCCAAGAGUCAUUUUUAUCUCUUAUCUCAAAGAUAGAAAGCUUAUUUCCAAGGGGUGUAUUUACCAUUUGGUUAGAAUCAAAGACACUAAGUCUGAGACUCCAACUCUCCAGUCUGUUAACAUCAUCAAUGAGUUUUCUUAUGUCUUUCCGGAUGAUCUCCCAGGGAUACCUCCUGAUAGAGAGAUAGAGUUCGGGAUUGAUCUGCUUCCCCAUACUCAGCCCAUUUCUAUUCCUCCUUACCGUAUAGCCCCUGCAGAACUUAAGGAGUUGAAAGAGCAACUCAAAGAUCUAUUAGAUAAGGGUUUUAUAAGGCCCAGUGUUUCUCCUUGGGGUGCUCCUGUGUUGUUUGUAAGAAAGAAAGAUGGCUCUUUGCGUAUGUGCAUUGAUUACCGCCAACUGAAUAAAGUCACCGUAAAAAAUAAGUACNNNNNNNNNNNNNNNNNNNNNNNNNAUUCAAGAAAAUCUUUCUUUUGAUGAGAUUCCUAUUAAGAUUCUUGAUUUCAGUGUCCGAAGACUAAGGAAUAAAGAAGUUCCCUUGGUCAAGGUGUUGUGACAAAACCAAUCUGUUGAGGGUGCAACUUGGGAAGCUGAGGCGGAUAUGCGAUCCAAGUACCCGCACCUAUUUUCCGCGAACAUCAAUCAAGCCGAAGGUACCAUUCUUUCAUAAAUCAUGCACUUUUGAUAGAGAGUUGCAGCAGUGCAGCUGUCAUUUAAAUUGUGUUCAGCUGUAGUUUCUUGAAUUUAUGCAUUCUAUGUUGCAUUCGGAGUGAGAAACGAUGUGGUGAUCAGUCUAACGAAUGGUUUCAGCUGUAUGCUCUAUUCCCUCUCUAAUCUUUGCAUGUCUAUCAUCAUUCAAGGAUGAAUGUUUCCAGGGGGGAUGAUGUAAUACCCCAAGAAAUUGUUCGUUGAAAUUUUGUGUGUAAACGUGUUGGGUUCUAUCUUCUAGAAAUAAUUAUGAAUUUUUCGUGUGAAAUGUCUUAUAUUAUGACCAACCAUUACGUAGAGUAUCGAAUAACCUUUCCAAUUAUAUGUGGAUCAUCCAAAACGGACACCCGAGCGACGAGUUAUGAACAUUCCGAUCGAACCGUGAAUAGUAGUGAACAGUAAAAUGUGCAGGAAAAAGUACUGAGGCCUAGCGUAUUUUUGCUCCAACUUUAAAUGAUCAUAAAUCCUUGUACAUAAUGAUCUGGGUGAUCUACUAUAUAUCAACGGAAAGUUCUGUGAGUUCUCUUUCCAAUGAAAUUGGUUUCAUUCAAUUUGUCUAUCAGAUCAAAAAGUUAUGGUCAAUGUACUUCAUCCUAUCAAAAGCGAAUUUUUGGGUCAACUUCAAAUGAUCAUAACUCCUCGUACACAAUGAUCUGGGUGAGAUACUAUAUAUCAACAGAAAUAUAUGAGAGUUCUCUUUUUAAUGAAAUUAGUUUCAUCCAAUUUGGAUAUCGGAGUAAAACGUUAUGGUUGAUCUACUUCUGACUAUCAAAAAAGUCCACCAAAGGACAGAUUCGAGAAUUAUUUGAUUUUUAGGGGCGUUUUGGUCAUUCUCCCUCACCCAAAAUCGGUCCAAACCCUAUAUUAAAGCCUAUUAGAAGCAUUAUAUGUUAUAUUUCAUCAAAUUCCCUCAAAAAGAAAACCCUAAGCUCCUACAUCCAACUUCAAGAACCUCCAAAGUUCAACAUUAAUUCUGCAAAUUUAUUCAAGAUUCCAAGUUCCUAGUUCAACAACUUCAAGAACCUCCAAAGUUCACCAUUAAUUCUGCAAAUUUAUUNNNNNNNNNNNNNNNNNNNNNNNNNNNNNNNNNNNNNNNNNNNNNNNNNNNNNNNNNNNNNNNNNNNNNNNNNNNNNNNNNNNNNNNNNNNNNNNNNNNNNNNNNNNNNNNNNNNNUCAACAAGAAUUCUCUUUCGUUCUUGUGCCCAAAAGUAAUUUUCUUUACAAAGGCAUGAUUUUUAUUUGAUCCUUUAUUCUUGGAUGAUGAUUACUUUAUUGAUAUUUGAGGGUUAUUUAUGGAAACCCCAUUCAUUUGUGUUGAACUGAAUGAAAAUGGCUCAAAGGGUUAGCUUGGGGAUACUCGUAGCCUCAAGCAUCGUGUGAUGCUCCGGGACCCGUGUUCCGGGGUGUUACAAACUUGGUAUCAAAGUCUAAUGUUUUAAGGUGUCCUAGGGAGUCUGACAAGCCGCGUUAAGUAGAGUCUUGAUCAUCGAUGUGUAGCAUGCCACAUCUAUGAGCAAGAGGCUACAAGACGUUUUAGGAAAAAGUGUGAUUCUUUGUUUCAAAAGUCUAUCGUGCUUAGAGUGUCUCUCUCUGCUAUUGAUUCAUGCUCUCCUCUUUCAGAAAUAUGCGUCUAUUGAUUGUCGGACCCGAGUGGUCAAGUUUCAAUUUCUGGGUGCAUCCGUGUUUGAGUGGUCUGGGAAUUCUGUGUCACCCAAGAGUCAUUUUUAUCUCUUAUCUCAAAGAUAGAAAGCUUAUUUCCAAGGGGUGUAUUUACCAUUUGGUUAGAAUCAAAGACACUAAGUCUGAGACUCCAACUCUCCAGUCUGUUAACAUCAUCAAUGAGUUUUCUUAUGUCUUUCCGGAUGAUCUCCCAGGGAUACCUCCUGAUAGAGAGAUAGAGUUCGGGAUUGAUCUGCUUCCCCAUACUCAGCCCAUUUCUAUUCCUCCUUACCGUAUAGCCCCUGCAGAACUUAAGGAGUUGAAAGAGCAACUCAAAGAUCUAUUAGAUAAGGGUUUUAUAAGGCCCAGUGUUUCUCCUUGGGGUGCUCCUGUGUUGUUUGUAAGAAAGAAAGAUGGCUCUUUGCGUAUGUGCAUUGAUUACCGCCAACUGAAUAAAGUCACCGUAAAAAAUAAGUACNNNNNNNNNNNNNNNNNNNNNNNNNNNNNNNNNNNNNNNNNNNNNNNNNNNNNNNNNNNNNNNNNNNNNNNNNNNNNNNNNNNNNNNNNNNNNNNNNNNNNNNNNNNNNNNNNNNNNNNNNNNNNNNNNNNNNNNNNNNNNNNNNNNNNNNNNNNNNNNNNNNNNNNNNNNNNNNNNNNNNNNNNNNNNNNNNNNNNNNNNNNNNNNNNNNNNNNNNNNNNNNNNNNNNNNNNNNNNNNNNNNNNNNNNNNNNNNNNNNNNNNNNNNNNNNNNNNNNNNNNNNNNNNNNNNNNNNNNNNNNNNNNNNNNNNNNNNNNNNNNNNNNNNNNNNNNNNNNNNNNNNNNNNNNNNNNNNNNNNNNNNNNNNNNNNNNNNNNNNNNNNNNNNNNNNNNNNNNNNNNNNNNNNNNNNNNNNNNNNNNNNNNNNNNNNNNNNNNNNNNNNNNNNNNNNNNNNNNNNNNNNNNNNNNNNNNNNNNNNNNNNNNNNNNNNNNNNNNNNNNNNNNNNNNNNNNNNNNNNNNNNNNNNNNNNNNNNNNNNNNNNNNNNNNNNNNNNNNNNNNNNNNNNNNNNNNNNNNNNNNNNNNNNNNNNNNNNNNNNNNNNNNNNNNNNNNNNNNNNNNNNNNNNNNNNNNNNNNNNNNNNNNNNNNNNNNNNNNNNNNNNNNNNNNNNNNNNNNNNNNNNNNNNNNNNNNNNNNNNNNNNNNNNNNNNNNNNNNNNNNNNNNNNNNNNNNNNNNNNNNNNNNNNNNNNNNNNNNNNNNNNNNNNNNNNNNNNNNNNNNNNNNNNNNNNNNNNNNNNNNNNNNNNNNNNNNNNNNNNNNNNNNNNNNNNNNNNNNNNNNNNNNNNNNNNNNNNNNNNNNNNNNNNNNNNNNNNNNNNNNNNNNNNNNNNNNNNNNNNNNNNNNNNNNNNNNNNNNNNNNNNNNNNNNNNNNNNNNNNNNNNNNNNNNNNNNNNNNNNNNNNNNNNNNNNNNNNNNNNNNNNNNNNNNNNNNNNNNNNNNNNNNNNNNNNNNNNNNNNNNNNNNNNNNNNNNNNNNNNNNNNNNNNNNNNNNNNNNNNNNNNNNNNNNNNNNNNNNNNNNNNNNNNNNNNNNNNNNNNNNNNNNNNNNNNNNNNNNNNNNNNNNNNNNNNNNNNNNNNNNNNNNNNNNNNNNNNNNNNNNNNNNNNNNNNNNNNNNNNNNNNNNNNNNNNNNNNNNNNNNNNNNNNNNNNNNNNNNNNNNNNNNNNNNNNNNNNNNNNNNNNNNNNNNNNNNNNNNNNNNNNNNNNNNNNNNNNNNNNNNNNNNNNNNNNNNNNNNNNNNNNNNNNNNNNNNNNNNNNNNNNNNNNNNNNNNNNNNNNNNNNNNNNNNNNNNNNNNNNNNNNNNNNNNNNNNNNNNNNNNNNNNNNNNNNNNNNNNNNNNNNNNNNNNNNNNNNNNNNNNNNNNNNNNNNNNNNNNNNNNNNNNNNNNNNNNNNNNNNNNNNNNNNNNNNNNNNNNNNNNNNNNNNNNNNNNNNNNNNNNNNNNNNNNNNNNNNNNNNNNNNNNNNNNNNNNNNNNNNNNNNNNNNNNNNNNNNNNNNNNNNNNNNNNNNNNNNNNNNNNNNNNNNNNNNNNNNNNNNNNNNNNNNNNNNNNNNNNNNNNNNNNNNNNNNNNNNNNNNNNNNNNNNNNNNNNNNNNNNNNNNNNNNNNNNNNNNNNNNNNNNNNNNNNNNNNNNNNNNNNNNNNNNNNNNNNNNNNNNNNNNNNNNNNNNNNNNNNNNNNNNNNNNNNNNNNNNNNNNNNNNNNNNNNNNNNNNNNNNNNNNNNNNNNNNNNNNNNNNNNNNNNNNNNNNNNNNNNNNNNNNNNNNNNNNNNNNNNNNNNNNNNNNNNNNNNNNNNNNNNNNNNNNNNNNNNNNNNNNNNNNNNNNNNNNNNNNNNNNNNNNNNNNNNNNNNNNNNNNNNNNNNNNNNNNNNNNNNNNNNNNNNNNNNNNNNNNNNNNNNNNNNNNNNNNNNNNNNNNNNNNNNNNNNNNNNNNNNNNNNNNNNNNNNNNNNNNNNNNNNNNNNNNNNNNNNNNNNNNNNNNNNNNNNNNNNNNNNNNNNNNNNNNNNNNNNNNNNNNNNNNNNNNNNNNNNNNNNNNNNNNNNNNNNNNNNNNNNNNNNNNNNNNNNNNNNNNNNNNNNNNNNNNNNNNNNNNNNNNNNNNNNNNNNNNNNNNNNNNNNNNNNNNNNNNNNNNNNNNNNNNNNNNNNNNNNNNNNNNNNNNNNNNNNNNNNNNNNNNNNNNNNNNNNNNNNNNNNNNNNNNNNNNNNNNNNNNNNNNNNNNNNNNNNNNNNNNNNNNNNNNNNNNNNNNNNNNNNNNNNNNNNNNNNNNNNNNNNNNNNNNNNNNNNNNNNNNNNNNNNNNNNNNNNNNNNNNNNNNNNNNNNNNNNNNNNNNNNNNNNNNNNNNNNNNNNNNNNNNNNNNNNNNNNNNNNNNNNNNNNNNNNNNNNNNNNNNNNNNNNNNNNNNNNNNNNNNNNNNNNNNNNNNNNNNNNNNNNNNNNNNNNNNNNNNNNNNNNNNNNNNNNNNNNNNNNNNNNNNNNNNNNNNNNNNNNNNNNNNNNNNNNNNNNNNNNNNNNNNNNNNNNNNNNNNNNNNNNNNNNNNNNNNNNNNNNNNNNNNNNNNNNNNNNNNNNNNNNNNNNNNNNNNNNNNNNNNNNNNNNNNNAAUCUUUCUUUUGAUGAGAUUUUUGUUGAGAUUCUUGAUUUCAGUGUCCGACGACUAAGGAACAAAGAAGUUCCGUUGGUCAAGGUAUUGUGACGAAACCAAUCUGUUGAGGGUGCAACUUGGGAAGCUGAGGCGGAUAUGCGAUCCAAGUACCUACACCUAUUUUUUGCGAACAUCGAUCAAGCCGAAGGUACUGUUCUUUCCUAAAUCAUGCACUUUUGAUAGAAGUUGCAGCAGUGCAGCUGUCAUUUAUUAUGUGUUCAGCUGUAGUUUCUUGAAUUUAUGCAUUCUAUGUUGCAUUCGGAGUGAGAAACGAUGUGGUGAUGAGUCUAACGAAUGGUUUCAGCUGUAUGCUCUAUUCCCUAUCUAAUCUUUGCAUGUAUAGCAUCAUUCGAGUAUGAAUGUUUCCAAGGGGGGAUGAUGUAAUACCCCAAGAAAUUUUUUGUUGAAACUUUGUGCGUAAACGUGUUGGGUUCUAUCUUCUAGAAAUAAUUAUAAAUUUUUCAUGUGAAAUGUCUUAGAUUAUGAUCCACCAUUAUGUAGAGUAUCGAAUAAACUUUCCAACGAUAUGUGGAUCAUCUAAAAAGGACACCCGAGCGACGGGUUAUGAACAUUCCGAUAGAACCGUGAAUAGUAGUGAACAGUAAAACGUGCAGGAAAAAGUACUGAGGCCUGGCGUAUUUUUGCUCCAACUUUAAAUGAUCAUAAAUCCUUGUAAAUAAUGAUCUGGGUGAUCUACUAUNNNNNNNNNNNNNNNNNNNNNNNNNNNNNNNNNNNNNNNNNNNNNNNNNNNNNNNNNNNNNNNNNNNNNNNNNNNNNNNNNNNNNNNNNNNNNNNNNNNNNNNNNNNNNNNNNNNNNNNNNNNNNNNNNNNNNNNNNNNNNNNNNNNNNNNNNNNNNNNNNNNNNNNNNNNNNNNNNNNNNNNNNNNNNNNNNNNNNNNNNNNNNNNNNNNNNNNNNNNNNNNNNNNNNNNNNNNNNNNNNNNNNNNNNNNNNNNNNNNNNNNNNNNNNNNNNNNNNNNNNNNNNNNNNNNNNNNNNNNNNNNNNNNNNNNNNNNNNNNNNNNNNNNNNNNNNNNNNNNNNNNNNNNNNNNNNNNNNNNNNNNNNNNNNNNNNNNNNNNNNNNNNNNNNNNNNNNNNNNNNNNNNNNNNNNNNNNNNNNNNNNNNNNNNNNNNNNNNNNNNNNNNNNNNNNNNNNNNNNNNNNNNNNNNNNNNNNNNNNNNNNNNNNNNNNNNNNNNNNNNNNNNNNNNNNNNNNNNNNNNNNNNNNNNNNNNNNNNNNNNNNNNNNNNNNNNNNNNNNNNNNNNNNNNNNNNNNNNNNNNNNNNNNNNNNNNNNNNNNNNNNNNNNNNNNNNNNNNNNNNNNNNNNNNNNNNNNNNNNNNNNNNNNNNNNNNNNNNNNNNNNNNNNNNNNNNNNNNNNNNNNNNNNNNNNNNNNNNNNNNNNNNNNNNNNNNNNNNNNNNNNNNNNNNNNNNNNNNNNNNNNNNNNNNNNNNNNNNNNNNNNNNNNNNNNNNNNNNNNNNNNNNNNNNNNNNNNNNNNNNNNNNNNNNNNNNNNNNNNNNNNNNNNNNNNNNNNNNNNNNNNNNNNNNNNNNNNNNNNNNNNNNNNNNNNNNNNNNNNNNNNNNNNNNNNNNNNNNNNNNNNNNNNNNNNNNNNNNNNNNNNNNNNNNNNNNNNNNNNNNNNNNNNNNNNNNNNNNNNNNNNNNNNNNNNNNNNNNNNNNNNNNNNNNNNNNNNNNNNNNNNNNNNNNNNNNNNNNNNNNNNNNNNNNNNNNNNNNNNNNNNNNNNNNNNNNNNNNNNNNNNNNNNNNNNNNNNNNNNNNNNNNNNNNNNNNNNNNNNNNNNNNNNNNNNNNNNNUUUUGUUGUGGAUUGUCUUUGAAAUGAUCUGAGCUAAGUCCGGGAGAAAUCUUUAGCACCGAGUGGGAGGUAUAAAGCGACCUUACUUCCCUAGAACUACGUGCCCCCGUAGGAGUGAGCCUGAGGCUGAUUUAUAUAAUGAUCACUAGUUUGUGUGGAUUGAUAUCGAUAGUUCUACUUUGAUGGCAAGGAUAGGACGGCUCUCCCCAACGUGGGUUGUACGUUGGACUCCAUGUAGCUCAAAUGGUUUAUGUCAGUUAUAGGAUUUCCUAGUGUGUGUGUUUUUCCUUUUGUCUAUGGUGAAUGGUGAAGUGAUUUGAAAGUGGAGUUGUGAAAGUUAUUCUUUCGAAAGAUUUAAAUGAUAUUUACAUUAUGAGAAUUGAUAUUCUUGAUGAACUGAAAGUGAUUGAUAAAUUAUAUGAUGACUCACAUGUGUUAUUGUACUUAUUUCAUCCUUUCAUGAUUAUGAUGAUUUUCUUCGGGCUAUGUGAGUCUUUCAUACAUCCUGCAUAUUUCUUAUAAAUAUUUAUGAUGAUGAUGUUUAUACAACUGCAUACCACCCAUAUACUCGGUUUUUUUCCACAUCUUCAGAUGUGGGCUGCAUUUUCUCGGAAUGUAGGUUCAGGUGCUCAGUUCUAGGUUCGACAGUGAUUCUUCGGGCACGCUGUUGUACAUCCUCUGUUGUUGUGAGUCCUCAUGUUCUGAGGACGUGAGUCUGAUGUUGGUUUCACGGAAUUGUUUACAUUUGAUAAUUGAGUAUGAGUCAGUUAGGGCAUGUCUCAAUGGCUCGCUGGUUUUAUUGAUUUUCUUAGACGCUUGUCAGACUAGUAUAGAUGUUGGGAGUUGACUAAUAAGUCGUAUUUUGUUAUCUUUUUGAAAUUAUUUUAUUCUUGGAUGAUGAUUACUCUGUUGAUGUUUGAGGGUUAUUUAUGGAAAUAUCAUUGAUUUGUGAUGAACUGAAUGAAAAUGGCUCAAAGGGUUAGUUUGGGGCUACUCGUCGCCUCAAGCACCGUGUGAGGCUUCGGAACCCAUUUUCCGGGGCGUUACAUAAACAGAGGGAAUCAUGGUCAUACUCUGAGUUCAAUUUUAUAGAAUAAAAUCAAUAGACAUCUAGACAAUAUCCAUCUCAGUCUGCAAAAUCUCUAAUACAUCAGAAUAUAAUAACUUGUCUAUAAUUGGGACAAGGCCCCAGUCGGACCCAAAACUAAAAUGCAAAACAAUACUCUAGUAACAGGCCUUCCAAAAUAAAGAAGGCUCACCAACUUCACACUUCGGUCUAAAGAUUCUACAGUUUGGAGGGACCCUGGACUGAGCCUCAGACCUUGAAAUAUAAGGGGUCAAUACAAACAUACUGGUAUGUGAAACAACUCAAAAUAGCAUGCUUUUAAUACAAAAUAGAUGAGAGCAUUUCAUAAAAAUAAUGAGCAUAAUACGUAAGUAAAAAUACAUGGGCAUACUUUAGUGAUCUCUAAAACACUUCUUGAAACCAUGACUCGCUCUAUGUUAUUCUUCUGAGCUAGUCAGUACACCCUAAAAAUCUGAAAUUCCACAGGCUAUGUGGAACCCGCCCUUAACUCGGUGGCCAAGCCUCCAAUCCAAGUAGCCGCCAGGAUUGGAGUGGUGAUAUCCCUCAUGUGAGCACACCCCAGGAUAUUCCCCCAUGUGAGAUGUCCUAAAAAUGUCAUAUCAUGUAGGAUCAUAUAUCAUAAGUCCCGUAUCGGUAACUUUGAUUUCCGGCGAUGAGCCCUUGCUCUCAAACGCCUUCUUCGGGUAACCUACUAGCUCUUUUAAGCCCAACUUUUAGUUCUUUAACGAAAACACAUUCAUACUUUUCACACAUUUAACACUAUUUUGUUCGGGGCAUGGAAUCAUCGGGUAUCGUCAUACCCUGACUUGCAAGUCAAUAAAAUCACAUCAUAUCAUGUCUGCGGCCCAUUUCACUUAUUAUCAUAUUCAUGACCACCCUAGCUUUUAAACAUCAUAUAAGAGAGUGUUACGCAAUAAACUUUUCAUUCAAAUAUUUACCAAAACAUUCUCCUCCCAAUUGUAAAAUCAAUAGGUAGUCACCUUAUAUUUGUAAUUACUUAAAAUCCAAGAAAGAUUGUUAAUUUGACAUAACGAGCAUUUAUCAUGUGAAAACACAUUCCCAACAUGUCAUAAACAAUACUAGUACAUGAUCAUUAAACAAGCACUCACCAUUAGUUUUUCGUUUAGAAAGUUCAUGCCUUUAAACAACCCAUAACAAUAUAAAUCGAAAAUAUCAUAAUAAAAGAGGGGUCUCAUUCAAACUUUCAUUGCACCCCAAAACAUAAAUAUAUUGGUAUAUUCAAAAUUCACGAUAGACGGUUCAAGACAACAUACAAUUUAUUCAAAACAACUUCAUGACAUAUACUUUUCAAACAAUUUCAAACCCUUUCUUUAUAAAUAUGAUUGGGGAUCUUUAAUGUAAGAAAAACAAUAGAAAAAUUAUGCCCAUGAUGUUUAGAGAAGUCCCACAAACCUUAGAUUAUAAUAUUUGAAAAUUGGAACCCAAAUCUUGAUCCGUUUCUUGAAAUCUUGAGCUUAAGGAUUGAUUCUUGAUUUCUUGUUCUUAGAGGAAACCCUAGUUUGAUCUUAUUUUUUAGAGUGAAAAGAGGAUAUUGAUGUUGUAAAACUGAUAAUAGUUGAGUAAAUAACAUUUAGGGAGUUAUUUAAUUCGUGUGAGAAGUUUUUGGGAAGGGAAAGUACCAAAAUACCCCGCUAAAAAUGUACUUUUUGCGCGAUUCAACCUCGACUGACACCUCUUUGAAAAACGGGCAUAACAUUUUACCCCGAUAUCAGAUUAAGAGAAAUUGGUGGCCUUGGAAAGAGGACUCAAUGACCUUUCAUUUGAUAUAUAGUAGGAAAUCUAAUUUGUUAUUCACAAAAAUUAAUGGUAGAUGGAAGUUUACUCAAGUUUAGACGCUUACCAAAACUCAAUCGAUAGGAAAGCUUUAAACUCGUCCUUGAGUUAGUAGAUUUUAUGACCUCAAUUAAUAGUCAAAUGCAUUCAAACCCUAUAGGAUUGAUCAUUCCACAUAUAUUAACAAAGAAUCAUUGGGUUUGGGUCUAUAUGUAUAGAAAAGACGGUUUAAACUAUAUCCCGAAAGGGCGGGGUGUUACAUUAUCUCCCCCUUGGGAUCAUUCGUCCCCGAAUGAUGGAAAGAAACUUGUUAAAGCUCUAGUGGUAUGGAAUAAGGAACGUAACCUUGCAUCGAACAUUUUUCCUUAGUAAAACAUGCAAAGACAUCAAAAAAGCUUCAUGAAAACCCCUAGUGAAAUGCGUAAGCACAAAGCACGAGGUAAUGAAACUAUACAAUGGGAUGACUUUGCAUAUGAGUUCUAUGAAUCAUUAUCAUCACAACAUAAGGCAUAAUUUUAUUUGGUGAUAAUAGGCCUGAUUUAACUUGGUACAAUCAUGAGAUGGGAUUUCAUAGAAGAUAGAAUUUAGAAGCAUUCUCCACCUCACAAGAUACAACAAAAGGAUCUUAAACUUAGAGACACUAUUCAUCUAUGCCCCAACAUUAAUUAACAUACUACAUACCUUCCAACUUACAAUUCACCCAUCAUAUAUUUAAACACAAGAGUUUGUGUCCGACCUAUAAUACUUCUAUAUUGAAUCCCAACUCGAAGGAAAGAGGUGCUAACUUAAACUACUGGACUUUUCACUCUACAUCACAUUAAGAAAUCACCUCACCCUAUCACUAUAAUCCAACAACCUCAAGUCUUAAUUCAAGGAAUACUAACCACACAACAUAUUGGUUUGUGUUUUCAUCAAUCACAAAAUUCAAGCCUAUCAUUCCUACACCCUUUUCAUGGAUUUCCCAACUAAGACCAGCCAAUUCAAUCAUUCUUGCUAAGAUUUUCACCACAUAACUCUUUUUUAACUAUCUCACGUAACGAAAGCUCAUCUCCUUCUUCCCCCUUCUCCUAUAUACUUAGCUCUAGAAGUCACAUCAAAAUAUCCAUUUUCGGAAACAUCUACUCCCUCACUCAAUACACGACCACGCUUUCAUAACCACCAUCAUAUUGACAUACGAAGGGUCAUUGAGGGAUCCAAGCCUAAACAUCAUGAAUGGAUGUAACACUCGUCAAUUCAUAACUUAUACUUAUUACACUACUCAAGGAGGGACAUGAAGUAAAGAUACGAUAGAAUAGACAUGGAGUGCUUCAGAUAUCAAUUGUCUGGACCAUAAGUAAAUGGUUGUUCGGCUUAACCAUAACACAAUAUGAUUUCUUAGGACAUACUAUGGUGAGAAACAUGGGUACACAUAUCUCAUGAUUUGUAUAACAUAAGGUCGUAUUUCAUAAAGUCAAUGAUUGAGACAAAAAGUGAUACUUGAAGCUAUUACUUCUCAUUUUCAGAGCUGGGAUAGUCAUAAGUUCGCACAACUUUAUCACUUUGGCUAAUUCUGGCAUAAAAUGAUUCAGUGACAUACAAAAAUAUGUUUUCUUAGGACCAAGCAUACUGUGAGACAUAGGUUUGGAUCAUGAGCAACAUAAUAUAUGGCUUGGAUAUUUGGAAUAUUCUAUCACUGAGGGAUAUUAUUGCUCCUUUUCUGGAUAUCGAAACAUGACAUGUGUCACAUAGAGAGCUCAAACCUUAGGCAUAGGCAAGAAAUGAAUACAUAUGAAAUUGGUAGAAGUCCAUUCAAAUCGAAGUAGGUGAAGUUUGAUUUAAUAGGAAUGGAUUUAACAUGAUUCUUACUUGAAACUUGAUACAAAAAAAAAUAUUUGGGAACUACUUUAAUCCAUCAUGUUCCCCUUAGAUCAAAGUCACCCUCCUAGACUUAAGAAUAUAACCUUUCAUCAAUCUAAAACCACAGUUCUCAAUACAAUAGGGGAUAUCAGUAUACACACGAACACAAACUUCCUUAAAGAAUUUUACAUAUAGACACUAAAUUCUUUCUGGGUUAUCCCUCUCCAGGGAUACUAAUCAUAACUUCCUCUAACACCAAAGUCACCAACUUAUGACUAACAUUAUUAUGGGCAUGGAUAUCCACGGUUCUAAACACUUAAUACUCCAUCUUUAACUCCUUAGAAUACUCGCAAUACACCUAUAAUCACAUAACUUACAACUUAACAAAAUUUGUAAAACCAUACCCAUGGCUCAUAUUGCCAAACUAUAUUUCCUAAAUUCAACUCUAACGAACACCUUACAACAACUCACCAGAAUUCUCAAUACUAUAAUAUCAAGAACACAAACUAGGUACGCAAAAUACUUACACACAUAAAUGCUAAACUUUUCCUAUUUAAGUAUACUCUAAAGGAAUUUCUUUCCAAGAAUGCUACUUGUAAUUUUCACUAUCCUCUAUCAUCAUCAACCUAAAACUCGCAGUCUCAUGAGCAUACCUAUCCUCACUCCUUAUCACAUAAAAAUCCACUCUCCACUACUUAACAUUUUAAUAUUAGACUGUUAAUCACAUAAAUUAUAUCACAAAAUCUUACCUAACAUCAUACUACCAGAGGAGGGGAAACUUAUUCUUAUAUACUUAUGCUUGUAUCCACUUAAUAACUCACCCACAACUCAUUAUUUUUACUCUAGUCCUCAUAUACUCAUAUAAAUCAUAAUUACUACUUGAACUUUCCAUAAAUUAUCUACCUAGACUCUAUCACGAUCCAAACCGAGGACCUGGCUGUGAUAAAUAAUCCAAACCAUGAUGGUCUAGACACCCGUCUAACUUGUAAUCACAUACAUCAUUCAUAUACAGAAAAGAACUAUGGAAAUAUACUGAGUAUGGGAUCAUGGUCAUGCUCUGAAAUCAAAAAAAUGUUAAAUACUGCAAUUCAACAACAUCUAAAAUAAUAUCUGACUCUGUCUGCAAAACCUCUACUACAUAUGAAACAAAGAUGUCUGAAAACUAGGACAAGGCCCCCAGUAGAUCAAAACCAUAAAUAAAUGUUUGAAAUUUAAAUAGGCCUUCUGAAACAUAGAAGGCUCACCAACUGAACUGUGCACUUCUGUCUAGAAAGAUCUACUGCUUAGCCAGACCGCAAGAUUGAGCCUCAGAUCCUCAGAGGUAGGGGUUUAAUACAGUUGUACUAGUAUGAAGAGUAAACCCAAAAUAAUAUUUGAUAUUCAACAUCUAUGAGUGCAAUUUCAAAACAGUUCAUAAAUAUGUCACAUAGUAAAAGUAACAUGGGCGUGGUUAAAAGUCUAUAAAACCAUCUGAACUCUAUGACAAACUCAUUGUUUUAUUUAUGAACUAGGUAGUAUACCCUAUAAUUCUGUAAUUCCACGGGCUAUAUGGAAUCUUUUCAUAACUUGGCAGACAAGUAUCAUGACUCGAAUCAUGGCCCUGGCCAUGACAAACAUCUCAAACCAUAAAGGCCCGAGAGCCCUUUUAACUUAUAAUCAUAUACACCAUUCCUACUCAAUAAGGAAAUGCAAAAAAUUAUAAUGAAACGGAGCCAUGGUCAUAAGUCUGAUACAAAUUCAACAAUAAAAAAAAUGAAAUCCAAACCCUCUAAUAACAUCUAAAAAACUGUCUGCAGAAUCUCAACUACAUGACUAAUAACAACUAUCUGAAAAUUCUGGGACAAGGCCCCCAGUAGACCAAAACCAUGACAAAUGAUAAAUAUCUGAAAAUAAAUAGGCCUUCUGAAAUAUAGAAGGCUCACCGACUGAACUCUGCGCUUCUACUUGAAGAAAUCUACUGCUUAUCGGGACCCCUAGAUUGUACCUCAGAACCUGGAAGGUAGGGGGUCCAUACAAAUGUACUGGUAUGAAGAGAAAUCCAAAAUAAAGCUUUUGAUAUAAAUAACAUAGUUGAGAGAUAGUCAUAAAACAUCAUAUAUGAUAAAAAUUCCAAAACGCAUAGGCAUCUUUGAUAAUCAUAAAACCUUUCUGUCAAUGCAGUCUCUGAUCUUUGUAUUAUUUCUGAGUUAGGUGACACUCCCCUACAAGUCUGAUAUUCCAUGAGCUAUAUGGAAUCCGCCAUUGACUCGGUGGGGAAGCCCCCAACCUAAGUGUGCCGCAAGGGUUGGAGUGUCUAAGUUUUGUACGCCACAGGGCACUAGGCCAACGUAAAAUAAUAUACCCGGAUUGGCAAAUCACGAUUUUAGGCAGUGAGUUGUCUAAAAUCGUGCCUUCUUCGGGGACCACCUAAAAUCUCUUUAUGCCUAAUUUUAGUCUAUUUUGUUACAUACGUCAUUCUAGUUUCAAAAUAUGAAAAUCUGAUUUCAAACAUGUAUUCUAUUCUAUUCUGAAUUAACAUGACAUUAUCUGAGUUGGUGUCGUCACACCAAGACUGGCAAGUCCUAUUUCUGAGCUAUAAUGCAUCAUGCAUGAUUCUUUCAUCAAAAACUUAAUUCAGAGCACCCAAAUAUGUAAAUAGUAUAAGAUAUUUCAUGUUCAGAAAGCACAAGUCAAAACUAUUCAAGGAUUAUCAUUCUUUCAAUAACAAUGUGGCAGUCCUGAAAUCUUUGUCAAACCAUGCAACCCUUUCCAUUAAAUAUUUAUAUUCAAUAUUUAUCAAUACAAACAACCCGCUUUUUUGAUUCAAAAAUCAUAUUCAUGUCAUAGUAUAAAUCAAUACAUUUUGUAUCAUGCUUUUGAAGAUGCAUUUCAAAACAAUCUAUAUCAUAUGAAAAAUGGGAUCAAUCAUAUCGAAAAAAGGAUUUCAUGUGUAUCAUGCUCUCCAUUCAAACAUCAUUAAAACACAUACAUACAUAUAUAUACGAUUUCAAAUCACUUUGGGGAAAGGCCUAAAGACCAAACAAUAUUAAUUAACGCAUCUAAAACAUGCAGUAAUGGUAAAAUUCAAACCGUUUCCGUAAAAUCAUGAUUUCUAAAUUUUUAGUACGAGGUAAAAAAGGUUUCUUUUUCCAUAAAUAUUUAGGAAAACUCCACGUACCUCAAUUUAGGAAUUUAGUGGAUGAUUCUUGAAGCCUAUGAUUUGGGGAUUCCAAACCUUCAAUCAAUCUUGAAAACCCACGGUUAAAUCUUGAAUUAUUUGGGUUUUUAGUUUGAAACCCUAGAGAGAGUUUCUAGUGAAUUUUUGAAGAAACUAUGAAUAAUGUGAUUACUUGGGAGUAUAAUCCCGUGUUUAAGCUGAUAAGGGGGUGAAAAUACCUAAUAUACCCUUAAUGAGACGGAAUAAAAUAUAACUAGAAACCUGAUUUAUGGGCCACCGUGACGCACCACAACCGCGAUGGCUCACUGGAAAUUGACGAAUGAGAUUCUUAGGGUCACCGCGUCACGAAUCCAUCGCGUUGUCCCACUGGUUAGGACCUAGAAUUUAGUAUGAUGCAAUACAAUCGCACUAGUCUACUGGAAUUUGACAUUUGUUAAAUAGUCCGCCUACGCGACGAGCCAAGCACUAAAAUGAUGGUGUUUUACGACUAAGAACUAAAUUAGCCAUAAUUUCUUGCCCGAGUAUCGAUUUUGGCGAAUCUUAAAUCGGCAGAAAGCUUAUCAAAUUUCCCCUAUGUUGAAAAGUCAAAGUUUGGGAAAUUAUAUAUAAAUGGUUUAAACUUUACUCACUUUGGAAGUCAAAGAAUGAGACUAAGUCCCUUUGACACUUAAAUUUUUUUUCUAGUCUUUAACUCUAAGAGCAUGCUACUAGAAGCUAAUACAUGCACGACUUUAGCGGGGUGUUACAUUAUCCCUCCCUUGGGAUCAUUCAUUUCUGAAUGAUAAUGCAGAACACAGACAAGCACGAUUUCAAGCAUACUAAGGCCAUAGAAGAAAAGGACAAAGAUUGUACCUUCCAUUUCGUCAUUCACUGGAUCAAAUAAGUCUGGGUAUCUAUCUCUUAUGUUACCUUCUGAUUCACAAGUUGCUUUCUCAACUUUCUAAUUUUUCCAUAACACUAUAACCAAGGCUAUUUCCUUGCUCCUCAAUUUCUUGACUUGGCGAUCCAAGAUUGCCACGAGCUCUUCUUCAUAGGAUAAGGAGUCUGUCACUUUGACCUCCUCUACAUGCAACACUAAUGAAUGGUCUCCAAUACAUUUCUUCAACAUAGAUAUGUGAAAUACCGGAUGAACAGAACCCAAACUUGCAGGCAACUCUAACUCAGAUGCAACCCCACCUAUCCUUGAGGAAUCAGCUUAUCUUUCUUCCCGAAUCGUAUAACUCCCUUCAUAGGGGAGACUUAGAGAAAUACCCAAUCACCAACUUCAAAUUCUAGCUCCCUUUAUCUAACAUCGCAUAGGAUUUCUAUCUACUCUGGGCUAUCUUAAGUCAUUCUCUAAUAAUCCUCAUGUCUUCCAUUGCCUGAUGAAAAAGACAAGGCCUAAAUAAAUGCGUCUCACCAACUUCAUACCACCCUAUCGGUGACCUACGUCUUCUCCUAUACAAUGCCUUGAAUGGAGCCAUCUUAAUACUGGCAUGGUAGCUGUUAUUGGAAGCGAACUCUAUCAAUGGAAAAUGAUCUACCCAACUACCUUUGAAAGAAAUCACACAGGACCUCAACAUAUCCUCAAGGGUCUGAAUGGUACGCUCAGGAUGCCCAUCAGUUUGAGGGUAGAAUGCAGUACUUAAAUUCACUUGGGUACCUAAACCUCUCUGAAAAGAUCUCCAAAACUUAGAAGAGAAUUGCGUACCUCGGUCAGAUAUGAUGGAUAUAGGUGCUCCAUGCAAGUAGACUAUUUUCUCAAUGUAAAGCUUGGCAUAAUCAUCUCCCGAAUAGUUGGUCCUCACAGGCAGAAAAUGAGUUGACUUGGUCAGCCGAUCUACAAUUACCCAACUAGAAUCGUACUAGUUUUGGGACCAUGGAAGUCCCCUAAUAAAGUCCAUAUUGAUAAUCUCCCACUUCCAUAAAGGCAAAGCUAUCUCUUGGGAUGUACUACUUGACCUCAUAUGCUCUACCUUAACUUGUUGACAAUUCAAACACUUGGCAACAAAAUUAGCCACAUCACGCUUCAUAUUAUUCCACUAGUAUAUAGCUUUUAGAUCAUGAUACAUCUUAGUAGAGCCUGGGUGACCAACGUACCUCAAAGUGUGAGAUUCAUCAAGGAUCCUCUUUCGCAACCCAUCUACAUCUCGCACACAUAGUCUACCCUGAUAUCUCAAAAUUCCAUCACCACUAAUUUUAAAAAACAUCACCUUCUGGUGACCCAUAUCUAUCUUGAUCUAUAUUAAGAUGGGAUCUUCAACCUGCUUCUCCUUAACUUCUGCACAAAGGGAAGAUUUAGCUAUCUCAUGAACAACCACUCCCUCAUCUUUGGAAUCCAAGAGUUUUACUCCUAGAUUUACAAGUCGGUGAAUAUCCUUCACCAUCUCCCCUUCCCCUUUUCAACAUGCGAAAGGCUGUCCAUAGAUAACCUGCUGAGGGUGUCGGCUACCACAUUUUCCUUGCCCGGAUGGUAGUGCAGGAUCAUGUCAUAAUCCUUUAAAAUUUCCAACCAUCGUCUUUGCCUGAGGUUUAAUUCUUUCUACGAGAAAAUAUGCUGUAAACUCUUGUGGUCAGUAAAUAUAUCAACAUGUACCCAAUAGAGAUAAUGCCCCCAGAUUUUAAGCGUAAACACCACAACCGCUAACUCCAAGUCAUGGGUGGGGUAAUUUAUCUUAUGCACCUUCAACUGCCUAGAUGCAUAGGCCACCACCUUACCGUGCUACAUAAGUACACACCCAAGUCUCAUAUGGGAUGCAUCACAGUACAUAACAAACCCCUCCAUACCUUUCGAAAGAGUCAAAACACGACCAGUUGACAACUUAUCUUUUAACUUCUCAAAACUAGUCUCACAGGAGUCAGACCACACAAACUUUACCUUUUUCUGCGUCAACUUAGUAAGUGGUGCAGCUAUGGAAGAGAAACUCUCUACGAACCUUCUGUAAUACCCCGCCAAACCCAAGAAGCUCUAAAUGUCAGUUAGAGUCGUGGGUCUGGGCCAUUUUCUCACUGCCUCAACCUUUUGAGGAUCAACCUUGACACCAUCACUAGACAUGAUAUGCCUCAGUAAAGCAAUAGCAUUAAGCCAGAAUUCACACUUGGAAAACUUUGCAUACAACUUAUGAUCUUUAAGAGUUUGAAGGAUGAUUCAGAGGUGAUUGGCAUGGUCUUCCUCACUGUUGGAAUAAGUGAGAAUAUUGUCAAUGAAUACUAUCACAGACAGUUUUAGAAACUGACGGAACACUUUAUUCAUCAAAUCCAUAAAAGCUCCAGGGGUGUUAGUCAACCCAAAGGAUAUGACUAAGAAUUCAUAAUGACUUUAUCUGGUUCGGAAGGCUGUUUUAGGAAUAUUUGACUCUCUAACCUUCAACUGAUGGUAUCCCUAACCAAGGUCUAUCUUUGAAAAAAAUCUUGCACCCUAAAGCUGGUAAAAAAGGACAUCAAUUCUAGGAAGAAGAUAUUUAUUUUUAAUAGUGACCUUAUUCAACUGGCGGUAAUCUAUGCACAUACGCAGGGAACCAUCUUUCUUUCACAUGAAGAGUACAGGUGCUCCCCAGGGAGAAACACUAGGAUAGAUGAAACCUUAGUCUAGAAGAUCUGCUAGCUGCUCUUUUAGCUCUUUCAGUUCUGCAGGAGCCAUUCUAUAUGGCAAAAUAGAAAUGGGACGGGUGUCUGGAAACAGAUCAAUACCAAAAUCUAUCUCCCUAUCAGGUGGUAUUCCUAGGAGAUCAUCUGGAAAAACUUUUGGAAAUUCAUU
rnacentral:lncRNA from 1 species